rnacentral:lncRNA from 1 species
AAAAAGUUUUAUUUUAUUUUAUUUUAUCUUUAUCCAGUUUUCAAGAAGGGUUAUAGGGUGUCAAUGGAAUGGUCACAUGUGGCUACUUUCGUUCUUUCGUUAAUGUUAAACAGGUGGAUAAGGAUGAUGGGUUGAAAUUAAACACUAAAAGAAGGAAGAGAAGAUAUUUGUGAAAAAGAAAAAUAUAGAAUCAAAGAAGAUAAACAAAAGAACAAAUGGAACGGUGUAUAUGAUAGGUUUUUCACCUUGUGUUGCAAAGGAGUACACAUGAAGAAAUCACAAAACAAACGUACAAUCAUUAAAGUAUUAAACAUCCAAGAUUUGAGGACAAAGGAAGAAGUAACUCAAGCCUAGAUUAAGGGGUAUGUUGAAAUGUAAUCUACAUUUUGGAUUAAUAUAUGGUAAUUUCAUAGCCGUGUUAUCGAAGUUAACUUCUGUGUAAAGAAAGCUUCAUGCACACACUAUACUUGUAAGUUCUUAUUUUGAGGAUCAACUCCAACAAACUUCACAAGUGUUUCAAUUUUCAAAAUUUAUCCUUUAUCAAAUGCCAAUAAGAGUAAAAGCUAGAGAGAAAGAGAGAAGGUUGCAAGCUGAGAUAGAAGAUUAGGAAACUAGGAGAUGCCAUUGAUUCUCUUCUAAUUUGUUUUGGAUAUGGUGUCCAGUUCUUGAUGAUAGUGAAUAUAUAGAGGAAGAGACUUUAUAUAAAGUAUAAAGGAUGACCAUGAAGUUUCGUGUAGACCUGGCAAUUUGCUACAUGACACGAUUAACACGAUACGAGUUUUUCGUGUAUGUGUUUUAGAAAUUCGUGUUUCGUGUUUAUUUGUGUCUGACACAUUUUAAAUUCAUGUUUCGUGUCUUACACGUGUCAAACACAAAUUUACAUGUUUAGACACGUAUAAGACACGAUACAAAAUCAUGUUGACAUGUGAUACGUACAAACACACACACACACACACACACAUAUAUAUAUAUAUAUUAGGGUUAAAUUUUAUAUUUACAAUAUAUUAGGGAACAAUUUCAUAAAACACAAUAAUUAGUUUAUAUCCCUAGCUUUAAAAAAAAGCCAUUAAAAACGUGACUAUUCGUGUCGUGUCACGUGUCACACGAAUUUUUUACAUGUCGUGUUCGUGUUUGAUACCCCAAACACGUUUUAUAAUUCGUGUCGUGUUUGUGUUUAACAAAUUCAUAUCGUGUAAAUUCGUGUGUGACACGAAUACACGACACGCAGACACGGAUUGCCAGGUCUAGUUUCGUGGAACCUUCCUUAUAACUUCCUUCGUCACUUCAACAAUGUGAAUGUGUUUAAUGGAAAAGUAACAAAAAAUAUAUUUAUUACAAGAAAUUAAGUGAACUGUUAUUUCUUUUUGAUGCAAUAACAUCAUUUAUUUUUAUAAACAACAAAUAGACAAAAAAAUGUUCACCUUUCCUUGCUUUUAUGUAACAUACAUUCAAAAUCAUGGAAACGAUAAUAAUUAUUUAUUAUUAUUAUUAUUUAUGUUGAAAUUUGGAGAUUGAUUAUAUAAAACUACUUAUCAAAUUAUUCAAAAAUAAAUUUUUUAUUUUUCUAUUAUAGUGAAUUUUUGGACAACAUAUUUCAUGUACAACAAUAUAUCAUGAUCAUAUGUCCAUAUGUUAACACUAAUUGUGGGAUAUCAAAAGAAUAAUAAUAAGUUUAAGAUGAUGAUUAGGCUGCAACAAUCGAAAGAAUGCAACUUAAGAAGAUGAAAACUCUGAAGAUUAAAACCAAUCGAGAUUUAGUAAUUAAAAAGUAAGGUGUUUUCUUUUUAGGAACAAAGUCAAUCAUGUGGUCUUUGGUAAAAAAAUAAAAUGAGUUUCUCUACAACAAAAGAUAAAAAGGAGUACAAGGCUUUAUUAAAAGAAGGGUAGUAUGGUCUUUUGACAAAAAAACAUGGAUGGGAAUUGUUUCUAACCUUAUUAAAUGAGGAAAUCGUACAAGAAUAUAAUAAUGAAAAGAUCACUAUUUAGCAUGUGCCAUGGUGUACUAUUUGAUUUAUGCAAAGAUGAUGAUAACGUUUUAUCUUGAAAACAAAAGCUUAAAGUGGUAUUUCCAAAUACGAAAAGCUUUUUAUCUCUCUGUUAAAUUAUUAUGAAAACCUUUGUAUAUUGUAUUAUUUACUAGAUAUUUGAUAUAUAAUCUAUAGAAUACAAAUAAAACCUAAUCGUUAGUGAUCAAUUAGUAAUUAUUCCUCUCUUCGAUUAUUGUAAAAAAUGUGUACAUCAAAAUUUAUAAUAUCGUUAGUGAUCAAUUAGUAAUUAGUAGACAUACAUACAACAAAAAGUAAAUAUAAUCGAUAUAAGAGCAAUUAGGAGAAAAGUUUUUACUUGAUUUUUUCCAAAAGAGUCAACAAGAAAUGCAAAUUUAAAGAUCUACUACUAAUAUAUAAAAUCAUGACUAAAUUAUAAUACUCUUUUCCUAAGGAUUACUCUGUAUUUAUGAAGUUACUUCAGUUUAUUAAAAAGAAAAUUUUAAAUAAAUUUACGAAGAGAGAUAUAAAUUCAAUAGAAUCCUUAAAUGAAAACCAUAAAAGGGGCUCAAUUGAAGACAUAAAUACGAACAGGAUAUAAAAAUAAACAUUUUAAGAAAGAGGAAAAGAGCUCUUGAAAUGAGGAAGUAAGAUCACGCACCUAAUUGUUGAUUAACAAGGAUAUAAGUUGAUAAUGGUGGAAUUAGCUUUGAAAGAAAGGUUGUGGACUUGUGGGGUUCAUUCAGGAAUUUCGUCGAACAGGUCAUGGACAGAUAAAUUAACAAAAAAAAAAAUACACGUUCAACCAUGAUCAUCGAACAGCCUAACCAUGAGUUGACGCAAGAAAGAAACUUGAUUAGAAAUACAAACAAGGCCGGUCGAUUUCCGGCCAAAUAUUAAUCGAUCUUACUUGUGAGUGGUGACCGGAGAGCGGAGACCCGGAUCUCCUUUUUUUCCCCAUGUGUUCUUCCUGCAACCAUGUCCACCACCCGUUUGAUCAAUUGCAAUCUGGACACAGUUAUCGAUAACACUGAUUUUUCAUAUAAAUGCUUCCACAGAGGCUGCUGAUGAGGACGUUUGGUGCAUCGGUGGCGAAGUUAAGUUGGUGGGCUUUCAGAAGAGAGAUUGUUCGCCGGCAAAGGAAGUGUAGAUGAAGAGGGAGAAAGGAAAGCAGAUGAAGAUGAAGUGCAGUGUAUCUCAGAUGAGUGGGGAUUAAAUUCCCCUUUGUAGAACCAAACACGUGAAUAGAUUCUACUUUUUAGCGUUUCUUUUUAUGUUGGAAAUGUUUUUUAAAAAUAUAUAUAUUUAUUUAUACAUAAUGUAUGGUUUUUCAAGAUGGAGAAGGGUAUAUUUAUACAUAAUAAUUUAUGGGAUAAUACCGUAAAUAGUCAAAAAACGGGGGUGUUUUCAAAAAAUAGACAUAAAAAUAGACUUUUCCGGAUAUAGUCAUGCAUUCUGCGGAGGUAGCUCCGCGGAAUCUGGCAACAUCGUAAAUAAAUCAAUGUACUAAAAAAAAAACACUAAAGAUCCAUUCCGCGGAGCUACCUCCGAGGAAUGAACUCAUUCCGCAGAGGUAGCUCCGAGGAAUGGAUCUCUAGUGUUUUUUUUUUCACAUCGAUUCUUCGGGGUUUAUAUUCAUUUCCCAAACUAAUUAUUUUUAAGAAAAGAUUAUCAUACUAUUAUAAUUUUUACUUGAAAAUAAUUAGUUGGGGAAUUAAUAUAAACCCCGAAGAAUCGAUGUGAUGAAAAAAAAUAUUAUAAAAAAAACCUCAAGAUCCAUUCCGCGGAGAUGACGUCAUUCCGUGGAGGGUCCUUCGCGGAAUGCAUGACUAUAUCCGGAAAAGUCCAUUUUUAUGUCUAUUUUUUUAAAACACCCCCCCAUUUUUUGACUAUUUACAGUAUUUUCCCAUAAUUAAUUUAAUUUUGAAAAUAUCUAACACUUCUAAUGAAAAAUUAAGGUUAUGCCAUCCACAAAAUGUGUCUCAUUGUUUCACUUUCGAUGUCUAUAAUGUGGUGGCAUUAUAUAAUUAGUAAAAUAUUGACUAGCUAUUAAAGUAAUUAAAAAAAUACAAUACAAUGCAAUGUCAUAUCAUAUUUUUAUACUUGUUAUUUUAAUCUUUUUCUUAAGAGCUUUUCCUUUUUCUAGUAAGAAUAAACGUACACAAAAUCAAAGACUUUAAUGGCAUUAACAUAGUGUACAUUAACUCAUAAAUAAUUAUAUUAUGACUUAUGAGGUGCUUUUACAUACUUACAAGUUAGACUUACAACUUACAGUGACAAUGAGAAAGCAUGUCGAUUUACUCUAAGUAUUUUCAACGUUCGAAAGGUAGCUCAUGAGUGGUGGGGACACCUAUAGUUACUAUUACUGAUUCUCUUCUAUAAAACACACAGUUUCUAACUUGUUUUUGAGUGGUGAAUAUGUGAGGUAAUUUAUAAAGAGUGAAAAACUAAAAGAAAGACAAGGAAAUUUGGUGGGAACUUACUUUUAAUAAAGUAAUAUUCUAUGAUUACUUAACUUUCAAUCACUUCCAUUUUAUAACAAAAAGGAAGAUACAUAAGAAGAAAUAUGACAAUGCUUUUCAUGUCAAACCAUUGGACCACACCCAGAUCUUUACAAAAGAAAGGAAUCUCACUUAAGGUUGUUCAUGAUUUGGUGGAACCUUACAUUAAGUGAUGUAUUAUUGCUUUCAUUUUGCAAUUUGCAUCAAGAUAACUCUCUUUCAAGAAAAGGUGUUUAAUUUUAAGAAAAAUAUUAAAUGUGAUUUUAAGGGGAAAAAACAUAGUAAUUGUUUUGAACUAUUUUCAUCAUCAUUUUACAUCAUAUAAUCUUUCUAAUUGUUACUUGUCAUUGAUAGAAUAAAACUACCAUGUACAAGAUGACACACAAUAAGCUAACUUUUUUAUAUAUAGUUUGACAUAAGAAGAGUUAGACACUUCUAAAAAUUAAAAUAUUGAAAUAGAUAAAAAUAAAUUUUAAUUCUUAAUACACCAAAACGGUAAUAUUAAUUUGGUUUGUUUUGAUUUUAUUAAUAAUUAUUAUCUUACAAAACGACUCCUAAAGCAAAAAAUGUUUCUGAAUCGACAUUCCGAGGGAAGUUGUACGGCCAGUGGCAACAUUCGUUGACGUGUAGCGGUCAUCGACGGUGACGGUGACGAUAUUAGAUCUAAGGAAAUCGCACCAAAAACAACAUAUAUGAUCAGAUUAUAUAGUGACAACGGAAAAUCAUAGAUCUAGAUAGGGAUGAAAGUGGGUCCAAACCCGGACCUGACCCGGCCCCGGAAAACCUGGAACCGGUUAACGGGAUUUUGUAGAACCGGAAACCGGACCGGUAUAUAGGAACCGAUUCUGGUUCAGUUCUGGGUAAAGUGGGUCUAGAACCGGAAAACCCGGAAACAUCAAAGUGGGUAGGUUGGAACCGGAUAAAGUGAUCUUAGAACCGGAAAACCCGAAAAAACCGGAAUUUUUUGGCAAUUACUUACUACUUAGUGGGUUGAACUUUGAAAUUUUUCAUAUUGAUAUUCCGACUUUGGGGGACUGUAACUCAUUGAAUAUGAAACCAAGAUUUACAAAAUUAUAGUCUAAAAUCAUGUACAAACUUUAAACUACACACUGGAAAAAACUGCAUGUCAAUCCGACUUUAAACGAAUGAGAUAUGCAUCUGUUAACAUUUUCACAUAAUACAAACUACAAAAACAAAUAGCUGAAAAGUUGAAAAUUUUCAGUUUUGAUAUCCCGACUUCGGGGGACUAUAAAUCAUUGAAUAUUAAACCAGAAAUGACAAAAUUAUAGUCUAAAAUCAUGUACAAACUCUAAAAUACAAUUUGGAAAAAUCCGCAUAUCAAUUCAACUUCAAACGAAUUAGAUAUGCAUGUUUUAAAACUUUCACAGAAUACAAACAAACUGAAAAACCAUAAACUGUCAGCUUUAAUAUCUUAACUUUGGGGGACUGUAAGUCAAUGAAUAUAAAACUAAAAAUGGCAAAUUUAUUGUUUAAAAUCAUGUACAAACUCUAAACUACACAUUGGAAAAAACCGCAUGUCAAUCGGAGUUUAAACGAAUAAGAUAUGCAUCUUUUAAACGUUUCACAAAAAUCGGUUUCGACCCUAAAAGUGGUUCUGGUUCCUAACAACGGUUCCGGUUUUUAGACCUGGUUUACCUGGACAUCGCUAUGGACGCAAACCCAGAUUACUCGGAACCCGGAUAAACCCAAUUGUUAAACCCGGAACCGAAAAUGGUUCUAUAUAUUCUGGUUCUAGCGGUUCCGGUUCCGGUCCGAUUCCGAUUCCUGUUCGGUUUUCCGGUUCUAAAUCUCAUCCCUAGAUCUAGAAGUGUUGGUUGCAGAUCUGAAGGCGAUGGUUCCAAAUCUGAAGCUGAUGGUUCUAGAUCUGAAGAUGUUGGUUCCAGAUCUGAAAGAAGCGGUACUAGAUUCGAAAGUUGUGGUUUGCCAUCGGCAAAAAAUAUUUAUGCUCAAUCAAACAAGCUAACACCAAAGGAGAUAAAUCCUCAAUCAACAAUCCAAAUCCUCUAACUUUGGCCCCAAGUCAAACAGGUCAAGAAUCAACGAUCAACCAGGUCAACUAUCACCACGACGUGAUAACCUCUUGUCCACGUUGUGGGAAUGUCCAUACAAAACAGUCGUGAGACUGAACCUAUUCCACAACAUGGAGAACUCUUCUCCAUGUCGUGGCUAUUGCCAGAAGCCAUUUUGUCAUUAAGAGCUUAAUUCUUACAUACUAAAGCUCAAACUUCCAUAUUUAAUUCUUCUUAGUGACUUAAUGGAUAAAGUUUCCAACUUUAUCCAUUAGGACCUCACCACAAGACAAAAUAUAAAACCCUAAGUCCAUAAAACCCUUAAUAAGACCUCAACUUGAUCAUAGAGAAAAGGGGACCAAGACUUAAUACUUUUUCCAUCACAUAGGACCAAAAAAAUGGUCACCAAACAAGCCUAAGGUUCGGGAGUUGACCAAAACUCAAAGAACACUCCAUCAAGGGACUUCAUGGCAUGAAAUAAUGGAAAAGGAUGAUACAUGUGGAAGCUUUAUACCUUCCCAGGCUCCACGAGAUUCAGGAGAUGCAAGAUCUGAAGUAGAUACACUCUUCUAACUAGCAAGCUUCACAAAGUACAAACCAAGGCUUCAAACUUCAAGAAUUCAAAGAACUCAUCAAGAACACUCAAAUGGGGCUAAGGUUUCAAAAUAGGAGAAUGGACGCCAAGGGAAAUGAGCUAACCUUAGAGUUAAGGCCUUUAAAAAUAUGGGUGAAUCCCUAAAAAUCAUAAGCUUGGGCUCCAGCACUCGUCAUGUCAUGGCAACCUUCUUGUCAUGUCGUGGUGCUCUCCUAAAAUGUGUAUUCCAUAAAAUCCAUUCCAUGUCGUGUUCAUCUUUGCACUACGUUGUGGCUUAGGGUUUUCUCCAAAAACACCAUCUUUGAUCUUGUUAACUCUUUGGCUAAACCAACAUAUGACCGACUAUGGAGAAUUUGAAUAAUAUGAAAUACCAUAACAUAAUUAUUCUGGAAGUCAAAACAUGCAAAGUGAAACACAAGAAUAAUCAAAUCCAAUAUGGUCUCAGAACUUAUGAAUAUAAAUAAAACACCUUUUAUUUAUCACCAUAUUGAUUACAUAUUAUUCAUUGAAUAAUGUUUCAAAUUAUCAACUUUAUACUUGAAUUAAAACAAUAGUUGUCCCAUGCUCCAAGAAUGUACACUAUGUUUUCUAAACACUAGUCAUGACAUACACCAAGUAUGCACACUAUGUUUUUCCAAACAUUAGUUACGCCAUACUCCAAGUAUGCACACUAAGUUUGUCUAUGAUCUUUACUUUGUGAAAUAAAUCGAUUGAACAUAAUUCCAAUGAUUCUCAUUUCACAAUACCAAAUCCUUACUGCAAAUACAAGAAUUCCAAAUUCCUGCCAUUUACCGAAAUCUGUUAGAUUUUAAACUUAUAUGCACUAAUCCUCUGUAAUGAUUAUGCACAAAGUCACAAAGACUUGUCAACAGACAUUACAAAGUAUACCAAUGGAGAUAAAAUCCAUGGAAACGAAGUCUCAUAUUCAAAGUACAUUGUGUUGAACAUCCUUCUUGCAUUAAAUUUUUUAAUCUUACACAGAUUGAAUAACUUCCACGUAUGGAGUCAUUUCCAUAUUCCCAUUUUGACUAUCACUUCUGAACAAAAGUUGCCUCCUUUCAGAGUAUGUCAAUAUGGUCCUUCCAAAAUUAACACCAUGCUUCCAACUGUCCUUAAGAAACCAAUCUUUGGUAAACCUUAGAUUGUCCUCGACAAUUGCUUAAUCAUGUUGGUUAUAUCCAAUUCUAGACCUUUUUUCCCCUCUUAAUGCCACUAGGCAUUUUGGAAAAAAUUUAGAAAGGAUAAAUAUUAUAGCACAUGCAAUCGAUCCUAUAUCCGAAGCAUAUGGGACACGAUUCAUGAUGUCUCACAUAAAGACAUGAUACUAGACUAGUCAUUUUGCUAUAAUAUUUCUAUUUCUAUUUGCCAAGUUCUCAUAAUUCAGAUUAUGAAAAAGGAUGCCGUAAUCAUAAUCGAAUUUUAGAAUGCAAAUAAUGGACCCAUAUAUAGAAUUUCCUUAUGUUGAGCUAUUCCAACAUAAAAUUCAUAUAUAUAUAUAUAUAUAUAUNUAUAUAUAUCGUUGACUAAAGAUGAUUAAAACCUCAAUCUAAGCUUUUAGAAUUAAAAUGAAGUACAAUUUCCUCUCCCUUAAUUAUAGCAAAACAACUUUUCCCAAUUGAAACUUUUUAUUUUCUAUAAUUAACAUUGCUAACUUGCAACACUUAUCAUAAUUAUCAUGCUCCCACUAAUAUGAGAAUUAUCAGCAUAGCCCUUAUGCUCCCACUAGCUUUGACAUGUACUCAGAAAUCAGUUGGACUUCUAGAAAUCAAUACUUUAUUGACUUUCUUACCAAAGUUCAGACUUCUGAUACGAGAUGCUUUGAUAAAAACUUUAUCAAAAUCAUACACGUUUCCAUAGAUAGCACACAUGUGUGUCUAAACAAUUUCAAAACUAUGAAAAUGGAUGCCAUAAUCAUAGUCUCAAUUGUUUAGACCUUUUCCAUUCCUCACAAGUCCAUGUUAGUGUUCUGGUUAACCACACACGCUCCACUAACGACUUUGAGAAUGCAAAUAUCACAAUUGCUAUCUACCUAAAAUCACUUAGUGAAAGCACUUCCUCACCAUCAUUUUCAUGAAUCGGAGAAAAACCUUAUGACACUUAGAUUUUAUGGUGUAUCUGUUCCUAUCAAUGUAAAUUUGUCAAAAGCAUAAUCACAAGACAAGGUUAGUGACAAAUCCAAACUCAUAGCACGUAAUUUAUAUUAAAUACUUCAUAUCAAGAACACAGAUAAUAUGCACACAUAGCACGUAAUUUAUACUAAAUACUUCAUAUCUAUGUGUAAGAUGAAAUGAUGAUUCCAAACUCGAAUAAAACACGUAAUUUAUAUUAAAUACUUCAGAUAAUAUGCACACAUAACACGUAACUAUGCACUCACUUGUUAAAAAGAUGAUUCCAAACUCGGACAGUGCUUCACUUCUAACAAUUUUAUCUUCCUUCAUCGAAACCUAGUAUCAUUAUUACUAGAUUUAGUUUAAUAUUUAUUGCGACUAUUAUUAUUCUAGAUUCAUCAUUAAAUCAGAGUCUACGUCAUGAUCUAUCAUGUAAGGAUCAGCCAGGCAGGACAGUUGGGAGGCAAGGCCAUUUCGGCGUAUAGCUUUUCGGAAAAACAACAACCAAACCCAACGUGACCAUUCUAGACACCUCUCCCAUAAGUAGUUCAAUCAAUAUAAUGACUUUGAAUGACUGAUAAAUCUUGUUUAUAGGUUCAUAAUAACAAUAAUGAACUUAAACAUAAGUUAUACUUAAAUUAGGGUAAGCAUAACUCACUUACAAGCGGGGUUUCUCUAGGAGUCGGGCUCUACAGCGACAAAAAUUUUGCGUCGAAAAGCUCUUUUUUUUUGAGCCUUCGGGUGCUCCGGGCUUUCCUCUAGCACUUAGAAGUUACUAGGGCUUUGGGAGGGUUUUCGGAGGCUUAGAGAGAAGUUAGAGAGAGAGAGAAGUAGGUUUUUAUGUGAAAAUUAUGGAGACCUUCGCAUGCUAUUUAUAGGCUGAAAUACAAAUCAACUCAUCGAGUUAGGGCCUCCAACUCAUCGAGUUGGGUGCCACAUGUCACCAUCUGGCGGCAAGGGUUGGGGAGAAAGCAAUGGCUCAGAUCGCGCCAUGUCACCGCCUUCGCAACACCACCUUUCUGAAUUCUAAAUUCCGUAACUUUCACAUACGAGAUCCAUUUUUGACGUUCUUUUUAUCCACGCAUAGGUAUUGACAAGAUCUACAACUUUACUUUUGACUCCAUCGGCUAAUUCAUGAUCGAUUUUAAAUUUAACAAUAUGAGAAGAUUAAACUGUUAACGACCGUGUAAAAUUCAUAACUUUUACAUACAGACUAUGUUUUCGACUGUAUUUUUAUCAGUGUACUCCUAUUAAUGAGAUCCUCAAUUCUCAUUUAGGUUUUUUUGGCUAAAAAUCGAUCGAUCUAAUAUUCGAAUUCUGGGUUGUUCACUACUAUACUAAAUCUUAGAAAAAUCAUAACUUCCUCAUACGCAGUUAGAUUUUGACGUUCUUUUUAUGCACGCUCUCAGUUUAACAUAUAAUACAACCAUUAUUUAGAUCUCUAAUGCUAAAAAGUAAUUUAUCACAAAAUCAUAUUUUACGUUACGCAGUGUCGUGUCGGUUUAGCCGUAAAACUUCGACGGGUCAUAACUUCUUCGUUAUAACUCAGAUUCCUACGUUCCUUAUAUCUACGAAACCUUUUUGACAUAUACUAUAAAUUUGUUAAGAUUAUUAAUUCUAAAUAAUAUUCCAUCAAAAACUCAUUUUUUUGACGCUUAUUGUCUCUAAAUUGACUAGCCCGAAUCUGCGGGCGUUACAAUAUCGAUUUUGAGGGUUAUUUGUUUUUGGAUCGAUAUAAAUUGUCACCUGUUGGAUUUUGGGAUUAAUGUUGAUGACUAUUUAUUGAGUUCAAAGACUUGGAAUCAAGCUUAGGAGCCGAUUUCGAAUGGUUAGAAAGUCUUGAUCUAAUUACGAAGGGUUGAUUCCAACUUAGAUUUUAUGUCAAUUGAUAACUUUGGACGACGAUAUCGAAUCUUGGUAAGCUAAUAACGAAGAAUUGAAUGUUGAUUUUGAAGGGGGAAGGCUAAUUGAUUUUGAUGUCGAUGAUUGAAAAAUCGAUUUCGAAGGGUUGAAUUUGGUUUGGCGUCAAUGGUUUGAUGUUUUAAGUUGUACAAUCAAAGGGUUGUUGCCUGUAGAAUGAAGAUGGUUGAAAGCAAAUUCAACAUAAGAAAGUCAAAGUUGACUUGAAUUUGAGAAUUGAAAUUUGUAUGUUGAGUAUCGAUGUCGAUGGGAAGACAGAAAGAAUUGAUGUUUUGAUGUUUAGGUUCAUGAAAAGGGAAGGACGAAGGACGGUGGUCGAAUGUGUUUCACUCAAUGUCUAUAGAUAUAAGUUGGACUUUGGGAUUGAUAUCGAUGGUUAAAGGAAUGUAAAAUGAAGGCAGGGGAUUCACACUUCGUUGUCAAGAAUCAUCCAUGGUUCGUUGACAAGGUCCCUCUAAUGAACGCGAAGGACGAAGGGUAAUCAGUCGAAUAGUUAUAGGUCGAGGGUCUCUCACUUAUAAAAGGGAAGACAGAAGGAUGUCGAUGGUCGGAAAUUCGAUUUUGUAGUCGAUUGGUUCAUUGACGAGGUAUUAUAGAUGAAAAGCGAAGACGUAGGUUAUAACAAAUUUGAUUUUGAAGACUUUGCUUUUGUGAUAACGAACAGGUUGUAUAGGUAGUUCAUUAACGAGAGGUCAAUGGUCAGUGGUUCGUUAUCGAGGAACAUGAUAUGCUUUCUUAUUGAUGACCAAACCCUGUUCAUUAACAAAGGGUUAAGUGAAAAGCGAAGGGUUGAAAAACAAGCACUUAAUGAUGUCGAAUAGCGAAGGGUUGGAGAUGUGUGUUCAAUUUUGACUUUUCUUGGUCCAAAUCACCAUUCGUUAUCUAUGAAUUGAAGUGAAGAAGAAAAGAAUUAUUUUCGAAUCUCAACCCUGAAGUUUCUAAGAAAUGGCAAUUCAUACCCAGAUUCGACAUUGGUGUAGAAAGUUUGUGAAAAAGGAUGAAGUUUCUAAUAUGUCUCUGCUGUUUUGAAGACUUGGUAGAAAUUACCCAACUUCGAAAUUUGUCACAACUAGCAUUUUAGGGCUAGGAAAUUCUAUCUAUGUGUAAUUAACUUCUGAUGUAUCUUGUAACCCUAAGUAUGAUGUUAUCCAAGUUAUUCAUUCACAAACGACAAUUCAAGUCAAAACUUCCUCGUGAAAGCUCUAAACCUAAUUCAAUACGAUACAUUCACUCAACUUUCUACUAGUAACCUCUCAACUUGGUUCUUUUGGGCAAAGAAUCCUUAUUUGGGCCUUAAUUGGGCCGAAAUUCAUUAAACAAUAAUGUUUGAUCCAUACGACCCUUAUUGGACCUUAUACCGUCAUGAACACCUCUCUUGGGGGCAUAGUGGGCCCUACACUCCAUUUAGCAUUUUUUAAGCGUAAGACACUCUUAAUGGGCAUUAUUAGGCCAAUACCCUCCAUAGAUCAUCUAAUAGGCCGAGACAUAAAUAUUAUGGCCCUUUAACACCGAAAACCUCUUUGGGCUUAGGGGUUCUCAGUCACGAACCAAACUCAAGCCCAAAAUAAAUUAUUUUCUUCCCCCCCUCCUAAUUCUCGGCCCUAUAUAUGUUAAAAAAAGGUUGUAUUAAAUCUGAUGGUGACACCUAAUUUUUUCAUGGAGGAUAUCCAUGCAAUAUGUCCAUCAAAUAUCUAGACCAAUAAGUAAUUAACCAUUAAGCAAGGACCUUAACCUAUCUUCUCUCUUUCCUCCUUAAACUCUCGGCCAAAGAACAUCAUCACCACCCUCAAUUUCUUUUUCACUCUUAAAGGAAAACUAUCUCUUCUUUUCCUCCUCUAAAACCGUGGGUGUGUGUGUGUGUGUGUUAGCUCAAGGAGGUCUUCAAGCUUGCAAACUUGGUAAGUUACUUCACAUUCAAGAUGUUAAACUUCAUAUUACACUAAGAUUUUUCCUCAAAAUCACACUAUUUUCGUGUUUAUGAUCCUAAAACUCUCUUAGUUUUGAAAAUCCCCUCAAAGGAGCAUUCAAGACCAAAAAUCUUCUUCAUUCUUCCCUUUAAAAGCCAACUAACGCCAAGGUGAGCUUCAUACCCCUCCUUUUUUCAUGAUUACUAUCUUUUGGGGGAGAAUACAAGCUAGUUUUGUGUUUAAUCUUGGUAUUUAGGCAUGCUUGUGUGUAUUUUCAUGAUAGGUGUGUGAAUAAGUUAUGAAACUAUGUUAAACUUUUAUGAAACUCGAACAAACUUCCAAGUUAUGAAGUGAUAAGGAAAUAAAUUACUUUAUAUAUCUCAUUGUGAUGUUUGAAAAGAGAAAACAUGUUAAAAGCUACUAUAAAACUAAAGAAAACCUAAAGAGGGGCCAUAUUUGACAAAUGAGCAAAAGUGAGUCCUUUAUGAUACUCAUGCCUUUAAAGGGGCCAAAAGGGACAUUUUUUUUUAAUAAAAUGGGUUUCUAUGACAUUCACGGUUUUAUGGGGGUCAAAAGUGUCAUUUUUGACAAAAUGAGCUUCUUUUUUGGGCCUUCUCAGUUUUAAUGGACCAAAAUGAUUAGUUUUCACCAAAAUGGGCCUUAUUUGGAAAUUCACGGUUUCAUGGGCCAAUGGUCAUUUUUCAUAAAAAUGGGCCUUAUUUGCAAAUUCAUGGUUUCAUUGGCUAAAAAUGGUCAUUUUUCAUAAAAUUGGGCUUUAUUGACAAAACAUACUUUUAUAGGGCCAAAAAAGUCAUUUUUAAUGAAAAUGGGCCUUUAUUGUAAAUUUUCGGCUUUAAUGGGCCAAAAAUGUCAUUUUUAACAAAAUUGGGCCUUAUAUGGCAUUUGAUACUAUUUUGAGCUAAAACGAUCAUUUUGAUAACAAACGGACUAUUUACGACAUUUUUACACGCAUGUUGGGCCUUACAUACCGAAUUACAUGCAUAUUGGGCCAUGUUUGGCAAUUCUAUCCUAAUUGGGCCUUAAAUGCCCAUUUGUUAUCUUAUUGGGCCUAUACGACGCUUUCUAUGCAAAUCGGGUCGAUAUCAAUAAAUAUUUGACAUUUUGACAUGAACAACUAUAUUCUUAUCACCGACGAUUUGUAAAAAAGAUACAUACUUGAAACAUUUUUUUAGUGUUAAGUAAUGAGAUACACUAUUCACGUAGAUUUAUUUAAGGCUCUUGUAAGACACUCCUUCGACACUCCUUCAUUCGUACCUACCUAGCAUACAUCGUAAUCUUUAUAGUUAUAACUAGAGUCUCCUAGAGGGAUAUCGAGAAUUUGUGUAUAGAUCUAUAUGGGGAUGACACCCUACACUUGAGCUGCUCGCUACAGCUAGACAGGUCAGUCUAGGGUGACAAAUGUCUUAUCGGAAACGACGCCUGAAGAGCGUCAUGACAGGCAUAUCAGUCAUAUCAAGUAUGGUUAUAGCGACUUACAUAGAGAAUAACAAACAAAUAAAUUUACGGAAUGCACAUACUAUACUCAUGAUACAAAGUACGAACUAUACAGUUAUUAUUCAUGUUUAAAACUUUCACCACUCUGGUCUUAGGGUUAAGACCACACUUUUUCAUUAGACAGAAAAUAUAGGAUUUUUUGGAAAACUUUUUUUAUACGUUAUUAGACAAAAUCACACACGCUAUAAUACAAGAUUUGAAAAAAAAAACUCUCAAGUUACUUUUACAGAAAAUAUCGGAUUUUCUGGUGUUUACAAACUAAUACAAAACUUUUUAUACAAACAUACUUAUGAACUCAGCACCAUUUUAUAUGUUGAUUCUUUUCAAAAUGACUUGUAUUCUCAGGAACACGUUAAAACAGGUGGGUCGAUAAGGAGUGAAGAUUUAUGCCGUAUUUUUGUUUCUCACCAUACAAGAUGUUUUGGAUGUAAUAUUAUAAACAAAUACAAUGAUGUAAAACUAUGAUGGUUGAUAUAUUGUAUGUAUGGUGAUGAUGUUGUCUUUGAUUCAUUUAUAUAUAUUGUGAUGAUAUUAAUUGAUGAAGUCACCCGCCCAUGGACGUUUCUGCCGUCUGGUUCGGGGGUGUGACAGAUUGGUAUCACAACAAUGUUUAUAGUGAACUGGCAUAUCUAAUCAUACAUGAUAUGCAACUAUAAAUACAUUGGGACUAAAAUACUCUUAACAAAAAUAAAAUACAAACCUAUGUGUGUACAUUACUAUAUUGUCACAAUAAGAAACAAUAAAAGUCUUUAGGGGAGUUGAACAUCGUGGUUAAACCCGGGCAGUUAUGUAAUCCUAUUGGGGGUAAAUGUAACAUCCCAAACUUCAGAAGUAUAUUUUAGGGGCUUAUAUGUAAAUUAAGGAGUCUACUCGGCAAGUAGGUAUGCCUACUCGUAGAGUCGGAGCGGGUGUUGGCCACGUGUUAAGUGACCAACUCGCCGAGUCGGCGAUUGGACUCGACAAGUUGGUGCUGGGAAGAGAAAACCCUAAUUUUAGGGUUUGCACCCUAUUUAAAGGACCUUAAGUCCUUACCUCAACCCCUUGACGUCUAGAAGCAGCCCUAACUGAUCCAAACCCCCAUUUUGAGUGUGUGAAGGAGGGAAAGUGUGUUUUGAAGCAAUUGUAAGAAGAAGGCUUGGAGUUUAAGAAGGUCAUAGAGGAUGUGACAACCCUAUAUUUUUCCAAACCAAUGUAACACUCAAAAGUCAAAUACAACGAACUAUUUAGACUCAACGGAAUUAACCUAAAAAAUAAAGUGUUCAAAAAUCUAAAUUUGGGAUGCAUCAAAUGUUAGAUAUCGUGCCAAGGUUUCCAAAAACAUAAAGAACGUUCAAAACCGAGUUAUAAUGAAAAGAUUAUGACCACUCAAAUAUUCACGACACACUCGGUAAAACAUUAUUAAACGUAAAAAGUUAAAUUCCAAUAAAAUACAUUUUAGCCUUAGGUAUCUAAACAAAAGUCGUAAAUUACGUUAAACCGUGAACGUGCAUAAAAAGAUCGUCCAAACUGGACCUCGUAUGAAGAAGUUACGAAUUUUCUAAGUUUCGUAACACCAGUAGAGAGCUAAAAACUCGAAUUAAAGAUCGAAUAGUUUUUAGCUAACGCAACCUAAACGAGAAUUGAAGGUCUCCACAAUAGGAGUAAGAUGGUGAAAAGACAGACGAAAUCAGACGUCGGAUAAAGAAGUUAUGAAUUUUUAACGGACUUUAGCAGUCCCGGCCUACUAAAAACAUAAUAUUAAAAAUAAAGUCAAAAAUAGCCGACGGAAUCUAAAUGAAAGUUGUAGAGCAUAGUCUCACCUACGCGUGGAUAUAAAGAACGCGAAAAACGGUGCCCGUACGCAAAAGUUAUGGAGUUUAGAAGAUUGAUGCCCAAAUUACACCCAACGAAAUUUAAGAGUACACCCAGCGUACUCAGGCGCAGUGUCGAGUCCCAUCGGCUAGCAGGCUCUACGCUUAGCUAGACCCGAGUCGUAAGCCAUGACGCAUACUUACGCCCAUCGUAACCGAAGUACGCUCAGCAUAACGCGUACGCCCAGCGUACUCCCACUUUAAACCCUAUAAAUAGAGGGCAUGAGCUCCAGGUUUUGGCAAACUUUUCUCAAACUCUCUCUCACUUUCACUCACUUGCGAGCUCCAGAGGCCAUCCCAACACCCUCAGUUCCAUACCCGAGCCCCGACGAAGGCUCUAUGCUACCAAGAUCCCUAAGAAACUCGAAGACGCAGCUUUCCGCAGUUGAAGUUCUACUCGAUUCUAGUCUCACUCUCUUCAAACAAAGCAAGUGAGUUCAUACCCUACUUUUCACGUCUUUUCAUGUUUUAGGGGGAGGGGGGAAUACAAGUACAAUACAAGAAAACAUAUCGUUUUAUAUAGAUUUGAAUACAACUUCUAUAUUAUUAUUAUUCGAUAUCAACCUUUUACUUUACGUAAAAAGCUAGUAUUUCACCGAGUUAUUUUCACCAAAUGGAACACAUUUUCGGAAAAAGUAUAAUGGGUAUAGUUUGCGAGUUAUUCAUAAAUUCUUACGUAAACAUCUUGAAAAACGAAAUACUUCCAUCUGAAGUGAAAUAUGGACUUUCUUUUCGUAAAUCUAUUUAUACUAAGUGUUGUGAAAUAUCCAACUUCAACGUACUCUCAAGUACACAUUUCAAGUCCUGUAUUAUAAACCAUAAUCUCUUGGAGGGAGAGCGUGAUACUUGUGUAUAGAUCUAUACGGGAUUGACAAUCCCGCACCUAAACUGUUAGCUACAGUUAGACCGACAGGUCUGGGGUGACACAUGUCAUAACACUACAACACCUGAAGAAUGUUGUUACAGGCAGUCUGUGUCAAUAGAAUUGUUAUAAGACUCACACGGAAGUAUAAAAAUAAACUUGAUUUACGAGACUCAUGAAUGCAUUCAGUAUUUACAUUAUUUUGAGUAUUAAUUCACCUUUAUCAUUUAGGAACGAAAGAUGCUAAAGCCCUCAAACUUUUGGUUCUUUUCAAACUAUAUAAGGAAAAUAUUGGAUUUUCUGGAAACUACGUUCACCUAUUUUCUUCCAAAAAGGCAUACUUUUUCAGUACGAAAACACUUAUGAACUCACCAACUUUAUUGUUGACACUUUUUCGAAACUACUUGUAUUUCUCAGGGAAUCAGUAAUACAUGUAACUACCAGCUUUUGAAGAAGGAACGCUAAGGCGUCUAUUAUCAAACAUUUUAAAUCAUCAUAUUUGUAAUAUUCUUUUGGAAACAUAUAUUACGCAACAAUGUACAUUUUUGUUAUAUAUAUGAUGGUUGUGUUACUUUCUUUACAAUAUUUAAUUGUUAUGGUACUACGUGAAGUCACCCGCCCCCGAAUGUUUCUGCCAUUCUAGUUUGGGGGUGUGACAGAUUGGUAUCAUAACAUUGUUUAUAGUGAACUAAGUAUAUCGAACCACAUAAGAUAUACAAACUAUAAAUGCUAAAGGGACUAAAAACCCUCUGACAAAACGUUUUCAUAAACAAUAUUUUUCACGCAUGCAUCGGUCUUGUAUCAUAUCAAAAGUUUUCCUAAAACGUAUUAAGGGAAGUUGCGACACUACGACUGGGCCUCGGGGUAUGUAAUCAAAUCGAGAAUAAAUAUAGCCUGAUCAACUAUAUUUAUCCUGGAUUUGACCAACGUACGUCGAGGAAUGGUCGUAGUGGACAACAAGUCAAAAACUUACCAAAUAAAAAUACUAAACUUGCAAAUUCGAAAUACUAUAGUAUUUUAUAAAGAAAUAUAAGGACAAUAAAAAUCAUGCACACCUCAAGAUUUGGUUAAACUUAGGAUGCCGUCAAAUAGAAAUUUAUUUUCUCAUAAAAUUCUCAUACCUCUAUUCUAGUACAGACAAAAUGGCCGGAUUCCAUAUACCAGGAGAUCCCUACUACCCGAACCAAGGUAACAGUGGAUGGAUAGAAGAAGAUCCGGAAGAAGACCCAGAGGAAACCGAAGAGCAAGUCGAAGAGGAAGAGGAGCCUAUGGAGGAUGAAGAGGAAGGUACGGAUGGAACAGACUCCGAACCGGAAGUAAUCGACCCACCAGCUCCCCAUUCUCCCGUAAUUAGAAUGGGCUACCAAGGUCCCACUCCCAUUUGGGGAAGCCAUCUCUACCAUUGGAGCCAACAGCUGGGUGUACGCCCUCCCUUUGGCAUGUGUCGGGAGUUCUAUGAUGUCAGUGGUGAAGGUUCAGCCGAUCGAGCGCUUCCCAUUCUUGUGGGCAAAAUAGCCACCUAGACCUACCAGUCGGGAAUUCAAGCGGCCCGAAUUCGUGAAAUCAAUGCUGCUGCAUAGGGUAACGCCGUAGACAUCCGUCAUAUGGAUGGACUACACGAAGAUACCCAACUCCACACAGGGACGCUUCAAAGCCAAAUGGAGGCAGCACUUGCAGAAAUAAGAGAGAUGAAGGAACAAAAUGUGUAGAGAAGGAGAUCUAGGCUAAACACACCAUAAACUAGGGUUUAAGGCAAGGAGGCUCUAUAAUCAACUCAAGGGCAGUUACUCUAUGCUUCACAAGGCCAAAAUGUGUUUAGAUCCGAAGUAGCAACUUAAAAUCUGGUUUCUAACUCAAAUGGAUAUCUAAACAUAGCUUAAAAUCCCCAAAACUCAUAACUAUAAUAGAUCUAAAUGAAGGAAACGACUUAGUACCUUCAAUAACUCUGAAAGGUUCCACAAACUCUGGAUCUAAGGCCAAUCCUUGUAGCUUCAAUGAUUUCCCUCUUCCUUCUUCCUUCGAAUCACCCAAAAAUGGCUUGGAAGCUUGAAUAAGCAACAAUGGGGCUUAGGGUUCAGUGUUCUGGAUGAGAGGAGCUGUAAAGGAACCCUAAGGAUAGAAUGAGACGUUUAAAUAUUGCACAAUGUCCCGGAUUUAGGGUUUCUCUCUCCAGACCGGACUCGCCGAGUCGGCCACUUACUCCUCGACCCGGAUCCCGCUCGGACUCAUCGAGUUCCUCCUUGGACUCGACGAGUUGCCCCAUCUGACUUAGGGUUUUCCAUUCCUUUCUUGGCCUUUCUGAUUUUGGGUGUUACAACUCUCCCCCACUUAAACGAAACUUCAUCCUCGAAGUUUACUAUGGCCAACCGACCUAAGAUCUGCCUCCAAUACUUUGCUAGGGAAAACUAACACCCGCUGUCUAACUCUGCUGGCCUUCCGCCCGGUCAUCAUGGAUGACAUAACCCUCGCAGAUAAACUUCCCAAGUACAAACUAAUCUUUAACCUUUCUAAGAACACCUCCUGCUUUACUGGUAAUCAUUCCGGUACUCCCCGAGUACGUAUGCCGAACCUCUAGGGGUUUACUCUUCUUUCCUCGUGCAUUCUCUGGCUGUCCCAAGGCUACUUGUUGUCUCUUACCACACUUUCCUUAUCGAUAUUACCACUGACUGAUAGUUCUGUUGCCCCUCACCUGCCUACCGGAUGCACUGAGACCACCCUAGUCCACUGAUCUGCUAAUAACUGAGUUGCCAGACUUCCACCGGUCACUGCGCCCCGUCGCGAUCUCCUAGUCGCUCCCAACGACUUCCGAAUAUACCUCGACUAUCUAUAGAUGCUCUAUCUAUUCUGCUACCCUGACACUACAAGUCCUGGGAUCCUCGAUCCCCUAUCUUGACACUACGGUCCCUACCAGGUCUCACCUGCGCUGCUAUAAUCUCACGGGCCUUGCCCACGGGUCUCACCCACCUAUAACCUUAAGUGAUCUAUCCUCCUAGUCUCACUUGUCUACCCACUCUCACACGAUCAUCGCCUACGGGUCUCACCCAACCAUACUACUGAGCAACCCUGCUCUCAAGUCUCACCUAUACUGCUACUCACUUAUGGGCCUCGCCCACGGGUCCCACCCAACUACAUCCUGGAGCGGCCUCUCCCAAGGUCUCACCUUUCUAGGGCUAUACAGGCAAGCUCCCUACUAUCCUCAACCACUACCCAUUAUUGAUCCCUACCUUGAUCACUAGGAGGUAAGGGCCUCGCCCAACUCCGGCUAACUGGAAGAUACGGGCCUCCACCCGAUCUCUGCUAACUAAGCUGCUAGGGAAAUCUACGGCUUGCCCAUAGUCUUACAUCGCCUCCAUACUAACUCGCUGCUGUUGGAUGAUACCAAGGCUCUCCCGCCGCUCUACCAUGCUCUGCAUGCUGUCUCUGCCUCUGACUACUGACACGGAAACUUCUUCUGCUAACCGUUCUCAAGAUCCUCAUUCCGACUCACUAGAGUCCUACAGGCGGUCCUCCAACCCGAAUUCCAGCCAGCUACUAACCAUCUCGAUGCCAUAAACUAACUGUUGGGAAGUUGCUCCAACUCCCAACCCUGAACUCCUCAAUCCACCCAUUUUUGUACUACUUUCUUUUCUUCUCAGUGGUCGUGUACUCAUUCUGAAUUAGCUUGCUCUUAUCCUUGUAUACUCGGAGGGUUGUCCCCCACUUUGAUCCUGCUUAUACCGCUUUGCUCAAAGCUUGGCAACAAUUUCCAAUUCUUACCACCAUUCCGAUAACCAAUCUGCUUCACACCCUAGCUUACCACUGCCAGGGAUCUAACCGAUCUAGCACUUAACAGCACCUUCCUAAAACUAGUGGGACACCUCUGAGCCCCACACAGAUAUGCUACAGUUACUGCACCCUAAGUAACUUGCUCUAUUGAAGAAUUACGUCUACUCAUCAAUCUAAGAUCCAAGGUAUGCAGAUGGCAUAUAUCAUACUCACAAGUAGGCCACACCAUAAUACAAUACUCAUACCAAUAACGAUACAGAACCAUAACAAAAUAACCAUAAAUAAAAGUCAACAAGGAAUAGAAAUUACACACCUGCAACAUCUGGCGCUGCUCGCGCCUCCAUGGUAGUCAUCUGAAAAGCCCUGCCUCCUACUGCAGGAGGCUCUGCUCGGCCCUGACGGCCGUCCGGUAUCCUCAAGGUUGCAGGGGCAGGUGCCAUCACCCGUCCUGCCGAAAUCAAACUGGGGCACUGGGCCUUCUUGUGGCCCCGCUGAUUGUAGUGAAAACAUAUCCAAUCUGAUCCCGAUGUGGUGGUAACAGUGCAAUCCCUGCUAAAAUGACCAGUACGACCGCACUUGAAGCAGCCAGACUCACCACCGCUACCGCUCCUGCACGCACCCCCGUGCGUCCUGCCACACUUCCCACAUCGGCCGGGGUCCUGAUAAUCCCUUGAUCUCGAAUCUGAUCCCUUGGGCCUUUUGCCCGAACCUGUGGCUACCUGAACCUCAUCCGGCUUCCUCUUCCGGAUCUUCUCUAAAUCAAUUUCCCUCUCUCUAGCCCGUGAAAUCAUAUCUUCCAGCGUCUUACAGCCGGACCUGCUCACGAACUCCCUGAUGUCAACCCUCAACAUCUCGUGAUAUCAGGCCUUCUUCAUAUCCUCGUCCGCGACAUACUGCGGAACAAGGAGGGCCCUCUCUUUGAAAUUGGCGGUGAUCUCUGCCACCGUCUCAGUAGUCUGCGUCAAAUCCUGAAACUCCCGUGCCAACUGCUGCACCUCAAUAAUCAGUGAAAACUUAGCUCUAAACCUGGCCGAGAAGUCACUCCAUGUCAUCGUGUCCAACGCGGCAUCAUCACCAAUGGCAUGACCAAUCCCCUCCCACCAAUCCCUCGCUCUAUCCUUCAGAAGACAGGAGGCGAGUCUGACCUUGUCCCCCUCGGGACACCGGCUCGUACGGAAAGCGUUGGCAACAUCAGCCAACCAUCUGCUGCUAACAAUGGGGUCCCAAGCCCCAUGAUAAUCUGGUGCCCCGCAAGCCCUGAACUCUUAGAAUGUCAAAGUACGAGCCCCCAUCAAAGCCAUCAUCUCUGUACGGAAAGGCUCAUAGCCUCUCAUUCAAAAUCUCCAGUAUACCCUCCUUGACCGUACCGAAGAUCACAGGAGUCUUGUCUAGUAUGCUGCGCGUAACCUCUGCUGAUAUAAACUCUCUCAUACGCUCCUCUAGCUGCUCGGUCCCUGAACCCGAGCCUGAUCCCUCUCCGGCGCCUGAUCCACCACUGGUCUUUCUCGCAACGCCACCAUGAUGAAAAUAUAACAUAAUAACUAUCAGAACACUCAUCACUGCUGAGGGAUCAUACACACACUACAAGUUCACUGGUCUCAUCUCGGCCUUUCCCGAAUCGAGUACGGAUCCUCUGCUUUUAGUAGUACGGGCCCAUACUACCUUCCACAUCUAUCUGUACUUUCCUCAAGAACAGCUUUGACUCCACCAGGUCCCCUUUUUACUACUACUGCUCCCAGCACUAUCUCAUCCUAGGCUUGCCCUGGGGAAACCUCUGACUCAUACCAAACCAGUCCUCAGUCGCUAAAGGCCUCCUUAUGAUGCCAAUUAGCCAUCACCUGGAUACCAUCACAUGUGACGAGGCUCAGAUAAUCCUUUGAGUAACAUACUCGUCCCUACAACGGUUGGACUCAAACAAGAGCUGCGCAAUAGGGCCGAAUCCAGCACUCUGAGAUUAUUCAACCUUGAUCACAUGUGACGUGACGUAUCCACAUAAUGGCUAACUCCCAUCACUCAGAAUCCCACAAUUCACAAAGCAAGCAACAUUCAGAAAGGGGGAAAUCUAACCAUAACAUACUCAAGCAAUCAUAAUCUCAUAUCAAGAAUCUGUACCAGCAUGCAAAUAAGCUCGUAAACUCAGGCAUAACCUAAACAGGCUAUCCUACUACUGUCUAACCAGUACUAUCAUGCAGCUCAAAAGCACAUAUAACAGGCACAUAAGGCAUCCUCCCUAGAUCCUUAGUCCUAAUCUAGCAUGUUGUUCUACUAACUGAUAAUCAUAAUAUAAACUUGUAUGGGUAUUUUGGGGUACUUACUUGAGCUCGGCUGAUUGCAUGCACCACACCCCUUUUCUCUUAUCAAAAUUCAUUUCUUUCUGAAUUCUUUUUGCUUUUCUAAAACUCUUUUCUUUCUCAAAACUCUUUUUACAAAACUGUCUUUUCAUUAUGAAAACUUCCAUACCAAUUCCUUAGUUUGACUUCAGACACACCCGAGGGUAUGUCCGAAUCCCUCAAACCAAAGCUCUGAUACCAACUUCUAACGUCCUAAAUUUAAGGCUAAAGAUUUCUUUUAUAAAACAUUACUUAAAACCCAAUUAUCAAUCCAUAACAUAAUCAGAGUAUAAAUUUCCAAAACAUAUAUUCAUUAUCAGAGUAAAACAUCCCGACUGUCUAAUCUAUGGUGUGUGCCAUGCGAUCACCCCGAGCUCUUCCCUCUGCACCCGGAAGUACCUGAAACCAAAACUGAAAACCGUAAGCACGAAGCUUAGUGAGUUUCCCCCAACCUACCACAUACCAUGUAUAAACACAUACUGCACAUACUGGGCCACGCCUGCUAUUUUGGGCCUCGCCCCUACCUCGGGCCUCGCCCGCUAUAACGGCCCUGCUGCUCCAGGCCCCGCCUGGGUUCGAGCCCCGCUCGGAUACAGAUCUGUUUCGCUUAGCCCUCGCCUAUCACUGGGCCUUACCCGCCGACAUAUACUAACACAUAAACAUAUCACAACACAUAAGCAAAACAUAUACUACCAAUCCUGUUCUAAGGCCUCGCUAGUCUUGGGCCUCGCCCAUGUCCUGCAACUGAUGAGUCAUGGAACCCCCGUCCACGCUCCUACUGAUAGUGAGAUACGGGCCUGGCCCACACUCACCCUUUCCCUAACCUGGGCCUCGCCCUUACUCUGCUACUAAUGAGAUAUGGAACACCGUCCAUACUCUGAUGUUGGUGAGAUACGGGACCUCGCCCACACUUACCUCCCUAACAGGCACAUACAUGUAUCACACAGACAACAAGUAUAACUAUCAUGCAAACCAUUCCUUGGGCACCCACCCGCUAACAUUGGACCUCGUCCUGAAUAUCAUACUAACAUAUUGGGCCUAGGGCUAACCCCCGGGUCUUCCUACUCAUAACUACAUGGGCCGACAUUGUGGCCGUAGACCCAUCCACACAAAAGGGAAACUCACCUCAAACUGCUGAACUUGCUGAUAACCUUCUGGAUGCUGACCCACAAUUCUCUGAACCACUGCUCCGCUAGCUCCCCGAGCUACCAAUAUCAAUACAACACUUAGCCUAACCGACCUCUCAAAAGUCAACUAAGUCAACUCUGGUCAAGGUCAACCUUCCAGGUCAACCCUACUCGCCGAGUCUACCUACUGACUCGUCGAGUUCAUAUGCUCAGAGUCCUAUUCGCGACUUGACUCAGCAAGUCAGCCCAUGACUUGUCGAGUCCACCGAUUUCCGAGUCCUGUCCUGUCCAACUCACUAACUCUCCACCCGACUCACUGAUUCGAGUCUUAACUCAAACGGUUCGGGUUUUCGCGACCUGACUCGCCGAGUCCAAGAACAGACUCGUCGAGUCCAAGGCAAUCUUCAUCCGACUCAACGAGUUGUUCAUCCCACUCGUCGAGUUCCUCCUAAUCUUCAUGCUACUNAAAGGACUCGUUAAGUCCAUUCAGAUCUCCAUACAUGCAGAGGACUUUUGAGUCAUGCUUGGACUCCAAACCGUAGAUCUACCCUUCCCAAGCCUCUUCCUCAUGUAAAGUUGCAAACUUUACGUGUAAAGAAGGAGAUAUAGGCUAAACACACCAUAAACUAGGGUUUAAGGCAAGGAGGCUCUAUAAUCAACUCAAGGGCAGUUACUUUAUGCUUCACAAGGCCAAAAUGUGUUUAGAUCCGAAGUAGCAACUUCAAAUCUGGUUUCUAACUCAAAUGGAUAUCUAAACAUGACUUAAAAGCCCCAAACCUCAUAACUAGAAUAGAUCUAAAUGAAGGAAACGACUUAGUACUUUCAAUAACUCUAAAAGGUUCCACAAACUCUGGAUCUAAGGCCAAUCCUUGUAGCUUCAAUGAUUUCCCUCUUCCUUGUUCCUUCGAAUCACCCAAAAAUGGCUUGGAAGCUUGAAUGAGCAAAAAUUGGGCUUAGGGUUUGGUGUUCUGGAUGAGAGGAGCUGUAAAGGAACCCUAAGGAUAGAAUGAGACGUUUAAAUACUGCACAAUGUCCCGGAUUUAGGGUUUCUCUCUUCAGACCGAACUCACCGAGUCUGUUCUCCAACUCGCCGAGUCGGCCACUUACUCCUCGACCCGGAUCCUACUCGGACUCGUCGAGUUCCUCCUUGGACUCGACGAGUUGCCCCAUCUGACUUAGGGUUUUCCAUUCCUUUCUUGGCCUUUCUGCUUUUGGGUGUUACAACUCUCCCCCACUUAAACUAAACUUCAUGCUCGAAGUUUACUAUGGCCAACUGACCUAAGAUCUGCCUCCAACAAAUUUCUAGACCCGAGUCGUAAGCCAUGACGCAUACUUCCGCCCACCGUAACCAAAGUACGCCCAGCAUACUCCGAUAUUACGCCUAGCAUACUCCCACUUUCAACCCUAUAAAUAGAGGGCAUGAGCACCGGGUUUUGGGCACACUUUUCUCAAACUCUCUCUCACUUUCACUCACUUGUGAGCUCUAGAGGCCAUCCCGACACACUCGGUUCCAUACCCGAGCCCCGACGAAGGUUUGACGCUACCAAGAUCCCUGAGAAGCUCGAAGACGCAGCUUUCCGCAGUUGAAGUUCUACUCGAUUCUAGUCUCACUCUCUUCAAACAAAACAAGUUUGUUCAUACCCUACUUUUCACGUCUUUUCAUGUUUUAGGGGGGGGGGGGGAAUACAAGUACAAUACAAGAAAACAUAUCGUUUUAUAUAGAUUUAAAUACAACUUCUAUGUUAUUAUUAAUCGAUAUCAACCUUUUACUUUACGUAAAAAGCUAGUAUUUCACCGAGUUAUUUUCACCAAAUGGAACACAUUUUCGGAAAAAGUAUAAUGGGUAUAGUUUGCGAGUUAUUCAUACAUUCUUAUGUAAACAUCUUUAAAAACGAAAUACUUUCAUCUGAAGUGAAAUAUGGACUUUCUUUUCAUAAAUCUAUUUAUACGAAGUGUUGUGAGAUAUCCAACUUCAAUGUACUCUCAAGUACACAUUUCAAGUCCUGUAUUAUAAACCAUAAUCUCUUGGAGGGAGAGCGUGAUACUUGUGUAUAGAUCUAUAUGGGAUUGACAAUCCCGCACCUAAACUGUUAGCUACAGUUAGACCGACAGGUCUGGAGUGACAAAUGUCAUAACACUACAACACCUGAAGAAUGUUGUUACAUGCAGUCUGUGUCAAUAGAAUGGUUAUAAGACUCACACGGAAGUAUAAAAAGAUUUACGAGACUCAUGAAUGCAUUUAGUAUUUACAUUAUUUUGAGUAUUAAUUCACCUUUAUCAUUUAGGAACGAAAGAUGCUAACGCCCUCAAACUUUUGGGACUUUUCAAACUAUAUAAGGAAAAUAUUGGAUUUUCUGGAAACUACGUUCACCUAUUUUCUUCCAAAAAGGCAUACUUUUUCAGUACGAAAACACUUAUGAACUCACCAACUUUAUUGUUGACACUUUUUCGAAACUACUUGUAUUUCUCAGGGAAUCAAUAAUACAAGUAACUACCAGCUUUCGAAGAAGGAACGCUAAGGCGUCUAUUAUCAAACAUUUUAAAUCAUCAUAUUUGUAAUAUUCUUUUGGAACAUGUAUUACGCAAGAAUGUACGUUUUUGUUAUAUAUAUGAUGGUUGUGUUACUUUCUUUUCAAUAUUCAAUUGUUAUGGUACUACGUGAAGUCACCCACCCCCGAAUGUUUCCGCCAUUCUGGUUUGGGGGUGUGACAAUAGAGGAGUUGGUGGAUUCGAUUUCUCUGCUCAGUGUCAUCAGUUUGAAGUUAAAAAGUCAUUACCUUGACCUUGUUACAUCCAGAUCUAUUCAUUGAUGAGAUUUGGGGCCACUUAGCAUGUUUAGAAUCCAUUUCGAGUUUUUGGUCUACAUCUAAGGUUGCAACUUCAGAUCUAAACUUGUCUUGGUCCAUGAAAUCAUAAAGUAUUAGCCCUCUAGCUUGUUUGUGAGCAUUCUUGUCAUGAACCUUUUCGCUAGCUUGUAUUGAGCCAAAUCACCUUGCAUACACGUAAAGUUCGCACCUUUACAUGAGAAGCAUGCCCUAGAAGGUUGGAUCCAUAAUUUGGAACAAUUGGUUAGCUUAGAAUCGCUGGAUUAUGGAUUAGGGCGAAGAAACUCGGCGAUUCGGGCCGCCCGACUCGGCGAGUAACAUUAGGGUUACGAGUCUUGAGUUGCGAUUCAACUCAGCAAGUAUAGGAGAUGACUUGGCGAGUCUUCUGGGGUUUCCCCGACUUUUGGACACGUUUAAAAUCGAUGAGUUGCCUGGAAACUCGGCGAGUCAACGAGGGUUUCAUGGAUUUGUGAGUUUUGGAAGAACUCGACUAGUCAGUAUUGUGCACUCGGCGAGUAAGGUCAACAUGGAUUGUUGACUUUGGUUGUUGACUUUGACUUUGACCAAGGGUUGACCGUUUUGACUUUUGAGGAUAAUCGGUAAGCGGUUAUUUAUGAUUGGAUCACUGAUGGUUAUAGGUGUUGGAGGUUGGGGCAGUGUUUCUGGAGCAUGAUUUUGUGGUUCAGUCCGGCAUUGCAAGGUGAGUUAUCCUCACUAUAUCGACAGGGCCUAAGGCACCAAGGCCGACCCUUUAUGGAUUGUAUUUGGAUUAUUGCAUGUUAGCCUUACUGAUUUACAUCCUGGUAAUUAGGAUGGUGAUAUGCUACGCUUUAGUGACCCAGUUGGGUGGAUAUCCUAGUUAUAGGAUUGUUGCUAUGCUUUAUGAUUUGUUAGAUUGGUUUGACUGUUAUAUGUAUACAUGCUAGUGUUAUAUGAUAUCUAUGUGCACAUGAUUGUCAUGGUUUUAGGAUGAUGCUAUGUUCGUGACUGGUUAGGUCGGUAUCCUGGUUAGGAUGUUGCUAUGCUAUAUGAUCUGCUAUAUCGGUUUCCUCGUCUAUGGACUGUUAUGUGAUUAUCUGUUAUAUGUGCACAUGGUUGUUUGUUUGGGAGUUGGGUUGAGGCGGGUCCUGUUGUCACACCCCGAAAACCUAAGGCGGAAACAUUUCCGGGGCGGACUCCACGUUGAGUAUCAAAUCCAAUGCACAUAGUAAGUAAAGUAAACAACCAUUACAUUACAUAUCAAAGUUUACAUUGUUCAAAAGUAAAGUUGUACAUUUGUGAUACAUAGUAUAUAUGAACAAAAUGAGACGAGUCUUCUAUGCACUCCGUCUUCGUCAAAAGAUAUCGUCGGGUACCUGUCUAAUGUUGACCUGAGAAUACAAGCAGUUUGAAAAUCAGCAUAAAGCUGGUGAGUUCAUAAGAUGUUUGUUUUGUGAAAAUGUACGAGUUUCCUUUGGUUUACCGAAAAGUUUGUUAUCCAAGAAAAUCCCAUAUUCUCUUAAAAGUAAUGUUUGAUUAAUUGUUAGGUUACACGGUUCUGGUUAUGUUUAACUAUGAUCCUAGGAAAAUCCUAUAUUUUCCUAAUUGUAUGUUACCAAUUGUGAAAGAUAUAAAGUUAUCUGGUUUAUUAAACUUUUCUAGUUAUGUAACGUUCCCCAGGAAAGUCCCAUACUUUCCUAAAAGUAAGUUUAAUUAUUGAAUUUCGAUGUAAUGAUUGAUUUCCAUUCGUACCUAUUGUAUUAACUAGGUAUUCUGAUAUCCUAAUGGUGUUACACUGGAGUGUACUUAGAUACAUAUCUUCGUAUUCGUGUUCCUAUUCUUAAACAUAUUCAUAUACUUAUUCGCAUUUGUAUUCGUAUUCGUAUUCGUAGUCGUAUUCGUUUCCCUAAUCCUACUCCUAUUACUAUUCGUAUUCGUAUUCACAUUCGUAUUCGUAUUCGUAGUCGUAUUCGUUUCCCUAAUUCUACUCCUAUUACUAUUCGUAUUCAUAUUCGUAUUCAUUGUAUUCCUAAUUAUAGUUUCGUAUUCGUUCUGUUCCUAGUUAUAGUUUCGUAUUCGUUCUAAAUGAUGAUUAGUAUGAAUUAUUCGUAGAUUAUGAAACAUAGUUUAGAUUGUAACAUUUUACCAAGAGAUCUAUGAUUAGUUUGAAAGCUAACUUCGUAAUUCGAACUAUUUGAUAAACACAGUUAUUGAUAUUAGAACAUACAUAAUGAAAUCUAUUGAACUGUAAAUAAUAAGUUGGAGUACAAGAUUUCAUUGUACUUUUGCUUGUAUUCCCCCCUGAAAACAGUGAAAACAGUUGAAAAAGGGUAGGGGUAUGAACUCACCGGUUGAGAAACGCGACGUUCCGGAUGGUAAGUGUCGAUUCAAGGUUUGAUAACACGCGAGGUUCCUAUGUAAUACGAAAUGAUAUACAAAUAUAUCUAAUUAGAUUUAUAACCUCUAAUUAGAUAUGAUAUUACACUCCAAUGAGCGAAAACACUUCAAAACAAGUGUUUGGAAUGACCCAGGUGACAUCUACGGACGUGUAUUGAUGCGUGGGACUUGGGAAUUGAGUUUACUCUUCAAGAGUAGACUUUUUAGGGAGUUUACUACCCUAAACACCUCAUCCAUAUGAGUUCACGGNACUCAUGUUGGUGUGAUUUUGAGUGCUUAAUGGCUUGUUUGGACUUGGGAAUUGUUGAAUGGAUUUCUAAAAUGUCUAGGGAUAAUUUAAGGGGACUUAAACCAUGUUUAAGGGAGUUCACGGCUGUAAACUUGGAGUUUACGGCCGUAAAAUCUCCUAUGGUCAAGGAUAAUUAUUUUGGGGCACAAGGAACAAUCACAUGUGAUUCUAGUUAAUUUUCCAAGCCUUGUUAUGAAUUUAGGGCACCAUUUAACUCACAUUUAGGAGUUUACGGCCUAAGAGCAUGAUCUAUGGCCGUAAACUCUUAUUAAGAGGGUGUUUGAUGUGUUUAAGGUCCCCAAACUAUUUUUAGAUGGAUCUAUGAUUUAUUCUAAGGCUUUUGGUGGUGUUGGAUGACUUUCUAACACCUUGAAAAUGAGUUUACACCCAAGUUUGAGGAGUUUACGGCCCAAGCACAUGCCUUGGCCUUAAACUCAUACAAAUCCCCCAAAAUUCAUGUUUAAAGUGUUCUAAGUCCAUUACCAAAUUUCUAAAAGUCAUAUCUAGGUCUAGUUUGAGUCAUGGAAGGGUUUAAGGGCUUAAAAACCCUUUAAAUAUGGGUUUACGGCCUAAGCACCAUCCUGGGCCGUAAACUCAUAUACAAGUCUCUAAAUCAUGAAUAAAUCUCGAAUUUGAAGGUCCAAUAUGAUGCAAAAUGAGUAUAGGAAGGUACCUUGAAGAUUUGAGACCUUAAACUCUAGAUUUGGACCUUUAAACUUGGAUUUAGGAGAGAGGUUAGAGAGAGAGUAGUGAGAGAGAGAGAAAGCUUCAAAUGAUAGCUUGAACAUGUUUAAAUAGGUCCUAAGUUCGGGACACGGUGGAAUUCUACCCGAUACCGACGUUAAACAGGUUUCAUUGCUAAAAUGAGCAAUCAAUUUCGUUGCUAUAAUGAGCAAACAAUUUCAUUGCUAAAACAUGUUAUAAGUUUUCAGUAAUACGAGUUCGUUGUUAUAAUGAGAUAUAAAGUUUAUUGCUAUAAUGAGAAACAAAGUUCGUUUCUAUAAUAAGCAUAAAAGUUUCGUUGCUAAAAUAAGUAUACAAGUUUCAUUGCUAAAUAAGUAUACAAGUGUCGUUGCUUACAUGAGAAUACAAGUUUCACGUGUGCAUAAAGAUUCGUAUGUGCAUCAAGUUUCCAUUCAUGAGUUCACAACCCAAGCCUAAUGACCGAAUCGUGCCCUAUUGACUACUAUGUGUAUCGCAAACAUAGUGUAUAACAUGGUAAAAUGCACUCAAGCGAAUCGUGCGAGUGAGGAGUGGUCUACCUCCUGAUAGCGCUAUCCAUAAUAACCAUAGGCUCAAAAGAGUUAAUGAGUUGUGUCUAGAGAUUCCAGGGACUUAACCGCGAUACAGUCCUCAUGAAUUAAAGUAACAUACACAUACAUACGAAAUAUAACAACCAAGUUUCAUACAAGUCAAAAAAAAUACAACAAACAUAAAAAUAGUUUAGGACAUGAUUUUCCACCCCAAAACAUUUAAAAAACCGAAAAUAGGGGAGUGCGUGAAUACUCACAAUAUGCAUUGAGAUGAUGCAAAUGGUGCCUUGACUACGCUCCACUCGUAUCACUAUCGAUUCCUACAAUAAUGGUAUUCGCUAGUAAGUCUCUAAUCGAAAUCUAACACUAGUAUACUUACUACUACAAUAGAAUUAUGCCAAUAGUGUGUCAAAAUUUAAUAUUGAUAAGCUACAAACAUUUUUCUGUGAAAAUUUAAUUUCAAUGAAUCAAUUGUUAUAUAGCAAUUUUAUGAUUUUUGUGUAUUUAUUCUAAUAAAAAUUGGGUUUGAGUGUAUUUAAUCUUGGGAAAAUCAAAGAAAAAUAGUAUACAGAAGAGAAAAAUUAUCAAAGUUUUUAUGUAGCAUCCUAAUGUACUACAAGGUGUUCUGGUAAAUUUUCAUAAUUUUUGGAUGAGUAAAACUAUUUUUUCUGUUUUUAGUCCAUUAUAUAUAUACAAAAAUAGGAGACAAAUAGAAAUACAUUAUGAAAAAUUCUGAUAAUAUUUUUCUAAGUCGUGCACAGAGAGUAUAAGCUGCGAAAGUUGUUAGAUUGCCGUUUCACCUUCUCUAAAGUGGUUUUAAGAUUUAUUGAACCCAAACAAAAAGAAAAUUCAAAAACAUGUUAAACAGUAACAAAAAUCGAUGAAAUUAAUGUGAAGUCAUUAAUUAGCUUAGGGGUCAUCCACGAAUUUACCUUGGAUUUAUAGACCUCAAAAAGUAUUUUAUAUGUUUUAUUGCCCUAUUUUGUUGCAACAGUUAUAAUAAUUCGAGAAAAAUGAAUUAUUUUCUAGAAAUUUACAUAGCAUCUUAUUCUGUUGAUGGGAAUCUGGGAAAAAUAGGGUUUGGUCAAAAAAUGAGUUUUAGAUAUUUAUUUGGAAAUAAAUCCUUCAUUAACAUAUUUGAAAGCUUUUAACAACAAACUUUGAUCAUCAAGCAUCUAAGCUUGAAGAUCAUCACAUGCAUGUUGUUUUGAAGACCAUUCAUGAGUUUGAAAUGUUCAAAAAUCGUUUUUGAUAGAAAACCUAGGGUGCAUGUGGUGAUUUUUACCCAAAACUUGUAGAAAAGUGCAUUAUGUUGAUUUUGACUUAGGUUUUGGUCCUUGGAUUUCACCAUUAACAACAUGCAUGUUGUUUUUAGGUGAAAUCCUACCAUCAUCAUCAUCAAAACCGUAAGUUUGUGUGUGUGUAUGUUUAUGUGUUCAUGAUCUUUCAUUAGAAUGGUGUAGAAGAACAAAGAAAUGCAAGAAAAUCCAUGAAAACUUAAAGGAAAAUGAAAGGAAAUCGUGUUCUACCUUAAUGAACACCACUAGAUGAUGAAGAUUUUGAGUAUCUUGAGUGUUCUUGGACAUGUUGGCUGUAAAAUUUCAUGAGUAUAGAGAAAUGAAGAGAGAAAUGGAGUGGUGGUGAUGAAGAGUGUGAGAGAGAAUGAGGGGUAGAGUGAGAGAGAAGAUGGAGUGGUAGAGUGAAUUGAUUAUGUGUUGGGAAGAGGAGAGAGAGGAGAAAUCCGACUUUUUAAUGGAGAGAGGGUCUCCCUCUUUUAGAUUUUAUAAAAUACAACUUAAUUUUAUAAAAAUAUCAAGUUUUUAUAAAAUAUGCACCUUAUUCUAAAUUUUCCUUCACAAAACCUUGAUUUUUGGCUUAGAAAAUAAGGUUAAAUACUAAUGACUUAAAUUUUAUUUCUCCUUGGUUAUAUUUUACUAAAUUGAGUUAUUUUAAAUUCAUAUUAUAUAGUCCAUACCAAAUUUAUGGAUUUUUAGGUGUUAAAGUUUAUAAAUUUGGGUUUUUAGGGUUUUUAGGGUUUUUAGGGUCUUGAGAUUUAAUAAAUAUUUGGAUAUCAAAAUCAAUAGAAUCUUUGAGUCUUCAAUUUAUCUUAUUGUAUUAUAAAUAUUUUAUAGUUAUAAAUUUGUAAUUUAUUUUUAUCGGUUUAUUGGCAUUCUAUGUAGUGAUUCCGAGAUUCAAGCGAAAUUGAGGAAUCAUGUAUACUAGUCCUAAAUUUCAACUUUGACUUAAGUUUCUAUGAGACUUUGACCUAACUUCUACUUCUAGGUCAAGUGCAUGAUGUGUGUAUAUGAUUCAUGAAAUGUUGUUCGAGUCAAAGAGUGACCCAAAUACGGAUAGUCACUACAAUUAACUAGUUGUAGAAUUCACAUACCAAUGUGAAAUCCAAGCACAUUAUCCAUUGUUUCUAAUUGUUUCCAAGUUUCUAAUAGGUCAUAUCUUAACUUCUAGUUACUAAGUAUAGUAUGUGUCGUGCCUAUACGCGCAACUAAGUUUAUUCAAAUCCAGAACCGAAUCGAUUUUUGACGGUUGUCACAGUAACUCACCAAACUUUUGGGCUUACAGUUUCAGUUUAUUGUUUCAGGUUCAGCGGAUGCCCGCGGGUAGGCGAAGGCGUGACCGUACACUUCCUCGAUUGACGUUUAUGAUUUUGGGAACCCUGAUGUAUAAACUAUUUUGAAAACAAAUUUUAAUAAUUGAAUGUUUUCAAAUGAUUUAAAAAGUUUUAAAUUGGCUUGAAUUUUAUGGAUGUUGCAAGUUGGUAUUAGAGCCUUGGUUUGAGUGAAUUGGAGGAACAUUCGUGUGAAUCCAGUCUGAAAUCAAGGAAAGAUUUUCUAAAUGAUUUUUUUUUUAAAAAAUGGUUUUCAAAAUAAGUAAAAGAGGAUGUGAAGUGUACGAUCAGUCGGAGCUAGUAAGUAGACCCUAAAAUACCAUACAAUUAUUUGAUUAUGUGAUAUGUUAGAAUAGCAUGCUAGUACCAGGCUAGGGAUCUUCAGAAAUUACGUGAUUGAAUUGCCUGAUUACAUGAUGGCUGUUAGCCUAGGGUUUUCCUUAUAUGAGAUUGACAUCAUUGAUGUAGUUACUUGUGUAUGCAUCACAGUUGUAUAUAAUUAAGAUCUUAUAGCCUGAGAAUGUUUGAUCUGGCCUUAUGUUUCGUUCUUAUUGAUUAGGGUUUAGGGUAGGAUUGGAUAUUCGAAAGUCUAUAGGGUCCAACGUUAUGUAUGGCUAGCAUACACUAGUGCUGCAGGGGUUGGUAGAAGUUUCAUGGAUGGGUGGGUAGUGAGAGGCCGGGAGGCUAGUUAUGAGAUAUUUAGAAUUUCUCUAAGAGUGAGGAUUUAUUNCAAAUAUGGGUAGGUGUGGAAGGUAGUAUGGGCCUGUACUACUAAAAGGACAAGACCCAUAUGUGUAUCAAGGAAGUCACAACCCCUAGGGUUUUGGUUGGGAGUCGGUACCCUGUUAUAGUAUGGAUUAUUCGGGACCGUCUUGAGACCGGAUCCAGGUUAGGAUCGGGAGCAGGCAGCCAAGAUAGGCCAACAUCUUUAGGGGAUCGUGUUAGUGAGAUCAUCCGGGAGUAGGUGAUCAAGAUUGUGCGGGGGCAGUUUCCAGAGAUGUCGGGUCUAUUAAGACCGCCAUGGUUGAGUAUUUCGAUGAGCGCUAUGCAGUUAUUGCCGAGACGGUUGUCACAGCAGUUUUAAUAGCUGUAACGAUGACAGGGAGAGGAGUUGAUCGAGCUUUCCAGUACCUGGACUUGUUAUUGGUGUAUAUUUUGAUGAGAAGAUGGCUGCAUUUAUCUGAGAUCAGGAAGAUGAUCUGUACUCAUUAUAUUUCCGCAGGUUGAAUGGGAGAGGCUAGCAUGUGGGUUUCUAGAUUUGAGGCUUGGGGGUUUUGCUCGAAGCCGAAAUGUGCAUCGCAGGGACACCAGAAAGGAGUGAUGGUUAUGUUCAGCUGGGAUUUUGCAGCUGGAAGUGGAAUGGUUAAUUGAUGGAUUGAAUUGUCGUUUUGUCGGGCAAGGAUUGCGCCGUCUCAAUUUUUUUUUGAGCUCGAAGGAGUGAGCAGGCUUGUGACCCAGGGGCAGGUUGUCUUCCAACUUGGAUUCAGUUGGUUGCAGAGGUUGGCAACAUUAUUUCAGCGUCAGUGAGCACAGGUGGGUCAACGUGGCGUAAGUAAGUGUGGAGUCCGAUUUGCUUUGGAUCUCUUGCAUUGGAAGGUAAGGAUUGAUUGUGAGAUCUAUUAUACUUUUGGGAUUGUAGAUUAUGUCUUGGGAGUAGUUGUAGCCCGGUUUAGGGCAAAGGUUGUUUUGGCUGCUGCAGUUUAGCUAUGGAUGUUUGAGCUGGUAAGUGAGUUAGGGUGCGAACCCUAAAAUGAAUGAUUCUAAAUCCCGAGAGAAGGGAAGUUUAUUGGAACACCUUUGGAAAAAAAGGGUAUUAUGUGGGAAGUCUGUGGACAGAGUUUCACAGGAUGGUUAUUCAGCAUUGUCCGGACUCAGUGGUCUUAGCAACCGUUCAUGAUUGAAGGACAAAAAAGCCAACGAAAGUGGUUCGUUGUCGAGGUAUUAGUUGGAGCAUUUAUCUUUUGGUCUUCUGGACAUGAGUGUGGGGUCAUUCAAGCAUUAGUGGCUGUCGGUUUCUCUGGGAUUCAGGAAGUGUCAUCUGGUUCUUAGAAGUGUGUGAUCAAUUGGGUCUAUCUAGUAAUGGAGCACUAGUGGGAAAGAGUUGGUUGUCAUUGGAUCGAUCGUUGGGAAGCGAGAAGGAUUAGGAAUCCUCCAUUUUUCAUGUAUUAUGAAGGCUUAGUCAAAUGCAAGUGGGGGAGUGUACCCUGAGAUGCGGAAGUGGGAGAGGUUUUGAAACAAGGAUAAGUUUCAUAACCCAACAAGGAGAAUGGAGGCCCUAGUGGUUGCUUGGUUUGAGGGUUGUGUUGAUUGGGGAUCCAGUAAAACUCCCCAACAUAAGAAACACAUCUUCUGGGUGCUUGAUAGCAGAAGUUGGGGAACCAGGUUGGAGUUCUAGUCAAGAAUCGAGUUCAGUUCGAGUAUUUGGUCGAGGGCGUGCUCAACUUUGAGGGUUUUUGGAUUGAUAGAUUGAGGGUUUUGUUAGAUGAUAGGGCUCAACUGUGCAUUCAAUGUGGGAGUGCAGGUUAUUUAGCGUAUGUGGUAGACACACGGGUUAGGGAACAGACCACGGAUUUUAGAGAGGGUGGACGAUCGACAUGAGGCCUAGGGUUAGGCUGGGGAUAUGGUCCACAUAGUAGAUCAGGAGUUCGAAGCCCCAAGUGGGUGAGAAUAAGAUGCAUGGGAGAGAGCAUCAGGAAGGGGGUCCAAGGAGAUGCUCAACGGUUUAGAGCGGUCCAGAUAGACUGAAGGCCAGUGGGGCGUACCAGUCAGAUCGAAGGCUCGGAGAAUGGUCCAGACAGGCUAAAGGCCCAAAGAGGUGGUCCAGACAUGCUGAAGGUUCUGAGAGUGGAUCCGAAUGGGUAUUCGUCAGUUUUGGGCAAGUAUGGGAUUAGAAUACCCUGUCAUUCAGGUUCUGGGAACCGGGUUAGAUCUUUUCUUAGUCAUUUAUGGCAUUUGGAUGGGGUUGAGGCGGUCCUACUCUAUGCGGUAGGCCAAGAUACCCGGUUCGGGCCGACUGGAAGUUGUAAGCACAGAGGCUCAAAGGGAGCGGUAGGGUUGAGGCGGUAGGCCAACAAACCCUGAAUAUUUCAGCUCGAUAGUUGAAUUUAUUAGACAUGAUUGGUAUUCCAACCAGAAGAGGUGGUAUGGACUAGAUAUGAGUGGCGUACUGGUUGGCCGGUAGUGGUAGGCAUGUUGAUGAUGGUUUGAGUUAUUGUGAUGUGUCUUGGGUUGGUUUCAUCUAUGAUAGAUCCAUAGCAUGUCUGAAGUAAGGAGAAGAUGGUUCUUUAAAGACCAGGUAGGAUGUGAUGCUGACGUAGGUCAUGUAACGUUAAUUAUGUUGGCAGGAGUUGGUGACAGGGCGUGGGACUGCUGUUUGGGUGUGUGUUUUGGUUCGGUAAUUGGUGAGGUGUCCGAUGUUCGGGUUGUGGGCAGACAAGUUGGGACCAAGGAGGUUUCGAAUUCGCUUAAGAAAUGUCAUAUGGUAGCAGGAAGAGAUGAAGUGGGUUUAUGACUCAGGAUUCAUGUGUAGUAGUAGUUUUUGUAUCGUUAUGUUGUUCGUUGAUGAGAGGAGCGUCGAUUAGGCCCUUCGAGUGGCGGAGGAAAGUGGAUAUCCAUAGGGUUGGAGUAUUGGGCAACUGAAGUGACGACAGUAGUGUCGAUCAGUCAUCGGGAGCAUUCCAGUUAUGAGCUGAGGGUCGGGGAGGGCAUACCAGGCUCAUGCUGUGGGCUCAGAGGUAAUCCAGACCUAUGCUAAGGACCGUGUAAGGGUAUUCCAGUCAUAGGCUGUGGGCAUAGAGAUUAUGUUAGUUAUGUCUAUUGUAGGAGCGCGUUCGGGUUGGAUGUAUUGUUGAAGAUUCGGGGGAGUUGCACUCGGUUGUGACGAAUCUGAGGAUGGUGGAUGAAAUGCAAGGAUAGAUCCUUGGAUCUUCGGUUGUGAGUAGACCCAAGUUAUGUUCAUGGAGGUUUUCCAACCUAGGGUAUUCUAUCCUAAGGAUGACCGGACCCUAUGAUGGACUGGAUUUGAUAUGUUUGGUAUUCCAACCCGGGGGUUGAUUGGGCCAAACAUGUGAGGGAUACGAGGGUAUUACCUCCUAGGGAUGAUUGGAGCCGUCGUAGGCUCGCCUGGUAUUCCAGCCCGAGGCUAUUUGGGCCAGGCAUGAGUGUUCAUAUUCAUUAGUGGAUUGAUUAUGUAUGAUAUUCUGAGAGUUGAAGGAUGCAUCAUACUGUCAGCACGGAAAGGGACUAGAUUCAGGAAGGGGACAGGAUGAGUUUCCAAUAUUGCAAGUUACUCGGGUUAUUGCCAAUUUUGGAAAAGGGAAGAUAGAUUAGUACUGUGAGAGAGCCCAGUGAAUUAUAGUAGUAUCUAACUUUCGCAAGUCACAAAAGUGUGUUCAUGAUAGGAAGGUGGUAGUACUAUCGGGUGAUACUUGGAUUGAUGUGUGCCAAUAUUAAGGAGAAGAGGCCGGUGGCCGGCUUGGAGCAUUAGGCAGUGAUCCUGCACAGGAAACAGUUGUCAUAGAAAAGAUGCGGUAAUAGUGUCUGAAGAGACGUGAGUUGGCUGGGUGGUCGGAGGCUACAAUGUAGGAGUGUCAUCCUACAAAUCGUGUACUGCAGCAGGCUUCGAGGACGAAGCCUAAUUUAAGUGGGGGAGAGUUGUAACAUCGCAAACUUCAGAAGUAUAUUUUAGGGGCUUAUGUGUAAAUUAAGGAGUCUACUCGGAAAGUAGGUAUGCCUACUCGUCGAGUCGGAGCGGGUGUUGGCCACGUGUUAAGUGACCAAAUCGCUGAGUCGGCGACUAGACUCGACGAGUUGGUGCUAGGAAGGUGCUCAUGCUACUUCGUGGUCUUAGAAUAGACCAGGAUAUCAUCAAUAAAAACGGUCACAGACCGAUCCAGCAUCGGCCUACACACCCUGUUCAUGAGAUCCAUGAACGCUGCUGGGGCAUUGGUGAGCCCAUACGACAUCACCACCAACUCAUAACGCCCAUACCGAGUCCUAAAAGCCGUCUUCGGUGUAUCCUCAUCUCGAAUCCUCAUCUGAUGAUACCCAGACUGAAGAUCAAUCUUGGAGAACCAAGACGCACCCUAAAGCUGAUCAAAUAAAUCACCGACCCUCGACAAGGGAUAACGAUUCUUCGCCCGUUAUUUCAUUCAACUCCCUGUAAUCAAUGCACAUACUGUGCGAUCCAUCCUUAUUUUUCAUAAAAAGGAUCGGUGCUCCCCACAGAGAACUGCUCGGAUGGAUGAACCCUUGAUCUAACAGCUCUUGAAGCUGCAUAGAUAACUCAUGCAUCUCAGUUGGUGCCAACCGAUACAGCGCCUUUGCUAUUGGAGCAGCGCCAGGAACUAAAUAAAUACGAAACUCCAGCUGCCUCUCCGAAGGCACUCCUGGUAGCUCUUCGGGGAAGACAUCCUGAAACUCCUGCACAACCGGCACACUGCCCAUAUCCGUCGUGGUCUCAACCCUCGUAUCUAAGAUGUAAGCCAGAUAUCCCGUACAACCCUGUUGUAGAAACCUCCUUGCCCUCGUAGCCGAACAAAGAGUUGGCCCUUGAGAGGCUCUCUCACCAUGAAUCACCAGUUCUCCCCCACUAGGGGUUCGAAUCCUUAAACAACUAGCGCUCGCAAUCAAUCAUGGCCCCAUUGACCCCUAACCAGUCCAUCUCAACAAUCACCUUCAAUCCUCAUAACGGUGUAGGGACUAAUCAACACAAAUCCUCUCGCCAAGCACAUUCAAGCCACAUUCCCGAUACACCCUCGCAGUACUCACAGUGCGGUCAUCUAUAGUCUCUACCUCGAGCAGGGAUUCCAGAGCUCCUGGCGCGUCCCAGAACUUCUUGCUAAGUGCAAGAGACAUGAAAGAUCGGGUAGCACCCGAAUCAAACAAAACAUGCACCGACAUACUAUUGACCAUAAAGGUCCCUAUACGAGCACAAUGCAUAUAAAAUAGGCACUACGGAUAAACAUAAAGCAGAGAAGAAUGAACACGUACCAGCCACAACGUCAGGUGCGGCCCGAGCCUCCUCGGUAGUCAGCUGAAAUGCGUGGCUCUUCACCGUUGGAGCUUCCGCCUUAACAUGGCAGCCAUUGGUAAUCCUCAUAAUGGUGGGCGCGGGCACCGCCACUGGUCCUCCCCCUCCCUGCAACCUCGGACAAUCAGCCUUUUUAUGGCUAGUCUGGUUGUAGUGGAAACAUAUCAAGCCCUUCUUGAGGCAACCCCUGCUCACCUAGCCCUGCUGACCACAAGAGUAACAUCCCGGUAUCGUAGUUGUCCGACAUGCCCCACUAUGAAACCUCGUGCACUUGGCACACCGGCCCCGACCCUACUGGCCUUUGCUAGAAGCAUCGGAAGUCUUAGGCUUCUUAGCCUGACCCACAGCUGCAUGCGCCUGCUCUGGCUUCCGCUUGGUGCAGAAGUCCAACUCCAUAUCCCGUUCCUAGGCCUUCUCUACCAUCUCAUUCAGGGUUUUGCACCCUGUAAAGCUCACAAACUCCCGGAAAGCAUCCCUUAGCAUGGAAUGAUAUCGGGUCCGCCUCAUCUCCUCAUCGAUAGCAUACUAUGGGAUCAACAAGGCUCGUUCCCGAAAUUUGGUGGUGAUCUCCGCCACAGUUGUGACAACCGUCAAAAUUCGAGUCGGUUCUAGAUUUGACUAGACUUAGUUGCACAUAAAGGCACUACACAUAUUAGACUUAGUAACUAGAAGCUAAGUUAUAACAUGUGACAACUGUCAAUUCAGGUCAUUCUCGGACUCAUGCAUCUUUAUAAAAACCAUUCAUGCACAACAUGUCAUGGCCUAGUAGUAUAAAUUACGUCAAAAUCUUGCAUAAACUAGGAUCCAACUAAGAUCUAGGACUAAUAUACUUGACACUUACGAUUCUAGUAAGUUGUUUAACUACAACAGGAAAUGCCAAUACGAUAAUUUGAAUGAAACUUUCAAGCUUUGUUAUAAUUGAAAAAGGGUAUAAAACCCUAAAAAUAAAUUAAAAUAUUCUAAUUAUACUUCAUUUUGAUGAUGAAUAUCAAACAAUAUUCAAAAAACCCUAAAGAGCCAAAAAUCCAAAUUUAUAAAUCAUAAAGCUUAAAAACUUUAUAAAAUUUGGCUAUAAACUUCCUAAUAUCAAAUUUUUAUUAAUCAAACUAUGGAUUAUAUCAAUGAAAUAAAAUUUUAAACUAUUAUACAUUAAUCAUAAUUUUUUUAAGUUAAAAACAAGGAUUUUUAAAUAAAUCAAGAACUACAUAAAGAAGAAUUUUUAUAAAAAUUCUUGGGUUUUAUAAAAAUGAAGAGGGAAUUUAUAAAUUUGAAUUUUUGGAGAGAGAGGGCUAUUAUUCCACUCAAAAACCGGCCAUCUCCCCUCUCCCCAUGCUCCCUCUUCCCAAAACUCAAUCAUUAGAACUUCUCCCUCACACUACCUCUUCUCUCUUCACUCUCUCACACUCCACCCUCCUAACACACAAACUCUCUUCCUCUCUCUCUCUCUAACUCAUGAAAUUCCCCCCAUUCCUAUGCCAAAUUUCGAGAUUUAGAAGACCUUGAAGUGUUCUUACUUCCCUCAAGAUCAAAACCAAGGUAAACAACAACAUCUUCUCUCAUAGUUUCAUGAUUUUACUUCCUCUUCUUCUUAGUUUUCUCUUCUUUUCGAAUUCUAUGCCUUUCCAUGGCUAGAAAUCCUUAUUUUUCCCUUGUGGUUUGUAGAUUCUCACCAUAACACAAUGCAUGUGUUUGAAAUGGUGAAAAUCCGGGAUCAAACCCAUGCAAGGAGUGAAAAUGAUGCACAUAUGUUCAUGUGACUUCAAAACCAAGUAUUACAUCUUCUUCUCCAUUUCUUUUGUGUUCUUACAUGAUCAAAAGCAUUUAAACCAUUUCUAGUACAUCUUGGAUGCUCAUUCACUCCAUGCAUGUGCUAGAAAUCGGACCUUAACAAAGGCAUGCAUGAUGUUCUUGUCAAAAUAUCCUAAGAAUGCACUCAAAGCAAACAUGCAAUCUGCCAGAUUACUUUGUUCAACUUUGAACGACCAUAACUCCGUCAUUACUUAACCAAAUCAUGAUAUUCUUGUUGUAUUGGAUGGUUCCAUGAGUUAAAUUUCAAACCCAACUGGUCUCACUGUAAAAUAUUAAAUAUCCGAUUUUUGGCAAUUUUUACAAAAUAGUUGCGCAAACAGCUCUUUUUCUGUGAUCACCAUUUUUUCCUUGCAUGAUCAAUGGCCUUAAACCCAACCAUAAAUCUGAGGAAAAAUACUUUAGAAACUUAACAUAUCCAGUGAAUGAUGGCUGAAAUUUCGUGGCUUAAAACCUCACUGAAUGGGCUACACAAAUUCAUGAACUUCAGCCACAUUUACAUCUCAUGCACCAUUGCAUGCAACAUUUCUUAACUUGUUUGGGUUCAAUACCCCUAUUUCCCUUCUGAAUAAAUUUUGAACAUUUUUCCUUUUGAAAGCCCUCACAUGCAUGUGAUAAUCUGUAAAAUACCAAAAGCUUUUAUUAUUUCUUUGAUUUAUUAAAAUUAUUGCUAGAAACCAAGGGCAUAAAUCACAUAAAAUACUUCCAGAGGUCAAUAAAUCCGGAACAAAUUCAUGGAUGACCCUUAUGAUGGAUAAUGACUCCUCACUAAAUUUCAUCAAUUUUUGUUGCUGUUUGGUAUGAUUUCCGAUUUUCUUUUUGUUAGGAUAUAAUAAAUCACAAAACCACUUUAGAGAGUGUGAAAAUUUUAUCUAACAAUUUUCGCAUACCUUACCUGUGAUGGGUGACUCAGAAAAAUAAUUUCAACAUUUUUCAUCAUGCCUUGCUAUUUUUCCCGAUUUUUGGUAAUUAUAAUGGUUUUAAAAUGGGAAAAACAGUUCUGAUUAUCAAAAAUUCAUGGAAAUUUACCAGAACAUCAUGUUGUAGAGUAGGAGGUUACAUAAAAUUUUUUGAGGAUUUCUCUCCACAGUAAACUAUUUUUCUCUUAAUUUCUAAAGUUAAUUACACUUAAAUACACAUAAAUACCCAAACCGGAUUAUACAAUAUGAAAACCACUUUUGAUAUUUUUUUCAGGUUAUUUAUACUGUAAAUGAUGUUACAAAAAAUUUUGGUAAUUUGUUUUAACAGUUUAAUAUUAUUCCUUCUAUUAAUGAUUAUUUAAAGGAAUAAAACAAGGAAAAAUAGAAAUACCCACUGAAAAAUAUAUUUUAUAUUUUUCCCAGUCUAGUUAUGUAUAAUAUCAGUUAAAUAAAAAGUUUGGGUAAUUUUGGAAACUUUUUUCUAUUUAUUUCAAUUUUUAUUGGAAUAAAUGCUCAAAAAUCAUAAAAUGUAAUUAAAGAGCUUGGAAAUCCAUUUUUAUAUCUUUCCCAGCUUAGUAUUGUGUAAUAUCAGAUAAAUAAAAGUUUUAGAACUUUUAUCCUUUGAAUGCUAUUUUUCGUGAAUUUAUGUUGUUAUAAAGACUUAAAAAUUUGGAAAAUUUAUAUUCCAAAGUUGUAAUUAAUCGCACGACUUGAAGAAUUUCGUUAUUUCAGAAAAAGUGUAACCGAUUAAUAUAAAAUCAAAUACUAAAACAUAAAUUGGCAUUUCACUAUAUGUAGAAUUUAGUAUGUUAGCAUUAGAUUUCGACAUGGAAACUCACUAGUGUGUGUUUGAUGUCGUAGGAUCCCGGUAGUAAGACGUUGGUGCAUUCCGAAGUACUACUUGUAUCUACUCGAAACAUUGUGAGUAUUCACGUACUCCCCUAUUUUCGGUUUUUAUGUUUUGGGGUGGAAAAGCAUGUCCUAAACUACUUAUAUUCGUUAUAUUUAAUUGAUUCGUAUAAACUUGAUUACUAUAUUUUGCAUAUUGUGAGUAUUCACCACUCCCCUAUUUUAGGUUUUUAAAUGUUUUGGGGUGGAAAAGCAUGUCCGAAAAACUUUUUAUGUAUUUAUUUUGACUCGUAUGAAACUUGGUUGCUAUAUUUCAUAUGUAUGUGUAUGUUACUUUAAUUCAUGAGGACUGUAUCGCGGUUAAGUCCCUGGAAUCUCUAGUCACAACUCAUUAACUCUUUUGAGCCUAUGGUUAUUAUGGAUAGCGCUAUCAGGAGGUAGACAACUCCUCACUCGCACGAUUCGCUUGAGUGCAUUUUACCAUUUUAUACACUAUGUUUGCGAUACACAUAGUAGUCAAUAGGGCACGAUUCGGUCAUUAGGCUUGGGUUGUGAACUCAUGAAUGGAAACUUGAUGCACGUACUAUUCUUUAUCCACAUACGAAACUUGUAUUCCCAUGUUAGCAACGACACUUGUAUACUUAUUUUAGCAAUGAAACUUGAAUACUUAUUUUAGCAACGAAACUCGUUACUCAUUAUUAAACUUGUUUAUUAAUUAUAGCAAUGAACUUUGUUUCUCAUUACAACAACGAACUUUUAUUACUGAAAACUUAUAUACAUGUUUUAGCAAUGAAAUUGUUUGCUCAUUGUAGCAACGAAAUUGAUUGCUCAUUUUAGCAAUGAAACUUGUUUACUCAUUUGAGUAACGAACUUUAUCUUUCAUGAGAAUAUGUAUGUUGCAUCUUAUUCGGGCAACAUACUUUAUUUCUCAUGAUGACAACGAACUGUGUUUACAAACUUAUUUACUCCUUUUAGCAAUAUACUUUUAUUAUUGGAAACUUUUAUCAAAACUUUGAUUUCAACUCAUGAACCAAUAUUAUUUUGUUAAACUUGUGAGUACUCACCAACUAUUUUUAUAGUUGACGCUCAUUUUACAUGCUUUUUCAGGAGUCGUUGAGUAAGUGGCACUUAGGGACACUUGAAUUUUAGGAGCAUUCGCAUGUGUUGUAUUUCUAUUUUCAUUGUAAUUUCUUUUAAAAGUUGUUCAAACCCACUGUAAAUUUGUAAUGGUUUUUAAUACUAUGGUUGGUGUUGUCCUUUAACUUUUGCUAUGAAACCCUUUAUACCGCCACGCCUCGUUUUUCCGCUUUAGCGGGGUGUGAGAACAGUCUCGGUGGUCUGCUGCAAAUCAUGAAACUACCACACUAACUGUUACACCUUAAUAGGUGGCGCAAACUCCAAGUCGAAAUGUCGAAAAAACUCAGCCCACGUCAUCACAGCCACACCGGCUUCCCCCACAUGUCUCGUAACCUCGCCCUACCAAUCCUGGGCCCUAUCUUUGAGCAUACAAGAAGCAAAUCCCACCUCUUCCACAUCCGAUCAAGAACUCGUGCGCUAGGCGUUCUCAAAGUCUGCCACCCAGCGUCGGCUAACAAUGGGAUCCCUGACCCCAAAGAACUUUGGUGCCCCACAUGCCUUGAACUCCCGAAAAGAGGGAGUUCGGGCCCCAACAUGACCCGCAACAAUUUCAGCCCUGAAUGUCCUGAAUCUCUCCUCCAUGAUCUCCAUCGUGCCCUCCUUGAUCGUCCUAAAAUGAAUGGGGUAGAAUCAAGGAUGCCUUUGGUAACCUCGGUUGCAAUGAGCUCGCGCAGCCACUCAUGAAAGACACCGGUGGUAUCGCCUGACCCAGCCCUGGAUCCAGAUCCCGAUCCUAAUCCUCCUGCUCCAAAUUGUGUCACCACCAUGCUAAACUGAAAUGUUAUAAAUCACAAUGAUCAUGAUUUUAUAUAAGGCGNUCUUCCCACACCGGUCCUCCUUGAAGUUAUUAGAUCUAACACUAGUUCGGGUACAGGUCCUGUGCUUCCAGUAGUACGGGCCCAAUACUACCUUCCGCACCUACUUGUACCUUUCCCCACUGCCCUACCUGAUAACUCCAACUUAUCCCGCAACCAAACCAUAACCCACAACUACCACGAAUAACAAUCUCAAACUGUCCUAAGAUUUACCCUACUCGUAUCAAUCAAACCAAUCGCAACGGGUUGCUUUUAUGCAUGCAAAUUAUACAUAGAAAAGAUCAAAUAGACUUUCGAAUAAGAGAUUCUACCCUAAGACCACAUACAAACAAGGAAAAGAAAAUAAGGCCAAAUCAAUCAUUCUGAGGUUAUAAGCUCCUAAACGUAUACAAUUUUAAAAGCAUACACAUAGCAAGAUUAAUAUAAUCAGCAAAGCUCAAAUAUCAAUAUAACAUGGCUAACAUACUGGGGAACUACUUACUUGGCUCGGUUGAUCAUACGUGUUGCACUCUCAUAUUUUUAUUUCCUUUUUAAAAACCCUUUUAUGUUACUUUUGAAAACAAUUUUACCGUUUCCUUAGUUUGAGUUCUAACACACUCAAGAGUGUGCCGGAAUCCCUCAAACCAAGGCUCUGAUAACAACUUGUAACGACCCAAAUUUUACAAAGAAAAUUUUCAUUUUAUUAAAUCAACACCUUUGCAUAAUUCAUGAAAUCCCAACACAAUUUUUUUCAAUUCACAAUCAUUACAAAUUUAUUUGUUUAAAAACAUCAGAGUGUCCCCAAAACAAAACAAAGUAAGAGAGAUAGAGUGCACGUUGCGUCAUCACGCCUUGCCCAUGCCCUUGGGCUCAGAUGUACCUAAAACAAAUCAAAAACCUGUAAGCGAAAUGCUUAGUGAGUCCCCCACAGCAUACCACACACAAUCACAUACACAUAACUACAUAUUACAUAAACCAUGCAUACAUAAAACCUGUAAGAAUGCCAUGGGCUACCCCACAUGGUCUUUACCUAGGUUUGCCAUGGGUUACCCCACAUGGUCUUACAUAUAAUGCCAUUAACUCCCCCACAUGGUCUUUACCUAGGAAUGCCAUGGGGUACCCCACAUGGUCUUAUAUCCAAUGCCACAGCUCCCCCCGAGGUCUUCCAUGCAAAACACGCAAUCACAUAUCAUAUCAAACAACAUAAUGACCAACACAUAUAACAUACUCACAUAAUGGGCUGGCCUUGGUGCCUUAGACCCAUGGGUAUGGUAAGAAGACUCACCUCUGUCUGCUGAAUACAAAACUUGCUCUCCUAACAGUUCAUAACCUCCCGUGUUGAACAAUAAUAUUAAUUAAUGUUAGGACCUUACUUAAUCAAAAGAAACCCAAAAUCCAAACCCUUCCAUGGGGCCCAAUUAUCCUUCCCUGGUUAAUGGGCCCAAAGCCUAAGUCCAAGAUCAUGGAUGGGCCUCUUGGCCCAAUAAGACCCAAUCGACAUGUCAAUAGCCCAAAACAGAUAACAUGACUCAUAAUUCCCAGAAUACAUCCAUGCCCAAUAACCAAAUGAUCCCCAAAAGCUUAAAGACCCAAAACAGAUUCGGGCCCAACUGUAAUUUGUACGCUCGGCGUACCAUUAUGGUAUGCACAACGUACUAGGGAUCUUAGGAUUACACAUGGCAUACACUGGGUUACGCCCAACGUACUACCAUAUUAAGCACUUUCUCCAUUAAGUGUUUAAUACUCGACUCCUUUACGUCCAAAAGCCAGAUCUAAGUUUGUUAAGACUUCAUAAGGCAUAAAGUUGGCAACUUUAUGCCUUUACAUGCUUCAUAUGCACCCAACACCUCCAUUAAGACCUUUCCAAGAUCUUUAACCCAUGCAUGAUGCCAAAACUCUCACCAAGACUCCAUUUUAUGAUACUAAAGGACCAAGGAAACUCAGAUCUGUCAUUCUCAUUUGAUGGAGUUGCUUAGCUCACCAAUAGAGGUCCAAAGUCAACCCAAGGGACAAAACUAGAAAACUCUAGCUAUAUCUAAAGAUUUAAAUGGAAAGGUGCAAGCUUUUUACCUUCAGAAGCUUUGCAAGAUGACCAAAAUACAGAUCCUUUAUGCACCAAACCGUCCCAAGUUUGCUUUGCAACUCUCCUUCAUGAAUGAACUCCAAAAUGGACACAAAACUCACUCCUUAAGCUCAAAACUCUCUCUCACACAAUAUCUCAGUUAAAGGUAGACAAAAUGAGGCUAAAGAGGUAGAUAGGGUUUGGUCUAAGAGGCUAAAAGAUGUUUAAAUAGGGGCCAAUUCCGAGAUUUAGGUUUUUUGCCCUCUGCUGCAUACGCCCGGUGUACCCUUACGUACGCCCCGCGUAUGUAAGGCUCCUACGCGAUCUCUCAUGCAGAGUACGUUAAGCGUACUCAUAGGUACGCCCAACGUACUCAAGGGACCACUUAUGUAAAAUUGAGAAUUCUUGAGUGUUUCAACUCAUACCUGAUUUUAGGGUGUUGCACAAGCAACAACAUCCAUUGGAUUAAUAAAAUAGUUAAUACAAGUGUGUUCUUUAAUAGUAGUAAGACACCAAAAUUGUAACAUCAAAAUAAAAGACGAGUCUUGAACAUGCUCCGUCUUCUCAAAACCUGGUCCAGUGCACCUGUGUACUGGAUCCCUGAGAAUACAAGUUAUUUUGAAAGCGAGUAUCAACAUUUAAGUUAGUGAGUUAAUAAGUAUUUAGUGUCAAAUGUUUGCAUUAGCUUCUUAAAAUGUUUGUAUUGUUCUCUAAAAAUGUUUGUAUUAGUUUGAAUCCUUCCCAUAAAAUCCUAUAUUUUCUCCUAUAAAUGAAAUGUAGUCUACUCUCCAAGACCAACUUGUUUGUGUGUUUUGUUAUCUCAAAAUGAUGUAAAAUGUAUGUUUGUACAUGAAAUAAUAUAAAAUGUAUGUUUUCCAUAUUAAUAACUAUCUUUACUAGAAACAUAGUAUGCUUAUCUCAUGCGAGAAAUUCACUGUAUGGAUGUAAUGGAAAAUGAAGACUUAUAGUAGUAUUGUAUAAAUUACACUACGGAUGCUUUAACUAACUUUAACACCAAACUGGUUAAUUAAGGGUAAAAUGUGAUGAGGUUAUAACCAUGCUUGAUAGACUUAGUAUAAAACACGACGUUCAUCAGGCGUCAAAAAUGAAAAGACAUUUGUCUCGCGUAGACCUGCUGGUCCCACUGUAGCUAGUAGAAAGGUGUGGGAUGGUCAAUCCCGUAUAGAUCUAUACACAAACUCAUGCUCUCCCUCAAGGAGACUCUGGUUACAGAAUGUGAGACAGCAAAAAAAUAUUGCUAUGCCAUGAAGUAGUAUCUCAUAUUUAAUUAUCUUGUUCUUGUUAUAGUGUAUGUUCCUUUCUGUACUUGUUAUAGUGUGUAUGUUCCUUUCUGUUCUUGUAAAUGUAUAGUAAUAGUAUGGAUGUAUCGUUUUGUAUUUGAUCACCUGUUCUAGAAAAUAGUAAGUAUCGAUCCUCUAAACUAUACCUAUUAUAGUUUACUAGUAUGUUCUGUAAUUGAAUGUCUAAUUAUGUUUGGACACCUUUGCUCCACAUGUUGCAAAGGUAUUGAACUGAUUGGAAGUACUUAUAUAUAUAUAUAUAUAUACCUAAAAUUUAAACGACAUUAUGACAAACAACCGAUACUCUAAGUCCACAUCCAAACAAGAAAAAGGAAAUAAAGCGAGUUAUCAGUCUUAAGUCCUUUAAACCUUAUUUAUAUAACUAUACCUAUAUAGUCAUGAUUUUGACAAUAUAUAAGCUUAAAAGAAUUUGUAAAACAUUUAAAUAGUUUAAUCCAUUUUAAAAAGUUUAAUCCAUUUUAAAAAGUUUAACAUAUUAAAAGAUUUUAACCAUUUGAAAGAUUCGUGAUGACUUGGUGACAGUUUAUAAAACGAUUUGAAAUAGUUUGUUUUGAUAACACAACGUUUAAGUAUAAUAAAUCCUUUUGAUCGAAAAGUUCCGCAUGUAAAUGUUAACACAUCUAUGUUGUGUUCUACUUGUAUCCCCCCAUAAAAGCAUUUAAAACCAUUAAAAGGUAAAUUGCAGGGGUAUAAAGUCACCUGAUAGUGAGUAAUUUGAUUGAAAGAUCGAUAUAGGAUGGAAAGUUUCCCGUGUGAAGUCCCGAAGCACAACUAGUCCAAAGAAGUGUUAGAAUCGAAAAUAGGAGGCUAUGAGGAGUUCACGGCCCAAGAAGGUUCACGACUCAAUAAAGGGUUCACAGCCCAUUAGGGGUUCACGACCCAAUAAACUUGAUGAUCUUGAAGAUUCAAGUGGUAUUCUAAGAAGAUUCAAUGGAUUUUCAGUCGGGUGUUCUUCAUGUUCUUCGCGUGUUCUGCGUUUUCUUUGCGAAAACUAGAGAAUUUAACGGGUUUAAGCCUAGUAUAAGAAGAUUGAAGGAUGUUUAUGAAAUAAUGACAAGAUCAAAGAAUGUUACAUGUUAGAUCCUAAGAACUAGUGACUAUUGCAUGAAUAUGAUGAGAAAUGAUGAGUUUAACAUGUUCUUGAGGAGAGAGGAUGAUCUUGGCGGAUGAUACUUGAGAGAAAAGGAUUGGAUUUUCUCUUGGAAGUGUAGAAAUGAAUUAAAAUCAGCCAAAAUCCAUAUAUAUGGGAGGGUUCACGGUCCGAAGUGGUUCACGGUCGUGAACCUCGUGUACGGCCCGAAGUUGUUCACGGUCCGAAGGGUGAGGAGAAGAAAGGCGUGCGAAGUUUCUCGGAUUCAUCCUAUUCCCUUCUUACACACAUAAUACCCUGAAUACUAGGUUUAAACACUUAAAAGACAUUACUCUUACUCAAAUUAAGAUAGAAUAAAAAUUAAGUUGUGUUAUUUGCCCAAGUUUGACUUUUAUACAAAUAGAAAUUACGGGUUGUCACAAUUCAUACUUGAAUUUCAUUUCAUUCACUUGAUCCAUAAAAACUACAAAAUCAAAAAUUGUAUUGAUCCCUCCUCACGUCAUGACCCUUCAAUGUUCACGUCAUGAGCCCUGAUUUACCCAAAAACCAAGCCUUGACUCCUUGAAGCCUAAAGUUGAUCCGAUCUGGAAAUGGGGUGUUACAUAGGGAGUAGGUCUCAAUCUACAACUCAACAUACUCAAUUAGAAAUAAAGUUAAACUUGGUCAAAGUCAAUGUUCAACGGUCAAAAAGUCAGCAACCAGUCGCCACAACGUGGACAAGCAUAUGCCUCAUCAUGGCGAUAAUAAGACAAAAUGGUUGCAAAUCUGCCAAACGCUACGGCAUAGCGACUAAUCCCCCACGUCGUGGGAACCUUCUAGAAUAGCUAAAUCAAUUUAGCUCUUAAUCCCCCCCCCCCCCCCAAUUUAAACUUUAUAGAAUGCUUCCAAACCCCCAAAAGAUCAUAAAAGUCACAACUUUAUAGACAUGCAUGCCCAAUGCAUGUCAUGAGCUCAAGCUAGGUCAAAAAGUGUAAAAAUGGGCCAAGAUCUCAUACAAGAGUUCAAAGCUCUAUCAAAUUGCAGAUCUAUCACUCCAAAUCUUAAACGGACUCUGGGGAUUGAUAAAGUUUGCAACUUUAUGGAAUCCAAACCUUCCAAAUAACCUAAACAUGUAAGAUAACACAAGAAAAACUAGAUCUAAGCACAUAGAUUCAUAAAGAUACAAACUUGAGGACGUACAAAUGUCCAGAAACAUGAACAAGUAGGAUGGUGAGGCUUGCAAGCUUCGAUGAUUCACUAAGACUUCUUCUCUUCUUCUUCUUGGCUAGAAAUCACCAAAAAACUCAAAAACUUCAAAAAUGGAACUAGGGUUUUAGUGAGGAAUGAAGGAAAGCGAUGGAGGCUGAGGGUGUGCAAAACCCUAGCCAUUACAUCCCUUAAAUAGGGCACAACCCCAGAAUUAGGGUUGCCAUUAAACAACUACCACACCAUUGGUACAAUGCUGCCACGCUGUGACAUCCAUUAAAGACGUAUGCAUCCUCAAACCAUGGCCACACCGUGGGAACUCAUUCCCCAUGUUGCGGCCACCAAAAAUUCCGAAUUUUAAACAUUAAGUUUUUAAAUGAACAUACCAUAAACUUGGCGUUACACAAAAUUUUCCAAUUCAUUUCCAAAAUAGCUACAAUGAAAAAAAUUAUAGCUUCUGGCUUCUGCUGCCUCAACAAAGUAAGAAUCUAACCUAAAGCAACAUAAAAGAAAUUGAGAAGUCCAACUCCUAAAACAAACAAAAAUACCAUUGAAUAUAGAUAAGAAAUUGGAAUGAGAAAAAAAUGAAUAGGAGAUAUAGGAAUUCAGAAUUCGAACUCACCCAAUCCCAAUUUAGAAUUUAAAAACCUCAAACUUCUUUUAAUUUUCGAUGACGUGUGAUUCAGAAACCAGAUAAAAAAACAAGCUCGGUAAUUAGAAAAUACAAGAAACUUAUCGAUCAGAACUCAUAAAUUGGAAUGAGAAGUAGAGAAUAGUAGAAAAGGAAACAAAAUAAGAAAUUUGAGAAUUCUGAAAUCAGACUCACCGAACCCCAAUUAAGAAACUGAAAACCUCAAACUUCUUCUGAUUUUCGGUGACAUGUGAUUCAAAAAUCAAAACAAUCUUAUUAAUCAGAACAGAAGAAUCAUAACUCAGAAAUCAGAAUGAGAAGUAGAAAAUAGAGAAAACAAGACACAUGAUCUCGAACAGAAACUCCCAGUUCACUGAGUCAUGUAGUCUAUCAUACAAAUCAUCUUCUUUUUUCUCCUCUUACACCAAUCUACAACUUCAUUGAUCAAAAGUGGGUCAUCCAAAAUUUGUCUCCAUUUUACAAACGCGAUUGCUCAUCACUAAAUAAAGAAUCAAUCACCUUUACCAUCACUAACUAAAGAAUCCAUCAUCAUUGCCAUCCGAAUGCUGAUCGUCACUAAUUUUAGCAAUAAUUCAACUGAUACUUAUUUAGCUAGUAUUUACAUACACAAAAAUCUUAUGCAACAUAUUGCCCAUAAAUAUUAUCCGAAAAAAAUUCUUACAUAUUAAUAAAACAAAAGAAUCUAUGAAUUUUCUUAUUCUUGUUUUAUAUAUCAAUAUAAAAUGAUCCGUGAGUAAAAAAAUUUAACGAAAAGUAUGUAAAUUUUAAAUGGAACAUUCCAAAAUUGUUACACAAAUGUCAUAGUCAAUUUUACAACAUUUUCCCUAUAAUUUCAUUAAGUAACUUUCAAAUUUUCAAAAAUUUAUUUUUAUCAUUAGAAAAAAGUCAAUCAUGACAAAUUGAACAAACAAUAAUGUUUAAUUCAUAAAUUGUUUUAUAAAAUUUUGAACUUAUCAAAAUAAUUGCAAUUAGUUUCUUAUUCACAAAUAAAUAUCUUAAUUAUGUUAAAUAUUUGAAUUGUGAGGAAUGAUAUCAACUUUAAUCUUGACAAAAUGAGAUAAUUGCCCGUUAUUAGUUUUUUAUUCACAAAACAGUUUUUAAUACUCGUGAAAUUAUAAACAAUUUUAAUGCCUUCUUUUGACAAAUUUUUAAAAACUACUCUUAAAUAAGAAAAUUAAGUUAUAUAUCAUGGUAAUCAAAAAGAAAUAUUAAAAUGUAUACUACAAAGCUUAAAAAUAAACACAUUUAUUACAAACAUAAUUAUGAACAUUCAAAAUUUUGAUACUUUUUUUUUAACGACAAUUUUUACGUACUCAUAAACUACACCUUAAAUCCACUUAUGUUCACGACAAGACUUGAACCCUCAACCUCAAGGAGGGAGGGCAACACCAGAUAUCACUGGGCUAGAAGCCCUUUGAUAGUUAAUAUAUAGAACAAAGAAGGAAAGGUUUUUCAAUAUAACCUAAUUCAACAAAAUUGAUAACCAUGUCAUUGACCUCCAAACUUCAACUGCACAUUUUAAACAUUUAAUUUACAUGUGUAUUUUAUGGUUAUUUCAUGGAAUUACGUAAAUGGCAACUUCACUGAAUUAACCAAAAUUUUUUGAAAACGAAUAAGAUUUUUGCAUAUUAAAUUUCCAAAUGUAACAACUAAGAUUCAAUAGCCCAUGCAAACUUACAAGAGACUUAAACAAUUUAUAGUUCGUACUCCUGGUACUUGCAUAAAAAUUCAAUAAAUGAUCAAUUCACAAAUCAAAUUAAUUAUCAAUGCUUGUAGAGUUAUGCAGUGGUGUUUGCCAACGAUUUACUGUUAAAAGGAAUGAAAUGAUAAACAAUGCAUGCAUGAGUGAAAAUUAAAAGAAUAAACAAUCUCUACACAACAUAAACAUCAGUAGCAACAAAACUGGGAACAUAAAGGCUUGUAUCGAGAACAACAUAAACAAUUUGUUCCAGGAGGAAUCUAUUCUGCUAUUAGUCUUUCCCCCAUAUUAAAGUACUAUUGAGGGGGUGUUUGGCUUAGCUUUUUAGAGGCCAAAAGAUCUUUUUGGAAAAGUUACAAAAAGUCAGGUUUUCUGACUUUUCCAAAAAGUUGAUUUUUCUUCUUUGCAAAAUCCAAAAGUAGCUUUUAAAAGUAUUUUGCCAAACAUCUUUUGCCUAUGAUCUUUUUCUAAAAGGACUUUUGAUCAUUCAAAAGCUAAGCCUCAUUCAUUGCAUUCUCGUCACCACUUACAUAUUGGUCAACUGUAUAUGUAGAUGAUUACCAAUUAACGUAUUGUGAUUCGAUACAUAAUUUAGUGAUUUUUGUUUUACGUAGUCAUGUAAAAUAAGUGAGAAUAAGUUAAACACACCUACGUCAUACACACUGUGUGAGGUUGUUUCCUUUUAAUUCCAACGUGUGCAAUGAUACAAUAAACAAAUAAUGUAAAAUGCAUUGCUAUUUCGUGCAUUUCAUCCAUCUAAAAAUUUCUAGUGAUCACAAGAAAUAGCAACGACUUUAAUUUAUUCGCUAAAAAUAGGUUAAUACCUUAUAUGUUCUCUUGAAUUUCAUAUUAAAAAUUAAAUCCCUUUUCUAUUUGAAAAAAAAGCCAUACAAAGAAAUUCGUAAAUCAUAUUUAUUACAUUGGCAUUCAAAGAAACAUACGGGUCUAUUUUAUUUGACUUGAUUAUUUAUCUUCAAAACCAAAAGAUCCCGUGCAAUCUAGCAUAUACUUUACAAAAAUUUGCUUCAAUUUGUUCUUGCUUCUAGAGAACCUAAAUGGGAUUUUUCAAUUCAUCCAACACCUAAUGGGUAGUGUAGAAGGAGCCAAUCAAAUGGAAGGUGAAUGGACAAAAGUCAGGUGAAGAAAAUGGAAGAGAUUAUCGAUGAUCGGAGACCGACCAACAUGAAACCACGCUAGUGUUACAACAAUGUUCGUAUCAAACCUUCCAAUGGAGAUCAGUAAAAAAUCCUUGGCAAUGACUUUUGCAAAGUUUGGAGAGGUGGUGGAUGUCUAUAUUCCAACAAAGAAGGAUGUCAGGAAGAAGUAUUUUGCUUUUGUAAGAUUUAAAAAGAUAACAUAUGAAUACGAGUUAGAAAAAGCCCUUCAAGGGGUUAAAUAUGGUGGCAGAACUUUGGACGUGAACAUAGCGAUGUUUGAAAGAUAACCGGCCGAUGGUUCGUCUGUAUGUGGAAGCAUCAGAAACAGGGCACGGAAGAAAAAACCUUCGAUACCAGAAUCCUAAGUUAGGAAGAAUCGAUCCUACGCAGCAGUAAUAGCAAAAGAUCGUGAGACCACUUGAAUCCCACCUCCUCAUCCACAAAAGCAAGUUGCUCCUAUUUGUCUCUCAAACGACUCCCCACUUUGAGGAUGGAUUAAAGGUAAGUAUACUUUAAUUGGUGUAUUGCACAUUUUUGAUCACCUUGAGAAAGCUCCAUACUCAAUUAAAAACUGUGAUGGAUCUCGAUGUGAAAUAAAGUACCUUGGUGGAUUAAGAAUUGCAGUAAAAUUCAUGAAUGAUAUGAGCAGAGAAGUAUUCAUGAAAGGAUGGGUAGAAUGGUUUAAGGAGAUCGAUAGUGGUGAUAUUGCAGAAUUUCAUUAUGAGAGAAUUGCUUGGAUAAAAAUCUCAGGCCUCCCGUCGGAGCUGUGGUCAGAAGCGAACUUCAACGCCAUUGCUGCGACAUAUGGCUAUGUGGUGGUUCCAUUCGUAGUGGAACAAACAGAGACGAAUUUAUCUUAAGGAAAGGUUGGCAUCCUAAAAAAAAUCAUUGACGAAUGUACAGUGUGAAGCAUCGAUGGAAGUGAAUGGAAAAAUAAUUAAAAUAUGGAUCUCAGAAGUGGACAUCGACUGGGUUCCAUUCAAGUCACAAAGGUAUCAAGUGGAAGAUAGUGAUUUUUCGGAUGAUGGAAGGAACGACGACGAAGACGAAUCAGACGAUGAUUGCGAUGGUAUCUCUGAAACUAUGUUGGAUGAUAACAACGAUAAUGUGGAAGAAGGAGAAAUCGGAAGGAUGGAUCUUGUCCAGGUCGAGGAAUUGAAUCGAGGAAACUAUAGAGCCGUCAAUGACAACUCACCGGCCGCAAUUCAGUUGCCGGGAAACUUUUCAACGGAUAAGAAUAAUCGGAGAAUCGAAAGAGGCGCUCUUGGGGAAUGUCGAGAGUCGGACGAUGGAAUUAAUACUCAACAGGGAGACGAAACCUUUGGAAGUAGGGAGAACAUUAAUGAAUCAUCUCAUGUUGAAUUGGAAAAUAAUUUAACUGUAUGUGAGGAAACAACUAUCGGAGAUGGACCGGAUAAAUCCUCUAAUGGGCUGCUCAACAAAUUAGCCAAAUCUGGAUGCUUUGGACCUUUCAUAAACAACAUGCAUGGUUACGAGGUGCCAUUAAACGAGUUUGAGAUUAACUUCAAUAGCGUCCAAGAUAAAAGAAGAAGGUUAAUGAGAAAUGGAAUGGUGAUUGAAUCUUCAGACUCUAAUAUGCCUCACCCAUCUCUCGAUCUAAACAGAACUCCGAUUCUCUCUCAGAUUCCCUUACCUGACACCGAUGUAGAAUCGUCAUCUUCUCCAUCGGAAAUCAAGAAUACGGUGGAAGUGGGCAAUAUUUUAGGAUUCGAGAUUGAUAGCGAAAAUCCAAUCCUGAAAGAAGUCCUUGGCGAUAACGGUGAGAACCAAAUCAUACAAUGAAUAUUAUGACCUUAAACAUUAGAGGUCUUGGAGAGAAGCAUAAGGUAGAUUGGGUACCAAGGCUUAGAAAUUUAUAUAAACUUUGUAUGAUCUGUAUUCAAGAAUCCAAGUUGGGUAAGUUAUCCCCUCCGCUAAAUAUUAACGAAUGUUGGGGCGAUAAUAAUUGGGGGUUCGAACAGGUUUUUACAACAGGAAGAUCCGGUGGCUUGGUGUCGAUAUGGGAUAAAGGAGCAUUCACGUUAAUAGACACUUUCAAGUCCAGAUACUUUAUUUUGACACUGGGUAAUUUGGUAGGCAUUAAUGGCCUAACUGGCAUUAUAAACAUCUAUGGACCCCAAUCAAGUCAUGAGAAAUCGAAACUGUGGGACGAAUUGUUAUCUUUGAAGUCUUCCAUAUCAGCCACCUGGAUCCUUAUGGGAGAUUUUAACGUGGUUCGAAGACCGGAAGAACGGAUAAAUUCAGUCUUUUCCCCAAUCAGUGCAAGUGUUUUUAAUCAAUUCAUAUACAGGGGCGAAUUCACAGAUCUAAAGAUGGGAGGCCAAAGAUUUACCUUCUUCAAAACACAAGGAGCGAAUUUGAGCAAAUUAGAUAUAAUUUUGGUAUGUAAUCGUUUCUCAACCACGUUUCCCCUUGCAUCAUGUGAGGCAUUAGACAAGGACCUCUCCGACCACUCUCCCAUUGUUUUGAGGACUCGUGGUGAGGAUUUUGGUCCACCACCAUUCAAACUUUACAACUCCUGGAUGUUAAAAGAAGGAUUUGAAGAGGUGAUCAAGAAAGCAUGUUCCGAAUUUGUGGGGUUUGGAACUCCUGAUGCAUACCUCUUCAAUAAACUGAAACAUUUAAAAAAAGCCAUCAGGUGUUAGAGAAUUAAUGCAGUGAACGAUGAAAACAUGGUGAUUGAUUCUUUAAAAAAAAGAAUGAAUGAGAUCGAAAAAGAAGCGGAAUCUAGAGCUCUAACGUCCGUAGAAAUGGAAGAAAGGUCAAUUGGAGGUAUAAAAAUUACGGAGCAUGCAAGAACUAUUGCUCUGGAUCUGAAGCAAAGGGCAAAAAUUAAAUGGGAGGUCGAGGGUGACGAGAACACGCGUUUUUUUCAUGGUUAUGUAAACAAUAGAAACCGGAAAAAUCAUAUACAUGGGAUUAUGACGAAUGGAUCUGGACAACCGACCCAGUCAUGAUAAAGCAGGAGGCUACUAGAUUCUUUGAAAGGAAAAUAUAGAGAAUGUUGGCGAGUUAGACCUGUCUUUCGGAGUGAAGGUUUUAGUAAGCUUUCAGAAGAAGAUACUCGGUACUUAGAAGGAGAAUUCUCCAUGGGUGAAGUAAAAAAUGCAAUAUGGUUGUGUGGUGGAGACGAGUCUCCGGGGCCUGAUGGAUUCACUUUCCAAUUUCUCAAAAAAUUCUGGGAGUUACUAAAAGGUGACAUUAUGGGGAUGAUUAAGUACUUUGAAGCGGGAGGCGAGAUCACUAGAGGAUGUAAUUCUUCUUUUAUAUCCUUAGCAGUCAAGACAAAAGAUCCACUUCAUUUUUGUAACUUUAGACCAAUCAGCCUAAUUGGUUCCAUAUACAAGAUCAUUGCAAAACUAUUGGCUCUUCGAUUAAAGAAAGUCAUUGGUGGUGUAAUUGACGAGGUCCAGUCCAUUUAUGUUGAAGGAAGAAAUAUACUAGAAGGUCAUUUGGUGGUUAAUGAGCUUUGUUCGUGGGCAAAAUCAAAAGGAAGAAAGAUGCUUAUGUUUUAAGCAGAUUUUAACAAAGCUUUUGACUCAGUGAAUUGGGUAUAUCUGGACUCAAUUAUGAAUCAGAUGGGCUUUGGAAAUCAAUGGAGAUAUUGGAUUCGUAACUGUCUGGAAUCGGGUCGAGCAUCGGUGAUUAUUAAUGGCAGCCCAACGAAUGAAUUGUCAAUGACUAAAGGAGUUAGACAGCGACCCGCUUUCGCCCUUCUUAUUCAUCAUUGCGAUGGAAGGGCUGAAUGUGGCGAUGAAAACGGCGGUUGAGAAAAGAGUCUUUGACGGAGUAAAAUUCCCUAACUCUAAUAUCUGUUUGUCUGAUGCUUUAUUCAUUGGUGAAUGGUCGAGACGCAACAUUGCCAAUUUAUCGAGAAUCUUAAAAUUCUUUUACGUUUCAUCCGGGCUGAAAGUUAACUUUAGUAAGUCCAGAGUGUUUGGUAUAAGUGUAUCUCCUAAUGAAGUUUCGAACUGGUCAGCUCUUCUUGGAUGUGAACCAUCAUCCCUGCCAUUCAUUUACUUGGGUAUCCCAAUCGGCGAAAACAUGAACCGAAAGAAUGCUUGGAGACCACUCGUCGAAAAGUUUCAUUCUAAACUCUCAUUGUGGAAAGUAAAAACACUUAGCUUUGGAGGCAGAUUAACUCUGGCAAAAGCGGUUCUUGGCAGUCUCCCGACCUACUAUAUGUCCAUCUUUACCGUUCCUAACGGUAUUAUUGAGACCCUUGAGAAAAUUAGGAGGAGAUUCAUGUGGAGCAGCAACCUGUAAAGGAAAAGUAUCAGUUGGGUGGCAUGGGAAACACUUGUUGCCCCUAAAAAGGUGGGUGGUACUGGACUUGGAUUGAUUAGGAGUCUCAAUAUUUCUCUACUAGCUAAAUGGAUGUGACGAUUGAAAAACGAGUAUUCGACACUUUGGGCGAAAGUUAUACGUUGCAUUCACGACCUGGAUGGAAGACAUCGUGCUUCUUUUGUCAACAGAUCUAGAUCGGGGGUAUGGAAAAAUAUAGUCAAAAUUAGAAUUGCGUUAAAAAAAGUCAAUAUUGAUUUCAAAGAAAUUUUAUAUUGGAAACCAAAUGAUGAUUGUUGGGCUUCCGACUUUGUGGUUGAUAACCAUUUUUCGGUAAGAUUGUUAUGUGAGCGGAUUGAAAUGGCGAGUCACAUUGUCUGUGAUAGUCCAUUUGAAUGGUGCAAAGUAAUACCGAAUAAAUUUUUAUGCUUUAUCUGGAGAGCGAAACUUGGCAGAAUUCCAUCAUCUGUUUCAUUAAAAGCAAGGGGUGUUCCUGUGUCAUCGACUAUUUGCGGGUCAUGCAACAUGGAUGAAGAGAUGUGCGAUCACAUCCUUCUCUUGUGCCCAGUGGCGAAGGUCGUCAUGAACUCGAUUUUAUCUUGGUGUGAAAUUUCACAUGAUGGAUUUUAUUCGGUUAAAGACAUGUUACUAUUCAUAUCUCGGUGGUCUAAAAGCAAAAAGAAAAGAAGCAUGUUGAAUACGAUCUUAUAUGGAGGAUUAUGGUGUAUAUGGAAUGACAGGAACCACAUGGUUUUCAGGAACAUCCCUAUCGUACCGGAGAAGACAGUGGAGAAAAUCAAAUCAAUAACUUUUGUAUGGUGUAAACAUAGGGAUUCAUUUAAAAACAUGGAUUGGAGAGUUUGGAAUCUCGUUCUGUCUCUGUUUGUAACUUUUUCUCUUGUUCUUUUCUCAUUUUCUGUUUUUGUUUUGUACUUCCUCCUUGCAUCGUCUUGAUGUAAGGUGUGUACUUUUAAUAUAUUUGCCGUUUUAAAAAAAAAAUAGUAAAAAAAACUCGUAAAUAGAAAGCCAACUAUUAUUGCAAGUUUCAAAACGUUCAAUACUUUACUUUAAUUACUGUUCAAAUAAAAAUAGUUGAAUAUUUCAUAAAAGAUUACGAAAAGACACCUGUAAAAAUACGGACAACAUGAUACAUUUGGACAGCGAAAAGCUCCACCAUUAAGUUCAUUAGUGGAGUGUUAUGGAUUUUUCUAUAAAUAGGGUAAAAUGAAUCUUUUCAAAAAUAGGUUACUUUUUAUUAUUCUUUCAAAAAUGAGGUAUUUUUACGGCCUCACCAUCAAACUGACGUUGUUUUUUACAAUUUCCAAUUUUAACCGUUUUAAAUUACAACUUUCACCAUUAAACUUAUAUGAUAUUUUCAGUUUACACCUUUCAAUUUUAAAACCUUAAUUUUUUUUUUUAUAUCCACUGUAUAAUAUAUAUGAUUAAAAUUUAUAUAUAUUAUGCCAUUCUCAGAAUCUCAUUGAUACCAAUAUCAAAUAUGUUACAAUGACAUAAAAAUAAAAAAUCGAUUAAACAUGAUAUUAUACGAAAAAACUAACAAGAAAUUACAAAAGAAAUACAAGCUAAAUCGAAUUGGAAAUCACAAGAUUGAUUUCAAAAAAACAUACUUCACAUUUCAUUGGAUCUUCAUUGAGAAUUUGAAUAAUUUCUUAUGUAAAUGUCUGAGAUGAUGGCAUAGUCCACAUUAACGAGGUUCAUCACACUUAUUUUAUAUAAAAAUAAGAGCAUUAUUUUGUUACUUUGCUCUGAGCAUGUAAAAUCAAUGAACCGAUCUAACUAAUAUUAUUAAAAAAAAAACUAGAAAUCUUAUGGGCUAAAUUGAUACAAAUAGAAUAGUUUGACAAAAAAAAAAUGAUAUUUGUCAAACAACAAUUAUCAUUAAUGAAAUUAGUCUAAAAUAAAUAAAUGUAUAUAUUUUGAUUUAUUAAGUGGACAUGUAAAUAAAUAAAUAUAAGUACAAUUAGAUUAUAAAUACUAGAGUAUAAUCUAAAACAAUUAAACACAUAAUCAAAGAACCAAGAAAACAAACUAUCAUUGUAUAUAGAAAAAUGCAAGAUCCUCCUAUCUUAUAUUGCUACUCAUCCUCUUAUUUAUGUUAAACGGUGAUAAAUAUUAAAUUUAAUAAAUUUACUAGUGUCACACCCUUAAACCAGGAUGGCGGAAACGGCUGGGGGUGGAUGACUUUCAUGAACAGUAUCACAACAUAAUGAAUAAUAGUUAUAAAAGCAAACACAACUAUCAUAAAUAUAAUUGAGAAUAUUACAUUGUUUCCAAGUAUUGUAUGUUCAAAUCAAUUACAUUAUGAUGAAAAAAAUAAAUAGAACGGCGUUGUAACAUCCCAUCCUCAAAAGCCUUGUGAUUACCUGUUUAACGGUUUCCUAAGAAUACAAGUAGUUUUGAAAAGUGUCAACAAUUAAGUUGGUGAGUUCAUAAGAGUUUUGUAUGUGAAAAUCUAUAACUUUUUCCUUGUGAAAUGAUAGUGUUCCUUCCAAGAAAAUCCAAUAUUUUCUUAAAAAUGAGUUAUAGUCUUAAAAACCCUACGACCAAAAACUGUAUAAAUAUUUCUAUACUUAAAAUAGUGUUGAGUAGUUUUAUAUAUAAAACCAUUUAAACGUAUGUUACCCCCGUAAACUAAAUGUAUUGUUGAUUCCUCAUGUGAGUUACUACAACCAUGCUAAAACCUUAGUAGGUUGCUACGACGUUCUUCAGGCGUCAGAAUGUUAGACAACUGUCACCCCAGACCUGUCGGUUUAGCUGUAGCUAACAACUUAAGUGCAAGAUUGUUAGUCCCGUAUAGAUCUAUAUACAAGUGUCACACUCUCUUACCAAGAUUCUGGUUAUAAUUCAGUCCUUUAGUGUGUACUCUGAUAGGUACGUUGAAGAUUAUGUCUCACAUAAUUGUAUCAACAGGUUUACAUAUAGUGUAAUGAAAACCCUUUGUAAGUGAAAAUAUUACCUCUCCAUAAUAAUCACAUAGUGUAAAAUAAUUAUACAUUUAUAUAUUUACUUGUUUUGUCCCAAAAUGAUGAAAUAGUGUUAAUAACUCAUAAACUACACCUAUUAUAGUUUAUCAUAUAUGUUUGUUAUGCCUAUAUACACACGUGUGUGUAUAUAUAUAUAUAUAUANAUAUAUAUAUAUAUAUAUAUAUAUAUAUAUAUUACUAUAUUAUUAUACAAACCUUAGUAUUUCCAAAAAUAAAUUUAAGACGUCUAAAUGUUUAAGCUAAUAAUACAACAAAUAAUCAAUAAAUUACAAAAUACAAUGCAAUAAAUACAAGUAUUUAAUACAUAUUGAAACAUUCAAACCUACAUCCUUAUCUUUCUUAAUAUAGAACAUUUAAAUUUAAAACAAAUGUACCUUUCACUAGAAAGAGUCAACAUUAUUUUUAAAAUUUAAAUUAAAAAUUCCCUCAUAUGUCGCCCAGAUAUCCUCAUAUAAACCAUCAUCCAAUUUCUUUAUCCUAUAUCGAUCAUCACCAACAACAAUUUGCCAACAACUUCAAGAUUGCUCAAUCAUUUGGUACGAUCAUUGGAAAUAUUAACAUUUGUCAAAAUGUUAAAAUACUGUAUUAUAGAGCACAUGAAGGUACAUUGCUCUUACACUGUGCUUGAAUGUACUACUUCUUUCUCAACACGCUUUCUUGAACAUAUCUAUCUCUCAUUAUCCCUCAAGACUUCCACAAACACAUUAUCAUUCUAUCUUAAAGGUAAUCGUUCUCUCCCUAUUUUCUUCCUUCUUUUGUUACCGAUGGGCAACCCACAACCACCUUUAAGGCCAUCACAACCUUCUACUUUGCUCUGCUUCCAUCUUUCUAUGAGAAAAAACCAAAAAUGACGCAACAUCAUGCCUUUUAUCAGAACCACCACCACAUCUAUUCUUGGAUGGAAAAAAGAGCGACCCACAACCAUCUUAUGUACAACCAUCACCGCCUUUUGUUUCAGUCGCAAUAUAAAAAGCAUCAUUUUCAUAGAAAUAGAAAUCGUUAUCUGCGAUAGUGGGUUCAAGUUGUGUUGGAUGAAUUUAGGGAUUUCAGGCAACAUUGUUGGAGGUAUGGGUUGAAAGGGUUCUUGCAUCUUGCUUUUGCCAAACAUCACAGCUCCAUGUCCUAUUCUUUCCCUCUUCUUCUUUCUAACUAUAGACGUAACCAUCUACAGCCAACACCACCUCCUAUUCUGCUGUCAGCAUCCCCUCCAUCAGCUACACCGGAGAUUGAAGCCCCCAAACGCCACUGGUUCUUCUUCAACCCUUCAUUGUUGCUCUUUAUAUCUAGGGUUUUUUUUUUAAAUGUGCUCAGAUAUGAAUGGAGAUGAACAGGAUCGGGAAAAAGGAUUUUCCUAUUGGACUUGCUACUGAUUUUUUGAAAGCCAAGACUUUGUUUCUUUUAUUUUGGUCAUUGUUUUCUAUACAAGAUUUCAUGAGAGGUAAUAAUUUGCUAAUGUGGUGCUCAUUGUAUACUUUUCAAGCUUGUAUCUUUUUUUGGGUAUGUAUAUUUCUCAAGAUGUUUGAACUCAUCGCCUCUUUUUAAUGGGUUUCUGACAAAAUUUGGAUUUUUUGUUCAUAUUUCAUAUAGAAUAGAAGGGCACAUAAAUUGGAGACCGAAAGUCGAAGUCAAACAAAAAAAAAGUUAAGUGAACCUUUGGUUUUGAUGAUUUUCAUAUGUCGUCCUUUUUAGGUUUCUUAUUUGUUUUUAAUUUUAGGUUCCACCUUUUGAAUAGAUUGUGAUAUGGAAAUUGUAUUUGCAGAUACGUACGAGUUGACGAGAAAGAUUACACAUAGGGAAAAGAAGUUGAGUAAGAGGUGGCUUAUGUAAUAUGUUGAUGAAUUUUUCUAGGUAAAAGAUGAUGGAAUGAAGGUGCCUGACAUGGAUUAUUAUAUGAUGAAAAGUGGUUUAAUAUAAGAACUAAUGAAAGUAUAUUACUUUUUUUGCAUUAACAUUAAUAUUCGAUAACAAUAAAUUUAUAAAAAGUAUGUUGUUUGGGUAUAUGUUUCUACUAUAAUAUUUAACCAGAUGCACAAAUCCUAUUUGUAACUUCGUUUUCAUUUUUCUAUUUUGAAAUAAUUAGGCUACUUUUUACUUGGCUUUGGGAGCAAAGCAAUAUAUUUCAUUAAUAUUUGACUUGCUACUGAUUUUAGGAUCUACCCCAGUAGAAUGAUUCGUAUGUUCCAAGGACUUCAUUCGUUGUGUUACUCGCACAAGUAUUGUUCCUUGCGUCAUUGGUAUGAUUGAUUUAACUAAUUGGACAGAAGUGUGAAGAACUUUGGUUUCUUGAGUUGUAUUCUAUAGUGGUUUAAAUUAUAUCCUAGAAUCUUUCAUGGAUAUUUCAUUGUUAUUGAAGUUUGUAACAUUGAUGGUUAUAGGUUUUGCAUCUUAUGUUUGUUUCCUACAAUCUGAAAUACUUUUGUGUAUUUAUAGAAUAAUUAGUUGGCAAAUACUACACCAUAUAUAAUGCUCAAUUUAUAACAUAUUUUAUUCUUAUAAUUAUUCUUUCAUUGUUACAUAUAUUUUUCUUUCUUAAUUCCAGGAAUGGGUUACAGAUCCUCCAUGUAUAAUAGCUCAGUUAACUUUAAGCUUCUUGGUGGUUUAAUGGCAUUGGAGUACACCUAAAGAUUUGAAAGAAACUAAGCAUAUGCGAGGAAAUAAUUUCAAGCCCUAAAGAUUCCUCCGUUACCAUUGCUACAAUGAGAAAUAAUUUUAUUAAAAGGUACCAUUCAUUCUAAAAGUCUACGGUCAGAUAAAUGAAAGUAUGUUGCCCUUUCUGUUAUGAUGGUUAAACGUUUCUAAUUAUGCAGUGAAAUGUCUCAUUUAUAUUCGACUGCAAGGGAUAAAAACUGCAAUAUGUAUCACUGGAUUUUGUGGGUGAAUCAACUGUUUUUCUAAGAUAUUUAUUUUAGUUUUGGUUUUAAAUUGAGGUUGUGAUGUUGAGCCUAAGCCAAUGUGGUAUUUUAAAAGAAAGAGAUGGUUGCAUUUGUUCCUGGUCCUCAAGGUUCAAAGGAUUGUCUAUCAGGUGGUAUAUCAAGUUGGUGCUUACAUCUUUAAAAAUUAGCAUAUUUUACAUGAUUUCAUCUUUUUGGUUUAUUAUAUCAAUUUCUAGCUUCAUAAAAGUUUUUUUAAUCUUAUGGUUUUGUGUUGGUCAAGAGUCAAAGGUUAUAGAUGUCUACUAUACUAGCUUACAACCUACUUAAAGUUUUUUCCUACAUGUGUACGUCUUAGUGGUUAUAUCCUUUCUUUUGGUUCGUCCCAUGUAAUUUUUGUAUUUUCAGGUUUUCAAAAGAUCAUCUAUGUCGGUUUAAUUAGUCCCAUGUAUUCUUUAUCUUUUGAUGAUGAUUAGGUGACAGAAAGAAGGCUUCAUCGCCAAACUGUUUUCAAACCAGUUUCGGCUAUUAAAAAUGGUUCCGAUUUUUAAAUCCGGUUUAUCCGGACUUGAAGUCCCAAAACCGUUAUAACUAAUUCUGGUUCCGGUCUGGUUUUCCGGUUUUAAAUCUCAUCCCUAGCCAUAGUAGACAUUAAGGUAAAAUAAUAAUAAUAAUUAGAUAAAAAUCAAAGUAAGAUGCUAUAUGAGACAAAACAUUUGAAAGGACAUUGCUAUUUCUUACAUUUAGUGCAAUCAUUGGCUAAAUACAAUAUUUAAAAAUGUAAUUACAUCUAUUUGCCUAAUAUAAGAUUUUUAAUUUCAUUUUUUUAUCUUCUUUGAUUAUUUUUUAUCUUAUUUUAUAUAAGUACUUUAAAAGUACAAUGACAUAAUUGUCUAUGUAUGUAUGUGCAUUUGUGAUUCUUAGUGAUUGUGUCUGUGUGAAUAUGUCCAUAUAACUACGUAUGUAUGACUAAAUGUGUUUGUAACUGUUAGUGAUUGUGUAUGUAUGAAUAUGUCCAUGUGACUAUGUAUAUGUGACUAAAUAGUAAAGACUUUGGUGUCAUCGAGUUUGGGAAUCCAAAAGACUAUGAAAACUGAAAACCCCAACAAAUCCACUCCAUAUUAUCCAAUUGUUAAAAAUAUUUUUUUUAAUAUGUUAUCAUAAAUCAGAAAUUAUAUAUUUUCGGCACAAUGGAGCUAACAUAGGAAAACAAAUAUCCAACAUACACAAAAACCAUAAAUACAUUAAAAAAUAUAUUGUUCAUCGAAAAGAAUGAAUCAUUGAACUGAAAUAAAUAUUUAGUGAUACUUGUCAAUACAUUAUGUCUUAUUUUUAAUAUGAUAUAUUUCUUAAAUCGAAAGUUCAAUUGAAACUAAUGGUCUGCAGAAAAAAAAACUAAUUGUAAAAAACUAUUUGACGCCUGCCGUUUUACGCGGGUAAUGACUAGUAUAUAUAUAUANNNNNNNNNNNNNNNNNNNNNNNNNNNNNNNNNNNNNNNNNNNNNNNNNNNNNNNNNNNNNNNNNNNNNNNNNNNNNNNNNNNNNNNNNNNNNNNNNNNNNNNNNNNNNNNNNNNNNNNNNNNNNNNNNNNNNNNNNNNNNNNNNNNNNNNNNNNNNNNNNNNNNNNNNNNNNNNNNNNNNNNNNNNNNNNNNNNNNNNNNNNNNNNNNNNNNNNNNNNNNNNNNNNNNNNNNNNNNNNNNNNNNNNNNNNNNNNNNNNNNNNNNNNNNNNNNNNNNNNNNNNNNNNNNNNNNNNNNNNNNNNNNNNNNNNNNNNNNNNNNNNNNNNNNNNNNNNNNNNNNNNNNNNNNNNNNNNNNNNNNNNNNNNNNNNNNNNNNNNNNNNNNNNNNNNNNNNNNNNNNNNNNNNNNNNNNNNNNNNNNNNNNNNNNNNNNNNNNNNNNNNNNNNNNNNNNNNNNNNNNNNNNNNNNNNNNNNNNNNNNNNNNNNNNNNNNNNNNNNNNNNNNNNNNNNNNNNNNNNNNNNNNNNNNNNNNNNNNNNNNNNNNNNNNNNNNNNNNNNNNNNNNNNNNNNNNNNNNNNNNNNNNNNNNNNNNNNNNNNNNNNNNNNNNNNNNNNNNNNNNNNNNNNNNNNNNNNNNNNNNNNNNNNNNNNNNNNNNNNNNNNNNNNNNNNNNNNNNNNNNNNNNNNNNNNNNNNNNNNNNNNNNNNNNNNNNNNNNNNNNNNNNNNNNNNNNNNNNNNNNNNNNNNNNNNNNNNNNNNNNNNNNNNNNNNNNNNNNNNNNNNNNNNNNNNNNNNNNNNNNNNNNNNNNNNNNNNNNNNNNNNNNNNNNNNNNNNNNNNNNNNNNNNNNNNNNNNNNNNNNNNNNNNNNNNNNNNNNNNNNNNNNNNNNNNNNNNNNNNNNNNNNNNNNNNNNNNNNNNNNNNNNAUACCCUCCUUAUAGACCGGCUUCGUGAAUGAGGCGUACUAGCGGUAAGACGACUUUGUUCUUAUAUAUAUAUAUAUAUAUAUAUAAUUGUUAUUGAAAACUAAGCAUUAAAUGAAAAUAAUGAAAAUAUUAUUAUGUAGGAGCAAUGUUGGUUGCACUAAACACUUACGCAAAAAAAGAUGCUUCAUAAGAGAAUGAAAAAAUCUUUAACAUGGGAGGAAACACACAUCUGCAACAAUAUUUUUGGUGUACAAAAUUCUACUAGGAGUAGUUUAAUAGAUAUCGACCACAUUAGUUGUACAUGUUGGAAAUAGCGAAAAAGUGGUAUACCUUGACAACAUGCAAUUUUGGCAUGGUGAUGGUUAAACGUGAUGUGUAACAGUCGUACAAAGUGUCAAGUUUACGUGUAUUUUACAGUAUAUCAAGUUGCAUACAAAACAUGUAUAUAGUGCAUCCUCUAGCCAAUCUAAAUGAGGGAGUAAUACCAACAAAAGAUCAUUUACCCCCUACAAUUAAGAAUCAAGUAAUGUUUGGAUUUUUCAUUUACAUGAAUAUGUAUUUGUUUUUAUGAAUUCAAUUACAAUGUUAUUUUAUAUCCACUAGCUUGUAAAACUUAAAGCAUACAUAUUAAAUUAAAGGGACAUAUCAAUAGCUUGAAAACCAAGAAACAUCAUCGUCAGUUGUGCUAUGGAGGCAAUAACAAUGACUGGAAUUUGUUGGUGACUUCUAAUCCACAAUGAUCUACCACUACUAAUGUGACUGGGGUUUACAACUUCACCGCUACUGCUACUUGAGUUGGAGGAGACUUCUACAAUUGAAAAACCUAACAACAUAUUGAACAACAUAAUUUAAUAUUUUAUUGUCUAUGUCUAUCAAAAUAGAAUUUAUUCAUUUGUUUUAUAGAUAAACUCACAGUCAUAGUCUGCCCAUCCGAUCCGUUGAGCAUCCAAAUCGUAAACAAUAAACUUGUUUUUAAGAACAAGGUCUGAUCAAUAACUGAGUGAAAAAAUUAAAAAAAUAAAAUAAAAGCAAAGUCAAUUAUUGGGUUUUUAUGUUUCAUUAUUAUAAUUUAUACCUCCUAAAAUAGUAAUUCCUUUCUCGGGACUCCUCUAAAAGCCCAUGCACCACACCUCAGCCCCACUCUAUUAUAUUGCAACAAUCAUAUCAAGAUUCAAGUAAAAAUAUAAGUUAAUUAGGCUGUAUUUUUUACACAAACUAUCUAGGACUAUUUUUGUACCAACGAUAUAGGUCCCAACCCCCAUAACAUCAAAUACAAUACAACUAGUUUUGCUUUAUCUUGUCCAAAUUAUCAAAUGCGAACUUAACAUAAGGCUACAUAACAUACCUUGGAGCUUUGGAGAGAAAGGUAGUCUUGAGGUCUUAAAUGCAUUGAAGCACCCCCGACAAAGUUCAAACUUACGAUGGGAAAUAUAUUAGAGACACUGAAAUUAUAAUAAAAUCUAAUUAUUAAAAUUAUAAAAGCACGUAUCAUAUCGAAUGAUACAACAAAGGAUUAACACUCGUUUAGUCUCAAAAACUAGAUUUGAAAUUUAAGGGUAUAUAUAUGACAAUUUGUAGUAGUUGAAGUCUAAAAUCGGUAUAAAGAACUAAAGAUGGACUGAUUGACAUUUAACUAGUAAGGACAAAAAAGGGAGGAAUAUAAGUGCCAAUUUAACUACAAAAAGUUUUAAAGGUUGUAAACCUGGAAGUAAUUGAAUAACAAGGAUUUCCAUUUGAUGUACGUUGUUGUACGGACAACAAAACCGACUUUGUGAUCUGCACCAACAGAAGUAAUACCUCAAUGAUGACACAUUAAGAAAUAAAAAUAUCAUUUUAUAAAGUUUUGCUGAUAGAAUUUUUCGAUUGUACUUACAGCAUCUACAAAAGGGGUGUAAGCCUCUUCAGUAAGGUAUGCCAGAGUUGUUCCCGAGUCAAUUAUUGUUCCAGCUUUAUCAUUAUUUAUUGCAAAUACUGAUGGAUCAAUGGAUAAUCUUUUACCAUUGAUCGAAAUACUAUGCAAAUGUGUACUAUAAUACCCCCUGCAAACGUACAUGGAAUGAAAUUAGAGAUAGUUGGUGUUUCUUUUGACUUAAUGGUAAAAAAUAUAUAUAAAGGUUUUCUUUUAACUUAAUACAGAAAGAAAACUUACUGUGAUUUGACAAGUGGAGUAAAAAUGAUAUUUGGCACCGUUGGCUGACCAAUAACCAAAAUCCCACCUCCAUCAGCAAGACAAUGUGCGAAUGAAUUUGGAGCAAUCCCUUGCGAAGAAAGUUGGGAUAUGACAAAUAAACCAUGUCGCCCCAAUCCCAAAACCCCAUCAACUGCUCCAUCAGAUGUAGCUAAGAUCCCAGUUUCCAUUGUGCUACAACUGUUGCAUAAUUCAAUAAAUCAACGAUCUUAUUUAAGAGAGUGAAAUGAUACCGUAACUCCGAAAAAAAAAGGAAGCAAAGGGGAAGUAUAUAAAAAAAUGAUAACUUACCCGAAUACCACAGAAGCGGAAACAUUUGAUGAUUUUGUAUCUGUAAGAAGUGUCUUUAAAUGAAUUAAGUCAGAUACAUAAUGACCUAAUGUUGCACUACUGUCUCCAUAGUGAAUUGUGUAAGUGCAUUGAUUAUGUGAACAUGAGCUGGAAUUAUAAGUUUGACCCGCUUGAGAACAUAUUUGGUCCGAACAUGAGAUAGGAGAAGAUGUUGAUGAGCUUGAAGGGUCAUACAAUGUAAUAGGAAUCUAUUCAAAGAAAGAAAAAAUCAUAUACGUAGUAGUUAAUUCACAAAAGUCACACCUUAUAAAAAAAGAAAUUAUAAGAAAUGAUGAACAUACAUUAAAUUUGCUUGAUGUAGGGCAAUCAAUGCAAGGCUUGCAACCGACCCAUAAGACAUCACUUCCUGUGUCAAUUUGUACAUAAUAGUCUUUUGGAGGAGAUCCCAAUUUGACUUUUGUGAAAUACAACCUACAAGAUAACCAAAUUACAAUAUAUCAAUGCUCUUGACUCAUGAUACAUAAUCUUUAAGAUGUUAGUUUAAGAGAAAACAUUUAGUAACAAAUUGUUUUCUAAAAGGAAUUUUAAAGCACAAGCAAUGAAAUCAAUAAUCUUUUAAUUUCCGUUUUGGUAACUACUUAGAGCCAAUCUCGAGGUAACUACAAGGAAUACAUAUACACUAUAUAAAUUACUAUAGCUAAGCACUUACAAAUAUAUUUAAAAUACAUAUAUUUCUUUGAUAAACCCAAAACAAGGAACAGGGUCAGGGUCUCAGGGACUAAAAUGCCAAUAAAUAGAAAUCUUAAAGUAAACUCAUGUAUCCUAUGAUGAUAUAAAUUGCUAAAUCAAAACACUUAGAAGAUAAUACAGCGAUCAGCAGCUGAAGGAUAUUUAUAUAUUUUUUUCAGUGACACUAUCUAAAUGCAACGAAGUCCCAAAAAAUAAGCAUAUAUGGCCAUAACAGAUAAUUAGUAACGAAAUUAAUCAAGUUCACGAAUGAGGAUGAUAACUGAUAAAUACUAGAAAUUUUAAAAUGAAAAAACAAAAAGUUUAAGAGAGUUGUGUAUAUAUAGUAGUGUACCCAGCAACAUGAGCAUCAUAACUUCCUUCAGCAGCGAAUUCUAUAAUACCUCUUGGAGAAAUAUCCUUCUGUAACAUCAUCCUCCCAUGUCUCAAACUAUCUCUCUUUCUAAGCUCACUCAACUCAAUUCUACUGUUCACCGGAAAAGCUUUUUCUAGAGUGAAAGUGGCCGGAAACGCAGAUAGAACAACCACCGCCUGCAGUAACACAACGGUGGCGAGUAGUGUUGUCGAUGUAACCACAUUUCUGACAAUAAUAUAAACCCUCCUCAUUCCUUAUCUCUUUCCCUUUCUAUUCUUCCCUCGGACAAAUAAUCAAGGUUAAUCAACCUGUCUAUAAAUAUUCUUUUCUCGUAGGGAUAUUACCUGUAAUUUUUAAAAUAAGUUACACAAGUGAUCCCUCUUAACUUACAGGUUUAGUACAAUAUCACAAUUUUGUUGGUGGUUUUAUAGAAAUAAAGAUGACGAAAGUAACUCACAUAAUAACACUUUAAACAAAAGCUAUUGAUCUAUCAUUUUUAUAGUUUACUUCACUUUUUAUGAUGCAUCUCCCUUACAUUUACUAAAAACGUAAGUAUUUACAUUUGCUAAAAAUGUAACAUCUAUAUUUAUAUUAAAGAAAUACUUAAGAAUGAAGAAAACUUAAUGAUCAAGGAUCCUAACGAAUGAUAAUUAGUUAGUUAGUCAUGACAUAUUGCUCAUAUUAGUGGUAGCUAGCUAGGCAAACUCCGUUAAUUCAAUUAUGUCAAAACCAAAACGUUUGGAUAACUCGCUUGCAUGGCAUCUUUUUUUUUUUUUUUUUUUUAAUCUUUUUUUUGAAGGAAUCAUUAAUAGAUUAAGAUUAUUUUUAUUAAUGUUUACCCCUUAUUUUAAACUAAUUACUUGAUUCCUUAUUUUAAACUAGUUACUUUGUUUAUUAGUGUUAAUGCCAUAAUAUGCAUUCGCUGCUCUCUGCAUUCAUUCAACAAACGAGAGACCCAAUUCGUCCCAUUUUAAACCGUUCUUCAGUUUCUUUAUGGAUAGUGCCCGUCCAAAUAUCUUGGGCCGAGAGCAUAAAAAAGCCCCUUAAAUUUGAGUUUAAUUAAGGACAAAACCAUGAAACACACUAUAGUUUGGCAAAAAUCCAGUUAAGCAUUAUAUUUUAUUUUGUUCUAAAAAUAAUGCUUAUGUUUGAAAAAAAAAAACACAAUACUAGUACCAAGAUAAUAUGACAAUCAUUAAAGCCACCAAAAAUUCACAUACUUUUACAAACAUAUAUUAUAUUCUAGGAAAUCUUAGAUAAAAUCUAAGUCUUAAUAUUUUGGGUCAACUUACGGUUUAAUCAUAAUAUUUAUUUCUGAACAUAAAAGUCUCGAGUAUCUAAUUUUAUACGAUAAUCUCUCAUUUUCUCUUGAAAUAAAACAAAAGCUUUUUCGUUUAUUCGGGCUUAUAAAAUAAUCGUGACUUUUUUUGUUCAAAAAAUAAAAGUGGAUUAAAUCGUAAACUGACUCAAAAUAUUGGAACUUUAUCAGAUAUUUCCUUAUUUUUUAAUAAAAAAUAAAUUGUGAUCAUUGAAUCGGUUUUCGUCAAACUAAAAUGGUUAUAAAUGAUUUUUUUUAACUUAAAAUAAAAGAAAAGUUACGUGAAGAGCUAUUUAUAUAAAAUGAAUUCUAGGUAAUUCAACUCUAAGGUGUUGUUUGGUUUGCAAAAUUUAGCUGAAGGAAUUUGAAUUUGAAUUGGGAAAGGAAUUUGUUAAUUGAAUCCAAUUCUAUAUGAUGUUUGAUUAGCAAUAAACGGAAUUGAAAAUAAUUUUAGAUAAUGUUUUUUUCAUAGGAAAUUGAAUUGGAAUUCAUAUAAAAUGAUAUAAUUACUCUUUUUGCAUGUUAAUUUUACUUUGUUUUCUAACUUAUAUGUAAAGAUACAAUAUAUAAAUUAUAAAAACAAUAAAAUUUCAGUAGUGGUGAAGGGGCGAUAGCGGUGGUGGCGGCGAAAGUGAUGGUAGCAGUGACGUUGGUGGGUGGUGGUAAUGGUGGCAACAAUAGUGGUGGGUGGCGAUGAUGGUGGUAGCAACGGUGGUGGUGGCAUUAAUUGUGGUGGCAGUGGUGGUGGUGAUGGUAGCAGUGGUGGCUAGUGGCGGUGACAGUGUUAGUGGUGGUAGUGGCGGCUUGUGGCAACGUUGGUGGUGGUCGUGAGUGAUGGUAGUGGUGACGUCGAUGGUGGUGAUGAUUGCAGUGACAAUGAUAGUAGCGGUGGUCGCAGUAGUAUUAUUAGUGGUGGUGAUGGUGGCAGUGGGUGCGGUGGCGAUGGUAGUGGCGGUGAUGGUGGUCGCAACGUUGGUAGUGGCGGUGNNNNNNNNNNNNNNNNNNNNNNNNNNNNNNNNNNNNNNNNGCUUAUGGCAACGUUGGUGAUGGUCGUGAGUGAUGAUAGUGGCGACGUCGAUGGUGGUGAUGAUUGCAGUGGCAAUGGUGGUAGUGGUGGUCGCAUUAGUAUUAUUAGUGGUGGUAAUGCUUCGACGAACGAAGCCAAUUCUUACGAGAUCCGCAACUGCAAUGUUGAUGAAGAAAGAAAUAACCAUUAAUUAGAGGCUUCCCCGUGGAGAAGGUACAAUCGAAAGGAGGCAAAGGAAACAUUGGAAGGGGCUGAAUUGGAAAACAGAUCUGAAGAAGUGGCCAGCCGAUCAGGAGACACAAGGCUUAGAGGCAGGGGUCAUCUAAGGAGGAGGUAGAUGUAGAUGAUGUAGUGGAAGAAACCGAUGAAAGAGCUCUAGUUUGGUGUUGGUGUCUAUUUUAUUAUUUAUGCCGAAAACUGACGAAAAUGAAAAAUAUGGAACAUAAUGAAGACACCUCCGAUGACUAUUAGAAAAUCUCGCCGGAGGUAGAAGGCGGUGGCUGUGGAUUGUGGUUAGCAAUUGUGUAACAACGUAAAAUUUCAAACAAUUUUUCAUUUAAUUUUUAAUAAAACAUUUCAUUAUUAAAUCAUCCAAAAGUCAAGUAUCCAAUGUUUCCACAAAAUACAUAACAUAAUCCAUAACCUAAGAUCUCAAAAACAUGACAUCUGCAACUGUGUACUGAUCAAGCUGGCGCCUUUCCGCGAUCCUCGCUAGUACCUGAAACACAUAACACAUAACACUGUAAGCACGAAUGCUUAGUGAGUUCCCCAAAAUACCACAUACUGCACAUACNNNNNNNNNNNNNNNNNNNNNNNUCCCAUCCCAACUCUGUUGCCCUUCCGGUCCAUAUCAUCUUGACCAUCCGGUCCACAUCAUCAUACUCAUAUCACAUAUAGCAUACAUCACAUAUACAUCAUACACAUAAGACCUUCCGGUCACACAUAAUUACCCCAUCGGGUAAGGCAUAGUGAGAAGACUCACUUCGCUGAUGUCGGAUAAUCACUCGUGCCCAAUCUCCCGACCUAUCGUCCUCCUAUAUCAUAAGUAUAACUCUCAUUAAUACUUUCCUGACUUUGUUUGACUAACACUAUCAAGUCAACACUAGUCAACCCUGGUCAACGCUGGUCAACGGUCAACCUUUGACCCGACUCGUCGAGUGCCUUUGGGUAACUCGGCGAGUUUAUCCGUGUCCACCCAUACCGAUCUAGUCCUGCUUAACACGUCGAGUCUUUCCCUUGCUGGACGUUUGACACCUGGCUUGAAUCGUGGGGCCACCCCGACUCAACUCGUCGAGUCUAAUUAUGAACUCGGCGAGUUCCAUUGCGUACUCACAUCCUCUAGAUCCCUUCUGACUCACCGAGUCAUUCGCCAACCCGGCGAGUCACCAACUGUGUGAUUUACUGGGAAACCCUAGCCCUACUCGUCGAGUCUGUUCUUGGACUCGGCGAGUCCAUACCGUGCACAAACCCAACUGACCUCCUAAGGUCAGAUCUGUUCCAUUAAUCCAUAGAUCCGACCUUCCCAAGCGUGAUAAUCACGUAAAGUCUAUAUCUUGAUGCAUAAACAACAUCUAUUUGAUCCUAUAUGAUGUUUUAGCCCCAAUUAUCAUAACCCAUGGUCAAAACCCCCAUUGAUCUUCAUAAAGCUUGAUGAGUAAGGCUCUAUGGACCUCUAUGGAUCCAGAUCUAAAACCUCAUCACAAAUAGGGACUAAUUGGACAUUAAAUCUAACCAAUAAAGGGUCCAAGAAACCCUAAAUCCAUGUGAUCAUCAUAACAACAGAAGGGAAGCCGAAUUACUACCUCAAAUGUGAUGCUCUGAGCUCCAAAUCCACAAAAUGCCAACCUCCCCUGCUUCCUCUUGGCUAGAACCUCCUUCUCCUUGCUAAACAAUACUUCAAAGGUCAAUAAUGGCUUCCUUUCUCUCCCAAAACGCUCAAACACUCUAGGGUUUCUCUCAAGGGACUGAUAGCCGCAAAUGACGGCCCUAAGGGCCUUUAAAUAGGUCCCAAACCUGAGAGAUUAGGGUUUCAUUAAAAAUCGCAGACUCGCCGAGUCCACCCAUGAACUCGCCGAGUCCGGUUAUCAAUCCGGAUAAGAAUUCGCGACCUUACUCGGCGAGUCUAAGCACCAACUCGCCGAGUCCCUCCACNNNNNNNNNNNNNNNNNNNNNNNNNNNNNNNNNNNNNNNNNNNNNNNNNNNNNNNNNNNNNNNNNNNNNNNNNNNNNNNNNNNNNNNNNNNNNNNNNNNNNNNNNNNNNNNNNNNNNNNNNNNNNNNNNNNNNNNNNNNNNNNNNNNNNNNNNNNNNNNNNNNNNNNNNNNNNNNNNNNNNNNNNNNNNNNNNNNNNNNNNNNNUGAUCCCUAAUAGCCACCGGUCUCUCAACAUAGUUCAGGCUCACGUCCACCUGAAUAUCCUCUAACGGUACCACUGCCGACUCGUCGGCUAUACACUUUCUCAGCUGAGAUACGUGGAAGGUGUCAUGAAUCUGACCCAACUCUACAGGUCGUUCCAACCGGUAGGCUACCCUGCCUACCCUCACGAUCACCCUGAAAGGACCAAUAUAUCGGGGCCCCAGCUUGCCCCUCUUCCUGAAUCGGAUCACUCCUUUCCAUGGAGAGGCCUUGAGGAGUACAAAGUCGCCGACCUGAAAUUCGAGCUCGGACCGGCGCCUAUCCGCAUAACUCUUCUGGCGACUCUGAGCGGUCAGCAACCUCUGUCUGACCUGCUGUAUCUGCUCUGUCGUCUGAAGCACUAUCUCUGUACUACUCAUCACACGUUGCCCUACCUCUCCCCAAUAAAUAGGAGUCCGACACCUCCUCCCAUACAACAGCUCAAAGGGUGGCAUACCAAUGCUCGAACGAUGGCUGUUGUUGUAGGAAAACUCCGCCAAGGGUAAAUACGUGUCCCAACUCCUGCAAUCCAACACACAUGCUCGGAGCAUGUCCGCGAGCCUUUGAAUCGUCCGCUCACUCUGCCCAUCAGACUGUGGAUGGUAUGCGGUACUAAAAUGUAGCCUCGUACCCAAUUCCUCAUGAAAUUUCUUCCAGAAUCUGGAAGUGAAACGCACGUCUUGAUCUAAGACAAUCGAGAUCGGCACUCCAUGCCGCGAUACCACCUCCCUUACGUACAUCUCUGCCAACCUCUUAACGGAAGAGCUCUCACUAAUAGCAAGGAAGUGAGCGCUCUUCGUGAACCUGUCUACAAUCACCCAAAUUGCAUUGACGCCCUCGCAGUCCUCGACAACUUGGUGAUAAAAUCCAUAGUAAUCUGUUCCCACUUCCACUCGGGAACCUCUAAUGGCUGUAACUUACCAUGCAUUCUCUGGUGCUCGACCUUAACCCUACGAUAGGUUAGGCACCUCUCAACGAACCACACGACGUCCCUCUUCAUACAGGGCCACCAAUAUUCCCUCUUCAAGUCCAAAUACAUCUUAGUGGCCCCGGGAUGGAUCGAGAACCUCGAUCUAUGCGCCUCCUCCAUCAAGAUGGUACGUGUUCCGCCCACAAACAGUACCCAAAUUCGACCCUGAAAAGUCAUAAGCCCUUGGCUGUCAGUGACGAACUCCGACACCUGCCCGAUAACCCGCUCUCUCUGAUGGUUCUCCGGUCUCACUACCUCAGCCUGGGCCCCUCGAAUGGUGUCCAACACCGGAGUCAUCAUAGUCAUUCUCAUACAAAUGUCUCGUAUCGGGGCAUUCUCUGCCCUACGACUCAGGGUGUCGACUACCACAUUAGCCUUGCCCGGGUGGUAUAGGAUCUCACAAUCAUAAUCCUUUACCACAUCUAACCACCUCCUCUGCCAUAUGUUCAAGUUGGGCUGAUCCAUCAAGUACUUCAAACUAUUGUGGUCCGUGUAUAUGGUACACCGAACCCCAUACAGAUAGUGAUGCCAAAUCUUGAGGGCGAACACUACUGCCCCCAACUCCAUAUCGUGAGUGGGAUACCUCACCUCAUGAGGCUUCAGCUGACUCGAUGCAUACGCUAUCACAUGCCCCCUCUGCAUGAGCACUGCACCUAACCCAUACAUAGAUGUGUCACAGUAAACCACGAAAUCAUCAACUCCCUCUGGGAGGGAUAGCACCAGGGCUUCAUACAACUUCUGGCGAAGAGUCUCAAACGAGGUCUGCUACUCUGGACCCCAUGAGAAAGAAACACCCUUCUAGGUCAAACUAGUGAGUGACACUGCAAUCUUGGAGAAAUCCUAAAUGAAUCUCCGAUAAUAAUCGGCCAACCCCAGAAAACUCCUGAUCUCGGAGGCAGACUUCGGUACCUCCGAGCUUAUUUCCGCCUCAAUCUUGGCCGGAUCGACCAAAAUCCCAUUCUCGUUAACGAGAUGUCCCAGGAACUGGACCUCCCAUAACCAGAAAUCACACCUUGAGAAUUUGGCAUAGAGCCUCUCCGAUCUCAAAACCCUGAGGAUUUCCCUCAAAUGCUCCUCAUGCUGCUCUCUAGACCUCGAAUACACCAAUAUAUUGUCGAUGAACACGAUCACUGAACGAUCCAACAUCGGCCUGCAUACUUUGUUUAUGAGAUCCAUGAACGCUGCUGGUGCAUUGGUGAGCCCGAAAGGCAUCACCACGAACUCAUAGUGCCCGUAUCGCGUCCGGAACGCCGUCUUCUGUAUAUCCUCAUCACGCACCCUCAUCUGAUGAUAUCCAGACCUCAAAUCAAUCUUGGAGAACUAAGAUGCCCCCUGAAGCGGAUCAAAUAAGUCAUCAAUCCUUGGCAACGGAUAAUAGUUCUUAACCGUUAACUUAUUUAACUCCCAGUAAUCUAUACACAUCCGGUGUGAACCAUCCUUCUUCUUAACGAAGAGAAUCGACGCUCCCCAAGGUGAGCUGCUCGGGUGAAUGCAUCCCUUCCCCAACAGUUCUUGCAACUGUGAGGAUAAAUCCUGCAUCUCUGGCGGUGCUAGGCGAUAUGGCGCCUUAGCGAUAGGCGCAACCCCGGGAAUCAAAAAGAUGCGAAACUCCACCUGCCUCUCGGGAGACACACCCGACAACUCCUCUGGAAACACGUCCGGGAACUCACGCACUAUCAGAACAUCACCAACUGAACUUGGCCUCCUAGCGGCCUCACGCGUAUCCAUCACAUAGGCUACAAACCCCUUGCAGCCAUGCUGCAAAAUCUGCCUCGCUCUGGCAGCCGAACAGAAUGCUGAAUCACUAUGAGUCCCCUCACCAUAAACUAUCAGCACUCCCCCACUAAGAUCUCGAAUCGUCACCAGAUACUGCUCGUAGUCUAUCACUGCCCCAAAACGGCUCAACCAAUCCAUGCCCACGAUAACACAUACGUCCCCCAUCGCAAUCGGGACCAAAUCUAUUGGAAACCCAACGCUGAAGAUCUCAAGUACACAUGCCCGAAUCACUUCUGUGGCAUACAUUGCCCGGUCGUCAGCUAUGGAAACACGCAAAGGUCGACUCAUCACCUCUCGCUGAAUACCGAUGUGCCUACUGAAAGCUAAUGAUACAAAGGACCGACUCGCACCCGAUUCAAAUAACACCAAAAAGGUACAUAAUUCACAAGGAAAGUACCUACACAUAUCAUGAUAUAAGCACAAUAUGUCAACAUAAAAUAAAUACAUGAAAGAAUACAUACCAGCCACGACGUCAGGUGCUGUACAGACCUCCUCCGCUGUCAGUUGGAAUGCCCUCCCUCGCGCCUUCGGCGCCUCGGCCUUCACCGGCCGACCCUCACUAGCUCUCGCAACAGCAGGGGCAGAUCCCUGAGAUGCUCCUUGUGUCGUCCCUCGCAACUGUGGACACUCCGCCUUCCGGUGCCCGAUCUGGUUGCAAUGAAAGCAAACCAUGAAUCCCUCGGGGCAAUCCUUGGUGAUAUACCCCUCCUUGCCAUACUUGUAGUAAGCACCAACCAUACAAACUCCAUCAUGACCCUUGCCACACUAUCCACAAGUUCGGCCCUUCUGACCCCUGGACCUCGAAUCGGCGGGCUUUGCCCGCUUGGCUGCCGGCUGAGACUGUGUCGGCCGCCGAUCCAUCCACUGAGACUCAGCCUCCUCCCUGGCCUGCGUCUCCAACUCAAUCUCCCUCUUCCGGGUAUUUUCCUGAAGCUCAACAAAUGUCCAGUAUGAUGAGUUUGCCACAAACUCACGAAUGUCUCUCCUCAGAAUGCUCAGAUAUCGGCUUAUACGUGCCUUCUCGGUCGACACUUGCUCAGGGCAGAACAUCGCCCUCUCGUGAAACAUCUGGGUAAUCACAGUAACUGACUCAGUACCCUGCUUGAGGGUCAAGAACUCCUGAGCCAAACGCUCCCGUUCCACCGGGGGAACGUACUCAUCAUGAAACAUAGCGGUGAACCUUUCCCAGGUCACCGCAGCAAGCUCUGCUGAAUAAUAGCGCGCUGUCACGAACUUCCACCAGUCCUUCACCCCAAACGAAGUUGGUUCAGUGCGAACCGAACUCUCAGAUGCUCCGGACAUGAACAUGUGUAGAAGCACCCCUCUAUGUCAGAGAUCCACCUCAUCGCGACUAUCGGAUCCUGAGUCCUGUCAAACUCUGGUGGCUUCGUGUUGCUGAACUCCCAGUACAACAAUGAGUCACCCCCUGCGGCCUGGCAGCAGUAACGGCCGCAGUGGCUGCUGCAACAACAACAUCAGAAAGAGUAGUAUACUGUUCGUCAAAAGUCUCAAUCAAGGUGGUCUUAAUAGACCUGAACAUCUCUGGAAUCUUAGCCCUGAUGGCCGCAGCCACCUCCUCGUGGAUGAUCCUACGAAUCUCCUCAUCACUCGUCCCAUUGAUCUCUGGUGUGUGGCGUGUCCCAACCAUGAUCUACCUAUGAAAUACAACAUAAAGAAAUAUCAGGGACUCGCUCGAGCAUACAUACACUCGAUAAACCCACUCUACUUGUUCCUUGGUACCCUAAGGAUUCUUACUUGGACUGUGCACUGACUGGUGUCUUCAGUAGUACGAGCCUAAUACUACCGUCCACACCGCAUCAGCAUCCACCCCAAGUCCUCCUCCGAGGAUCCCAAAUCACAAGUACUCUAUCUCUUUUCACACAUAAACUACCCUUCAGUAGACUCUCAUAGCACCUCACUGCUACUUACUUACUUUAAAGCAUCUCAUGGCAACAGAAAUCUUCCUAGGCUAAGGCAUCACAAAUCAGUCCACUCUAGUCCUAAUAUGAAUACCUAGCCUACUCUAGCAUGCAUAACACAUUUCAAUAUAUCUCAUAACACAAAAUGUAAGAGUAUUUUAGGAAAUCACCGUUCGGGCGCUGGCUGAUCGUACACACUGCUUCCUUGCGUAUCGUUUCAAUUCUUUUACUUUUCAGAAAAAUUGUUUAUCUUAUGAAAAAUUUCUCAAAUCCUCAGUUUGAGUUCAAAUACACCCGAAGGUGAAUUCGAGUCCCUCAAACCAAGGCUCUGAUACCAAUUUGUAACAACGUAAAAUUUCAAACAAUUUUUCAUUUAAUUUUUAAUAGAACAUUUCAUUAUUAAAUCAAUCAAAAUCAAGUAUCCAAUUUUUCCACAAAAUACAUAACAUAAUCCAUAACCCAAGAUCUCAAAAACAUGACAUCUACAAGUGUGUACUGAUCAAGCUGACGCCUUCCCGCGAUCCUCGCUAGUACCUGAAUCACAUAUACAUCGUACACAUAAGACCUUCCGGUCACACAUAAUUACCCCAUCGGGUAAGGCAUAGUGAGAAGACUCACCUCGCUGAUGUCGGAUAAUCACUCGUGCCCAAUCUCCUGACCUAUCGUCCUCCUAUAUCAUAAGUACAACUCUCAUUAAUACUUUCCUGACUUUGUUUGACUAACACUAUCAAGUCAACACUAGUCAACCCUGGUCAACACUGGUCAACGGUUAACCUUUGACCCGACUCGUCGAGUGCCUUCAGGCAACUCGACGAGUUCAUCUGUGUCCACCCAUACCCGUCUAGUCCUACUUAACACGUCAAGUCUUUCCCUUGCUCGACGUAUGACACCUGGCUUGAAUCGUGUGGCCACCCCAACUCAACUCGUUGAGUCCAAUUAUGAAUUCGGCAAGUUCCAUCGCGUACUCACGUCUUUAGAUCCCUUCUGACUCACCGAGUCAUUCCCCAACCCGACGAGUCACCAACUGUGUGAUUUACGGGGAAUCCCUAGCCCUACUCGUCGAGUCUGUUCUUGGACUCGACGAGUCCAUACCGUGCACAAACCCAACUGACCUCCUGAGGUCAGAUCUGUUCUAUUAAUCCAUAGAUUUGACCUUCCCAAGCAUGAUAAUCACGUAAAGUCUAUAUCUUGAUGCAUAAACAACAUCUAUUUGAUCCUAUAUGAUGUUUUAGCCCCAAUUAUCAUAACCCAUGGUCAAAACCCCCAUUGAUCUUCAUAAAGCUUGAUGAGUAAGGCUCUAUGGACCUCUAUGGAUCCAGAUCUAAAACCUCAUCACAAAUAGGGACUUUUUGGACAUUAAAUCUAACCAAUAAAGGGUCCAAGAAACCCUAAAUCCAUGUGAUCAUCAUAACAACAGAAGGGAAGCCAAAUUACUACCUCAAAUUUGAUGCUUUGAGCUCCAAAUCCACAGAAUGUCAACCUCCUCUGCUUCCUCAUGGCUAGAACCUCCUUCUCCUUGCUAAACAAUACUUCAAAGGUCAACAAUGGCUUCCUUUCUCUCCCAAAACGCUCAAACACUCUAGGGUUUCUCUCAAGGGACUGAUAGCCGCAAAUGACGGCCCUAAGGGCCUUUAAAUAGGUCCCAAACCCGAGAGAUUAGGGUUUUAUUAAACAGCGCAGACUCGCCGAGUCCACCCAUGAACUCGCCGAGUCCGGUCAUCAAUCCGGAUAAGAAUUCGCGACCCUACUCGGCGAGUCUAAGCACCAACUCGCCGAGUCCCUCCACAAACUCCAAAAUAAACGAAUAAAAUAAUAUACCUAGGAAUCCGGAUGUUACAAAUUGACUUUUAACCUAGAGCUCUGAUACUAUGUUAGUUAAUAGAUUGAUUGAUUCUCAAAAGACAAUUACAUAAGAAUAUAUACAGAAUACCUAAAACCUAAUGUCAAAACCCUAAAGGGUUUUGGCCUAAACCCUAAGUUUUGCCAUUAGGUUUCAAGUAUUCUCUAUAUAUUCUUAUGUAAUUGUCUUUUGAGAAUCUCUCAAUCUAUUAUCUAACAAUAUAUUCACAUAGCUUUAGUUGGAGAAUUUAAAAAAGUUAACAACCAAAUGAUGGGAGACAAGUUUGUUACAGAGCUAAAGAAUAUUUAAAAGCAACAAGAAAUUUGUCAAAUAUGUUAUUUAAGCUUUACCGGUUUAAAAAUCCAAACUGUUCUUUAUUUUCCAGAGUUUUAUUAAUACAUUUGUUAAAAUGUUACCUAGUUUUGCCGUCAUAAAAUAAUAGGACAAAUUUUGUCAAAUACGUUAUUUACGUUUUGCAAAUACAAAAGGAUGCAUUAGUUUUAUGAAAUUUAAAAGACAUAUAUAUCGACAUAAAGGAAACAACUGGAUGGGUUUAUACUCCAACAAGGAUAAAUUUAACAUUACCAUUUUGCUCUACUCUCUUUAAAUUGGUGAGAUCUGUGUUCCUUAUUGUGAUUAUUGUUGGAAAGUAUUUUUAACCCUUGCUAGUUUAAAAUAGUUUGCCAAUAUUAAACAUCAAAAAAUAUUUGAUUGCGUAGGGGACCGAUGACUACGUUUGUUGCGGCAUGGUUUUUUGACUAAGUUGAAAAGUUACCUAAAAAACGUAUUUUCCUUUGUGAUGCGUGGUAUUAGGUUUUAGUCCUGAAUUAUAACAUUAUAUUUGAAAAUGAAUUCACCAAAAGUAUGUACAAAAUAAUAAAUUUUCUAAUCUUUCAGAUUUUCCAUCAUAUUCAUAAAAGAAUAUAGACGGGAACAUUUACAAACAUCAACAAAGACUAUUUAGAAAAAAUAUCUAAUCUUCAAGAUUAUUUUGUAGCUCUAGCAUGUACAGUAUGAUUAUUUGGAAAAAAUAUCUAUCAUUUUUUAAGUUAUAAUUUCAAUAUUAUUGAUACCAUUGAUUUUUGCAAAACAUUCAAGAUUCAUAUCUAGUUUCCACUCACCCAAUGCUAUUAAUUAGAUUUUGAAAAAUAUCCAUCAUUCUUUUUAAGUUAUAAUUUCAAUAUUAUUGAUACCAUUGAUUUUUGCAAAACAUUUAAGAUUCAUAUCUUGCUAGUGUUCGUUCACCCAAUGUUAUUCAUAUAUUGUAUCCCUUUGAGAGGGAACUACGUUUCAUUAGUGUUCAUAUUAGUUGCUAUUAUGGAUGGAAACUGUGAGUUCGUGCCUAUAAUGUUUGGUCUUGGUGUCACACACGCUGUCCAUUCUUGUUCUUGGUUCUCGGUGAGACUGAAGAAAUGUCUUAGGGAACGUUAGGUAAGUUGCAUUCAUAAACAAAAUAUCUUCUUUCAUAGAUAUUUCCCUCACUUAUGUAUUCCCAAAUUUCUAAAGAGGGUAUUAUUAUAAAAAUUUAUAAGAAUUUAUAUACUAGGCAUGGCCGUAAUGUCAUAGUGGAAUGUUUGUUUAAGCAGACAUGCGAAUCCUAUACAAUGUUUGAUUUUGAUGUAAAAUUAGGUAGACAUUAUUGUGCAAUCAAGAAUUCUAGAAGAGGCAAUAUACGAGUCCGGCUUGACAAUAUUGGUCACGUAAAAUGGGCAAAGGCUUUAUUCCCUAAAGCCCGUUUGAAUAUAAUGGAUAUUGGUAUUCAUGAUGAAAUUAAAUUAUUAACUACAGUUGCACGAUAAUUAAUGAUAACUUCGCUCAUUGUAGUUGUUUGUGAGACCAUACAACGCAUGUAUGCUCAACGCAAUGACCAUGGAGGUGUGUAUAUAUAUNNNNNNNNNNNNNNNNNNNNNNNNNNNNNNNNNNNNNNNNNNNNNNNNNNNNNNNNNNNNNNNNNNNNNNNNNNNNNNAAAGCAAAAAAAUAUAUAGAUAAAUAAAUCAUAAUAUAAUGAUAAGAAAAAAUUUAUUAAUUUAUAAAGAUAGAUACUUCAAACUACAACACACUACUACAAAAAAGGCUAUAAAACCCGGUUAAUAUGGCUAAUAGAACCCGGUUUUACAUCAGGGUUAUAUGAAGGCGAGUCUUAUGUUAAAGUAUAAAAAGAACCCGAUUUUGCAACCGGGUCUUAUUAGAAAAAUAGAGUCCGGUUUUACUUAUGCAAUCGGGUCUAAUGAAUUCAAUAAUAUAGCCACUUUUCCUUUAUGAAAUUACGUCUGAUGAGGCCAGUUAAGACUUUACACAUACCACCAAUUCCACAAUCCCAUGAGCAUCCAAAUGUUGUUAACAGAAGAUAAAAAUUUGCCAACAUAAAAACAUGAAAGAGCAAGCAAAGAAACCUUCAACUACUUAAUUAGGUAGAUUCAACAUUAAACAAAAUAUUUCAAUUUAAAAUGACCAGUUGCUAAUACCAACAAUAAAGUUCAAACAAUAAUGAACAUAUUGUUAAUUAAGUUAAACAAUUGUUAUAACUGAUUAAAUACAAAAGCUAAAACUAGCAAUGACGGUUCUAAUCAUAGUGAGUCUAGCCUUCAUCAUUGUGCCUCUUGAUUUGUCAUAACUAAACAUGAAAGAAGAACCAGGUUAGAAUAUCAUAUGCAGGGUAGGUGUUCUUAGUUUGGCACACAUUGGUUAAAGUUAAACUAAAAGUUUGAUGUUGUAAAUAUUAAAAACUAACCAGAUAUGCCUUUCUAGCCAACCAGAUCUUUCAUAUAUUUGUUCAGGAAUUGUUGCCCACUUAACAACAAUUGAAAACAAGGUGGUUUAAGAAAAUGGAGUUGUGUCAUUCCAAGGGGUAGCGGUCUAUAAAAAUAUAUAUUACAAUUGUUAUAUUAGAAAGAUAGAGUAUAUUGUGAUAGACAAAUGACAAAAAAAAUAUUUAAGUAGUUACUCUACUCAAGAAUCCGUGUUGUUCAACCAUCACAAAAUCUGUCAUCCAUUUCAUUACAUAAUACCCGCACUCCCAAUCACCCGGUUAUUGGUUGCACUAAAUUGUAAUCACAAAUGUACACUAAUCAAACAAGUGAAAUACAAAAUCCAUUUUUUUGGAUAUAGUGACAUGAAUUACCUCAACGAGCGUCCAGCUAAUUGGAUUUGAUACGUCUUUCCUGUACCUUGCAAAAGCCCUAAAAAGGAAAAAUUAGUGUUGUAAUAAAAAAAAAUAGAAAAGAAAGCCAAUUUUAAGAUAUUUCUUACGUGUGAACAUGUUUCUUGAGUAGGUAAUAGGUAUCCAUAGGCUUUUGUAUAGGACUCCUGAUUGAAUCCAAUAUGUACCCGGUGCAAUUAUGAUAUGACAACUUCCGGGUUUUCUUGGCAAAGCUAGCAAGGCAUUACCAGAUAAAAAAAACAUUGAUGUCCUUAAGCUGUUAGUUGAGACAUUGAUAAUUAGCAUUGAUCUAGAAUUCUAUAUUUCAUGGUUAACUUAACUUUAUCUCACCAUGCUUUGUAAAUAUACUAGAAUUCAAUUAUUUCAAUAGAAAUUAUAACAAAAUUUAAAAAGGAAGAAAUAUCUUACAAGCUUAGUCAUUGUUGGUUGUAUGCCAGGUGGUGCAUAAUAUGAUCCAGACUCAGUUUUGGAUAGCCUACCCAUGACAAAAUCUCUUGAACGCUGGCUUUUUAUCUUGCACAAUUCUAAUGCCAACUCUUCUGACAACCCUCCGGAUGCAAUCUCUUUUUCCCACUGAGCUUGUUUACCCCAAUACCCAUGUGGACCUAAUCGUGCAAGAUGUUUUUGAAGCUUCGCAUUGGCUAUCGCUUUCUCACUUAUUGCCUGCAAAAAGAGGUAACACAAUUUAAACAUUUGCAUUACAAUAAUUAAUUUCAUCGAAAGAAUAAGAUGAACUAAAGUCCAACAAACACGAAAUUCCUUUGAAGAUCUCUUUUUUUUUGAAGGUUUUCCAUGUAUCAGGGUCUAGAUAUGGGUAGAUUGGAAUUGGAUCUCUUCCAUUGGCCAUGAAAUCACGUAUGAGCCUCUUCUUGUAGGAUUUCCAUGUAGUGUUGCAAAUUUUAAGCACAUCACCUGUGCGUUUAUUAUUUUGAAUAUUCCAGUGUCUCUGUUUAUGUCAAAGUAAAGAUUUUAACCGUUAAUAACAUAUUCUGACUAAAUGAAACACAUAUAAUAGGUCUUAGAUAUCAUACUUUAAUAGUUAACCACAACAUUUCAAGUUCACCCUGUGGCACUUUCUUCCAAGUUCGAUAAUUGAUAUAAAUCAUCGAUCGUGUGAGGACUCCACACUCAUUGGCAAACUUAAUUUGUUUAUCCCCAUAAUGCAGACCAAAAUGACUGAAAUCAACUUCUUGUGGCUCUUGACUGUCAAUUAGUUGUGUGGCUAUUCUCUUUUUUCUCUCUUGUGGUUGCGGUGGCUGUUGUGGUUGAUCAUUGUCACACCCCAAAACCAUGAACGUCGGAAACGUUCUGGGGCGGAGGACGUCAUGUAUAGUAUCACAACAAUGAAAAGUAGUAAACAAGCAACAACAUCAUCCAUUGCAUUAAUAAUAUAAUUUUAAUACAAGUGUGUUCUGUCAAAUUAUGAUCAACACUAAAGUAUAAAUCAAAAUGAAAGAUGAGUCUUGAACGAGCACCAUCUUCUCUAAACCUUGCAUCGAUACCUGUCUACGGUUGACCUGAGGAUACAAGUUAUUUUGAAAGAGAGUAUCAACUUUAAAGCUGGUGAGAUCAUAAGUAUUUUAGUGUCUUAAUUUGUAUGUAAGUAUUUGUAUGUAUAUGAACUGUAAGUAUUGAAAAUGUAUAUGAAAUGCAAGUAUUGAAAAUGUAUAUGAAUUGAAGUAUUGAAAAUGUUUUGAAUGAUCCUAGGAAGCCCUAUGUUUCCUACUAAUCGUAUCCUUCUACCAAGGCAUCUAGUGUCUGUGUGUGUGUCUCUUGUAAGUGUGUGUAUUUUCCCAAAUCUAACUAUCAUUAACCAAAAAUAUAGUUUCUACAUUACCGUGCGUUAUGUGAAUGUUCACGAAGUGAAUGUAAUGGGAAAAUGAAAUAGUACUAUGAUGUAGUGUCGAACUACAACCAUAUUAAUUACCUUAAGUUUAGAGUAAUUCUUAUAAGUACUGUAGUAUUUGUAAUAAGUGACUAAUUUUGUACUCCUAUUGCCUUAUUUGAGGGAUAAGGCAUAAUGUGAUGGCUAGAUCCCAGGCUAGACGCUCCCCUGUCAAAGAGAUUUUGGGACCUACACACGACCCCUGCAUGUAUGCANNNNNNNNNNNNNNNNNNNNNNNNNNNNNNNNNNNNNNNNNNNNNNNNNNNNNNNNNNNNNNNNNNNNNNNNNNNNNNNNNNNNNNNNNNNNNNNNNNNNNNNNNNNNNNNNNNNNNNNNNNNNNNNNNNNNNNNNNNNNNNNNNNNNNNNNNNNNNNNNNNNNNNNNNNNNNNNNNNNNNNNNNNNNNNNNNNNNNNNNNNNNNNNNNNNNNNNNNNNNNNNNNNNNNNNNNNNNNNNNNNNNNNNNNNNNNNNNNNNNNNNNNNNNNNNNNNNNNNNNNNNNNNNNNNNNNNNNNNNNNNNNNNNNNNNNNNNNNNNNNNNNNNNNNNNNNNNNNNNNNNNNNNNNNNNNNNNNNNNNNNNNNNNNNNNNNNNNNNNNNNNNNNNNNNNNNNNNNNNNNNNNNNNNNNNNNNNNNNNNNNNNNNNNNNNNNNNNNNNNNNNNNNNNNNNNNNNNNNNNNNNNNNNNNNNNNNNNNNNNNNNNNNNNNNNNNNNNNNNNNNNNNNNNNNNNNNNNNNNNNNNNNNNNNNNNNNNNNNNNNNNNNNNNNNNNNNNNNNNNNNNNNNNNNNNNNNNNNNNNNNNNNNNNNNNNNNNNNNNNNNNNNNNNNNNNNNNNNNNNNNNNNNNNNNNNNNNNNNNNNNNNNNNNNNNNNNNNNNNNNNNNNNNNNNNNNNNNNNNNNNNNNNNNNNNNNNNNNNNNNNNNNNNNNNNNNNNNNNNNNNNNNNNNNNNNNNNNNNNNNNNNNNNNNNNNNNNNNNNNNNNNNNNNNNNNNNNNNNNNNNNNNNNNNNNNNNNNNNNNNNNNNNNNNNNNNNNNNNNNNNNNNNNNNNNNNNNNNNNNNNNNNNNNNNNNNNNNNNNNNNNNNNNNNNNNNNNNNNNNNNNNNNNNNNNNNNNNNNNNNNNNNNNNNNNNNNNNNNNNNNNNNNNNNNNNNNNNNNNNNNNNNNNNNNNNNNNNNNNNNNNNNNNNNNNNNNNNNNNNNNNNNNNNNNNNNNNNNNNNNNNNNNNNNNNNNNNNNNNNNNNNNNNNNNNNNNNNNNNNNNNNNNNNNNNNNNNNNNNNNNNNNNNNNNNNNNNNNNNNNNNNNNNNNNNNNNNNNNNNNNNNNNNNNNNNNNNNNNNNNNNNNNNNNNNNNNNNNNNNNNNNNNNNNNNNNNNNNNNNNNNNNNNNNNNNNNNNNNNNNNNNNNNNNNNNNNNNNNNNNNNNNNNNNNNNNNNNNNNNNNNNNNNNNNNNNNNNNNNNNNNNNNNNNNNNNNNNNNNNNNNNNNNNNNNNNNNNNNNNNNNNNNNNNNNNNNNNNNNNNNNNNNNNNNNNNNNNNNNNNNNNNNNNNNNNNNNNNNNNNNNNNNNNNNNNNNNNNNNNNNNNNNNNNNNNNNNNNNNNNNNNNNNNNNNNNNNNNNNNNNNNNNNNNNNNNNNNNNNNNNNNNNNNNNNNNNNNNNNNNNNNNNNNNNNNNNNNNNNNNNNNNNNNNNNNNNNNNNNNNNNNNNNNNNNNNNNNNNNNNNNNNNNNNNNNNNNNNNNNNNNNNNNNNNNNNNNNNNNNNNNNNNNNNNNNNNNNNNNNNNNNNNNNNNNNNNNNNNNNNNNNNNNNNNNNNNNNNNNNNNNNNNNNNNNNNNNNNNNNNNNNNNNNNNNNNNNNNNNNNNNNNNNNNNNNNNNNNNNNNNNNNNNNNNNNNNNNNNNNNNNNNNNNNNNNNNNNNNNNNNNNNNNNNNNNNNNNNNNNNNNNNNNNNNNNNNNNNNNNNNNNNNNNNNNNNNNNNNNNNNNNNNNNNNNNNNNNNNNNNNNNNNNNNNNNNNNNNNNNNNNNNNNNNNNNNNNNNNNNNNNNNNNNNNNNNNNNNNNNNNNNNNNNNNNNNNNNNNNNNNNNNNNNNNNNNNNNNNNNNNNNNNNNNNNNNNNNNNNNNNNNNNNNNNNNNNNNNNNNNNNNNNNNNNNNNNNNNNNNNNNNNNNNNNNNNNNNNNNNNNNNNNNNNNNNNNNNNNNNNNNNNNNNNNNNNNNNNNNNNNNNNNNNNNNNNNNNNNNNNNNNNNNNNNNNNNNNNNNNNNNNNNNNNNNNNNNNNNNNNNNNNNNNNNNNNNNNNNNNNNNNNNNNNNNNNNNNNNNNNNNNNNNNNNNNNNNNNNNNNNNNNNNNNNNNNNNNNNNNNNNNNNNNNNNNNNNNNNNNNNNNNNNNNNNNNNNNNNNNNNNNNNNNNNNNNNNNNNNNNNNNNNNNNNNNNNNNNNNNNNNNNNNNNNNNNNNNNNNNNNNNNNNNNNNNNNNNNNNNNNNNNNNNNNNNNNNNNNNNNNNNNNNNNNNNNNNNNNNNNNNNNNNNNNNNNNNNNNNNNNNNNNNNNNNNNNNNNNNNNNNNNNNNNNNNNNNNNNNNNNNNNNNNNNNNNNNNNNNNNNNNNNNNNNNNNNNNNNNNNNNNNNNNNNNNNNNNNNNNNNNNNNNNNNNNNNNNNNNNNNNNNNNNNNNNNNNNNNNNNNNNNNNNNNNNNNNNNNNNNNNNNNNNNNNNNNNNNNNNNNNNNNNNNNNNNNNNNNNNNNNNNNNNNNNNNNNNNNNNNNNNNNNNNNNNNNNNNNNNNNNNNNNNNNNNNNNNNNNNNNNNNNNNNNNNNNNNNNNNNNNNNNNNNNNNNNNNNNNNNNNNNNNNNNNNNNNNNNNNNNNNNNNNNNAAACAUUGACACUAAAAUACUUAUGAACUCACCAGCUUAAUGCUGAUAAACUCUUUCAAAAUAACUUGUAUUCUCAGGUCAUCAGUAGACAGGUACCGAGGCCAGCUUUUGAGAAGAUGGAGUGCAUUCAAGACUCAUCUCAUAUUAUUUUGUUUUACAUUAUUUUGGUGUCUAUAACUGUACAGAACACACUUGUAUUAAAAUUAUAUAUUUAAUGCAAUGGAUGAUGUUGUUUGCUUAUUUACAUUUACUGUGUUGUGAUACUAUACAUGACGUCCUCCGCCCCAGAACAUUUCCGCCGUUCUUGGUUUUGGGGUGUGACAGAUUGGUAUCAGAGCAUUGUUUAUAGUGAAUCAAGUAUAUCAACCCAUAAAAGAUAUACUAAACUAUAAACCCAAAAGGGACUAAAGCACUCUGACCCAAAGUCUAUACUUUAAAUAAUAAAAUAUUUAAUUAAGUAUUCUAGUUUGCAUUCAUACUAAAAUCAGUGUCACAAUGACAAGAACAAAAGUAUUACGAUUGUUAAAAAUCAAAAGUGAGCUCGGGGAUGUAUGGUCAGUCCUGGGAAUGGCAUAGCCUGAUCAACUAUGUUGGUCCUAGGAGUGAUUAGCAUAUGCCGUAGAAUGGUUGUGAUAUGUUAACAAGUCUAAAAACUUACCAACAAUACCACAAGAAGAUCAGUAGAACUUAANNNNNNNNNNNNNNNNNNNNNNNNNNNNNNNNNNNNNNNNNNNNNNNNNNNNNNNNNNNNNNNNNNNNNNNNNNNNNNNNNNNNNNNNNNNNNNNNNNNNNNNNNNNNNNNNNNNNNNNNNNNNNNNNNNNNNNNNNNNNNNNNNNNNNNNNNNNNNNNNNNNNNNNNNNNNNNNNNNNNNNNNNNNNNNNNNNNNNNNNNNNNNNNNNNNNNNNNNNNNNNNNNNNNNNNNNNNNNNNNNNNNNNNNNNNNNNNNNNNNNNNNNNNNNNNNNNNNNNNNNNNNNNNNNNNNNNNNNNNNNNNNNNNNNNNNNNNNNNNNNNNNNNNNNNNNNNNNNNNNNNNNNNNNNNNNNNNNNNNNNNNNNNNNNNNNNNNNNNNNNNNNNNNNNNNNNNNNNNNNNNNNNNNNNNNNNNNNNNNNNNNNNNNNNNNNNNNNNNNNNNNNNNNNNNNNNNNNNNNNNNNNNNNNNNNNNNNNNNNNNNNNNNNNNNNNNNNNNNNNNNNNNNNNNNNNNNNNNNNNNNNNNNNNNNNNNNNNNNNNNNNNNNNNNNNNNNNNNNNNNNNNNNNNNNNNNNNNNNNNNNNNNNNNNNNNNNNNNNNNNNNNNNNNNNNNNNNNNNNNNNNNNNNNNNNNNNNNNNNNNNNNNNNNNNNNNNNNNNNNNNNNNNNNNNNNNNNNNNNNNNNNNNNNNNNNNNNNNNNNNNNNNNNNNNNNNNNNNNNNNNNNNNNNNNNNNNNNNNNNNNNNNNNNNNNNNNNNNNNNNNNNNNNNNNNNNNNNNNNNNNNNNNNNNNNNNNNNNNNNNNNNNNNNNNNNNNNNNNNNNNNNNNNNNNNNNNNNNNNNNNNNNNNNNNNNNNNNNNNNNNNNNNNNNNNNNNNNNNNNNNNNNNNNNNNNNNNNNNNNNNNNNNNNNNNNNNNNNNNNNNNNNNNNNNNNNNNNNNNNNNNNNNNNNNNNNNNNNNNNNNNNNNNNNNNNNNNNNNNNNNNNNNNNNNNNNNNNNNNNNNNNNNNNNNNNNNNNNNNNNNNNNNNNNNNNNNNNNNNNNNNNNNNNNNNNNNNNNNNNNNNNNNNNNNNNNNNNNNNNNNNNNNNNNNNNNNNNNNNNNNNNNNNNNNNNNNNNNNNNNNNNNNNNNNNNNNNNNNNNNNNNNNNNNNNNNNNNNNNNNNNNNNNNNNNNNNNNNNNNNNNNNNNNNNNNNNNNNNNNNNNNNNNNNNNNNNNNNNNNNNNNNNNNNNNNNNNNNNNNNNNNNNNNNNNNNNNNNNNNNNNNNNNNNNNNNNNNNNNNNNNNNNNNNNNNNNNNNNNNNNNNNNNNNNNNNNNNNNNNNNNNNNNNNNNNNNNNNNNNNNNNNNNNNNNNNNNNNNNNNNNNNNNNNNNNNNNNNNNNNNNNNNNNNNNNNNNNNNNNNNNNNNNNNNNNNNNNNNNNNNNNNNNNNNNNNNNNNNNNNNNNNNNNNNNNNNNNNNNNNNNNNNNNNNNNNNNNNNNNNNNNNNNNNNNNNNNNNNNNNNNNNNNNNNNNNNNNNNNNNNNNNNNNNNNNNNNNNNNNNNNNNNNNNNNNNNNNNNNNNNNNNNNNNNNNNNNNNNNNNNNNNNNNNNNNNNNNNNNNNNNNNNNNNNNNNNNNNNNNNNNNNNNNNNNNNNNNNNNNNNNNNNNNNNNNNNNNNNNNNNNNNNNNNNNNNNNNNNNACUGCCCGAUUCAGCGAGCUGGUGGCCCUCUGCCCCAAUAUGGUUCCCACCGAGGGGAAGAAGAUCGAGAGGUACAUAUGGGGGCUAGUGCCGCCGUAUCAGGGGAAUGUUUUAGCAUCAAACCUCGCUAUCUUCGACAGUGCCAAGCAAUUGGCACAACGACUCAUUGACCAUGGAGUCAAAACCCCUGCAACCACAACCGCCCUAGCCAUCCCAGAACCCUCCAAACCCGCUGAUACUAAGCGGAAAUUCUGGGAUGAAAAGAAGAAGCAACAGGCUGCCAAAAAGCAGCAAAUUGUGGCAAUNNNNNNNNNNNNNNNNNNNNNNNNNNNNNNNNNNNNNNNNNNNNNNNNNNNNNNNNNNNNNNNNNNNNNNNNNNNNNNNNNNNNNNNNNNNNNNNNNNNNNNNNNNNNNNNNNNNNNNNNNNNNNNNNNNNNNNNNNNNNNNNNNNNNNNNNNNNNNNNNNNNNNNNNNNNNNNNNNNNNNNNNNNNNNNNNNNNNNNNNNNNNNNNNNNNNNNNNNNNNNNNNNNNNNNNNNNNNNNNNNNNNNNNNNNNNNNNNNNNNNNNNNNNNNNNNNNNNNNNNNNNNNNNNNNNNNNNNNNNNNNNNNNNNNNNNNNNNNNNNNNNNNNNNNNNNNNNNNNNNNNNNNNNNNNNNNNNNNNNNNNNNNNNNNNNNNNNNNNNNNNNNNNNNNNNNNNNNNNNNNNNNNNNNNNNNNNNNNNNNNNNNNNNNNNNNNNNNNNNNNNNNNNNNNNNNNNNNNNNNNNNNNNNNNNNNNNNNNNNNNNNNNNNNNNNNNNNNNNNNNNNNNNNNNNNNNNNNNNNNNNNNNNNNNNNNNNNNNNNNNNNNNNNNNNNNNNNNNNNNNNNNNNNNNNNNNNNNNNNNNNNNNNNNNNNNNNNNNNNNNNNNNNNNNNNNNNNNNNNNNNNNNNNNNNNNNNNNNNNNNNNNNNNNNNNNNNNNNNNNNNNNNNNNNNNNNNNNNNNNNNNNNNNNNNNNNNNNNNNNNNNNNNNNNNNNNNNNNNNNNNNNNNNNNNNNNNNNNNNNNNNNNNNNNNNNNNNNNNNNNNNNNNNNNNNNNNNNNNNNNNNNNNNNNNNNNNNNNNNNNNNNNNNNNNNNNNNNNNNNNNNNNNNNNNNNNNNNNNNNNNNNNNNNNNNNNNNNNNNNNNNNNNNNNNNNNNNNNNNNNNNNNNNNNNNNNNNNNNNNNNNNNNNNNNNNNNNNNNNNNNNNNNNNNNNNNNNNNNNNNNNNNNNNNNNNNNNNNNNNNNNNNNNNNNNNNNNNNNNNNNNNNNNNNNNNNNNNNNNNNNNNNNNNNNNNNNNNNNNNNNNNNNNNNNNNNNNNNNNNNNNNNNNNNNNNNNNNNNNNNNNNNNNNNNNNNNNNNNNNNNNNNNNNNNNNNNNNNNNNNNNNNNNNNNNNNNNNNNNNNNNNNNNNNNNNNNNNNNNNNNNNNNNNNNNNNNNNNNNNNNNNNNNNNNNNNNNNNNNNNNNNNNNNNNNNNNNNNNNNNNNNNNNNNNNNNNNNNNNNNNNNNNNNNNNNNNNNNNNNNNNNNNNNNNNNNNNNNNNNNNNNNNNNNNNNNNNNNNNNNNNNNNNNNNNNNNNNNNNNNNNNNNNNNNNNNNNNNNNNNNNNNNNNNNNNNNNNNNNNNNNNNNNNNNNNNNNNNNNNNNNNNNNNNNNNNNNNNNNNNNNNNNNNNNNNNNNNNNNNNNNNNNNNNNNNNNNNNNNNNNNNNNNNNNNNNNNNNNNNNNNNNNNNNNNNNNNNNNNNNNNNNNNNNNNNNNNNNNNNNNNNNNNNNNNNNNNNNNNNNNNNNNNNNNNNNNNNNNNNNNNNNNNNNNNNNNNNNNNNNNNNNNNNNNNNNNNNNNNNNNNNNNNNNNNNNNNNNNNNNNNNNNNNNNNNNNNNNNNNNNNNNNNNNNNNNNNNNNNNNNNNNNNNNNNNNNNNNNNNNNNNNNNNNNNNNNNNNNNNNNNNNNNNNNNNNNNNNNNNNNNNNNNNNNNNNNNNNNNNNNNNNNNNNNNNNNNNNNNNNNNNNNNNNNNNNNNNNNNNNNNNNNNNNNNNNNNNNNNNNNNNNNNNNNNNNNNNNNNNNNNNNNNNNNNNNNNNNNNNNNNNNNNNNNNNNNNNNNNNNNNNNNNNNNNNNNNNNNNNNNNNNNNNNNNNNNNNNNNNNNNNNNNNNNNNNNNNNNNNNNNNNNNNNNNNNNNNNNNNNNNNNNNNNNNNNNNNNNNNNNNNNNNNNNNNNNNNNNNNNNNNNNNNNNNNNNNNNNNNNNNNNNNNNNNNNNNNNNNNNNNNNNNNNNNNNNNNNNNNNNNNNNNNNNNNNNNNNNNNNNNNNNNNNNNNNNNNNNNNNNNNNNNNNNNNNNNNNNNNNNNNNNNNNNNNNNNNNNNNNNNNNNNNNNNNNNNNNNNNNNNNNNNNNNNNNNNNNNNNNNNNNNNNNNNNNNNNNNNNNNNNNNNNNNNNNNNNNNNNNNNNNNNNNNNNNNNNNNNNNNNNNNNNNNNNNNNNNNNNNNNNNNNNNNNNNNNNNNNNNNNNNNNNNNNNNNNNNNNNNNNNNNNNNNNNNNNNNNNNNNNNNNNNNNNNNNNNNNNNNNNNNNNNNNNUUCCAAACGCUCAAACGAGCCUUGUGCACCGCGCCAAUACUAUCCCUUCCCGAAGGAAUAGAAGACUUCGUAGUCUAUUGCGACGCAUCAAAUCAAGGACUCGGAUGUGUUCUGAUGCAGCGAGGUAAGGUCAUCGCCUACGCCUCGAGACAGUUGAAGACACACGAGGUUAACUACACGACCCACGAUCUUGAACUAGGAGCAGUAGUGUUUGCUCUGAAGAUCUGGAGACAUUACUUGUAUGGAACGAAGAGCACUAUCUUUACCGACCACAAGAGUUUACAACACAUUUUCGAUCAAAAGGAGCUCAACAUGAGACAACGACGGUGGGUCGAGCUACUCAGUGAUUACGAAUGUGAUAUUCGUUAUCAUCUGGGUAAAGCCAACGUAGUAGCAGACGCCCUAAGUCGGAAAGAAUAUUCUGGUCGCAAAGUCAAGUCAUUGUCAAUAACCAUCCAUUCACACUUGUCUAAGCAAAUUCAAGCGGCUUAACUUGAAUCCAUGAAACCUGAAAAUGUGACGAGUGAAUCCCUUAGAGGAAUGGACAAGAAAUUAGAAGCCAAGGGUGACGGAGCGGUAGGGCAACGAGUGAUGGGUAGCACUGAGAUAGUGCUUAAAACAAAGAAGCAGAUUCAGCUGGUCGGAAAGAGGUUACUGAUAACCCAAAGUCGCCAGAAGAGUUAUGAGGAUAGGCGACAAUCCGAGCGCGAGUUCCAUGUUGGAGACUUUGUACUGCUAAAUGUAUCUCCUUGGAAAGGAGUGAUCCGGUUCAUGAAGAGGGGUAAGCUGGGGCCCCCAUACAUUGGUCCUUUUAGGGUGACCGCUAGGGUGGGCAAGGUAGCAUAUCGUUUAGAGCUACCCAAGGAGUUGAUUCAGAUCCAUGAUACCUUCCACGUAUCCCAAUUGAGGAGGUGUAUAGCCGAUGAGACGGCGGCAGUGCCAUUGGAGGAUAUUCAGGUAGACGCGAUCCUGAAUUACAUCGAGAUGACGAUUACGAUGCUGGAUAGGAAUAUCAAGGAUUUGAGGAACAAGGAGGUGUCUUUGGUUCAGGUCCAGUGGCAACAUCGGAGAGGGUCCGAGCUGAAUUGCGAGCCGGAGUCGGAGAUGCAGGAGCAGCAUCUGGAGUUAUUUACGGCAUGAGACUUCGAGGGCGAAGUCUGAUUCUAGUGGGGGAGAAUUGUAACAUCAUAAAAUUUAGGUAUAUCUAUUUAAUCCUUCUUCUUUUCCAAGUUGCCAAAAUUAGCCAAAAUAGAAAAUGGUGACAAGUGGGUACGCUGGGCGUACUAAAUAAUAUGUUGCGUGUACCCAUGGGCAUGCCUUUGACGCGGACUCAACCCGGUAUGCUGGGCAUACCAUAGUUACGUUGGGCAUACUGGGCCCAGACUCAAAACCCUAAAUGAGACAUGAUCACUAUAAAAGUAAUGCCAUGGCCUCCAUCCAAGCCACCAUUUCCAAAGAGUGAAACCCUAAAAGAACUAAACCUUCCUUCUAGACUUGAGUGUGUGUAUUUGACCUUGAAAGUGUCAUUGUGUGCUUGUGAAGAAGAAGAUAAGGCAUUGAAGAGGAAAGAUUAGAGUCCAAGCUUCUAGAUCUAAGCUAAAAUGAGUGGGGAGCUUCUCACAAAGGUAAAAAGUUUCAAACUUUACCACUAUUUUGUUAUGAAUAUCAUAUAGGAGCAUUUUUAGGGUUUAUGUCCCAAAGGUGGAGACUUUUUGAGCAAAGGAACUCCAUGGACCUUGAUCUACCCCAUUUCAGUGUAUUUUGUGUUAUAAAUCCAUAAAACUCCAAUCUUGGACAUUAAGAUUAAGUCAUGCAUGAGAUUAUGUCUUAAUGGGGAAAGAGGAUAUGUGUUUGAAGUGAUUGGUGACCUUUACAGCCAUGUAAAGGCUUAAAGAUUUCGACUUUAUGGAUUAAGAGAUAGUAGAGUACCUGGAUCUGAGAUAUGAACUUAUGUCUUAAUAUAUUCAGACCAAAAAUCAUGAAAGUAUGAAACUGGGACUUACGUUGGGCGUAAUCCCAGUACGCACCACGUAGGGGGUUGAGUUCCCCAAUUCUGGAUGACCCCAGAGUACGCCCCGCGUAUAAAACUAGUAUGUGCAGCGUACCUCCCUACAGUUGACUUUUAAGGUUUGGUCAACAUGUGGACUUUUGGACCAUUAGAGGGGUAAAAUGGUCUUUUAGCCUUCUAAAAGAACAUAGGAAGGGAUUAAUCUAACCUUGAGAGUCGUUAUUGAUUUGAGAUAAUUACUUUAUGUGAUUAGGCGGUGGCUAGGUUAUUGUUUCGAGUUUGGGGAUAUCGAGCAUGUGUGUUACUAGACAUCAUACGAGGUGAGUCUUCUUACUAUACCUUAGCUAGAGUGGUAAUUAUUUGUGACCAGGAGGUCUGAUGUGCUCUGACGAGUAUGUGAUAUAUGUUUCUAUGUUUCUAUGUAUAUGUUAUGUAUGUUAUGAGUAGUAUGAUAUGGACCGGAAGGUCAAUAGGGUAUGGACUGGAAGGUCAAUAGUGUAUGGACCGGAAGGUCUGCAGUGUAUGGACUAGAAGGUCAAUAUGGUACAGAUCGGAAGGUCGACAGAGUAGGACCGAAAGGUCUACUCAGAUUGUGGGACCGGAAGUCCCCUAAGACACAUUGACCGGAAGGUCUCGUAAAGAUAUAGCCUCGAUCGGCUAGUUGUAUGUACGUGGUAUUUUGGGGAACUCACUAAGAAUUUAGGCUUACCGUGUUAUAUGAUAUGCAUUUCAAGUAAUAGCGAGGAUUGUGAGAAGGCGCCGACAUGAUUUGUACACACUGACAAAGGAUUUUGUAUUUGAGAUUUUUGGAUAUGUUUUACAAUGAUAAAAUUUGAGACACUUGAGUUUUGAGAUGAUUAUAUAAGAUAUUUUAUGUUUGAAAUAUGAAAAAUUAUUUUAAAUUUUCACGUCGUUACAGAUUUCUAACUAGUUGCUGAGGCUGAUAGCCCCACACAGUCGCACAUUGCGACUCCAAAAUAAGGGUCUUUCUAGAAAGAGUUGUCGUAGCUUGGUUUCCACACUGGAUCCAAUACCCCUUCUGAUCCAACUAAUGUUUAACAUAACUGCCCGUUACAUCGAUUCAAUAGAGAUCCACCUUGCUAUAAAGGAAUGCCACAUGCGUAGCCGCAGUCUUAUGUCACCACCAUCCCCCACACAACUGAUAACCAUCAUCCACGAAUACAGUGGCUUUCCCACAUCUCACAACCUUCCCCGCCAUGAUCUAAACCAUAUAUUUACCCCAUCCUCACAUCUGUUCAAGAAUCAAGUGUGAGCUAUAGGCCACCGCAUAGUCUUACAACACCUACAAACCGCUAUGGACCCAACCCAUGGUAAUACUGUCCAUUCACCAUACCAGUCAUAAUAAAAAAAUGGGUCUAAACGCAUAUGAACUGAAUCCCAACUAGGUGUUCAGAUUAUGCUUCGAAUCCCAAAGCCUUAGUCAGGCAUGAACAUGGAGAGAGGCUCUAGCACAACCCUCAACCUGGAUCCAUCCACAUACCCCCAUGUGUCACUAAUGAUGAGCAAUGAAACCUGAAUAUCCAUUCUUAUGCAACUUUUAGGCCCUAACGAUUCUCCCCCACUUGGAUUCGACUACGCCCUUCCAAUCCUUAAAGUAAAUAAUGGAUUUACAAUGCAUUCCACAACCUACCAAUUCAAAGUGUUAACAAACAAGGCUUAACACAACUAGCAUUCCAUUACUAUCCAACCUUAGCGACCACACAUAUUCCAAAACCAGAUGAACAUUUCCCGAAUUCUCAAUGAGCUUCAAUAUUUCCAAGAAUUCCCAUGACACAACUCCAAAUCCUUAAGCCACCUCAGCAUGUGGCAUAGAACUAUAACCCUUUAACCGGAACAGAAGGAUCAUCAGUUCAACAACUCGCACGUCGAAGGAUCGAUGUACUCAAAAGUUCUCCAAAAGAUACCAUUUGAUUUUUGUUGACAAUAUCGAUGAAUCAAAUAACCCAUGCGAACAACACUUUCCCACUACUUAAGAGUAAUAUGUUACCACUGCUCAAUCUCUACUGGUGGUAAAAGUCGACAACCUCAUGUUUACACCAAUGAACUUUCAUUGCCCAGCCAAACCUAGCGCGUAUACAUUACAGUACCAGGUGACCAUUCCCAAUACCUCAAUGAAACACAAAAUCCUUAGGCACUUUUUUUGAAUCCAUUAUGAGUCCUUGGCAACUAAUCGGUUGAUGAGGAACAAAAUCUCAAUAUCGAACAAGUACCCAAUACAUUCAACCCCUUACUUAGACUUCGAGCAAUUUCCCAUGCAACCUGCAACUUGCCUCAUUUUUAAGGUGUCAACUUGAGUCCUACCAAUCUUACACCCAUAACCGAACCAAAUCCUAACUACCUCAAAACCAUGAACACUCCUACACUUCAUGCAUUCAAACCCAGUAUGCCCACCUUACGGAGUCCUUGAAUUAUUGUUGAUACCAUUAAAGAUUGGACCAGCUGCUGGUCUCCUAAAUGGGAUAGUUAAUCCUCUUUAAAGCACGGCCCACAGUAUGUAACAAUGGCAUAAAAGGAUUCUUAAUACCCUGAUGAAGGAAACUCGAUCUCUAGGUGGACACAUAGAUAGACCAUACAUAGAGUCUCACACAAAAAUAUAUAAUCUUAAACACAUUAGAUAAGAGCUUGUAGGAAGGAAAUAUGGUUGAUACAUGUGGCGUCAACUGGUGGAACUUAGCGACUCAAACCAUGCUUAACAACCUCCUAUACAAACUAUCAUAUUUCAUGUUCAGGAUUUUACAAAACUUAUGAUCAUUAAGCUCAUCCAUUGUUUAUUAUUUUUAAUAGAUUUUGGUGAAGACCUAAGAUUUUUCUUGAACCAUAUCUCAAGCACCAAAACAUUAGUCUCUCUUCUAGAUUACAGGAUGAAGUUCCUAUAAGAUCAUAUUCCUUGAUGUACGAAGGUAACUUAAAAAAAUGGUAAAAAAUUUUCAGUUUUGAUGUUACUUUUCACUAUUUGAAGAGAAAUUAAUCUAUUGAUGGAUUUAUGUUUGUCCUAUUAAUUUUAUAGGCUACCACAUUACUUUGUUCUCAUUAAGCUCCUUUUCUCUUAAAAAAUGUUGAAAUGAAUAAAGUGUAAAGUGCUCUAUAAGUCUAAUAUUCUUUUCUUGAGUAAAAGGCUAUUUCUUUUUUAGAGAAUUACUAAUCUAGCCAUUUUCCAUAAUUACUUAUCCAAAAAUAGACAACAAAAAAAUACAUUAGCCAAAAAUAUCCGACAAAAGAGUACUCCGGCCAUAGUUGACUACGGUCAACUCUUGUUGACUACGGUCAACACUUGUUGACUACGGUUUUAGGACAAUGGGCUACUCUUUCGUGGUCUGUCUACUCUUUUGUAGCCCAUUGGCUCAUAGUAUAUAAUAUAUUAUUUUUCACAUUAGGUUACUUUUUGCUUAUAUUUCCUUCCAUUGUCUACUAUUUUCUCUGAAUAGAACUCUAGAAGAACAAUGAGGUACGUCUAUUUUUUAUCAAAAUUUUACCGUAUUCCUGAUUAGGAGUAGUUUUUGUAUACGAGCAUAACUUAAAAAAAACAAAAAAAAAUAAAAUAAAACCGUAGGCUUCAAAUGAAACCUAUGGUGUACAAGUCCACAAUGCACAUUUUGUGCAGUGUGGACUUGUACACAGUAGGUUUCGUAUGAACACUACGGAUUUUUUUUUUGUUUUUUUAAAUGGUUGUAACAUGUAACAAAUUGUAUAUAUGUUAUGAUUCCGUGAUUUGGUUUUCAAAAAAUUUAAAAGAAAAUUACCAAAACCGUAGGUUUUUUGGAAACCUACGGUGUACAAUCAAUUAAUGCACAGUUUGUGCAUUAAAAGCUUUUACACUGUAGGUUUCCUUAAACCUAAGGUUUAUUUGUUUUUUUCGUUUUUUUUUCAUAAAAAAUCGGUUAAAACCUAUAAACAAUUGUAUAUAUUGUUGAUUCCGUGAUUUUUUUUCCAGAAAAAAAAAAUUAAAUACCGAAGCCAUCGGUUUUUUUGGAAACUUACAGUGUAUAAUCACUUGAUGCACAGUUUGUGCAUUAAAUGGUUGUACAUCGUAGGUUUCCUUAAGCCUACUGUUUUUUUUAAAUUGAUUUUUUUAAAAAAAUCGGUUCUACAAAAUUUUAACGAUCGUAUAAAUGUUAUGAUUUCAUGUUAUCAUUUUGUGAUAAUGUAUGUUAUUGUCACACCAUUAUCAAAGUACAGUGCUAUAUUUUGUAUACUAUUAGUAUAGAAAAUACAAAAGGUGUUGUCAAUUAAUUUUCUUUGGUUUCUUAUACAAACUAAAUAGAAUUAUGAAAUAAUUAAGCCUUAUAUUCUGUGCUUUAUCUACUUGUUUAUCACUUUUUUUUUUAUAAAACUUUAUUUAACCUUAAGGUUCUCUUAUUUAUUUUUGUAGCUUCCAAACAAAAGGAUCAUGGGUAACAUAUCUAUCAAAGUUUCAUGUCAUAAGUUACAUGAAGUUUUGAGUGGUUUAACCGGACCAGUGGGAGAGAUUCUUUUGACAUAUAGCUUCGGUUACUUGUUGGACCUACCAACUCAAUCGGGGCACAUACUUCUUAUUCAUGGGUUGUUACUGCAUAUGUUGCGCCCUACUACUGAAACAGACACGCCUGAGCGUCUAUAUUUUAAGUUUUCUAGACGUACAUUGUCAUUUGGGUCCAAGGAGUUAUGGAUUGUGUCCGAACUUCACAUAGGCUGGUGUCCGAGAUCAAGGAACAGAUUUGUUAGUAUGUAUAAACAUGGAUAUGUUGAUAAUACAUUUUGGUUAAGAGUUUUCCCACAUCGCAUGGACAAUAGUUUACUUAUUCGCGAUUUAGAGGGCCUUAUCAUGAAUCAACAGUUCAAUGAUAUAUCGGAUCAUGACGGUGUGCGAAGAAUUUUGCUAUAUAUUCUCAAUAAACGUUUUUUGGGAAAAUAGCUCGAUGAUAAAGUGACCAAGGAAUAGUUGUGGGUGGUGGAAAACUUGGAUCAAUGGAAUAGGUAUUUUGUGAUUUAAUAUUUUUAAUAAAAUACUAUUUUUAUACGCUUAACUAAUGCUUUUGUAUGUAAUAUAUAUUCUCUUGGGGGAGUUAUCUAUGGUCAAAUGCAUACCCAAAAUUGUCGGGUAUGUUUAAAAAAUUUGAGGAUCGUAUGCGCAAUCAUCCAACAAAGUCGUAUGUGUAUACACUAUCGGGAUUUGUUAUACCUUUGAAGGUAUUUUCAAUUAAUUAAAAAUAUACAUUUAAAAAUUUUCAUGUCUUUAUUUUAUGAUAAAUUUAGUUAAUGCUAACACUUAUCACUAAUUGUAUAUUUAUUACAAGAUAUGGAUAUGGGAGAUUUCCCAUUAAUUCGGGGAAGUGCUGCUAUACAACGAAAUAAUUUUUAUCCUCGUAUCUUAUGGUGGUUUUAUAUUAGGAAGUUGAAUUGGGAGAGAUUUUUCCAUGUUUAAAAAGUUAAGGAGGACGAGGGGCAUCAACCGAAAAAAAAAGAUGGUUGCCUUAGAUACCGAGUGCUCUACUCCACAUUAUUUUUCUUACAACUAGUUUGAAGGGUGAAGAGUCUGAAAUCCUUUCUUCUCUACGUUACAACUUUAGAAAAGAUGUAAGUAAAAUGAUAAAAGUAGAAACUUGUAUAUUAAUAUCAUUACUAUUAUUUAUAUAUCAAAUAAUUUAUGUAUGGGGCAUCUUCAUCUGGUCGAUCCCGCGGAAACAACUCUUCUACCGAGUCCCCUCAACGAAUAUAUAUGGUGGGACUGGACAAAAGUGUUGGGUUUCGGUAUACUACAACAUCCUAUGGUGCACAUACAAGACUAAAUACCUUGUAUCUAUGUUUUUUCACUAGUUAUACAUGCAAAGGUGUUUCCAAGGUAUUAAGCCUAUAACUAGCAUGCAAUUGUCAUAUUCCAUAUAAGAUACUAGUUUAGAGUAACAUACCUUUUAUGGGGCGUGAAGUCUUGAUGUAUUUGGUGUUGCUUGAAAGAAUUUGGCCUUUAAGAACUUAGUGCCCCAAGUGUUGCACCUCAAAUGGAAUCACAACUCACCUAGAAAAAAGGUGACUCUUGAGAGAGAAUCUUCAUACUCCAAAACCACAAUGAACUCCAAGAACAUGUGUAUCCAUAUAGGUUUGCGAUUUAAGGUCAUGAUGUAAGUAUUUAUAUGCAUGUUUUUUCAAGGGUCAUGGGUACAACCCAAAUCCAUACCUAUGGGUGUUAUGAUCCAUGGUUCAUGUGGCCCAACUCUUUAUGUAUCCAUACAUAAACUUGGUCCAAUAUGGAUCAUAAGCCCAACACAUAUAAAUAUAACUAAUUACCAUAAUUAGUCCCCUUAGAUUUAAUUAGUCUCUUUUGAUGACUAAAUUGAUUCCAAAUUAAUUCUUGAUCAAUAGUAAUUAGAACAUAUGAUUUCAUAUUAAUAUAUUAUGACUUAUAAUAUAUUAACAAAUCAUAUGUAACCUUCUUUUUAUAGUCCAUCCUAAUAAAUUGUCCUGGUGUUAUGCAACCCAAGUGGACCAAGCUACUCUCGGGUCGAGUACAUACCAAUAAUAGUUAUGGGCUUAGACAUCUAUUCUGAUUGUCUUCCACAUGGAUAAGUCUAAAACUACUAUUGCAAGUAUGACUCUAAAGGCCCAAAAGUCUAAUAAUGAACAAAGCCCAUCAUAUGGCCCAAUUUUCCAAAUUGGGCCCAAAGCUCUACAUGGUCUUCCCUUAAGGCCCAACCAUUUAGUCUAGUCCAACAUUUGGUAUUCUAAGGGCCCAAUAUCAUAUAAUCAUCAAGGCCUAAACUAUAGCCCAUCUAUGGCCAAAGUUUCCAAAUUGACCCCAAACCCUCAUAUGGGCCUUGCCCUAAAGCCCAUCUAAAUAUUCUAGUCCAUAUGAUUAUUCUAGUCCAACUGAAGGCCCAAGUGAAAUUAGGGUUUCACAUAAAAUGAUAGUUAGGGUGAAGUGCUUCUCACUUAACCCAUUAAGGACUUAAUCCAUUAAGUCCUUUACUCUACUAGAUAAAUGAUAUUGAAUAAUUUGGGGUUAAUACACAAUGAAAUCCCAAUGGCCCAAAGGUGGGUCCCAAUAAAUCCAAGGCCCAAAUACUCAUAAUUAGGGUUUUCUAAACCCUAAUUAGGGUUUCCACUGAAACAUGGCCAAUAGGCCUAAAAUUAAUCUUUAAUCCCAUUAGAGUUUUUCUAGGUCUAUUAGGGUUUUGUUAGGUCCAUUAGGGUUUUGCUAAUGGGGCACCACCCACUACCACCUCAGGUAGUGGUGGUUAAUGGCGGCUCACGGCGGCGGCCAACACCUUAUGGUUCUUUUCAUUACUUUUUUGCUAAUUAUAAUUACAAGCUUUUAAUCCACAAAUAAACACACACACACUAACUACUCUAACACACACACACAAUUACCCUAGUGGUGGCCGGCGGUGGCUUUCUUGAUCUAUCCGGCCAACAAACCCAAUCACACAUCACUGAAAUAAUACACACCCACUACUAUGCUCGGAAUAGUAACACAGCCACCACCUAGCGGCAUACAUGACGACGGCAGAACCCUGGAAAGGCGGUAGCAGCAAGUUGUGUCGUUAGCCACCACCACACGGUGGUGGCGAUGAUUUCUUUUGGUUUGCUACUCCGAAUAACGUCAACAUACGCUAGUUCUCACUAUAAAUACAUCUAUACAUCACCACCCUAGCGGUGGCAUGUUUUAGUCGGAGCGGCAACAAUGUCACACCUCAACUGCUUGGAGUGGCGGCGACCAUAACGCCUGUUGGGCAGAUGAUGGCGAAGGGAGGUCGGAGAAACGACGAUGCACGUAGACCCAACAGUCACACCAUUAACUGCUAUCGCAUGAGGAUAGGGGCUUCCAUGCUUGGUGGCUCGAACCAUCGGAAAAAUGCAACAAUGGUGACGACGACUGGGAUGCUUGCACCCGGCGGUAGGAGUUGCUUCCUCAAACCACGACAGUAGCAACAACAGUCAAGUUUGUCAUCGUCGGCAAUGGAGUCAGCGGCUGGAAUAGGGCUUCUAUGGUGAUGCGGCGAAUGGAGAUAAAGAAAGGAAGGUGACGAUUAGUGGAGGGGAUAUAAGGUGGGUUGGCGGCUGGCUAAGGGCUCCAAGGGUUAGGGUUCCCGUAAGGGUUAUAUACCCGAUGCUUUUCCAACUUAUUUACAUAAUGACAUUUAUGGUCCCUCCUUCUCAUUCUUCUUUCAAACUAAGUCCUUAAUUUACCCUUUCUACCCUCACUUUGGAAAUCUUCUUCAGAUUAAAUUUGAUAAUUAUCAUUUAAACCCUCAUCAUUAAAAUCCUUUACACCUUAGGUACAACAUUUACCAAACAUCCCCCAAUAUCUUUAUUAUGACAUAAUCAACCCUUCCACCUCAUUUCCUUUUAAAUUAAAUCUAAAUAGUUACCAAGGAGCCCUUGACUUCAUAAUAAUUAUAAACUGAGUCUGUAACUUACACUUUUAACCAUCAACUUCUAAAUUAUGCCAAGUAACUCCUCGAAACCAACACCUUACUAUAUAAUUAUUGAUUUUAGGGCUAUUGUCCGUUCUGCAACUUAUCUAUUUGUUUAUUUAAUAAAUGGUGUGUUACAAUCAUGAUGCGACCUAGUCACAUCAUGAAAUAAGAAUCUCAUAAUAGGAACUUAAUAGAGUUAGAUAGUGGAAUUGACCUGAAGUAGAGUCAAACUCUUUAACUUUACCAUCCUUAUGAUCUUUCAGGUAAAUAGCGCAGCUUCGCAAACAACGCCCCUUCCUUUGGCAUAUGGACUCUUUGAAAAUGGUACGCGGGACUAUCUCAGACUUAGCCUUUCUCUUUACCAUUUGGUCAACCGAGUUGACUAUGGCCAAUCGCUUUCCAUUAGGGAGAGACAGGUUUUAUGCAUUUCCAAUGUCACCAUUGUCAAUGUCCAUGGAAUUUUGGGAAGUUGAUCUUCCAAUCAAAUUUGCUUUACCAGUACUCCAAAUCAUUGUUGAUUCAGCAGCACCAAGAAAAUAGGUAAGAUGAUUAAGGGUCAUGUCAUGGUCUAUCAUAUAGUAGUCCUAAAGGAACUCACUAUGUGACUUAGAAAAUGAUUGAAGAACCUUGUCAACAACCAAUUUUCUCAAGACUUUGACACCCAACUCUCCCGACUUGUCUAUAUGUGACUUCAUCUCCAAGAUGUGAGCACACAUAGACUUGCCAAUAGGGUUUGAAUAACCUUGAACUUUUCAAGAACUUGUGGGUUAGGGAGAAUAAUUGGAGGGGGUGGAGGAAGUGAAAAAUGAUUUCCAUGAUCCAACCACGAGACAUCAUCUUCAUUAGGAAAGCUUGUUCCAAUAGAUUUGGGAAGAUCAUAGUUGUCUGAACCAAACAUCUCAAAUGGGAUAUAUUCAAGUUAGUUGAUUUAAGUCCUUAAUAUAAUACCCAAUAUGAAAUAUUAAGGCUAGGACCCAACAUAAUAUUUUAUAACUUGGAAGAGGGAUGCUGUAAUCCAAGCUAUAAAAUAUUUGAAGGUAGGCGAAUGACGAUUCACCAAUGUCUACCAUGAAAAACGAAAAAAGAUUUUAGGUUUUAAUUGGUUUGAAACUCCUAGAUCUUUUGAGAUUCAUUGAAAUUUUCAAUGGCAUGUUUAAAUCACGAUUGUGCCCUCUCAAGUUUGUGACUGGGAUGCUGAGGAUCACAAACAAUGUGUGAAUAACCAUGCAAAUUGACUUGGUACCCUUAAUAUUUAUCACCAAAUCGACGUACUGGUUACCCACACGCGCUCCACCGAUCUAUGAUAAACAUUAAGUCACCCUUUGCCACUCUUACUAGUCCAUGUUAGAAUGUCGGUUACCCACAUACGCUCCACCAACCACUUGGUAAGUUACAAAGUGUAAUUUCAUGGGUUAGCACCAAAUUCAUAUUUUCCUAAGUAACUAAGAUUGAGAACUUAUAAUUGUUUAGUUACUUAACAUUUAUCAAUAUACUUUUAAUGAAGAUAAACUUAUAGUCCUGUCAAACCCAUUCGGCUAACGACCCUCCACCAGUCAAGGAAGUGGUGGGUGAGAGUGGACACCCAUUAAACUGCCAGUUUAUAGGAAGUAACCUUAUACCCCCCCCCCCCCCCCCCCUUAUAGACCGACUUCGUGAAUGUGGCCUACUAAUGGUAAGACUGACUUUGUUCUUAUACUUAUAUAUAACUAGUAACUAUUAAUAUUAUAAUAAUAUAACGGUUGAAUUUUAACUUUUAAAACUCUAAAGUUUAACUUGGAACUAAAGUAUUCAUGAGCGGAAACUUUACAAAUUCCAAAACUUGAGGAUAAGUUUUCAACAAUUAAAAAACUUUUGGUUUCCAUAACUUAUGUGUUUAAAGUAGUUUUAAUGAAAAACUCUUCAAGUUCCAUAACUUAAGGACAAGUUAUGGAAGACUUUAAAACAUUUUAAAAAUGAGACUCUUUAUUUUUUCAUAACUUAUGGAAAUAUUAUGAGUUUUAAAAAUCAUAAAUGAGACUUUUCAUAUAACUUGUGGACAAGUUACAAAAACACAUUUUAUGAACAAAUUUUAGAUCAAUUUGGAUCGAAAACACAUUAUCACAUAUUUUUUUAAUCUAAAUCAACUCAUAAGAACAAGAUAAUUUAAACCAUCAAUCUUCAAGAAAUUAGCAUGAACAUCUAAACUAAUACAAAAUUUGAAAUUAUGACAAUUAUCUUAGAAAUUGGAUUAGCAUGAACAGUACCACAUAAAGAACAGGUUUAUAAGUUCAAAAACAGCUUUGGGUAAUGUUCCUAGUCCAAAUCCAGCCAAAAAACUCGAAAAUAUGUUGUCAGGGGGUCCAACUCGCUGAGUGCAAGAACAAUUCGACGAGUUGGAUGAGUUUGUACAUGGAAUCAUCGAGUCAGCUGUCCAGACAACAUAUAAACUUCGAUUUUCAGCCUAUUUCAGCAAGUAUAAUUGAAAACAACGUUGCUCUGAUAUCACUGAUGGGCUUUAGUACACUACAACAUCCUAUGGUGCACAUACAAUCCUAAAUAUCUUGGAUUUAAGUUUUCUCUAAUUAUACAUGCAAAGGUGUUUCCAAGGUAUUAAACCUAUAACUAGCAUGCAAUUGACAUAAACAAUACAAGAUACUAGUUAGAGUAACAUACCUUUUAUGUCGCUUGAAGUCUUGAUGUACUUGGUGUUUCUUGAAAUACUUUGGCCUUUAUGAACUUAAUGCAACAAAUGUUGCACCUCAAAUGGAAUCACAACUCACCUAGAACAAAGGUGAUUCUUCAGAGAGAAACUCCAUGCACCAAAAACCACUCCAUGAGCUCCAAGAACUUCUAGUAAUCGUUUUGGUCAUGUACUAAUAUAUUUGUAUGUUGGAUUCCAAGAGUCAUGGGUAUAACCCAAAUCCAUAUCCAUGGGUUUUAUGAUCCAUGGUUCAUGUGGCCCAACUCUUUCUGUAUCCAUACAUAAACUUGGUCCAACAUGGAUCAUAAGCCCAACAGAUAUAAAUAUAACUAAUUACUAUAAUUAGUCCGCAUAGAUUUAAUUAGUCUCUUUUGAUCACUAAAUUAAUUCCAAAUUAAUUCUUGAUCAAUACUAAUUAAAACAUAUGAUUUCAUAUUAAUAUAUUAAAACUUAUAAUAUAUUACUAACUCAUAUAUAACCUUCUCUCAAGAAUCCAUCCUGAAAAAUCGUCCUGGUGUUAUGCAACACAAAUGGACAAUGCUACUUUCGGGUCGAAUACAUACCAAUAAUAGUUAUGGGCUUAGACAUCUAAUCCAACAUUGUUGUCAUCGUCGUCACCUCAACUCAUCACUGCUACUGUUAUAUACAAACGCGCCAAUCCCCACGUCUAGACAGCCAUAAAACCCUAGACGCCUCCGUUCAUCUCUUUGGCACCCUUGGUUUGCCUUAUCUGCCAACCCUAUAGAUGGACGACUCGAUCAGAAUCAAUGUAACCUAUCAACCACUCGUCAUUCGGACCUUAACAAAACUCUUCAAUUUCUCUUAUGUUUUAGGUAAUAUUUUGCUUUCUUUUACAUAUCUUAUGCAUAUUUCUUGUUAUCUUGCUAUAGUUCUCAAAUUUGCAUAAAUUGUAAAAGAAAUAAAUUGUUUUUCGGAAUCCUGAUUGGAUUUCUAACCAAUUGCCUUUGAUAUUAUUUUUUUUCCAGUAUUAUUUCUGCCUAUAACAUGGUGAGGCGUGUUUUUAGAUAAUGCAAUUUUGAUGUUACAUGUAAACUUUUAUUUUGUUUUUCUGGCAAAUGAUUUGAUGAAAAUAACAUUUACAAAUUUUUAGUUUUACUUUGUAUUCGUUAAUGAAUAAAUCUGAUAAAUUGUUUAUUUCUAUUUUACUCGUUUAUCCAUUAAUGAAUAAGUGAUAUUACUUUUUUUUUCUCAUUUUACAGGUUACUGAUUAUUAUUUCAUAAAUGAAUAAAAUAUGAAAGUAUAAUAUUUUUUUAACAAAGUUGUACCAUUAAUCAUUAUUGAAUAAAACAGGAAGUGUGUUUACAUAUUUUUUGAUAUUUUGUAGAAAUGAUCGAAGUUACGAAGUAGUUGAAGAGAGCAAUUGAUGAUGAUGGUCAACAUUGGAAAACUGGCGAAGCAUAAUUUUGAUUUGCAUGUUAUACAUUGUGUUAUUUAUUUAUAAUUUAACUUGUAUUUUUUACGCUUACAAGUAUGGGCGAUGUUUUUAUUUAUACAUUGUCUUUUAUUCAUUUAUAUUUAAACAUAUAUUUUUUUUCUCUCUAUAGCAUGCAUAUUCAUUUAUGAUUAAAAAUGAAUGAACAUUAUGAUCUAUUUAUUUCAUAUUUACAAUUAUAUUCACUAUAAAUACAAAUUAUUUUUCAUCUUUACAAAAAUAUAAUUAAGAAAUUAAUUAAAAAAAUUUACCAAGGUGCAUUAUAUUUUAUUCAUUUAGGAAUUAACUCAUACGAGUUAAGUAAUACAAUAAAAAACAAUUGUUUAAAUUAGACUUUGAUAUUUAUUAAUGAAAAAAUAAUUAGCUAUUUUUUAUAUAACUUUCAAUAAAAUCCUCGUAUUUUAACCUCUCUUUGUAUUUUUUUAGAAAUGAAUUCAUUAAAUUUAUUUGUUUUAUUUUAAUAAAAAAAUACUUAUUUAAAAUUUUUGAAAUAAAUGAUUGCAACGUUAUAGGAAACAACAAUUCAAUUUUGUUGACUAGUUCAUUUAUUCUAAUUGUAAAAUUCCUAUAGCACCUCUUAAAAAAUGAUUGGUCCACAAUUGUUCUCAAGUUCUCAUGCUUUUCAUGUUCUCAAAAUAACAUCUCUCUUUCUCUCUCUCUCUCUCUCUAUAUAUAUAUAUAUAUAUAUAUAUAGAGAGAGAGAGAGAGAGAGAGAGAAAGAGAGAGAGAGAGAGAGAGAGAGAGAGGUUAUAUUGAUAAUGUAAAAAAGUUAAGAACGUGAGAACGAUUGUGAAUCGAUCAAUUCAUAACGGGUGUUAUAGGAAUUUUACAAUUACACUAAAUGAAAUAGUAUGCAUAAUUGAAAGUUGGUUUGGUAUAAUAUUUCAAUAAUUUAUUUCAACUUUUUCCAAAAAUAAUUAGAUUUUCUUAUAAAUAUAAAAGAAUUAAAUUGCAUGAAUGCAUCCUAAAAAAUAUAAAGAUUAACUAAAUUUGUUCUAUCAAUUGAAAUUCAUAUCAUGUUAUAACAAAAUCACUUGCUCUUUUUAUUUUAUCCACAACUAUUUUUAUUCCAUAACUUCGUUUUAAAUUUAUUGAUGAAUAUCUAAUUAGAGUUUUUUUUAACAUAAAUUAAUGGUUUGACAACAUAAAUAUGAUAAUGAAUUUUUAUUUAUUGGUAAAUGAAAUUAAUGACUAUUGUAUACACUAAUGAAUAUGCAAAAGUUGGAUUCAUAUACUUACAUAUUUAUAUUCAUAAAUGAUUAUACUAAAAUAGACUUCAUACAUUUAUAUUAACAAUGAUAUAUUUAUAAAUGAUUAAAAUCACGUUAAAAAUGAUAUAUUGUAUUUGUAAAUGACUAUAAUUGAUUUUUUUACAUCAAAAAAAGGAGAUCUUAUAUUCAUAUAUGACUGCAAUUGGUGUUUUUUUUUUCUAAGUUAAAACAUGAGCAUUUCACCUAUACUUGUCUACUCAACUCAAAACCGAUAACUAGAACCAAUCUAGAACGAAUACAACGUCCAACUUUAUAAGUCAAAGAACAUUGAAUAUCACCAUAGAAGAUUGCAUGCCUGCAUAAUAUUCAUAAUUGAAUAAGGAGGGAGUGAGUAAAAAAGCUUAACAUAUUAAUCCAAAUUGAGAUAUCCAAUAUUCAUAAAUGAACGUGGAUUUGUCAACCUUAAUAAAAUGGAAAGUCCAGUGUUGUGUAAUAGAAAGAAACAGGACAUGUGUUUCUAAUAUGUAUAAAUUUUAAUUUUUUUAAUUGAAUAACAAGUUGGUUCAUACUAAUUUAGGAAAGUUACCUGAUAUUCAACGUGGAAUUACCACAACAUCAGAGGUAAUAAUGGGCUUUUACUUAAUCUAGAGAGUUAUACAUGUCUGUUUCUUAUUUACUUAAUCCAGAUAAAAUGGCAUAAUGGGUUAAGUCAAAAAAACAUGGCUUAAUGUAUUAUGAAACUAACCUUUACUAAUAUGCCCUUCUUCUUUUUUCUUCGCACCCCUCUCAUGUUAAAAUCAACGAAUGUUGUGAAAUUUGUUGUGGAAUGGAAGGGUAAAAUCAUCAUUUGUCAUUAGCAACGUUAUCCAUACAAACCUUAAUAGGGAAAAAAAAGAAACAAUCAUAAAUCUAAUCUAGCUAGUGUUUGAUAACUAUUCCUAUACAGUUCAUUGUAGUUAUACAAGCCAAUAAAAAAAAUUAUUAGACCAUACUAAUUUUCCCCCAAAAGGGACGUGUAAGAGGAUAAAAAUAAUCACACCUCACAUUCAUUUAGAAUGUGAAGCAGGACCAAAACUUCUUCACACCCACCUGCUAUUUAAGGGAUAUUUUAAAUAAAUAUGAAGAAAUAAACAUAAUGGAAGGCACAUAAACAUAAAAAAGAAGAAGCAAAACAUAAAAGUUUAGCAAUAGUCAUGUUAAUACGAACUAUUUGAACAUAAAUAAGAAUAUGCACACAAAGAAAAUCAAAGUUACAGAAAAUCAACCAAUAACAAAGUAUAGUCCUUUCUUGAUGUUUUUUUAGAGUAUGAAAUAGAAAAAUGGGCAUAAAGUACUACAGUAUUAUUAUAUUUACUUUGUCUCUUCUAUUAUGUGUCAAGUAUAUAAAUGGUAUUUCAAUUUCAAAAUUUAUUGAUAGAAGUCGUUACCUUUAGCUAUUAUGCAUCAAGUACAUAAAUGGUAUUUCAAUUUCAAAAUGCUCAUCAAUCAUUAACACACAUAGAUGAUGAUACUUCACUCUUUCCCAUCAAAUUAUCAAAUUAGUCAACAUGAAUCUAUAAUAGACAACUAUUACAUUCUUCAUAAAAAAAGGAAACAAUAAAUUUAUAGGAACUUCAAUUUUCAGUUGAUACUUUCUAUUGCUUAUACUUACUCACUAAUAGCUAGGGUAAGAAUAUUAGAAAUGUAGCAACUAAACAAGGUUGCCUGGAGCUGAAUCUAGCUUUGUGAAUAUAUUUUUACAUAACAAAAUACAUGCAACCUUUUAUGCGUAAUAAAAUACAUGGAAUUUCAAAGGCAACUAAAUUUCAUCAGCCUACCAAAUUAACAUACUCAUUGGGUUGUGGAUAUUGCAAUGUAGAAAGGAAGUAGUUAACAAACAAGCACACUUAUAGAAAAUGCAAUGUAAAUGACCUCCAAAUUAACCUCUUUUUAGUUAUCCAACUUUUCAAAAACAAAAACUUCUAUAGAAAAAUAACAAAUAGUAAUAGUCAUGUUAAUAUACAAUCAGUGCUGCCAAUUAAAUAUACAACAUUGUCUUAACUCACAACCACCCUACAUGGAUAUUUAACCAUGAAAAUAAUUAUAUAUUCAUAUAGAAAAAUCAGUGUUACCUUUAACUACUCUGUAUAUUAUUGUUUGGAUAAUGUUAUAUGAAUUUAAUAGUGUAACAGAAAAGAAGGAAGUGAAAGAGUUGUUGGUGGGUUGUACUUAACUUUGAAACUUGAAAGUUUUACUCUAUUAUACCCAUGAAAUCUAAUUUAACUUUAAAUGGUGUUGCUAUAAUCUAGCAUAUUAGUCAAAGUGCAAUGCUUUAAUAAAAGUAGGAUGCAAUGGUAGAAGCUAAGAAAACCAUGCACAACCAAGUUCAUUAAUCAAACCCUAUAAAAGAGAAACUAACAAGUCAUCAAGGUGGUUCAUCAGCACCAAACUUACUGUCAUAACUGGAAAUUUUGUGUCAUGUAAUCUAUACACUCAAGCUAAUGUGAAUCAAAAGCUUAAGAAUAUGUGUAACACCUAUGAUUAUAACUUCAAAAACUUCAAGUAAAUACAUCAUACAAGUACUACAAGUAGUCAUCAAACAAUUGGAAAACCCUAGAAGUUCUUGUUAAGUCUAUUUUGGACUAGAACUUCCUUAUUGGAUCCAAGUGGACCAAUAAGCUUCCAAUUGGACUAUCAUGGGCUUAGAACCCUAAUUGGGCUCUAAUUGGACUCACAUCUAUUUAUUUCAAUAUUGUGAGCCAUGUUGGACCUAGAAUGAAAUAAAUUGAAAGCUUUGAUCCAUAAUUAACCUAAUUUGACCCUAACAAGUUAUAAAAAUCACCUUUAUAUUUAUUUGGACCAAAAAUCACUCAACUUAACCAUGAGAAUUGGGCUUAAGCAUUCAAAGCCCAAAUUUUUCUUUUCCUUUCCAAAAUCUCGGCCCAAGGCCCAAAUCCAAGAAAGAGUUGACUUUCAAGUGACACCUCAUAAUUAACCAAAGGACUUCCAUGCAAUACAUCACAUACCUCCAUGCAAGUAUCACUUCAUGGUCUAUUUCUCCCUUCUCUCUCUUUCGGCCGAAAACACACACACACACACCACAAAAAUCUAUUCCAAACUCUCCAAGUCUUGAAGAACAAUCCUCCCUCCUCCUUCAAAAAUUUCGUGAAUCAAGGGCUUCACAAGGAAAAUCCAUCACCAAAAAUCAUCAUCUAAGGUAAGUUGAUGACUAAUCCAUGAUCUAGCUACUUCAUUUCAUCAAAAAUCUCUUCUAAAUCUAUUCCAACUUGUGAUCAUGCACCUUAGAAGUCACCAAACUCGAGAUCUACCAAGGAAGGGUGCUAAGGCCGAAAAUCACUUCACUUCUCUUCCAUCUUCUCUCCAAAACCGAAACUACCCCCUUAAGGUGAGCUUCAUACCCCCUAUUUUCUGUUUUUAUGAGUUUUGUGGGGGGGGGGAGAACACAAGUAAAAGUGUAGAUCUAUAUGUGUUUGUAUGCCUUGUAUGAUUUCCAUGCUUAUAUGUAUGCUUUUAUGUGUUUUAAUGUUGGAUCUAGCCAUAAAACCCCUCAAAACCGAGAUAUAACUUAUGUUAUAUGAUUUUAGCAUGAAAUGUAUUUCUACAUACAAAGUGUUUCAAGAAAGAUAGCUAAAUGGUUUAGUAACAAUUUUCUUUAAGCUAAAAACACAAAUUUUGGGCCAAAAAUGUGAAAAAUACAAAAUUAAGGGCCCAAAUUGACAUUUCACAGAUUCUGAUGGAUGAAGUGUGCCAAAACAGUUUCCAUAAAACUAUUUCUGGAAUUAUACUCAAUUAGAGGAUUAAAAACAUGAAUUUCAAGCUUAAUGGGCUAAAAAUGAAAAUUUCGGCCCAAUGAGGCCCAUUAUGCGAAUUUUUCUGUUUUGGAGGGCCAAAACUGUGAUUUUCUGUAAAACAGUGGACCAUAAGUGAUCCAAGUCCUUUUCAAAGGUUUAAAAUGCUUUUUAAAUUUAAAAAGGACCAAAGUUGCAAAAAUUUUACAAUUUGGGCCAAAAUUGUCAAAAUUGCGAAAAGAAGGGUUAUAACCGAGAAAACUGAAAUUUCAGGGACUUAAGCUGUUUUCUAUGAAAAAUAUGCUGGAAAAUGUUUAUUUCAAUAAUUUUUGGUGUUAAAAUGUCAAGAAAAUUGAUUUAAGGACCAAACCGGAAAAUAUUUUAAAUAAAGGGUUGAAAAAGUAAAUUUUACAAACAAGGAGGGGCUGAAAACAGAAAAUUUUCAUGACUAAUUCAAUACAUACAAUUUGACCAAGUAAUGGUACUACAACUAUCGACAAAAUACAAUACACUACAACACCAAAAGUCGUUGUUAAACGAAUUGGUUCGGUCUCGAACCAAUAAAAAUCCGAAACCACUAACACAACGAUACUAUGAUACUACAAUGCUAUGAUUCAUACAAAUAACGAUUCGGAAUUCAUUAUACAUGUGCACAGACGUCUACGCACUAUCUUUGGGCCCCACAAGUGUAAAAUCUUGUUCGUUGAGCCUAGCUAGCCCGACGACCUGAUCUUAAGGCCCAAAGACUUCAUCUUACGAAGUGUUGGGUUUUACCAAUCCGACACGACGUAACCGGACUUUCAAUGGCUGUAGACUACUGGUCCCCAAGGGUCCUUUAGUGUCGCUAGUAGAGUCUGCCUUUUUGCGAGGCGGGUCUGGGACCCCUCGUACCUUUUUAUCCCCAACCGGCUAAUGGAGUCGUCGAGGCCUUCGUGUCCUCCUUCUCUUCGGAUGUGGGACUACAGGACGGUUGGAUAACGUGAUUAGUACGGACGACGCCUUCGGGAUCGUUAGUAUUGCUAUAGACUAGUCGUUUGUGUAACGCGUGUUUGUAGCGGAUAAUCAUGCUCAAAAAUAAUCCAAUGUCGUCUGGAAUGAUAACUUCAUGCGUUGCAAUGGUUUCAAGUAAUUUCAUGGAAUUCAAAGAAUUAGGAAAACAUCGGGUUUUCCUAGGGUUUUCAAUACAUACAAUUUCAGAAUACAUACGAUUUCAACAAACAAUAUUUUACAAGUAUAGAAAACAAACAAGCAUACUUAUGGAUCUUCACACCUUUUUGACUAUACUAUUUUCAGAAAAUAUCGGAUUUUCUGGCGGUUUUCAAACGACACGAAACAUUGUUUUUUUUUAAAAACAACUUAUGAACUCACCAACAUUUCAUAUGUUGACGUUUUUCAAAAUACUUGUAUUCUCAGGGAACCAGUGAAUCAAAGGAAAUCGUAUUUCAGUGAUGGCUUGCAGUUUAUUUAUGUACGAAUCGAACAAUUUAUUGUGGAAUGUAAUGUUUAAACAAUGUAUUUCAUGUAAACUCUACUGGUUGUACAAUACUAAUGCAUGGUGACGAAUGUUGUUAUGUUUCAUAUAUAUUCAAUGUUAUGGUAUUCAAUUGAGUCACGACAGCCCCCGGACGUUUCCGCCGUCUGGUUCGGGGGUGUGACAGGUUGGUAUCAGAGCUUUGUUUAUAGUGAACUAGCAUGUCGAGCCACACAUUGAUAUGCAACUAUAAACCAAAAAGAGGGACUAACAUAACUCUGAACAAAACAAGUAAAUAAAACACACUUGCUUGCAUUAGGGAUAAGGACCUAACGCCGAAUCAAACACAAUAACACUGGUAUCUCGGUUAAUUCGGGACUGUUCUUAGUGAUACCAAGGAGUGAAUGUAGCCUGAUCAACUACAUUCUCUCCAAAGUAAAACUAACACACGUCUUGAUGAGAUCGGGAUAGCUAGGGAACCUAAAACUAUACCCUUUAUCACCAAAAAGAGAACGUUUGCUUGGUCUGUACAAUAGUCAUAGAACCUAGGAAUAAUGUUAGCAUAUUUACGUGCUCGCGCAGACAGCAUGGCUGGUUUUCAUCACCCUGGAGACCCCUACUUCCCUAAUCAGGGAAACAACGGGUGGCUAGAGGAGGAGGAGCCUGAGGAAGAGCCUGAAGAGGAACCUGAGGAGGACCCCGAAGAGGAAUCUGACGGGGAACCGGAGGCAGAAGUCGAGGGCGAGCCUGCCGAACCCGAAGAAGACGAAGAACCUUUCGGAGAGGAGCUCGAUGACAGCGAAGGGGGUGAUUCGGACGCAGAGUCCGAGGUCAUCGACCCCCCUUACCCGAUCAGGGUGCCUGCUUAUCGUGUGGGCCCCACUGGACCUACCCCUCCUUGGGGCAUUGAUCUUUGGAGAUGGAGCAGACAUCAGGGACAGCGACCCCCGUUUGGCAUGUCACGUGAGUUCUUUGACUUGAGGGACGGAGGACCGGCCGACCGAGCCCUACCGGUCAUGGUGAGACGAUUACGGGACACCGGCGACCUUGCUCAGGGCACUGCUGAUCAAGUACGCCAGUUGUGGACUAGGGUCGAGCGUGCGGAACAGGAGACGCGUGACGUCCUCCGGGAGUUUCACAUGAGGCAGGUAAGGUGGGAGUCUCGACUUCAGGACGCAGAACGCCUAGUGGCUCGUCUUCAGGGAGCAUCCACAUCUUCGGCACCACCUCCUGACGCAGCUCAUCGCGGUUAGGGAUAGACUUAUCAUAGUAGGAUAUUAGGAACUAUGUUAUGUACUCCGGCUCUAUGUUUAAGUGACUACACUACUCAUGGAGCCGUUAUGCUGUCGGAUUAGUGUUACUUAUGUAUGCUCCUACGAGCAAAUUUUCUUGUACUAAACGCGGAUAAUAUUAAUAAACUUUUGUGUGUUUUGCUAUGAUAUUCUCAGUUGUUAUGUGUUGAGGCGUUAUGAUUGUAUGCUUGAUGAUAGUAAUGUUUAGGUUCGUACCAUACACCUAGUUAGUAGGAUCAUAACCUCACCGAAACCACGUACACUCAACAUCUUUCCGUUUCAUGACAGAAAGAUGCCUCGCCCAGCUACUCGCGGAAAUCCCGAACCAACCCCGCCCGAAGUUGACUCCACUGCUUUCCAGGCAGCCGUGUCCGCUGCGGUCACAGCAGCUAUGGCACAACUUCACCGAGGGAACAACGGAGGAGGUAACGGGCAAGGAUCCGGAAGUUCGAACAACGGGACGAACCAAGGACCCACUAAAACGUGCACCUACAAGGAUUUUGCGAACGCUAAACCCCGAACUUUCAACGGUACCGGAGGAGUGAUCGCCCUAAAGCGAUGGAUCGAGAAGGUAGAGUCGGUAUUCGAGAUAUGCGAGUGCCCCGAGCAGAUGAAAGUGAAGUUCGCGGCCUGCACUUUUGUGGACCAAGCACUCACUUGGUGGAAUGGUCAUGUGGAAGCUAUGACACUCCCUGUCGCCAACUCUAUUCCCUGGGCAGAGAUGAAAGAGAUGUUGACGGCUGAGUACUGCCCCCGAGGCGAAAUACAGAAGAUGGAGCAGGAACUAUGGAAUCUCACGGUGCAGAAUGGGAACAUCGAUGCUUACAUAUCGAGAUUCAGCGAACUAUCUCUGUUGUGCCCGGGUAUGAUCACAUCAGAGGGGAAGAAGAUUGAACGAUUCAUUUGGGGACUGACAUCCCCCAUUCAAGGGAAUGUGAUAGCUGCGAACCCUGAAACUUUUGACAGUGCGAAGAGAUUGGCAAAGAGGCUAUAUGAUCAUAACCACAAAAAGGGCGAGAAACCGGUAGAGACUGAGAAGAAGAAGGAGAGUGAUGGUAAGAAAGGAUGGAACAACAAGAGGAAGGGGCGCCAGGGUCCCGAGACCUCUAAAAAGCAGCAAACGGUGGCAGUUCACGCUGUCACUGCGCCGGUACCAGUCACAUCACAUGCUCCAGCCUCAGCUGCUUCAAAUACUUCAAGACCCUAUUCCGGCACUCAUCCCAAAUGCAACAAGUGCGGUUUCCAUCACCAAGGAGAAUGUAGGGAGUUCCAUUGCACCAGUUGCAAUCGAAGGGGACACACUGCAAAGUUCUGCAGGACUUAUCCUUCUCAGAACCAGAGUCAGGGAAACAACCAGAACAACAACAACAACCACCGCAAUACCAACAACACCAAUGCCGGCGGCAACAACGCAGGGCCUAGCCACACCUGUUUCGGGUGUGGAAGGACGGGACAUUUCCGUCGAGACUGCCCUAACAACAACAACAACUCAGGAAACAGAGGAGCAGGAAGAAUGCUGACUAUGGGUCAGAGUGAUGCAGUUCAGGACCCCGCAGUUGUGACCGGUACGUUCCUCCUAAACCACACUUAUGCAUGCAUCUUAUUUGAUACCGGAGCGGAGCGAAGUUUCGUAAGCGAGAAGUUUAAACAUUUAUUAAAACAACAACCCCAGAAGCUAAAUGAAACCUAUACGGUGGAAAUGGCCAAUGGGAAAACCGAAUCCACUAGGGAGAUCUACAUCGGAUGUACCCUAACCCUUAACCAGCACGUCUUUCGAAUAGACCUAAUGCCAGUAUCAAUUAGGAGUUUCGAUGUGAUUAUCGGCAUGGAUUGGUUAAGCCCCCACCAUGCUGAGAUUAUGUGCCACGAGAAGGCCGUUCGCCUUCGUCUCCCAAAUCACGAAACCCUAGUAAUUUACGGAGACAAACCCAGUACGAAUCUUCGUCUCAUCUCGUGCAUCAAAGCACAAAAACAUCUGCGAAAGAACAACUUAGCGUUCUUGGCCCACAUAGUGGACAAGACCAAAGAAGAAACUAACAUCCAAGACAUUCCGGUAGCGUGUGAAUUUCCGGACGUGUUUCCCGAAGAUCUUCCAGGAGUACCCCCAGAGAGACAGGUUGAAUUCCGAAUCGACCUCGUUCCAGGAGCAACUCCCCUCGCUAAAUCACCAUAUCGGUUGGCACCUGCUGAAAUGCAGGAAUUAUCCAGCCAACUCAGUGAGCUUCUGGACAAGGGAUUUAUCCGACCUAGCUACUCGCCAUGGGGAGCUCCGGUGCUCUUUGUCAAAAAGAAGGACGGAUCUUUCAGAAUGUGCAUCGAUUACAGAGAGUUGAAUAAACUCACUGUUAAAAACCGCUACCCACUCCCACGAAUCGAUGAUCUAUUCGACCAGCUCCAAGGAGCUAGCUAUUUUUCUAAAAUAGAUCUACGGUCCGGAUACCAUCAACUCAAGGUCCGAGAAGAAGAUAUUCCUAAAACCGCUUUCCGAACCCGCUAUGGACAUUAUGAAUUCGUCGUAAUGCCCUUCGGUCUAACAAAUGCACCCGCUGCAUUUAUGGACCUAAUGAACCGAAUCUGUCGACCGUUCUUGGACAACUUCGUCAUUGUGUUUAUCGAUGACAUCCUCGUCUAUUCUCGAAGCAAAGAGGAGCAUGGCCAACAUCUCCGACAAGUCCUAGAAACGCUGCGAUCGGAAAAGCUUUACGCCAAACUCUCCAAGUGCGAGUUCUGGCUUCGGAGUGUGAAUUUCUUAGGCCACGUAGUUAGCCAAGACGGAAUUCAUGUGGAUCCCUCUAAGGUCAAAGCUGUGGAAGGAUGGGCAACUCCGACUACGCCCACAGAAAUUCGUCAGUUCUUAGGCCUAGCAGGCUACUAUAGGAGAUUCAUCCAAAACUUCUCUAAAAUCGCCAAGCCACUUACCUUGCUUACGCAAAAGAGUGUGCCAUUCAAGUGGACAGACCGACAAGAGAUUGCGUUUCGAACCUUGAAGCAAGCUCUUUGCAGCGCUCCUGUACUAUCUCUACCUGAAGGAACGGAAGAUUUUGUAGUUUACUGUGACGCGUCAAAUCAAGGCUUAGGUUGCGUUCUCAUGCAACGUGGAAGAGUGAUAGCAUAUGCGUCCCGUCAACUAAAGACGCACGAAGUAAAUUACACAACCCAUGACCUAGAACUGGGAGCUGUGGUCUUCGCCCUAAAAAUUUGGAGGCACUACCUGUACGGUACAAAGUGCACCAUCUUUACGGACCACAAGAGCCUCCAGCACAUCUUGAAUCAGAAGGAGCUGAACAUGAGACAACGAAGAUGGGUGGAAUUGUUAAACGACUACGAAUGCGAGAUCAAGUACCAUCCAGGCAAGGCCAACGUGGUAGCUGACGCAUUAAGUCGGAAGGAAUACACAAAUCGACGUACGAAAACGCACUCGAUAACCAUUCAGUCUCAUCUGACCACUCAAAUUGCAUCAGUCCAGGCAGAGGCUAUGAAAGCGGAAAAUAGAACUAGCGAGGCAUUACGCGGAAUGGAGAAGAACCUGGAAGUCAAAGAGAAUGGGGUAUACUACUUCAUGAACCGUAUUUGGGUUCCAAAAAUCGGAGGAUUCAGGGAGACCGUUAUGAAGGAAGCCCACAAGACACGAUACUCCAUUCAUCCUGGUUCGGACAAGAUGUAUUUGGACAUUAAGCAGCACUAUUGGUGGCCUAACAUGAAGGCGGAAAUCGCAACUUAUGUUAGUAAGUGCCUUACGUGUGCCAAAGUAAAAGUGGAAUACCAGAAACCUUCCGGAUUGUUACAGCAACCGGCAAUCCCUGAGUGGAAAUGGGAGGGGAUUUCUAUGGACUUCGUGACCAAGCUGCCCAAGACGUCGGACGGAUUGGACACCAUAUGGGUAAUAAUCGACCGACUGACGAAAUCUGCCCAUUUCCUGCCAAUCAAAGAGUCCUACAAGAUGGAGAGGCUGACGCGUUUGUACCUACGAGAGAUUGUAAGACUUCAUGGAGUGCCAAAAUCUAUCAUCUCGGAUAGGGACAGUAGGUUCACGUCACGCUUUUGGCAGUCGCUCCACAAGGCCAUGGGAACUCAUCUUGAUAUGAGCACCGCGUAUCACCCACAAACGGACGGUCAAAGCGAACGAACCAUUCAGACGCUUGAAGACAUGCUUCGUGCAUGUGUGAUAGACUUCGGAAAGUCUUGGGAUACCCACCUACCGUUGAUCGAGUUUUCAUAUAACAAUAGUUAUCAUUCGAGCAUUAAGGUGGCCCCUUUCGAAGCACUGUACGGGCGUAAAUGUAGAUCACCGUUAUGUUGGGCUGAAGUAGGUGACACCCAGCUAGCAAGAACACAUACGUCGGAUAGGGCAAUGACAGGACCGGAAAUCAUUCGCGAGACCACAGAAAAGAUUGUCCAGAUCAAAGCUCGAUUACAGGCAUCGCGUGACCGGCAAAAGAGCUACGCUGAUAAACGGCGAAAGCCCUUAGAAUUCCAGGUCGGUGAUCGAGUAUUGUUGAAGGUCUCACCCUGGAAAGGGGUUAUACGUUUCGGAAAACGAGGAAAGCUGAACCCGCGAUACAUUGGACCUUUCGAAAUCGUCGCCCGAAUAGGUCCAGUAGCAUACAGACUACAACUACCCGCAGAGCUAAAUGGUGUACACCCCGUGUUUCAUGUCUCCAAAUUGAGAUAUCCAAUAUUCAUAAAUGAACGUGGAUUUGUCAACCUUAAUAAAAUGGAAAGUCCAGUGUUGUGUAAUAGAAAGAAACAGGACAUGUGUUUCUAAUAUGUAUAAAUUUUAAUUUUUUUACUUUGUCUCUUCUAUUAUGUGUCAAGUAUAUAAAUGGAAUUGGAAUUGGGUUGCGCCAAUUUCAAAGACAGAUUGGCGAUAGAAAAAACAAAAUACGAAUAUCCCAAAUAUAGUUUUCAUCGUCGUUCUCUCGCUAAAUGCGUACCAGAUGACACAAUUUUUUUAUCCCUCGUUGAACGCUAGCUAAGUGCCUUCAUUUUUCGACUGGUUAGCGAGGAAUAGCGGUGCAUCGAUAUAUACUUGGGAGAUCCAUAACUGAUCCCUCGGUAAAUCCUCACUAAUAUUCCAUAUGUUAAAUAAAUAAAAUAAUUAUCAAAAACAUGGUAGAUUUGUCGUAAUUCCCUAGCUAUAAGUCUAAAUUUUGCUAGAGAAUAAAUCUGUAACUGAAACUCAAGUUUCUAGUAGUGUUUUAAGACAUGUUCAAGUUAGCCAUCAUGAGUUUGUUAGUCAUUCAUGUGCUUGGAUUUAUUACCAACCACAUGGACAAUUUAUUGGCAGCAACACCAUCAGUUUUGUUAGAUGAUCCUUGUGGUUGAAAAAACAUUGAUGUAUUUUUUUUUUCUGGACCAUUUAUUGGCAACAACACCAUCAGUUUUGUUAGAUGAUCAUUGUGGUUGAAAAAACAUUGAUGUAUUUUUUUUCUAUAUCUUGAUUAACUUGAACACAUCUUCAACAUAUAUAGGGACUUGUGAGAUCUUGAACACAUCUUGAAUCAAUACAUACAUAUAGACCAUUUAACUAUUGAUGUAAUUGUGAUAGGGACUAUUUAUUCAUAAGGACCAACGAUGGUAUUUUUUUCCAACCACAUGGACCAUUUAUUUGAGUUUGUCUUACUUCUAUUUCUGGUUCAUAUUAAUAUUAAUUAGAUCUAAUAUCAUAUAACUCCAAUUACACUAAGUUUGAGGUUAUUGUAAAAAGUAUACAUACUUCCAAACGUUUUCUAUAGUAUUUAUGUGAUCAAAAGGUAAUGGGAUAUUUAAACAUCCUAUUCGAUAAUCAUGUAUCAAGUUAAAGUAAGAAACAAACCAUGUUAUUCUACGUUGUUUAUUACCAUUUAUAUACAAGAGAGUAUUCAGAAAGGGAACUGAUUCGUACACAACAAAAUUUCUCCAUACACAACAAUUUAUGCUUUAAAAUGUUGUAUUGUACAACUCCAUUAAGCAUAAAAUAUUGUGUAUGGAGAAAAAAUGUUAUGUACAAAUCACUUCCUAUUCAGAAAAAACAAUCUACACUACGUAUUUUAUGUAUGUAUAUGUAUGAAUAUGUUUCUUUAUGUAUUUAUAUGUAAGACAAUAUCUUUACUAUAUUAUAAAGCAUCUUGAACUUUUCUUGAAAUUUAAGAGGUACAUAUUUGAAAACUUAAUGUACAAAUUUAUUAUGUACAAACCACUCAUCUUUCUAUAAAGAAAAACUAAUUAUGAUAAAGAAUAAUCACCGAAAAUAUCUAAAGAAUGAAAUAUUAAUUAAAUUUUGUUUCUUUUUUUUUAAUGUGUAUAGGAGAUUGUACUAAAAGCUAAAAAAAAUAAGGGAUAUGUUAUUGUUUCACAUUACUGUCACCUUAUUCAUCAGAUUUCACGAUUCCAUUUUUUUUAACAUAUUUCAGCUUCGGUUUUAAUCUUUUAGUUUAUUUUUUUAUUCAUGUUUCAUAUCGAUACUUUGUAGUCAAUAAUUCUUGUGGAUUUUCAAUGAUGUUUUUGGUUUUAAUGGUGCAGUUAUCACAUAAUGGUGGGUCUUUAUAUCCCUAAUUUUCUAUUAAUUGUUUCUAUCAUGACUAUGUAUUCUUUUUAUUCUUGAUUUUCCACAUAUCUAUGUAUAUUGUAAAGUUUUGACUUGAAAAAAAUUGUGCUUUUAUAUUCUUGAUUUUCUAUAUACAUGUGUAUAUGUUAACAUUGUAUAUGGUGGGCAUAUUCUCUUCUCUUAAGUGAAUUUUAUGGAAAACUUGAAUGGUACUUUUAAUAAACUACAUGAGGACCGAAACAAUGUAUAUUAUCUAUUAUCUUCUCCAAAGUAUUACUGAAGAGUUAUUAAUUGUCGUUCAUCCAUCCAAAUUUUUGAUGGGUUGGUCGGUUCAAGCUCCUCAAGAACAAGGAUUUUUGCUAAUGAAGCUUUUCUCGUUGUGAUCUGUCACACCCCAAAACCGAGAACGGCAGAAAUGUUCUGGGGCAGAGGACAUCAUGUAAUGUAUCACAACAAUGCAAAGUAGUAAACAGGCAACAACAUCAUCCAUUGCAUUAAUAGUAUAAUUUUAAUUACAUUUGAGUUCUUUCAUAGUAUAAUUCUACAAAAUGAAUAAUCAAAAUAAAAGACGAGUCUUGACCGCUCAAUCUUCACAGAACCUGGUAAUCGUACAUGUCUAUCUGUGUCCUGGGAAUACAAGUUAUUUUGAACGAGAGUAUCAACAAUAAUGCUGGUGAAUUCAUAAGUAUUUAUGCGACUUUGGUUUGUAAAUCUGUAAAGAAAGACCUGCAAUGUUUGAAGGAAAGUUUGUACCAAUAAACAUGUUUGUAAGUAAUUGUAAACGUUUGAAAACUCUAGAAAAUCCCAUAUUUUCUACUAGUAAAAGAAAGUAGCCUUCUACCAAGACCCGACUGUUUUGAAUGUUUGCUUUUAGAAAUCCAAUCAUUUCUUUUAAGUGGGUGGCAGUUUAAAAGUCCCAAAAAUGAACUACCAUGGUGUUUUUCAUGUUUAAAAUAAUAGAUUUGUAUACAUAUAUAAUCGCUAAGGUAUUUGAUAACCCCGUAAAUCAAAGUGUUUUUAAUACUCCAUGUGAGUUUUAUAACCAUCCUAAUGACCCAGACUGCCUGUAAAAACGUUCUUCAGGCGUUGGAAUGUUAUGACGUUUGUCACCCCAGGCCUGUCGGCCUAGCUGUAGCUAACAGCUUAGGUGUGGGAUUGUCAAUGCCGUAUAGAUCUAUACACAAGUAUCAUGCUCCCCCUACAAGGGAUUGUGGUAUAUAAUACAAGACUUAAUAAUGCAUACUCGAAAGUACGUGAAAUGUCUCACAAAACCUAGUAUAAAACAGAUUUACGUAUGAAAAUGUCUAUUUGUUCUUGUAUAUGAAAAUAUCUCUUUGAUAUGGUACUUGUAAUAUGUAAAAUUUCAUGAAUAUCUAGUACAGUAUCUUAUGUAAUCGUAUCUCUUGAAAUUGUAUAUCUUGAAAUUGUGUGUAAUCGUAUCUCUUCAUAUAGUAUGUAAUGUAUUUGUAUAGACUCAUGAAUAAACUGACUCUUGUGUGAUCCCUUGUACUUGGGAUGGUAAGUAGUAUCUCCUAACUAUACCUAUUAUAGUUUCUAGUAUUGUAUGUGUAUAACCGAAAUAUGCCUUUGCUACUCAAAGGUACUGAACCAACUGACGAAAACUUUUAUGUCUAUAUAUGUACUUAUGAUAUAUAUAACUAAUAUUUAGACGACAUUCCGACGAAUAACCGAUGCCCUAAAGCCACAUCCCAACGAGGAAAAGGAAAUAAAGCGAGCUAGCCGUCCUAAGUCCUUCAAACAUUACUUAUAUAAUGAUACAUAUAUAGGCAUGCAUUUGCCAAUAUAAAAAUAUAAAAGAAGUUUUGUAAAUCCUUUGAAAAGUUUAAUAAAUAAGAAAUGAUGACUUGAUGUCAGUUUUUAAAGGGAUUUGAAAGUAGUUUGUUUGAUAAAAGCAAUUUUAAGUAUAAGAAGACCUUUGUUUGAAACACGAUUCUUACAGCGUUGGAAAGGAAGCAUGAAGUAUGUAAGAUAAAUGAACACAUAUACUCAAAGUAUAAUUAAAGUGUUUGAUUCGUAUAUGUAUAACAACAUAUUUAAUUUCAAAAGACAAGAUGUUAUCGUGAUAUAUUUUGUGUAUGAAAGGUUCCACGUGGUAGUUAUGAAUCACAUAUGAUUUACUUGAUAAAAAAGUAUACAGAGAAACUUUAGGUUACACAUGAUAAUAAACGUGUGUUUACUUGUAUUCUCCCCUUAAAAGUGUAUAUAAAAAGUAUUGAUGACACAUUUUAAAAAAAAUGUAAUUUAUAGUGUGACAACCCAAGUUGUUCCGUUACAUUUCCCCGUUACUGUUAACGGAAUAUUCCAGUUAUAAAAGUUCCGUUAAUUAGAGGUCGUCAAUUUAAUAAACAUUUCGAUUGUUUAUGUUUAAUAUGCCGUUAAGUCGUGAUGAAAGGGAAUAAAAACACACAACACACAAUUCCAUUUAUUUGGAAAAGUUAGUUUUUAUUAUUACGACCACUAAAUCGGGUGCGACCAAAAGCCCCGUUUAACGGCAGUAUCGGGUAAAAUUCCACUGAGCCCNCGUUGAGCUCCAACUCCCACCCAUAUAUAAAGGGGAGUAAACUCCAUUUGGAGCUUUUCUACCCUCUCUUUCUCUAUACUCUCUCUCUAGACUCGUUUUCGCCCCGAAUCCGCAACCAAACGCUUCCAAAUUGUAAGUCCGCUUACCCUAGCCUAUUCUAAACAUAUUGAUUCAUGUUUAUAGCUUAGAAAUCAAACCUAGAAGCUGUUGAAAAGGAGUUUACGGCCUAAGCUCCUCCUUAGGCCGUAAACACCUAAAAUGAGGCCAAAAUGACCCCAAAAUGUCCCUAAAGGAUUAGAAAUAAAUUAAGGGAUUUGCCUAGGAGUGUUUAAACAUUAAAUCACAUGAUUUUAGGGGUAAAAGAGAGUUUACGGCCUAGGCAUAUGCCAUGUUUAUGACAUGUUUAAGAGGUGUUUACGGCCUAGGCAUAUGCCAAGGCCGUAAACACCUCUUAAACAUGUCAUAAAGCCCCAAAAACACUCCCAGACCACCCUAGGACUUCAUACAUAAUUUAGGGACUUGGUAUUGUGGGUUUAGAUCAUUUAAACACAAGGAAAUAUGGGGUAACAUGGAGUUUACGGCCCAAGCAAGUGCCUAGGCCGUAAACACCCCUAAAUGUGCCAAAAAUGUGGUUUUUUCCCCCAAAAUGGCCUUAGACUAUUUUUAUAAAAUGCUAGGAAGGAUUUAAGGGCUUAAACUCCAAGAGUUGUGGGUGUAUGAGAGUUCACAGCCAAGCCAUAGAGCUUACGGCCGUAAACUCUCAAAGAUUGGUCAUUUGGACCAUAAAAUCUAAAGGAGUGCCCUCUUGGAACCCCAAACACCCCUAUAGCCUUGAAUAAAUUACUAGAAGUGAUAUUAGGGCUUGAAACUUUACAAAACUCAAGGCAUAGGAGUUUACGGCCAUAAACUCCCUUAGGAUUUGUCCCUGGGCCGUAAACUCCCUAAAGAAGCCCUUAGGAGCCUUAAACCCACUCAUACCUUUUGGAUUUGGACUUAGAAUAAUUCCAUGAACAAGCUAGAAGCCUUAAACACACUAGAACCCUUCACCAUGAGUUUAUGGCCGUAAACUCAUGGUGAGUAGUCCCUGGGCCGUAAACUAAGAGAUAAGAGUUUACUCUCGAAGAGUAAACUCCAUUCCUAAGCCAUACACACCUUUAGACGCUACCCGGGACACCCAAACAAUUAACCAAAGUGUUUUCCGCUCCUUUGAGUGCGUAUACUUGUUUAAUUAGUAUUAAAUAUACUAAUUGUAUGUGAACAUAUGUUAUCAUAUGUUAAAUAGGUCAUUGAGUGUGUUCGAGUCCUUACGUGACACCGAACGCCCAACCGGCACCCUCGUCGGACCUACUUACACCAGGUGAGUUCAUACCCCUGAAUGAACCUUUUAAAUGUUUUUACAUGUUUUAUAGGGGGGAAUACAAGUUAAACAUGCCAGUUAUCAUAUCAAUCACAUGUGAUUGAUAACCCGCAUGCACAAGAUUUUACCACACUGUACACUGUUUUACCGAGUAGGACACUAUAACGAUUUUUAAUUGUUUCAAAACUUUUACUUAUACUGAUUUAUCCAAAUUCAUUCUAAACUGGUUUAUGAAAGAUUUCCAAAGGUUUUUAAAUAUAUUUUACAAAAGAAUACAAACUGUGAUUUUCCCCGAGUAUAAAGGUUUUUCAUCAAAGUAUCCUUUCGCGACUUAUACUUUUACUUGUUAGAUACCGCUGCUUCACUUUCAUGUAUUUUAAAUUCCUACUCGAUUACGCUUACACUUCGUGAUGCGUUUAUACACGUUAUCGUCUCUAUUUCGCUUAUACCUGUUAUCGUCUCUAUAUCGCUUAUACCUGUUAUUGUCUCUAUAUCGCUUAUACCUGGUACGCUUAUACUUCACGACUCGAUCUAUCCACACUGUAUGAAUUCACACCAUAAUGAUAUGUUUCCACUUAAUACACACCCAGCCGUAGUUAGAUGUAUGUCUGUGCGUAUAUAGAUACAUAUAAGUAAUGAUUGAAAGACUUAGGAAGGCUCGUCCGCCCUAUUUCCUUUUCUUCGUUGAGAUGUGGUCUGGUGGGAUCGGAUGGCCGUCCGAAGGUCGUUUGAUUCAUUAGUUAUAUAUUAUGUAUAUGAGUAUGGACAUACAGGAAUUCUCUAGUCAGUUCAGUUAAGAGUCUCUACCUCUAGUCUACACUUACAUUAGAAACCCACUAUUGGGAAGUCUCUACCUCUAGUUCAGCACUUACACACUACCCACUAUUUGGAAGUCUCUACCCACUAUUUGGGAUGCAUCUUCAGGACACGGCCUUCUCCGUCGUCUAGUUGGUAACCAGAAUCUCCUGUAGGGAGAGCGGACAUUGUGUGUAUAGAUCUAUACGGGAUUGACAACCCCGCACCCAGACUGCUAGCUACAGUCCCGGCCUACCAANUGGCCUUAAGGUAACGGUAUCACACCGGCAAUUUACACUGUAUGCUGGUAUCACUUUUUCAGAGUCGCACUGUUCUGACCUUACAAAACGUAUCUUUUAUUUGAUAUUGUCUGGGGUCUGUAUUCUUUGUUUUGACCUUACAAGACGUAUCUUUCAUUUGAUACUGUCUGGGGUCUGUUUUCUCUGUUUUGACCUUACAAGACGUAUCUUUCAUUUGAUACUGUCUGGGGUCUGUAUUCACUGUUUUUGACCUUACAAGACGUAUCUUUCAUUUCAUACUGUCUGGGGUCUGUAUUCAUUGUUUUUGACCUUACAAGACGUAUCUUUCCUUUGAUACUGUCUGGGGUCUGUAUUCAUUGUUUUUGACCUUACAAGACGUAUCUUUCAUUUGAUCCUGUCUGGGGUCUGUGCCUUUAUUUGUAGACUGAACCAGGCGUGUCGUUCAUUCGAUACUUUCCUGGAGUCUAUGAUUCCUUGCCUUAGUCAGCAGUCCUCACUGCUGAGGCAUAUGUUAUUCCCUUAUGUCGUUUGCUUUCCUCAAUAAUCAAAUUCGGUAUUUUGAUAAUGAUAGCAAUUUAGGGAAAAUGACUUUUUACCACAUAGCACUGACCAGUCUUGGUAGAAGGCUGCUUUUAUUAAAGAAAAUAUAGGAUUUUUUGGAAAGAACUCUAAUACACAGUAAACACUUAAACUACUACUUUUAUUAAAGUUAUUUGAAUGAAAACGUCACUAAAUACUUAUGAACUCACCAGAAUUUGUAAAAAUGUUGAUACUCGCUUUUCAAAUAACUUGUAUUCUCAGGUCAGAAAUUAGACAGGUACAUCCCAGGAGCUAUUGAUGAAGAUAGCUUAGUACCACGCUGUAUUUAUUUCUAUUACUUGUAUUACCUUUAUGUACUGUAAUGUAAACCAUGUAAAAUUAUUACUAUUAAUGCAAUGUUUUGUUGUACUUUGAUUACUAUAAUGCAUGUGUUGUGAUACUUGACAUGACGUCAUCCACCCCAGAACGUUUCCGCCGUUCCGGUUUUGGGGUGUGACAUAUAGGGGUAUGAACUCACCUAAGAAAGUGCGUGAUUUGAAGAAAACGAGCUUUUUCUCGGGUGGCGCCUCGACCAGAAAGUCACGAGAUUCUCAGGAAUCUCGGGGCUUCGGACCUUCGUCGGGGCCUAGAUAUGAAACCCGGAAGUCAGGAUGUUGUCGGCACGAAAAACGAGGUGAAAUGUGAGAGAAAUGAAGAAAUUGAGCAAAGAUAGCCGACACCCUCGCAUUCUAUUUAUAGGGGCCGGAGGUCCUCGGGACGCUAGGCGUACUUCGGGCUUACGUGGGGCGUACCUUAUACGCUGGGCGUACUCCGAGGUUACGUUGGGCGUUCGCUUGCAUCACUGCUGACCGCAUCCUCGGUCGAAGUGUUUGGUCGACGUGGAUGAUCCUGAGCCUAGUAUCCGAGUACGCUGGGCGUACGAGGGUACGCUGGGCGUAAAUCGUUUCGGUGUGUGUGCCACGAACUUGUAAAAUCUGUAACUUUCGCAUACGGGCUCCGUUUUUGACGUUCUUUAUAUCGUCACGAAGGUGAGAAAAUACUCUACAACUUUCAUUUAGACUUCGUUGGCUAAUUUUGAUUUUAUUUUAUAUUAUAUUUUAAUUAGUAGACCGGGACACGAUAACUUCGUUAAAAAUCCAUAACUUCUUUAUCCGACGUCCGUUUUUGUUUGUCUUUUUACCAUCGAACUAUUAUUGUCGAGACCUUCAACUCUCGUUUAAGUUGUGUCGGCUAAAAAUCGUUCGAUCUUUAUUUCGAGUUUUUAGCUGUCUACCGUUGUUACGAAACUUAGUAAAUUUGUAUCUUCUUCAUACGAAGUCCGUUUUGGGAGUUCUUUUUAGGCAUGAUCAUGGUUUAACGUAAUCUACGACUUUCGUUUAGAUACCUAAGGCUAAAAAUUAUUGUACCGAAACUUUUCAUUUUACGUCUAUCAGCGUUGCCGGUUUUUGCCGUGAACCUUAGAUUGGUCAUAACUUCUUCGUAUAACUUGGAUUUUAGUGUUCUUUAUAUGUACGAAAACCUUGAUACGAUUCCUACUACUUUAUUUAACCCAAAUAAGAUUUUUAGGAAAGUUAUAUUUUGGCCUAAAUUUGACUGGUGUUACAUUUUAUUGUCUUAAAAUAUCGGGUUGUCACAUCAUCCCCCUGUUAGAGGGAAUUUCAUCCCGAAAUUUGAGUUUAAGCAAUAUUAAUAAUCAUGCUACGGACAUAAGUUUUAUUUGCUACUCAUGUUCUUAAUUGAACAUUGGUCUUCACAUGGCAUUCCAGCGAACCUUUCACUAUUAGGAUACGAAUUUGCUUCUUUCGUUUGACUUCACUGGUAUGAUAACUCUUCUUUGUCGAAUGUGUGUUGAGUGCUUUUAUGGUCUGUGAGAGUAUUACACCUUGUACUCUACAAGUAGUGUCUCCAGAUCUUCAGAGCCAUUACCGCUGCUCAUGACUCAAGAUCACGUGUUGAAUAGUUAACUUCCUGUGUCUUAGGCUGUCUUGAGGUAUAGGCAGUGACUUUUCCUCUUGCUUAAGAACAUAACCAAGACCUUGGUUGGAUGCAUCGCAUUACACCACGAAAUAUUCUAUCACUUUUCGGAGGGAUAAUAUUGGUGGGAUGCAUCAGGCUUACUUUAGCGUUUGUAAUGCUCUUUCUUGUUUACAGACAAGUCCGGUGCUCUUCCAAGUGAGAAACUUGGCCUAAAGAAUCCCCUUCUAAGGAGUUUGUUAAGCUAUCUAGGAAGUUCUUGCAUCUCGAUUGGAGCUAGAUAAUAAGGUGAUUUGGCUACUGGGGUAGCCCCUGGAACUAAGUCGAUUCUGAAUUCGAUUUUACGCUGUGUUGGUAGUCUCGGUUGUCCUUCUGGAAAUGUGUCAGGAAAACUGCGUACUUCUUGGAUGUUUGAAUGUCCUUCACUCCUCGGCACGUCUCGGCGAUGUGUGCAAGGAAUGCAUGAUAUUCCUUUCGUAAGCAUUUCUGAGCUUGCAUACAUGAAAUGAUGAGAAGGUUCGUACUUGGUUCGUCGUUGUAAAUAACUAGGGUCUCGUUGUUUAGGGAGGUUAGGACGAACUGUUUUAUCAAAGCACCUGAUGUCGGUUUGAUGUAGACUUAACCAACUCUUAUGGAUCAUGAUGUUAAAACCUUGGGGUGGAUUAGCUGUCGUGAAGAUCUAAAAGAAGUAUGAGUACUCAUGAAUUAGGGGAAAAAGGAUAGGUAUUUCUAAGUUUAUUCUUAAGGAAGCACGAUCACUCGCAGUCUUGGGCAGUCUUCGUCCUGAAGUUCAUAGUAGAACUCAUACCUGGUUCAUCCAUCACAGUCUCGGGUAUACGAUUCGUAUAUAAUUAAGAUUAAAAAGGUAGUCGAAUAAAUGAUUCUUCUUUAAGCUCACAUCCCAACGAGGAAAAGAAGUUAAAGUGGAAUCAUCAAUUCUAAACCUGUAGAACCUUGAUUAUAUACCACCCCUAUGUAUACAUUCUUCAGCGAUAGAUCAACCGUAUGGGUCUUUAGAUUGAACUUGACGUACGGUACGAGUGAUACUUCGGGGGGGUUUGCUGAGGUUUCUUUGGAAAGGAUAAGAAACAUGAGGUACUCUAUGCAUGAGUACUUCGGUGUUCUGGAAUGACGGCUUCGCUAGAAAGACGUUUUCGGAGAAGGAGAAGUGCGCACGAAACUGGUAUUGCGAGGAUCGAAUUGAGUCAAGUUGUAUGAUGACAUCGGACUUACUUGGAAAUAACGUUAUUAGAUUUGAUCAUAAGGGUGUUACAGAUAAAACACAACAGUGCAACUUUUAACAGAGUUACAGUACUUUGGUAUUACUACAAGACUAUUGUUCGAGCAAGGUAUACUACAAAAGGUAAGUAUACGCAGCACGAGGGUCCCCUUUACUGACGGGAUCUCUCAAAAGAUAAGACUCAAGCUGCACUAGUUUUAAACAUGUUUAACAUCAUACUUAAUGCUGACGAUUGGAAGUGAGUCCCCAUUAUAGUUGGGUCCUUUAUUGCCUUUUUCCAUUCUGAGGUCAAACUCCUCCUGUUCCACUGUCGUUCUUCUCUGUUGGGCAAUCCCUCUUGAAGUGUCCUAUUAAACCACAUAGAUGGCAUAUCCGAUAAAUUUCGACAUUGGUGGUUGAAGUAAUGUAUUGGACCCGAGUCCUACAGAAGCGGGUAGUGUGUCUGAUCUUGUUGCAGUUCUUGCAGAGUAAUAGAUGACAACUACCUAGGUGAUGGAAUUUGCACUUAUUACACUUCGGUAGGUUUCCAACAUAAUGUCUGGCUGGGUUAGGGAUAAUUGGGAUACUAGUAGUGUUGGUUGUAGGAGUUGUAGAUGUCGUGGAUGUGAAGGCUGCCACCGGCGAUGGUUUCUUGUUUGUCCCUCGAGGUUAUUUGCCUUUAACUUUAUCCCAGAAUUUCCGUUUAUUGCUCUUUGGUUUGAGGUUCGGAGUGUCGUGGUAGUUUGUUACUCGUGGGUAUACUUGGUUGUUACUUGGAUUGGAAUUAUUGAAAACCAUCCCGCUAACACUUGCGUUGUUAGCAUUAAGGUGAUUCAGAACAGCUGUUACGGGAGCUGAGACUGCAACUUGAAAGGUAGCUGCAUCAAUCUGAAGAGUUGGUGUUUAGCUGAUGGGUUGAUUACCUUUCUUCGGCGACAUGAUUCUGUAACAUGAAAGAAAAAGGAGUUCGUGAGAUAUUAUGGUUGAACCUAGAUGUAUUUCGAUUGCUUAAGUAAAGAGUAAGAGUAUGUUCUCAAAAGUGUGACCUACAUCCCUAUGAUGCAAUCCUAGUACGGAUUGGAAGUAUGUUCAUGAUGGUUUGACCUACAUCCCUAUGAUGCAGUCCUAGUACAAUGUAGAAGUAUGUUUGUAGAAUGGUCUUAAGACGUUUGUCGUUCAAGCCGAGGUAUCGUUGGUUGGUGAAUAACAUGAUCUUACCACUAAAAGAGACAUGGAAAUGUAUCCGGAGUUAAAUUACUAUAGUCCAAUGACUUGACUAAAGCAUGUUUCCGAUAGACUCCAACGAAGGUAUGAUGAGGGUUUUUGAACAAAGAGUGACAAGGAAGUUAGCCGACUGUCAAUAUCAUCGAUGUUUAAGAGGUAAUAAGUUUAGGAAAAUUUUUAUCUUGAAGAAGGUCUUACAUCAUAUUCGAAGUAGAAAGGUUUUCGCCGCAUAAAGGCCUAACUAACAGUACUUACAGUACAAGAUAGUUACAUAUAAAAAUGCUACAUAGAACAUACACAGGAAACGAUUCUUUUAAACAAGGAAAGGAAAUAAAGCAUUUCUUACUGGCGGCAGUCAUCCUUCUGGUGAACUCUUAGUUCAGCCAAUUGACGUUCCGUUAUCAAGAAGGUGUCUUUUGUACACUCUCUGGCGUACUCAUAGCUCUAUGACUUCGGCUCAUGUUUUAGCUAAUGCUUGCAGCAGGGUCUCAUGGUCUCUCUCAGAUCUCUCACGAGUGUUUUCAAGAUGAUUGGUGUGGAUGGUAUGUAUUCUUGCAUUGGCAUUUAACCUCUUCGAUAUAAUGGAGAGUCGUCCUGCCUUGAAUUCCGUUUCGAGCAACUCUACGGAUCAGGAUUGGUAGAACUCUGUCUGCUGAGCUCCCUUCGCUUAAGUUGUAGCAGCUUCAGUCUCCGUUAGACGGCAUAGGUUGAUCUUGCUUUUCGCUCCGUGUUUCCAAGCAUUCUACCCAAGGAAGCUUCGAGCCAUGAAGAGCUGGACAAGGGUUAGGAUUUAAAUUGGGAGUUACCGGGAGUAGGUUCUCAUCCUCGGGUUCGGAGUUAUCAUCAUCCGAAAGGUCUUCAACAUGGUGAUCAUUCAAAAGGGAUUGGAUGAUCAUUCUCUGGUUCUUCUCUGAACCAUCCAGCAUUGCCUUUGUUCGGGAAGUACAGGUCGUCGUGGGGAUGGGGUCCAACUAUGUUAUCUAUGUGGUAAUUGGGGUAUAAGAAUCUAACACAUAAGUAGUUUAUAGCAAUACACAAAAUACUCCUAUAGUAUUUUAGGUUUAUGUUCUAUUUCUCUCAUUGUGGUAUUGUGGGUAAGUCUUUAGACUUGUUGCUACUUACAACCACACUUAGGCACAUGCUAGUCAACCCUCGGAUAAUAUAGUUGAUCAGGCUAUAUCAUCCCAGUUUUGACUAUAUGUCUCUAAGUCUACUUGUGCUGCCCAACAAUCGCAAUACUUUUGUUAUGUCUUAGUGACACUGAUUUUAGUAUCAAUGUAGGCACGUAUACUACUUAAAUAUUUUAUUAUUUAAAAGUAUAGACUCUUUAUCAAAGUAUUUUAAAUCCCUAUUGUAUUAACAGUUUGUAUAUCUUUUAUGGGUUGAUAUACUCAAUUCACUAUAAACAAUGCUCUGAUACCAAUCUGUCACACCCCAAAACCGAGAAUGGCGGAAACGUUCUGGGGCGGAGGACGUCAUGUAAUGUAUCACAACAAUGCAAAGUAGUAAACAUGCAACAACAUCAUCCAUUGAAUUAAUAGUAUAAUUUUUAUUACAUUUGAGUUCUUUCAUAGUAUAAUUCUACAAAAUGAAUAUUCAAAGAUAAAAGACGAGUCUUGAUCGCUCCGUCUUCACAGAACCUGGUAGUCGUACCUGUCUAUCUGUGUCUUGGGAAUACAAGUUAUUUUGAAAGAGAGUAUCAGCAAUAAUGCUGGUGAAUUCAUAAGUAUUUAUGUGACUUUGGUUUGUAAAACUAUAAAGAAAGACCUGCAAUGUUUGAAGGAAAGUUUGUACCAAUAAACAUGUUUGUAAGUAAUUGUAAACGUUUGAAAACUCUAGACAAUCCCAUAUUUUCUACUAGUAUAAAAAAGUAGCCUUCUACUAAGACCCGACUAUUUUGAAUGUUUGCUUUUAGAAAUCCAAUCAUUUCUUUUAAGUGGGUGGUAGUUUAAAAGUCCCAAAAAUGAACUACCAUGGUGUUUUUCAUGUUUAAAAUAAUAGAUUUGUAUACAUAUAUAAUCUCUAAGGUAUUUGAUAACCCCAUAAAUCAACGUGUUUUUAAUACUCCAUGUGAGUUUUAUAACCAUGCUAAUGACCCAGACUGCCUGUAACAACGUGGGAGUUGCAAGUCUACGGGUGCCAAAUGUCAUUUCUUACGGCGUCUUACAUCGUUGUUUUACUAGAUUCGGUAGCAGGAUACAAGUCGAUCACAUGUUACUUGGACCACCUUUUGUUUUAAGGUAGUUAGUACCACGGUAGUCACUUAUUACCAAUACUACGGUACGAUAAUAUUUUCCCAUUACAUUCACUUCGUGAAUAUUCACACGAUGCAUGGUAAUGUAGUAACUAUAUUUUUGGUUAAUGAAAGUCAGAAUCGGGAAAACACACACUCUAACAAGAGACAUGCACACAGACACUAGAUGCCUUGGUAGAAGGCUACAGUUAGUAGAAAACAUAGGGUUUUCUAGGAGAGUUCAAACAUUAUACAAAACAUUGUACAAAACAUCUUAAAGAAACAUUUUACAAACGUUUUCAUACAAAGACAGACAUUAAUAUACUUAUGAUAUCACCAACAUUAAGCUGAUACUCGCUUUCAAAAUAACUUGUAUUCUCAGGUCACCACUAGACAGGUACAGGUGCCAGGCUUUUGAGAAGAUGGAGUUCGUUCAAGACUCAUCUUUUAUUUUGAUAUGUAUAUUUUUGCUGUCUAUAACUUUGUUAGAACACACAUGUAUGAAAUUAUACUAUUAAUGCAAUGGAUGAUGUUGUUGCUUGUUUACUAUUAUUCAUUGUUUGUGAUAUUGUACAUGACGUCCUCCGCCCUAGAAUGUUUCCGCCAUUCAUGGUUUUGGAGUGUGACAUCAUCUUUCAUCAGUCUUGUGCCUAAGGUAAAAGACCCCUCUUCACUGUCCGAUUAUCAACCUAUCACCCUAAUUGGAUGCAUGUACAAGAUCAUUUCAAAGGUGCUUGCAUUAAGGCUCAAAACAGUUAUUGGUGGAGUCAUUAGAGAUGUCGAAUCAGCUUACAUAGAGAGCAGGAGCAUUCUGGAUAGACAAUUAGUGAUAAAUGAACUCUACUCAUGGGAAAAGAAAAUAAGAAACAGGAUCCUACUAUUCAAAGUAGAUUUUGAUAAAGCAUUUGAUUCAAUAAAUUUGGAAUAUCUAGAUUCCAUACUCACAUAUAUGGGCUUUGGCUCUAAAUGGCAUCUUUGGAUUAAGGGUUGUCUAAACUCCUCUCACGCCUCUGUCAUUGUAAACAGGUCUCCAAUGAAUGAAUUCAAAAUUUCCAAAGGUGUGCGUCAAGGUGACCCGCUUUCACCAUUCCUUUUCAUCAUAGCCAUGGAAGGUCUCAACGCAGCAAUAGAGGCUGCCAAAGACAAAGGAUUAUUCAAAGGAGUUCAAAUUCCAAAUGGUGGCUCUAUUCUUUCACAUUUGUUCUAUGCAGAUGAUGCUUUAUUUGUAGGUGAAUGGUCAAGAUCCAAUCUGAAAAAUCUAGCACAGAUUCUUAUAUGCUUUCACGUCUCAUCUGGCUUAAAAGUAAGCUUUCACAAAUCCAGAGUGUUUGGAAUUGGGACGACUGAAGAAGAAAUUACAAAUUGGGCCAGUAUUUUAGGAUGUGAAGUAGGAUCUUUUCCCUUCAAAUAUAUCGGUGUCCCAGUUGGCGAAAACAUGAAUCUUAUAAAAAACUGGAAACUAAUAAUCGACAAAAUUCAUUCUAAACUAUCAUCAUGGAAAUCGAAAUCCCUCUCCUUUGGUGGUCGACUAACAAUGAUCACCUCAGUUCUAGGCAAUCAUCCCACUUAUUACUUCUCAUUGUUCACAACACCGGUGACGGUCACUGAGACUCUGGAACAACUUAGACGUAGAUUCCUUUGGGGCGGAGAUGAAGAUAAACGGAAAAUACACUGGGUGGCAUGGGAUAAAGUAAUAACUUCAAAAUCUGAUGGUGGGCUUGGCGUAGGAUCAAUACACGCGCUGAAUGUCAGCCUAAUAGUCAAAUGGUGGUGGCGUCUGAAAAAAGAGGGGGACUCACUAUGGGGGCGCACGAUAAAAGGUAUACACAACUUAGUCAAUAAACCUCACGAUUAUUUUUCUAGCAGGUACAUCAAUGGCGUGUAGCAUAACAUUGCAACCAUAAAGAAGGAUCUCAAGAGGCAUAACCUGGAAAUAGCGGAUGUGUUAGAACUACAGCUUAGAUCCGGUGACAACACCCAGUUCUGGUAUGACAAAUGGACCGAUGGAGACCAAUUGAAGAACAAAUACCCCAACCUGUUCAACCUGGAGACAAGGAAAAGUUGUAAAGUAGUGGACAGAAUCAUUGACGGCUAUUUUGUAGGUCAUUGGAAUUCUUGCCCAGUUGAAUCUGGACUAUCUGAGGAUUUGGACAACCUAAUGAAUGAACUGUCCACGGUAAACUUGGUGAGCGGGUGUGAUCAAUGGAAAAGUAGGUUGAUGUAGAUGGUCGCUAUACGGUUGGGGCACUAUGGAGGUUAAUCAAUAAAAAAUCUGUUCCAAGUCAGAUACUACCACCUAUGUUAUGGUAUAGGGAUGCACCGAUCAAGGUGAACUUCUUUAUUUGGAGAGCAUUACAAAAUAAAAUUCCUUCUAUGAUGGCUCUAAGAUCACGGGGUGUAGAGCUCGACUCGACAUGCUAUGGUGCUUGCUUUGCUAGUGUCGAAUGUGCCGAUCACAUCCUAGUAACAUGCCCGUAUGCGAGUGCAAUAUGAGACAAAUUAUUUGACUGGUGUGACAUCAAGCACCAAACAUUUCACAAUGUCAGGGAUCUAAUAUGUUUUGCUACAAGCUGGGGUCGGUGUUCAAAAAAGAAAAAAAAAAGGCUCACGAUGAUAUGCUACGGGCUUAUAUGGAGCCUCUGGAAAUAUAGAAUGACCGGACUUUUAAUCUGAAAUUUAUCAAUACCUUUUGCGGAGCUGAGCAGAUAAAAUCAUUAGUGUAUCUCUGGAUCAAAUGCAUAGGAAAAGGCGGUUUAUGUGAAUGAAACGUGUGGUCAUCAUCUCCUUUCCACUUUUCCUAGUUUUUCUAUAUAUUUUUCUUUACUUACCACUAUUAUCUGUAUGUCUUUUUUCUUUUUCUGUUCCUGCUCCCCUCUAGUUUCUUACUAUUUGGGGUUCAUUUUAAUAUAAUUUUGCUGUUUCUAAAAAAAAUUUAACAAAAUAUAGAGAAACAUCCAAAAUAGUCAUUAACCUACGAGUGACUCUUGGAAGUCAUUUGGAUGGUAUAAAUGCAUUAAAAAUAACUAUUUAAGCAAAGUAUUGACUAAAGUUACGUUGGUGGCCAGGUGGUUUAAAUGCAUUGAAGAGAAUUCUUUUUGAUUGCUUAUCUCCUAAUAAAUACCACUUAAUUAAAUGCUACGUACUUUACUUGAACCUUUAUACGAAUAUGUUCCAAGCAAUACCAUUUUUACCACAUUCUCUCAUCAUCGAAGCUUCAACACACCAUGUUCUCCUGCUUAUACCUCUUCUACCAUGCCAUCUUCAAAGUUGACCCCUAAAUAAUUCGAAAGCCAGAUGGCAUUAUUUUUGGAAGCCUAGAAGGAGAAACUGGAUAUCUCCACCAUAAUGCCUAAUAACAACAAUUGUAUUACUAGAUCAACUCAGGAAGAUGGGAAUAAAAAGUUGGAUGUAUUUGUGGGUGCAUCACCUUGCAAAGUUAUUGACUUUGUUGUCAAAUAUCAUGUUGAAGAGAAUUGUAGCGAUGAUAUUUUGGUAGAGUCCUUCAAUCACGUUCUUGCAAGCAAUGAAGAAUAGAAGAUGCAUAUUGAGCUUUAUGUAUCUUUAUAUAAUAAAGUGUAAUUUUUUUUUCCUUUAUUUUGUAAUGGGUUUUGCAGAUAUGACAUGUAUAUUUUAUAGAUGCAAUAAUCAAUUUGAUUUUUAAAAUACAAUGAUGUAAGAAAAGGUAAAAAUACAAUGUUUUAAUCCGAAUAAAUUAAUUAACUAUAAUUUUAUAACCAAAAUAAUGGAAGUUAGGAUUUUUAAUAUAUAACCACUUACCAAAAAAAGUAAAAUUACCAUUUAAAAGCUUAUUUCUAAAGUUAAUAUCUUCCAGCCCAUAGUUACAUGUGUCUAUCCGCUAAUAAUAGAACGAGGCAUAUAUUAUAACUAAAAUUACAUUAAAAUUAAACUUUGCAAGCAUUUUAAAGGCGUGGACAAGGUGUUCUGAUACUUCAAUAUACUUAUGGUUUAUAAAAAAAUCAUAUGUUUAUUACAUUUCUUUUAAUUGAUUUGGUUAUAGCAAUUUGUGUAUGGAUUUAAAUGAAAUUUAGCUAAUAUAAUUAAUAUCUAUUGCGAACAGGAGGGUUUCCUUAUUUUAGUUUGGAGAUUGUCCCAUGUUCGUUGAUUUUGCAAGCCCUGUACAAAACAUAAAAAUGGGCCCUUUUAAAUAUAAAUUAAAUUAAUUAAAAGGGUCAAAUGCAAAAUUAUAAAGCUUUAGAGGUUANNNNNNNNNNNNNNNNNNNNAUAUAUAUAUAUAUAUACUUUUGAAAACUAGUUCCCUAAGAAAAAUUAAGUACUAAAGGUGAGGGGGUAAAACUAAAACUUAUAAAAAAAAAUAACGCAACCUUUAAAAUGGAGUACAAGGAAUCGAACCAUCGUCACAUAGGUCAAGAAGAGCACAUAGUCAAAAGUUUAAGCCAACUGAACAAUCGCCAACUAGAUCUGUAAUUUGUAUACAAUAAUAUAUAUUCAGAUAUUAAUUAUAUAUAAUUUUGUUAAAAUCGGACCUUAUUUUUCUCGGGGCCUGUACUGCACACUUUGCACACCCUUAGGGCCAGUCAUUUAAUAAUUUAUCAACCAUCUUUCAUUUUGAGAUGAUAAGUAUAUUACAUCAUCACAUCCACUAUCUCCAUUGAAUUCCUAUCUUCAUGAAUUCAUUUCAAAUUUUAUUUUGGACAACCCUCAUUAUGAGCCUUCAUUUAUCAAUGGUCUUUUGGUUUCAUUUUGGUUAUGUUUCAUCUUUUGGUAGUAGCCAAGAUAAAGAACUAGACAAAAAUAGAAUCUAGUCUUUAGAUUUUAGUUAUAAGUAUAACUAUGAUUCUUUAGCCAUGUGAAUUUUGUCACCAAAAUAGAGAAAUUACACAUCAUUCUAAUUCAAUAACGUGGACCAUAGGGCAAAAACUACUACAUAUGGUUUUUUGAACGACCUAUAUUUAUAAAGGCAUACCAGGACCACUUUCCAUGUAUACAUACUAAAAACCGACCAGCUUUUUGGGGAAAUAAGUGAAUGACCAUGGAGUUGAAAGUGGACAUCUAUUAUCUUAAGCAUCAUUUCUAUCAAAAAUGCAUGUCUGAAAAUUGCUUUUUCGUGACAAAAUUUGAAAAUUUGGAACUCGAUUAUAUAUGAUUUGCAAAAGCGUUAUUUAUAUUUUCUGGUUGAGUUUCAAAAUUCUUUUAUACAUGUUUGGGUUGAGUUUUAAACUUUGUUCAUGAUUUUCUAACAUGUAUAGUAUAUUACAUAUCCAGUAAAAUAAUAUAAUAGAAAGGUGACAAGAGAAAUAAUUAACAUUAGUAAAUGAAAGACAAAAUUAAUUGAAAUAACAUUAGUAAAUGAAGAUUCAAUACAAAACAUGAGAAGAAUGAUGAUGACCAAUGAUAUGAAAGACAAAAUAAAUUGAAACUAGGUGAGAAACCCCGCUCCGUAGGGUUCGGUUUUGAGCAUAGUUUUCGUCUUUUGAUAAUCAAAUCAGUCAAGCUAUCUUCAAAAUCAAAAGACGAAAACUAUGCUCAAAACCGAUUUUGAGAGAACUUUUUUCACAAUAUUAGAUUUCCACUCUGCAAAAUAAAGCACAAAAUAACAACCUAGUUUAUUCAAUCCAUGAAAUCUAGAAGUGAAAAUUGAGUGUAUUUAUCAAUCAUGAGAUUAUAAAAAAGACAACAAUGUACAACACAUAUUACAUAAAGUAUAAAUGUUUAUAGCAAACCUACAAAAGCUGGAGUAAGAUUCAAUAUUGGUAUCACUCCUCAUUCCAUGAUCUUUCUCUACCAUCUUCCAUAAUUAUUAACCAUAUCCUUGUACCAAAAUUAUAGAAUUGGCCCUUCCCAUCAGCGACAUGUUUUUGAAAACACGUUCCAAAUGGGCGACAUAUAUAACCAUGAAAGUAGUCAAAUGUCAGACAUAUGAACCUUUAUAGCUUACAAAACUAUGUAUAUUGUCCGCCUAUAAUCCGGUAAUUCAACUUUUUAUCUAGAGAAAAAAAUAUUACAGAUCAACAUGUGAAAGAGUUCUUGCCUCCUUGUUAAAGCACUGAAAUGAAGCCAAUAUCAAUCAGAAUCUAGUAGCCUCCUCGAUCUAUUUAACCAGUCUACUCUUAAACAUUUAUUGGUGCAAUCAUUGAAUUAGAUGGUAUUAAUAGAUUUGUUGAUUUGUAAGUGUAAUAACAAUUAACAAACAAACAAAGAAACAAAUCAAUCAAUUCAACUUAUAACCAAUCUACUUACAUCCAAGAAAGAAAGGCUCAAAGGCGUUACCUUUUUAGCCUUAAACCCUUUACUGGUCAGUCAAAAUGUAAGGACUUUCUUGUAAUUAAACCUCUUACUGAAAGAUACAAAUAAUUCUAAAUUGUAGUUGUCAGCAGGCUAUUCGCAGAACUUGUAACGAAGAUAACUGUGAGAAAAAUAGAGAAGAAAUUAGGGGUAAUGUAAGCCAAAAAUUGAACUUUCAGCCACACAUUCUUUUAUCAUCAUUUUUUUAACUUUCAUUGCAACCCAUACUUUUGAUCAUGCCUUAUUUGGCCUUUUAAUAUUGCACCAUUUUUUGGUCUUCGUUUAAUAUCUCUUAUUCAUAACCACAGUAAAAUAUUAACAAAAUAUACAAUCACGACAAAAUUUGAAUCAUUUCCAUAAAGUACAAUGGCAUAACAUAUAAAAUGUUGAAAGUUAGAUGCUAUUAUUAGGUAGAUUUAUUUGAUCACAUAUUAAACACCAACCAAAGAAAGGAUGAAGAAAUAACAACCUUUGUAGUUCUUUGGUUCCUCAUGGGAGGCCUGAAAGUUGAUAAAGAAUGUGGAACCUUUGAGACACCAACAAUGACUCAUCUUGAUGUAGAAUGUUAGUUCUUUGUGUAAAACCCUUAAGUUUUGAACCAAACCCAAGUAUGGUUCAAAGAGAGGAAAAGAUGCAAGUGAUAUUCAAAGCAAGAACAAUGGAUGAGAGAGUCUUACCACUCUCUACAUCUUACACUUUUUUUUUGGAACAAAAGGAAGAGCCAAAAUGAAAGCCCCAUGAAGCUAGUAUUUAUAGCAUGAAGUAAAUUCCAUAAGGCCUUAACCAUUUAUUAUUUUAUUACUUUAGAACUACUUGUCUCCCAUGCUUGUAAGACUAGCCAUGCCCUUUCAUUAAAAUAAUCUAAAAGCCAUUCUUUUGAAUAAACAAACUGGAAAGCCAUACUUCUCUCGCUUUUAUGCAAAUUCCGAAAUUAUAUAUAAAAGGAAGAAUGUUAGUUUAAAUUUUAUAAACACAAGGUUUAUAAAAUAUAAACUUUGUCUUUUGAGUAAAAGACUAAUGGUUUCCAACUAGUCCCAAAAGUUUGUACAUGACUUAUAAAUCAUACCAUAUGAUAUAUAUUAUGUUACUUGCUAAUGAAAAUUAUUAUUUUCUAAAAAUAAAUAAUUUUCAUUUUCAUUAUAAGAGUUUUAUUCAAUAUUUAUUAAAAUCAAUUUCUAAUAAAUAAUCAAUUAUAUCAUUUUCUUGUUAGGGUGACCCAUUAGUAUCAUUUGUUAUUUAGUUAUAUCACUUUAUACUAGAUCUUUCAGAUUACGCCCAACAUAAAUUUUUUGAUCUACCAACUUCAUAUUAAGCUCAUAAUAGUUAAGGGCUAAACAUCCAAUUCUUAUAUCUGGACCUAUUGAAUGUCCUAAGUGGAAAGGUCUAUGCCUUUACUUCUUUGUAUGGCUUAACAGAGCAUAAGAUGAAACCCUAAGUCCAUAAAACACUGAAACGCUGAAGAGCUCAUACAUGAGUGGUUGCGAGUGACCUAGAUCCAAUUUAUAUGACAUUACAAGCUCUGAAAUGACAUGAAAAUGAUAAUCAUAAAGGUCUAGAGAUGCUCAUACUCAAUCAGACCAAGGUUAUAGGACAAGAGCAUAAAAAAUAUAAGCUAACUAGAUCUAUCAUAAAGAAACAUCAAGAUGCAAGCUUUAUAUAUAUCCUUGAGAUGGAUGAUGAAGUGCAAGUAUGGAUAUACAAAGCUUGAAUCUCACAAAUUCUUCCCCAAUGAUCUUCUUCUUCAGGAAUGCACAAAGAAAAACACACUAAGGAUUCUAGACUCACAAAAGAUGGCUAGGGUUUCACAUUCACUGAAGAAGAGGGUGGAGGUUGAGAAUGGGAAGGCCCUCAAGGAGUUAGAACCUUUAAAUAGGGCUAACAACCCCUCAAUUAUGGUUUACAUGAUGUAAUCCUUCACCCAUCAUAGAUAUCUCUAUGCCCAACGUAGAGCAUUAAACCCUGGCAUGGUCUCAUUUACACAACCCAAAGUAGGAGGCUAUCCUACUCCCAACGUGUGGCACCCAAAUUCUUUAGCUGGAAAAGAUAAAAUAUUAUAAAUAAUACUUGAGGUACAGGUGUUACAACACUCACUCACGUGAAUCAGACUUCAUCCUCAAGGUCUGUCACUGCAAAAAAAGCUCCUGGUAAUGCUAUCUCAUCUCCUUAUUAGGCUCCCAUGUCUACCCUGAACCUUUGCAGUGCUACCAUUUCACCUUAACCAAACCCACCACCUUGAGGAUAGAUUAGGGUCAAUUCUCCGCCCAAUAAAGAAUAAAUUAGGGUCAAAUUUCUUCCUUUCGGGUUGGUUACUAAAUUUGAAAAAGAUAUAUUCCAAAAUGGGAAGAGGUAGCAUGAACGAAAGACAAGCAAUCGAGGGUAAGUUCCUAAGGAUACGUACUAAGGGUAGGCAACAGAGUUUUGGUACAUUCAAAUGGAAAGACUAUUUAAGUGUCAUCUACAUAAUAAAUUACGAAAUAAUCGAGGAUUUCUGAAGCUAUAACUACUACUACAACACUCUUAUCAUUAUAGAACCAUAAUUAUAGAAUACACUUAGAGAGUCGUUGUUUCUAAUGAUCACGAUGAAAUUUUAUGAUAAAUUAAAUCACGUUAUCUAGAUAUCAUUAGAAGUGUUUAGAAAUGAACAGAGUUCUCAAUGUUAUCAAAAUAUGUUAUAAUUCCAAGAGAAUGAAGGCACAUGUGUGGCGACUAAACGAAAAAGUAAAAUAAUAAAGAGGUUUAUUAAGGUUAAAGAGUUAAGUUGUCAAUGAAGAAACUUAUAGAGAAGUAUUUAGAUUACUCUUUUGAAAAAUUAUCUAAUUAUUUAAUAUAAGUCAAUAUGUAUACAAGGAGUAAUAAUAUUUAUGAAACAAAUUUAGAAGUUAGAAACAGAUUGGAAUUUGCAAAGUAGAAUGUUAUUUUAAGAAAGGUGUAAAAAUAUUGAUCAUUGAGAACGGUGCAUUUUUAAUUUAGCCAUUCUAAGACAACAUUCUUUAGGAGUAUAGGUAAUCGUAACAUUCAAAACAUUUUAUGGUUUUAAAGAAAAGAAGAAACAUAAGAAAAUAUAUUCUUCGCAUAUAUUUUCUCCAUUUAGGAAAAAGGAUAAACACAAGAGUAUUCAUCUUGUGUAUUUAUUGGAGGGUAAAUACAAUGAAAAUUCUAUUUUUAAUCAAAUUUCUAAAUUUAGAUCAAAAGAACAACGAAAAUAAGGAUUACUCAUUUACUUAAAUAUCAUAAUAAAAACAAAAUGUAUAUUAUAACAGGUGUACUUGAAUAUAUCAAGGUUGACCAAGUCAAAAUUAUGCCUCAUGACUAUAGACAUAUUAAUUGCUCAAAACGAAAGAGUAGACUUCUAUUUUGUAUGUGCACGAAUAUGGUAUCGAGGGAAGCAAAAAUAAACAAAAACAAAGUUAGACCAUCUAGUGUGUUAUUAUUGUGGGUGUGUGAGAUCACAAAUCAAAUAGAGAGCAAGGAAUCAAGUGCGGGGGAAAAAAGGAGGGUAGCAUGAGAAAUAAUUAUUAUUGUUGAAAUUUCAAAGACAAUAUAUGUAUGUUGAUUUUAAAACUAGGUUCGGAUAUAAUUCGAUCUUAAAGUCCUUGAUGUAUGUUGAUGAUUAAAUAGACAUGUGGAAGUUUUAAAGUGUUUUCUAAGGUUUGUUAAAAAUUCAUGAGUUAUCUAUUAAGUUAAACUCCAUUUGUAAAAAAAAGAAGCACUAAAACUGGUAACUGAAAAUCUAAUACCUUUGUCUUUUUAGACUAGAGUCCAACAAUUAUUUAAACGGAUAAGGUACAGACUCAAUAUAUUUAGAAGAAUAAUUAUACAUUGUUGAGAGUGUGUAACUGGAAAUUUAAAAGUGAACACUAAGUUUUGCAAUGCUUUAAAUUUCAGAAACUUUAUAGAUUAUAAAACUAAUUUCAAACAAAGUACACAAAAUAAGGUAUGUUUUGAAAUGUGAGCAUUAGAUAUGUCUUAUAAACAUGUUCGAAUUACAAAGUUGCAGAAAUAUCAUGUUGGGUUUCGAGAAAACAUAUUAAAGUAAAGUAUAAUGUCUAAAUGAAAAAGCGGUCAAAAGAGUCAAAACAAAAGUGGUUUGAAAGGUCCACUGAAGCUUUUACACAUAACAUGAACAUCAGUGUCAUGUGUUUAAGUUUCAUAGAAUAUAUUUUAAAACAUUUUAUAAAACAAUUUUUUUUAAGUUUUUCAAAAUAUGCCGAAAUGGUAACGCGGUUUAAAAUGGUUUGUGCGCCCUUAAAACAAGUACAACUAGCUACUAAAUUAGUUUCGAAAUGAAUUAGAAAUAACAAGGUUAAAAUAAACUUUGGUUAAAUUAUGUUUGAAGCAAAGUGCUGUGUUAAAGUAAGUUAGAAAAAGUAGAGUUGGUAAUUUAUAGUUGGAAAUAUGACUUUCAUGGUUAGGAAAGGACUAGUAAACUAUAUGAAGUAGUUACAAAAUAUUCCACUGAUGCUAAAUAAAACCGUUGGAGUGAAAUUGGUUUUUUAUGGAAGGUAAAAAAGUUAGGAAUAUGUGAUUUAGUGUAGCUAUUCAUACAUAAAUACCAAGGCAACUACACGGCGAGUAACGGUGACUUUUUCCCAAAAUAGAGGACACGAAAAAUUGUUUGUGAAAAUUUUUAGAUUUGGAGUGUGGUAUAAGAAAAUGUAAUCCUUGAUAACGAUAUGAAUCUCAGUAACAUCAAUAUAGACUCAAACAAAUGUAUGAAAUUGAUAAGGGUCGAAGGAGGAUUCAAAACUAUAGGAAAGAUUCGUUCAACGAAGUAGUGUGAUGUUUGAUCGGCGUGAAAAUUUAAGGUUGAAGUUUGGGUAUGAAAGAAUUUAGUAAUUUGGAAAGUGUAAGAUGAUGGUAUACUUGAGAAGAUCAUUAGUGCAUUUGGGGGCCUCAACUUAAGACUUGUAAAUUUAUGUCAAAAGAGGAUUGUUUAUGCUUGAAUUCAGAUAUGCGAAGUAAAGAUGGUAGGGUAAGAAUCACCAAAGAUAUCGUUUAGAAUCAAAUAGAUAUCCUUGACUAUGUUUAAAGUCAAGAAGGAAACAACUGAUAACUAAAAUCAUAGCGGAUAAGAGAAGUCUCAACUAUUAGUAGCAAUGGGCUAAAAUUUAGUGCCUCCUUGUGAGUCAUAUCAGGGAUGCUCACCAAUGGUAUCCAAGUGAUUAAUUAUGGUGACUCAUCUACCUCCUAACGGGAUGGUCCAGCUGUCACCUGUGUCGGUAUCGGAACGCUUUUCCUAGCUGUAACUCUAAUACAAAGACAAUGAAGAGGUAUUGAGGUAAUAAUGAUAUUCAUGUUGACUUAAGAUGGCCACAAGUGGUUCUCUGGCUGCUAACCUUACGUCUAAAGUCAGUAGUUACCGAGGAAUACUUGAUCUCAAUACUAAGUGGAUUGCUUCUAGAGCGGCUAGUGAUAUAGCCUAACUGGUUAGCCUAGCAUAUUAUAAGGAUAAGAAUAUUUCCAAAUAAGCACAUUAUGAUAAAAGUGCACUUAGUUUCUAAUUGUACCUAGAUGAAUGCCGAUAAUAUAUAAUGUUUAUACACACACCGAAAAUCUUUUCUUAUGAAAAGUUAAAGUUGAAGAUUGUUUUGAACAUAAUUCUACUAUAAUUAUUUCCUGUCUCAAAUUAAUUUUCCUUAAUUAAGCAUAGUUGGUCGGACAAUAGUUAAAUCAAGUCCAAUAAUUCGUACUCGACUUAGUUAUACUAGUAGUUUGUUCAGUAUUUUAGAAGCCCUUUUGAAUUUUUUUUGCUAUAGUUGGGGUUCUCCAAGGGAAAACCGGUAUUCUCUAUAACCUUAGGCUUAGAUACCAUUCUCUGUCACACCCCACUAAAGCGAAAACACGGGGGUGCAACAGUAUAAAGAUCUCAUAACAAAUGGUAAAUGACCACACUAACCAUAGUAUUAAAAAUCAUUUCAGAUUACAAUGAGUGUAGACAAAUUUUAAAAAAAUUACAAUACAUUUGAAAAAUAACACAUCUCUAAUGCUUCUACAAGUAAUGUGUCUCUAUGUUUCUCUUUCUAGAUGAUCCGUGAAAAAGCAUGCAAAAUAGGUGGUCAACUACCUGAAUAGUUGGUGAGUUCACAAUAUUAUAGCCUAACAUAGUUCAAAUCAUUAAAAUCAAAAUAUUGAUAAAAGUUUCCAAAAAUGAAGGUUUGUUGCUAGAAUGAGUAUUCAAGUUUGCAUAAACAUUAGUUCAUUGAUAAAAUGAGUAAACAAGUGUAUAAACUAUAGUUCCUUGCUAAAAUGAGAAAAAAUAUUUACAAAAUGUAGUUCAUUGCUAAUAUGAGCAACCAAAGUAAAAGUUUUAGUUUAUUGCUAAAAUAAGAAAACAAGUUUACAAACUGUAGUUCGUUGCUAGAAUGAGCAACAAGUUGUGACAACCCGAAAUUUCCAUUCUGUACAAACUAUAUCACUUCAAUAGAAGUUAUAGCAGUCACAAUUAAUUUUCAGACUUUUUAGUGUAAGUUUGAGUAAUUCAGGGUUUACACUUCAGGAAAUAUCAGGAGAGUGGGUGCACUAGGGUUUUGUGCAACACUGUUAUUCCAACACUCCAUUAUAUUAGAGAUCAUUUCGGGAAUAAAAAUAUUUUCUGCCAAAAAUAUCUCAAGACUAUAAAUAGAAUUCUGAACCAAAUUCAUUCAUUAUUUGCAUUUCCAACUAGAGAAAAGCCAUUUUCUCUCUCACGGAUCUUCGGGUUUUUAUACCAAAACGUGAGUACCUCUUUCUAGUAGUGUUAGAAAGCUUAAUAUGUAGUUAUAACAUGAUUUAGAAGGCUAAAUCACUAGAUUUAGGAGUUUACUCCCCAAGGUGUUCUUGGGCGGUAAACUCCUGAAACAAAGCCGAGACCGUCCCUUGUGUUAUGCUACUGCCUUAGACUCAUUUAUAAGUGUGUUAGGGACAUGAAAUCAAGCAAAAUCCACCCAAGUUUGGGAGUUCACGGCCCAAGAGUUUCUUAGGCCGUAAACUCCAAAUUCAAGCUCCAAAUGGUGCUAUUAAGGCACCUAAAGCAUUAGACAUUUAUUAGGAAUUGUUCCCACUUAAUUGAAGGACAAAAACACAUCAAAAUCACCUCUUGAAGUGAGUUUACGGCCCUGGUAAUGCUCCUAGGCCGUAAACACCAAACAAGGGCACCAAAGUGUGCCUAGGGUCCUCAUUAGCUUUAAACAAAUGUUUAGAACCUAUCCUUCAUAUGCAAGAGACUUGAAAACAACAAAAACACCAUUCCAAGGGAGUUUACGGCCGUAAACUCCAAAGGAAAUGGCCUUGGGGCCGUAAACUCCUCUAGGGAGUGUUUCUAGGCCUUAAACCCUUUCAAGAAUUUAACCACCAAGUUGGAAUAAUUCUAGGAAUCAUUUGGAACUUCAAAACACACAAUACACCCAUGGUUGGGAGUUUACGGCCGUAAACUCAAGAGUUUACAACCGUAAACUCCAUGUGUGUUGGUAUAUGAGGAGUAAACUCAUAUAUGGGGUCCUUUGGAACCCUAAACACAAGUGCCUUGUCCCACAAUAGCUUAGAUGCAAUCCUUAGGGCUUAAAACACUUAUAUAAAGUGUUUAUUAUGUCUAGGAUGUCUUAACAUUAUCAAUUAGUAAUUUGAGACUAAUUGAGUGCAUAUAUGUGUGAUUAUAUGUUCAUUAGGAUCGUAGUGUGUGUACAAGUCCUCACUUGACACCUAGCAAUCCUACACCGUUCAGUUCAUCCCAACCACCAACUACAGGUGAGUUCAUACCCCUUAAUCAAUGUUUUAAAUGAUUUUAAACGUUUUAAUGGGGGGGGGGAAUACAAGUAGAAAACAGUAUGUUAUUAAAUCAAUCUUAUGUAUUUUAUAACUGUGUUUUCACUCAGUAGAUUUCACAUAUUUCAAAAGGUGACACAUGAAGUGGUUUUCUAUCUUAAAAUACCUUGAUAACAAAAGUAUUAGUUUUGAAAUGUUUAUUAAAAUGACAUCAAGUCAUUCUUAAUUAUUGUUCAAAACUCCUAGAUAUCUUGCAAAACCAUUAUUUUACCUUCUUGAAUCAAACUAUACUUAUGCGCAUAUGUUCAUUUAUAUGUUAGAGAUUAUAGUUUUCAUCCUUCGUUCAGUUUCCCACACCCUGGUGUAUCGAGGGUGCAUAAAUCUACUUGAACAAUCACUUACUUUCCAGUUAAUUAUCAUAGCGAUAGUUAGAAGAAACAAAACAUUAUUACUACUACAAGGAAUCACACAAGAGUCAGUUCAUUCAUGAGUCUAUACCAACACCUUACAUGAUACAUGAGUACACAUACUUAGGAAUGCAUGAUACAUGAAUAUGCUUACAUAUACUUACCUGUUACAUGAACACACUUACAUGAAUACCAUACAGGAACACUUCUACAUAGGUGCAUUAUCCUGUAUUUACUUACCUGGAUACUUGUACUUAGAACUACAAGGAUGAUUUAUUAGUACUUACUGUGUAAAUUGUCUUUCCUAUCCCGGUUCAAUGGGAUAUCUCGGCGGGACUUACCAUUCCGAACCCCACUGAUUAGCACCAGUGGUCGAUGAAUGUCUACGGAUGUCUAAGGUUGUCACUUAUUUAGUAGUCAGUGACGGGACUAACCAUCCCUCUGUCCACUAUUGCAACAGUGGAUGAAAUGUGAAUAUUCGGAAGAUCAUUAGGUUAGCGAUCUAUAUUAAGAGAUCGAUAUCGGGACUAACCCUCCCUCCACCCUGCUGCUGCUACAGAGGAUGAGGGGACACUCUUCGGAUGUCCAUAGGGUCUAUUUUUCGCUUCGGCGAUGUCGUGUUAAUCCUGGUCACAUAGGGAUAACACUUACAUGAUUAUGCUUUUUCAUGUUUACUUUAUUUUGUGAUAUAUUCACAUAAACGAUGAGUUACACUAAGGACUUUUAGUACUAGUCAAUAGAAAGGAAAAACUAUCAUUUUACUUACAAAACAUUCGGGUCUUGGUAGAAGACUACAUAGUCAUAACAAAACAUUCGGGUCUUGGUAGAAGACUACAUAGUCAUAACAUAACAUUCGGGUCUUGGUAGAAGACUACCUAGUCAUAACAAAACAUUCGGGUCUUGGUAGAAGACUACAUCUCCAACUGAUAGAAAAUAAGGGAUUUUCUAGGGCUUUUCAUACUUACAUCAACAUUUUCAUUUAAAGGUUUACAUGGCCUUCAUAACAGAUUUUCUUAGGCAAGACAAUGACACUUAAUUACUUAUGAAUUCACCAGCUUUAAAGCUGAUACUCUCUUUCAAAAUAACUUGUAUUCUCAGGUCAACAGUAGACAGGUACGAUGGCCAGGUUUUGAUAAGACGGAGCAGACAAGUCUCGUCUUUUAUUUUGAUUGUAUAUUUUUGGUGUCUUACUACAAUGAAAGAACAAACAUGCAUGAAAACUUUACUUAUAAUGCAUUGGAUGAUGUUGUUGCUUGUUUAUUAUAUUACACUAUUGUGAUACUGUACAUGAUGUCCUCCACCCCUGAACGUUUCCGCCGUUCGUGGUUUUGGGGUGUGACACAAGUGUACAAACUGUAGUUCGUUGCUAAAAUGAGUAAACAAGUUCAUAGCUAUAAUGAGUAAACAAUUUCAUUCCUAUAAUAAGUAAACAAGUUCAAUGCUAUAUUGAGUAAACAAGUUCAUUACUAAUAUGAGUAAACAAUUUCAUUUGUAUAUUGAGUAAAGAAGUUUGCAUAAACAAGUUUGUUGCUAUCAUGAUAAAUAAAGCCUGUUAACAUCAUGAGAAACAAAGUUAGAUGCUAACAUGAGAAACAAAGUAUGUAUGUGCAUAAUCCACAAACCAAGAGUUCACAAUCCAAGCCUAAUGAUCGAGUGCCCUCCUGAAUACUAUGUUUAUCACUAACAUAGGGAAACAUAUGGUAAAAUGCACUCCACGAGUGUGCGAGUGAGGAGUUGUCUACCUCCUAAUAGCAUUAUCCAUAAUGACCAUCGUCUCAAAAGAGUUAAUGAGUUGUGUUAAACAUUCCAGGGAUUUAGUGCGAUAUGGGGUUAAUGAAUCAACAUUUGCAAACACAUACAUAGCAAAAUAUAGAAACUAAGUUUGAUACAAGUCAAAUUAAAUACAACGAACAUAAAUAGUUUUGGACAUGCUUAUCCACCCCAAAACGUAAAAACUUAAAAUAGGGGCCAUGAAUACUUACAACUUAUAUCGCGUUGAUGCUCAUGAUGCCUUGAACUAAGUUCCACUCGUACCACUACUGAUUCCCUAUGCUAAUGUUACACACUAGUAUGUCCUUAGUCGAAAAUCUAACACAAGCAUACUUACUUUCUAUAACAGAAUUGUGCCAAUAUCGUGUCAAAAUUUGUUUUUAUAUGAGUUGGAAACAUUUUUAUGAAAAAUCAUAUUUUUAAGAGUAAAUUUAUCUAACAAUAAAUUUAAAUGGAAAAUCCAUUUCCACAAUGUUAAAUGUGAUGUAGUUAUAACAUUUUAGAAGGUGUUUCAAAUGAUUAAAUAUUCAAAACUAAAUCAAAUAAUUUACAAAAUUUCCCAAACUUUGUAUUUUAGCUUUAACUGAAGUAAAAGUCCUUAAGAUAAAUUUUGUUGAAUUAUUGAUUUGUCUAACUAUUUUUCACCAUUUUAGUUCCUUGAGUAAUCAUAAAUUAAUGGAAUUUUUUUAAAUUAUCAUAAAAAAUUCUUUAAAAUUUUUGUGUAACUAUUUCACAGUGUCCCUAAACUAGAAAAAAAAUGAAAAGCCACCUUUGAUCAAUAAAACCCAGUUUUUAUAGUUUAAAUGUGUUUUGCACUAAGAAAUUCUAAUUAAAUCGUAAACAAUACUUUAAACACCAAACUUCUUAUUUGUGAUUUAAAUGCAAUCAAAGAUUUCCAGAAAAUGUUUCAUUAAUUUUAUAUAUAUAUAUAUAUANNNNNNNNNNNNNNNAAGAAUUUGAAUCAACACAAUUUCAAUAAUAACAUCAACCAAUUAAUAAAAAUUGACAAUUUUUUAUACAACUGAUAUAAAAUGUAUAUAAGCUAGGAAAAAUAUCAAAAGUCUUUUUCAAAACAAUGGAGUACGAUUUUUGGAUUUAUGGGUGUUUAAUCUUAGGAAAAUGGAAAUAGAUAGCAACGUUUGAAAAAAAAUCCUAAACCUUUUUGGCUAAUUUAUUUAGAGUAUUUUGAAGCUAGGAAAAAUGAUCAAUGUACUUUCUAAACUGCAAAACCCAUUUUAAUGACCUUAGAUGUGUUUAAUGCCACGAAAUUCAAAAUAAAUGGUAAACAGUAAAGAAAAUUUGCUAAAGACUUUUAUUUGAGAUUCCGUUGUAAUGAGUGAUGUCCUGGUAACUGUGCAUGAAUUUUGGACAAGUAUAACAAUUUUUAUCAAUUUAACCUCUUAAACAUUCAUUAAACCCAUGAGAAAUCAGAAAUGGUAAUGUAAAAGUCUGUAAACAUUUUUUUAUAGAGGUUGUAUAAUGUUCACAAGUUGUGAAAAUUAUCAAAAAUGGGUUUCAACAUUCAUAACUAUAUUUUAUUAUAUAUUUAUUCUCAACAAAAACAAAAUCGAAAUAUAUAAAAAAUUUCCAUAAAAAUGCAUUAAAUUUCAUAAACUCUCUUUAAUGAAUGUAUAGGUCAUUCCAAAAAUUUUCUAGAAUUUAUUAACCUUAAAAAGUAAUUUAUGUGAAUUAAUGCUCUAUUUUCUUGAAAAAUUAUAAUAAUUCGAGAAAAAUGAAUUAUUUUAUGAAAAUUUGUAGAUGACCUUAUGUUGGUACUGUGAUUCUGGGAAAAAUUUGAAUUGAGUAUGAAAGGAGUGUUACAUAUUUUUUGAGAAUAAAUCCUUUUUGAACAUUCUUAAUAAUGUACUUUGAUCAUCAUGCGUUUAAGCUUGAUGUUCAUUACAUGCAUCUUGUUUUGAAGACCAUGCAUGGACUUAUUUUUUUCAAAAUGAUGUUUUUAAAAGAAAAACUCGAUUUCAUGUGGUUGGUGAACUUUUAGACUUGUAAAAACUCAAGUUUAUGGAUUUUAUUUAUGUUUUGAUCAGUGGAUUUCACCUUCUCACAACAUCCAUGUUGUUUUUGGGUGAAAUUCUGCCAUCGUCAUCAUAAAAACUGAAGUGCAUGAACAUGCACAAAGAUUUUCAAAUAGAAAGGUGUAGAAGGAGAAAAAAAUGCAAGAAAAAUCAUAAUGAAAUGAAGCAAGAAUGGAGGACUUUCCUGUUUACCUCAAGAACAACUUCAAAAUGAUUAUUUUUUUGAGUAAAAAUGGAUGCUCUUAGCUGGAUUUUUGUGAGUUUGUAAGAGGGAAAGAGAGAAAGCGGUGUUCUAAAGUUAGAGAGAAAUGAGACAAAAUACAGAAGGAGAAGUGUGUGGAGGAAGUAAAAAUGAUUGAAGAUUUUUGGGAAAAGGGUAUAGGGAGUAGGGACCGAGUUUUGAGGAGGCCACAGAGGUUCCCUCUCUCUUCCAUUUUUUUUUAAAUAUUUCUUCCAUUUUUAUAAAAUUUCUCCUUGUUUUAUAAAUUAUAUCCUUAAUCUACUUUUAUUGUCAUAAAACCUUGGCUUUCAAUUAUAUAUUAGGAAUAAAAUGUUGUUAAUUAAAGUUUUCUUUCCUUGAUUAUAUUCCCUAAUUUAAAUAUCCUAAUUGAUAUAAUACAGUUCAUAAUAAUUUUCAUAGAAUUCUUGAUGUUAAACAUUAUAAAUUUGAGUUUUUAUGGCUUGUAGGGUUUUAAGGAGCUUGUAAUCUUUAGAUAUCAACAUCAUUUGAAUUUUUGAGACUUGAAAUCAUUUUAGACACUUAUAAUUCUUUUCCAAUUAUAAAAAUGUUGGAAAUUUGCUUUUGUCGAUUUAUUGGCAUUUCUAUGUAGUGAUUCCAAGAUUCAAGUGAAAUUGAAGAAUCAAGUAUACCAGUCCUAGUUUUCAACAUUGACUUAAGUUCCUAGGGGAAUCUGACCUAGUUUCUACUGCUAGGUCAAGUGUAUGAUAUGUCUACAUGAUUCAUGAAACACCUAGUUUAGAAAGUGUUCGGUUAUGGCUUCGAAGGCCAAGGGUAUAAGCGUAAUCUGACGAUUGAGACUUAUAUGGGUCUCAGGUUUAUUCAGAAAGCAUUAAGGCUUGGGUAUGAAGCUAGCAACGUAGGGUUUCCCGCCACCUUUUGUUGAUAUAAAUUUCUUUGGAGAUGGACAUAGAAUGAAGGAGAUAUAGCACUUUGAAGUUAUUAGCAAUAUUAGUCCCUAAUGGAGAAAAGUGGCAAGAAGGUACGAUGCAUGCAAGGUGGCCAGUGCGGAAGUAUGCCCAACAUAGAGAAGAAAGUGAACGCGGGUGUGGGAGGCAUUCGCCCAACGUAUGACCCUAUUAUUUUGGGGCUAAGCACCAUAUAAAGAACAUAAUGCCCUAGAUAUCAGCCUCCCUCUAAUCGUUAGACAUCCACCACGAAACCCUAAUCCUUCCUUUAGUGUUCUUGGAGCUUAGGAGGCCAUUAGAGAGCAUUUUGGGUGUGUGAAGCCAUUUUCCAAGUAAGAGAAGAGUAUAGCAUGGUGGUGGAUCAAAUAAGAAGCAGUAGAUCCGAGAUUGGGGUUUCAUUUCAGACCACCUUGAGGUAUAAAGCCAUAAACUUUCCUCAUGUAUGCUUAGACCUAGUGUUGUGAAGAUUUGGACCAUUAUUGGUCCCAAGUAUAGAGCUUUAUGGCUCAAAUCUGAUUCCUGGACUUAGAGUUGCCACUCACACUUCCAAAUGAGUCCCUAAGGCAGAAAGUUGCAAUCUUGGAUGUCUUAUUGGGUUCAUGCAUGAGCUAAGAUCACAUUGAUGAGAAUAGAAUGCCAUUUUGGAGAUUGGGCUUAUUAGGGUCAUGUCACCUGGAUCUGUGUUUAUAGCCGUCGGAAUAGAGUAUUGAGUUCUUAAUGGAAAAGUGACUUAACAGGGACGUACGCUGGGCAUACAUGCUGGUACGCGCAACGUACUCACCAUACAGCGAGUACGCUUAGUGUACAAAAGUGUACGCCCAUCGUACUCAUUAGAUAUGGGCUUGACCUGUUUUGGGUUUCGGAUUGGGCCAUGCAGUGGAUUUUGGUUCCUUGGGUCUUAGUGGGCCAUAAAAAGUCAGAUAAUUUGAGCCAAGAAUAUGUUUGAGCUUAGGGUAAGGCCAAUUAGAAGGAUUGGGCCCAAUUUAGCAAAUUGGGCCAAUGGUGGGUUACCAGUGGGCUUGGGAAGCCUACCUAGUGUUGGGACUUUUUAGAUCAUGGUUUGGGCCUUAGUUAUGGACCAAGAUGGACUAGGAGUAAAAUGGUCAUUUUACCCUAAGGAGCAUUAUUGGUUGGACUAAUUGUUAUUUUGGGUAAUGGUAGCUCGGGGAGCUGAAGGAGCAACAGUUCGGGGAAUUGCCAGUUAGCAGCCAUAAGAGUAUCCAGAUGUCUUCAGUAGUGCGAGGUGAGUCUCCUCAAUGUGUGCAUGGGUCUAAGGCCACAAUGCCAGCCCAUUAUGUUUGAGUAUAAUAGGAAGACCCGAGGGUUAUCCCUAGGCAUUUUAUGAUAUGUGUUCCGGAUUACGAUCCGAUGUCAGGCGAUGCCCGAGGAAUGGUAUAAUGCUAGAGUUCUUUUUGAUUAUUGCAUGUGUCAGUGUUUAUAGGUUCCAGACCAAGGUCCGAUGUCGAGGUAAGCGCGAGGAAGGUUUAUAUGUUGCUUGUUAAAUUAUACUUGUUGUCUUUUUGAUACAUGUAUGUGCCUUGUAGGGAGGUGAGUGUGGGCGAGGUCCCAUAUCUCAUCAUUAGCCCAGUAUGGACGGGGUUCCAUAUCUCAUUAUUAGCAGACAAGGGGAGGGGUCCAAUAUUGGAGAGAAGUGAGUGCGGGUAGGGCCCGUAUCUCAGUAUCUGCAGGAGUGUGGACAGGGUUCCAUGAAUCAUUAGUAGUAGGACAGGGUCGAGGCCGAAGAUAGGUGAGGCCUUAGAUCAGGAGUAUAGUAGAGUGUGUUUAGCUUAUAUGUUAUGUGUUAUGUUAUAUGAUUCUAUGUGUUCAGUGGGUGGGGCUGUAACAACCCGAAAUUUUCAUCCUGAACAAACCAUUUGAAGCCAAUAUAAGUAGAACAGUUACAGUGAAAACUCAUAUUUCGAGUAUAAGUUUGGCAGUUUUCAGGUUUUUUACACUUAAGGAGAUAUUAGGAGAGUGGAUGCACUAGGGUUUUGUGCAACACUGUUAUUCCAAUACUCUAGGAUAUUAGAGUUCAUUCCGAGAAUAUAAAUAUGUUCUGCCAAAAAUCCCAGGACUAUAUAUAGAAAACUGAACCAAAUAGUUCAUUAGUUGAAUUCCAAUUAGAGAAAAGCCAAAAUUCUCUCUCACGGAUCUUCGGGUUUUUAUCCCAAAUUGUGAGUACUUCGAUCUAGUUAUGUUAUAUAGCUUAGAUUGUGUUUAGAAACACCAAUUACAUAUCAAAUCUGUGAGAUUCAGGAGUUUAUCGCCCGAGAACGUUCUUGGAGAGUAAACUCCGAUAAGUGGCUUAAAUGCUACCUAGUCCUUUCCCCGUGAAUUGUAUCUACCUUAGACUUGUAUGCUAGUGAGUUUAUGACUAGAAAACAUCAAAAACGGAUUAAGACCCCAAGAUUUGGGAGUUUACCGCCCAAGAACACUUGGGGAGUAAACUCCAUUUUAAGGUCCUAAAGUGUUCCAAUGACCCUCAAAGCUUUAGAACUCGAACUAGAACCCACCAUUGCAUGUUUAGGACACCAAAAGCAAUUAAAAUCAAUGAUGAAAAGUGAGUUCACGGCCAAGGGUGUUCUUGGGCCGUGAACUCCAUGUUUAAGUGCCAAAAUGCCCUUAAAACCUUCCUUAAGCCAAGAGACUAAUUUGGGCAUGUACCUAAAUGAGUUUUGGACUAGCUAACACACUUAGAACACCAAGAGUAAGGUGUUCACGGCCCAAAAGGUUCUAGGGCCGUGAACUCCAUAAAAUGGUGCCAAAUGGUGCCAUAAACUCUUCUAAAGACAAGUACAAAACCCUAGUUUAGUUCCUAGAUAAUUUAAAGACUUGAAAACACCAUAAUCACCCUACCAAGGGAGUUUAUAGUCGUAAACUCCAUGGGAUAUGGUCCCAGGGCCGUAAACUCCUCAAAGGAGUUAUUAGGAAGCCCGAACACUUGUUUAAGCCUUGGAGCAAUUCACCACAUGAGUUGUAUAAUUGUUAGACUUCAUUUAGGGACUUGGUUGAGAGUUUACGGCCAGGAGUUUACUCCCCUGGGCCGUAAACUCCAAAACAUAUGGCCAUUAGACCAUAAACUCCCAUUAGGGGCAUUGCACUCCUUUGUUGCAACCCAUUAGCCUCCUAGCACUUGACCAAAAGUGUUUUCCUCGCGUUUAAAUGUUUAUACUUGUAUAAUUAGUGUUUUAAUCACUAAUUAUUUAUAUACAUAUGUCUUCAUAUGUAAUUAGGAUCACUGUGUGUGUCGAAAGUCUUCACUUGACACCAAACACUUGUCCAAUCCUUUCUUACGAUAACAGCCCGUUCAAUUCCAGUCACCUGCUGCAGGUGAGUUCAUACCCCUUAACUGAUGUUUUAAACUAUUUUUAAAUGUUUUAUGGGGGGGGGGGAUACAAGUAGAAUCAUGCUAGUUAGUAUAUCAAUCAUAUGUGAUUAAUAUGCAGCAUUCAAAUGAUUUACUACACAUUAGCCGUUUUACCAAACAGUUUCCUUCAAAUGAUUUUUAUAAACAUUUUAUAUGUUUUAAACUCCUUAUUACACUGUACAUUUUACUCUGUAUAUUACAUUUCAAACUUAUUUACAAUUGUGUUUCAAACAAAUGUUUCUUUAUACUAAACUGUUUUAUCAAACCCAUGCCUUCAAACUGUUUUCUAGAUUGACAUCAAGUCGAUCUUUUCUUAAAAUAAAAAUUAUGUUCAAAUGUUUUAGAAAACUUAUUUAUGCUUUUAUAUUAUAAAUUGCAUGCCUCUAUAUGGAUAGUUAUAUAAGAAAUGUUUAAAAGACUUAGGAAGGCUAUCCACCCUAUUUCCAUUUUGCGCUUGAGAUGUGGUCUGGUGGGAUAUCGGGUACUCGUCCGAAGGUCGUUUAAAUAUUAGUUAUAUAUCAUGUGUACAUAUAUAGUCAUAAAAGGUCCUUCCAGUUCAUCCCAUGCCCUUGGGUAGCAAGGGUAUACAUCCAUGUCUAUACGUACCAGUUAGAUUACUAGUAAACUACCAUAUGGGUAGUUUAGGAAGAUACUAGAACUAUUACUAGAACGCGAUAUCAUACAAUGAGUCAGUUCAUUCAUGAGUCAAUACUUUCUAGAACAUUACAGUACAUUACNNNNNNNNNNNNNNNNNNNNNNNNNNNNNNNNNNNNNNNNNNNNNNNNNNNNNNNNNNNNNNNNNNNNNNNNNNNNNNNNNNNNNNNNNNNNNNNNNNNNNNNNNNNNNNNNNNNNNNNNNNNNGUGAUCCACUGUGUCGGAGCAUGCCUUAAAUGUCAUGGCCCGAGUUGUAGCCAAAAUUCUCUUGGAGGGAGAGCGUGAGUUUGCGUAUAGAUCUAUACUGGAUUGACUAUCCUACACCUUGCUGCUAGCUACAGCCAGACCUAUAGGUCUGCGGGUGCCAAAUGUCAUUCCGUUAUUACCACCAUUCUUAUGUUGUUGUUACCAGUCGAUAGUAUGGUGCAAUUAAUCACAUGAUGCCUUAAUAUAAAUCCGGUUUAAGGUAGUUAGUACAGCAGUAGUUCUUAUAGCGCUACGUUUUAGUACUACAUUAAUUUUCCCUGUACAUAUAUUUAGUGAUCUUUUCACUUAAACUAUAAAUGUAAAAACNNNNNNNNNNNNNNNNNNNNNNNNNNNNNNNNNNNNNNNNNNNNNNNNNNNNNNNNNNNNNNNNNNNNNNNNNNNNNNNNNNNNNNNNNNNNNNNNNNNNNNNNNNNNNNNNNNNNNNNNNNNNNNNNNNNNNNNNNNNNNNNNNNNNNNNNNNNNNNNNNNNNNNNNNNNNNNNNNNNNNNNNNNNNNNNNNNNNNNNNNNNNNNNNNNNNNNNNNNNNNNNNNNNNNNNNNNNNNNNNNNNNNNNNNNNNNNNNNNNNNNNNNNNNNNNNNNNNNNNNNNNNNNNNNNNNNNNNNNNNNNNNNNNNNNNNNNNNNNNNNNNNNNNNNNNNNNNNNNNNNNNNNNNNNNNNNNNNNNNNNNNNNNNNNNNNNNNNNNNNNNNNNNNNNNNNNNNNNNNNNNNNNNNNNNNNNNNNNNNNNNNNNNNNNNNNNNNNNNNNNNNNNNNNNNNNNNNNNNNNNNNNNNNNNNNNNNNNNNNNNNNNNNNNNNNNNNNNNNNNNNNNNNNNNNNNNNNNNNNNNNNNNNNNNNNNNNNNNNNNNNNNNNNNNNNNNNNNNNNNNNNNNNNNNNNNNNNNNNNNNNNNNNNNNNNNNNNNNNNNNNNNNNNNNNNNNNNNNNNNNNNNNNNNNNNNNNNNNNNNNNNNNNNNNNNNNNNNNNNNNNNNNNNNNNNNNNNNNNNNNNNNNNNNNNNNNNNNNNNNNNNNNNNNNNNNNNNNNNNNNNNNNNNNNNNNNNNNNNNNNNNNNNNNNNNNNNNNNNNNNNNNNNNNNNNNNNNNNNNNNNNNNNNNNNNNNNNNNNNNNNNNNNNNNNNNNNNNNNNNNNNNNNNNNNNNNNNNNNNNNNNNNNNNNNNNNNNNNNNNNNNNNNNNNNNNNNNNNNNNNNNNNNNNNNNNNNNNNNNNNNNNNNNNNNNNNNNNNNNNNNNNNNNNNNNNNNNNNNNNNNNNNNNNNNNNNNNNNNNNNNNNNNNNNNNNNNNNNNNNNNNNNNNNNNNNNNNNNNNNNNNNNNNNNNNNNNNNNNNNNNNNNNNNNNNNNNNNNNNNNNNNNNNNNNNNNNNNNNNNNNNNNNNNNNNNNNNNNNNNNNNNNNNNNNNNNNNNNNNNNNNNNNNNNNNNNNNNNNNNNNNNNNNNNNNNNNNNNNNNNNNNNNNNNNNNNNNNNNNNNNNNNNNNNNNNNNNNNNNNNNNNNNNNNNNNNNNNNNNNNNNNNNNNNNNNNNNNNNNNNNNNNNNNNNNNNNNNNNNNNNNNNNNNNNNNNNNNNNNNNNNNNNNNNNNNNNNNNNNNNNNNNNNNNNNNNNNNNNNNNNNNNNNNNNNNNNNNNNNNNNNNNNNNNNNNNNNNNNNNNNNNNNNNNNNNNNNNNNNNNNNNNNNNNNNNNNNNNNNNNNNNNNNNNNNNNNNNNNNNNNNNNNNNNNNNNNNNNNNNNNNNNNNNNNNNNNNNNNNNNNNNNNNNNNNNNNNNNNNNNNNNNNNNNNNNNNNNNNNNNNNNNNNNNNNNNNNNNNNNNNNNNNNNNNNNNNNNNNNNNNNNNNNNNNNNNNNNNNNNNNNNNNNNNNNNNNNNNNNNNNNNNNNNNNNNNNNNNNNNNNNNNNNNNNNNNNNNNNNNNNNNNNNNNNNNNNNNNNNNNNNNNNNNNNNNNNNNNNNNNNNNNNNNNNNNNNNNNNNNNNNNNNNNNNNNNNNNNNNNNNNNNNNNNNNNNNNNNNNNNNNNNNNNNNNNNNNNNNNNNNNNNNNNNNNNNNNNNNNNNNNNNNNNNNNNNNNNNNNNNNNNNNNNNNNNNNNNNNNNNNNNNNNNNNNNNNNNNNNNNNNNNNGACCGAAGCUUUUGCGACUUGAACAAUGGGGGCUCAGCAGAUAGAGUCUUGCCAAUCUUGGUCCGCAGAGUGACCCGAAAUGAGAUUCAAGGCAGGACAGCCCUACAUCAGAUUACCGAAGUUGUCGCCGAUGUGAGAAUGCAUACCCUCCGCACCAUUCGUCUAAGAAGAUGCUUACGUGAGAUUAGAGAGAAACCAUGAAACCCUGCUGCAAGCACUAGCUGAAACUCGAGCCAAAGUCAUAGAGCUCCGAGUACGCCAAAGGGGGUACAAAACACACCUACUUGAUGUAGAACGUCAACUGGCUGAAUUGAGAGUUCACCAGAGGGGUGACCGUCGUCAGUAGUAGACUCUUUACUUUUCUUCCCUUGUUAGAAAGUAGUCGUUUUCUGUCUUUGCCUGAUGUGGCAUUUUCCACGAAAUUAUCUUGUACUGUAAGUACUUUUAGUUAGGUCCUUAUGCUGUUAGGAACUAUCUUCUUUGGAUAUGAUGUAAGACCUUUACAAGGUCAUUUUCCUAAAUCUUUACGUCGUAAAUAUCCAAGAUAUUGACAGCCGGCUAACUUCUGUGUCAUUCUUCAUUCAAGUACUUUUAUCAUACUUUCAUUGGAGUCUAUCUGAAUCAUGCUUUAGUCAAGUCAUUGGACUAUAGUGAUUUAUCUCCGGAGACAUUUCCAAGUCUCUUUCAGUGGUUGGAUCCUGUUAUUCACCAACCCACGAUACCUCGGCUUGAACGACAAACGUCUUGAGACCAUUCUACGAAAGUACUGCAUCAUAGGGAUGUAGGUGAACCUUCGCGAACAUACUUUCAUUUUGUUCUAGGACUGCAUCAUAGGGAUGUAGGUCAAAUUUUCAAAAACAUACUUCUAUUCUUUACAUAACAGUAGAACUACACCUAGGGUCAACCAGAACCGCUCACAAAAUCCUUAUCUUUCAUGUUACAGAAUCAUGUCGUCAUCCGGAAACAAUCAGCCAAGCAACGAAACCCCCAUCCUCCAUAUCGACACCGCUACAUUACAAGCUGCAGUAGCAGCUGCUGUGACAACUUUCCUUACACACAUCAACUCAGGCAACAUAAACAAGACAGAAAAAGGAGUCGAGAGUUUAGAUGGUAGUAUCAAACCGGGAAACCAACAAACAGUAACAGUCACUGGCUCGCAAAGCCGAAAGACAGAGAACAAGAAACGAAAGCGUCAAGCCCCGAAAGAACGCAAGAAAUCCCAAAAACUUGCUAUGCAACAACAACAAGUGGAAACCCCUGCCAUCCCAGUACCGAGCAGGCCAUGCGAGGGAAAACUCCCGAAGUGAGAUAAGUGUAGUUUCCAUCAUCAUGGGGCUUGUCAUGAGAUGCAAUGUUGCAAUUGCCUAAAAAUAAGGCACCAUGCUAGUAGCUAUGGAGCACCGGCACGACCCAUCACUCAAGUCCCUUUCAUCGGGACUAAUCCUACACACAGGAGUAGUUAUAAUGCCGAACACUUUAGGAAGCAAUUUUCAAAGUGGAGUAACGAGGAAGGCACUCGUGUCCACAUAACAUUGGCUAAACACCGCAAUCCCGUGGCCAAAGCUAGUACUAACCAGUUAUGCCACCAAUGCGGGGAGAUAGGGCACUUCAAGGAGGAUUGCCCUAUAGCAAAGAACUCUGGCGCAGACGAGAAGAUUCUCAGGAUCACAGCUGCAGGAGAGCCUAUGCCGAAACCCUCGUUAAUGUAACUUAGGCGUGUCUUUGUAAUAGAUUUAUAAACUAUCCAGAACUAGUGCAACUAGAGUCUUACCUCUUGCGAGAUCCUGACUGCAUAGGGAUUCUCGUGCUGCGUAUACUUCUCUUUUGUAGUAUAUCUUAUUCGCAGCAAUAGUCUUGUGGUAAAUCUAAAGUACUGUAACUCUGUUCAUGGUUGCACGGUUGUGUUUUGUCUGUAAACGUCUUAUGUUCAAAUCUAAUGUCUUUAAGUUUCACUAUGAUUCCGACAUUAUCAUACGAUUCGAUUCAAUUUGUUCUUCACGAAAACAGCUUCAUACGUACAUCUCUUUCUUCUAGAUCACUUUUCCAGCGAAGCCGUCAUAUCAGAACACUGAAGUACUCAUGCCAGGAGUACCUCUUGAUUAUUUUCUUUCCGAAGAAAUCCCCGAAGUACCACUCGUGCAGUACGUCAAGUUCAAUCCAAGGAUUCAUACGAUUGCUCUAUCACUGAGGAAUGUAUACAUAAGAGUGAUAUAUAAUCAAGGUUCUACAGGUUUAGAAUUGAUGAUUCCACUUUAACUUCUUUUUCUUCGAUGGGAUGUGAGCUUAAAAAAGAAUCAGUUAUUCGACUACCUUUUCAAUCUUAAUUAUAUACGACUCGUAUACACGAAAUUGUGAUUGUGAGCCAAGUAUGAAUUCUAAUAUGAACUUCAGGACGGAGAACUGCUCAAGACUACGAGUAAUCACAUCAUCAUGUGAACAAACAUAGAAAGCUGUACGACUCCCAUAAACGGAUCUCCCAUUUGCUUAAACACCUAUGGAGAUACCAGAACAGUACAGACAACUUAACGAACUAAAGAACGAUAGAAUAAGAAGACUAGGCUUCUCAACCUAGAGAACCCCCAGUCUUAUCCUCCUAGAGAUCGACGGAUUGCAUCGUAUGUGCCUCGGAUAUCGAGGACUCCAUCAAGAUUUUUCAUUAGAAAUCGUUAUCUCUGCCUCGCAUAGAUGAAAUGGUUGAGCAAACGCAAGGAAAUAAUUACUUUCAGAAAUGGAUCUAAGAUUCGAGUAUCACCAGUUCGAGUGUUAGGGAAGGAUGUCCGGAAGACUAUCUUCCGAACUCGAUGCGGACACUUCGAGUCCGUAGUGAUACCCUUCGGAUAGGACCAAUACGCCCAUAGCUUUCAUGAGCUAAACGAAUAGAGUACGUCUUUAUUACUUGGAUCAGUUCGUCAUUUCUCCAUGUAAUGACUUACUUAUCUACCCUCGUAGUAAGAAGAAAACCCAUGGAAACAUUUCCUACAGAGGAACUUCUCGCGAAGUUCUCUAGGCACGAGUUUUGAAAUUGAAAAGUCAAAUUUUUAUGACACACUGUUAGUAAUGUGAGAAAUUUUGAGUACUCUUUCAAUUUGUCAAAACUGUUGAGAAUUUGUCGACACCAGAGAUGCCGACAUACAUUUGCCAAAUUCUAGGUCUUACAGACCUACUGUCAUAGUUCGUCCAUAACUCCUCGUAAAUUACAGAAACCCUUUCGACCUUGACACGGCAAGGAGUGGCCCUUGACUGGGAAGUUAAACAAGAAAAGGAAACUGUGGAGAUUCCAAGUGAGAGACCAAGUUCUUUAGGAUGUCUCACUCGGGAAAGGCUUAAUACGCUUCGUAUCGCGUGGAAAGCUAAAUCCAAUAUAGUUAGGACCCCGAGAUUCUUAUCAGAAUCGGUCCUGUGCCUUGCACAAACUAGACCUCCUCCGCGAACUCAGUAACGUAAAUUCUACUCUUCGCGUCUCUGUCGUGAAGUCGUACCUUUCCGUUAGGAUUCUUGUAAGUCCAAUCGUCGAGAUCCUCGCCUUCGUAUUAGAACCGUAGUGACCCUCGACCGAGAGGUCAAGUGGACGAAGCAGCGCCAUCGCCCGAUAGUGAAGGUUCGUUGGGAUUCCAACCGAGAACCCGAUUUCACUUAGGAGCACUAGAACCAAUUGAUUAGGAUGAUGUGACAACCCGAAAUUUUCAUCCUGAACAAACCAUUUGAAGCCAAUAGAAGUAGAACAGUUACAGUGAAAACUCAGAUUUCGAGUAUAAGUUUGGCAAUUUUCAGGUUUUUUACACUUAAGGAGAUAUUAGGAGAGUGGAUGCACUAGGGUUUUGUGCAACACUGUUAUUCCAAUACUCUAGGAUAUUAGAGUUCAUUCCGAGAAUAUAAAUAUGUUCUGCCAAAAAUCCCAGGACUAUAUAUAGAAAACUGAACCAAAUAGUUCAUUAGUUGAAUUCCAAUUAGAGAAAAGCCAAAAUUCUCUCUCACGGAUCUUCGGGUUUUUAUCCCAAAUUGUGAGUACUUCGAUCUAGUUAAGUUAAAUAGCUUAGACUGUGUUUAGAAACACCAAUUACAUAUCAAAUCUAUGAGAUUUAGGAGUUUACCGCCCGAGAACGUUCUUGGAGAGUAAACUCCGAUAAGUGGCUUAAAUGCUACCUAGUCCUUUCCCCGUGAAUUGUAUCUACCUUAGACUUGUAUGCUAGUGAUUUUAUGACUAGAAAACAUCAAAAACGGAUUAAGACCCCAAGAUUUGGGAGUUUACCACCCAAGAACACCUGGGGAGUAAACUCCAUUUUAAGGUCCUAAAGUGUUCCGAUGACCCUCAAAGCUUUAGAAAUCGAACUAGAACCCACCAUUGCAUGUUUAGGACACCAAAAGGAAUUAAAAUCAAUGAUGAAAAGUGAGUUCACGGCCAAGGGUGUUCUUGGGCUGUGAACUCCAUGUUUAAGUGCCAAAAUGCCCUUAAAACCUUCCUUAAGCCAAGAGACUAAUUUGGGCAUGUACCUAAAUGAGUUUUGGACUAGCUAACACACAUAGAACACCAAGAGUAAGGUGUUCACGGCCCAAAAGGUUCUAGGGCCGUGAACUCCAUAAAAUGGUGCCAAAUGGUGCCAAAUGGUGCCAUAAACUCUUCUAAAGCCAAGUACAAAAGCCUAGUUUAGUUCCUAGAUAAUUUAGAGACUUGAAAACACCAUAAUCACCCUACCAAGGGAGUUUACGGUCGUAAACUCCAUGGGAUAUGGUCCCAAGGCCGUAAACUCCUCAAUGGAGUUAUUAGGAAGCCCAAACACUUGUUUAAGCCUUAGAGAAAUUCACCACAUGAGUUGUAUAAUUGUUAGACUUCAUUUAGGGACUUGGUUGAGAGUUUACGGCCAGGAGUUUACUCCCCUGGGCCGUAAACUCCAAAAUAUAUGGCCAUUAGACCAUAAACUCCCAUUAGGGGCAUUGCACUCCUUUGUUGCAACCCAUUAGCCUCCUAGCACUUGACCAUAAGUGUUUUCCUCGCGUUUAAAUGUUUAUACUUGUAUAAUUAGUGUUUUAAUCACUAAUUAUUUAUAUACAUAUGUCUUCAUAUGUAAUUAGGAUCAUUGUGUGUGUCUAAAGUCUUCACUUGACACCAAGCACUUGUCCGAUCCUUACUUACGAUAACAGCCCGUUCAAUUCCAGUCACCUACUUCAGGUGAGUUCAUACCCCUUAACUAAUGUUUUAAACUAUUUUUUAAAUGUUUUAUGGGGGGGAUACAAGUAGAAUCAUGCUAGUUAUUAUAUCAAUCACAUGUGAUUAAUAAGUAGAAUUAUGCUAGUUAUUAUAUCAAUCACAUGUGAUUAAUAUGUAGCAUUCAAAUGAUUUGGCUACUCAUUAGCCGUUUUACCAAACAGUUUCCUUCAAAUGAUUUUUAUAAACAUUUUAUAUGUUUUAAACUCCUUAUUACACUGUACAUUUUACUCUGUAUAUUACAUUUCAAACUUAUUUACAAUUGUGUUCAAACAAAUGUACCUUUAUAUACUAAACUGUUUUUUUCAAACCCAUGCCUUCAAACUGUUUUGUAGAUUGACAUCAAGUCGAUCUUUUCUUAAAAUAAUAAUUAUGUUCAAAUGUUUUACAAAACUUAUUUAUGCUUUUAUAUUAUAAAUUGCAUGCCUCUAUAUGUAUAGUUAUAUAAGAAAUGUUUAAAAGACUUAGGAAGGCUAUCCACCCUAUUUCCUUUUCGCGCUUGAGAUGUGGUCUGGUGGGAUAUCGGGUACUCGUCCGAAGGUCGUUUAAAUAUUAGUUAUAUAACAUGUGUACAUAUAUAGUCAUAAAGGCCCUUCCAGUUCAUCCCAUGCCCUUGGGUAGCAAGGGUAUACAUCCAUGUCCAUACGUACCAGUUAGAUUACUAGUAAACUACCAUAUGGGUAGUUUAGGAAGAUACUAGAACAAUUACUAGAACGCGAUAUCAUACAAUGAGUCAGUUCAUUCAUGAGUCAAUACUUUCUAGAACAUUACAGUACAUUACAUAUACUACGAUACUAGGAAUAGAACAUAUACAACGAUACUAGAACGAGUACAUUACUAUACUUGCUAGAUAGAGAGAGAACACACAUUACAGCUAGGACACGUCGAACAUUUCCGUAUAUUACACUUACAUUAAUACGUUCAUUAAAUUGUGAUCCACUGUAUCGGAGCAUGCCUUAAUUGUCAUGGCCCGAGUUGUAGCCAAAAUUCUCUUGGAGGGAGAGCGUGAGUUUGCGUAUAGAUCUAUACUGGAUUGACUAUCCUACACCUUGCUGCUAGCUACAGCCGGACCUGCAGGUCUGCGGGUGCCAAACGUCAUUCCGUUAUUACGACCAUUCUUAUGUCGUUGUUACCAGUCGAUAAUAUGGUGCAAUUAAUCACAUGAUGCCUUAAUAUUAAUCCAGUUUAAGGUAGUUAGUACAACAGUAGUUCUUAUAGCGCUACGUUUUAGUACUACAUUAAUUUUCCUUGUACAUCUAUUUAGUGAUCUUUUCACUUAAACUAUAAAUGUAAAAACUAUAUUUUGAUAAUGAUAGUUACACUUGGGAAAAUUACACACUUUUACAAGAGACGAACAUAUAGAACAGUUAAGUCUUGGUAGAAGACUACAUUGAGAACAGUUAGGUCUUGGUAGAAGACACCCUUAUAUAAUAGUAGGAAUCAUAGGGAUUUCUAGAGUUUUUCAAACGUUUACAGUUGUUUUACAAACAUUUUCAUACUUACAGUUCAUAUACAUUUUCAAUACUUACAAUUCAUUUACUUACAAAUUCUUACAUACAAAUUAAGACACUAAAUACUUAUGAUCUCACCAGCUUCAAAGCUGAUACUCGCUUUCAAAAUUACUUGUAUCCUCAGGUCAUCAUAGACAGGUACCGAUGCAAGGAGAAAGGAAGAUGGAGCUUGUUCAAGACUCAUCUUUCAUUUUGAUUUAUGCUUUAGUGUUUAUCAAAAUUUGACAAAACACACUUGUAUAAUAAUUCUAUUAUUAAUGCAAUGGAUGAUGUUGUUGCUUGUUUACUACUUUACAUUGUUGUGAUACUGUACAUGACGUCCUCCGCCCCAGAACAUUUCCUCCGUUCUUGGUUUUGGGGUGUGACAGGGGCCCAGAUGACAGGCGGGGCAUAAUAGAAACAUAUAUGUAUACCGAUUGGGGCUCGAUGCGACGUAGAGCCUGAUGCUGGGCAGGGCCCGAUAAUAGAGCGAGUCCGAUGUCAAGAAAGUCCCGAUGCAGGGGUCAGGGGCCGCAUAUGUGUUUAUGUGUAUGGUAUGUGGUAGUAUGGGGAACUCACUAAGCUUCGUGCUUACGGUUUAAGUUUUGGUUUCAAGUACUUCCGGUAGCGGAGGGAAGAGCUCGGGAUGACUGCAUCGCACACACCAUGAUGUUUUAGCGUGGGAUGUUUACUCUGACAUGAUAUAUGUUUAGACAUGUUACUCUGAUUAAAUAUGUUUUUAAUGAAUCGUUUGACAAAUAUGGUUUUAUUAAGGUUUUAAAAUUAAAUAUUAGGUCAUGAUUUUUGGGAUGUUACAAGUUCGUUUCAGAGCCUUGGUUUGAGGGAUUCGGGCACACUCUCGGGUGUGUCUGAACUCAAACUAAGGAGUUGGUAUGAAAAUUUUCAAAGGAAAAUCAUUUUUAUAAAAGAACUUUGAGAAAAAGGAAAAGAAUUUCGAAAAGGGAAAAAACUUUGAAAAACAAAAAAGGUGUGGUGCAUGCAAUCGGCCGAGCUCAAGUAAGUUCUCCCAAAUUACCCAUACAAGUUUAGGUUAUGAUAUGUGCAUUAGAACUGCAUGCUAGAUUAGGACUAAGGAUCUAGGAGGAUGCCUUAUGUUCCCCUUAUAUGUAUAAGCUUUAUGAGUUGCACGCUAGUACAAAUUCCUGAUUAGAGGAUAGAACAACUUGAUUGGAUUAUGUGGUUAGUUUUCCCAACGCCCGAAUGUUGCUUGCUUUGUGCUUUUAGGAGUUCUAGUUAUCUUUUACUACUUAGUAAACGAAUAUGUUAAGUUACAUAUUGCAAGCACUAAAUAAUUUCAGAAGGUUAGGUCUAGCGCUAUUUCGUAGCUCUUGUCUGAGUCCAACAGUUGUAGGGUAGGACCUCUCAUUCGAAGAAUUAUCUAGUCUUAGUAAUAUGUAAUGGUAUUCACAAGCUAGUUAGGGAGAGAUAUCAGGAACUUCUUAUGCAUCUGAUGGGAGGGAGUGAGUUGGAGGAUACCCUAGGGCAAGCCUAGGAUGAGAUUAGUGCUGGGAUUAGUGUUAGUAAAAGGGACUUGGUGGAGUCAAGUCAAUUCUUGAGGAAAGUACGGAUAGAUGUGGAAAGUAGUAUGGGCCCGUACUACUGAAAGCAGAGCAUCCAUAAUCAAUUCAAGAAAGGAUGAGAUGAAACCAGGGAACUGAAAGUGUGUGUGUGUGUGUGUGUGUGUGAUCCCUCGAUAGUUAUGAGUAUUCUGAUGGUAGCUAUGGUAUAAUUGCUACAUGGUGACUCUACGGGAUAGACCAGUUGGCGGUUCGGAUGCCAGUGAGGGAUCAGGCUCAGGUUCAGGAGCUAGUCAGCUCGAGGAGCCGAUCAGAGAGUCUGUAUCAGCUGAGAUUAAACAUAGUAUACUAGACCAGACUCCCUUGAUCUUCGGUACGGUCAAGGAGGGUAUAUUGGAGAUUUUGGAAGAGAGGAUGGGAGCCUUCCAUUCUGAGAUGAUGACCAUGAUGGGGGCACAUACCCUGACAUUCCGAGAGUUCAGAGCUUGUGGAGCUCCAGAUUACCAUGGGGCUAGGUACCCCAUGGCUAGCAGCCGGUGGUCGGCUGAUGUCGCUAAUGCCUUUCGUACUAGUCGGUGUCCCAAGGGGGACAAGGUCUGAAUCGCCUCGUGUCUUCUGAAGGACAGAGCACGUGAUUCAUGGGAGGAGGUUGGACAUGAUAUUAGGGAUGAUGUCGCGUUGGACACAAUGACAUGGAGUGAUUUCUAGACUAGUUUCAGGGCCAAGUUUGCACUGGUGAUCAAGGUGUAGCAGCUAGUAAGAGAGAUUUAGGAUUUCGGCAGAUGACAGAGAUUGUGGCGGAUUACCGCCAAGUUCGGGGAGAGGGCCCUUCUUGUUCCGUAGUAUUUGGCAAACAGGGAGAUGAAGAAGGCCUGAUAUCACGAGAUGCUGAGGUGUGACAUCAGGCAGUUUGUUAGCAGGUCCUGCUGCAAGAUGCUGAAGGAUAUGAUUGCUCAUGCCAGAGAGAGAGAGAGAGAGAGAGAGAGAGAGAGAGAGAGAGAGAGAGAGAGAGAGAAAGAGAGACAGAGAGAGAGAGAUAGAGAGAGAGAUUGAUUUGGAGACAGAAAGGAAGAGGAAUUCGGAGGAGAUUCAAGUAUCUGCAGGUUUGGGCAAGAGGCCCAAGGGGACGGAUUCUAGAUCGAGAGACUAUCAGAGCCGCAACCGUUGUGGCAAGUGAGGCAGGACGCACGAGGGUGCGUGUAGGAGUGGCAAUGGUGGUGAUUCAAGCUGCUUCAAGUACGACCAGACUUGUCAUUUUAGCAGGGAUUCUACUACUACCACCACCUAGGGAUCAGACCUGAUCCAUUUCCAUUGAAAUCAGCAGGGCCAUAAGAUGACCCAAUGUCUGAGUUUUGUUAUUGUAGGAUAGGUGAUAACACCUGCCCCUGUAACGUUGAGGAUUACUGAUGAACGUCAGGGCCAGGAAGAGGCACCUACAACGAGGAGUAGAGCUUUCCAGUUGGCCACAUAGGAGGCGCGGGCAAUGCCUGAUGUUGCAGGUGCAUAACUUUUUCUUUCCUAUUGGUUGUUGUUUAAGAUUUAUUAUUAUUGUACUGCAUCGAUGUUAGUAAGUGUAUUUCAAAUUAUUAUGUUUCCUUCUAAUGAAUAAGUUUUAUGCCAUUUGCAUACCAUGGAUGUUGGAGUAGUCGUUCGAAAAUGUUUCCCUUUAGAGCAGGUUCCCAGGUGGCAGUCACUGUAGCAAGUGUAAGUAGGACUCGGUAAAUGUUUAGCUAGUCUUAAAGUGUGGUUCGGAUUUGGUAUUGGUUAGUUUUGGAUCACUAGCAGUGGCAAGCGUGGGUUGCUAGCAGAUUGAUCAUUGGAUGGUAAGGAGGGUUGGGAAUCCUUUCCAAGCUGUGAGAUGUAAGGACCUAGUCGAAUCAAAGUGGGUGAGAAACCUCCAUAUAGCCAGGAAUAGAAGUAAGUGAGAAACUGGGGUGAGUUUGCAACUUUGUUGAAUAGGAUAGCAGCCUGAGUGGCUGUUCAAAUAGAGAAAUGAGUGAGUUAGGAGUUUGGGAAACUUCCCGACAUUGAGUUUGUGUAUUCACAAUCAGAUGAUGACUCGGUUGGGAAACCAGGUUGGAGAUUUGACGGGUAAUAUGUGCGUUUAGUCUGGAUAUAAGACUGUAGGAUAGCCGUAGCAAUCCCCAACAGUUAGCUAGUGUGAGAAAUGUAGUAAGACUGCGGGAUAGCCGUAGCAUUCGUUAGCAGCUAGUUAGAGGAGUGUGAGUGACGGCGGGACCGUAUCUCCUAGAUAGAGGAGUGUGGGUGAGGGCCCGUAUCUCCUAGAUAGAGGAGUGUGGGCGAUGGCCCGUAUCUCCUAGUUAGCGGAGGUUUGGCGAGGUCUUUAUAUCCUAGUUAGCAUGAUAAAGAUGGAGAAAGGAUAGUUUGUUGAGUUUCAUGAUGGAGUUGGUCCUGCUUAGCACUAGAUAGGUGAGACUUGUGGGAGAGGCCACUCCGAGAUAUUGUUUGGGUGAGACCCGUGGGCAAGGCCCGUGUGUUUAUAACAAAGUGGGUAGGACCCGACAGAGACUGUAGGGUCAAAGUACGGGAUUAGGGAUCCCAAGAUCAGGUAGCCAAGCAGCAAUAUAGAUAGAGCAGUUUUAGAUAGCCGAAGUUUUCUUCGGAAGUCACUGGGAGCGACCGAGGGAUUAUGCUUGGGUUCAGUAACUGGUGGGAGUCCGGUAUUCCAGAUAAUGGCAGAUUAGUCAGGACCAGGGUGGUCUCGGUUCAUCCAGAAAGCGGAUAAGAGACAACAUGAUCUUCAGACAAGAGUAGUGAUAAGGAAAUUCUUGCAUGGAGCAGCUAGUUGACCGGGAGGUGCCAAGUCACUCACUACGGGAUUAAAUAAUAUUAGAGUAAAUGAUUUGACUUUGUUACGCAGCUGUCGUAUGAGUCUAACCGUUGCAGAGAUGAAUAUUUUACACGAAGUAUUAUCUAAUUCACACGCUAAUUUUGAGCAUUCAACAUCUAUGCAUAGUAAGUGGAAGCGUUCAGUGGGUAACGACGAAAUGACCGACAUUGGGAAUGGUUGGGAUUUUAGUUACAACAAAGAAUAUAUUCUUUAUAUAAAUAAGUAACCAUAGAAGACUUCGAGGAUGAAGUCUAGUUUAAGUGGGGGAGAGUUGUAACACCCAGUUUAGAAAGUGUUCGGUUGUGGCUUCGAAGUCCAAGGGUAUAAGCGUAAUCUGAUGAUUCAGACUUUUAUGGGUCUCGGGUUUAUUCGGAAGGAUCUAAGGCUUGGGUAUGAAGCUAUGAGCGUAGGGUUUCCUGCCACCUUUUGUGGAUAUAAAGUUCGUCGGAAACGAACUUAGAAUGUUGGAGUUAUAGUAGUUUGAAGUUAUUGGCAAUAUUAGUCCCUAAUGGAGAAAAGUGGCAAGAUGGUACCAUGCAUGCAAGGUGGCCAACGCCGAAGUACGCCCAACGUAAGCUAUGGGUAUGCCCAGCAUAGAGAAGAAAGUGAACAUGGUUGUGGGAGGCGUACACUUAGAGCUCCUAAAUCCUUAUAUUUUGGGAUAAGCACUAUAUAAAGAACAUAAUGCCUUAGAUAUCAGCCUCCCUCUAAUCGUUAGACAUCCACCACGAAAGCCUAAUCCUUCCUUGAGAGUUCUUGGAGCUUAGGAGGCCAUUAGAGAGCAUUUUGGGUGUGUGAAGCCAUUUUCCAAAGCAAGAGAAGAGUAUAGCAUGGCGGUGGAUCAAAUAAGAAGCAGUAGAUCUGAGAUUAGGGUUUCAAUCAGAUCACCUUGAGGUAUAAAGCCAUAAACUUUCCUCAUGUAUGCUUAGACCUAGUGUUGUGAAGAUUUGGACCAUUUUGGGUCCCAAGUAUAGAGCUUUAUGGCUCAAAUCCGAUUCCUGGACUUGGAGUUGCCACUCACACUUCCAAAUGAGUCCCUAAGGUAGAAAGUUGCCAUCUUGGAUGUCUUAUUGGGUUUAUGCAUGAGUUAAGAUCACUUUGAUGAGAAUAGAAUUCCAUUUUGGAGAUUAGGCUUACUAGCGUCAUGUGAUGUCACCAAGUCAGUGACUUUAUUGAUUAAGACGUUGAUGAGGACCUUGAUCUAUGUUCAUAGCCGUUGGAAUAGAGUAUUGAGUUCCUAUUGGAAAAGUGAAUUAACAGGGAUGUACGCUCGGCAUACAUGCAGGUAAGCACAAGGUACUCACCAUACAACUAGUAUGUUUAGCGUACAGAAGAGUACACCCAUCAUACUCAUCAGAUAUAGGCUUGACGUGUUUUGGGCCUCAGAUUAGGCUAUGCAGUGGAUUUUAGUUCCUAGGGCCUUAGUGGGCCAUCGAAAGUCAGAUCAUUUAGACCAAGAAUAUGUUUGGGCUUAGGGUAAGGCUCCUUAGAAGUAUUGGGCCGAAUUUAGCAAAUUGGGCCAUUAGUAGGCCACUAGUGGGCUUGGGAAGCCUACAUAGUGUUGGGCCUUUUUAGAUCAUGAUUUGGGCAUUAGUUAUGGACCAAGUUGGACUAGGGGUAAAAUGGUCAUUUUACCCUAAGGAGAAUUAAUGGUUGGCCUAAUUAUUAUUUUGGGUAAUGGUAGCUUGGGGAGCCGAAGGAGCAUCAGUUUGGGGAAUUUCCAAUUAGCAGCUAGAGGAGUAUCAUCGGGUCUUCAGUAGUGCGAGGUGAGUCUCCUCACUGUGUGCAUGGGUCUACAGCCACAAUGCCGACCCAUGAUGUUUGCUUAUAGUAGGAAGACUCGAGGGUUAGCCCCUGGCAUUUUAUGAUAUGUGUUUUGGAUUACGAUCCGAUUCUGGGCGAGGGCCAAGGAAUGUUAGUAUGCUAGAGGUCUUUGUGAUUCUUGCAUGUGUUAGUGUUUAUAGGUUCCGGACCAAGGUCUGAUGCUGGGGUAAGCCCAAGGAAGGUUUAUGAUAGUAUGGUUCUGGACCAAGGUCCGAUGCCGGGGCAAGUCUGAGGAAGGUUUAUUUGUUGCUUGUUAGAUUAUACUUGUUGUAUUUGUGAUACUUGUAUGUGCUUGGUAGGGAGAUGAGUGUGGGCGAGGUCCCGUAUCUCAUCACUAGCCGGGUAUGGACGGAGUUCCGUAUCUCAUUAUUAGCAGAGUAGGGGUGGGGCCCAAGAUAGGAGAGAAGUGAGUGUGGGCGGGGAACUGUAUCUCAUUACCAUUAGGAGUGUGGACAGGGUUCCAUGACUCAUCGGUAGUAGGACAGGGGUGAGGCCCAAGAUAGGCGACGCCUUAGUUCACCAAUACAGUAGAGUAUGUUUAGCUUAUAUAUUAUGUGUUAUGUUAUAUGAUUAUAUGUGUUCAGCGGGGGGGCUCCUGAGACAGGCGGGGCCUAAGAGAAACAAAUAUGUAUACCGAGCAGGGCUCGAUGCCAGGCGGGGCCUGAUGCCGGGUGGGGCUCGAUACCGGAGCGAGUCCGAUGCCGGUAAAGUCUCGAUGCAGCGGGAGGGGGCCCAAUAUAUGGUUAUAUGUAUGGUAUGUGGUAGUAUGGAGAACUCACAAAGCUUCGUGCUUACGAUUUCAGUUUUGGUUUUAGGUACUUCCGGUAGCAUAGGGAAGAGCUCGGGAUGACUGCAUCACACACACAAUGAUGUUUUAGGCUGGGAUGUUUACACUGAGAUGAUAUAUGUUUAGACAUGAUACGCUGGUUAAUAUGUUUUGAAUGAAUGGCUUGAGAAAUAUGGUUUUAUUAAGGAUUUAAAAUGAAAUUUUUGGUCAUGAUUUUUAGGAUGUUACAAUUCAUGCAAAGAUGUUCUAGUCAAGGAAUGAACCGAAUUUGAUAGUUAAUAUAGAUAAAGUAGUUGUAGAAUUCACAUAUCAAUUUGAAAUCUAAGUAAAAUAUAUGUGGUUUCUAAUUUUUUCCAAGAUUCUUGUAGGUUAUAUCUUAGUUUGUAGUUUCUAAGUCUAGAAUGUGGCGUUCCUACACGUGCAACUGAGUUUAUUCAAAUGUAGUGCUGACGACUAGCGUUGAAGAGUAGCUGAGUAGCUAAAUCCUCGUGAUAUCUUUUCCAGAACUUGUAACUAAAGCGAACAUCAUGAUGCGAAACCAUUGAAACCAUAACCGCAUGUCGAUCCAUCACAAUAACCCACAAAAUCAUCCAUACCCUCGAGAAGCGUGAGAAUCAAAAUCUUGCACAAUCUCUAUCUAAGAGUCUAGAAAGUUGUCUGCUGAUCAGGCCCCCACCGGAAAGUAACAUCCUUCUUCGUUCAGUGGGUCAAAAGUACAACAAUCUUGUAGAAUUCCUAAAUAAAUCUGUGAUAAUAACCCGCUAGACCAAGGAAAAUCUAGAACCCAUAUGGUUACCUCAGAACCUCCCACUGCAUCACCAGCUUAAUCUUAGUCAGAUCGACUAUUAUACCCUUUUGGCUAAUGAUAUGCCCGAAAACUUCACUUCUCGCAACCAGCACUUGCAUUUUGAGAAUUAGGCACGUUAACAUAUCCCUCUAGGAAUAUGUUAACAGUAACAGAGCACCUAUCUUUAGGAUGACCUAGCUAAUGGUCACUAACUAGCCUAGUGCCAGACCCUCGCCCUCGCCCUUGCGGGCUCACACAAGGAUCCUGGUGCUUGGCGCUCUCGUGCCUAGGUCCAACUCUAGACGAUAAUCCAUGGUUUAUUAUAAACCAAAACAUAAUUAUCCUCUCCCUAGGGUGACAAGUGUAAUUCUCAGAGCAUUACUUGAUUCCCUAUGCACCAAUAGCAGAGAAGAUUGCUACUAGUAAUGCAUCAUCCACCAAUAGGAGAACUCCACGUCCUGUCAACCUAAAUGGGAGAAAGGAAACCAUUAGGAUAAUUUUCAAUAGAUGAAAGGCAUAAAAGGAAUCCUUCUCCCUUCGAUGAAAGGAUCGCUUCCUUAUUGUGACACCCUGUGGAGGAGUGAUAAGCCACUGAGAUCUAUGCCAUCGGUCAACGACACACAAAAUCUGCACUAGAGAGACAAGUCUCCACCCAAAUGCCAAUUGAACAAGCACCACCAGGCUCUACAACGGACACCAUAGUGGUGUCAACAGCCAACUUAGGGAAACCACUACCCAUCACCAUACGACAUCUUGUCACAACCAUGACCACAAUGCCACAUGAAACGAUGAAUAAGAAGUCACAAGCAUCGACUUCUCAACCACAAUGGUUUUGUGACAACCCAAAAGUUCCAUUUUGAACAAACAAUAUCACUUCAAUAGAAGUUAUAGCAGUCACAGCAAAUUUUCAGACUUUUCCGUAUAAGUUUGAAUAAUUCAGGGUUUACACUUCAGGAGAUAUAAGGAGAGUGGAUGCACUAGGGUUUUGUGCAACUCUGUUAUUCCAACACUCUAUUAUAUUAGAGAUCAUUCCGGGAAUAAAAUAUUUUCUGCCAAAAAAAUCUCAGGACUAUAAAUAGAAUUCCGAACCAACUUCAUUCAUUAUUCACAUUUUCAACUAGAGAAAAGCAAUUUUCUCUCUCACAGAUGUUCGGGUUUUCAUCCCAAGUCGUGAGUACCUCUCUCUAGUAGUGUUAUAUAGCUUAUAAUGUGUUUAUAACAUAGAUAUCAUAGCUAAACAACUAGAUUUAAGAAUUUACUCCCCAAGGUGUUCUUGGGCGGUAAACUCCCGAAACAAUGCCUAGCCUUUCCCCCGUGAUAUGUUACUACCUUAGGCUUGUAUAUAGGUGUAAUUGGGACAAGAAAACAACAAUGAAACACCAAAGUGUGGGUGUUCACGGCCCAAGAAGAUCCUGGACCGUGAACUCCAAAAACAUGGACCAAAGAGUGCUUUUGGCACUCCUAAAGUCUUGGAAAAUUACCUAGGUUUACUCCUACAUAAAUCAAGGACUUUAAAACAUCAAAAACCCCUCUCAAAGAGAGAUUACAACCCUAAUAUUGUGCUUGGGCCGUAAACAUGAAAGAAGGGCAUCCAAUGUGUGCCUAAGGCCUUCAUUUGCUUUAGGUAAAAGUCUAGAACCUAUCCUACAUGUGCGUGAGACUUGAAAGCAUCAAAAACACCCUUCUAUAAGAGUUUACAUAGUAAACUCAAAUGGAAUUGGCCUUGGGGCCGUAAAUUCCUCAAAGGAGUGUAUCUAUGCGCUAAACCCUUCCAUGAAUUAAUCCACCAAGUUGGAAUGCUUCUAGGGAUCAUUUAGAACCUCAAAACAACAAAGGACAUUAAGCCUAGGAGUUCAUGGCCGUAAACUCAAGAGUUUAUGACCAUAAAAUCCUUGUGUGGGGUUAUAUGGAGAGUAAAUUCAAGUAUGAGGUCCCUUGGAACCCUAAAACUCACUAGCCUUGUCCCACAAGAACUUAGAUGCAAUCCUUAGGGCUUAUAACACUUAUAUAAAGUGUUUAUUGUGUUCUAGGAAGUCUUAACAUUAUCAAGUAUUAAUUUAAGACUAAUUGAGUGCAUAUAUGUGUGAUUAUAUGUUCAUUAGGAUCGUAGUGUGUGUACAAGUCCUCAGUUGACACCUAACAAUUCUACAUCGUUCAGUUCAUCCAAACCACCAUCUAUAGGUGAGUUCAUACACCUUAAUCAAUGUUUUAAAUUAUUUUAAAUGGUUUAAUGGGGGGGGGGGGAAUACAAGUAGAAAACAACAUGUUAUUAAAUCAUCCAUAUGUAUUUUAUAAUGGUGUUUUCAUUCAGCAAACUUAACAUACUACAAAAUGUGAUGCAUGAAAUGGUUUUCUAUCUUUAAAAUACUUUGUUAUCAAAUAUAUUACUUUGAAAUGUUUAUUAAAAUGACAUCAAGUCAUUGUUAAUUAUUGUUCAAAACUCUUAGAUAUCUUACAAAACCAUUAUUUUUACCUUCUUGAACAAAACUAUACUUAUACACUUAUGUUCAUAUAAAUGUUUUGAGAUUAUAGUUUUCAUACUUCAUUCAGUUUCCCACACUCUUGUGUAGCAAGUGUAUAAACCUACUUGAACAACCAAUUACCUUUCAGUUAACUAUCAUAGGGAUAGUUAGAAGAUAUCAAACAUUAUUCCUAUUACAAGGAAUCACUCAAGAGUCAGUUCAUUCAUGAGUCUAUACCAGUACAUUACAUGAUACAUGAGUACACUUACAUAUGCUUACAUGAUACAUGAGUACAUUUACCUAGAAUUACAUGAUACAUGAGUACUGUUACAUAUAUGCAUUAUCCUAUAUUCACUUACCUGGAUACUUGUACCUAGAGUUACGAGGAAGAAUUAUUCGUACUUUCUAUGUAAAUUGUCCUGUCUAUCCUAGUACCCGGGAUAACUAGGCGGGACUAACCAUUCCGAAUCCCAGCUGAUUGGCACCAGUGGUUGAUGAACAUCUACGGAUGCCUAUGGUUAAUAAUUAUACUAGGUAGAUCGAUUACGGGACUAACCCUUCCUGCCCCCUGCUGCUGCUACAGAGGAUAAGUGGACAAUCUUCAGAUGUUCAUUAGGUUAUACAUUUCGCUUAUUGCGAUGUUGUGUUAGUCCUAGUACCCAAGGAUAACACUUACAUUAGUAGUUUUUCCUGUUUACUUUAUUUUGUGAUACAUUCACAUAAACGAUGAGUUAGACUAAUUACUGUUUGUAAUAGUGAAAAAGGAGGAAAAACUAUCAUUUCAUAACAGAAUAUUCGAGUCUUGGUAGAAGACUACAUUUUAUACUAGUAGGAAAUAACGGAUUUUCUAGGGUUUUCAAACUUAUAUCAAUUGUUUCAUUUAAAUAUUUACAAGACAUUCAUAACAGUUUUCGAAAACAAGUCAAUGACACUUAAAUACUUAUGAAUUCACCAGCUUUAGGCUGAUACUCGCUUUCGAAAUAACUUGUAUUCUCAGGUCAUCAGUUAGACAGGUACGGUGGCCAGGAUUUGAGAAGAAGGAGCACAUUCAAGACUCGUCUUAUUUUGAUUAUUCAUUUUAUUGUUGUACGUUAUCAAAGAACACACAUGUAUUAAAACUAUACUUUAAUGCAAUGGCUGAUGUUGUUGCUUGUUUACUACUUUACACUGUUAUGAUACUUCACAUGACGUCCUCCGCCUCAGAACAUUUCUGCCGUUCUUGGUUUUGGGGUGUGACAGGUUUUCACAACAAUCAAGGACGAGCCGUUGAUCCCUAGACACCAUAUUUUCCUCUCCACAACACCCAAUGUUGAUCUAUCAAUUCGCUCCCAUAGCGGACAUGUAGAACAUUCUGCUAUUCACACAACUACCGCCAAUGUUAAAUCCUUAUAUCUAGCAGCUGCAGGGAUCCCUUCCCCAAGUGCCACCGUCGCAAGGGUCUAACCCUCAUACAAUAUCGACACGGGAGUCGAAUCCUUACUUGUUUUCGGCACAACAGAUCACUCUUUACUCACAACAAUCGCAAGGGCCAAAUCUGCACAUGCUCCAGUAAUCAGGAUCGAGAUUAUAGUUGCUGAAAAACACCCAAAUGAGCUCUCACAAUAACCUUACAUAUCGUUAGUAGAUAUAUAUAAUCAGGUGUAAGGAAACACAUACUACGCUAACCUAUUCAUGAUGUACGGUGGAUUUCCAUACCCGUAGAUGGAGAACGCAGUGAGGAGUACCAACUCUGCUUUCUGCCAGGAACUCUUACAAUACUAGAACCUACACUCGGCCAUGAUACCGGACAUCCAAAUGUAUGUUGGCACCACCGAUCCAGGAGAACACAUCGACACUUAUAAACGGACGAUGAUGUAAUUCAGAAUGGAUAAACGGUUCACUUGCACGUAUUUCACCAUCAUAUUAUCAGGAAAUGUAGGAAAAUUGUUCAAGGCACUAUGACUUGACAUCAUCUAAAGUAUUAAGAACUUAUAGUACCUUUUCCUCGAUAACUUCAUGCAGUUAAGGAAGGGUAAGGUUGACGUGAACUCAAUCAUGGCAUAAGGAGGGAUAAUCGAUUAGAGAGUAUUACAAUAAAUUUCCUCUAGAAAUGCUAAACCUCCCAGGCCAAGAGGAAUUCCUUGUCACCGGUGCCUUCGCCCAAGGUUUACCUCAAACAAUUUGAAGGUGAAUAGAGAAACAAAACCAUCCUAAAGGUCAUUACCAAUGCGUACAUAAAACAAGAAAAAACAGUCUCUCACCCCAAUACUUGCCAUCAAGAGCGUAAGGAGGGGGGACAUGAUAACCACAAAUGACAUUCACAACAUUCAUCCUAGAUAUAUCUUCCAUUCAACAUAGAAGAACACUGAAAUCAUCGAACCAAAGUACAUGAUAUCAUGAAAACGACACCGAUGGAAGAAAAAGAAAAGGGCUAGUACUGUAAGUAUCCCAAAAGUAAAAUUCACGACACUGGCAAAUGCAUGGUGUUGAGGAAAGAGAUUGAAGAAAAGAAACUAACGAAAACAUCUCUAAUAUUGAGGCGUUAAGAUGUUGGAAAUGCUAAGACAUAAAGGGAGACAUCUUCACCAUCACCGCGCCCUGCAAUAGAAGUGAACUUCACAAAACAGAGGACAUCAUUGAGGUAUUAUCCAAAAAUAUAGAAAAAAAAUCACAUUCUCGAUAAAAGACCCUAGGCCACUCAAUUCGGACCCUAGAGAUCCAUUCAUGUGUAACAUCUGGAUAUCCAGGUAUUAUAUUUAUCUUUUAUUUUUGAGUUUAAAGGGGUGGACUCGAAGAGUUGACGCAUAGACUCGUUGAGUAGGGUAGUGAGUGAUGCCUGGAUUAAUGAAGGGACUCGACGAGUCGGAGGGGGGACUUGACGAGUCUGCGCUGUAAAAUGAAAGCCUAAUUCCCCAGGCCUGAUUCCUAUUUAAAGGACCUUAUAGCCCUCUUGUGCGGCUACCAGGUUAGAGAGAGUACCCUAUAAGAGCUUGAGCGAUUUGAUAGAGAGAUAAAGCCAUAUUAAUCGAUUUUAGUGUGUUCUAGCAAAGGAGAAGUUGUUCCAAGCAAGAGGAGGUCAAGGGAGCUGUGGAUCCAGAGUUUUCAAGCCCAUAUCUACACUAUUUGAGGUACCAAAUCGAGUUCUUUGCUGUUUUGGGUUAAGAUCUAUGAUCUAGGGUUUUCUAUACCCCUUUUUAGCUUGUUAUGUUGAUUUCUUUGUCUCUUGUGGUGUUGGACAUCCGAACUGGACCCAUAGAGGUCUAGAGAGGCUUCCCCAAUUUGAUUUAUGUUGGCUUAAGGAAGAAAAGAGCCUAGAAUUCCGUUAUAGAAGCCUUUUAGCCAAAUAUAGCCUUGUACACGUUGCAUGUGGGUCAAGUUUUGACCUUUAUGUCAUUAUUGGUCGUGUGGAAGCCAUAUCUAUAGCUUUGGGAAACGGAUCUGACCUCAGAAGGUCAUUUCAGUGUUGUCAUGGGAGCAACUCGCCGAGUUCAUAAGUGGACUCGACGAGUCGAGUCGGGGUUGCCCCGCGAUUCGUUGCUGAGUAACCCAGUGAGUGGAGAGGGAACUCGUCGUGCCAAGCAAGGCUUAGAAGACUUUAGAAAACCAGUGUGGACUUGCCGAGUUGCCUGAGUGCACUCGACGAGUCUGCUCAAAGAUUGACCGUUGACCGGAGAUGACUUCGUUGACUUUUAGGGUUUAGUCAAUGUUUGGACUUAUGAGCCAUUAGAGGGGUAGAAUGGUCUUUUACCCUUCUUAGAGAACUUAUAGAAAGGGGUUAGCCUAGCCUUUAGAAGCUGUAUUAAUUAGGGUAAUUAUUUAUGUGAUUAGGCGGAGGCUAGUGCUGUAUUUUAGAGUUCGAGGUUCACCGAGUAUCCGAAGUGUUUCUUCUCACUAUACUUUACCUUGAGUGGUGACCAGAGUAAUGUGAUUGUAUAUCUUGUAUACUAUGUAUGUGAUAUGUUGCACUACAGUAUUACCAUGUGAUUAUGCUGUGUGUGUCACACCCUAAAACCACGAACGGCGGAAACGUUCAGGGGUGGAGGACGUCAUGUACAGUAUCACAACAGUGUAACAUAAUAAACAAGCAACAACAUCAUCCAUUGCAUUAUAAGUAGAGUUUUAAUACAUGUGUGUUCUUUCAUAAUGUACGAUAGUAAAAUGAAUAAUCAAAAUAAGGCGAGUCUUGUCUGUGCUCCAUCUCCUAAAAAACAUGGCCAUCGCACCUGUCUAACUGAUGACCUGAGAAUACAAGUUAUUUUGAAAGCGAGUAUCAACUAUAAAGCUGGUGAAUUCAUAAGUAUUUAUGUGUUAUUGUCCUAUUUUGGAAUGUUGUUAAGAAUGUCGUAUAAAUCCUUAAAUAGAACAGUUGAUAUAAGUAUGAAAUGUGGUCUUCUACCAAGACCCGAAUGUUUUGUUAUGACAAAGUAAAAUGACAGGUUUUCCCUUCUAUUGACUAGUACUAAGAGUACUUACUCUAACUCAUCGUUUAUGUGAAUAUAUCACAAAAUAAAGUAAAAUAGGAAAAUGAUAUGAUAGUCUUCUACCAAGACUUAAAUGUUCUGCAAGUAAAAUGAUAGUUUUUCCUUUCUAUUGACUAGUACUAAAGUACUUAGUCUAACUCCUCGUUUAUGUGAAAGUAUCACAAAAUAAAGUAAACAGGAAAAAGUAUAAUCAUGUAAGUGUUAGCCGGAGGUACUGGUGCUAACAAGUACUUAGUCUAACUACUCGUUUAUGUGAAGAUAUCACAAAAUAAAGUAAUAGGAAAUAUGUAAUAAUGUAAGUGUUAGCCGGAGGUACUAGUGCUAACAAUACAUCGUGGUAAGCGAAAUAAAUAACCUACUGAACAUCCGAAGAUUGUCCGAUUAACCUCUGUAGCGAACAGUAAGUUCCAGGAAUGGUUAGUCCCGUAAUUGGCCCAUAAUAAUAGUAAUAACAACCUAAUGAACAUCCGAAGAUUGUCCGAUUAGCCUCUGUAGCGAACAGUAGGUUCUACGAAUGGUUAGUCCCGUAAUUGACUCCCGUUGACCAGGAAUAGGCAGGACGAUUUACUGAAGGUACUAAUAAUUCAUCCUAAAGAACCAAGGUUCAAGUAUUCAUGUAAGUAUACAUAGGUAAUUGUCUCUACGUAAAGGUAUUCAUGUAAUGUGUUCAUGUAAGCGUAUUAAUGUAUCAUGUAGGCAUAUGUAGAUGUACUCAUGUAUCAAGUAAUGUACUAGUAUAGACUCAUGAAUGAAUUGACUCUUGUGUGAUUCCUUGUAAUAGGAAUAAUGUCUUGUAUCUUCUAACUAUCCCUAUGAUAAUUAACUGAAAGGUAAUUGGUUGUUCAAGUAGUUUUAUACACCCUUACUAUACAAGAGUGUGGGAAAAACCGGAUGAAAGAUGAAACUAUAAUCUCAAAACAUUUAUAUGAACAUAAGUGUGUAAGUAUAGUUUUGAUCAAGUAGGUAAAAGAAAUGGUUUUGUAAGCUAUCUAAGAGUUUUGAAAUUAUAAUAAAGAGUGACUUGAUGUCAUUUUAAAUAAACAUUUCAAAGUAAUAGUUUUGAUAACGUGUUUUUAAGAUAGGAAACCAUUUCAUGUAUCACCUUUUGACGUUUGUGAAAUCUACUGAGUGAAAACACAGUUAUAAAAUACAUAUGAUUGAUUUAAUAACAUAUUGUUUUCUACUUGUAUUCCCCCCAUUAAAGCAUUUAAAAUCAUUUAAAACAUUGAUUAAGGGGUAUGAACUCACCUGUUGUGGGUGAUACAAAUGAACUGAAGAGGUAGGAUUGCUAGGUGUCAAGUGAAGUCUUGAACACACUUACGAUCCUAGUUAACAUAUAAUUUCACAUAUAUGUAACAAAUUAGUCUAUAAAGAACUAAUAAACAAUUCAAGACACCCUAGGACAUGCUAAACACCUUUAUCAAGUGUUAUUAGCAUCUAGGAUUGCAUCUAAGUGUUUGUAGGGGAAGCUAUUGUGUGUAGGGCUCAAGGAAUACUCCACCAUGAGGUUCAUGGACCUAAUGACCCUACUAAGUGAGUUUACGGCCGUAAGCUCACACUUAUGUUACCAUUUGAUGUUUGAUGCUCUAUAAGGCUCUAAUAAGCAUUUCCACUUAAUGGCUUGGUCUAUGGAAGAGUUUAGGGCAUAAUAUAACUCCUUUUAGGAGUUUACGGCCCUGGGACCAUAUUCCCUUGGAGUUUACGGCCGUAAGCUCCCUUGGAAUGAUGUUUUUGAUGCUUUCAAGUCCUAUACUCACAUAGGAUAUGUUCUAGGCAAUUGUUCAAGGUCUUAGGAGGAAUUAUGGCACCAUUUGGCACCAUUUAUUAGAGUUCACGGCCCUAGAACCUAUUGGGCCGUGAACUCUCUUUCUCCCUUGAAUAUUGAUUGAUUUUGUGGUCUAAACAUGUAAUGUAGGCUUCUAGUUUGAGAUCCGAGGCUUUGAGGGACUUUGGGACACCUUUAGCCCUUAAAAUGGAGUUUACUCCCCAAGUGUUCUUGGGCGGUAAACUCCCGAAUCUUAGGGUUUUGUUUGUUUUCUAGUCUCAAACACACUUAUAUACAAGCCUAAGUUCGUUACCUAACAUGGGGAAAAGACUAGGUAGCAUUUAAGCCACAUAUAGGAGUUUACUCUCCAAGAACGUUCUUGGGCGGUAAACUCCCGAAUCUCACAAAUUUGAUAUGUAAUCUAAGUUAUUAAUCACAUAAUAAGCAUUAUAAGACAACUAGAGAAGUUUACUCACGCUUUGGGAUAAAAACCCGAAGAUCCGUGAGAGCGAAAUUGGCUUUUCUCUAGUUGGAAAUGCGAAUAAUGAAUGAAUUUGGUUUAGAAUUCUAUUUAUAGUCCUGAGAUAUUUUUGGCAGAAAAUAUUUUUAUUCCUGGAAUGAUUUCUAGUAUAAUAGAGUGUUGGAAUAACAGUGUUGCACAAAACCCUAGUUCAACCACUCUCCUGAUAUCUCCUUAAGUGUAAAUCCUGAAAAACUGCCAAACUUAUACCCGAAGUCUAGAAUUUCACUGAAACUGUUCUAACUUCUAUUGGCUUGAUAUGGUUUGUUCAGAAUGAAAAUUUCGGGUUGUCACAGUGUGUAUGCCAGAGUUUACAAAGUUAGGACCGAAAGGUCCAGAAAGUUAGGACCAGAGGGUCCACAGAGUUAGGGCCAGAGGGCCCAUAGAGUUAUAGCCUCGAGUGGCUAAUAUGUGUUGCAUGUGGUAUUUUGGGGAACUCACUAAGCAUUUAUGCUUACAGUAGUUGUGUUAUGUGUUUCAGGUACCAGUGAGGAUCGCAGGAAGGCGCUGACAUGAUAAGUACACACACACGGAGGAGAUUUUAUACUUUACGAUCUUAGGUUGUAGUUAGGAAUUGAUAUGUGAACAACGAGUUUUUAUAAUACUAAUGAAUGAAGUAUGUUUUUAAAAUGUGAAAAUUUGUUUUGAAAUUUGCAGUGUUACAAGUUGGUAUCAGAACAAGUUUCGAGUACAUUUGAACUAAUACUAAGGAUUUGAGGGAAUUUUUUAAGUAAAAUAGAAUUUUUUCUAAAAGUGUAAAAAGGAUUUGAAAAGAGCAGAGCAGAGCCGUGUGUACGAUCAGCCUGUACCGAACGGUGAUUUCCCAAAAUACCCUUACAUUAUGUGUCAUGUGAUAUGUGAUGAUAUGUUAUGCAUGCUAGAGUAGGCUAGGUAUGCUUAUUAGGACUAGAGUGGCCUGAUUUUUGAUGCCUUAGCUUAGGGAUGUUGCUGCUAGGAGAUCCUUAAGAGUGAGUGGAUAGACGCGAGGAGCUUAUGAGAGAUCUGCUAGAGAGUAGAUUAUGCAUAGUGAGAGUAGAGUGCUUCAGAUUUGGGGAUCAUAGGAGGAGGACUUGGGGUGAAUACUGAUGUGGUGUAGACAGUAGUAUUGGUCCCGUACUACUAAUGACACCGGAGCAGUGCGCAUUCCACGUAAGAAUCCUUGGGUUACCAUGGAACGAGUAGGCUUGAGUUAUCGAGUGCGAGUAUCCUCGAGCGAAUCUAUGAUAUUUCUUAUGUUGUAUUUUAGAUACAUCAUGGUUAUGACACACCACCGACCAGAGACCAGUGGGGUGAGUGAUAAGGAACUCUGCCAGAUGAUCCGUGAGGAGGUGGCUGCGGCUAUCCGCGCAGAGAUUCCAGAGAUGUUCGGGUAUAUUAAGACCAAGUUGAUUGAGACGUUUGAUCAGAGAUACACAGUGGUUACUGAGGCUGCAGCUGCUGCAGCUACUGCAGCUACCGCAGCUAUCGCUGCUACCAGACCUCAGGGUGGUGAUUCAUUGCUGUUCCCGGAGUUUAGCAAUACGAAGCCACCAGAGUUCGAUGGGAUGUAGGAUCCGAUUGCUGCAAUGAGAUGGGUUUCCGAUAUUGAGGGAUGCUUCUAUACGUGUUCAUGUCCAGAGCACCUGAGGGUUCGCUUCGCGCUGAACCAGCUUCGCUUGGUAGCGAAGGACUGGUGGAAGUUUGAUACAACGCACUAUUUGCCUGCUGAGCUUACUGCGGUUACCUGGGAGAGAUAUACCACCGUGUUCCGUGACGAGUAUGUUCCCCCAGUGGAGAAGGAACGUUUCGCCCAGGAGUUUCUGAUUCUCAAGCAGGGUACCGAGUCUGUUACUGUGAUCAUCAGGAUGUUCCAUGAAAGGGCGAUGUUCUGCCCUGAGCAUGUGUCUACCGAGCAGGCACGCAUGAGUCGGUAUAGGGACAUACGAGAGUUCGUGGCGAACUCGUCGUACCGAAUAUUUGCGGAGCUUCUGGCAAAUUCUCGGAAGAGGGAGAUAGAACUACAGACUCAUGCUAGAGAGGAUGCGGAUUCUCAGAGGAGGGAUCGGCGACCGACUUAGUCCCAGCCGGCAGCCAAGCGGGCCAAACCCGCCGAUUCAAGAUCAGGGAACCAGAAGGGCCGCACUUGUAGCAAGUGCGGCAAGGUUCAUGAUGGGGUUUGUAGAGUAGGGUCUUGCUACAAGUGUGGCAAGGAGGGGCAUAUGGCCAAGGAUUGCCCUAAGAGGAUUUCAGUGUGUUUCCAUUGCAACAAGAUCGGACACCGGAAGGCCGAGUGUCCGCAGCUGUGAGGGUCAGCACAGGGAGCAUCUUAGGGAUCUGCCCCUACUGCUGUCUGAGAUACCGAGAGUCGGCCAGUGAAGGCCGAAGCACCGAAGGCAUGAGGGAGGGCCUUCCAGUUAACUGCGGAGGAGGUCCACGCAACACCCGACAUUGUGGUUGGUAUGUAUUCUUUCCUCUAUUUAUUUUGAGUCUGAGAUAUUGUGCUUAUAUUAUGAUAUGCGUAGGUACUUUUCUUGUGAAUUCCGUACCUGCUUUGGUGUUAUUUGACUCAGGUGCGAGUCGGUCCUUUGUGUCGUUAGCUUUUAGUCAUCAUAUUAGUAUUUGUCAAGAGGCGUUGAGCCGACCUAUUCGGGUUUCCAUAGCCGAAGAGCGAGCGGUUUACGCUACUAAGGUGAUUAGGGGAUGUGUAAUUGAGAUCUUCGGUGUCGACUUCCCGAUUGAUUUGGUCCCGAUUGCGACGGGGGACGUUUGUUUUAUAGUGGGCAUGGAUUAUUUGAGCCGUUUUGGGGCUGUUAUAGACUGCAAGAGGAAAUUAGUGACGAUACGAGACCCUAGUGGGGGAGUACUUACAGUGUACGGCGAGGGUACCUGUCCUGAAUCAGCAUUUUGUUCGGCUGCUAGGAUGAGACAUAGUCUACAGCAGGGUUGUAGUGGGUUUGUGGCUUACAUGAUGGACACACGAGUGGCAGUGGAGAGGCCGAGAUCGGUUGAUGAGGUACCGAUAGUGCGAGAGUUCCUGGACAUUUUCCCCGAGGAGUUGCCAGGUGUGCCUCCCAAGAGGCAGGUGGAGUUUCGCAUUGAUUUAGUUACGGGAGCGGCACCUAUUGCCAAGGCACCCUAUCGCCUUGCACCGCCAGAGAUACAAGAGUUAUCCUCACAGCUUCAGGAGCUGCAGGGGAAGGGUUUCAUCAGACUGAGUAGCUCGUCUUGGGGAGCACCAAUCUUGUUUGUCAAAAAGAAUGAUGGUUCACACCGGAUGUGCAUUGAUUACCGGGAGUUGAACAAGUUGACCGUCAAGAACCGUUAUCCCUUACCAAGGAUUGAUGACUUAUUCGAUCAACUGCAGGGAGAAUCUUGGAUCUCCAAGAUUGAUCUGAGGUCUGGGUAUCGUCAGAUGAGAGUGCUGGAUGAGGAUAUCCAGAAGACGACGUUCAGAACUUGUUAUGGGCAUUACGAGUUCGUGGUGAUGCCUUUUGGGCUUACCAAUGCACUGGCAGUGUUCAUGGAUCUCAUGAACAGGGUAUGCAGGCCGUUGUUGGAUCGUUUGGUGAUUAUGUUCAUCGAUGACAUAUUGGUGUAUUUGAGAUCUAGAGGGCAACAUGAGGAAUAUUUGAGAGAGAUUCUCGGGGUGUUGAGGGCGGAGAGGCUUUUUGCCAAAUUCUCCAAGUGCGAUUUCUGGUUGCGAGAGGUCCAAUUCUUGGGGCACCUCGUUAACCAGAAAGGGAUAUUGGUCGAUCCGGCCAAGAUUGAUGCGGUGAUGGGCUGGGGGUGCCGAGAUCCCCCACCGAGAUUAGGAGCUUUCUGGGAUUGGACGGCUAUUAUCAUAGAUUUAUCAGGGAUUUCUCCAAGAUUGCGGUUCCUCUCACCAGGUUGACCCGGAAGGGCGUGAUUUUUAGUUGGGGUCCAGAGCAGCAGGACACAUUCGAGACGUUUCGCCAGAGAUUAUGCGAAGCCCUUGUGUUAGCCCUUCCAGAUGGAAUGGAAGAUUUUGUGGUAUAUUAUGAUGCAUCGAUAUUGGGUUUAGGUGCAGUGCUUAUGCAGAAGGGGCACGUGAUAGCAUAUGCAUCGAGGCAACUGAAGCCUCAUGAGACGAGGUAUCCCACCCACGAUUUGGAGUUGGGGGCAGUGGUGUUCGCUCUCAAGAUCUGGCGUCAGUACCUAUAUGGGGUUCGGUAUACUAUAUACACGGACCACAAGAGUUUGAAGUAUUUGAUGGAUCAUCCCAACCUGAAUAUGCGCCAGAGGAGAUGGUUGGAUGUGGUAAAGGAUUACGAUUGUGAAAUCCUUUACCACCCGGGCAAAGCUAAUGUUGUUGCUGAUGCUCUGAGCCAUAGGGCAGAGAGUUCCCCGAUUCGAGAUAUCUGCAUGCGACUGACAGUUAUGACGCCGGUGUUGGACACCAUUCGGGAGGCCCAGGCGGAGGCCGUGUUACCGGAGAACCGCAAGAGAGAGCAGAUGAUCGGGCAAGUAUCUGAGUUCACCACCGAUAGUUGAGGGUUAUUGACCUUUUAGGGUCAGAUUUGGGUACUGUUUGCGGGUGGGGCGCGUACCAUUCUGAUGGAGGAGGCGCAUAGAUUGAGGUUUCGAUUCAUCCAGUGGCCACUAAGAUGUAUUUGGACCUAAAGAAAGAGUACUGGUGGCCCUGUAUGAAGAGGGAUGUGGCGUGGUUCGUGGAGAGGUGCUUGACCUGUCGCAAGGUUAAGGCCGAGCACCGGCGUCCGCAUGGCAAGUUGCAGCCACUUGAGAUUCCCCAGUGGAAGUGGGAGCAAAUUUCUAUGGAUUUUAUCACCAAAUUGCCGAGGACCACAAGAUGUGUUGAUGCAAUUUGGGUGAUUGUUGACCAAUUGACGAAGAGUGCUCACUUCCUUGCUAUCAGUGGGAGCUCUUCCGUAGAGAGGCUGGCCAAGGUGUAUUUGAGGGAGGUGGUAUUGCGGCAUGGUGUACCAAUCUAGAUUGUGUCAGAUCGAGAUGUAUGUUUAACUUCCAGGUUUUGGAAGAAGUUUCAUGAGGAGUUGGGUACGACACUGCAUUUUAGUACCGCUUACUACCCACAGACGGACGGAUAGAGUGAGCGGAUGAUUCAGACUCUCGAGGACAUGCUUCGGGCAUGUGUGUUGGACUUCGGAGGGAGUUGGGACACGUAUCUGUUUUUGGCCGAGUUUUCUUAUAACAAAAGCCGCCAUAGCAUUGGUAUGCCUCCCUACGAGUUGUUGUAUAGGAGGAGGUGUCGGACUCCCAUCUGUCUGGGAGAGGUAGGGCAGCGAGUGAUGGGUAGCACGGAGAUAGUGCUUCCGAAGACUGAGCAGAUACAACAAGUCAGGCAGAGGUUGCUGACGGCUCAGACUCGUCAGAAGAGCUAGGCGGAUAGGCGUCGCUUAGAGAUCGAGUUCGAGGUUGGUGAUUUCGUUCUCCUGAAGGUGUCACCUUGGAAAGGUGUGAUCCGGUUCAGGAAGAGAGGCAAGUUGGGGCCUCAAUAUAUUGGUCCAUUCAGGGUGAUCGUGAGGGUAGGCAGGGUAGCAUAUCAUUUGGAGUUACAUGCAGAGUUGAGUCAGAUUCAUGAUACCUUCCACGUGUCUCAGUUGAGGAAGUGUAUUGCCGAUGAAUUGGCGGUGGUACCGUUAGAGGAUAUUCAGGUGGAUGCAAUCCUGAAUUAUGUUGAAAGGCCGAUUGUGAUUUGGGAUCGGAGAAUCAAGGUUUUGAGAAACAAGGAGGUGUCCUUGGUGCAGGUUGAGUGGCAGCAUCGGAAAGGGUCCGAGCUGACAUGGGAACUAGAGAUUGAGAUGCAUGAGCAGUAUCCAGAGUUAUUUGCAUAACGAGACUUCGAGGGCGGAGCCUGAUUCUAGUGGGGGAGAAUUGUAACAUCUGGAUAUCCAAGUAUUAUAUCUAUCUUUUAUUUUUUUAGUUUAAAGGGUGGACUCAACGAGUUGACGCAUAGACUCAUUGAGUAGGGUUGCGAGUGAUGACUUGAUUAAUGAAGGGACUCGAUGUGUCGGAGGGGGGACUCGACGAGUCUGCGCUGUAAAAUGAAACCCUAAUUCCCUGGGCCUGAGUCCUAUUUAAAGGACCUUAUUGCUCUCUUGAGUGGAUACAUGUCCAGAGAGAGUACCCCAUAAGAGCUUGAGCGAGUUGAUAGAGAUAAGGCCAUAUUGAUCGAUUUUAGUGUGUUCUAGCAAAUGAGAAGUUGUUCCAAGCAAGAGGAGGUCAAGGGAGCUAUGGAUCCAACAUUUUCAAUCCCAUAUCUACACUAUUUGAGGUACUAAAUCAAGUUGUUUACUGUUUUGGGUUAAGAUCUAUGAUCUAGGGUUUUCUAUACCCCUUUUUAGCUUGUUAUGUUGAUUUCUUAGUCCCUUGUGGUCGUGGAUAUCCGAACUAGACCCAUAGAAAGGAGCCUAGAAUUCCAUUAUUGAAGCCUUUUAGCCAUAGAUAGCCUUGUACAUGUUGCAUGUUGGUCAAGUUUCGACCUUUACAUUGUUAUUGGUCGUGGGGAAGCCAGAUCUAUAGCUUAGGGAAACGGAUCUGACCUCAGAAGGUGUGACAAUCCGAAAUUUUCUAUUGCCUUGAAAGCUCAGCUGUUUAACCCAAAUAAAUGCCAGACUUGUUCCCGCUAUUAUUUAGCACAAUUUAAAGUCUGUUCGAGCGUUCUGACCCCAGUACACUUAAGGAAUAAGUGUUGGGGUUUAUCUACCGAAGCUAUAGUACAACGAACGGGCCAGAAACACAUCUACCUGGAGUUCAUGGCCAGCACAUCGGAGUUUACGACCAUAAACUCCAUGUGGGCCAUAAAAUCCACCUUAUAUGGUGGAAUGUUGGCUAUUUUUUCAUUCCACCCUUUCCUUUGGCUCAAAUCCUCUCAAUUAUCAUCCCGUUCUUCGUCCCCGAUCAUCAAGACUCAUAAGUUUCUUGUCCUAACUAGUUGAUAUCUUAAUUAAUCUAGUGAUCUUACACCAUUCCAUCUGUGAAAUCAUUCUAGUUGAGUUGAUCUUCAAGUGUUCUUAGUUUCACAAAGAACACCAAGAACACAGACUAGUGUUCUUGGCCAAAAUCGACCACUCAAGCUCCUAGAUCGUAAGUACUCUUAUCCUAACUCAUUGCACACUAGGUUUAGCAUGUUUAGGGCUUAGAAAACAUCAAGAAACAAGGAUGAAUGAGAGUUUACGACCAAGGGAUGUUCUUGGGCCGAAAACUCCCUUUAAGGGUGCAAUGAUGCCUUUCCUUCCUUCCUUAUGACCAGAACUUAGUCUAGUACCAACCAUCAUUGAACUAGGGACAUUAGUCAUCAAAGAAACCAUGUCCUCAAAGAGUUUACGGCCGUAAACGCCUAAGGAAAUGGUCCUUCGGCCGCAAACUCCAUAAAAGGGUCAUAUGGUGCCCUUAACGCCCCCCUAUGGCUUGUAUAAUUGACUAGAGCCUUGCAUGCUCAAUCUACGAACACCUAAACAUAAAAUGAAUUGGCACCCAUGAGUUAACGGUCAUAAACUCAUGUGUUUACGACCGUGAACUCCUCUAAAGGCCAAUUUGGAGCCUUAAUAACUUCCUAUGCCCUAAAUUCAAGUGUAGCUUAAUUCCUUGAGUGGUAUAAGACUUUUGAGCACCCAAUGGCACCACUUCCAUGAGUUUACGGCCAUAAACUCAUGGGGGAAGUGGUCUUGAAACCGGAAACACCCCUAAGGGCCACCAUUUGAGGAGUAAACUCCAAUGUGAGGCCAUACACUCUUUAUAUGCAACCCUUGGUACUCCUAGCACUCAUAGUGAAGUGUUUUCGUGCAUUAGGAUGUUCAUACCCCUGACGUGUUUUCGUGCAUUAGAAUCCUAGUGUCCUAUACCGUCCGUUCAUCCGAAUCGCCCACGUCAGGUGAGUUCAUACCCCUGAAUUAACCUUUUAAAUGAUUUUAACUGCUUUUAUGGGGGGGGGAUACAAGUUGAACUAUAAAAUUAUUAGACCAAUCACAUGUAAUUAAUAACUGUAUAGCAAAAUAGAUUUUUGCGUGUUAAACUGCUUACCCAGCUAAAAGUUUUCAAAUCUUGUUUUAAAUCUCGUUAAAGUAUGAAUAUCCCUUUUUAUAUUAUUAAAGAUUUUCCAAAGGUUUCCAAGGCUUGUUUUAUAAACUGACAUCAAGUCAUAAAUUCUUAUUUAUAAGUUUUCUAAAGGUUUUUACCAAACUUUCUUUUAUGCUUUUAUAUUAUAAAAUGCAUGCCCGUAUAUGUAUAAUUAUAUAAGCAAUGUUUAAUGGACUUAGGAAGGCUAGCUCGCCAUACCUCCUUUUCCUUGUUUGGAUGUGGAUCUAGGUUAUCGGUUAUCCGUCUGAAGGUCUUAAAUAUUAGUUAUAUAUCAUGUAUACAUAUAUGGUCAUAAAAGUUCCCUCAGCCAGUUCAUCUCCUUUGGAUAGCAAUGGCAUCCUUCCAUUAUUCAUAUUUCUAAAACUCUAGUAACAAUUAUAGAGAUAGUUAGGAGAUUCCAUUCACUUUCUCUCUCUUUCUCUCUCUUUUUUUUCUCUCUCUCACUCUCUCUAGUACGAAGGAUUACUCAGUAGUUAGUUCAUUCGUAAGUCUAUAUUAUUAUUAUAAUACUUUAAAUAGAAUGUGAUGCAUUAUUUCCUAAUAUGACGCUCCCUAGCGCCAUCGCUGUGUAACCAGAGUCUCCUGGAGGGAGAGCGGACAUCAUGUGUAUAGAUCUAUACGGGAUAGACACUACCUCAUCCUCACUGCUAGCUACAGUCCGAGCCGGUAAGGCCCAUGGGUGACAUAAUGUCACCAACUCUAUGCGUGGCCUUGAAGGUCAUCAGGUAUUCGACCGUCAAUCAUCAUGGUUACAUACGAGUUCACAUUCAACCCUUUUAUUAACCAUUAGACUGAGCCAGGCGUAUUAUUCAUUCGAUAACCUCCUGGAGUCUAUGUUUUAUUCAUCUUUAGUCUGAUCCAGGCGUAUUGUCAAUUCGAUACCCUCCUGGAGUCUAUGUUUUAUUCAUCUUUAGACUGAGCCAGAUGUAUUGUCCAUUCGAUAGCCUUGUGGAGUCUAUUUUUUAUUCAUCUUUAGAAUGAGCCAGGUGUAUUGUUCAUUCAAUACCCUCCUGGAGUCUAUGUUUUGUUCACCUUUAGACUGAGCCUAGCGUAUUGUUCAUCCGAUACCCUCCUGGAGUCUAUGUUUUAUUCAUCUUUAGACUGAGCCAGACUAAUUGUCCAUUCGAUACCCUCCUGUAGUCUAUGUUUUAUUCAUCUUUAGACUGAGCCAGGUGUAUUGUCCAUUCGAUACCCUCCUGGAGUCUAUGUUUUAAUCAUCUUUAGACCGAGCCAGGCGUAUUGUUCAUUCGAUACACUCCUGGAGUCUAUGUUUUAUUCAUCUUUAGACUGAGCCAGGCGUAUUGUCCAUUCGAUACCCUCCAAGAGUCUAUGUUUUAUUUAGUUUCGCCAGCAGUAUUAUUGCUGAGGUAUAAUAUUAUUUUCCCCUAUUACCUUUACUUGUGAUUCUUUUCACAAUUCCUUUAAAGUAAAAGCUAUAUUUUGAUAAUGAUAGUAUUUUUGGGGAAAUUACUCCUUGGUUUAAACCUAGAACAAUUGGGUCUUGGUAGAAGACUGCUUUUAUUUAGAAAAUAUAGGAUUUUCGGGGAAGAAUUCUAACACUCUGUAGAUUAUAAACCACCAUCAUUGUGUGAGAUUAUUUUAAAGUAAAACAUGUUUUUAUACCAAUGUCAUUAAAUACUUAUGAACCCACCAGCAUUAAAAAUGUUGAUACUCGCUUUCAAAAUAACUUGUGUGCUCAUGUCGUCGGUAGACGGGUACACUCUGGGAGCUUUUGUGAAGACAACCUUGUAUCGAGCUGCUUUAUAUGUUACUCUUUGUAUUUUACUCUUGAUGUUGUUGCUAAAUGUAACCUAUGUAAAAUUAUUACUACUAAUGCAACGAUUGUUGUACUUUGAUUACUAUAUUGCGUAUGUUGUGAUACUUGACAUGACGUCCUCCACCCCAGAACGUAUUCCGCCGUUCUCAGUUUUGGGGUGUGACAGAUUGGUAUCAGAGCAUUGGGAUAAAACACUCUAACCAAAAAUUAUACUUUAAGAUAUAACCAUAUUUUACCAAAGUAUAAUAACAUCCAAAAUCUAAACACCCGGACAAGGUAUCACCAGAAGAACAAGAAUAAAAGUCUUUGGAUGUUGACCAUUACCGUCAAUCCUGGGUAGUUACGUAAUCGUAAGCUGGAAUAAAUGUAACCUGAUCAACUACAUUUAUUCAAGAUGCGACUAACAUGUGGUUGGGAGUGAUAGUGGUGUUGCAACAAAUCUGAAAUUUAACAAAUAGGAAUGCUAGAGCCAAACAUAAAGUUUAAAAUACUAUGGGAGUAUUUUAGGAUACUAAAAGACUCACAAUAAUCCCAGAACCAUAUUCAAAAGUUAAGAAUCAAACAUGUAAUUAAAAUACCAUAGGGGUGUUUUAGGAAUCAUAAAUAACCUUGCGUGAAAACUAAAAAGAUCCUUAUUGAUAUACCUAUGAUUACAGAGUGUAUACUCCCAAGGUCAUAUAUAGUGAGGAUCUCAUAGGCUAAGAAUUUGUGGUUUCGCUCUACUUCCUUUUCUUUGUUUGGAUGUGGAUAUAGAGUUGUAUCACAUAUUCGAAGGCCUAUCAGAUCUAAGUUAUAUAUGAUUUGUAUACACUGUGGAAUUGUAGCAGGACUCGGUAUGGAUCACCCAGUGAACUAUUUAAUAAUCUCUUAGGAUUCUUUAGACAUUUCCAUUCUUGUGUGAACCCCUUUAGAAAACCUUAUCCACUUCAGGGAUCGGCAGAAGAGUCGAUUCAGACCCAGAAAAGGUUCAUUGAUAAGGUCUCCAAUUUGGAAAUAAAUGAACAAGGUCGAGACUAUUGAAGCCCCAUGUGCCUAUACCUUUUUGGGACAUCGGUGGGGAAUUUUCCUAAAUAUUCGAGAUUCCAGUCAUCCAUCAUGAAGUGAUGACACUUAGGAUCAGGAUCAGAAGUAAGGCAGUGAUGACACUCAGGGUCAGGAUCAGGAGUAAGGCGGAGUAGAGAUUCAAUAUGUCUGCAAGAGAAGAGAACCCUAGGUAAGUACCCGAAGAAAACCAACGCCUACUCCAGUCGGGGAUAAGAGAUGGACAGAGGGAGCCAAUGCAUGGAACCCGAGAAGUGUCUUUUCCCCCUUAUCGUCAUGUUAAUAAAUCCAUAAAAUAAUACAAUUUGGUGAGUUAGUGAUUACUCUACUCAUGCUAUGUGCUAGACAAACCGCCUUUCCCGUCGCAAGUAAUACGAAUUGAUCGGAUCCCAAACCCUCGAUUUAGGGUGUUUAGCCAUAAGUUUUGAUGAGCCUUUUCCCCUAUAAUACUCAUUUCGAGCUUCUCUCAGGUCUUUUCAAAACUAGAGAGUGAAACUCUUCAGUUUAAAGAUAACCCAGUAGAAAUGACACCCAUUUUAUGGCUUUCCGAUAUACUUACUCCUACCCGAUUACCCAGACUGUAUCAUAAGGAGGUAGAUCGACACUCAGAUAACCAUAACUCGAGGUGCGGGAAAAAUUUAUACCUGUCAUAGUAAAGAAAGAUACGCCCAGGAUUAAUCAUCGUCUCUCAUCAGCUUGUGUUCCUUUUCAAUGUAGGAAAACCAUGCCUCCAAAGAAGCGUAACCAGACCGCUGGCAAAACACCAACUCUCUUAUUCGAUGAAGCUACAUUUCAAGCUGCAGUUUUAGCAUCCGUAGCAGCUGUCAUGGCUCACCUGAAUGCUAACAACGCCAACGUUAGCAGGAGCCCUAUUGGGAAUUCCAAUCAAAGCAAUAGACAACAACAACCAGCACCUGUGAGUAAAGCCACCCAAGAUCCCCAACCAAAUCCACUGAAGAGAAAGUUCAAGAACGAGGAGGGAAGUACCUCGACUCAAAGGCCUUCCGAAGGAAAACGAGCUGAUGUGGUUAAUGCCUCUGUCAACCCUUCCGUCUCGACUCCAAGAAGACCAUACCUAGGAAACCUCCCCCGUUGCAGCAAGUGUAGCUACCAUCAUCAUGGUAACUAUCGGGAGCUCUUUUGCGUUAGGUGCAACAUGAAGGUCCAUAUCGCUCGCUUCUGUAGAACCCCAAUUGAGUCCAUUACAUCAACCACCAAGGAUGGGACCAGUCCAAUAUGCCACCUAUGUGCUAAAAUUGGGCACCUUAAGAGGAACUGCCCAAUUGUAAGAAAUGAUAAAGGCGAAGGAGGAGUCUAAAUCUCAUGCCCAGGGGAAGCAUCAAUGAACCUAGUAGUAUUUUGGUACGUCUCUCAAUCCUAAGUAACUAACCGAAAACAUUAAAUAAUUAAUCCUAAUUAUAAUCACUCUCUCGUUAAGGAGAAGGUCGCAGCACUAUUGCAAAACUUAAAAAUCCAUUAGGUAAAGCUAUAAUGGCUUGGUAUAUUCGUAAAGGCCAUUUAUAAUUAAGAUUGAUAGACCUCGAGUGAGUGAUGCCGCCUUAUCUCCUGUUCCUUGUUUGGUUGUGGAUUUAGGGUGGAGUCGGUCAGUCAACAGUCCUUUUAAUCUUAAUUAUACAUGACUGGUGUAUACUAGGCGGUUAUAGAGAGGCCUCGUCAGAAAACCAUUCAUGAAAAGUACAUUAUGCUAAAACAUCAGGACCCUCUAUAGUUCCGCGUCGAUUCUAUCGGUCCAAGUAUCCACGAUAGAGAUACCAUGGAUGAAACUUGAGACGCUAAGAACUUGUGUGCUCUGUUCAGCAGAUGGUCCUAUCGAUCUUCAUUCCAUAUCAUGUCGAUGCCCGUUAAAUUCGACACUGCCGUCAAUCAUUGUUCGACUUGGUGCGAACAUGUGAAAAAUUCCUAGUGUUGUGUAAAGAGAACUUUCACCAUAGCCUUUGCGUCAAAUAAAGAUUCUUCCGAACCUAAUAAGAAAACCUAAUGCGAACCGUCAGUCGUCUCUCUUAUCCAAGCCUUCCGAAGUACCCAGGAGAGGAGUACCACGCGCCGUUAACCAACCUCUCCUUAGACAGAUAGAACCCGAAGUGAAAGGCGCCACAGGUAUCCCAUAAUUCAAUAACCGCCCAAGGUCUACUCUGUAGAUCCCCCGGAAAGACCCUUAGCUCCUCACAAUCAGGUUCAUGAAUCAAGAGAAGGAACUCAUGGGAAUAACUUUCUACUACUGAUUAUAUGCAUUAGAGUUGUAUAUAAUUUAGAUCAAUAAGAUUUAAUAUGUGUGCUUCCUCCCUACUCGCUGUUCCUCGUUGGGUUGUGGGUCUGGGGUGGGGCCACAUAACUGAACAUCCUGACGAUCUUAAUUCUAUACAACUUGCAUACACCAAGUAUUAGUGAUUAAGCCAAGCAUGAGCUCUACCACGAACCUUAUAUUAAGACCCUUCUUCCUGUCCCAUCGAGAAGGAGCCGGAGUCAAGAGAACCACUGAGGGUUGAACUACUAAAAUGACCACAAAUCCGAAAUUUGUUGUCAUCCCGGUUAAGCCAUCAUUGUAGCCAACACCCUCGGUUAGGAAUAUUAACUCAAGUCGUAAGAGUCAAACAUCGACUACGACCAUACAUUCACGCUUAAUCCCACAAAUUAAGCAUCUCAGUAGUGAGCCCAAAAACCUGAAAGCUGUGACAGGUUUAACUCUGAAGAGAGUGGAUGAAGAAAUUUGAGUGUCCAUGUAGCAGAAUCCACUUCUAUCUAGAGUAGAUCUAAAUCGAGGAAACUCAGAAACAUCGGAAGAGUAGUUGCAAGUAAUACUCGUACUACUCAUGGACUUCGUCCAUCCAGUUACAGACGAGUAGUGCAUAGGACUCGCCGCAUCCUCAUGCGAGAAAGUCAUCUUCGCCCUAUAGACGAUGGACGUCAUUCUCCAAAGUUACUAGUAGGAUACUAAGAACCACAUUACCACCUCCGCAACCAAGAAUACUUGAAUAAAUUAGAAUGGUAUGUUGUGUGAAGCCUUAUAACCCAAAUCAUGAAGAGAUUGUAGACUUGACACCGAUCUAGGUGCUAGUCGAUGUGUUAUACAAGAACACGCGCCUCCUAUGUUCUGGAGGGAGCCGACAUCUUAAAGAAUAAGGCAUGUCUUAGAGAAUUGUUGGACUACUAGGUGUUCCAAGGAAUGCUGUCUCUAAAGAGAUAGUACAACCACCUCCUAAAAUAGUCCAGCACUUCAGAAAAUCUCUAAGGGCCAAGUUAGCCCUGAUCAGAGACUGCUAUCCAUGAAAAAGUGAAGUGAGUAAGAUCAUGAUUCUUUUCAUUCAGGGAUCAUGCUAUGAAAGCAUCUAUAAGAUGCUAAUGAAAAUUUAAAUUUUCUAAGCAUCGUCUAGUAAAACCCCCUAUCUGACCGACCUCGAGAUUUCCGUUAAAAACACCUCAAGAAUUAGAAGUGCAGAUCCAUUUUGCACUAGGUUGAGAUAGAUGCCACGUAACCAAUAGAGGCCAGAACAUAGCCGAUACAUCUGAUGAUCCAGAAAACCCCUGAAAGACAACCAUUAAGAAGUGCGAAUCCAAAGAUGAUCCGAGCCCUCUAAGAGCCAAACCGGAGAAUACACCCCCCUAGUGUGAAGGAACUUUUGGAACUUCAGAAUGGUGAUCACAUCGAGUGAUGAUCUAACCAUGUAAGUACAUUGUGUUCUAAGUAUUAAAAAGCUCCACCUUCCCAAGAGUGUAGGACCAUCCGAGAUUCUCGAUAAGAAUCGGUCCAACCCCCGUCAGACCUCAACUACUUUAGGAAUUCCAUAAAUUCCACUCAAAUCUAACCAUAUCUUAGACUUGAGAAAGUACUGGUCCGACGUAACCCUUGUAACCCCACAUGUUGAGAUAUAAAUCAUUGAGAACCCCAACUUUGUAGAAAAACCUGUAGGGAUCGUGAACCGAGAGGUCAAGCUAACAAAGGGAAUCUACAUCCCAAUUGUGAAGGUUCGCUGGAAUGCCAAGCGAAGCCCUAAAUUCACUUGGGAGUAUGAGGACCAACUGAGUAGGAAGUACCCUCAUCUCUUUACUCGGUUAUUCAUACCUACCUCCUUGACUAAACUCUAAUUUCGGGACGAAAUUCCCUCUAACGGGGGGAUGAUGUGACAACCCGAAAUUUUCUAUGGCCUUGAAUGCUCAGCCAUUUAACCCAAAUAAAUGCCAGACUUAUUCCCUCUAUUAUUUAGCAUAAUUUAAAGUAUGUUCGAGCGUUUUGAGCCCAGUACACUUAAGGAAUAAGUGUUGGGGUUUAUCUACUGAAGCUAUAGUACAACGAACGGGCCAGAAACACAUCAACCUAUAGUUCACGGCCAGCACAUGGGAGUUUAUGGCCGUAAACUCCAUUUGGGCCGUAAACUCCACCUUAUAUGGUGGAAGGUUGGCCAUUUGUUCAUUCCACCCUUUCAUUUGGCUCAAAUCCUCUCAACUAUCAUCCUGUUCUUCGUCCCCGAUCAUCAAAACUCGUAAGUUUCUUGUCCGAAAUAGUUGAUGUCUUGAUUAAUCUAGAGAUCUUACACCAUUCCAUCCGUGAAAUCAUUCCAGUUGAGUUGAUCUUCAAGUGUUCUUAGUUUCACCAAGAACACACACUAGUGUUCUUGGCCAAAAUCGACCAUUCAAGCUCCUAGAUCGUAAGUACUCUUAUCCUAACUCAUUGUACACUAGGUUUAGCAUGUUUAGGGCUUAGAAAAUAUCAAGAAACAAGGAUGAAUGAGAUUUUAUGGCCAAGGGAUGUUCUUGGGCCGUAAACUGCCUUUAAGAGUGCAAUUAUGCCUUUCUUUCUUUCCUUAUGACCAGAACAUAGUCUAGAACUAACCAUCAUUGAACUAGGGACAUCAUUCAUCAAAGAAACCAUGUCCUCAAAGAGUUUACGGCCGUAAACGCCUAAGGAAAUGGUCCUUGGGCCAUAAAGUCCAUAAAAGGGUCAUAUGGUGCCCCUAACACCCCCUGUGGCUUGUAUAAUUGACUAGAACUUUGCAUGCUCAAUCUAGGAACACCAAAACAUAAAAUGAAUGGGCACACAUGAGUUUACUGUCGUAAACUCAUGUGUUUACGACCGUGAAGUCCUCCAAAGGCCCAUUUGGAGCCCUAAUCACUUCCUAUGCCCUAAAUUCAAGUCUAGCUUAAUUCCUUGAGUGGUAUAAGACUUUUGAGCACCCAAUGGCACCACUUCCAUAAGUUUACGGUCGUAAACUCAUGGGGGAAGUGGUCUUGAAACUGGAAACACCCCUAAGGGCCACCAUUUGAGGAGUAAAAUCCAAUGUGAGGCCAUACACUCUUUAUAUGCAACCCUUGGUACUCCUAGCACUCAUAGUGAAGUGUUUUCAUGCAUUAGGAUGUCCUCACUUGCAUAAGUAGUUAUUAAAUGACUAAUUAGAUACUUAAAUGUAUCACUACGUGUUAAAUAGGAUCCGAGUGUGUGUUCAAGCCCUCACUUGACACCUAACGUCCUAUACUGUCCGUUCAUCCGAAUUGCCCACGUCAGGUGAGCUCAUACCCCUAAAUUAUCCUUUUAAAUGAUUUUAACUGCUUUUAUGGGGGGGGGGAUACAAGUUGAACAUAGAGUUAUUAGAUCAAUCACAUGUGAUUAAUAACUGUAUAGAAAAAUAGAUUUUUGCGUGUUAAAUUGCUUACCCAGCUAAAAGUUUUCAAAUCUUGUUUUAAAUCUCGUUAAAGUAUGAAUAUCCCUUUUUAGAUUAUUAAAGAUUUUCCAAAGGUUUCCAAGGCUUGUUUUAUAAAAUGACAUCAAUUCAUAAAUUCUUAUUUAUAAGUUUUCCAAAGGUUUUUACCAAACUUUCUUUUAUGCUUUUAUAUUAUAAAAUGCAUGCCCGUGAAUGUAUAAUUAUAUAAUAAAUGUUUAAUGGACAUAGGAAGGCUAGCUUGCCCUACCUCCUUUUCCUUGUUUGGGUGUGCCUCUAGGGUAUCGGUUAUCCAUCCGAAGGUCGUUUAAAUAUUAGUUAUAUAUCAUGUAUACAUCUAUGGUCAUAAAAGAUCUCUCAGCCAGUUCAUCUCAUUUGGAUAGCAAAGGUAUCCUCCCAUUAUUCAUAUUUCUAAAACUCUAGUAACUAUUAUAGGAAUAGUUAGGAUAUUCUAUUCACCUUCUCUCUCUUUCUCUCUCUCUAUCUCUCUCUCUUUUCUCUCUCUCUUUCUAUCUCUGUAUGUAUAUAUAUAUAUAUAUAUAUAUAUAUAUAUAUAUAUAUANNNNNNUAGUACGAAGAAUUACUCAGGAGUCAGUUCAUUCGUAAGUCUAUAUUGUUAUUAUAAUAGUUUAAAUAGAAAGUGACGCACUAUUUCCCGAUACGACGCUCCCUAGCGCCAUCACCGUGUAACCAAAGUCUCCUGGAGGGAGAGUGGACAUCAUGUGUAUAGAUCUAUAUGGGACAGACACUCCGGCAUCCUGACUGCUAGCUACAGUCCGAGCCGAUAAGGCCCACGGGUGACAUAAUGUUACCAACUGUACGCGUGGCCUGGAAGGUCAUCAGGUAUUCGACCGUCAAUAAGCAUGGUUACAUACGAGUUCACAUUCAACCCUUUUAUUAACCUUUAGACUAAGCCAGUUGUAUUGUUCAUUCGACACCCUCCCGGAGUCUAUGUUUUAUUAAUCUUUAGACCGAGCCAGACGUAUUGUCCAUUCAAUACCCUCCUGGAGUCUAUGUUUUAUUCAUCUUUAGACUGAUCCAGGUGUAUUGUCAAUUCUAUACCCUCCUCGAGUCUAUGUUUUAUUCAUCUUUAGACUGAGCCUGGCUUAUUGUUCAUUCGAUACCCUCGUGGAGUCUAUGUUUUAUUCACUUUUAGACUGAGCCAGGCGUAUUGUUCAUUUGAUACCCUCCUGGAGACGAUGUUUUAUUCAUCUUUAGACUGAGCCAGGCGUAUUGUCCUUUCGAUACACUCCUGGAGUCUAUGUUUUAUUCAUCUUUAGACUGAGCCAUGUGUAUUGUCCAUUCGAUAUCCUCCUGCAGUCUAAGUUUUAUUCAUCUUUAGAGUAAGCCAGGCGUAUUGUUCAUUCGAUACCCUCCUGGAGUCAAUGUUUUUUCAUCUUUAGACUGAGCCAGGUGUAUUGUCCAUUCGAUACCCUCCUGGAGUCUAUGUUUUAUUCAUCUUUAGAUUGAGCCAGGCGUAUUGUUCAUUCGAUACCCUUGCUGGAGUCUAUGUUUUAUUCAUCUUUAGACUAAGCCAGGCGUAUUGUCCAUUCGAUACCCUCCUAGAGUCUAUGUUUUAUUCACCUUUAGACUGAGCCAGGCGUAUUGUUUAUUCAAUACCCUCCUGGAGUCUAUGUUUUAUUCUUCUUUAGACUGAGCCAGGCGUAUUGUCCAUUCGAUACCCUCACGGAGUCUAUGUUUUAUUCAUCUUUAGACUGAGCCAGGUGUAUUGUCCAUUCGAUACCUUCCUGGAGUCUAUGUUUUUUUCGUCUUUAUACUGAGCCAGGCGUAUUGUUCAUUCGAUACACUCCUGGAGUCUAUGUUUUAUUCAUCUUUAGACUGAGCCAGGCGUAUUGUCCAUUCGAUACCCUCCAAGAGUCUAUGUUUUAUUUAGUUUCGCCAGCAGUAUUAUUGCUGAGGUAUAAUAUUAUUUUCCCCUAUUACCUUUACUUGUGAUUCUUUUCACAAUUCCUUUAAAGUAAAAGCUAUAUUUUGAUAAUGAUAGUAUUUUUGGGGAAAUUACUCCUUGGUUUAAACCUAGAACACUUGGGUCUUGGUAGAAGACUGCUUUUAUUUAGAAAAUAUAGGAUUUUCGGGGAAGAAUUCUAACACUCUGUAGAUUCUAAACCACCAUCAUUGUGCGAGAUUAUUUUAAAGUAAAACAUGUUUUUAUACCAAUGUCCUUAAAUACUUAUGAAGUCACCAGCACUAAAAAUGCUGAUACUCAAUUUCAAAAUAACUUGUGUUCUCAAGUCGUCGGUAGACGGGUACACUCCUGGAGCUUUUGUGAGGACAAACUUUUAUCGAGCUGCUUUAUAUGUUAUUCUCUGUAUUUUACUCUUGGUGUUGUUGCUAAAUGUAACCCAUGUAAAAUUAUUACUACUAAUGAAAUGGUUGUUGUACUUUGAUUACUAUACUGCAUAUGUUGUGAUACUUGACAUGACGUUCUCGACCCUAGAACGUAUGCCGCCGUUCUCGGUUUUGGGGUGUAACGGAAGGUCAUUUCAGUGCUGUCAUGGCAGCAACUCGCCGAGUUCAUAAGUGGACUCGAUGAGUCGAGUCGGGGUUGCCCCGCGAUUCGUUGCUGAGUAACCCAGUGAGUGGAGAGGGAACUCGUCGUUCCAAGCGAGGCUUAGAAGACUUCAGAGGACAAGUGUGGACUCGCCGAGUCGCCUGAGUGCACUUGACUAGUCUGGUCAAAGUUUGACCGUUGACUUGAGUUGACUUCAUUGACUUUUAGGGUUUAGUCAAUGUUUGGACUUAUGAGCCAUUAGAGGGGUAGAAUGGUCUUUUACCCUUCUUAGAGAACUUACAGAAAGGGGUUAGCCUAGACUUUAGAAGCUGUAUUAAUUAGGGAAAUUAUUUAUGUGAUUAGGCGGAGGCUAGUGCUAUAUUUCAGAGUUCGAGGUUCACCGAGUAUCCGAAGUGAGUCUUCUCACUAUACUUUACCUUGAGUGGUAAGCAGAUUUAUGUGAUUGUAUAUCUUGUAUUCUAUUUAUGUGAUAUGUUGCAGUGCAUUAUUACCAUGUGAUUAUGUUCUGUGUAUGCCAGAGUUUACAAAGUUAGGACCGGAAGGUCCACAGAGUUUGGACUAGAGGGUCCACAGAGUUAGGGCCAGAGGUCCCAUAGAGUUAUAGCCUCGAGUGGCUAAUAUGUGUUGCAUGUGGUAUUUUGGGGAACUCACUAAGCAUUUAUGUUUACAGUUGUUGUGUUAUGUGUUUCAGGUACCAAUGAGGAUCGCGGGAAGGCGCUGGCAUGAUCAGUACACACACACAGAGGAGAUUUCAUACUUUACGAUCUUGGGUUGUACUUAUGAAUUGAUAUGUGAACAACGAGAUUUUAUAAUACUAACGAAUGAAAUAUGUUGUUAAAAUGUGAAAAUUUGUUUUCAAAUUUACGGUGUUACAUCGUGCUCACUGGAUACAUACACCAAAACUAAAGUUCAUCGUGUAUACACAGACAACGCUAGCAACACCGAUAUUGUCUAUGAAUAUUGCUUCAGACAGCUGUCCUCUUGCUGGAAGGAGGGCCUAAAGCCUCCGACUGGUAGUCCACUUGUCGGGUUCACAAGAUUUAGACUAUGACCAUUGGGCACCAUACAUCGCAUGUACAUAUUAGUUAGCCACGAUGAAAAAGACACGGUCACACGAACAACUGAAUUCUCAUUUUUGUGUUUUCUAGCAGAACAUAAUAUUUUGAUCGAACGACAGACACUUUAUAAACUACAGGCCAUACAAUCAACAAUCCAUGGAAUCGUUAAGUUCAACACAUGCAUCGGGUCAGCCAUAAUUGUUUCCACUAACCCAAACAAGUACACCACUAGUGUCAAAGCAUUUCAACACAAGAACUAGUGUGGGCCUAAAAAACUGAAGUAAGGUUGCCACAUACAAAAACACAUCAUCCACCUGAACUAUCCAGAGGAAACAAUACCGAUGAAAUUAACUCAAGUAGGAUCGAUAGAUUUUAAAUAGAAAACAUAAAAAUAAUACGAAAAACACAAGUAUGGCUCAAACGUUGUCGAAUGAUUGAAACUUUCACACCUUAGAAGAGCUCGAUUAAGAACUUCUAAUGUGGAUGUGUUUAGGGUUACAAACUAUAAUAAAGAUAAAGAGUCUUGAUCUAAUUUAAUGCAUACAUGCAUGCACUUUAUAUACUACAUAACCCUAGUAAAUAAAGGAUGGACAGGCCCAAUACGGUUUAUACAAAAUAUCAGCCCAUGACACAACACAAUAAUCCUACAAUCUCCCCCUUUGCAUCCAUGGAGCUGAGAGCUCAGUUCGGUUGAGCAAUCAUGGAUUUCUUCACAGUCUUGAACACACCCGGUAUAAUGGCUAAAAGAAUUUUCCUGAAAGUAAUGUACCACCGGAGCAUGUCUGUGAAGUUCUUCAUAUAUGACUCUGAAUUCGCCUUACAUCGAUGAAUGAUGCUGAUGAUGUGUUCUAGGAAGUCAAUUGGGAACAAGUGUUUGUCCACAAGAGCAAACAAAAAUCUUUCACCUUUGGCCCUUGUAAACAUAACUGUGAGGUGAGUAGAAUUGAUUUGACCGAGAGUCAUUUUGUUGACAUCUCCUGGUUUAGCAGUAGGCUUCACCAUCGGUUUCGUCCUUUGAACAUUAGCAAUUUCCUGAUCCAUCUUUGCAACUUCAUGGAUAUAAGAUGCCAACAUUCUCUUCAAAUUUCCCAAAAUCGGCUCAUACUCCUUCGCAUUGGUAAGUAGGAUAUUGAAUAGAAGGAUCCAAUCGUGAGGGUUCAGGUUGGGAAGAUCUGCCAAGGAAAUAACGGAAACCGAGUUGUCCGAACCUCAGCUUAUUUUGAAAGAAACAUUAGUAAACUUCCCUGCAGGUGAAGGUUUCAGCACCUUUACCAUUGUAAUCUUCUGUGCACUCCAGGUCAGGUACUGAGGCUGACCGAACUUGAGAUAAAAAUCAAUCAGUUCACGGUCCACUUGAGGAUGAGCUGAUGGGACUUUGACUGUCGGUUCGAAGCAAUGAAAAAUAAACGCCUUUCGAGUGAUCGACAUGUUGAACUGCGAAUCCCUUGUAUUAUCACAAUCAAAAGAAGUUACACGUUCCAGCCAGAUUGUGCUUGGAAACUCUAUAGCUUCUUUGAUCAACGUCUCCCUAGUCCAAAGAGGGAACAACAUCAUCUUGCAAUUUAAUGCAUCAUCCUCUUCUUUCUUCUUCCUUUCUCUUUCUUCUGCUUCCUUAGCAAUUCUAAGAGUCUCGUCUAGCUCCUGAUCCCUUUUCUUUCGGUUCAGGAUCUCAGUGAGAGUCCCUUGAUCUUCAUUACUUUCAUCAUCUUCUCCAAGAACGUGCCUUUUCUUUUCUUUAACACCAGAACCCGAAGCUACAUUAUCCUUCAGUUCGGUUUUAACCUUCAGUUUAAAGGGAACAAUUGUUGGAAUCGGUUGAGGCUUCUCUUCUCCCCCUUGUUUUAGAGGAACAAUUUUCUCCAAAACACCCUUCAUUUCUCGUAGAAGUUCAAGUGAGGGAAGGAGUUUGGAGGUCAAAUGAUUGCGAAUAGUAAGUGUGAGAAUAGGAUCAUGAGACUGAAGCCUGUUGUGUAGCUGAGAUGGAACAUCCCCAGCACAACUGCAAAAGAUAGCUCUUUCUGUUUUCAACAAAGAAAUCUCGUGUUCUGCCUUAGCAAGUGUUGCAUGUUGUACUACAGUUAGUGCAGCCUGUUGAGUAAGAUCAUAUAUGAGUUAUCUUUCCAUGAGUAGAUCAGCAGUAAGCUUCUCAAACCAAGUGUCAAUGGAAGACAAGAAGGUCUUGUUGUGUGCAAAGAUGUCGGAACAAACUGUUUCAAACUUGGUCUGCUCAGCAUGAAGGGAUUGAGAAAGCGAAUCAAUAGACUAUGUGACUUUGGCAGCAUUCAUGUCAGCAGGACCCUUGAGAGAGUCAAGAAAAACCUUGGAGUCAUGGAUAAGAUCUUUAACAUCAGCUAUAGCUUGUUUACACAAGGAAGUGGAAUCAUCGAUAGCAGUUGUAGAUUUGUCAAUUGAAUCAGUGUAUUGUUGUAGUGAUGUAUCCAUAAACACCUUGAGAACCACGUCAUUAUAUAUCUUCGUGGAAUCCAGCAACGUAUCAAGCUUUUCAUGAACGCUUUCGAAUUUGUUGCUUGGUUGCUAGUGAAGAUUCAUCUUCUUCACUUGGAAUUCGGUAGGGACUAUAGUAAGUCGAAUCAAAUUUAAAUCCAUCUCCUCCAAGAACUGGAUUAGAACCAUCGGAAAGGGUUGGGGAAAUAGGAUCUGUAGUGACUUUAGGAGGGUCUUCAGUCUUCGACCCCACAUCAGAUGUGUUGACGUUGAUAGGAGAGUAUGUGCUAGAGGUAAUGAUAGGUGUAGUGGUGAAGGUAGAUUGGGAGAAAAUAGGAGGUGGUAAUGGAGUAGAGGUGAUAGGAGUUGAACUUACAGGAGAUAGGGAAGUAGCUGUGGAAGUAGGUUGUGAAGAGGAAGUUGGAGGUGGAGGAGCAACCGAAACUGAAACGGUUGUCUUAGGUGGAGAUGGAGGAGGAGUUCGAAUAUGCUCAAGAACAAUAGUCUCUGGUAUUAGAGAUCAAGGAUGUGUAGUCCCCCUCUGCUGCUCUUCCUCUUCAUUACCUGCAGACUGCUCGGCGUUCUGUUCAGAAUGGGAAGGUGAAGGAGUUUGCCUUCUUCGAUCCAUUCUCUUUAUCUUCUUGGGAGCAGAAGAAUCACCUUCGGCUGCUUUGCGUUUCAUGGAUUUGGCAGGUUUUAUGGAUGGUCCUUCUGUUUCAUUCGUCUUGGAACCUGCCUUCUUUCUAUUGGAUUAGUGUCUAAGGCUGUAACUAUAAUUGGUAAGUACUUGACCCGGUUGUGUAUGGUCCUUUUGGGUUGCCAUCACCAUAGCAACUUGACAGGGUGAUUUAUAUAGAGAGAAGACAUAUUAUUAUUAAUAUAUUAUAAGAAUAAUAUGUUAAAUGAAUAAUAAUAUUAUUUGAUUCAUAUAAGUCAUAAAUUAAUUAGGAAAUAAUUUGGUGACUUAAAGAGAUUAAUUGAAUAAAGGGGCAUAAACUGUCAAAUUUGUGAUAGUUGUAUUUUGGGCUAUGAAUCUUUAUGGAUAUAGGAGGGGAUGAUUUUAGGAUAUGGAUAUCUAAGAAAUUGUCCAAGGCCUUAUCUAGAAGGAUCUUUGGAUUGCUUUGAGGCUAAGUUAUCCAAUUAGGGUUUAAGGUGAAACCCUAGGAGCUCACAGUAUAAAUAGCCCCUUAGGGUUGGAGAAAUCGGCCACUCUACGAUUGAGAAUACCCAAGAGCCGAUUUCUCACCUCUCUCUCUCUCUCUCAAAUCAUCUUCUAGCUAGUAGGUGUUUGUAAGCCAUUAGAGGAGUGACAAUUGUGACUCUAAGCUCCAAGAAGAAGAAGUUUUCAAGCAAGUAACUCAAGGUAUUCUUCUAGAUCUGAAUUCAUAUGUUAUGAAUUGUUUGUUUACACUAGAUCUAGCCAUGGAAGUCUUGGAUAUAUUGCAUGUUCAACUAGAGAAACCUAGAUCCAAGCUUUAGGGUUUGCAUGUGCACAUAGGAAAGUUCUUAUGGCUCAAACCCAUCAGUGGUAUCAGAGCCUUGAUUGGUUUCAAUUGAAUGUGAUGCUUAACUGUUUUGCUUGCUGAAAAUCGUUUUUCUUGGCCUCUGCCCGACCCAACUCGGCGAGUUAGUGUCUGGACUCAGCGAGUUGGGCCUACUCUGCGAAUCUAGAGCUGACUCGGCGAGUCCAAGCGUCAGGCAGAGAAUAUUUCGAGAUUUUGUUGCUGUUUUGUCUUGGAUUUGAUACCUAAAACGUUUUGUUAUGUGAAAAUCCGAAUUUUGACUUAAUUUAAUGAUUAUGCUUGACAUAACAAUUAACAAUUUCAAAUCUUUUGAAUAUUGAUUAUUUAUAUGAUAAAUAUGGACUAUUUAAAAUUAUUUGGUAAUUAUCUAAUGACUAAAAUUGGAUUAGGUGAAAUAUAGAUAAUUAUGAAAUUAAUUAUUUGAUUUGAAUUAUUUUUUAUUUGAUCCCUUUAGUUUUGAAAAGUUCAAAAUUUGUCCCGAAGUUUUUAAACUUGAAUUUUAUGAUUGAAAGUUUAAUUUAGAAGAAUUUAAAUUUCAACCCCUAGAGUUUUACAAGUUUAAAAUUCAACCCUAUACUAUUAUAUUAUUAAAAGCUUAAUGAAUCUAUAAGUAUAAUUAAAAUGUUAGUCUUACCGUUAGUAGGCCUCAUUCACGAAGCCGGUCUAUAAGGUGGGUAUAAGGCUGCUGCCUACAAAAUGGCGCUUAAUUGGUGUACACUCACACCCACCGCUUGCUUGAUUGGUGGAUGGUCGUUAGCCGAACGGGUAGGAUAGGGCAAGUCUCUCUCUCCUCAUUAAAAGUAUAAUGAUAAAAUAUAAAGUAACUACAUGUUUUUCCAAAUUCCCAAUCCUAGUUACUUUAGGCAAGAGUGAAUUGAUGUAAUACCAUGAAAUUACACUUUGCACCCUUGCUACGAAGUUAGUGGAGCGUGUGUGGUUUACCGACACACUAAUUGGUUCUAAGAAAAGGUGGAAAAGGGUGAUUCAUUGUUUAUCAUAGUUCGAUGGAGCGCGUGUGGUUUACCGGCACAUCAAAUAGGUGAUUGUAACAAUGAAGGCACCAUGUAGAUUUGCAUGGUUAUUCAUACCCACUUUGUGAUCUUCGGCAUCCCAGUAACAAACGAGAGGGGCAUAUCGAUAUUUAAACAUGCCAUUGAAAAGUUAAAUGAAUCUCCAUGAAAAUCUAGGAAUUCUCAAUGCAUUUAAAACUUAAGGUUAUGUUUUUCAUGGUGAAGAACUAGUGAAUCGUCAUUCAGUUACCUCCAAAUUAUUUGUGUGUUGGAUUACGACAUCCCUUUUCUAAUAUGUGAAUAAUGUUGUUGGGUUUAGCCCUAAUUUUUCAUUUUGGAUGUUUAAUUAGGGAUUCAAUACUAAUAAAACUUUGUCCUUUCUAUUUGUAGAUGUCGAACGCAAACAACGCUGCUGCUAACUCAUUUACAUUAAUGAGUCUUUGCCAAAAGGUGACUUUCGAUGGAACGAACUUUAGCGAAUGGAUAAGAUACAUCCGCACGGUUUCACGCUACGUGGACAAAGAGUAUGUCCUCGACGAAAAGCUCGAGAAGNACACGGUUUCACGCUACGAGGACAAAGAGUAUGUCCUCGACGAAAAGCUCGAGAAGGUCAACCCAGAAAUUGCUACUCCCGAAGAUGGCUGUCUUUGAGACCCACGAACGUGAUGCAACGAAAUUCCAUUGCAUCAUGAUAGCCACUCUGAACCAACAAUUCCAAAAGUCCUAUGAGGACAUGUAUCCCUAUGAAAUGCAUCAAGACUUAAUGGAGAGGUACCACCAAAGCGGGAGGCAAGAGCGCUAUGAGAUCAUCACCAACGUGAUCAUCGCUAAGAUGGGAAGUGGAGAAUCACUCCUUGCCCUCAUGCUACAACCAAUUUAAGAUGAACUACCACAUGAACAAGGAAGAGGUCACCCUAAGCAAACUCCAAGGACUGCUGAGAGCAACCUCAAGGAAAAGUCUGUUACACCAACUCCCGCACCACUCGCUGCUCCUGUUUUGGCUAUUGGGCAAAGAAAGGGGAAGAAGAGGAAGGCUCCGUCAAAGAGCCACAACAAGGGAAAGUCCNAGGGGAAGAAGGGAAAGUCCCAAGAUGGUUCCUCUUCUAGUUGGACCAAAGAUGGCCCUGCUAAGCCCAACUCUAACCCAAAGGAGGCANUGGACCAAAUAUGGCCCUGCUAAGCCCAACUCUAACCCAAAGGAGGCAGAGUGACACUAUUGCCAAUAAAUAGGGCAUUGGAAGAGAAGCUGCCCAGAAUAUCUACAAGCCACCAAGGAUGGGAAGAUCAAGCCGUCUUUCGCAGGUAUUUACACAAUUAAAUCUAAUGAUUUAUCUCAUGAUAUUUCUUGGGUUCUUGUUACAGGAUUUGGUUACCACAUUCGUUCUGAUUUGUAGGCACUAAAAAGAAAUAUGGAUGUGGAGCAUGGAAGAAUAAAUCUAAUCAUGGGAAACAGAAGAUCACUGCCUGUCACCAAGAUUGGAGUGUAUUCUUUAGUUCUUAGUAAAGGAUUAGGUUUAGAUUUAAAUAAUUGUUGCUAUUUGCCAGACAUGGCAAGAAACAUCAUUUCAUUUCAUGGUUUGAUUAGACAAGGAUUUAGAUAUUCGUUUAAUAAUAUGAAUGGUUCUAUUUUUUCUUAUCUAAAUGGUGUUUUAUACUUUGAAGUAAUGCCUUAUAAUGGAAUUUAUGAAACUGUUAUGGUUGUAGAUAAACUAGGAAAUGAUGUGUUGUGUAUGGAUUCUUCCAAUAGUAUGGAUAAAGCAUGUUUGUAGAAUUGUCGUCUUGGACAUGUCAACAAGAAACGCAUAGCCCAACUCCAAAAGGAUGGAGUGUUGUAGUCAUUCGACCUUAGGGAAUAUUACACAUGUGAAUCUUGUUUACAUGGAAAGAUGACCAAGUCACCCUUCACUGGCACUUAUGAGAGGGGUGAGGGUUUAUUGCAUCUCAUACAUACCGAUGUAUGUGGGCCCUUUAGAUUAACCACAAAGGAUGCGAACCGCUUCUACGUGACUUUUACUGAUGAUUAUAGUAGAUAUGGGUAUAUUUACUUAAUCAAGCACAAGUCAGAAACGUUUGAAAAGUUCAAAGAGUUCAAGAAUGAAGUGGAGAAUCAAUUGGGCAGGAAGAUCAAUAUGCUUCAAUCUGAUCGAGGAGGAGAGUACCUAAGUCUUAAAUUCCACGACUAUCUCAAGGAAUGCAGAAUAGUUUCACAAUUGACGCCACCUAAGACACCGUAGUUGAAUGGUGUGGCAGAAAGACGCAAUCGAACCUUGUUGGGCAUGGUUCGUUCUAUGAUGAGUCGUGCUUCACUACCUAUCUCAUUUUGGGGGUAUGCCUUAGAGACUUCCGCCCAUAUCCUUAACUGAGUCCCUACAAAGAAGGUUGCCAAAACACCUCACGAGAUGUGGACAGGGAAAGCUCCCUUGUUGGCACAUAUCAAGGUUUGGGGUUGUGAGGUUUUCGUAAGACGAGAGACUCACGACAAGCUCGAACCUCGUAGUGAGCGAUGUAUUUUCAUCGGCUACCCGCAGUAAUCCUUUGGAUAUAUCUUCUAUAGACUGAGUGACAAUGUUGUCUUCAUUGCGAGAAGAGGGGUUUUCCAAGAACGAGAACUCAUAAACCAUGGAGACAGUGGGAGGCAGAUCGAUCUUGAAGAGAUUCAAGAGUCGAGUGAUAAAGGAACCUCUACCGGUGGCGCUCAACCCGAGGAGGAAACUCCGGUUGAACCAAUUAACAAGUCAUUACCUCUUAGACGUUCCGAAAGAGUUAGAGUUCAACCCCAGUUUAUGGUUUUCACAUUACUACUGAAGGGGACAUGUAUAUUAAUGAUGGUACACUAAUAAAUCUAGAUGAACCUAAUAGCUAUAAGGAAGCCAUGGCAGGCCCAGAGUCUGCGAAAUGGAAAGUGGUGAUGGAGAGCGAGAUUCAGUCCAUAUAUGACAACCAAGUUUGGAAUUUGGUUGAAAAUGUGCCCGGACAUAAGACGGUUGGGUGCAAAUGGAUCUUCAAGAAGAAGACCGACAUAGAUGGGAAUGUACACACGUAUAAGGCGCGAUUGGUGGCGAAGGGCUUUACUCAAACUCCCGGAAUUGACUAUGAUGAGACCUUCUCACCAGUUGCGAAAAUAAAGUCUAUAAGGAUGAUAUUAGCUAUUGCUGCAUUUCAUGAUUAUGAGAUAUGGAAAAUGGAUGUCAAGACCGCUUUCGUUAAUGGGACGUUCAUUGAGGAUGUUUACAUGGCUCAACCAGAGGGUUUUGUCGAUGCCAAGCAUCCCAAUAGAGUGUGCAAGCUUGAGAAGUCCAUUUAUGGACUUAAGCAAGCAUCUCACAGAUGGAAUAUUUGCUUUGAUGAGAAAGUCAAAGAGUUUGGAUUUGUACGAAGCGAAGGUGAAUCAUGUGUAUUUGUCAAAGCAAGUGGGAUUAUAGUUCGCUUCCUCGUCUUGUAUGUCGAUGACAUACUACUCAUGGGAAACGAGAUCCCGACUCUACAAGAAGUGAAGUCCUAGCUCGGGAAGUGUUUCGCUAUGAAUGACCUCGGAGAGGCUUCCUAUAUUUGGUGAAUAAGGAUAGUGAGAGAAAGAAGUAAGAGACUAAUAGGACUUAGUCAGAAUACUUACUUAGAUAAGGUACUAAAACAUUUUAGUAUGGAAAACUCGAAGAAGGGAGAACUACCGAUACAAAGUAAUGCCAAGUUGAGUAAGACUCAACGUCCGAGUACUGAAGCCGAGAUAGCUGAGAUGAGUCAAGUACCUUACGCUUUCGUUGUAGGCUCGAUCAUGUAUGAUAUGACUUGUACUCGCCCUAAUGUGGCCUUUACUUUGAGCAUGAUCAGUAGAUAUCAAGGGAACCCUGGCAGAGCGCAUUGGAUUGCGGUCAAGAAUAUCCUUAAGUACCUUCGGAGGACCAAGGAAUGGUUUCUAGUCCUCGGAGGGAGUGAUGACUUAAAGGUGGGAGGGUAUAGUGACGCCAGUUUCCAGAGCGACAGGGACAACUACCGUUCGCAGUCGGGCUGGGUUUUUACCCUUAAUGGAGGAGCAGUAACCUGGAAAAGUUCCAAGCAGGUAACUAUAGCUGAUUCAACGUGCGGAUCAGAGUACAUUGCAGCAAGCGAAGUGUCAAAGGAGGCGAUAUGGUUGAAGAACUUCAUUGGUGACCUUGGAGUUGUGCCUGCCAUCAAAGAACCUAUGUAAAUUUUCUGUGAUAAUCAAGGAGUGGUUGCCUUGACCAAGGAACCAAGGGAUCAUAGUAGAUCUCGGAAUAUCAGCAGAAGAUAUCACUUUAUUAGACAUCGAGUAGAAGAAGGAAACCUCGUGGUUAAGAGGAUAUCAUCAGAGGAUAACCUAGCAGAUCCGCUUACGUAGGGAUUGAGCAGGGUUAAGCACUUGCAGCAUGCUAGGAGCAUUGGGCUGAAGGAUGAUAUUAGUUUAGAUAAGAUAGUUUGGAAAGUUGUAAUUGAUAAAUGUAAUUGACAUUUGGUGAUUGAAUAAAGGAGUAUUAUUUAAAAGUUUUGUCUUAUGUUUAACUAUUAUUUCACUUUGCAUGUUUUGACUUCCAGAAUAAUUGAUUUUAUUAAGUAUAAUAGAAUUAUUCAAACAGUCCACAAUCGUUCAUAUGUUGGAAGUAGGUAUGAAUAAAGAUUGUCAUGAAUUGGUGUGUAGAUUGUCUAAAUGGUAUUAGACAAAGCAAAGGUUUGCUGCAACAUUCAUGAGUGCUUAUGAACAAGUUUUGAGCAUUGGAAUAAACCCGCGCUUACUGGAAUCACUUUAAGGAAUGUACCACAAGUGAUCGCAAGACGAUAAUAUCAUAUGGUCUUAAAACCUAGAUAUAUGGUUUGUUAUUUACUAAUUGGUUGUGCAUUGAUAAUGCGAAACCGCAUCAGUAAAUUGAUGUCAUAAAACGCAUUGUUGUGUAUAGUUGAUUAGUGAAUAAGUAAAUGCAUAUAAAUCGAAGUUUAGCUGUUACUUUUAUCCUAAGAGGGUAAAAGCGAUAUCACGACCGCUCGAUGAUUUGAUUUGACUUAUGUGCCGGGCCCAGUCAGGACUGAAUUGAUGUGUUGAAUUAAGUUUUAUGCCAUAUAUAUCUGAGAUCAAGAAAAUAACUGCUAGACAAUAAGUAUGACAAUGUUUCAUGAGAUUGUCUGCACGAUAUCAAAAUAGAGGACUGUACGAUCCCUUAUCUAAAGGACAUGAUACUGAUAAGAUUAGAGUUGACAACGUCUUUGAGAGCUACGAUUGCUAAUCGGAUUAUGUUUGUAGUUAUAGUUACUAGACUUAUCUAAGUGGGAGACUGUUGGAUUAGUGUCUAAGGCUGUAACUAUAAUUGGUAAGUACUUGACCCGGUUGUGCAUGGUCCUUUUGGGUUGCCUUCACCAUAGCAACUUAACAGGNAUCCGGUCGAGAGGACCGAAGGGGUAGGUCAGGCACCCAGAUAUGCCUGACAAAGUUCUAUGUCAUAUAUAUCUGAGAUCAAGAAAAUAAUUGCUAGACAAUAAGUAUGACAAUGUUUCAUGAGAUUGUCUGCACGAUAUCAAAAUAGAGGACUGUACGAUCCCUUAUCUAAAGGACAUGAUACUGAUAAGAUUAGAGUUGACAACGUCUUUGAGAGCUACGAUUGCUAAUCGGAUUAUGUUUGUAGUUAUAGUUACUAGACUUAUCUAAGUGGGAGACGGUUGGAUUAGUGUCUAAGGCUGUAACUAUAAUUGGUAAGUACUUGACCCGGUUGUGCAUGGUCCUUUUGGGUUGCCUUCACCAUAGCAACUUAACAGGGUGAUUUAUAUAGAGAGAAGACAUACUAUUAUUAAUAUAUUAUAAGAAUAAUAUGUUAAAGGAAUAGUAAUGUUAUUUGAUUAAUACAAGUCAUAAAUUAAUUAGGAAUUAAUUUUGUGACUUAAAGAGAUUAAUUUAAUAAAGGGGCAUAAACUAUCAAAUGUGUGAUAGUUGUAUUUUGGGCUAUGAAUCCUUAUGGACAUAGGAGGGGACGAUUUUAGGAUAUGGAUAUAUUAGAAAUCGUCCAAGGCCUUAUCUAGAAGGAUCUUUGGAUGGAUUUGAGGCUAAGUUAUCCAAUUAGGGUUUAAGGUGAAACCCUAGGAGCUCACAGUAUAAAUAGGCCCUUAGGGUUGGAGAUAUCGGCCAUUGUAUGAUUGAGAAUACCCUAGAGCCGAUUUCUGACCUCUCUCCCUCUCUUAAAUCAUCUUCUUGCUAGUAGCUGUUUGUAAGCCAUUAGAGGAGUGACAAUUGUGACUCUAAGCUCCAAAAAGAAGAAGUUUUCAAGAAAGUAACUCAAGGUAUUCUUCUAGAUCUGAAUUCAUAUGUUAUGAAUUGUUUGUUUACACUAGAUCUAGCCAUGAAAAGUCUUGGAUAUAUUGCAUGUUCAAUUAGAGAAACCUAGAUCCAAGCUUUGGGGUUUUCAUGUGCACAUAGGAAAGUUCUUAUGACUAAAACCCAUCACUUUCCUCUUUUGGUUGGCCGUUCAACAUUAUCCAGAGCUGCUUGCAUUUUAGGAGUAAGUUGUCGUGGUCCCAAGGGAGGAAGUAGUUUAUAUUUAGAGAUAAGUUUACUGUCUGAAGAAACAGAAUGGUACAUUGUGUCCAGAAUUGAACCAAUAUGGGAAAACCUGAUUGGAUCAGCCACAAUGAUCUUCUUGGUGUGGAAUGAGGAGAUAGAUGAGAGCAGGGAAUCCUUCAUAAUUGGAACGUUGAGAGAGGUUAUCUCCGUUUGAGAAACAAUGGUCCAAAAGCGACCACAGGAGAUAUCUGAAUGCUUGGUAGAAGAGGACAAGCUCUGCACCAGUUGGGUCCAAAUCAAAGAACCGUUGUCCAGGUUGAGGCUGUUGUAGAGACCAUAUAGAAGUGUCAUGAAGCAUUUAUUAGAACCAUCAGAUCCACCAACACGUUCUGCUAACCCCUUGUGAAGAAGGGUGAGUAACCCAUUCCAUUGAGAGGGUAAGCACGAUUUCUUAAUCAUAGUGAAGGUGGUGAGCACUUUAGUGUAACCCAUCUCGUAGAACAUCGAGAACAGUUGAGUGGUCUUGAUAAAAUCUAGAGAGAUGACUGAAGCGUCCACUACAAGCCCUAAGAGAGAGCAAAAUCUUCCUUUGGAAAUCGAAGCCUUGUGAGUAUGAAUCUGAAAGUAGAUUCUCUCUUUGUCUUUGUCAUAAGUUGUUGUGGAGUACACCUAGGAUAACAAGGACAUUGAAAAAAAAUCCACCUUCGUUAAAGCUAGCACAAGAGGGGAAUACUUAAGAUAUUCCACAACUUGAAGCAUGUAUGAAACAUACAAGAUCGGAGUCAUUUGGAUGAUCAUGUUCUGAUUAGGUUUGAUCAUGAGUAAAGAACAUGAAGCUGUCAGAUCGUGAAGAGAUGAUGAGUCCGCCAUUAUUGAGUUGAAGAAGAUGAACAAUAGACGAUCGGCUGGUAUAUUUGAGAGGAUUUGUGAAAGGUAAGAGAGUACAGUUAUGUUGCAAAUCCUUUAUAUACGAUUGAUAGGAGGGAGAAAGAAUCUAUUUGUGAUGAUGAUACGAUCUCUAAAAAAGCGCCUAUAGAAUAGGGAUUUAACAGAUUGGUUUCCCUAGAUAGUCGUCAUCAGGCGUGGUAUAAGGAGCCGUUUCUAAUUCACGCGCCCAAUUUUGGACUUAUCCACAAACACGUUUCAACUUCUUAUUUGUUGGUCUUCCCCAUGGCUCCUUUAAUGUUGGUGAACUGUUUGAUUCAAAAAUAACCCAUUUGCAUUACUUACUAGAAUUUAGGAAAAUCAUGAAGAUUUUCGUGCAUUAGGGUGUCAAAGAAAAAGAAAUAAAUCAAUAUGUGUGUGGGAUGUAAGUGAUAUCAUAUAAGACAUGAAGCAGCUGAUCCCGAGCACGAAUCUCUUCCUUCGAAGUCAAGAGAGACUUGAAGUGAUUGUAUGGUUUCCCAUUAGAAUAUGAUCAAAUGUCUAUUAAGAAACAUUGAAAGGCAUCUUUUCAUACAUAGGCUUUAGUGGGUGGCUAAUCUCCAACCGAACAUCGAUACUUAAGAUAAGACCGAAAGUUGGCCGAAGUACUUGUGAGACCAAUAGGGUCUGUUGAACAAGUAGGUUUGAUAUAUUGUGAGGAGACAGGUGAUGUGAUACAAGUUUAAAAAAAAAACUAAACUAGAUCCUUUGGGUAGAAAUUCAUUGGUAGUAGGCAACUUCAUAAAGAUCACAUAAAAAAUGAGACAACUGUUAGGUAACAAGUAAGAGCUUGAAUAUUAAAAUCCACCGUCAAUUCUUUAUUGGUGUUGGACUUUGGGUUUCACUCAGCACGUAGUACAAGUAUCUAAUAUCAUAAACACAUAUUUUUUGUAACCAUAAACCUCAGUGGUAAUAACCGAGAGUCUUAAGGGCUACUUUGAUGAAAUGAAAGAUAAUGAAGAAUUGAGAUGAGAGGGGGUUUAAAGAACCGAAAGUACCUCUGCUAUGUAAAAGUGACCAAGCAGAAAACUCUUUACUCAGUUGAGAAGAGUAAGGUAGCUCAUGACUAGAGUGAGUUUAAUAGCCUGAUUGGGAAGAAACAAUAAUAUAAUCGAUUCAUUAAGGCUUCACUCAUAGGCUUCGAGGCUUUGGUCUACAUGAAGCAGCAUGCUUCUAGGGACACUUAACUAGGUCAAGAGAAAUUUCAUACCUCCCCUUGUUUAAAAGCACAUAUUGUCUGUGUCUUUGAGACCUAUUAAAAAGAACAAAGAGAAACCACACGAAAUGCAAAAAAUAAAAUAUUUUUGGAUUUUGGUGAAUUUUUAUGAGAAAAGAAUUAUACCCUAAAAACUUAAAAAAAAUUAAAUAAAUAAGUAACAAUAAAAGAAAGAAAGCGAAAAACGUAAAAGAAAUUGAGCAUAAACGAUACAACCGAAUCUAAACUUUGAAAUAAUGAAGCGAAAUAGACCGAGCGUUCGGCUCAUAUCUGUUCCUUAAAAUUACAGAGACGAAAUAGACCAAGCGAUCGGCUUAUAUCGGUUCCCUAAAAAUUACGGAGCUGAAAUAGACCGAGCGAUCGGCUUAUAUCGGUUCCCUAAAAUUACAGAGUCGAAAUAGACCGAGCAAUCGGUUCAUUUCGGUUCCCUAAUUUUUCAUGGAACCAAAAUAGACUGAGUCACGUUCUAUUUCACUUAGCUAUCUUUUUAAGGAGUCGAAAGGUGUUUCAAUACCAAUACAAACUCUGCUUCAAUCAUGCCUAAGCCAUGUAGUAUCCUACUGAAACUCAUUUCAGGCAGAGCGUCAGUGAAAAUAUCGGCAAGUUGAUACGAUGAACAAAGGAAGUGAAAUUCCACAUUGCCAUCUUCAACAUGAUCUUUGAUGAAGUGGUACCUUAAUGCAAUAUGUUUGAUCUUGGAGUGUUGUACACACUUAUGAGAAAUCUUUAUUGCAUUUUCAGAAUCAGAGUAUAGAGGAAUCUUCUUCAUACUCAAUCCAUAAUCUCUAAGCUGUCAUUGUAUCCAUACCUCUUGCGAUGUGCAGGAUGUUGCUGCAAUGUACUCAGCCUCAGUUGUUGAAAGAGACACGCACGUCUGUUUCUUUGACUGCCAACUGACAAGUUUCCCAUCAAGAAAUUGGCAUCCUCCCAUUGUGAUUUUUCGGUCAAAUCCACAUCCACCUAGAUCUGCAUCAGAAAACGCUUGUAUAAAGAAUCCAGAAUUUGCUGGAUACCAGAAACUGAGAAAAGAUGUUCGCUUCAAAUAGUGAAAGAUAUUUUUCAUAGCUAUCAUGUGAGGUUCUCUUGGAUUAGCUUGAAACCUGGCACAAUAACAAACUAAGAACAUUAUAUCUGGUCUACUAGCCGUUAGAUACAUGAGAGAUCCUAUCAUUUGACGAUAGAGUGUCAUAUCAACAGCGAGUUUAUCCAGAGAUGGUGUCAUUUUUGUGCCAAACCCCAUGGGAACCUUCACCUUCGAAUCUCCCUCGAUUCCAAAUUUUGUUAGCAUGUUCUGGGUGUAAGCCUCCUAAUUUAUGAAUAUGCCUUCUAGUCCCUGUCUAAUGUUCAGUCCAAGAAAAAAGUUAAUCAGACCCAUUACGCUCAUUUCAAAUUUAGUCUCCAUCAACUUCCUGAAUUCAGCUGUUUGGCUAGGAUUCGUGGAGCUGAAGAUGAUGUCAUCGACAUAAAUUUAAACUAUCAUCAAAUGUUCGCCCUCUUUCUUACGAAAGAAGGUUGGGUCAACCGAACCUUGUUUAAACUUAGACAUUUUAAGAAAAUGAGUUAAGGUUGCAUACCAUGCUUUCGGUGCCUACUUUAAACCAUAUACCACUUUAUCUAGAACAUAGCAAUAAUCAGGAUAAUUUUCAUUCACAAAACCCGGUGGCUGCUCAACGUACACGGUUUCUUCUAUUUCUACAUUUAAGAAACCGCAUUUCACAUCCAUUUGGAAAACUUCAAAGUUUUUAUGAGCAGCAUAUGCAAGAAAUAUUCUUACUGACUCCAAUCUAGCUACUGGAGCGAAAGUCUCCUCAUAUUAUAUCCUUUCUUCUUGAAAAUACCCUUUGACCACUAGUCUCGCUUAGUUGCGAAUGAAAUUUCCUUAUUUAUCAAGCUUGUUCCUAAAAACCCAUUUUAGACCAACCACCGACGCAUCUUUAGGUGUGGGAAUCAAUCUCCAAACAUGAUUUCUUUCAAACUCAUGCAAUUCAUCUUGCGUUGCAUGUACCCAAUCGGCAUGAUCAAGUGCAGUAUUGACUGUCUUCGGUUCGAUUUUGGAUACAAACGAAUUAAACAUACAAAAUUCAACUUGAGAACAUAAUGCAAAGCGUUGAUUCACCAAUGAUCUGUGGUUUGGGGUGAUCCUUUGUCCAUUUAAUCAGAGGAGGGUAGUUUGGGUCAUAAGGUGGAUCCAACUCUGCAUUUACCUCUUCUUCAAGUUCUGAUUGAUCGUCUUCAUCAUUUGUAUUGCCAUUCUCCCCCUCAAAUGGCAAAGCGUAUCCCAUGUCAGGUUCAGAUAUAUCAUCCUCAAUUGUAAUGAAAUGUUCCCCCUCAAUUGGAGUUGGUUCUCCCCCUCAACUGGAGUUGGGUUCUCCGCCUCAACUAGAGUUGGGUUCUCCCCCUCAAUUGGAGUUUCAUGAGUUGGAGUUGGAUGCUCCCCCUCGACGUGCAGUUCUGCUGUGUUAGAGACAGAGGGUUGAUUCGCAACUGAGUUAAAAGAAUGUGACUCCAUAGCCUUUUCCGCUUCGUCGACAAUUUUCUGCAGAUGGUCUAUUUUUUUGUCUACUGCACUCGCCUCUGAUUGGAUAGAUUUUUCUGGUUCAUCGAAUAGCCUUAUGUAUUCUUCAAACAAGUUAGAAAUUGGAGCUAAGACUUGACCAGUUUCUGGGAAGNCGGUUGAAUGAUCUUCUUGAUAUAAGUGUCAUCGAAGGUCACAUAAUAGGUUUCUUCGAGAUGUUUGGAGUGCUUAUUCAGAACCCUAUAAGCCUUUAAAGUGAUUGAAUAUCCAAGAAAUAUUCCCUCAUCCGCUUUGACGUCAAACUUGUUUCGGUUCUCCUUGGAGUUAAAAAUGAAGCAUCUAGAACCGAACACAUGAAAAAACAUUAUGUUGGGCUUUCGAUUGUUCAAGAUCUCAUAUGGAGUUAAAGAGAAUCUUUUGUUGAGAAGGGAUCAGUUUUGAGUAUAGCAUGCACAUGCAAUGGCAUCAUCCGAGAAAUAUAAUGGCAGGGAAGCGAAACUAAGCAUUGUACGUGCAGCUUCACAUAAGGAACGGUUUCAUCUUUUAACGAUUCCAUUUUGUUGUGGAGUAUAAGGAGCAAAAAAGUUGUGUGUUACUCCCUUGUCAACCAAUAAGUAUUCAAAUUCGUUAUUCUUGAAUUCAAGCCCAUUGUCGCUUCUUAUAUUCCUUACUACCUUUCUCAGUUGAACUUCGACCUGCUUGAUGAAUGCUUUCAACUUGGGAGUUGCCUUAGAUUUCUUUUUAAGAAAGAAAACACAGGUGAAGCGAGAAAAAUCAUCUAUAAUAACAAGAAUGAACUUACUACCACCGAUGCUUUCGAUAGCCGAAGGUCCACACCAGUCAACAUGCAGAAGCUCAUGAGGUUCGAUGAUCUUUGUAUUGAUGCGUGUAGGAUGGCUCUUUCGGCUCUGAUUGCUCAUUUUACAUGCAGCACACAGGUGCCCCUUAUCGAAUUUAAGAGGAGGAAGACCUCUAACGUCAUCACCAAGCACUAGUUUGUUGAUGUCAUUGAAGUUUAGAUGCGAGAGACAUCGAUGCCACAGCCAGCUUUCAUCUGAUUUUGCUUUCGGCAGAAGACAUAUUGUCGGGUUACCCUUAAUAGGGUUGAGAUUAAGAGGAUACAUCUCUCCUUUGCGUUCAUACCUCAACCGAACCUUCUUUGUGUGCUUUUUAAUUAUUUCAGAACCCUCAUCAUCAAAAGAUACUUUCAACCUAGUUCCUAUGACUAAUUGUGAGACACUAAUAAGGUUAUGCUUCAAACCUUCUAUGUAAGCCACUUUUCUUAUAGAGAACUCUCCAUUAGUUAUCAUCCUAUAUCCAUUGAUUGUGCCAAAUGAGUUGUUACCAUACUUUACUCAUCCAACAUCCUUAAGGGACUGAAACUCCCUCAACUCUUCCUUCCUUCCUGUCAUGUGACGCGAGCAGCCACUUUCUAUAUACCAUUCGUCGUCAAAAUGCUCGUCACUUAGCACCUCCAAAUUUAAGCAGUUUUAGGAACCCAAAGUCUCUUGGGCCCUGGUGAGUCUUUUACAGAAAAAGGAAUAGCAACAGAAAGAUCAACAAGAUAAAUUCUUUUUAUUACUGUUGUUUCGUCUUUUCUUUUGAUGGUGUACACUUUUAGUUUAUCUUUGUCUUGUUUAAAUUGUAGUGUACUCAAAGAUUUUUUGAUAGUUGGAUUUUUCUUUUGAUCCCCACGGUCAGCUAUCUUUUUCUUAUUAGUAGUGUUAGUAUUUGAGUAAAGCUUUCCAUUUCCUUUGAUAUCCUUUGAUGAAUGUGCCAUAUUGAAUUUGAAAGAAGGAUCAAAACUGUUCUUUCGGAUCUGAUCUUUGGUUUUGGGAUUGAGAGUUGAGGUUCGGCUCUGUGCAUUGGAGUUAGGACCGAAACUGGGGGUUUGGUUUUGAACUCUAUUGUUGUUAGGACCGCAACUGGAGGUUCGGCUCUUUGCACUGUUUAUGGGACCGAAAUUGGACAUUCGGUUCUUAGAAUAAAAGGAGUGGGGUCUGAAACUGGGCUUUUCGGUUCAGCUGAUUGCCAGCCUCGUUUGACGGAAAUCUAACUUGAGUUUGUUUCUUAGAUGUGACAAAGUCAGGAUUUUGUGACUUCCAAAACCGUUUUCUCUCCCUUAAUUUUUUCCUAUAUCUCUAAUUUCUUUGGUGCUUCUGGUCGCCCAACUGUUCUUGACAUUUAUGAAUAUUGAAGCUUGGUUUCGGUUUUGGUUUCUCCUUUUGUGAUUCGGUGUCACACCCCCGAACCGGACGGCGGAAACGUCCGAGGGCUCUUGUGACUCGAAUUGAAUACCAUCACAAUGAAUAUACAUGAAUCAUAACAUAAUUCAACACCAUGCAUUGGAAUAUUACAACUGAUAUUGUUUACAUUCCGUACAUUGUUUUAGACAUUACAAUUCCAUAACAUAAAUUGUCUGAUAGAUAAUUUAAGCAAAACACCAUGACAUUUCUUGAUACUUAUCCUUCAACUUACCUGUUACCUGAGAAUACAAGUUAUUUUGAAAAAACUUCAACAUAUAAAAUGUUGGUGAGUUCAUAAGUGUUGUUAUAAUAAAAUGAUUUGGUGAAACUUGUAAAACCCAGAAAAUCCGAUAUUUUCUGAAAAGAGUAAUUGUCUAUAUAAAAAAAAAGUGUGAAGAUCCGUAAAUAUGCUUGUUGAUUUUCAAAACAUGUAUAAUUGUUGAACUUUUUAUACAUCACACAAGUGAAAAUGCUGAACUCCUUAGGAAAACCCGAUGUUUUCCCCAUACGUAAUAUACAUGACUUGUUUAUUGUUAUACCGAUACGUGAAUGUUUUUGAUUACCCAGGUGACAUUGGAUUAAUUAGGGUUUGUGAGUUGUUACAAUCACGCAUUAAUGAGAAUGACUAGUUUAUAACCACAGGUUAUGAACGAUCCUUAAGGCGUCGUCCGUACUACUCACUUAAUCCAACCACCCUGACUUCUCUUGAUUAACGCCACAAAUCUGUUUACUUGAAUUCUCAUAGUCGGUCAACCGAGGAGAAAGGAGGGUACGAAGCCCCCUUUUACUUCCAGGAGUUAUUCCAGGCUAUCGGGAAUGUGAAGAGCACUUAGUCCCACUCGCAUUUGACUUCUCGACCUCGCUAGCAGUACUAAUGGGCCCUUAGGGCCCAAUAACACAUUUGAGCUAUUGAAGUCCUUUUACAUCGAGUUGGGUCAUAGAAGGCCCAUCAACACGUAAGCGCGUUCCCUUCGGGCCCAAAGAUAAUGUUAUUGGGCUAGCAAGGCCCAACAAGCGUGAUUUGAAACUUUCAAGCCCAAAUUUUGUAUGUUGAGUCAUCAUAGUUAUCGCGUGUUUAACGAAUUACUUGGGUUAUUGAUUUUUGUUUUGUUAUUGAUUUGAGACCGAAUCAAUUCGUUUUGUAACGACAUUUGUUGUUGAGAGUGUAUUUGUUUUUCCGUUUCUUUGGUAGUCGUGGAUUCUUUUAUUUUGUCUUAAUGAAUUAAUUUGUUCAAAAGUAAGAUUUUUACCUUUUCACAAACUUUCUUUUAUAAAAAUAACACUUUUAGUCCUUUAUAUAAAAGAAUUUCAUUUUUAGUCCUUAAAACAUUUUUUUGACACUUUUGUAUCAUAAACUUGCUAAAAAGACAUUUUUAAUCCAAAAUUUAUUUUGUAAACAGCUUUAGCCCUUCCAGGAUGAUGUUUUCAGGGUUAAAACCCCCAAUUUCGGAACUGUUACAGUUUUGGCCCAAAAUAGAAAAUGUUUACAUUUUUGAUCCUUUUUGAAUUUGAGAAGCAUUUUUUUCAUUGGAAAUAGUUUUAUUUCACUUCAAAUCCCCUGUUUUACAGAAAGUUACAUUUCCAGCCCCUCAAACUUGUAAAUUUCGCAUUUUGAGGCUUAUUGGGCCGAAAAGCCCAAAUCUAGCCCAUUAAGUUCAAAAUUUACAUUUUAAGUCCCCUAAAAAUGUUGUUGUUCAGAAAAUUUAUUAUAGAAACUGCUUGGACACUUUUGACCCUCCAGAAACUAUAAAUUUGUCGUUUUGUACCCUAAGUUUUGUAUUUUUGAUAAUUUAAGCCCAAAAAUGGGUUUAAUACUAGAUUAUGUUCAUCAUGACCUUAUAAGCCAUUUUUCGUGACUUGAUUAGUGUAUAAUAACUUAAGUUAUGUUUAUUUCCUUUCUCAUGCCUUAGAUCUCGCUUUUUACACACUUUUUGAUAACAUAUUCAUCACAAAACACAUGAUAUCACACACAUACACGCAUCAAAUCACACAUAGUGUACAUUUACACAAAGAUCUACACAUUUACUUGUAUUCUCCCCCAUAAAACUCAUAAAAACCGAAAAGGAAGCGGUAUGAAACUCACCUUGGGUGUGGUUUUGGUUUUGGAAGGAAAAGAUGAAGAAGAAUUCGAUCCUAGCAACCUUUCUUGGAGGAUCUCGAACUUAGUGUGCUCUAAGAUGCAAGAUCAUGAGUUUGAAUGAAUUAAGAGACGAAUUUUGAUGAAAAGAAGUGAGUUAAAGCAUGGAUCAAACAAUCAACUUACCUUGGAUGAUGAUUUUGUGGAAGAAUCUCUUUGAAAGUCUCUAAGAUCUCGAAAGUUUGGAGAGAAAUGGAGAGAGUUUCUUGAGAGAAUUUUGAGUGAAGUGUGUGUGUGUGUGUGUUUGUUUGGAUUCGGCCGAGAGGGAGAGAGGGAGAAGAAGAGAGAGUGAGCUUGCAUGGAAAGAUGAGAAGUGCAUGGAUGUUUGAAGUGUAAUGCUUAGAUAUCCCCCAUACAAAAAUGAUGUGGCAUGCAAGAAGUCAACUCUUCCCUUUCUUUUGGGCUUGGGCCGAGAUUUGGAGAGAAAAAGGAAGGAAUUGAGCCCUUAAAUUCCUAAGUCCAAAUCAUAGCUAAUUUAGAUAACUAUUGGCCCAAAAUAAAUCAAGUAAUGAUUUUUAUGGCCCAUUAGGGCUAAUUUAGGUUAGUUAUGGCCCAAUGAGGUUCAUUUAAAUAUUUUGUUUCAUUCUAGGCCCAAUAUGGCCCAAAAUAUUAAAAUAAAUGAAAGUGGGUCCUAUUAGAGCCCAUUCAAGAGUUCUAAGCCCAUGAUAUUCCAAUUGGAAGCUUAUUGGUCCAUUGGGCCCAAUAAGGAAAUCCUAGUCCAAAAUGGACUUAAACAAAGACUUCUAGGGUUUCCAAUUAUUCGUUGACUAUUUGUAGUGCUUGUAUGAAGUGGUUGAUUGAAAUUUUGUUUUCAUAGAGUAAGCAUCAUGCAUGCUUUCAUGUUUUUGAUUCAUAGUUGUCAUAAGUGUUGUAGUAACAAGGCACCAAAAAUUUCUAGUUGUGACAUUCGGUUGGAUAGGACUCCUUCUUUGGUUCUUCUAGUGUCUCUUUCGUUCCAUUCGUGCUCAGUUUGGCGAAGCUUGAGGGUUUGUUAAAAGGCUCAGGAACAUAUAUACCUUAUACUCUCCGUGAGGUUUGUUCUGACAAGCCGACCGUUUCGUCUGCAUUAUCGAUGGAAGCGGAACAAAAGUAAUCGUCACACUCUCCAACAUUGUCUUGAUCCACCAAGAUCUUCAGUUCAGCUGUUUGUUUUCAGACACCCCUUUAACAGCAUAGACUUGAUUUGGUACUGUUUGAACUUUCUGGUAGACCGUUGCCAUCUCUUUGAGUUUCGUUGAUUUGUCUUUUGAUAAGCGAGCAUAUUCUACCGAGUUUUCAAAUAUAAGUGGUUUUUGAGUCUCGAUUUUUAGAAACUCAGAACAAUCAACUACAUCUUCUACGGAGAUCUCACUCAUCUCACUUUCCUCAUCAAAUUCAGACGUACUAUCAAUAUUCAUUUUAUGUUCGGUCAUCAAUUUGGCGUUUGAUGAGUCAAAUGAUUGUAUAGUCUUUGUCUUAAUUUUCACCUAUCAUUUUCAUCCAAGAGUUGUUUAAGCAUGCAUUUGUGUUCUUUAGAAUCAAUGAAAGUCUCAAUUUUGUCCAGACUGAUUUUGUAAUUGAUGGAAGUCUCUUCAGAGGACAUAAUCGAUUCACAUUCAGCAAUUACCUCAUCCUCCUUGAACUCAAGGAAAGGCAAGAUCAUCUUAUGAAUCUUUUUCCGUAUUUCACAAUCUAAAUGUAAUUGCGUAAUAUUUGUAUAUAAAUGUUUGGCAAUCAAACAAAACACAUUACGUUGUUUCAAAAAUUUUAAAUUGUCUCAUUGCAAAUAAAUAAUUUCAUCUCUAGACCUAACUAACUCUUGCUCCUUCAGCUCAAUCCACAUUCGUCUCACCUCACUCUUCAACGACGCCCUGCUGAGUUGGUUACUUAGGUUAGAGUUGGUUAGAUGUGGUUGAACGAGACUUCCACUUAUGUUAGAGAAUUUAAAUUUUAAAUCAUUUAAUUCCUUUUCGUAAUCGAUUACCGGGUUUUAAGAGAUUCAAGGAGAGAUUGUACCUUUUUGAUCAAAUGAUCACAGUCGUUGAUCUUCUCACUAACUGGCUCGGCUGCAAAGCACAGGUCUUCAUGCAGGUUCAGUUCCUGAUGCUUGCUCUCAUUUGAUAUGCCAGCCGUUACCAUCAAGCACCUUCCAGCCAUCUUCUCAUCCUUUUCUCUCACCACAAAUGCCCUUCCAUGCGUGGGCUUUCUCACCUCUUCGUCCGUUGAAUCCGUAGACCAAAUCUGGACACCACCAAAUUCAUCAUCAACCACAUUUUCUUGAACAAUUAAAGCAUUCAUUGGACCAACAUUAGAUUUAUUCUUCUUUAUCUCCACAAGCUUUCUCAUGUGAUAAGCUUCGUCGUCUUCACUCUCUCUUCUUUCAGCUAACUUUUUCAACAUGCAAUCUUUCGCAAAGUGAUUAUUGUCGUGACAGUAAUUGCAAUCGUACCCUGAGUCACCCACCAAUUUGUUUUCCUUCUUUUCAUCUUCUUUCUGUGAUGUGUUCUUAGACUCUUCCUUCAUCUUUUUAGAACUGUAGCUUCCUUUCCAGUUUUGGUUUUUACUGAUAGAGAAUUUCUUUCGAGCGAACUUCUUUGGAUUUGUUACCAUCAUUGCAUACUCCUCAUUGGUAAGAUCGCAUUCUUACAUGCCUUCUUCCUCUUCUUCUUUCAUCACACUUUUGCUUUUUGAGACAAUAGCCAAUGAACUGACACCUGAGACCAACUUUGCUUCUUUUUUAAGCGUGCUUUCAUGAGAUUUUAGAAUCCCCAUCAGUUUCGCUAAUGAAUAUGCUUUGAAUUGUUCGUGUGCUUUCACAGUCGAGGCAACCGCCAUCCACUCGGGUCUUAAAUUGUUCACGAAAGUGAAUUUUUAUUCAAUAUCUUUCCUUUCAAAACCAUGCUUUAUCAUCUUACUGAGCAGAUGAUUGUACCAAUUAAACGUCUGAAGUAGAGUUUCUUCAGGUUUCUGUGCGAAAGCCUCAAACUCAGAGAGUAGCAGUGAAUUGAGUGCUCUAGAUCCUCGUCGGUUGAAUACAGUUCUUUCAACCUGUCCCAUGUCUCUUUAGUGGUAGUGCAAGAGCUCACCAAACGGAAGGUGUUAGCUUGUAAGGUGAAUCUAAUCAAACUCAAGGCCUUGACAUUACACAACAAUUUACCUUUCUCGUCUUGUGGAGUAUUUUUCACGUCUGCUAGCAAUUUGUUAUACUCCUUUUGAGUUUUUACAGUUAUGUUUGUUCCAGAGUGAACAAAUGGACCUAACGUGAUUGCUUCCAUGAUGAGAUACUCAUUAUCCUCAGAUCCAACCACAAAAUCUUCAAAGUGAUAUGCCCAUACUUCAUAAUCUUAUGUGUAAAGAAUGGGUAUUCUUGUAAUGGAUCCGAUGUUGUUGGAGAUGUUGAUGGGAUUCGAUUAAGCAUCUUCUUGAGACAUGAUGAGCCUUCCUUGAUACUGCUAGAAUCUGACCUGUAAACUUGAUAAUAGGGUUUUAUCAAACACACCAGUUACCGUCGACGGGAAGAAGACGACUCCUAUAUAUUCGAUAAAAGCUGAAACCUUAUUGUGUUCUUCAAACAGAAGGAAUGCGUAUUUGUUACACAGUCUCGUGCUCUGAUACCAGUUGACGAAAUUAACUCUAGUAGGAUCGAUAGAUUCUAAACAGAAAACAUAACAAUAAUAAUAUGAAAAACACAUGUAUGGCUCAAACGUUGUUGAAUGAUUAAAACUUUCACACCUCAGAAGAGCUCGAUUAAGANAUUAAGAAUUUAAUGUGGAGGUGUUUAGGGUUACAAACGAUAAUAAAGAUAAUGAAUCUUGUUCUAAUUUAAUGCAUACAUGCAUGCACUAUAUAUACUACAUAACCCUAGUAAAUCACAGAUGGACAGGCCCAAUCUGGUUUAUACAAAAUAUCAUCCCAUGAGGCAACACAAUAAUCCUACAAAUAUGAAUAUGCACCAGCCUAUCAGAAGAAACCAAAACAAGGUUAGUCACACACCUAAAACAGGAAUCCAAGGUCUUUGCCUAGAAAUCCAUAGAUAUGAAAAGAGUCGACCGCGAGGUAACGGAGCACAACUUUAAUGUUAUCCCGGGAAGCGUCCCCAUCCAUCAAGAAAAGAGGGGGCAAGCGAGGGACCGAAAAAGGCAAUAAAUGCAAAAGUGGCGAAACUAGUAGACGCAGACAUUCUUUAGGAGGCAGUUUUCCCUACCUAGAUAGAAAAUUAAGGGAUGGUAAAAAAAACUAGAUGGUUCAUGGCAGAUGUGUACUGAUUACUCCGACCUAAACAACACCUGCCCAAGAGAUUACUACCCUUACCAAGAAAUAGACAAAAAAAGUUGAGUUCUUUGAGGGAUUUCAGUUCAAAUAUUUCCUCAAUUCCUAUAAGGGAUAUCAUCACCUUGAGAUAAGAAGAGAAUAUGAAGAGAAAACUGCUUUUCAUACAGAUCAUAACACCUAUUUCUACCACAAGAUGCCAUUCGGCUUUAGGAACGUCGAGGCAGCAUACCUGCAUCUAAAGGAUAAAGUGUUUGCAAAUCAAGUCAAUAGAAAUGAUAAAAUCUAUGUCGAUGACAUGGUUAUCAAAAUCCAGAAUGUAGUAGUAUUGUUGCGCGACAUCCGAGAAAAUUUUCAAACAUUAACAAUGACAAAGAUGAAAGUGAAUCCAAGUAAAUUUACUUUUGGUGUGGAGGAAGGCUAAUUCAUGGGUUAUCAGAUAAAUAACGAAGGAAUCACACCAAACCAGACCAAGAUACAAGAGUUCCUCGACUCUAAAACCCCUGACAAUCUCAAAGGAGUACAAGAAAUUAAUGGAAGGUUGACAAUACUUGGUAGAUAUAUCACCAAUGGGGCAUAAAUAUUGUCGAACAAUAUCCAACUGCCAUGGAUAAAGCUAAAUUCUUACUGAUCGUUGUCGAUUACAUCACUAAAAGGAUCAAGGCGGAACCUCAGACCACCUUCAUUGGAAAACAUAUGAUAAAGUUCAUGUGGAAGAACAUCCUCACAACUUUUGGCACCCCAAUGAUCCUAAUUAGCAAUAAUGGCACCCAAUUUUAUGGCAACCCCUUCAAGGAAUUGUGUGAAGAGACGCAAAUCCAUCGUCGAUUCACCUUAGUGGCUCAUCCACAGGCCAAUUACCAAACGAAGGUAUCGAACGAGACAAUCUUUGGUGGCCUUAAGAAGCGCCUAAUGGAGUCUAAAAGAGCUUGGGCUGAAGAAUUGACCAUAGUGCUCUCGUCGUAUCGUACGACCUCCAGAUCUAGUAACGAGGAAACACCCUUUGACCUAAAAUACAACAUACAGAGAAUACUCCCACCUGAAAUCUUGGAUGGAUCACUAAGGGUGAUGGACUUUGAUGUGAACGCCAAUGAAGUUCGACAACGUCAAUACCUAGUCACCCAGCUCUGCCAAGCUGCCUACAAAGCUCGCACCAAAAAUGACUACAAUCGACGUGUACCAGUGAAGACCUUCAAACUAGGAGACUGGGUAUUGAGGCAGAAUGAAUCAAAUCAUCCCAACCCUAGAUAAAGUUAAGUGUCACCUAAUAAGGCCCAUACAAAUAUUGGAGAUGCACCAGAAUAGAGCUUAUGUCUUGGAAACACAAGAUAUGAGGCACAUAUCCCAGACACGAAACGCAUACAAUUUGCACAACUUUUACUCCUAAAACAGGGAGAAAAGACAAAAUAAAACAAUCCAAGGUCGAGGGCAACAUAAUGUAACUCCAAGUGGAAAAUCACACCUAAACAUUUAGCUCUAGCUUUUGGACCAUUUUCGUGUCAAAGUUUAGUCAUUUUUGUCCUCAUUAAAUAUUGUUGAUAUUUCUGGAACAUUAUUAAUAGAAUGAUGGAGGCUGACUUUUUUUUGAAAACAAUUAGAUGUUUAUUAUUAUUCAUACCUGAUAUCAUUUCAAUAAUAGGUUGUUCACAUUUACCAAGUGAUAACAAGGAGUGAUCAUACACGUCACUUGAGCAAAAUUGAUGCAAGGAUGCAACCAUAUGCUUUAAAGGCUCAUAACCUAUCCCUAAAUGUGUCAAUCUAACUCAAAGGACCAUAACCUUUUCCAACAAUAUGAAGAAAGGGUUUAAAGACUCAUAACCUUUCCUUUGAUAAAAAAAAUAUAAGUAAGUCCUAAACACUCGAGGUGAUGAUCUCGACCUAACUUAGAAGACUAGGGCAAGAGUGUAACUCUUAUCGGCCCAAGACUUAGAAAAAAGACUUAAAGAGUAACAAGAAAACUUUUCUGAAAAGCGAACACCCUAAUAAGAGUGAACCAACCAAGCUCAAUAAAAGAAGGCUAGCCAAGGCCUUAGCCUAAAAACAUACGCCAAUGACGAGAAGAAAAGACAAACCCCGAGCUCACGAGGGCGAAAUCUCGGGCCAAAACCAACCUAGUAAAACAACUAAGUUGUUGAACUAAAUAACUUUCACCUACAAAAUGGAUGAUUCCUUUGAGUCUUAGCACCAUACAAAGCAAGUAGGAGUGAUUCCCAGUCAACUCCUAAGGCCAACACAACCCUUUGGAAAAAAAUCCCCUUAAUGGGAAAAACAUGAACAAAUGCACCUCAUAGGUCAACAUUAACCUUCAAGAAGAAACCAAACCAAUGGCCCACAUAAACCUUCUAGGAACAAAUCAAGCAAUCUGUUAACAAAAUAUAUACCUCGCAAUUUGAUACACGAAUACACAACUCUGACAGAGACACGACAUGACACAAAUAUAUCUUCAAAAUUGAUAUAAAACUUAUUUCUCAUCGUGUAAUUCUAUUGUGUGAAAUUUGUGGACGACACGUUUUAAUGACACAAAUACAUGAAUUUCUAGGUCAAACAAAAGAUAACCAUGCCACUAUGAAACAAAUUAAAACAAAUUUUCUGCCAGACACCUCCUGGCAUAGAAGAAGACCAUGCAGGGCCACAAACCAAGUUAAACAUCAUUCAAACUUUGUUUAUAAAACACGGACAUCAAAACAACAAACCAAUGGGAGAUCAAUUACGAGGUGUAUUGGAAGAGGGUCUAACAUUCGGAGAACUACCUGCCAAUUGGUUCCCUUUGGCGUCGGAAUCACGACACAGGUGACACAUGCCCACCAAAUCUAGUACUACUAAUUAGAUAUAUGAACCAAAGUUUGCCUCCAUAAAGGCCUACAUAGAGGCGUGCAUUGCCUUGGUACGUUCCAUAAUUGCACUCAGCUCCUUUGUAUCAAAAUUUCCGAUGAUGACUUUCUCUCGCACCACCUGUUUUCCACCCUCCAUGUCGGCACCACACAAGAUUCCUUCAUUAGUCAGACUCCCAAUGGGAACUCAAUGCUCUUGAUGACCUGAUCUACCAUAUGAACAAUACCAUUUUGGAGUAGCCAUUUCAUGUCCAGCUCUAAAAUCCUUCUCUCCGACUCCUCAAUCAACAAUUUCUCACCUUGCUUCUUUACCUGUUCCUCCAAAGCCCUCUUUUCCACCGUGAAGUUCUCCAAUUGCUGUGACAGGCUCUCCAGUUUGCUAUCCAAGCUUUUCACUUGAUCCUCCACUGAAGCUCUCUCCCUGUCCAAUAAAUCGUAGGGCUCUUCAAACUUUCGCUUCCUAUCCUUAAGACACAUCACUUUACACUCAAUUUGUCGUGCUCCACUUUGACAAUGAUCAAUUAUGCAAAGUUUGUGUCCACAUGAUGCAGGCACCUAGUGGCAGCCACCAAGUAAGGGGAAAUUUGGGCCACUUCAUAUUGCAAGUUGUUCACCAUAUGGGAAUUGGAAAGGAACCCCGGUACUUCCAUUAUUGUCAUACGGAAUUCAUGUCAACACCACUCAAACGCAACAAUAUGUUGUGUGAGUAAAGACACAUCAGUAAGUAUCCAUCCCUGGAGAUAAAGGCCAUGAGCCACUAAUACAGAAGGGUAAAUGCCAGAAAUGUUGUUUUCCAUCAUCGAAGACCAAGUAUGGACAAGAGCAGUUUGGAGGGAAAUCUCCAAUUUCUUUUACACUUACCCCCAUCAAUGUCAAGGCAAGUAACAUCCUCCUCUUCUUUCUUUGGUUCCCGAGGCGAUUCUGUUCUCAUCACCGGGGAUGUCGAUUAUCAUGUCGGACUCCCCCAACAAAAAAUCGACGUUAAAAUUCUUGCACAAAUGCUUGCCAAUAGUGUUAGCACCAACACAUAUCUUUACAAGAGGGGAUUCCAUCCAAAUUAUUCGACGCUAUGUAAUUGUAUGGUCAUUUUCAAUCAAAACCUCCUUCCCCUAUUCAUCUUUAGAGGUUUAAGGGGGAGGAUCGUCAUCGGAAAUUCCACCAUUACGUACAUCCACCAAACUAGGGUUGACCAAGGUAAUGGAUCCCUCAACGCUAAUGGCGGGAGGAGCAACAAGCACCAACAUCCGAUCGGCAGUAAAGGGUAGAGGAAUAGUCUCCACCUACUCCAUCUCAUGAUACUAGACAUGGACUUUGUAUUUUUGCUCCACAUAACCAUAUCAAGGCAAAAGACUUUUUCUUUACCUGCAAGUGCAAAAAAUUGAGUUACCAAACUCCUUUUUACUCCAAGAAAAGAAACCAAAAAUGGGAGGAGGAGGAGAAGAGUACUCAUCAUCCUCUUCCACAAAGAACUGAGGCAUCUUCCCUAGGGCCUGCCAAAUGGUACUCAUUCCUGCCUCCGCCAAGCUAAAAUCCUCCAAAUAUUCUCCGACGAUACAAAUAUUUCUCAACGCCUGUGCCACAGUCAGACUAGCACCCAACAGUAAUAUGGCGCUUGGCCAGAGAAAGUUGUCAAAUAUGGAUGACCAGAACCAACCAGGUUUUUUAUUAACACAAAACCACUUGUCUUGUCAGGUCUUCCAAGGGGCCUUCUCUUUGAUGAUGAAUAUGUGGAUGUUUCACCCCUAAGAGAAGGUAUGAACACCAAACUGUGUAUACGAGUUAAAGUAAGAGUUAAAUGCCCAAAAUUAGGGAAGAUCACCAAGUGCUUUGCAAGACAAUUCGAACCCCACUAUCUUGUAAAGAAAGUUAGAGGUGAAAUUGUCCACAGAAAAAUCCAUACAAACACAAGAUUUCAUUGAAGAAAUCAGUCUUCAGUAACCAAAACCACACUUCAAAGAUUAGGAUGGGGACUCCAACCUUGUCCAUCGGUGGCUAAUGGAUGGUAGCCCCUUUCUUGCAAACUAGACUCCAUGCUACGGCUUGAAACCAAAGUAGAGGUGCAGAGACUCAAACACCUCCAUAUUCAGCUCGAUUCCAGAUCAAUCAAUUGGCAUUGUUGUAUUAGUGCAAACACGAGAGAGAAGAAGGAGGGAGCAAACAAAAUUCUAAAGCAAUCGAGAAUGAAAAGGGGAAAGAAAACUACUCUUGACGCGAUAGGUAUAAAUGAGGAGGGGAAUAUCGAACCAUCUCCAUGAUGGAACCAUCUAUUGUAAUGACCUUUUCACAUCAAUCGACUGUCCGAACCAUCUUCCUUGAACAAGUGUCCUGAUCAAGGCUAGAGCGACUCACUACGCUGCGCCAAUGCAUAUGCCUACAAACCUAGGGGACUUUUUAAUGUAUCCCUCUAGGAACAAGUUAAGGAUAACAUAACUACUUUCUUUAGGAUGACCUAUCUAACUGUCACUAACCAUCCUACUGCAAAACAUGAGCAAGUUUGGAUCAAUAAAGAUUGGGGCUCACAAUUGCUUUUCUAAUGGAAUUAUUCUUCAAUAAUGCAUACAAAGAAUACACACUAAGGCUUCUAGACACUCACAACAUGGAUAUGGUUUCUAGGUUGCUGGAUCAGAGAGUGGAGGUCGAGCAUGAGGAGGCCCUCAAGGAGUUAGAGCCUCUAAAUAAUGUUCAAAUUCCAUCAAUUAGGGAUCAGAUUAUGCACUCCUAUGCCCAUCUUAGAUAUCUUUACGGCCAACGUAGAGCAUUAAACCCUUACAUGGGCUCUUUAACUAUGCCCAACAUAGGAGGCUAUCCUACACCCAGCAUAGGAGACCCAAAUUGUAUAAAUGGAAAAGAUUAAAUAUUAGAAAUCAUACCUAAGGAUACGAGUGUUACAAUGCUCUUGUGAUCUUCAAAAAAUAUUUGAUCAAAAACAUAUGCAAUCCUAGAUGUACCAAGAAAGAUCUCACUUCUCUAACAAAUAUUGGGAAAGGAAGGGUUUGGAUAACAUCAAUUUUGAUUUAUCAUUUUACUUCCCUUCCUGGAGAUGAUGUGUCCCAAGAUGAUGCCUUGAUUGACCAUCAAGUAACAUUUCUCGAAGUUCAAGACCAACAUCUUCUCAAUGCAUAUUUUAAAGAUCUUCAUGAGGUUGCCCAAGCAUUCAUCAAACCAAUUUUCAUAUAUGAUGUAGUCAUCCAUGAACACUUCAACUAUAGUCUAUAACACCCCUGGCUAGGGCCCAAUUGUAAAAUCAUUUUCGAACAAAAUGUAAACUCUUUUAUGUUCAAAAGUUUAAAAAUCAUGCAUAAAAGUUUAAUGGUCCCAAAAGGUUAAAUAAAAGUUUAAGAAGCGAGGUUGUUCAUCAGGUAUCAUAACAAAUUUUCAAGUUCCCCUUAAGUGGGAGUCUUCUAAAAUCCAUGCUACCUCCUAAGCACCAUGCCUCUAAUUCUAAACAUACAUCCAAAAUAAGUUAGACAAUGAAAUGUCUAGUGAGUUACUCAAGGAUCAGCUCAUUUUGAGUAAGGAAUAGAAAUCCCACCAGUUGAAUUAUUCGUGCCAAAAUUUAUAAUUAACAUUAUCAUUGAAAAAGGGUUGUUAAGGACUAAAUAAAGGUUAUGAACUUCUUAAAUACUUAUAUAAGCUCUAUUCUCAUGAAAACUUAAUCAUUAAGACAUUCUUGAUGUCAAUGAGUUUUUAGAUUGCUUAUAUGAGCAUCAUAACUUAUUAAUAUUUUAUAAUGACUUCAAAUGAUCAUAUAUUAACCAAACGUUUAUUUGAACUCAUUAUGCAACUAUAAAUUCAUCAGAUAACGUACCACUAAACUAUCUAGCUUCAACAUUGAAAUCCAUGAAAUGGAAUUAGAGAUUUCAUUCAUGAGAUUGCAUAAAUGGUAGAUCUAAUCCUCAACUGAAUCAUUUCAAGACCAUUCAAUGUCCAAAAGAAUGUUCCAAAUGCAUAACAUCAUGCUAAAACACAUCCUAAGGAUCCUAGGCACUUAGGGCAACUGCGGAAUUGCCAAAUUCAUUCCACAGUUUUCUAUAUUGCCAUUUUUGUCCCAACAACCACUAGAACCACUCUAGGAUGUGAAGAUUCUUCAUUUUGACCUUCAAUUCGUAAUCCAUAGCAUAGAACUUUGAUUAUGAACAUUACAUCCUCCUUAUAUCACCUACAAUCACUAUUAAAGUUCAUACUCCAAACUUCUCUCCAAACUUCAUAUUCCAAGUAAAUGAUUCUUCUAUUUCUAGAAUUGUGAUAUUCUAUGGAGAUUUGCAAUCAAUCCAUUAUGAAUAUUCAUGGAAUCAUAUAAGGUCUAGAUUAUCAAAUCACCAUUAUCAUUGGAAAAUCUUUGGUUUGCGGUUAUUUAGCAAUCUCACCGAAAUUCAACCAUAGGAAGGUAGAUUUCAGCUAGAGGCUAACAUAAUCACUUUUGUUUGCUUAGAACACAAAACCCUAGUCCUCAAAUGAGAUGAAAACCGUAUUCAAAACCAAACAAGAAUUGAAUUUCGGAUUUUCACACCAAGGGGGAAAGAAGUUGUACCUUAGACCACUAGAUUGCUUCACAAUGUGCUCCAAAUGAACUAGACACGCUUGGGAUCAGAUUGUAUCAUCUUCAAUGCUUGAAUCGCCAGUUCUCAACAACCUAAACCCCAAAAUGGAUCCCAUCUGCUGGAAUGAAGAGUGUGAGCCUUUUAUUUCUAAAUUUUACACUUUCCACCCCUUAAUUUUGAGUUUUUUGUAAUUGUGACCCAAUGUUCUAAUAACUUGGAAUAUAACAUUGCUAGUGUACAUUCCAUGUCCUUCCCCAUCAAAACACGAGAAACCUAAUCCUAAGUAGCCAAAAUGGGUCAAAGUCAAGUCAAAUCAUAUUUUGGAUAACUUGACACAUAUAGUCCUUAUUUCCAAAAUAUUGCAAAUUUUUUUAUUCUUGAUCUCUAAAAUGUUUUAUUCUACUUCAAAAACUAAUUAUUCGUUGUCUAUGUUAUUUAUUUAUCUAUCUAUUUAUUUUAUUUGUUAUUAUAAUUAUCAUUGUUAUUAUAAUUAUUAUUAUUACUAUUAUUAUUAUUAUUAUUAUUAUUAUUCUUAUUAUUAUUAUUAUUAUUAGUAUUUUAACGAGAAACUUAAGCCUAGAUUUCGAGAUGUUACAUAUUAUAAACAUACUCGAAGAAGAUGCGCACCAUGCACCUUUGGAAUGUGGUGGGUACAUUGCAUAAUCAGAAAGGAAUCCUCUUGUAGGAAGAUGUGCCAAAGGAGCAUGUAAAAGUCAUUUUCUCUUGAUCUUUAAGGGCGAUGGGUAUUUCAUGAAAACCCGUGUACCCAUCAAGGCCACAAUAAUGUAAGUUUCCUGACAACCUCUCUAACAUUUGGUCAAUGAAAGGAAGGAGAAAAUGGUAUUUUCUUAUACUUGCAUUCAACUUUCUAUAAUCUAUGCACACCCUCUAUCCAUUUUGAGAUCAAGUAGGUACCAUUACUCCCUUGUUAAUUUCACCAACCAUGAUUCCCGUUUUCUUUGGAACCACUUGAACCAGACUCAGCCAUUUGGAAUUGAAAAUAGGGUAUAUCAUAUGUACAUGGAGGAGCUUGAUUAUAUCCUUCAUGACUACUUCUAUCAUUGGAGGUUUUAAUCUUCUUUGAGCUUUUCUCCUAGGUUUGCAAUCGUCUUCCAUGAGAAUCUUGCAUGUGCUUACAUUAUGACAAACCCAUUUUAUAUCCGCUAUUGUCCACCUAAUGGCCUCUUUAUGAUCUUCCAAAACUCUAACCAAUUGGUCUUCUUCAAAAUCUUCAAUUGAGAGGAGAUGAUCACCGGUAGAGUCUCGUAUUUACCUAGGUAAGCAUACUUCAAGUGAAUAGGUAGAAUUUUAAUUUAAGUACGUGUGGGUGGAAAAUGGAAGGGGGCAUUAUUUUAGGAGAAUAAGACAAGGCAACCUGAGAGACAUCUUUCUUUGUUGACGUGUUAACUUCCAAAACUCUUCAUAAUUUCUUCAACUUCCGAUUCCAAUAUAUACACAUCCAACUUUUUCUUUAAACUCUCACAAUGAUGGCUCAUUUAAAGUAUUAUCUUCAAAAUAUCCCCAUGAGAUAAAUCAUAUACUUCUUAGGUUAUUGGAUCAAUCACAUCAACUUGAUAAAAUGGAGAAACGUUGGUAGGGUGCCUCAUUGCUUUAAAGAUGUUAAAGUCAGUGGUUUCUGCAUCAAAUUUCAUGGUGAUUUUCCAUUUGUUGACAUCAAUGAUCGGGAGAUCGGUAUUCAUGAAAUAUUUUCCAAGGAAGAUCAUAGAUAAUUUCGAACGAGUCUUAUCUUGAAGAUCAAUAACAUAUAAAUAUGCGUGAAAGACAAGUUAAUUUACUUGUUGAUGUGCAAUUUAUAUACUAUCUAGUUUUAAUAUUAUAAUAUUAACCUAUUUAACUACUAAUUUCACAUAGGCAGUUUACAUAGUCAAAUUUAUAGAUUAGUUUAGCUAAGUUGGGUAUCCAACACAGGGAACAAAUUUAGCUAAUAAAAUAACUACUAAAAAUCAAUCAAAAAACAAUAAUUAAAUUGGGGGUUUUAUCUGACUUUUCAAGUUCAGAUUAACUUAAAUUAUUCAAUUAUCUUAAAAUAAGCAAAACUUAACUACAAACAAUUGUCUAUCAAGCUUGAGAAAACACUUUCGUUUUGCUUUGAAUCCGCCUUUUUCCUAUGGGAACUUUCUAAACAUUGAUUUAAUCAAUUCAUUACCAAUAUAAAUAUAAUUAGAAUUCUUAAUCCGAUAUCCUCACAUUUUUACCAAUUCAUUAACUACUAUGUAAUGGUCAUAAAAAAGCAAACAAAGAAUUAAUUAUUAAGGAUAGUUGGGCUAUGUAAGAUAUAUCUAAGAUAAUUAUCUAUGAUCAAGAAAAAUUACCAAACACAAUUAUGAUCAAAUUUUGUUCUCUAGUACAGUUAAAGUAUUCAACCAGACUUCUUAAGCUUAUAAACCAUAGUUAGAUAGUAUAUGUGUGUGUGUUUAAACCAUCUUCAAGACUGGUAGAUAUAUCUCUUUGUUAGGUCAUAAUUUAUGGUUUAUACUUCACUUUUCUAGUCCUUUAUGGUUUUCGGUCUUGGGCCGUAAUCCCCUUGAGUUCCUUUGUAAUUGGAUCGAAAUCUCAUGUGAUUUCUGUUAGGAUUAAUAUUGUUUUGUUUCGGUUUUGGGCUUGGGCCUUGUUAUUAGGUCUAGGCAUAAAUACUGUCAUUUGAGCCUUGUAAAGGGUGUGGAACGUUUUGGGGGUUGCCAUAUUUCUUAGAACAUGUUUUUGGAGAAAAACAAGAGAGAACAGUGUGUCAUUAAGAGUCUUGUGUACCCGACUAUUGAUUAAUAUAGUGUGCAUUGAAGACUAACAUUUCAUUCUUAUUCCAUAUUAGUUCUUGCAUCAUUCACUUGAUUGGGAUUCUGCACCAUCAAGUGAAUCCGAUUGAUACAUCAUAGCAAUUUUGGGACUUACAAGUGGUAUCAGAGCUUGGAUCGGUAUCAAUCGGGUCAUUGCAAACAGUUUUUCUUGGAGUUUCUUAUUGCUUUUGAUUUAUAUUUUAUGAAUUUUUGUCCAUUAUUUUUCGUGUUCUUUGUAUUUUUAGAGUUUUGAUCAAGUUUGACAUUAAAGAUUUGAAAAUCCUGUGUUUUCGGAAUGUUUUGUGUGUUUUAGGUCAAAAUUUGUGACAUCUCUGUGCCAAACCUCGGUCUCGGUCAAGGUUCCUUGGAAAUCUCGGACACUGUUAGGUCAGCAAUAGUUCUCGGUAAAAAGUGUGGGUUCUCGGUCCGAAGUUCCCGCCUCCUUCUCGGUCGACUGACCUUGGCACGGCUGGUUUCGGACCGCUACAGCUUCUCGACCUCGGAUUUCAUCGUGAUUUCGGUUUGAUCCUCUUCAGUUUGGACCUUCUUCGGUUCGGACUUUCUGCUUCUUCAUCCCUUUUUCUUAGUUCAAAUUUUCAGGGCUCGCAAUUUCGGCUAUAAUCUCAGAUUUUCCAGUUUUUGACUUAUUUUCGGUCAAAUUGCCGUAUUUUCGAUCCAAUAACUUCGUCUUUAGUUUUAAGGCCUCACUUUUGGUCACAAAGGCGCGUUUUUGUCAAAUACCCUCGUUUUUGGUUUAGAAAUCUUCGUUUUCAAUCUAGAAAUUUUUGUUUUCGAUCAAGGCUAUUUUUUCUUGGACAAAAAGUUUGAUUUUCAACUUUGGCUUUCAAAUUUGACUUUUGACUUUCAAGUUUGACUUUUAGGUCUGACUUUCAAGCUUGACAUUUGAAGUUUGACUUUCGAGGUUUGCUGUCAAAGGCCAUUUCUUUUGGCUUCGCAAUCAGUUCUAUUUUUGGUAAAUUACUUUUUUUGGUGAAUAAAGAGUUAGUCAAUCACCAAGGUUAAUGAAACUUCCUGUUCUCAAGCCUGUACCGAUACGUUUAAACUUUAACGUGAUCAAUAUGAUUUAUUAAUUAAGGAAAUUAAGGACCUUAAAUAUGAAGGAUACACUCUCAGAAUAGCUCAAAAACCCUUAAAACAACAAUUAGAGGCCUAAACCAAAGACCUAAAAAGAAUUAAGGAAGAAUAUAGUAUUAAAUAAGAACAAUAUAAUUAUGCUCAAGUAGAGAUUGCCAAUCUAACUGUCGAGCUUGACACAUUGAAAAAUAAGUUCCAAAAUACAAACUCCGGCAUCCUGACUGCUAGCUACAGUCCGAGCCGAUAAGGCCCAUGGGUGACAUAAUGUUACCAACUGUACGCGUGGCCUGGAAGGUCAUCAGGUAUUCGACCGUCAAUAAGCAUGGUUACAUACGAGUUCACAUUCAACCCUUUUAUUAACCUUUAGACUAAGCCAGUUGUAUUGUUCAUUCGACACCCUCCCGGAGUCUAUGUUUUAUUAAUCUUUAGACCGAGCCAGGCGUAUUGUCCAUUCAAUACCCUCUUGGAGUCUAUGUUUUAUUCAUCUUUAGACUGAUCCAGGUGUAUUGUCAAUUCUAUACCCUCCUGGAGUCUAUGUUUUAUUCAUCUUUAGACUAAGCCUGGCUUAUUGUUCAUUCGAUACCCUCGUGGAGUCUAUGUUUUAUUCACUUUUAGACUGAGCCAGGCGUAUUGUUCAUUUGAUACCCUCCUGGAGACGAUGUUUUAUUCAUCUUUAGACUGAGCCAGGCGUAUUGUCCUUUCGAUACACUCCUGGAGUCUAUGUUUUAUUCAUCUUUAGACUGAGCCAUGUGUAUUGUCCAUUCGAUAUCCUCCUGCAGUCAAAGUUUUAUUCAUCUUUAGAGUGAGCCAGGCGUAUUGUUCAUUCGAUACCCUCCUAGAGUCAAUGUUUUUUCAUCUUUAGACUGAGCCAGGCGUAUUGUCCAUUUGAUACCCUCCUAGAGUCUAUGUUUUAUUCAUCUUUAGAUUGAGCCAGGCGUAUUGUUCAUUCGAUACCAUCCUGCAGUCUAUGUUUUAUUCAUCUUUAGACUGAGCCAGGUGUAUUGUCUAUUCGAUACCCUCCUGGAGUCUAUGUUUUAUUCAUCUUUAGACUGAGCCAGGCGUAUUGUUCUUUCGAUACCAUCCUGGAGUCUAUGUUUUAUUCACCCUUACACUGAGCAAGGCGUAUUGUUCAUUCGAUAUCCUCCUAGAGUCUAUGUCUUAUUCAUCUUUAGACUGAGCCAGGCGUAUUGUCCAUUCGAUACCCUCAUAGAGUCUAUGUUUUAUUCAUCUUUAGACUGAGCCAGGCGUAUUGUCCAUUCGAUACCCUCCUAGAGUCUAUGUUUUAUUCACCUCUAGACCGAGCCAGGCGUAUUGUUUAUUCAAUACCCUCCUGGAGUCUAUGUUUUAUUCUUCUUUAGACUGAGCCAGGCGUAUUGUCCAUUCGAUACCCUCACGGAGUCUAUGUUUUAUUCAUCUUUAGACUGAGCCAGGUGUAUUGUCCAUUCGAUACCUUCCUGGAGUCUAUGUUUUUUUCGUCUUUAUACUGAGCCAGGCGUAUUGUUCAUUCGAUACACUCCUGGAGUCUAUGUUUUAUUCAUCUUUAGACUGAGCCAGGCGUAUUGUCCAUUCGAUACCCUCCAAGAGUCUAUGUUUUAUUUAGUUUCGCCAGCAGUAUUAUUGCUGAGGUAUAAUAUUAUUUUCCCCUAUUACCUUUACUUGUGAUUCUUUUCACAAUUCCUUUAAAGUAAAAGCUAUAUUUUGAUAAUGAUAGUAUUUUUGGGGAAAUUACUCCUUGGUUUAAACCUAGAACAAUUGGGUCUUGGUAGAAGACUGCUUUUAUUUAGAAAAUAUAGGAUUUUCGGGGAAGAAUUCUAACACUCUGUAGAUUCUAAACCACCAUCAUUGUGCGAGAUUAUUUUAAAGUAAAACAUGUUUUUAUACCAAUGUCCUUAAAUACUUAUGAAGUCAUCAGCAUUAAAAAUGCUGAUACUCAAUUUCAAAAUAACUUGUGUUCUCAAGUCGUCGGUAGACGGGUACACUCCUGGAGCUUUUGUGUGGACAAACUUUUAUCGAGCUGCUUUAUAUGUUAUUCUCUGUAUUUUACUCUUGGUGUUGUUGCUAAAUGUAACCCAUGUAAAAUUAUUACUACUAAUGAAAUGGUUGUUGUACUUUGAUUACUAUACUGCAUAUGUUGUGAUACUUGACAUGACGUUCUCGACCCUAGAACGUAUGCCGCCGUUCUCGGUUUUGGGGUGUAACGGAAGGUCAUUUCAGUGCUGUCAUGGCAGCAACUCGCCGAGUUCAUAAGUGGACUCGAUGAGUCGAGUCGGGGUUGCCCCGCGAUUCGUUGCUGAGUAACCCGAUGAGUGGAGAGGGAACUCGUCGUUCCAAGCGAGGCUUAGAAGACUUCAGAGGACAAGUGUGGACUCGCCGAGUCGCCUGAGUGCACUUGACUAGUCUGGUCAAAGUUUGACCGUUGACUUGAGUUGACUUCAUUGACUUUUAGGGUUUAGUCAAUGUUUGGACUUAUGAGCCAUUAGAGGGGUAGAAUGGUCUUUUACCCUUCUUAGAGAACUUACAGAAAGGGGUUAGCCUAGACUUUAGAAGCUGUAUUAAUUAGGGAAAUUAUUUAUGUGAUUAGGCGGAGGCUAGUGCUAUAUUUCAGAGUUCGAGGUUCACCGAGUAUCCGAAGUGAGUCUUCUCACUAUACUUUACCUUGAGUGGUAAGCAGAUUUAUGUGAUUGUAUAUCUUGUAUUCUAUUUAUGUGAUAUGUUGCAGUGCAUUAUUACCAUUUGAUUAUGUUCUGUGUAUGCCAGAGUUUACAAAGUUAGGACCGGAAGGUCCACAGAGUUUGGACCAGAGGGUCCACAGAGUUAGGGCCAGAGGUCCCAUAGAGUUAUAGCCUCGAGUGGCUAAUAUGUGUUGCAUGUGGGAUUUUUGGGAACUCACUAAGCAUUUAUGUUUACAGUUGUUGUGUUAUGUGUUUCAGGUACCAAUGAGGAUCGCGGGAAGGCGCUGGCAUGAUCAGUACACACACACAGAGGAGAUUUCAUACUUUACGAUCUUGGGUUGUACUUAUGAAUUGAUAUGUGAACAACAAGAUUUUAUAAUACUAACGAAUGAAAUAUGUUGUUAAAAUGUGAAAAUUUGUUUUGAAAUUUACGGUGUUACAUCGUGCUCACUGGAUACAUACACCAAAACUAAAGUUCAUCAUGUAUACACAGACAACGCUAGCAACACCGAUAUAGUCUAUGAAUAUUGCUUCAGACAGCUGUCCUCUUGCUGGAAGGAGGGCCUAAAACCUCCGACUGGUAGUCCACUUGUCGGGUUCACAAGAUUUAGACUAUGACCAUUGGGCACCAUACAUCGCAUGUACAUAUUAGUUAGCCACGAUGAAAAAGACACGGUCACACGAACAACUGAAUUCUCAUUUUUGUGUUUUCUAGCAGAACAUAAUAUUUUGAUCGAACGACAGACACUUUAUAAACUACAGGCCAUACAAUCAACAAUCCAUGGAAUCGUUAAGUUCAACACAUGCAUCGGGUCAGCCAUAAUUGUUUCCACUAACCCAAACAAAUACACCGCUAGUGUCAAAGCAUUUCUACACAAGAACUAGUGUGGGCCUAAAAAACUGAAGUAAGGUUGCCACAUACAAAAACACAUCAUCCACCUGAACUAUCCAGAGGAAACAAUACCGAUGAAAUUAACUCAAGUAGGAUCGAUAGAUUUUAAAUAGAAAACAUAAAAAUAAUACGAAAAACACAAGUAUGGCUCAAACGUUGUCGAAUGAUUGAAACUUUCACACCUUAGAAGAGCUCGAUUAAGAAUUUCUAAUGUGGAUGUGUUUAGGGUUACAAACUAUAAUAAAGAUAAAGAAUCUUGAUCUAAUUUAAUGCAUACAUGCAUGCACUUUAUAUACUACAUAAUCCUAGUAAAUAAAGGAUGGACAGGCCCAAUACGGUUUAUACAAAAUAUCAGCCCAUGACGCAACACAAUAAUCCUACAAUCUCCCCCUUUGCAUCCAUGGAGCCGAGAGCUCAGUUCGGUUGAGCAAUCAUGGAUUUCUUCACAGUCUUGAACACACCCGGUAUAAUGGCUAAAAGAAUUUUCCUGAAAGUAAUGUACCACCGGAGCAUGUCUGUGAAGUUCUUCAUAUAUGACUCUGAAUUCGCCUUACAUCGAUGAAUGAUGUUGAUGAUGUGUUCUAGGAAGUCAAUUGGGAACAAGUGUUUGUCCACAAGAGCAAACAAAAAUCUUUCACCUUUGGCCCUUGUAAACAUAACUGUGAGGUGAGCAGAAUUGAUUUGACCGAGAGUCAUUUUGUUGAAAUCUCCUGGUUUAGCAGUAGGCUUCACCAUCGGUUUCGUCCUUUGAACAUUAGCAAUUUCCUGAUCCAUCUUUGCAACUUCAUGGAUAUAAGAUGCCAACAUUCUCUUCAAAUUUCCCAAAAUCGGCUCAUACUCCUUCGCAUUGGUAAGUAGGAUAUUGAAUAGAAGGAUCCAAUCGUGAGGGUUCAGGUUGGGAAGAUCUGCCAGGGAAAUAACGAAAACCGAGUUGUCCGAACCUCGGCUUAUUUUGAAAGAAACAUUAGUAAACUUCCCUGCAGGUGAAGGUUUCAGAACCUUUACCAUUGUAAUCUUCUGUGCACUCCAGGUCAGGUACUGAGGCUGACCAAACUUGAGAUAAAAAUCAAUCAGUUCACGGUCCACUUGAGGAUGAGCUGAUGGGACUUCGACUGUCGGUUCGAAGCAAUGAAAAAUAAACGCCUUUCGAGUGAUCGACAUGUUGAACUGCGAAUCCCUUGUAUUAUCACAAUCAAAAGAAGUUACACGUUCCAGCCAGAUUGUGCUUGGAAACUCUAUAGCUUCUUUGAUCAACGUCUCCCUAGUCCAAAGAGGGAACAACAUCAUCUUGCAAUUUAAUGCAUCAUCCUCUUCUUUCUUCUUCCUUUCUCUUUCUUCUGCUUCCUUAGCAAUUCUAAGAGUCUCGUCUAGCUCCUGAUCCCUUUUCUUUCGGUUCAGGAUCUCAGUGAGAGUCCCUUGAUCUUCAUUACUUUCAUCAUCUUCUCCAAGAACGUGCCUUUUCUUUUCUUUAACACCAGAACCCGAAGCUACAUUAUCCUUCAGUUCGGUUUUAACCUUCAGUUUAAAGGGAACAAUUGUUGGAAUCGGUUGAGGCUUCUCUUCUCCCCCUUGUUUUAGAGGAACAAUUUUCUCCAAAACACCCUUCAUUUCUCGUAGAAGUUCAAGUGAGGGAAGGAGUUUGGAGGUCAAAUGAUUGCGAAUAGUAAGUGUGAGAAUAGGAUCAUGAGACUGAAGCCUGUUGUGUAGCUGAGAUGGAACAUCCCCAGCACAACUGCAAAAGAUAGCUCUUUCUGUUUUCAACAAAGAAAUCUCGUGUUCUGCCUUAGCAAGUGUUGCAUGUUGUACUACAGUUAGUGCAGCCUGUUGAGUAAGAUCAUAUAUGAGUUAUCUUUCCAUGAGUAGAUCAGCAGUAAGCUUCUCAAACCAAGUGUCAAUGGAAGACAAGAAGGUCUUGUUGUGUGCAAAGAUGUCGGAACAAACUGUUUCAAACUUGGUCUGCUCAGCAUGAAGGGAUUGAGAAAGCGAAUCAAUAGACUAUGUGACUUUGGCAGCAUUCAUGUCAGCAGGACCCUUGAGAGAGUCAAGAAAAACCUUGGAGUCAUGGAUAAGAUCUUUAACAUCAGCUAUAGCUUGUUUACACAAGGAAGUGGAAUCAUCGAUAGCAGUUGUAGAUUUGUCAAUUGAAUCAGUGUAUUGUUGUAGUGAUGUAUCCAUAAACACCUUGAGAACCACGUCAUUAUAUAUCUUCGUGGAAUCCAGCAACGUAUCAAGCUUUUCAUGAACGCUUUCGAAUUUGUUGCUUGGUUGCUAGUGAAGAUUCAUCUUCUUCACUUGGAAUUCGGUAGGGACUAUAGUAAGUCGAAUCAAAUUUAAAUCCAUCUCCUCCAAGAACUGGAUUAGAACCAUCGGAAAGGGUUGGGGAAAUAGGAUCUGUAGUGACUUUAGGAGGGUCUUCAGUCUUCGACCCCACAUCAGAUGUGUUGACGUUGAUAGGAGAGUAUGUGCUAGAGGUAAUGAUAGGUGUAGUGGUGAAGGUAGAUUGGGAGAAAAUAGGAGGUGGUAAUGGAGUAGAGGUGAUAGGAGUUGAACUUACAGGAGAUAGGGAAGUAGCUGUGGAAGUAGGUUGUGAAGAGGAAGUUGGAGGUGGAGGAGCAACCGAAACUGAAACGGUUGUCUUAGGUGGAGAUGGAGGAGGAGUUGGAAUAUGCUCAAGAACAACAGUCUCUGGUAUUAGAGAUCAAGGAUGUGUAGUCCCCCUCUGCUGNNNNNNNNNNNNNNNNNNNNNNNNNNNNNNNNNNNNNNNNNNNNNNNNNNNNNNNNNNNNNNNNNNNNNNNNNNNNNNNNNNNNNNNNNNNNNNNNNNNNAUUUGACAAUGAUUCUCUGUGUGCAGCUUGCGAACAAGGAAAACACCAUAGAAAAGGCCAUGCGAUUGUAAUCGAUUCAAAAAUCAUAGAACAAUUGGAACUUCUUCACAUUGACUUAUGUGGACCGUCGACUAUUGCUACAACCAAUAAAAAGCGGUACAUUUUAGUUAUUGUAGAUGAUUUUUCUCGAUUCACAUGGGUAUUUUUUUCUUAGGUUAAAAUCUGAAGUUGCUCAGAUGAUGAUUGAUUUUAUCAAAAAGAUUGAGCUUAGUCUGAAUAAGAAUGUUCGCAAAAUUAAAAGUGAUAAUGGUUCUGAGUUUAAAAAUCAAACUCUUGAUUCUUUUCUCACAAGCAAAGGAAUUUCACAUAAUUUCUCAUCACCAUAUACUCCGCAACAAAAUGGAGUUGUUGAAAGAAGAAAUCGAUCUCUAUGCGAAGCAGCCAGAACCAUGUUAACAUAUGCGAAUCUACCUCAAUAUCUUUGGGCUGAAGCAGUUUUCACUGCAUGUUUUACUCAGAAUCGAUCAUUCAUUCAUCGAAGAUUCAAUGUUACUCCAUAUGAAAUAAUCAAUAAUAGGAAACCUAAUGUCAAAUUUUUUCAUGUUUUUGGUUGUAGGUGUUUUAUCAUGAUUCUCAAUGAUAAUUUGUCCAAAUUCCAAGCUCAAGCUGAUGAAGGCAUAUUCUUAGAAAAGUUGAAGAAACUUUCAAUUUAACGUUUGAUGAUUACUAUCUUAAACAAACGGAUAGUAAAUUUGAAAAUAAAUCAAUACUUGUUAAUUCAAAUACUCAAAUUGAUAAUUCUGAAAUAAAUGAUUUUGAUUAUGACUUAAUUUUCGGAAUUCCUGACAGGGCAAUUGAAGCAGAAAAUAAUGCUCCUGAUAAUCAAACAUCAGAAUCCUGAAAACAUACUGAUGAUUCAAUAAUUACUACAAGGUCAAUAACUUGCGAAAGUAUGCCUGAUGCUCGUAUGGCGGAGAAGCAUACGAGUAUCCAUGAAGAUUGCCAGCCAACUUUCGAGGGGGAGAAUGAAAAUAUGANNNNNNNNNNNNNNNNNNNNNNNNNNNNNNNNNNNNNNNNNNNNNNNNNNNNNNNNNNNNNNNNNNNNNNNNNNNNNNNNNNNNNNNNNNNNNNNNNNNNAUUGCAUGUUCAAUUAGAGAAACCUAGAUCCAAGCUUUGGGGUUUGCAUGUGCACAUAGGAAAGUUCUUAUGACUAAAACCCAUCACUUUCCUCUUUUGGUUGGCAUUUCAACAUUAUCCAGAGCUGCUUGCAUUUUAGGAGUAAGUUGUCGUGGUCCCAAGGGAGGAAGUAGUUUAUAUUUAGAGAUAAGUUUACUGUCUGAAGAAACAGAAUGGUACAUUGUCUCCAGAAUUGAACCAAUAUGGGAAAACCGGAUUGGAUCAGCCACAAUGAUCUUCUUGGUGUGGAAUGAGGAGAUAGAUGAGAGCAGGGAAUCCUUCAUAAUUGGAACGUUGAGAGAGCUUAUCUCCCUUUGAGAAACAAUGGUCCAAAAGCGACCACAGGAGAUAUCUGAAUGCUUGGUAGAAGAGGACAAGCUCUGCACCAGUUGGGUCCAAAUCAAAGAACCGUUGUCCAGGUUGAGGCUGUUGUAGAGACCAUAUAGAAGUGUCAUGAAGCAUUUAUUAGAACCAUCAGAUCCACCAACGCGUUCUGCUAACCCCUUGUGAAGAAGGGUGAGUAACCCAUUCCAUUGAGGGGGUAAGCACGAUUUUUCUAAACAUAGUGAAGGUGGUGAGCACUUUAGUGUAACCCAUCUCAUAGAACAUCGAGAACAGUUGGGUGGUCUUGAUAAAAUCUAGAGAGAUGACUGAAGCGUCCACUACAAGCCCUAAGAGAGAGAAAAAUCUUCCUUUGGAAAUCGAAGCCUUGUGAGUAUGAAUCUAAAAGUAGAUUCUCUCUUUGUUUUUGUCAUAAGUUGUUGUGUAGUACACCUAGGAUAACAAGGACAUUGAAAAAAAUUCCACCUUCGUUAAAGCUAGCACAAGAGGGGAAUACUUAAGAUAUUCCACAACUUGAAGCAUGUAUGAAACAUACAAGAUCGGAGUCAUUUGGAUGAUCAUGUUCUGAUUAGGUUUGAUCAUGAGUAAAGAACAUGAAGCUGUCAGAUCAUGAAGAGAUGAUGAGUCCGCCAUUAUUGAGUUGAAGAAGAUGAACAAUAGACGAUCGCCUGGUAUAUUUGAGAGGAUUUGUGAAAGGUAAGAGAGUACAGUUAUGUUGCAAAUCCUUUAUAUACGAUUGAUAGGAGAGAGAAAGAAUCUAUUUGUGAUGAUGAUACGAUCUCUAAAAAAGCACCUAUAGAAUAGGGAUUUAACAGAUUGGUUACCCUAGAUAGUCGUCAUCAGGCGUGGUAUAAGGAGUUGUUUCUAAUUCACGCGCCCAAUUUUGGACUUAUCCACAAACACGUUUCAACUUCUUAUUUGUUGGUCUUCCCCAUGGCUCCUUUAAUGUUGGUGAACUGUUUGAUUCAAAACUAACCCAUUUGCAUUACUUACUAGAAUUUAGGAAAAUCAUGAAGAUUUUCGUGCAUUAGGGUGUCAAAGAAAAAGAAAUAAAUCAAUAUGUGUGUGGGAUGUAAGUGAUGUCAUAUAAGACAUGAAGCAGCUGAUCCCGAGCACGAAUCUCUUCCUUCGAAGUCAAGAGAGACUUGAAGUGAUUGUAUGGUUUCCCAUUAGAAUAUGAUCAAAUGUCUAUUAAGAAACAUUGAAAGGCAUCUUUUCAUACAUAGGCUUUAGUGGGUGGCUAAUCUCCAACUGAACUUCGAUACUUAAGAUAAGACCGAAAGUUGGCCGAAGUACUUGUGAGACCAAUAGGGUCUGUUAAACAAGUAGGUUUGAUAUAUUGUGAGGAGACAGGUGAUGUGAUACAAGUUUAAAAAAAACUAAACUAGAUCCUUUGGGUAGAAAUUCAUUGGUAGUAGGCAACUUCAUAAAGAUCACAUAAAAAAUGAGACAACUGUUAGGUAACAAGUAAGAGCUUGAAUAUUAAAAUCCACCGUCAAUUCUUUAUUGGUGUUGGACUUUGGGUUUCACUCAGCACGUAGUACAAGUAUCUAAUAUCAUAAACACAUAUUUUUUGUAACCAUAAACCUCAGUGGUAAUAACCGAGAGUCUUAAGGGCUACUUUGAUGAAAUGAAAGAUAAUGAAGAAUUGAGAUGAGAGGGGGUUUAAAGAACCGAAAGUACCUCUGCUAUGUAAAAGUGACCAAGCAGAAAACUCUUUACUCAGUUGAGAAGAGUAAGGUAGCUCAUGACUAGAGUGAGUUUAAUUGCCUGAUUGGGAAGAAACAAUAAUAUAAUCGAUUCAUUAAGGCUUCACUCAUAGGCUUCGAGGCUUUGGUCUACAUGAAGCAGCAUGCUUCUAGGGACACUUAACUAGGUCAAGAGAAAUUUCAUACCUCCCCUUGUUUAAAAGCACAUAUUGUCUGUGUCUUUGAGACCUAUUAAAAAGAACAAAGAGAAACCACACGAAAUGCAAACAAUAAAAUAUUUUUGGAUUUUUGUGAAUUUUUAUGAGAAAAAAAUUAUACCCUAAAAACAUAAAAAAAAUUAAAUAAAUAAGUAACAAUAAAAGAAAGAAAGCGAAAAACGUAAAAGAAAUUGAGCAUAAACGAUACAACCGAAGCUAAACUUUGAAAUAAUGAAGCGAAAUAGACCGAACGUUCGGCUCAUAUCUGUUCCUUAAAAUUACGGAGACGAAAUAGACCAAGCGAUCGGCUUAUAUCGGUUCCCUAAAAAUUACGGAGCUGAAAUAGACCGAGCGAUCGGCUUAUAUCGGUUCCCUAAAAUUACAGAGUCGAAAUAGACCGAGCAAUCNUUCAUUUCGGUUCCCUUAUUUUUCAUGGAACCAAAAUAGACUGAGUCACGUUCUAUUUCACUUAGCUAUCUUUUUAAGGAGUCGAAAGGUGUUUCAAUACCAAUACAGACUCUGCUUCAAUCAUGCCUAAGCCAUGUAGUAUCCUACUGAAACUCAUUUCAGGCAGAGCGUCAGUGAAAAUAUCGGCAAGUUGAUACGAUGAACAAAGGAAGUGAAAUUCCACAUUGACAUCUUCAACAUGAUCUUUGAUGAAGUGGUACCUUAUUGCAAUAUGUUUGGUCUUGGAGUGUUGUACACAAUUAUGACAAAUCCUUAUUGCAUUUUCAGAAUCACAGUAUAGAGUAAUCUUCUUCAUACUCAAUCCAUAAUCUCUAAGCUGGCGUUGUAUCCAUACCCCUUGCGAUGUGCAGGAUGUUGCUGCAAUGUACUCAGCCUCAGUUGUUGAAAGAGACACGCACGUCUGUUUCUUUGACUGCCAACUGACAAGUUUACCAUCAAGAAAUUGGCAUCCUCCCAUUGUGCUUUUUCGGUCAAAUCCACAUCCACCUAGAUCUGCAUCAGAAAACGCUUGUAUAAAGAAUCCAGAAUUUGCUGGAUACCAGAAACUGAGAAAAGAUGUUCGCUUCAAAUAGUGAAAGAUAUUUUUCAUAGCUAUCAUGUGAGGUUCUCUUGGGUUAGCUUGAAACCUGGCACAAUAACAAACUAAGAACAUUAUAUCUGGUCUACUAGCCGUUAGAUACAUGAGCGAUCCUAUCAUUUGACGAUAGAGGGUCAUAUCAACAGCGAGUUUAUCCAGAGAUGGCGUCAUUUUUGUGCCAAACCCCAUGGGAACCUUCACCUUCGAAUCUCCCUUGAUUCCAAAUUGUGUUAGCAAGUUCUGGGUGUAAGCCUCCUAAUUUAUGAAUAUGCCUUCUAGUCCCUGUCUAAUGUUCAGUCCAAGAAAAAAGUUAAUCAGACCCAUUACGCUCAUUUCAAAUUUAGUCUCCAUCAACUUCCUGAAUUCAGCUGUUUGGCUGGGAUUCGUGGAGCUGAAGAUGAUGACAUCGACAUAAAUUUAAACUAUCAUCAAAUGUUCGCCCUCUUUCUUACGAAAGAAGGUUGGGUCAACCGAACCUUGUUUAAACUUAGACAUUUUAAGAAAAUGAGUUAAGGUUUCAUACCAUGCUUUCAAUGCCUACUUUAAACCAUAUACCACUUUAUCUAGAACAUAGCAAUAAUCAGGAUAAUUUUCAUUCACAAAACCCGGUGGCUGCUCAACGUACACGGUUUCUUCUAUUUCUACAUUUAAGAAAGCGCAUUUCACAUCCAUUUGGAAAACUUCGAAGUGUUUAUGAGCAGCAUAUGCAAGAAAUAUUCUUACUGACUCCAAUCUAGCUACUGGAGCGAAAGUCUCCUCAUAGUAUAUCCUUUCUUCUUGAAAAUACCCUUUGACCACUAGUCUCGCUUAGUUGCGAAUGAAAUUUCCUUAUUUAUCAAGCUUGUUCCUAAAAACCCAUUUUAGACCAACCACCGACGCAUCUUUAGGUGUGGGAAUCAAUCUCCAAACAUGAUUUCUUUCAAACUCAUGCAAUUCAUCUUGCGUUGCAUGUACCCAAUCGGCAGGAUCAAGUGCAGUAUUGACUGUCUUCGGUUCGAUUUUGGAUACAAACGAAUUAAACAUACAAAAUUCAACUUGAGAACAUAAUGCAGUUUGCUUCACUUUCAGUUGAGAACGUGUAAGUACCCUUUUAGUUGAUUCACCAAUGAUCUGUGGUCUGGGGUGAUCCUUUGUCCAUUUAAUCAGAGGAGGGUAGUUUGGGUCAUAAGGUGGAUCCAACUCUGCAUUUACCUCUUCUUCAAGUUCUGAUUGAUCGUCUUCAUCAUUUGUAUUGCCAUUCUCCCCCUCAAAUGGCAAAGCGUAUCCCAUGUCAGGUUCAGAUAUAUCAUCCUCAAUUGUAAUGAAAUGCUCCCCCUCAGUUGGAGUUGGUUCUCCCCCUCAACUGGAGUUGGGUUCUCCGCCUCAACUAGAGUUGGGUUCUCCCCCUCAAUUGGAGUUUCAUGAGUUGGAGUUGGAUGCUCCCCCUCGACGUGCAGUUCUGUUGUGUUAGAGACAGAGGGUUGAUUCGCAACUGAGUUAAAAGAAUGUGACUCCAUAGCCUUUGCCACUUCGUCGACAAUUUUCUGCAGAUGGUCUAUUUUUUUGUCUACUGCACUCGCCUCUGAUUGGAUAGCUUUUUCUGGUUCAUCGAAUAGCCUUAUGUAUUCUUCAAACAAGUUAGAAAUUGGAGCUAAGACUUGACCAGUUUCUGGGAAGAUUUCUAGUGAAGUACUAUCGGUUGAAUGAAUCUUCUUGAUAUAAGUGUCAUCGAAGGUCACAUAAUAGGUUUCUUUGAGAUGUUUGGAGUGCUUAUUCAGAACCCUAUAAGCCUUUGAAGUGAUUGAAUAUCCAAGAAAUAUUCCCUCAUCCGCUUUGACGUCAAACUUGUUUCGGUUCUCCUUGGAGUUAAAAAUGAAGCAUCUAGAACCGAACACAUGAAAAAACAUUAUGUUGGGCUUUCGAUUGUUCAAGAUCUCAUAUGGAGUUAAAGAGAAUCUUUUGUUGAGAAGGGAUCAGUUUUGAGUAUAGCAUGCACAUGCAAUGGCAUCAGCCGAGAAAUAUAAUGGCAGGGAAGCGAAACUAAGCAUUGUACGUGCAGCUUCACAUAAGGAACGGUUUCAUCUUUUAACGAUUCCAUUUUGUUGUGGAGUAUAAGGAGCAAAAAAGUUGUGUGUUACUCCCUUGUCAACCAAUAAGUAUUCAAAUUCGUUAUUCUUGAAUUCAAGCCCAUUGUCGCUUCUUAUAUUCCUUACUACCUUUCUCAGUUGAACUUCGACCUGCUUGAUGAAUGCUUUCAACUUGGGAGUUGCCUUAGAUUUCUUUUUAAGAAAGAAAACACAGGUGAAGCGAGAAAAAUCAUCUAUAAUAACAAGAAUGAACUUACUACCACCGAUGCUUUCGAUAGCCGAAGGUCCACACCAGUCAACAUGCAGAAGCUCAUGAGGUUCGAUGAUCUUUGUAUUGAUGCGUGUAGGAUGGCUCUUUCGGCUCUGAUUGCUCAUUUUACAUGCAGCACACAUGUGCCCCUUAUCGAAUUUAAGAGGAGGAAGACCUCUAACGUGAUCACCAAGCACUAGUUUGUUGAUGUCAUUGAAGUUUAGAUGCGAGAGACAUCGAUGCCACAGCCAGCUUUCAUCUGAUUUUGCUUUCGGCAGAAGACAUAUUGUCGGGUUACCCUUAAUAGGGUUGAGAUUAAGAGGAUACAUCUCUCCUUUGCGUUCAUACCUCAACCGAACCUUAUUUGUGUGCUUUUUAAUUAUUUCAGAACCCUCAUCAUCAAAAGAUACUUUCAACCUAGUUCCUAUGACUAAUUGUGAGACACUAAUAAGGUUAUACUUCAAACCUUCUAUGUAAGCCACUUUUCUUAUAGAGAACUCUCCAUUGGUUAUCAUCCUAUAUCCAUUGAUUGUGCCAAAUGAGUUGUUACCAUACUUUACUCAUCCACCAUCCUUAAGGGACUGAAACUCCCUCAACUCUUCCUUCCUUCCUGUCAUGUGACGCGAGCAGCCACUUUCUAUAUACCAUUCGUUGUCAAAAUGCUCGUCACUUACCACCUGCAAAUUUAAGCAGAUUUAGGAACCCAAAGUCUCUUGGGCCCUGGUGAGUCUUUUACAGAAAAAGGAAUAGCAACAGAAAGAUCAACAAGAUAAAUUCUUUUUAUUACUGUUGUUUCGUCUUUUCUUUUGAUGGUGUACACUUUUAGUUUAUCUUUGUCUUGUUUAAAUUGUAGUGUACUUGAAGAUUUUUUGAUAGUUGGAUUUUUCUUUUGAUCCCCACGGUCAGCUAUCUUUUUCUUAUUAGUAGUGUUAGUAUUUGAGUAAAGCUUUCCAUUUCCUUUUAUAUCCUUUGUUGAAUGUGCCAUAUUGAAUUUGAAAGAAGGAUCAAAACUGUUCUUUCGGAUCUGAUCUUUGGUUUUUGGAUUGAGAGUUGAGGUUCGGCUCUGUGCAUUGGAGUUAGGACCGAAACUGGGGGUUUGGUUUUGAACUCUAUUGUUGUUGGGACCGUAACUGGAGGUUCGGCUCUGAGCACUGUUGAUGGGACCGAAACUAGACAUUCGGUUCUUAGAAUAAAAGGAGUGGGGUCUGAAACUGGGCUUUUCGGUUCAGCUGAUUGCCAGCCUCGUUUGAGGGAAAUCUAACUUGAGUUUGUUUCUUAGAUGUGACAAAGUCAGGAUUUUGUGACUUCCAAAACCGUUUUCUCUCCCUUAAUUUUUUCCUAUAUCUCUAAUUUCUUUGGUGCUUCUGGUCGCCCAACUGUUCUUGACAUUUAUGAAUAUUGAAGCUUGGCUUCGGUUUUGGUUUCUCCUUUUGUGAUUCGGUGUCACACCCCCGAACCGGACGGCGGAAACGUCCGAGGGCUCUUGUGACUCGAAUUGAAUACCAUCACAAUGAAUAUACCUGAAUCAUAACAUAAUUCAACACCAUGCAUUGGAGUAUUACAACUGAUAUUGUUUACAUUCCGUACACUGUUUUAGACAUUACAAUUCCAUAACAUAAAUUGUCUGAUAGAUAAUUUAAGCAAAACACCAUGACAUUUCUUGAUACUUAUCCUUCAGCUUACCUGUUACCUGAGAAUACAAGUUAUUUUGAAAAAACGUCAACAUAUAAAAUGUUGGUGAGUUCAUAAGUGUUGUUAUAAUAAAAUGAUUUGGUGAAACUUGUAAAACCCAGAAAAUCCGAUAUUUUCUGAAAAGAGUAAUUGUCUAUAUAAAAAAAAAGUGUGAAGAUCCGUAAAUAUGCUUGUUGAUUUUCAAAACAUGUAUAAUUGUUGAACUUUUUAUACAUCACACAAGUGAAAAUGCUGAACUCCUUAGGAAAACCCGAUGUUUUCCCCAUACGUAAUAUACAUGACUUGUUUAUUGUUAUACCGAUACGUGAAUGUUUUUGAUUACCCAGGUGACAUUGGAUUAAUUAGGGUUUGUGAGUUGUUACAAUCACGCAUUAAUGAGAAUGACUAGUUUAUAACCACAGGUUAUGAACGAUCCUUAAGGCGUCGUCCGUACUACUCACUUAAUCCAACCACCCUGACUUCUCUUGAUUAACGCCACAAAUCUGUUUACUUGAAUUCUCAUAGUCGGUCAACCGAGGAGAAAGGAGGGUACGAAGCCCCCUUUUACUUCCAGGAGUUAUUCCAGGCUAUCGGGAAUGUGAAGAGCACUUAGUCCCACUCGCAUUUGACUUCUCGACCUCGCUAGCAGUACUAAUGGGUCCUUAGGGCCCAAUAACACAUUUGAGCUAUUGAAGUCCUUUUACAUCGAGUUGGGUCAUAGAAUGCCCAUCAACACGUAAGCGCGUUCCCUUCGGGCCCAAAGAUAAGGUUAUUAGGCUAGCAAGGCCCAACAAGCGUGAUUUGAAACUUUCAAGCCCAAAUUUUGUAUGUUGAGUCAUCAUAGUUAUCGCGUGUUUAACGAAUUACUUGGGUUAUUGAUUUUUGUUUUGUUAUUGAUUUGAGACCGAAUCAAUUCGUUUUGUAACGACAUUUGUUGUUGAGAGUGUAUUUGUUUUUCCGUUUCUUUGGUAGUCGUGGAUUCUUUUAUUUUGUCUUAAUGAAUUAAUUUGUUCAAAAGUAAGAUUUUUACCUUUUCACAAACUUUCUUUUAUAAAAAUAACACUUUUAGUCCUUUAUAUAAAAGAAUUUCAUUUUUAGUCCUUAAAACAUUUUUUUGACACUUUUGUAUCAUAAACUUGCUAAAAAGACAUUUUUAAUCCAAAAUUUAUUUUUUAAACAGCUUUAGCCCUUCCAGGAUGAUGUUUUCUGGGUUAAAACCCCCAAUUUCGGAACUGUUACAGUUUUGGCCCAAAAUAGAAAAUGUUUACAUUUUUGAUCCUUUUUGAAUUUGAGAAGCAUUUUUUUCAUUGGAAAUAGUUUUAUUUCACUUCAAAUCCCCUGUUUUACAGAAAGUUACAUUUCCAGCCCCUCAAACUUGUAAAUUUCGCAUUUUGAGGCUUAUUGGGCCGAAAAGCCCAAAUCUAGCCCAUUAAGUUCAAAAUUUACAUUUUAAGUCCCCUAAAAAUGUUGUUGUUUAGAAAAUUUAUUAUAGAAACUGCUUGGACACUUUUGACCCUCCAGAAACUAUAAAUUUGUCGUUUUGUACCCUAAGUUUUGUAUUUUUGAUAAUUUAAGCCCAAAAAUGGGUUUAAUAUUAGAUUAUGUUCAUCAUGACCUUAUAAGCCAUUUUUCGUGACUUGAUUAGUGUAUAAUAACUUAAGUUAUGUUUAUUUCCUUUCUCAUGCCUUAGAUCUCGCUUUUUACACACUUUUUGAUAACAUAUUCAUCACAAAACACAUGAUAUCACACACAUACACGCAUCAAAUCACACAUAGUGUACAUUUACACAAAGAUCUACACAUUUACUUGUAUUCUCCCCCAUAAAACUCAUAAAAACCGAAAAGGAAGCGGUAUGAAACUCACCUUGGGUGUGGUUUUGGUUUUGGAAGGAAAAGAUGAAGAAGAAUUCGAUCCUAGCAACCUUUCUUGGAGGAUCUCGAACUUAGUGUGCUCUAAGAUGCAAGAUCAUGAGUUUGAAUGAAUUAAGAGACGAAUUUUGAUGAAAAGAAGUGAGUUAAAGCAUGGAUCAAACAAUCAACUUACCUUGGAUGAUGAUUUUGUGGAAGAAUCUCUUUGAAAGUCUCUAAGAUCUCGAAAGUUUGGAGAGAAAUGGAGAGAGUUUCUUGAGAGAAUUUUGAGUGAAGUGUGUGUGUGUGUGUGUUUGUUUGGAUUCGGCCGAGAGGGAGAGAGGGAGAAGAAGAGAGAGUGAGCUUGCAUGGAAAGAUGAGAAGUGCAUGGAUGUUUGAAGUGUAAUGCUUAGAUAUCCCCCAUACAAAAAUGAUGUGGCAUGCAAGAAGUCAACUCUUCCCUUUCUUUUGGGCUUGGGCCGAGAUUUGGAGAGAAAAAGGAAGGAAUUGAGCCCUUAAAUUCCUAAGUCCAAAUCAUAGCUAAUUUAGAUAACUAUUGGCCCAAAAUAAAUCAAGUAAUGAUUUUUAUGGCCCAUUAGGGCUAAUUUAGGUUAGUUAUGGCCCAAUGAGGUUCAUUUAAAUAUUUUGUUUCAUUCUAGGCCCAAUAUGGCCCAAAAUAUUAAAAUAAAUGAAAGUGGGUCCUAUUAGAGCCCAUUCAAGAGUUCUAAGCCCAUGAUAUUCCAAUUGGAAGCUUAUUGGUCCAUUGGGCCCAAUAAGGAAAUCCUAGUCCAAAAUGGACUUAAACAAGGACUUCUAGGGUUUCCAAUUAUUCGUUGACUAUUUGUAGUGCUUGUAUGAAGUGGUUGAUUGAAAUUUUGUUUUCAUAGAGUAAGCAUCAUGCAUGCUUUCAUGUUUUUGAUUCAUAGUUGUCAUAAGUUUUGUAGUAACAAGGCACCAAAAAUUUCUAGUUGUGACAUUCGGUUGGAUAGGACUCCUUCUUUGGUUCUUCUGGUAUCUCUUUCGUUCCAUUCGUGCUCAGUUUGGCGAAGCUUGAGGGUUUGUUAAAAGGCUCAGGAACAUAUAUACCUUAUACUCUCCGUGAGGUUUGUUCUGACAAGCCGACCGUUUCGUCUGCAUUAUCGAUGGAAGCGGAACAAAAGUAAUCGUCACACUCUCCAACAUUGUCUUGAUCCACCAAGAUCUUCAGUUCAGCUGUUUGUUUUCAGACACCCCUUUAACAGCAUAGACUUGAUUUGGUACUGUUUGAACUUUCUGGUAGACCGUUGCCAUCUCUUUGAGUUUCGUUGAUUUGUCUUUUGAUAAGCGAGCAUAUUCUACCGAGUUUUCAGAUAUAAGUGGUUUUUGAGUCUCGAUUUUUAGAAACUCAGAACAAUCAACUACAUCUUCUACGGAGAUCUCACUGAUCUCACUUUCCUCAUCAAAUUCAGACGUACUAUCAAUAUUCAUUUUAUGUUCGGUCAUCAAUUUGGCGUUUGAUGAGUCAAAUGAUUGUAUAGUCUCUGUCUUAAUUUUCAACCUAUCAUUUUCAUCCAAGAGUUGUUUAAGCAUGCAUUUGUGUUCUUUAGAAUCAAUGAAAGUCUCAAAUUUGUCCAGACUGAUUUUGUAAUUGAUUGAAGUCUCUUCAGAGGACAUAAUCGAUUCACAUUCAGCAAUGACCUCAUCCUCCUUGAACUCAAGGAAAGGCAAGAUCAUCUUAUGAAUCUUUUUCCGUAUUUCACAAUCUAAAUGUAAUUGCGUAAUAUUUGUAUAUAAAUGUUUGGCAAUCAAACAAAACACGUUACCUUGUUUCAAAAAUUUUAAAUUGUCUCAUUGCAAAUAAAUAAUUUCAUCUCUAGACCUAACUAACUCUUGCUCCUUCAGCUCAAUCCACAUUCGUUUCACCUCACUCUUCAACGACGCCCUGCUGAGUUGGUUACUUAGGUUAGAGUUGGUUAGAUGUGGUUGAACGAGACUUCCACUUAUGUUAGAUAAUUUAAAUUUUAAAUCAUUUAAUUCCUUUUCGUAAUUGAUUACCGGGUUUUAAGAGAUUCAAGGAGAGACUGUACCUUUUUGAUCAAAUGAUCACAGUCGUUGAUCUUCUCACUAACUGGCUCGGCUGCAAAGCACAGGUCUUAAUGCAGGUUCAGUUCUUGAUGCUUGCUCUCAUUUUGAUAUGCCAGCCGUUACCAUCAAGCACCUUCCAGCCAUCUUCUCGUCCUUUUCUCUCACCACAAAUGCCCUUCCAUGCGUGGGCUUUCUCACCUCUUCGUCCGUUGAAUCUGUAAACCAAAUCUGGACACCACCAAAUUCAUCAUCAACCACAUUUUCUUGAACAAUUAAAGCAUUCAUUGGACCAACAUUAGAUUUAUUCUUCUUUAUCUCCACAAGCUUUCUCAUGUGAUAAGCUUCGUCGUCUUCACUCUCUCUUCUUUCAGCUAACUUUUUCAACAUGCAAUAUUUCGCAAAGUGAUUAUUGCCGUGACAGUAAUUGCAAUCGUACCCUGAGUCACCCACCAAUUUGUUUUCCUUCUUUUCAUCUUCUUUCUGUGAUGUGUUCUUAGACUCUUCCUUCAUCUUUUUAGAACUGUAGCUUCCUUUCCAGUUUUGGUUUUUACUGAUAGAGAAUUUCUUUCGAGCGAACUUCUUUGGAUUUGUUACCAUCAUUGCAUACUCCUCAUUGGUAAGAUCGCAUUCUUACAUGCCUUCUUCCUCUUCUUCUUUCAUCACACUUUUGCUUUUUGAGACAAUAGCCAAUGAACUGACACCUGAGACCAACUUUGCUUCUUUUUUAAGCGUGCUUUCAUGAGAUUUUAGAAUCCCCAUCAGUUUCGCUAAUGAAUAUGCUUUGAAUUGUUUGUGUGCUUUCACAGUCGAGGCAACCGCCAUCCACUCGGGUCUUAAAUUGUUCACGAAAGUGAAUUUUUAUUCAAUAUCUUUCCUUUCAAUACCAUGCUUUAUCAUCUUACUGAGCAGAUGAAUGUACCAAUUAAACGUCUGAAGUAGAGUUUCUUCAGGUUUCUGUGCGAAAGCCUCAAACUCAGAGAGUAGCAGUGAAUUGAGUGCUCUAGAUCCUCGUCGGUUGAAUACAGUUCUUUCAACCUGUCCCAUAUCUCUUUAGUGGUAGUGCAAGAACUCACCAAACGGAAGGUGUUAGCUUGUAAGGUGAAUCUAAUCAAACUCAAGGCCUUGACAUUACACAACAAUUUACCUUUCUCGUCUUGUGGAGUAUUUUUCACGUCUGCUAGCAAUUUGUUAUACUCCUUUUGAGUUUUUACAGUUAUGUUUGUUCCAGAGUGAACAAAUGGACCUAACGUGAUUGCUUCCAUGAUGAGAUACUCAUUAUCCUCAGAUCCAACCACAAAAUCUUCAAAGUGAUAUGCCCAUACUUCAUAAUCUUAUGUGUAAAGAAUGGGUAUUCUUGUAAUGGAUCCGAUGUUGUUGGAGAUGUUGAUGGGAUUCGAUUAAGCAUCUUCUUGAGACAUGAUGAGCCUUCCUUGAUACUGCUAGAAUCUGACCUGUAAACUUGAUAAUAGGGUUUUAUCAAACACACCAGUUACCGUCGACGGGAAGAAGACGGCUCCUAUAUAUUCGAUAAAAGCUGAAACCCUAUUGUGUUCUUCAAACAGAAGGAAUGCUUAUUUGUUACACAGUCUCGUGCUCUGAUACCAGUUGACGAAAUUAACUCUAGUAGGAUCGAUAGAUUCUAAACAGAAAACAUAACAAUAAUAAUAUGAAAAACACAUGUAUGGCUCAAACGUUGUUGAAUGAUUAAAACUUUCACACCUCAGAAGAGCUCGAUUAAGAAUUUCUAAUGUGGAGGUGUUUAGGGUUACAAACGAUAAUAAAGAUAAUGAAUCUUGUUCUAAUUUAAUGCAUACAUGCAUGCACUAUAUAUACUACAUAACCCUAGUAAAUCACAGAUGGACAGGCCCAAUCUGGUUUAUACAAAAUAUCAUCCCAUGAGGCAACACAAUAAUCCUACAAAUAUGAAUAUGCACCAGCCUAUCAGAAGAAACCAAAACAAGGUUAGUCACACACCUAAAACAGGAAUCCAAGGUCUUUGCCUAGAAAUCCAUAGAUAUGAAAAGAGUCGACCGCGAGGUAACGGAGCACAACUUUAAUGUUAUCCCGGGAAGCGUCCCCAUCCAUCAAGAAAAGAGGGGGCAAGCGAGGGACCGAAAAAGGCAAUAAAUGCAAAAGUGGCGAAACUAGUAGACGCAGACAUUCUUUAGGAGGCAGUUUUCCCUACCUAGAUAGAAAAUUAAGGGAUGGUAAAAAAAACUAGAUGGUUCAUGGCAGAUGUGUACUGAUUACUCCGACCUAAACAACACCUGCCCAAGAGAUUACUACCCUUUCCAAGACAUAGACAAGAAAAGUUGAGUUCUUUGAGGGAUUUCAGUUCAAAUAUUUCCUCAAUUCCUAUAAGGGAUAUCAUCACCUUGAGAUAAGAAGAGAAUAUGAAGAGAAAACUGCUUUUCAUACAGAUCAUAACACCUAUUUCUACCACAAGAUGCCAUUCGGCUUUAGGAACGUCGAGGCAGCAUACCUGCAUCUAAAGGAUAAAGUGUUUGCAAAUCAAGUCAAUAGAAAUGAUAAAAUCUAUGUCGAUGACAUGGUUAUCAAAAUCCAGAAUGUAGUAGUAUUGUUGCGCGAUAUCGGAGAAAAUUUUCAAACAUUAACAAUGACAAAGAUGAAAGUGAAUCCAAGUAAAUGUACUUUUGGUGUGGAGGAAGGCUAAUUCAUGGGUUAUCAGAUAAAUAACGAAGGAAUCACACCAAACCAGACCAAGAUACAAGAGUUCCUCGACUCUAAAACCCCUCACAAUCUCAAAGGAGUACAAGAAAUUAAUGGAAGGUUGACAAUACUUGGUAGAUAUAUCACCAAUGGGGCAUAAAUAUUGUCGAACAAUAUCCAACUGCCAUGGAUAAAGCUAAAUUCUUACUGAUCGUUGUCGAUUACAUCACUAAAAGGAUCAAGGCGGAACCUCAGACCACCUUCAUUGGAAAACAUAUGAUAAAGUUCAUGUGGAAGAACAUCCUCACAACUUUUGGCACCCCAAUGAUCCUAAUUAGCAAUAAUGGCACCCAAUUUUAUGGCAACCCCUUCAAGGAAUUGUGUGAAGAGACGCAAAUCCAUCGUCGAUUCACCUUAGUGGCUCAUCCACAGGCCAAUUACCAAACGAAGGUAUCGAACGAGACAAUCUUUGGUGACCUUAAGAAGCGCCUAAUGGAGUCUAAAAGAGCUUGGGCUGAAGAAUUGACCAUAGUGCUCUCGUCGUAUCGUACGACCUCCAGAUCUAGUAACGAGGAAACACCCUUUGACCUAAAAUACAACAUACAGAGAAUACUCCCACCUGAAAUCUUGGAUGGAUCACUAAGGGUGAUGGACUUUGAUGUGAACGCCAAUGAAGUUCGACAACGUCAAGACCUAGUCACCCAGCUCUGCCAAGCUGCCUACAAAGCUCGCACCAAAAAUGACUACAAUCGACGUGUACCAGUGAAGACCUUCAAACUAGGAGACUGGGUAUUGAGGCAGAAUGAAUCAAAUCAUCCCAACCCUAGAUAAAGUUAAGUGUCACCUAAUAAGGCCCAUACAAAUAUUGGAGAUGCACCAGAAUAGAGCUUAUGUCUUGGAAACACAAGAUAUGAGGCACAUAUCUCGGACACGAAACGCAUACAAUUUGCACAACUUUUACUCCUAAAACAGGGAAAAAAGACAAAAUAAAACAAUCCAAGGUCGAGGGCAACAUAAUGUAACUCCAAGUGGAAAAUCACACCUAAACAUUUAGCUCUAGUUUUUGGACCAUUUUCGUGUCAAAGUUUAGUCAUUUUUGUCCUCAUUAAAUAUUGUUGAUAUUUCUGGAACAUUAUUAAUAGAAUGAUGGAGGCUGACUUUUUUUUGAAAACAAUUAGAUGUUUAUUAUUAUUCAUACUUGAUAUCAUUUCAAUAAUAGGUUGUUCACAUUUACCAAGUGAUAACAAGGAGUGAUCAUACACGUCACUUGAGCAAAAUUGAUGCAAGGAUGCAACCAUAUGCUUUAAAGGCUCAUAACCUAUCCCUAAAUGUGUCAAUCUAACUCAAAGGACCAUAACCUUUUCCAACAAUAUGAAGAAAGGGUUUAAAGACUCAUAACCUUUCCUUUGAUAAAAAAAAUAUAAGUAAGUCCUAAACACUCGAGGUGAUGAUCUCGACCUAAUUUAGAAGAAUAGGGCAAGAGUGUAACUCUUAUCGGCCCUAGACUUAGAAAAAAGACUUAAAGAGUAACAAGAAAACUUUUCUGAAAAGCGAACACCCUAAGAAGAGUGAACCAGCCAAGCUCAAUAAAAGAAGGCUAGCCAAGGCCUUAGCCUAAAAACAUACGCCAAUGACGAGAAGAAAAGACAAACCCCGAGCUCACGAGGGCGAAAUCUCGGGCCAAAACCAACCUAGUAAAACAACUAAGUUGUUGAACUAAAUAACUUUCACCUACAAAAUGGACGAUUCCUUUGAGUCUUAGCACCAUACAAAGCAAGUAGGAGUGAUUCCCAGUCAACUCCUAAGGCCAACACAACCCUUUGGAAAAAAAUCCCCUUAAUGGGAAAAACAUGAACAAAUGCACCUCAUAGGUCAACAUUAACCUUCAAGAAGAAACCAAACCAAUGGCCCACAUAAACCUUCUAGGAACAAAUCAAGCAAUCUGUUAACAAAAUAUAUACCUCGCAAUUUGAUACAAGAAUACACAACUCUGACAGAGACACGACAUGACACAAAUAUAUCUUCAAAAUUGAUAUAAAACUUAUUUCUCAUCGUGUAAUUCUAUUGUGUGAAAUUUGUGGACGACACGUUUUAAUGACACAAAUACAUGAAUUUCUAGGUCAAACAAAAGAUAACCAUGCCACUAUGAAACAAAUUAAAACAAAUUUUCUGCCAGACACCUCCUGGGCAUAGAAGAAGACCAUGCAGGGCCACAAACCAAGUUAAACAUCAUUCAAAGUUUGUUUAUAAAACACGGACAUCAAAACAACAAACCAAUGAGAGAUCAAUUACGAGGUGUAUUGGAAGAGGGUCUAACAUUCGGUGAACUACCUGCCAAUUGGUUCCCUUUGGCGUCAGAAUCAUGACACAGGUGACACAUGCCCACCAAAUCUAGUACUACUAAAUAGAUAUAUGAACCAAAGUUUGCCUCCAUAAAGGCCUACAUAGAGGCGUGCAUUGCCUUGGUACGUUCCAUAAUUGCACUCAGCUCCUUUGUAUCCAAAUUUCCGAUGAUGACUUUCUCUCGCACCACCUGUUUUCCACCCUCCAUGUCGGCACCACACAAGAUUCCUUCAUUAGUCAGACUCCCAAUGGGAACUCAAUGCUCUUGAUGACCUGAUCUACCAUAUGAACAAUACCAUUUUGGAGUAGCCAUUUCAUGUCCAGCUCUAAAAUCCUUCUCUCCGACACCUCAAUCAACAAUUUCUCACCUUGCUUCUUUACCUGUUCCUCCAAAGCCCUCUUUUCCACCGUGAAGUUCUCCAAUUGCUGUGACAGGCUCUCCAGUUUGCUAUCCAAGCUUUUCACUUGAUCCUCCACUGAAGCUCUCUCCCUGUCCAAUAAAUCGUAGGGCUCUUCAAACUUUCGCUUCCUAUCCUUAAGACACAUCACUUUACACUCAAUUUGUCGUGCUCCACUUUGACAAUGAUCAAUUAUGCAAAGUUUUUGUCCACAUGAUGCAGGCACCUAGUGGCAGCCACCAAGUAAGGGGAAAUUUGGGCCACUUCAUAUUGCAAGUUGUUCACCAUAUGGGAAUUGGAAAGGAACCCCAGUACUUCCAUUAUUGUCAUACGAAAUUCAUGUCAACACCACUCAAAUGCAACAAUAUGUUGUGUGAGUAAAGACACAUCAGUAAGUAUCCAUCCCUGGAGAUAAAGGCCAUGAGCCACUAAUACAGAAGGGUAAAUGCCAGAAAUGUUGUUUUCCAUCAUCGAAGACCAAGUAUGGACAAGAGCAGUUUGGAGCGAAAUCUCCAAUUUCUUUUACACUUACCCCCAUCAAUGUCAAGGCAAGUAACAUCCUCCUCUUCUUUCUUUGGUUCCCGAGGCGGUUCUGUUCUCAUCACCGGGGAUGUCGAUUAUCAUGUCGGACUCCCCCAACAAAAAAUCGAUGUUAAAAUUCUUGCACAAAUGCUUGCCAAUAGUGUUAGCACCAACACAUAUCUUUACAAGAGGGGAUUCCAUCCAAAUUAUUCGACGCUAUGUAAUUGUAUGGUCAUUUUCAAUCAAAACCUCCUUCCCCUAUUCAUCUUUAGAGGUUUGAGGGGGAGGAUCGUCAUCGGAAAUUCCACCAUUACGUACAUCCACCAAACUAGGGUUGACCAAGGUAAUGGAUCCCUCAACGCUAAUGGCGGGAGGAGCAACAAGCACCAACAUCCGAUCGGCAGUAAAGGGUAGAGGAAUAGUCUCCACCUACUCCAUCUCAUGAUACUAGACAUGGACUUUGUAUUUUUGCUCCACAUAACCAUAUCAAGGAAAAAGACUCUUGCUUUACCUGCAUGUGCAAAAAAUUGAGUUACCAAACUCCUUUUUACUCCAAGAAAAGAAACCAAAAAUGGGAGGAGGAGGAGAAGAGUACUCAUCAUCCUCUUCCACAAAGAACUGAGGCAUCUUCCCUAGGGCCUGCCAAAUGGUACUCAUUCCUGCCUCCGCCAAGCUAAAAUCCUCCAAAUAUUCUCCGACGAUACAAAUAUUUCUCAACGCCUGUGCCACAGUCAGACUAGCACCCAACAGUAAUAUGGCGCUUGGCCAGAGAAAGUUGUCAAAUAUGGAUGACCAGAACCAACUAGGUUUUUUAUUAACACAAAACCACUUGUCUUGUCAGGUCUUCCAAGGGGCCUUCUCUUUGAUGAUGAACAUGUGGAUGUUUCACCCCUAAGAGAAGGUAUGAACACCAAACUAUGUAUACGAGUUAAAGUAAGAGUUAAAUGCCCAAAAUUAGGGAAGAUCACCAAGUGCUUUGCAAGACAAUUCGAACCCCACUAUCUUGUAAAGAAAGUUAGAGGUGAAAUUGUCCACAGAAAAAUCCAUACAAACACAAGAUUUCAUUGAAGAAAUCAGUCUUCAGUAACCAAAACCACACUUCAAAGAUUAGGAUGGGGACUCCAACCUUGUCCAUCGGUGGCUAAUGGAUGGUAGCCCCUUUCUUGCAAACUAGACUCCAUGCUACGGCUUGAAACCAAAGUAGAGGUGCAGAGACUCAAACACCUCCAUAUUCAGCUCGAUUCCAGAUCAAUCAAUUGGCAUUGUUGUAUUAGUGCAAACACGAGAGAGAAGAAGGAGGGAGCAAACAAAAUUCUAAAGCAAUCGAGAAUGAAAAGGGGAAAGAAAACUACUCUUGACGCGAUAGGUAUAAAUGAGGAGGGGAAUAUCGAACCAUCUCCAUGAUGGAACCAUCUAUUGUAAUGACCUUUUCACAUCAAUCGACUGUCCGAACCAUCUUCCUUGAACAAGUGUCCUGAUCAAGGCUAGAGCGACUCACUACGCUACGCCAAUGCAUAUGCCUACAAACCUAGGGGACUUUUUAAUGUAUCCCUCUAGGAACAAGUUAAGGAUAACAGAACUACUUUCUUUAGGAUGACCUAUCUAACUGUCACUAACCAUCCUACUGCAAAACAUGAGCAAGUUUGGAUCAAUAAAGAUUGGAGCUCACAAUUGCUUUUCUAAUGGAAUUAUUCUUCAAUAAUGCAUACAAAGAAUACACACUAAGGCUUCUAGACACUCACAACAUGGAUAUGGUUUCUAGGUUGCUGGAUAAGAGAGUGGAGGUCGAGCAUGGGGAGGCCCUCAAGGAGUUAGAGCCUCUAAAUAAUGUUCAAAUUCCCUCAAUUAGGGAUCAGAUUAUGCACUCCUAUGCCCAUCUUAGAUAUCUCUACGGCCAACGUAGAGCAUUAAACCCUUACAUGGGCUCUUUAACUAUGCCCAACAUAGGAGGCUAUCCUACACCCAACAUAGGAGACCCAAAUUGUAUAACUUGAAAAGAUUAAAUAUUAGAAAUCAUACCUAAGGAUACGAGUGUUACAAUGCUCUUGUGAUCUUCAAAAAAUAUUUGAUCAAAAACAUAUGCAAUCCUAGAUGUACCAAGAAAGAUCUCACUUCUCUAACAAAAAUUGGGAAAGGAAGGGUUUGGAUAAUAUCAAUUUUGAUUUAUCAUUUUACUUCCCUUCCUGGAGAUGAUGUGUCUCAAGAUGAUGCCUUGAUUGACCAUCAAGUAACAUUUCUCGAAGUUCAAGACCAACAUCUUCUCAAUGCAUAUUUUAAAGAUCUUCAUGAGGUUGCCCAAGCAUUCAUCAAACCAAUUUUCAUAUAUGAUGUAGUCAUCCAUGAACACUUCAACUAUAGUCUAUAACACCCCUGGCUAGGGCCCAAUUGUAAAAUCAUUUUCGAACAAAAUGUAAACUCUUUUAUGUUCAAAAGUUUAAAAAUCAUGCAUAAAAGUUUAAUGGUCCCAAAAGGUUAAAUAAAAGUUUAAGAAGCGAGGUUGUUCAUCAGGUAUCAUAACAAAUUUUCAAGUUCCCCUUAAGUGGGAGUCUUCUAAAAUCCAUGCUACCUCCUAAGCACCAUGCCUCUAAUUCUAAACAUACAUCCAAAAGAAGUUAGACAAUGAAAUGUCUAGUGAGUUACUCAAGGAUCAGCUCAUUUUGAGUAAGGAAUAGAAAUCCCACCAGUUGAAUUAUUCGUGCCAAAAUUUAUAAUUAACAUUAUCAUUGAAAAAGGGCUGUUAAGGACUAAAUAAAGGUUAUGAACUUCUUAAAUACUUAUAUAAGCUCUAUUCUCAUGAAAACUUAAUCAUUAAGACAUUCUUGAUGUCAAUGAGCUUUUAGAUUGCUUAUAUGAGCAUCAUAACUUAUUAAUAUUUUAUAAUGACAUCAAAUGAUCAUAUAUUAACCAAAUGUUUAUUUGAACUCAUUACGCAACUAUAAAUUCAUCAGAUAACGUACCACUAAACUAUCUAGCUUCAACAUUGAAAUCCAUGAAAUGGAAUUAGAGAUUUCAUUCAUGAGAUUGCAUAAAUGAUAGAUCUAAUCCUUAACUGAAUCAUUUCAAGACCAUUCAAUGUCCAAAAGAAUGUUCCAAAUGCAUAACAUCAUGCUAAAACACAUCCUAAGGAUCCUAGGCACUUAGGGCAACUGCGGAAUUGCCAAAUUCAUUCCACAGUUUUCUAUAUUGCCAUUUUUGUCCCAACAACCACUAGAACCACUCUAGGAUGUGAAGAUUCUUCAUUUUGACCUUCAAUUCGUAAUCCAUAGCAUAGAACUUUGAUUAUGAACAUUACGUCCUCCUUAUAUGACCUACAAUCACUAUUAAAGUUCAUACUCCAAACUUCUCUCCAAACUUCAUAUUCCAAGUAAAUGAUUCUUCUAUUGCUAGAAUUGUGAUAUUCUAUGGAGAUUUGCAAUCAAUCCAUUAUGAAUAUUCAUGGAAUCAUAUAAGGUCUAGAUUAUCAAAUCACCAUUAUCAUUGGAAAAUCUUUGGUUUGCGGUUAUUUAGCAAUCUCACCGAAAUUCAACCAUAGGAAGGUAGAUUUUAGCUAGAGGCUAACAUAAUCACUUUUGUUUGCUUAGAACACAAAACCCUAGUCCUCAAAUGAGAUGAAAACCGUAUUCAAAACCAAACAAGAAUUGAAUUUCGGAUUUUCACACCAAGGGGGAAAGAAGUUGUACCUUAGACCACUAGAUUGCUUCACAAUGUGCUCCAAAUGAACUAGACAUGCUUGGGAUCAGAUUGUAUCAUCUUCAAUGCUUGAAUCGCCAGUUCUCAACAACCUAAACCCCAAAAUUGAUCCCAUCUACUGGAAUGAAGAGUGUGAGCCUUUUAUUUCUAAAUUUUACACUUUCCACCCCUUAAUUUUGAGUUUUUUGUAAUUGUGACCCAAUGUUCUAAUAACUUGGAAUAUAACAUUGCUAGUGUACAUUCCAUGUCCUUCCCCAUCAAAACACGAGAAACCUAAUCCUAAGUAGCCAAAAUGGGUCAAAGUCAAGUCAAAUCAUAUUUUGGAGAACUUGACACAUAUAGUCCUUAUUUCCAAAAUAUUGCAAAUUUUUUUAUUCUUGAUCUCUAAAAUGUUUUAUUCUACUUCAAAAACUAAUUAUUCGUUGUCUAUGUUAUUUAUUUAUCUAUCUAUUUAUUUUAUUUGUUAUUAUAAUUAUCAUUGUUAUUAUAAUUAUUAUUAUUACUAUUAUUAUUAUUAUUAUUAUUAUUUUAACGAGAAACUUAAGCCUAGAUUUCGAGAUGUUACAUAUUAUAAACAUACUCGAAGAAGAUGCGCACCAUGCACCUUUGGAAUGUGGUGGGUACAUUGCAUAAUCAGAAAGGAAUCCUCUUGUAGGAAGAUGUGCCAAAGGAGCAUGUAAAAGUCGUUUUCUCUUGAUCUUUAAGGGCGAUGGGUAUUUCAUGAAAACCCGUGUACCCAUCAAGGCCACAAUAAUGUAAGUUUCCUGACAACCUCUCUAACAUUUGGUCAAUGAAAGGAAGGAGAAAAUGGUAUUUUCUUAUACUUGCAUUCAACUUUCUAUAAUCUAUGCACACCCUCUAUCCAUUUUGAGAUCAAGUAGGUACCAUUACUCCCUUGUUAAUUUCACCAACCAUGAUUCCCGUUUUCUUUGGAACCACUUGAACCAGACUCAGCCAUUUGGAAUUGAAAAUAGGCUAUAUCAUAUGUACAUGGAGGAGCUUGAUUAUAUCCUUCAUGACUACUUCUAUCAUUGGAGGUUUUAAUCUUCUUUGAUCUUUUCUCCUAGGUUUGCAAUCGUCUUCCAUGAGAAUCUUGCAUGUGCUUACAUUAGGACAAACCCAUUUUAUAUCCGCUAUUGUCCACCUAAUGGCCUCUUUAUGAUCUUCCAAAACUCUAACCAAUUGGUCUUCUUCAAAAUCUUCAAUUGAGAGGAGAUGAUCACCGGUAGAGUCUCGUAUUUACCUAGGUAAGCAUACUUCAAGUGAAUAGGUAGAAUUUUAAUUUAAGUACGUGUGGGUGGAAAAUGGAAGGGGGCUUAUUUUAGGAGAAUAAGACAAGGCAACCUGAGAGACAUCUUUCUUUGUUGACGUGUUAACUUCCAAAACUCUUCAUAAUUUCUUCAACUUCCGAUUCCAAUAUAUACACAUCCAACUUUUUCUUCAAACUCUCACAAUGAUGGCUCAUUUAAAGUAUUAUCUUCAAAAUAUCCCCAUGAGAUAAAUCAUAUGCUUCUUAGGUUAUUGGAUCAAUCACAUCAACUUGAUAAAAUGGAGAAACGUUGGUAGGGUGCCUCAUUGCUUUAAAGAUGUUAAAGUCAGUGGUUUCUGCAUCAAAUUUCAUGGUGAUUUUCCAUUUGUUGACAUCAAUNGAUCGGGAGACGGUAUUCAUGAAAUAUUUUCCAAGGAAGAUCAUAGAUAAUUUCGAACGAGUCUUAUCUUGAAGAUCAAUAACAUAUAAAUAUGCGUGAAAGACAAGUUAAUUUACUUGUUGAUGUGCAAUUUAUAUACUAUCUAGUUUUAAUAUUAUAAUAUUAACCUAUUUAACUACUAAUUUCACAUAGGCAGUUUACAUAGUCAAAUUUAUAGAUUAGUUUAGCUAAGUUGGGUAUCCAACACAGGGAACAGAUUUAGCUAAUAAAAUAACUACUAAAAAUCAAUCAAAAAACAAUAAUUAAUUGGGGGUUUUAUCUGACUUUUCAAGUUCAGAUUAACUUAAAUUAUUCAAUUAUCUUAAAAUAAGCAAAACUUAACUACAAACAAUUGUCUAUCAAGCUUGAGAAAACACUUUCGUUUUGCUUUGAAUCCGCCUUUUUCCUAUGGUAACUUUCUAAACAUGGAUUUAAUCAAUUCAUUACCAAUAUAAAUAUAAUUAGAAUUCUUAAUCCGAUAUCCUCACAUUUUUACCAAUUCAUUAACUACUAUGUAAUGGUCAUAAAAAAGCAAACAAAGAAUUAAUUAUUAAGGAUAGUUGGGCUAUGUAAGAUAUAUCUAAGAUAAUUAUCUAUGAUCAAGAAAAAUUACCAAACACAAUUAUGAUCAAAUUUUGUUCUCUAGUACAGUUAAAGUAUUCAACCAGACUUCUUAAGCUUAUAAACCAUAGUUAGAUAGUAUAUGUGUGUGUGUUUAAACCAUCUUCAAGACUGGUAGAUAUAUCUCUUUGUUAGGUCAUAAUUUAUGGUUUAUACUUCACUUUUCUAGUCCUUUAUGGUUUUCGGUCUUGGGCCGUAAUCCCCUUGAGUUCCUUUGUAAUUGGAUCGAAAUCUCAUGUGAUUUCUGUUAGGAUUAAUAUUGUUUUGUUUCGGUUUUGGGCUUGGGCCUUGUUAUUAGGUCUAGGCAUAAAUACUGUCAUUUGAGCCUUGUAAAGGGUGUGGAACGUUUUGGGGGUUGCCAUAUUUCUUAGAACAUGUUUUUGGAGAAAAACAAGAGAGAACAGUGUGUCAUUAAGAGUCUUGUGUACCCGACUAUUGAUUAAUAUAGUGUGCAUUGAAGACUAACAUUUCAUUCUUAUUCCAUAUUAGUUCUUGCAUCAUUCACUUGAUUGGGAUUCUGCACCAUCAAGUGAAUCCGAUUGAUACAUCAUAGCAAUUUUGGGACUUACAAGUGGUAUCAGAGCUUGGAUCGGUAUCAAUCGGGUCAUUGCAAACAGUUUUUCUUGGAGUUUCUUACUGCUUUUGAUUUAUAUUUUAUGAAUUUUUGUCCAUUAUUUUUCGUGUUCUUUGUAUUUUUAGAGUUUUGAUCAAGUUUGACAUUAAAGAUUUGAAAAUCCUGUGUUUUCGGAAUGUUUUGUGUGUUUUAGGUCAAAAUUUGUGAAAUCUCUGUGCCAAACCUCGGUCUCGGUCAAGGUUCCUUGGAAAUCUCGGACACUGUUAGGUCAGCAAUAGUUCUCGGUAAAAAGUGUGGGUUCUCGGUCCGAAGUUCCCGCCUCCUUCUCGGUCGACUGACCUUGGCACGGCUGGUUUCGGACCGCUACAGCUUCUCGACCUCGGAUUUCAUCGUGAUUUCGGUUUGAUCCUCUUCAGUUUGGACCUUCUUCAGUUCGGACUUUCAGCUUCUUCAUCCCUUUUUCUCAGUUCAAAUUUUCAGGGCUCGCAAUUUCGGCUAUAAUCUUAGAUUUUCCAGUUUUUGACUUAUUUUCGGUCAAAUUGCCGUAUUUUCGAUCCAAUAACUUCGUCUUCAGUUUUAAGGCCUCACUUUUGGUCACAAAGGCGCGUUUUUGUCAAAUACCCUCGUUUUUGGUUUAGAAAUCUUCGUUUUCAAUCUAGAAAUUUUUGUUUUCGAUCAAGGCUAUUUUUUCUUGGACAAAAAGUUUGAUUUUCAACUUUGGCUUUCAAAUUUGACUUUUGACUUUCAAGUUUGACUUUUAGGUCUGACUUUCAAGCUUGACAUUUGAAGUUUGACUUUCGAGGUUUGCUGUCAAAGGCCAUUUCUUUUGGCUUCGCAAUCAGUUCUAUUUUUGGUAAAUUACUUUUUUUGGUGAAUAAAGAGUUAGUCAAUCACCAAGGUUAAUGAAACUUCCUGUUCUCAAGCCUGUACCGAUACGUUUAAACUUUAACGUGAUCAAUAUGAUUUAUUAAUUAAGGAAAUUAAGGACCUUAAAUAUGAAGGAUACACUCUCAGAAUAGCUCAAAAACCCUUAAAACAACAAUUAGAGGCCUAAACCAAAGACCUAAAAAGAAUUAAGGAAGAAUAUAGUAUUAAAUAAGAACAAUAUAAUUAUGCUCAAGUAGAGAUUGCCAAUCUAACUGUCGAGCUUGACACAUUGAAAAAUAAGUUCCAAAAUACAAACUUUAGUUUUAAAAAGUUUGAUGUGUCAAGUAAUAAAGUUGAGUCCAUGAUUGAAAAACAAUUAAAAUUUAACGAUAAUUAGAAUAAGUGUCUAGGGUAUCAAAGUGUUCCACCUCCUUUCAAUGAUAACUAUAUCCCGCCCCUUGAAACCAAUGAGGUAGAAACACCUGUUCAGUUUGGCCCGCACCCUGUACCAGAUUCAGUUAAUACUGAACAAUCUGGCCUAACUGAGGAUAUUGAGGUUAACGAUCUUAAUGCUUCUACUUCAUGUGUAGGUAAAGUAUUGGAAGAUGAGAAUUAGGAGAAAAGAAAUAAUUCUUGAUUUUCAAACCAAUGUCUCUUUGAAUUCUGAAUUUGUUGCUUCUAAUUUUGUUACUUCUAAUAAACCUAUUGCUGGUAAAUACAAACCACCAAAACAAGCGAAACAAACUGCUUGCUGUAAGUGUGCUUGUGAGAACAAUCAAAGACAAGGCGUGGGAAUGCUACCACGUAUAGGAAGAAACAAACAUGUUUCCACUGUGGAACACCUAGACACAUUGCCAGAAAUUGUCCAAAUCAUGCAUCUGUUCCCUAAUAUGCACAAGGUUGGUAGAAUAUGCCUAGAGGGAGAUCUUCCAAAUGAAAACCUUCAAGGUCACGUUCACAUAAUGGUGACCAGAAUGCUAAGAAGGGCAAGAAUCAAUCUCUCAAGGAUAAGAAGGAAGUGUCGAACAAGAACCCAAAUUCAAGAGAUGGUUCCGUUAGACAAAGAUCAGUUAGUUCAAAAACAUCUCAGCGCCCGAUUUCAAGUUCUAAAGCAGGUGUUGAGGCAUCCAACCGAUCAAACAAGAAAUGGGUUAAACCCGACUACAGAUAGGUACCAAAGGUUCACACUCCCAAAUUAUCUAAUGAUUCAAACAUUUCUUCAACUUCUGUGUAUGAUAAACAUGAUAUGUCAUGGGAGAGAGUAUCUUGUGUAGAUGAGAAAGGUCAACCCAGUUUCAAAAUGAACUGGGUUCCAAAGACCCACUAAUCCCGCACUCUGUGAUGGAGCAAUCAUGGAGGAAUAUCAUCAGACCUCGGUUUGUUGAUAGUAACUGUUCAAGCACAUGAUAGGAGGAAUCUCUCAACUCUACAACAUUCGGAACUUUAAUUGAGGGUAUGUGUGAUGUUCGAGAAGGAAGAAAGAAGAUGAUCACAACUAGGUAUCGUACUUAACGACGUGUUGAAUUUUGAGUUUGUUAACUUUGUUCACGAAUUGAGACACAACUAAGGCUGAAUUUGUUGUUGCUUUUGCUUGCUGUUAUUAAGUCAUCUGGAUGCGUCUUUAAUUGCGGACAUGCGGUUUAAAUUCUUUCGAUACUCCUGAGUUUUAUUCAAAUGAUUCGUUUUAAAGACAAAUCUUUAUUUUUUUUUAUUUUAAAUUCGCGCAUUUAUUAUAUUUCUUCCCCUUGCACAAAUUCAAGGGGAGAAAUUAAAAGUUAUAAAUUAGAAAAUCAAAAAUUCAAAAAGAUGUUCUCUGGUGUAACUACUUUUGGGAAGUGAUAUGAUACUUAUUGAUAAAUGGAAAAUUAAAUUCCUUGACAACUUUGACCACAAAAAGUUUUUGUUUUGUAUGUUUUGUACAUUUUUUAUUUUAUUUAUGUUUUUUUUGUUAAAUUUGUUCAUAUUUUAUUAUAUGCACAAAUUUAGGAGGGGGAAUUAAAAAUAAAAAAAAAACAUAAAAUUCAAAAAUACAAAAAUAUGUUUAUUUUUGUUAUCAUAAAAUUGAAAAAUACAAAAAUAUGUUUUAUUUAUGUUUUUGUUUAUUUUUGAGAAAAAUAAAAAAUAAUCCAAAAAUAUUUUUAUUGCUUUUGAGUGUGUUUUAAUUUUAAUUUUAUUUCUUAGUUAUUACUAUUUUGUGCUAAGUUUAGUUUUACUUUUAAUUUUUAAUUUUAUUUUUAUUUCUUAGUUAUUACUAUUGUGUGCUAAGUUUAUUUUUACUUUUAAUUUUUAUCUCCAAGUUUACUAUUGGAAAGGAAUUGACGGAGAAUUCAAAUGUGAAUGAUAGACUCUUUCAUAUUGAGACAUAUACCAGUCUUGAUAGGAGUCUUCACAUCAAAUGUUAAUCAUCAAAAGUCAUUUUGAUCAUGACUAAUGAGAAACACUCAACCAUUCUUCACCCAUAUCUAAACUUUCUCCAUUAAAACAUUUCCACGUACCAGUACCCCUUAAGGUUCGAGUAUAAAACAACUCGGCUGAUGGUUACCAAAAAGUAUGUGUUUAUGAUCUUAGAAGUCAUUGUCUCAAUGAUUCUAAGUGAAACCCAAUAUCCAAAACACAUUCAUUUAUGAAUUGACGGUGAACAUUUUAAUGUUCUAGAUAUUUUCACCCAUGAAAUUGACGGAUAAUGGUUCACACAUGGUGUGACACUAUACAAAAUGUUAGUUAGGUAGUUUCUUUAUAAGAACUAUCAUAUUUAAGGAAUUGAACGUCUAAAACUGUACAGAUUGUGACAGUUUGUCUUUUCAGCUUUCUUUACCUAAGAACUGUCACGACACUUGGGUGAUUCACUCAUCAGGGAAACAGAUAUCAUUGAAUGUCUUCCCAAUGGCCAAGUUAACAUGUUAAAUUGAAAAACUAUAUUGUGAUCUCUGAUCUAGGAUAUACAGGGUCUGACAUCAAAACUAACCAUGAGUAGUUCUCCAUUACUAAACAAAUGGCAAUGCGUUCCUCCGAGUUCACACAAAUACUGCAAGUACUCUCCUUCUAAGCCAAGGUUGGGUCCUUCACCAACUGUGGUGAGAAGGGUCCUUAUGAUUUUGUGAUCCACAGGGACUUUUUAGUCAAUGGUUACUAUUCAAGAAACAUCGGCGAUCACUAAAGUGCAUUCACUCGAAGGAACAAGAAGUGAAGAUCAUCUUUCAACACUAAAUCUUCCACCAUAGAAGCAAAGUGAAAUUAUACUUGAAGUUAUGUGACAGAUUGUAUUGAAGCCUCCUCAAUCAAUUUGCUGCUAUUUAUGAACUUGCUGAAGUGAUCCCGAAGAGUUGGUCUCUCUGUUAUUAUCUCUGAAGUUUCUCAAAGUUGCAAGUGCUGAUUUUCAAGAAUCUAUAUAAGAAGCCUCCGCACCCAAUUUGCGUGUAAAUUCAAAUUCUUAGAAGGAAGUCCAACUACUAAUGAUGAAGUUAUUCAUGAAGAUUCAUAUGUUCAUCUUGAGGUUGUAAAGAAAUCGAAGAUAAAGGCUGAAUCCAAGAGCAAAGUGAAGUUUGAAAAGAAAAUAAAGCUACAAUCCCGGGGGGAGCUUGUUAGGUCAAAAGUAAAGAAAGUUAUAAACCAAUGGGGAGAUUGUUAAGUCGUAAUUUUUGGUUUAUACUUUGCUUUUCUAGACCUUUAUGGUUUUCGCUCUAGGGCCGAAAUCCCCUUGAGUUUCUUUGUAAUUGGACCGAAAUCUCAUGUGGUUUCGGUUAGGCUUAAUAUUGUUUUGUUUGGGUUUUGGCUUUGAGCCUUGUUAUUAGGUCUAGGUAUAAAUAGUGUCAUUUGAUCCUUGUAAAGGGUGUGGGACGUUUUGGGGGCUGCCAUAUUGCUUAGAACACGUUUUUGGAGAGAAACAAGAGAGAACAGUGUGUCAUCAAGAAUCUUGUGUACCCGACUAUUGAUUAAUAUAGUGUACAUUGAAGAUUAACAUUGCAUUCUUAUUCCAUAUUACUUCUUGCAUCAUUCACUUGAUUAGGAUUCCGCACCACAAGUGAAUCCGACUGAUACAACAUAGCAAUUUGGGACUUACACUCUUGAAAGUUCAACAAUUCUUUUCCGUUCGUCACAAUUUAUUAUAUGAGGAGGGAUGUCGUAAUCAUACCAUGAAUUUGAGAAUGCAAUUUACACAAUAAAUACCCAUAUAGAUCAUAUCUAAAAAAUAUAUUAGCAAAAGUAUUUCCUCAUAACCAUAUUUAUGAAUUAGAACAAAACCUUUUAUCAUUUACUUUUCAAGGUGCAUAUGAUCAUAUCCAUGUGAAUCUAUCAAUUGUAACCUACAUUCAUAAGACAAGGUUUAGGAAAAACCAAAAUCACAUUUAGGACUCCUUCAUGAACUGAACUUCAUUAAACUAAAUUUCUUGCCUUAUGGCUGGUCAAAAUCUCACGAAUGCUUCCAUGUUGUUAGUAGCUAAUCCAUAUUGAUCAUUGUACUCUCACUGACCAACAUUCUUUGCAUUUUCAGUUAAGUGAAGAAAAUAGAACUCAUAAGCAUUGGCAACUUAACCGGAACUGCACAUAAAUUAGAAUGUUUCAAUAAACAGAAUAGUUUUUUUAACCUUUUUUUGCUUACUAGUGAUAAAUAAAAGGUUCAUUGUCAUUUGAAUCUGCAACUCAAGAUCAACAUGACUCCCACUAACUUUUUGACAUGUGAUUUUUUCUCUCAACGAAUAUUCCUUGAUGAGAUAAAACAAAUAUUCAAGAGUUCAUGCGGAUUUCCAAAAAGAAACACUUCAUGGAAUAGGACUCGAUUUUAUCUUUUAUUUUUCUUGAUAUACAAAAACAUCAUAACUCCAAUUCUAAAUGUGCUAGAUUUAGAAAUCAUUAUUACUCCACAUAUAAGGAGGUGUUAUCAUCCUUCCUAGUUUUGAAAUAAGUUUCAAGGUAUGAUUCAUAGUUACUCGAGCACGACUCUAGAACUUGAUUUGGAAUGAAGCAUGACCCAUCUAUAGUCGAACCACUUCCAAUAAUGUUUGAUUCAUCAUCUUUGUCAGAUUAGGUGUGAUAUAAUUCCACAUUUACUAAAAUUAUCAUAAAGCUUGAUACAAGAGCAAUCUCCUUUCUUUUCAAAUUGGAGAAUCUUUUAUCUAUUUGCUUACUUGAUUCUUAUAUUCGUUCUAGUACUCUUUGAAUCUUUUCCAUGUAUUAGAUUUCUGUUUAAUCUUAUAACACAAUAAUAUUUACUGAAACAUCAAUAAAUCAUGACUAAUAAAUUUAUUGUCCCUUAUGCUCGAUCAGUAGAGUGCAUAACAUCAUGUACUAUAUAUAUUUUUCCCUCACUUGCCUCACAUAAGCAUGUAAAAAAUGAAUUAAGUCAUGAUUUUCCAAUGAAUAAGACUUGCACACAUUAUACAACUCGAAUUGUAUGACACCAAGUAUCUGUAUAGUGAGUGAUAAGAUUUCUUUUCACUUCAUAAAUUAUGACAUUUCCACAAGUGAUAUUAUAAGAAUCAAAUCUAAAAUUUAUAUGUCUGUUAUUACAAAGAUAACUAACAUUCUCAUUAAUGUCGUUCCAAGGAAAUAAUAUAAGGCAACUACAUAAACUAAAACUUUGCAUUUAUUAAUAUAAAUGAAAAUUUAGAACUUUUCCUUACAACACAUAAAAAUAAAAAAUUAUAUUUCUAGACAUCUCCAAAGAGUAAUUGUAAUAUAUUAAAUUGGCUUAAGUCCCUAAUAAUAACUCCGAAUUCUGACCAUUGAACCAUGUACCACACUAAAUUUCCCAUGAUCAGAUUUAACUCACUUAAGAUUCCUUAUUUCUUUUAGAUCUUGCAAUACCAUCAAAAUGUAAUCAUCACAUUAUUUAUUGAGAGUCUAAGAAUAGAAACUUAUGCAAUUAGAUAAUGGAUGUAUCUAAAGUAGUGUCACACCACUCGACUUUACCAUCUUUAAGAUCUUUUAGGUAUUGUGGGCAAUUUUGUUUCCAAUGUCCCUUCAAUUGGCAGUAGAAACAAAUGGACACAUUAGGGUCAACAUUGGGAAUGAACCAAAAAAAUCAUUUCUGUUUACCAUACGAUCAAACUAGGGGUGUAAAAAAACCGAAACCAAGCCAAAAACCAAAAAAAAAAUCGAAACUGAAAAAAUUGAACCAUUUGAAAAAUCGAUGGUUUGUUUUUUUUAGAAAAACCAAAUUGUUAGGUUCGGUUUGGUUUUCUAUAUUUGGAAACCGAAAAAAAGAUCUAGCCGAACAAAAAUGCAAAAAUUGACGUCGUUUUAUGUAUAAAUAUCACAUCAUUAAUAAAAUAACCUAUAAAAUAAUAAAAAAAAAAUUAUAAUUGAUGGUGUAGGUGAAACGCUUACAUGAUAGAAGAGGUUAGAAGGUAAAAGUCUAAGAGGAUUUCAAUCAACUAUCCCAUGAUGAUUAUUAGUAAACGAGAACACGUAUAAAAAUAGGCACCAUUUAUUUUCUUUUACAGUAAUUUCCAAUUUGUUUAAAUGGAUGAGACAUAUUGCAGAUUUGGAAUGGAGUAUAUAUUAAAUAAAUAUAAGCUUUUAAAAUCCAAUUAGCUGAGUCUAAUAACUUAUUACUAAGUCUAAUAAUCUAUUAACUAACAAACCGAAAGCAACAAAAAAAACUAAAAUGUUAAACAAAAAAACAGAAAAAAAAACUGGUACCAAAAAACUAAUGCUUUAGUUUUUCCAAAAUAAAAAACCAAAUUUUUUUGUUUGGUUUUGGUUUUAGCAUAAAACCGAACCAAACCGAAUCAUGCUUACUCCUAGAUCAAACGUCUUGUUCUUGUCUGAUCCCUUUCGAUUGGGAAGAGAAAUCUUUCUAGAUCACUAAUGAUACCAUUGUCAAUAUCCAUGAAAUUCUUCAAUUUACAUCCUCUAAGCAUUUUUCCUUAAGUUGUACUCUUAAUCAUCAGUGCUUCCAUAGUUAUCAAUAUAUCAUCCAGAUGAAUUAGGGUUACAUCGAGAUUCCUCAUAUGAAAGUUCUCAUCAAACUAACCAUAUCACUUGGGGAGUGAGAGGAGAACCAAAUCAAUGGCUAGCUCCUUUGGGAUUAUGACACCUAUCCUUUCCAACUUAUCAGUGGAUGACUUUAUUUCAGAUUGUGCGUAGACAUAAAACUUGCAUCUUCAUGUUUACAUGCCGAUUAGGCUUGAGUGGUUUUAUAUCUUUCAAAUCAUGUAAAAUGUGACGUUGGAAGAGUCAUAGGAGGAGGAGGUGGAAGAGUUGAAAAGAGACAAUGUCCAGUUCCACCAUUUCCUAUAGAAUCGAAGACAUUUUCAUCUUGACUUAAAGUGGAUGACCAUCUUCAGAAGAUUGAGGAAAAUCAUUUCCAUAAGAACGAGGAAGAGCAUUGUUGUCUUGAUUUGACAUCUAAAAAUGGAAGAAAAUAGAAUUCGGGUUAGUUGAUUUUAAUCCUUAAUUACUAAUCCAUAAAUUUAAUUUAAGGCUAGGAUUCAUAUUUUCAAUUCGAACUUUGAAGAGGGAUGUUGUACUCAAAUUCGAAACAAUUUCAGGUAGGUAAGGCUUCUAUAAAUUUCAAUCUUAUGAAGCUCCUAGAUCUAUUAAGAUUCAUUGACACUUAUCAAAUAGAAUGUUUAAUCUCAAUUAUGCUUUUACCAAUUGUGAUUGGGAUGCCGAGGAUCAUAAUUAACAUGUGAAUAACAUUGCAAACCUCCUUGGCAAACUCGAGGUCAUUUAUCAUUUCAAAUUGAUGUGUUUGUAAACCACACACUCUGUCACACCCCCAAACCAGAACGGAAGAAACGCUCAAGGGCAGAGGAUGUUAUGCUCAGUAUCACACCACAUGCAUCAUUGUAAUCAAAGUAACAAACAACCAUUGCAUUAAUAUUAAAGUGUUUACAAUGUAUUCGAUUCACAAAAGAUUGACUUCAAAAGUAAAUAAAAAAACAAAGACAUGAAGCUACUAUGCUCCAUCUUCUGAAUCCCGGUGCGCAUACCUGUCUACUAGAUUCCUAAGAAUACAAGUUAUUUUGAAAGAGUAGAUCAGCAUUUAAGAUGGUGAUUUCAUAAGCAUUUUUGUUAUAAAAAGUAUAGUCUAAGUUCUUUAGAAAAGUUUGCAUGUUCCUCCGGAAAAUCCUAUAUUUUCUGAUGUGAUGAAUGAUAAGUAAAAAUGACUCUUAUAUUUCCUUCUUUGAGUACUUAAUGAAUACUAGUUAUAUACAAUCCAGAUCAAACAGACAAUGAAUUGUGUGGAUCUGCCCUUAGCCCACAACCACACAAGGAACAGGUAAUGAGGCGAAUGUCACACAUUCUAUUGUUUGUUAGAUCCUCAUUAUAUAUAACCCGGAGUUAGUUGUAAUAGUUCUUUGACAUUUGCUGAAAAUAUUCUUUAAGAAAAUAUUCUUUAGUAAAAUGGUAACCACAAUAAUUCCUUCUAUAAUUGCUUAGUAUAUACUAGUUACAUAUAAUCUAACAUCAAACGGACAGUUAAAUGUGUGAAUAUGCCCUAAGCCCACAACCAAACAAGGAACAUGAAGUAAGGCAGAAAUCACACAUUCCACUGCCUAUCGGAUAUUAAUUAUAUGUAACCGUAAUGUAUAAACUAAGGAAUUAUAGAAUGAACCAAUAAAGGUCCAUUAGCUUAUACUGGUUUAAUAAGAAGCAUUAAACCUUUUAUAAAUAAGUUUCUAGUUUCACCUACUAAAUGUUCUAUCCGAAAAGUUUGUUUUUGUACUAGAAAGUGGUAUACUGAAAUUUUAUGUUAUGACCUCACCCAUACAUGUUACUCCCUAUGAUUACUUGGUGUAUAAGGGUUAUAUAUACAUAUAUAUAUAUAUAUAUAUAUAUAUANNNNNNNNNNNNNNNNNNNNNNNNNNNNNNNNNNNNNNNNNNNNNNNNNNNNNNNNNNNNNNNNNNNNNNNNNNNNNNNNNNNNNNNNNNNNNNNNNNNNNNNNNNNNNNNNNNNNNNNNNNNNNNNNNNNNNNNNNNNNNNNNNNNNNNNNNNNCCAAGCCGACAACCAAACAAGGAACAGGAAAUGAAGCGGAGAACACACAUCCUACUACCUGUCGGAUCUGAUUAAUAUAUAUGCAACGCCUGUGUUUCGGGGCUAAGCAUUAAUGAUAAUAUAAUAGUCUAGGUCAACCAUUGGAACUCGUUUUGAAGUAAUAAGAAGGAAUAGUCUUAAUAAAAGUUGUAGUAUAUGUUACAAGGAUUCCGAAUAUAUAAAGAAUGCCGAAAUUUGAGUUAUAACGAAGAAGUUAUAACAUGUCAAAGUUUCUCGACAGAACCGGCACGACACAUCACGACGUAUAUAGUGAAUUUACGAUAGAGCGAUAUUUGGCUUUAGCGAUCUAAACGAAAGUCGUCGAAUACGUUAAACCGAGAACGUACAUAAAGAGAACACACAAAUCUGACUUUGUAUGAAGAAUUUUUGAUUUUUCUAAGUAUAAGCUUAGCGGUAUGCAGCCCAAAUCUCGAAAUUGAGAUCUAGUGAUCUUUGGCUGAAACAAUCUAAAAGAGAAUCGAAGGUCUCUUCGAUAGUAGUUCAACGGUAAAAAGAUAGACGCAAACAGACGUCAGAUGAAGAAGAUAUGAAUUUCUAAUGGAGUUUUCCUGUCCAGGCCUACUAAAAACAAAAUAAUAAAAAUAAAUUCAAAAGUACCCGACAAAAGUCUAAACGAAAGUUGUAGAGCAUAAUCUCACCUACGUGUGGAUAUAAAGAAUGUCAAAAAUGGAGCUCGUAUGCAAGAGAUAUGAAUUUAUGUAGUUUGGGGCACGAACCUCCACCACUGUCAGAGUUCAUGAUGUGAAUAGGGUGCUUGACACCUUCAAGAGCAAGUGGGCUGAUGACGAAUGCCAUGACCUGAGCAGGAUCAAACUCACGACGUGAACAUUUGCGGUUCACAACGUGAAUCCAGAAAUCUGGCCCUAUAAAUAGAAACCGAAGGUCAGCUGAAUAUGGUUGCUAAUUCAUCACUCCCUCACUCUCUAUACCCUCUCUAUCCAUCUUGAAGCACCCCCGAAGUCCCGAUAUCAUGCCGACACUCGAAAAAAGUCCUAAAGCCCCCAAGAUCCUGAGAAAAAGAGUUUUCAAGCCGAAGCUCAGCCCGCGAGAAGUCCGAUUUCUAAGAAAACAUUCUGGUUUCAUCGAAGGAUAUUACUUUAAGAGUCGUAGUGUUGUGCGAUCAUCGUCUUAUCAGGUGAGUGUAUAGUCACUUUCAUCUUACACAUAGAUAUGAAAUAUUUUAUAAAAUAUGUUCUAUGUAUGUGNAUUAAGAUAGAUCAGACAUACCCAAUCCGGGAAUAUGGAUUAGGUAAGGAGGUAAAUUUUAGAUUCGAGAGUACGGAUUAUGUAUUUUUGAACUAUGUGUUCAUCCGAUAAGGUAUCAUGUGCAUAGUCCCUUUCAUGAACAUGAUUUUAAUAAACGUAUUGAUUAAAGUAUAAAAUACAUAUGUGUGUAAAUUAUUUGUUAUUGCCCGAAAUAUGUGUUAGAUAUAUAUUUGAUGAUAUACAAUGUGCGAACUAGCUAUGGUUCAAUAUGUGCUAAGAUGUGUAUAUAUGAUAUUAUUACUAAAAACUCUGUGUUAAGUAUACACUAGUUAGCCUUACCUAAACGGAGAUAGUAUCGAAAAUUGAUUAUAAGCAUUGUAGGUUUGCCUAAUGACGGGUUAGGACUUAAAAAGGGAUGUUUAGUUAAAUUAAGUUUGGACAUUAGGUAGCCUCUUAUUAAGUGUACGUGUGUGGUAUUGUAUAGAUGAAUAUUGGUAGCUAUAGAAUUAGUUCCUGUUGAAUAAACCCUGGCGACGAUGUACUUCGUGCCUAUUUGACAUAAAUUGCAAAGGAAAGCAAUGUUCUCACCCCUUUGGUUGUCCAUUCGACAUAAAUUUUUGGGGAAAGCAAUGUUGUCACUCUGAUGGUGGCCUUAUUUGACAUAAAUUGCUAAGGAAACCCCGAAGCAGUGUUGUCGCCCCAUUGAAAAAUCCUUAGACUAGGUCCCUUAUAAAUAGAUACUUUAGGGACAUAUAGUGAGGAAUACGAGAAUAAGUAAUCACCUUAGGAGAAUCCUUAGGAAUGAAUGAAUGGAGGACAGAUGAUUAUUAAGAUCUUUAAGAAUAAAUAAGAUAAUGGGGAUGGGAAAUUUUGGUUAGUUGUUUGAUGUUUAAACAUAAUAAAUUUACUUAUUGUGGGUUGAAAACCCUAUAUGCUCACCAUGCUCCUAAGUCUGACCCACUCAGUUUUUCUAUAUUACAGGUAGGGAACAAGAGCAUAGUUGGACGAUGAUGAGGGAUUUUGUAUUAUAGGCCGGUAGAUAUGAAUAACUGUUGUAAGACCUAUAUGGUAUUGUUUAUGCUUUUGGUCUAUAUCAGAACAUGGCAUCCCGAUGUUUUGUUAUGAAAUGGAAAAUAUAUUUCUUUAAGAAAUGAUUGGAUAAAUUCUUAUCAUAUUUUGUUAUGGGAAAAAAAUUCACAACACUUUUAAUCAAAGGAUUACUCUGAUUUUAUUUAAAAAAAAAUAAACAAAGUCGGUCUUUUCUGUCCGUGAAUAUGGGGAUGUCAUAGUUGGUAUUAGAGCAUUAGUUUAAGUGAACUAGGAAUUUGUAGGAUUUCCAGAUUUAAACUUAGAAUGCUAUAACAUCCCGUGUAUUAAAUAAAUAAAUAGAUAAGGGUUAAUGUGAAUAAUAAUACUAAUGUAAAUAAUAUCUAGCGGGGUUUGGUGUUGGUGAGCUAAUUGAUAUAAUGUUUGAUUUUGAGUGUUAAAUGAGUAAAUUUUGGAUUUAAAUUGAGAAGGGUUUCAGAAGUCACGGCGUGAAUGGUAAGUUUUGGACCUAAAUUGUAAUGAAUUAUGUGGAGUCUGGGGUUAAAAAGGGAACUAUUGGAUUUAAUUUGAAAAAGAAAUGUUGGGGAGGGGGGGGGGGGGGGGGUGUNNNNNNNNNNNNNNNNNNNNNNNNNNNNGGGGGGGGGCAGAAGUGAAAAAAAGUCCUUCGAUGAAUCGUGAACCCUAGCCUAAGCAUUUAGGCACCAUCUCUUUCUAUCGUCCGUUUUCCGAUCAGGCACACCCAAGUCGACCGCCACCUUCCUAUCUAUUGCAUCGUGGGCAACCAGAGAACCAUCGAGGGCCAUGGAACUCGCUGCGGCGUUGAUGUGUGGGUUAUGAACAUCGAGAAGCUCUCAUCACAGGUAUCUGUGACCAUUCUCUCUCUCUCUCUCUCUCUCUCUCUCUCUCUCUCUCUUACGUAUCUUUUUCACUUCAGCUGGCGAUGUGGGUACACCCUAGCUGUAGUUUCCAGCCUCAGCCGUUGGUUCCGUCGAGUGUGACGUUUCAGCCAUGUCUCGCCGCCACCAACCACCAUGGGAGGUGGUUGUGGGUGUGUAUACGAGUUUGGUUUUGAGUGUAAUUGUUGAUUUCGGAAAUUAUGAGGUUCAAUUAAUGUUUGUAUUGCCGGAAGCCCCCCACCACCACCGUGAGGUGGUGGCUGCCGCUGUGAGCCGCCACCGACCACCACCGCCCAAGGUGGCAGUGUAUGGUGCCCGAUCUAAUGGAACCUUAAUGGGCCUAAACUCUUAAUCUUGGACUGUGCUACUUUGUGAUUGGGUUAGAAAACCCUAAUUUUGGGUUUUUUGGUUUGGACCUAUUGGGAACAACAUUUUGACUAGUGGACUGAAGUCAUGACUCAUGAGAAUUCCGGUGUAUGUUGGUUUAGUAGAGUAAUAGACUUAAUGGGUUAAGUGAGAACACUUAACCCUAAUUAUCAUUUUAUGUGAAAACCUAAAUUUUUGCUUGGGCCUUGAGUUGGGCCUUUUGUUGGGCUUUGGUGACUGGGCAACUGAUGGGCCAUCCAAGAACAAUCAUGUGGACUAGAAUAGUUAGAUGGGAUUCAGGGUAAGGCCCAUAUGAGGUUUAGGCCCAAUUUGGAAAAUUGGGCUAUAGUUGGGCCAUUAGUAGACUCUUAUGGACCCAUUUGGUAUUAGGCCUUGGUGGGCCCAUUGGGCUUAGGUUAUUUAUGGAAUGGAUUGUCGGACCAUAUUUGGACCUAAUGUGUGAAGGUUUGGUCUUAGAUUCUAACGGGGUUAAUUGUGGGUUUGGCUUAGUGUUAGAAGCCAUAGUACAACAACAGCAUUUAUAAGAUCUGUCUGCCAUCAAAGAUGAGUCUUCUCACUAUACUUACCCGUGUGGUAAUUUAUGUGUGACCGGAGGGUCUUAUUCAUGUCAUUGACCGGAGGGUAUUAAUUAAAUUAUUGACCGGAGGGUCUUAGUACAUUGUAGACCGGAGAUUCUUAGUAUAUUAUCGAUCGGAGGGUCUUAUUUGUUUAUUAUGUGUUAUGUGUUAUCGUGCAUACUGUCUUUGUGACUUAUGUUGUUAUAGUAAUCUGUGUAUAUGUUGAGCUUAUGUGCUUACAUGAGUUGUGCAUUUGUCUGUGUGGUAUAUGUAUGCUAUAUUAUGUGAUACUGAGACCAGAUCGGAGGGUCCAAUGAGCUGUGAGACUAGGGGGUCCUCAUUAAGACCGGACCAGAGGGUCCAACGAGCUAUGGGACUGGAGGGUCCCACAAAGACACAUAGACCGGAGGGUCUUACCGAGUUAUAGCCUCGAGUGGCUAAUGUGUUGCAUGUGGUAUUUUGGGGAACUCAGUAAGCUUCGUGCUUACUGUGUAAUGUGUUAUAUGUUUCAGGUACUUCUCAGGAUCACGGGAAGGCGCCGGCUUGAUUGUACACACGAGAUGGAGUUGUGUUCGAGGAUCCUGGAUUUUAUUUAAAUAAUUAUGAACACGUGUUUUUUUAAAAUUGAUAUAUUGAGAUUUUGUGAUUUGUAUUGAUGAUAUUUAUGUGAUUUUAAAAAUGAAAUUUUUUUUAUGAAAAUUUAUGGUGUUACAAAUGCUAAGUGAAGAUUGUCAGAUGAGUGUCUGUUAUAUUUAAGACACGAACACUAGUUUAUUUUAGGAAAGACGCCUAAAAUGCUUUUAUGUGCUAAAUGUUAUAUGUUUACCAUAUGUGCUAUUAUUUGUUUGGAUCUAUGGUCUAUUGUCAACCGGAUCUGAAAAACUUAUGUGUUUAGGAUUCUAAGCGUAUGACUACGAUAUUAGAACUAGCAUGUAAACAUUUCGGAGUGAUAAGGAGAUUUAUAGGUCUAUCAUAAAUAAAGCUUUCCUAUCUUAAAAUUUUCGGCUAAGUACACCGAACGUCUACUUGGGUGUACAAAAUGUUAUGGUGAAGACUCGUAGAGAAUUAAGAAAAUGGAGGAAAUGAAAGGCUUAUGAUAGUGAAUGACACCUAUCGGAAGCUAUUGUAAGAGUGGUAUCUUACCUUUAGAAUAUGUAUGAUAAAAUAACGUAACGUUUAGAGGAGUACGAUACAUCUGAAGUACACCUUUGAUUGGUAGGAUGAUGGAACAAUUGGUGUAAUUCUUGAAGUUGUCCCAUCGUCUGAAAUUUCCAUCACCAACCGAGUUGAAGUAGAAUUGAUGAUUGAAGAUACGUAUGGAAGAAAUCCUAGUAGAGUCUAGAAAAUUUUUUAUGAUUAAUUGGACACAUUCAUAUGUGUUAAUUUUAUUUUAUGAUUUUAGGACUUGGGGACUACGAAACAAUACUUGAGACGAGUAUGAUUAGGUGUGACUAGUAGUAGAGAUCUAUACUACUGGAAGCACAAGACUCACACUUGGAUCAGGGAAAGUCACAAGGUUACCAAGAAGCUAGUAAUUGAUUUCGUUUUUGUUCAUGUAUGUCGUUACCAUUAUUUUGGUAAUGACUAAGAAGAUGAUUGAUAUUCUGACCCUAUAGGUCACAUCGAAUCGAGUCCGAUUAAGAUGAGUAUGUUACGUGGUUCAGGGAAAGUGGAGUCCAAGGUUUAUUGGACCGUUUAAAGUUCUUUAGAGAAUUCAGAACCAAGCUUACAAGCUAGGACAACCAGAAUAACUAGAUGAUAUUCAUAACACUUUCCACAUGUGUUAGUUGAGGAAGUUCACGGGGGAAGUACCCGACAUAAUUCCAAUUUAUGAAUUAAGGUUGGAUGAAAGCAAGAGAUUGAUUAAAGAACCAGAGGCAAUCAUUGAUCGUAAGAAAAAGAAGUUGCGAUGCAAGAUGGUUGAUUUAGUGCUUGUGUAAUGGAAACACACGAAUGGGCCAAAUCUCACCUGGGGAAAACGGAGAAUGACAUGAUGAGUCGCUAUUUGCAUUUGUUUGCUGAUGUAUGAUUCCGGGGACGAAAUUAUUAUAAGGAGGAGAGAAUCGCAACGCCCAUGUUUUGGGGCUAAGCAUUAAUGAUAAUAUAAUUGAGUAGGUCAACCAUUGGAACUCGUUUUGAAGUAAUAAGAAUGAAUAGUCUUAAUAAAAGUUGGAUUAUAUGUUACAAGGAUUCCGAAUAUAUAAAGAAUGUCGAAAUCCGAGUUAUAACGAAGAAAUUAUGACCUGUUGAAUUUUCGCGACAGAACCGACAUGACACAGCGCGGCGUAAAUAGUGAAUUUACAAUAGAGCGGUAUUUGGCUUAAGCGAUCUAAACGAAAGUUGUAGAAUACAUUAAACUAACAGUUUGCAUAAAGAGAAUGCCCAAAUCUGACUUCGUAUGAGGAAGUUAUGAUUUUUCUAAGUUUCAACUUAACAGUAUGCAGCACAAAUAUCAAAAUUGAGAUCGAGUGAUAUUUGGAUGAAAAAAUCUAAAAGAGAAUCGAAGGUCUCUUCGAUAGUAGUUCAACGGUAAAAAGACAGACGCAAACGGACGUCAGAUGAAAAAGUUAUGAAUUUCUAACGAAUUUUUCCUAUCCUGACCUACUAAAAAUAAAAUAAUAAUAAUAAAGUCAAAAUUAGCCGACGGAGUCUAGACGAAAGUUGUAGAGCAUAAUCUCACCUAUGCGUGGAUAUAAAGAAUGUCAAAAACGUAGCUCGUAUGUGAGAGAUAUGAAUAUAUGAAGAUGGGGGCACGAACUUCCACCACUGUCAGAGUUCACGACGUGAACAGGGUGUUCACCACGUGAACAGGUGUUUAACACCUUCCAAAGCAAGUGGACUGAUGAUGAAUGUCAUUAACUGAGCAGGACCAAACUCACAACGUGAACAUUUGAGGUUCAUUAAGUAUUUUCAAACAGAGUGUUUACCAAGUAUUUUGAUUUAAGUGUUCACUAGUUAUAAGCUAAAUAUCCUGGCAGCUGCGCCUAAAGGAUUAUAUUGGCAACUAUAGAUUUAGUGCCUUAUAGAUGUACGUUGGAAGCUAUGGAUUCAGUGCCUUAUUGAUGUAUGUUGAGAGUAUAGAUUAAGUAUUGUAUAGAUGGAUAUUAGUAGCUAUGGAAUUAGUUAUUGUUGUAUAAACCCUGGCGACAAUGUACUUCGUGCCUAUUUGACAUAAAUUGCAGAGGAAAGCAAUGUUGUCACCCCUUUGGUUGUCUAUUCGACUUAAAUUGCUGGGGAAAAAGCAAUGUUGUCACUUCGAUGGUUGACCUAUUUGACAUAAAUUUCUAAGGAAACCCCGAAGCAGUGUUGUCGCCCCAUUGAAAAAUCCUUAGACUAGGUCCCUUAUAAAUAGAUACUUUAGGGACGUAAAGUGAGGAAUACGUGAACGGGUAAUCACCUUAGGAGAAUCCUUAGGAAUGAAUGAAUGGAGGACAGAUGAUUAUUAAGAUCUUUAAGAAUAAAGAAGAUAAUGGGGAUGGGAAAUUUUGGUUAGUUGUUUGAUGUGUAAACAUAAAAAAUUUACUUAUUGUGGGUUGAUAACCCUAUAUGAUCACCAGGCUCCCAAGCCUGACCCACUCAGUUUUUCUGUAUUACAAGUAGUUUAACAAGAGUAUAGUUGGACGAUGAUGAUGGAUUUUGGAUUAUAGGCCAGUAGAUAUAAAUAAAUGUUGCAAGGCCUAUAUGGUACUGUUUAUGCUUUUGGUCUGUAUCAAAACAUGACAUCUUGAGGUUUUGUUAUGAAAUGGAAAAUAUAUUUCUUUAAGAAAUGAUUUGAUAAAUUCUUAUCAUAUUUUGUUUUGGGAACAAAUUUCGCAACACUUUUAAUCAAAGGAUUACUCUGGUUUUAUUUUAAAAAGCAUAAACGAAAUUGGUCUUUUCUGGCCGUGAAAAUGGGGAUGUCACAAUAUAACCCUAAUGUAUCUAUCAAGCAAUAAUAAAGUUAGCGUUAUAGGACCCUUUCAACAGUAUGUUCAUGUUACUAGGAAACUUAUGUGGCACAGUUCUAUCGUUUAGGAAGACCACUAGAAGUUAUGAAAUCGUGUACUCUAAACGCCUUAGUGGAUACUGUUUUGAGUUUUAUCUAUUGCUAUGUUUUAUUUAUUAUUAACCAAUACUUUGUAGAUGUACACUUUUAAAUAAAACCCUGUACUUUGCAGAUGUACCCCAUAUAUAACCCGGUACUUUGUAGAUGUAUCAUAUAUAUAACUCGGUACUAAAUGUAUUAUCAUAUUUUGUUUUAAACAAAUGAAUUAAUGAUAUGUUCCUUUCCUAGUUUACUGGGAGUGUAAAGUAUAUGUACGUGAAUCAUGUAUUGUUCCUCUAUUCUAGAAUAUAAUAUGCACCGAAUCCCUAAAUUAUACCUAUUAUAGUUUACUAGUACAUUUGUUUGAACUGUUACUGAUUUGUAGAAAAUACUCGAUUAGCAACUGAGUGAAGCAUCUAUUUUAAAAAUGGGGUUUUAUAAACAACAAUCUAACAUCUUUUAAAAGAGUUUUUGAAUUAAUUUAAUAACUUAUAAAAGCAUAAGAAUACCUUUAAUGUGAUGGUUAUCAUAGGUAAAUAUUAACACGAUUUUAUUGUGUUCAACUUGUAUUCCCCCCUUAAAAGCAAUUAAACCAUUUAAUAGGUAGAUUAUAGGGGUAUCAACUCACCUUAUGUGGGUGAUUCAAUUGAAGAUUCGAAUAAGGAUGAUAAGUUCCACGAAUGUAGUCCUGAACAAAAAUGAGUCCUAAAUAGAAUGAAAUGAUACAUAUAGGCAUGAAAUUAGUGAAUCUAACUACAAAGGCGAUUAGGAAACAACCUAGGAUGCAAGAAUAACUCACCAAAUGAGUGUUAAAAGCAAGUCAGGAGGCUGAAAGGGAGCUCACGGUUGGUCUUGAUGUGUUCACGGCCCUAAGGAGUGAUCACGUCCAAAGAACACAUGAGUGUUCACAGCCCAAGUUGAAGGGUUCACGACCGUGGACUCUUGAAGAUCUUGAAGAGGAGUGUUGAAUCAAGGAUGGAAUAAGAGGGUUUCACAUGAACAACACGCAAGGGAUAAGUUCUUACAACUUUGAGGAGAAAGGAGGGUUCAAUGUUGAUUAUACUUGAGAGAUAAUGGGAUGAUUGCGGCCAAGAGAAGAAGAAGUGAAGGAAAAAAUAAACCAAACUUAUAUAUAGGGACUAGUUGAUGGCCUAAGGAGGGUCACGACCAUGAACAUGGUUUGUGGCCGUGAACCUCACUUGAUGAGGUUUUAUGGGUCGAAUUUUGAUCUAGGCUCUCGGUUCUUGCGUGGUUCACUUCCUAACACGCAACUCUUAUGUAUACUAGGUAUAGAAACCUAUAAGUUUGACCUUAGUUUAAUGUGUUUGACCUUACAAGAUAGAAAUUUUCGGGUUGUGACACACUCAAACAAUGAUAACUUUCAAUUUGUCCAUCACUCAACAUUAUAAUCACAAAUUAGUGUGUCGGUUAACCACGCACACUCUUGUAAUGGCAUAUAAAGAGUGAUGUGUGUUUUCAAGGAUUAGCAUAAACUUCACAUUUUUCCUAAAGUAACUAGAAUUCGAUUUAACAGAAUGUUCUAGUACUUUAUAUCACAAUACUUUUAAUGACAUUAUAUCCUAGAAAACAUGUUCGACUAACGACCUCGACUACACAAGGGAGUGGUAGGUGAAAAGGAUACCGAUUCGACUAAUGCCUUUUCAAUGUUAGACACAUCAAUUAGCUCUGAUAACAUUGAUGGGUUUAUUAGGUUACAACAAUAUGUACAAUAUGGAAAACACUUAACAAUUAAGAAGGGCACAUGCAACCUAAAAGGAUAUAUGACUUCACAUUAAAGCCGCAUACUUUGAAUAACAAAAUUAUGAUGAGCAUUAGUAAAUUUUGAAAAUCACAAAGUAUUGUUUCAUACCUUAAACGUGUUAUAGCCAAAGAGUAUACUUGAGUCCUUCCUUUUUUGAGCUUGGAAAUCUAGCACCAAAAGAAUUAUGCAUCUAAGAUAUAAUAACUUUCUCGAGGAUACAAGGAGCGUUUAAAACCAACUUCCUACAAAGAAGUUAAGCUUUUUUGACGUUUCAUGAUUAAAAUGACAUGGCUAUGCACGUCAUAAAAAAUGAAUUGGAGAUGGGUUGCUUAGUAAUCGUAAAAGUGAACCAAUGCUAUAGAGAACACACAAAGUUGACUUCAUAUGAGGAAGUUAAGAUCUUUUGAAGUUUCAAUAUAGUAGUAUGCAACAUACAAACAUCCUUUAAAGAUCGUUUGAUUUUUAGGAAAACAAUCAAAACGAAAGUUAAAAGAUCUCAUGAUUAGGAGUCCAUCGAUAUACAGCCAGUCGAGAAUGGAGGUCGUAAGAGAGAAAUAUGAUUUUCAUACUGACUUUAACAGUCUAUCGAUGUUACAAAUGAAACUCUAAAAAUAAAUUGACAAUUAGCUGACGGAAUAUAAACAAAAGUUGUAGUGCUCAUCGAUAGCUACAUGUGGAUAUAAAGAACAUCGAAAACGAAGCUCAUCUGAGAAAGAUACGCUUUUCAGAAAAUAAUUAAAUUUCAAAGCGUGUAGUGCGUGCGACGCUUCUAGAAUAUGGAACGAGGACCAAUAAAAUUCUGACAUGUGGCAUAAAGGAAGAGGAGAGGCAUCGUUGAUGUGCAUGAUGUGCCUCUAUUCUGUACAUGAUGACUCCCUGUGUUCCCUAUAAAUACAAGGAAAAUCCAACUCAUUUUUCCUCACUAUUCACUUUAGAAUUAUAUGGUAACCUUCCACCCUCUUGGCCCUAAUUUUUCAAAGUUUCUAAGUAAAUUAGCGAGGCUCUGGAGCAACCUGGAGAUAGAGUUUUCGGUUUCAAGGUUAUGUCCACGAAUUUCUUGGUUCUCGCUAAAACUUUUGUAAGUUAAGCUACACUUAUUUUACAACAAGUGUAACUUAUAUUUAUAUUCAUAAUUGUUAUUAUGAAUCUAUCAAUAAGUUUUAUUAGUAAUUCCAAAGUCAAAAUAUCGAUUGAUCCACUUACAUGAAUGAUGUCAACGCUAGAUACAGUAAGGUGUUUAAAGUGGGAUUUCUAAACAAUAUACUUUUUAUACCAAAUGGACCCUACAUCUAAUAUAAUCUUAAAUGGUUGUUCCUUAAUUGAUAGAUCAUGAUGUAGACAUUGGGAUUAUUGGGGAAUCUGGACUAUCGACAUUAAAUUCGCAAGAGAUAUAAGGCUAAGAGUUAGUGAUAUUCAUACUUAGUUCACAUUAAAGGAAAAGACAAGGUGUUAGGUGAAGCAAUGUUGAAAUCACCACUGAAUACACUUUUGGAAAAUGAGUGUGUAGUUCAUUUCUCGAGCAUGAUUUUAAUACCAGUAUUAAUUAAAGUAUUAAAUAUAUGUCGAAAUGUUUAUACGAGAACUAUAUAAUUAUGGCUUGGAAUAUGUGUUAGACUAUGUGCGAACCAGAUAUCGUUUUAUACGUGUUAAGAUAUAUAUAUAUAUAUAUAUAUANAUAUAUAUAUAUAUAUAUAUAUAGAGAGAGAGAGAGAGAGAGAGAGAGAAAGAAAGAGAGAGAGCUAGGUUCAAAUAUUCUAACUUAUUAUUGUGAGGAUGUACAAAUCAAUAUGAAACAAUCAAUUCAAAACCUAAAUAAGGUAAAAUUUUAAUGUUAUUUAUUAAUUAAUUUCAGCGAUUAAAUAAAUAUUUAAUCAAUCCCUUAAAUUUAGGCAAGAUAGUUUAAGAAUUAGAAACCCUAACCGACCAUACAAAACAAAUAUCUCAUUCUUCUUCAUGCGCCUCACACCUCACCAUCGUUCUCUAUGUCUUUUUCUUUUCUGGUUCCAAAAGUCUCGAUUUGCUUCAAAUCAACGGUACAACAAAAGUUGAGAUUUGGUUUUUCUACAUUCGAGAUUUGCUUUUUCUAUAAGAAUAUGUAUGAAUCUAUAUUUGAAUUUCAAAGUUUGAAUAUAUAAGGAUCAUGUUAUAUUUCAACUGAAGGUUCAAGAAUGUUGUUUCUCUACAAGAAUUACUCCAAUCAAAUUAUAUGUAUUCUAUCAGAAUAUAUUUCGACAUUUUCAUAGAAUAUCGUUCUAACAGAAUUGCAUUCUAAAAGAAUAAAAUCGAGUAAAAAUAAAAAUUAUGUUAGAAUUAAAAAUGAAUCAACUAAAAAAAUCAGAAUUCAAAAUUAAAAGAAUCAAUAUCCCUUAAAAUCCAAAAUUUUCAUUAAUUAAACAUAUGUUUCCUAAUUUAAACAUGUGUCUUCUAAUUUAAAUAUAAGUAAAUCAUUACUUAAAAUAACUAAAAUCAUUGGUCUACAUUCAUCCCUACAUCCAUACAAUAAUUAAUUAGAAUACAAUAACAUAAGCCUAUAUAUAUAUAUAUANNNNNNNNNNNNNNNNNNNNNNNNNNNNNNNNNNNNNNNNNNNNNNNNNNNNNNNNNNNNNNNNNNNNNNNNNNNNNNNNNNNNNNNNNNNNNNNNNNNNNNNNUAUAAGGAUCGGGUGAGAACUCAUUUUAAGGUGAGGACUCGUGAGGUCACCUUGAAAACAUUAAAAAAUAUAUGAAAAAAGUACAAAUCAUAAAAUCGAACAUAGAUCUAGGUCUGGGAGAAAAAAAAAUUUGGAUCAUUAUCAAUUGAAUCAUUGAUCAUAAUGAUGCAAAAUAAAAAAUUAACUUUGAAUCACGGAUCAAUUUUAAUGAUGCAAAACCCUUUUUUUCCAAUGUUUUUUACCUAACGUAGACCUAUGCUCGAUUUUAUGAGUUGUAUUUUUUUAGAAUUUUUUAAAUUUUUUAAGGUGUCCUCACAAGUCCUCACUUUAAAAUGAGUCCUCACAGGAACCGUGUAACAUUCGGAUUUUCGGGGUUAUUAUUGUGUAGUUUAAUCUUUUGGUUAAAGGAGAGACUCGACGAGUUGAGGAUCCNNNNNNNNNNNNNNNNNNNNNNNNNNNNNNNNNNNNNNAAGAAGUAUUAUUAGAGAAAACGAUAAAAGUAUAUUAAUACCCAAAUGCUCUUUGUGAAAUAUAUACACUAAAUUAGGGUAGUGUUGAUUGAACAAAGGUGGAAUUGGAAGAUAAAUUACAAGUAGUCUUGCCUAUUAAUGAAAUAAGACUUACGUAUGAUACUUAAUUCAAGUUAUAUCCUGUAUUUUAAAGUAUUACAUAGCCAGGAAAAUCUUUUUUGACCGUAGGGAUUGUAGUAUAGCUUUUAAACUAAUACUUAUAAAGGGGGCUUAGUCCAAUUAAGUUGAAUAUUGGGUUGUUUUAUUCUAAUAAUAUGUGUAAGAUAGGAACAAAGAGUAGAUUUUUGUUUUGUGAGACUUUCUCGUGUUAAUCGUACGAAUUACGUACUGGAGUACAAAAUAGUAUUCCUUUUGGAUGACCAGAAAUGGUGUAUCUAGAUCAGGCAACUAUAACGACAUCUUUGUUCCUCUCCUAGGUUAAGAUGACAAUACUAGAUCCUUAUAGAUGGUCUUGCAAAUUAGAUUUCUAGUCUCGUUAAUAACCAACAGACGUAGAUGAAAAGGGAUACCGUAUUUGUCAAACACUAAGAUGGCUUAGGUGCAUUUAAGACUUGCACAGGCUAAGGAAGCUCCUACUUGUGUAGCCAACCCCAUACUCACUAAAUAUGAUGGUCUCAAAUGAACCUCUACCUAUAUAUAUAUAUGUUUGUGUGUUUGUGUGUUUGUAUGUUUGUGUGUGUAUUAUAACAUGAAGGAAUUGAAAACCCUAUAUAUAUCACCUGUUUUCCUAACUUGACCCACUCAAUUUGUGUGCAUGACAUGUAUCAAAAUUAAGUAGCUAGAACUUGUUAAAGACGAUUUAGACACAACCUGCAAUAGUGUUUAGGACCAUUAGGUAUAUACGCUGUAACUUAUGUAUAUGUAUUGAAUAUGAAAUCCUUAGGGUUUUAUUAAUUUGAGACAACCAUCUCUACUCAAAAUGUUUUAAUAUGAUAUGAUUUUCAUCUAAAAAUGAUAAAAUGAUUUUUUAAGUCGUAAAGAACUGUUCUUUUGGUUCUUAAAAAUAAAAGAUAUCAUAUUGUUAAGGUGGGUAGAUACCUUCACCCGAUCAUACAUCGUCUGGGAAUCAGAAGUAGGUAUUUCUUGUAUGUGGUGUUAACAUGUUCCACGUCAAAAUACGUUAUAAAUUUAUGAGAAAACCAAAUCCCAUAAGAACUUAAUACUUAAGCGUGCCUAGGAAAGAGGAAUUCAGGGGUGGGUAACCCCUCGAAAGUUAUCAUGCCGGGAGCCCAAAGUAGAAAAUAUAGUGAUAAUUUCCAAAGGAGGAUGUUGCAGGUAGGUAUGAGUGUUGUUGGCAAUUGAAAAGUUAUGGUGGAUAUGGUUGAUAGAAAGGAUAUUGGUUGUAUUGGGGUUGUUUUUGUUCGAACAUUGGGUAUUGGUACAUUUGAGAUUGUUGGUAAAUAAGUUGUUGUUGUUGAAGGGCUUGAUGUUGUUGAACUUUAAGCAAACUGUUUUGAGGUUGAUUUUUUGGGCUUUGUGGUUGUGGAUGUUGAUAAUUUGGUUGAUUUGGGUUAGGAGGGGUAGCUUAGGAUUCUCAUUAUUCGAAGGAGGUGGCAUAUCUAUGAGAGGUUCUUGUUGAUGUUUUUUUCUUGUUUGUUUGGGUAGGGUAUUGUCAUCUUGAUUGUUUGGGUUGGGGUUAUGAGGUGGAGUGUGAUUCAUGAAUAUUAGUUUUCAAAAGGAAUGUCUUCAAAGAAAAGGCCAAAAAUUGGUGAAGUUGGCAUGGUUUCGGUAUCACUUGAAUUAUGGAGUUGGUCUUCUAUUUUACUUGUUGAGAAUAAGAAGAAGCUUGAACGAGUUCUUGUUCUCUCGCUUGUUUGGUUAACUUCUUCAACCUUUUUGCUUCUUUUUCAAUCUCGGGUUAUAGAGUAGUUCACAAGUUCUUGUAGACCUAUGCAUAACCAAUCAAAUGAAAAUAAAACAAUUUCCCCGACGACACCAAAAGUUGGUGGGAUGUCAAUCAACCAAGUAAAUUACACCUUUUCGCUUGAAAAUAAAACGUAAUAUAAUGGUAAAAAGGGGAUCGAAUCCACAAGGGAAUGGUUUUAUUCAAUUACUAAUGCAAUCCAAUUGAACGAGUUAAGUAAAAUUAAAUAAAUAAAAUUAAACUAAAAAGAGGGCGUUUUGAUAUGUUAGAAAACUAAAAGAUUUGAAAAAUUAAAAUGGUUGCAAUUAAGCAAGAUGGCGAGAGGCUCAAAUAUUGGCGUUAAUUGGCCAACUAAGGUAAUUAGGUCAACAUAAUGAAUAUUUUUUUGUCUGUCAUUAGGAUUCAAUAUGUAAGCUUGUCAAUCAACCCAAAAUGGGUCUAGCCUUCAUGAAGCAUAAUAUACCAUAAUUUCUCAAAGGUAUUAUGAAGCUUGGGGAAUAGCACACAUUCUUAUUCAAAAUCAAGGAUCCAAUUGAAGCAAUUUAACCAUAGAAAAUUGCUUAUCCUUAAGAAUGAAGGAAUUACCAAUUCCAAGAGGAUGUCAAUGCUUUCACAUCCAUAAAGGAGUCGUGAACAAUAAGCUAGGGAUAAUUUCUACCAUCAUAAAUCUCUUGUUCUAAAAAAAUGAACAAUUCAUUUCUAAAUCAAAGAAAGAGACUAACAAUUGCUCAUCAAGUAGCAAACUCGUGAACAACGUAUUAAAUAAUCAUAAGAAUUAUGAACUAAGUAUCAUAAACAUGAGAUAAAUGAUAACCAAACAUGAAUCCUUCAAAACUUACAAAUAUCUAAGGGCUAUAGCCCAAGUCAAUCAAAAUAAAGUAACUAGCCCCUCAUGGAAAUAAGGGCAUGAUCAUAAAAGUGUUUUAUCAUCAAUUAGUUAACAAAUGAUAAAAAAAUGAGGUGAAUGUUCUAGCUCUCCAAAAUCGCCCCAAGAUGCUCUAAUGGUGUCCAAAAUCAACGUAGAGGCUGCAAGACCUAACCCCAAGGUAAAUAAUGAGGCAAAUGAGCCCCCUCCCACCCCAAAAUGUAGUUGUUUUGGGUGGGCGUGCAGGGUUGCGCAGGUGGAGACCUUACCCUCGUAAAAGAUGUUGAAAUGCUAUUGGCUCAUUGUUCCACCACUCCACCCCAUUACCUUAGAUGCUAUUGUUUCCCUUCACACCUCACAUCAUUCAAAUAUAGACCAAUUAUCUUCAUGCAUCAUAAUGGAUAGUCCAAGCCUAUCUUCAAUAGUCAACGACCCAUCCAAGUCUUCAACACAUCAAGCCCAAUACUCCAAAAUGGAUCUAGCUAAGCCCAAUAACUCCUCAUAAGCCCACAAAUCCCAACAAAUCAACAACAAGCUAAUCCACAACGCAAUGAGACUCCAAAAACUACAAAACUACUUAUACAAAAUAGAAAGCACUCAAUACGAUGCAUGAUAAAUAAAUCAUAGAAUAUGUAAUGCAAUAACAAUAGAAAGGUUAAUAAUGUUGUAGAAGAAUUAUAUUCGAGAAAUCGAUUAACCAUACGAUUAGUCAAAGUAAUGAACUGAUAAAGUAAAUAAGUCUUUGAAGUUUUUAUUACUCUCAUUAAGCUUAGUUACAAAAGAUAGACAUGAAAGUUAGAAAAACUCUUACGUCUAAAUGUAAGCUUAGUCCUUAUUUAUAGAGAACAUCAGAGUAUAAAAAAUACUAAGUCUGGAACACUUAAGCUUCAAAUGAAAAGACACUUAGUAAAUACAUUAUAUACGAAACACACUAAACACCCUUUGACUCUAUACAAGACACUAACCCUUACAAUCUCCCCCUUUGUAAACGAGUCGAACUACUCAGUUCAUAAGAAUCUGAGCAGCGAAGUGCAUCAUCCUUCGUAUCUCUGAAUACCAUGUUAUAAUCUUCUUUAACUCUUUCUUGUCACCAUCGUUGUUCUUUGAGUAAUUGUUCAUACGAACUAUAAAGUUCGUAUAUUGUUACGUUGUGUAUCUAUCAAUCUUAUCAACUUGAAACAAAAAUCUUUUAGCCUUCCCUUUAGUAUCCCUUCCAGCAAACACUAACCCAAAAGGUUUCAAGCAAAUCUCUCCAUCCGCAUACUUUUUCAACUCAGCUUGUGACAUUGAAGGUUCCAUAGCAACAGUUACUUCCAUAUCCAUACUUGAUGCCAACUCUUCAUCAGUUAGGGCAACACAAUCAUAAUAAUUAUCAAUGAAAAAUUUAAUGUGAGCAAGACCUAGUUUGAACACAUCGUUUUCUGUAGCCUUGAGUUGUGAUGCCUCCAAUUCAUUCAAAAGUAAUGCAACUUGAAUAAGAUCAUUCAUGUUCAUCAAAAGGAAAUCAGCAACACUAAAAUUUGCUUCUUUAUUAUCUGCUCGAACAACAUAAUACCUAAAAUUUUGUAUCAUGUUUUCAAACAAGACAUUCUUAUUGAUGGCAACAAUUCUCUUUAUCCUGAAUAGAGACCAAACUUCAUCUUGCUCUUUUCCAAGUACAGCAUGAAAACGAAUUUUCAUGUGUGUAUAAUCAUCAGGGUGUUUGAAUUUUUCACUAACCUUGUACUGAGCAGAGAUAAACAUCAUUUCAUUUAUCCAAAAGUCUAAUUGACAUGUAUCAGUAUUCGCAAUUGAAUAGCUCCACCUUGGUUUCUUUUCGAAAGCAUACAUAUAAUUGAAUGCUACUCUCGAUUCGAUAGAUUCAUAUGAAUACAGCUUCCUAGGAUCACCUUUGUCCAUUCCAGGUGGAUCAUUCUCUCUCAACCUUAGAAUACUUUGAAUAUGUCUCUAAAGUUCGAUUUCUACCUCAAUUUAUGCUUUCUUUUCUUCUUUGGAUUUUUCAACUAACACACCUUUACCUUUAUUUGUCAAAUCAGGAUUUGGUUUUACUAAAAUUGAACUACCCCCCUCUUUAGCUGAAGAAUCACAAUCCCUUUUGUAAUCAGUUUUGUACUAAUGAUGGUUGUUGAGAUAGAAUCAGACUUCAUUGGAAUUGAAACAGGAAUUUGUGUAGAAAACACCUUUCCAACAAUAUUUGAAUCUCCUUUGCUCACCUUCGAUUCUCCCCCUUACACCCCUGUAACAAUAGGUGGUGCAUUCUGUGGCAACAUUUGAGCAAAUUUGGAGAUCGGAGCAACAACUUUCUUAAUAACUUGAUCAAGAAGAUGCAGCUUCUGAGUAAAAAACUCAGGUGUUAAGAGUGAUGUUGGAGUAGGUUUCGAAAAAACAUCUUUUAACUCUAUAAGAAGAGUUUGUAACUUUGGAAAAUGAUUGUUGUCUUCAGUUGCUUUAUUUUCGAACUUUGGCACAGUGUCUUGAAACGUUUUGAUAAAAUUUGUAACAGCUCCAGCAAUGAUAUCAACCUUCUCCUGAAGUGAAUUGUAUUUAGAAUUCAAAUUAUGAGUUCCUUAGAGACUUCCUUCUUCAAUUCUUCCAAUUUCAAAUUAACAUCCUCCCGAACCUUUUUCACAUCUUGUAUGAAGAGAACAUGACGUUCCUUCGUAACAGCUUUUAAAUCAUUCAACGAUCCUUCAAAGUUCGUACCUUGAGUCUUGAUACGAAGCUCAGUGUUUUGAUCAGAAAGAUCUAUCUUUUCAAGAAGUCGUCGUUCAGAAGCUUUGAUCAUGACAUCUACUUCAAGACCAGAAAUCAAAUGUUUUGCUCCAGAAUCAGCUUGAGAUUGAAUAAUGGUGUUUAACUUCCUGUUGAAGAUUUUAAACUGUUUUCUUGACAUCAACAUAUGAUCACGAAUCUCUUCUUUUUCAGAAUCGAAAUGUAAUUCUUCAAAUGUUCCUCCAAAACCUCCUCCUUCGGUUUCAUCAUCGGAAUGAGGUUUGGGUGUGUCAGUGGAUUGUGAAGGAAAAAGAGUAGUAAUUGGUUGUUGAAGAACAGUUGCAAACAAUGGAGAUGAAGUAGAGGUUGAUAAAGGUGGUGGUAAGGAAACAAAUGGAGUGGAAAUAAUAAGUGGUAAUGAAGAAGAAAGAACAAUUGGCUAUGAACUGUUGAAACUCAUGGUAACAUUUGCUCCCGUGUCAGAUACGUUAGCAGUGAUGUUAGAAAUUGGAACCUCCUCAGUUGCUGAUUCGGUAACCACUAUUUCGAGUGGAAUGGUUGAAGUACGAGAAAUGGUUGAAACAUGUGAAACCAAAGAGAUGAUAGGUAAAGAAGUUACCAUAAGAGAUGUCGUAACGAAAGGAGUAUCAGGAACCACUUCAUUCUCUGAGGAAUCUUCACGUAUGACAAGCUUUCGUUUCUAGCAUUUUUCUGUAAUGUGAUUUGCAACAUCACGUGCACAUAUCUUUAUGGAUAAUGGUGAAAUAGGAACAUGAAUAUGAAGAAUAACAACACAUUUGUUGUUAACUUGAGUCUUACGAACCGUAAGAGAAUCAUCAGACGAAGUUCGUUGAGAUGAUAUCUUGCGUAUUCUCUUAAGAACUCCUGAUUUUGAAGGAAAAACUUCCUUCGAAGAUUGAACUAUAUUGUCUUCAACUUACUUUGUAUCAUCACCUCCAACAUUCUAAUGUGUCGAUUUCGACUUUGCAGCUUUAACGUGUUCCUCAUCAGUCUUCAUUUUCUUUGAUGAUUUUGAAGAAACAGCUUCAACUUCAAGUAACACCCCAGUUUCCACAUCAAGGAUUACACUCUGCAAAUAUUUGAUAAGAAUCUUGUAUGUAGGAUUCACCUUCUUAAGCAUUGCGUCUGGAAUACGAGCAACACUUGUAAAGAUUUCUGCAUCAUCUGUAAUAGUCUUUGGAAAUUGAUACUUCGUAAUCGUAGCAGUUUCUUCACCCUGACGAACUUGAAUUCCCUCUUUCUCAUAUACUUUUUCCAAGAUUAAACUCCAGUACCGAGCACAAGAAAUUCCCUUUGCCACACUUGUAUGUUCUAAGCUCUUGGUGAAUUCUUUCCACAAUUGAGAUUCAUAAUCGACACUCAAAUCAUAAUACAACCCCAUAACCAUUGCAUACACUUCUUGGCAUACUUUGUCAAGACCCACUGUUCUGCCUGUUAAACAUCUUAGGAAAAUUCGAAACAGGAAAUUCCAGAUACAUGGAAGUCCUGACUUUUUUAAUUCACUUAUCUUCAUGAGUGGUGGUUGAUGCCCUAUAUCGUUGAACAUGUGUAUGAUCUGAGGGUUAGUAGGUUUGCAGAAUGGUGGAGAAUUUGGAAGUUCAAAAAAUUGUGAAAACAUCUUUUUGGUGAGACGAAUGCGUUUCUCAUUCACCAGAUUAAAGGUUAUGACAUCAGUGCCUUUAUUGAAUGAAGCAGUAGAAGCAGCCAUUGACAACCAUGUUACUAGUACUACGAAAGAUUUGAACAUAGUAGUUGCUAGAACAGAACGUUUCAAAGCAAUGAUCAACAUCUUAAGCUCUUCUGGAUACAAUGUAAUAUUUGAUUCAACCUGAUAGUUUGUGCUCUAUAUCUUCAUCAAGGGUUGAGAAACAAUGUCUUUAGUGGUGGAAUUCUGAACAGCAGCCAUUUUCAAGUGGAUUGAAAGAUUUUUAGAAAAAUCAGGGAUUUUGAUCUUCUGUGGAUUUUGUGAAAGCGUAAGUGUAAUUGAAAAGAAGAGUGUCCUUUUAUAAGUAAUCCCAGAGAAUGUGAACCGAUUAUCAUGAAUACGUGUAUCACGUCAACCUUGACACACGCACCGGUAGCCGUUAUUGUAGGUAUAUCAAAUAAAGUGCCAUGAAACUAGGGCCAAGUUGUCACACCCCAAAACCGGAACGGCGGAAACGUUCUGGGGUGGAUGACGUCAUGUCAAGUAUCACAACACAUGCAUAUAGUAAUCAAAGUACAACAAAACAUUGCAUUAAUAGAAUAAUUUUUACAUGGUUAUAUUACAUAGUAUCAAAGUAAUACAAACAUAAUAGGUAAAGUGUUGCAAAGUACUUAAGCUAUCUUCUUCAGCAGCUCCAGGGGUUGUAUCUGUCUAAUUUCUGACCUGAGAUUACAAGUUAUUUGAAAAGCGAGUAUCAGCAUUUUUUCAAAUGUUGGUGAGUUCAUAAGCAUUUAGUGACAUUUCAUUCAAAUAACUUAAUAAAGAAAUAGUUUAAGAGGCUUCCGUGUAUUAGAGCCUUCUCCCAGAAAAUCCUAUAUUUUCUUUAAAUAAAGCAGCCUUCUACCGAGACUGGUCAGUGUGUUGAGGUAAGAGGUGGUUUUCCCUUAUUUGCUAUUAUUAUCAAAAUACUGAAUUUGAUUAUUAAAGGAAGCAAGUGACAUCAGGGAAUAACAUAGGCCUUAGUAGUGAGGACUGCUGACUAAGGCAAGGAAUCAUAAGCUCCAGGAGGGUAUCGAAUUAACGACACGCCUGGUUCGGUCUAACAAAGUGGAGACACAGACCCCAGAAGGUACCAUAUGAAAGGUACAACCGGUAAGGCCCAAAACAGUGAAUAUAGACCGAAGAUGGUACCGAUUGAAAAGUACAUCUCACAGAGUCAAAACCAAGACUACAGACCCCAGACAAUAUCAAAUGAAGGAUACAGCUAGCAAGGUCGAAACAGAGAAUGUAGACCUCAGACAGUAUCAAAUGAAGGAUACAGCUAGCAAGGUCGAAACAGAGAAUGUAGACCCCAGACAGUAUCAAAUGAAAGAUACAGCUAGUAAGGUCAAGACAGAGAAUAUAGACCCCAGACAGUAUCAAAUGAAAGAUACAGCUAGUAAGGUCAAGACGGAGACUAUUGACCCCAGACAGUAUCAAAUGAAAGAUACAGCUAGCAAGGUCAAAACAGAGAAAAUCUGAAAAGUGACAUCAGCAUACAGUGUAUUUUGCUGACGACAUACCGUUUACCUUAAAGCCAUGAAUUAUAAGGCAACCCAGGAUACUCGUAACCAUACUGACUAGAGUUCCAGACGCUCUACAAGCAUCUAUAUAAUAUGACAUUUGUCACCCCUUGGCUUGGUGGGCCGUGGACUGUAGCUAGCAGUCAGGGUGCGGGGUUGUCAAUCCCGUAUAGGCCUAUACACACAAUGUCCGCUCUCCCUACAGGAGACUCUGGUUACCAACUAGACGACGGAGAAGGCCGCGUCCCGAAGAUGCAUCCCAAAUAGAGAAUAGUGUGUUUCUUGAGGGGAGUGGGUUUCUAAUACAAGUGAUAUACUAGAGGUAGAGACUUCCAAACAGUGGGUAGUGUGUUUCUAAAGUAAGUGUAGAAUAGAUGAAGAGACUCUUAAUUGACUUGACUAGAGAAUUCCCUAUAUGUCCAUACUCAUAUACAUAGUAUUUAACUAAUGGACCAAACGACCUUCGGACGGCUACCCGAUCCCACCAGACCACAUCUCAACGAAGAAAAGGAAAUAGGGCCGAUGAGCCUUCCUAAGUCUUUCAGUCAUUACUUAUAUAUACCUAUAUAUGUACGGACAUACAUCUAACUAUGACUAAGUGGGUAUCAAGUGAAAGUGAUUCUCGUAAAGUAGGAGUGUCUAAUAAGUGAAGUAAGAGCGGUCGCAAGUGAAGUACAAGUGUCGAAUAAGUAUAGGCGGAUCGCGAAGUAGAUAUGACCACAAGUGAAGUAAGAGCGUAUCAAGUAUAAGUGAAGUAAAGUCGAUCUCAAAUACAAGCGAAGUAGAAUCGUAUCACUAAGUAAGAGGGUAAAUAAGUAUAAGCGUUAUCAGGUAUAAGUGACUUCAGGUAUAAGCAAAAACAUUACAGAGUAGGAGCAUAAAAUAAGUAUAAGCGAAGCAGUGGUAUCUAACAAUUAAAAGUAUUCAUGAAAANNNNNNNNNNNNNNNNNNNNNNNNNNNNNNNNNNNNNNNNNNNNNNNNNNNNNNNNNNNNNNNNNNNNNNNNNNNNNNNNNNNNNNNNNNNNNNNNNNNNNNNNNNNNNNNNNNNNNNNNNNNNNNNNNNNNNNNNNNNNNNNNNNNNNNNNNNNNNNNNNNNNNNNNNNNNNNNNNNNNNNNNNNNNNNNNNNNNNNNNNNNNNNNNNNNNNNNNNNNNNNNNNNNNNNNNNNNNNNNNNNNNNNNNNNNNNNNNNNNNNNNNNNNNNNNNNNNNNNNNNNNNNNNNNNNNNNNNNNNNNNNNNNNNNNNNNNNNNNNNNNNNNNNNNNNNNNNNNNNNNNNNNNNNNNNNNNNNNNNNNNNNNNNNNNNNNNNNNNNNNNNNNNNNNNNNNNNNNNNNNNNNNNNNNNNNNNNNNNNNNNNNNNNNNNNNNNNNNNNNNNNNNNNNNNNNNNNNNNNNNNNNNNNNNNNNNNNNNNNNNNNNNNNNNNNNNNNNNNNNNNNNNNNNNNNNNNNNNNNNNNNNNNNNNNNNNNNNNNNNNNNNNNNNNNNNNNNNNNNNNNNNNNNNNNNNNNNNNNNNNNNNNNNNNNNNNNNNNNNNNNNNNNNNNNNNNNNNNNNNNNNNNNNNNNNNNNNNNNNNNNNNNNNNNNNNNNNNNNNNNNNNNNNNNNNNNNNNNNNNNNNNNNNNNNNNNNNNNNNNNNNNNNNNNNNNNNNNNNNNNNNNNNNNNNNNNNNNNNNNNNNNNNNNNNNNNNNNNNNNNNNNNNNNNNNNNNNNNNNNNNNNNNNNNNNNNNNNNNNNNNNNNNNNNNNNNNNNNNNNNNNNNNNNNNNNNNNNNNNNNNNNNNNNNNNNNNNNNNNNNNNNNNNNNNNNNNNNNNNNNNNNNNNNNNNNNNNNNNNNNNNNNNNNNNNNNNNNNNNNNNNNNNNNNNNNNNNNNNNNNNNNNNNNNNNNNNNNNNNNNNNNNNNNNNNNNNNNNNNNNNNNNNNNNNNNNNNNNNNNNNNNNNNNNNNNNNNNNNNNNNNNNNNNNNNNNNNNNNNNNNNNNNNNNNNNNNNNNNNNNNNNNNNNNNNNNNNNNNNNNNNNNNNNNNNNNNNNNNNNNNNNNNNNNNNNNNNNNNNNNNNNNNNNNNNNNNNNNNNNNNNNNNNNNNNNNNNNNNNNNNNNNNNNNNNNNNNNNNNNNNNNNNNNNNNNNNNNNNNNNNNNNNNNNNNNNNNNNNNNNNNNNNNNNNNNNNNNNNNNNNNNNNNNNNNNNNNNNNNNNNNNNNNNNNNNNNNNNNNNNNNNNNNNNNNNNNNNNNNNNNNNNNNNNNNNNNNNNNNNNNNNNNNNNNNNNNNNNNNNNNNNNNNNNNNNNNNNNNNNNNNNNNNNNNNNNNNNNNNNNNNNNNNNNNNNNNNNNNNNNNNNNNNNNNNNNNNNNNNNNNNNNNNNNNNNNNNNNNNNNNNNNNNNNNNNNNNNNNNNNNNNNNNNNNNNNNNNNNNNNNNNNNNNNNNNNNNNNNNNNNNNNNNNNNNNNNNNNNNNNNNNNNNNNNNNNNNNNNNNNNNNNNNNNNNNNNNNNNNNNNNNNNNNNNNNNNNNNNNNNNNNNNNNNNNNNNNNNNNNNNNNNNNNNNNNNNNNNNNNNNNNNNNNNNNNNNNNNNNNNNNNNNNNNNNNNNNNNNNNNNNNNNNNNNNNNNNNNNNNNNNNNNNNNNNNNNNNNNNNNNNNNNNNNNNNNNNNNNNNNNNNNNNNNNNNNNNNNNNNNNNNNNNNNNNNNNNNNNNNNNNNNNNNNNNNNNNNNNNNNNNNNNNNNNNNNNNNNNNNNNNNNNNNNNNNNNNNNNNNNNNNNNNNNNNNNNNNNNNNNNNNNNNNNNNNNNNNNNNNNNNNNNNNNNNUGUAGAAAAACCCUAUCCACUUCAGUGCUUGACAGAAGAGUUGAUUCCGACCCCGAGGAGAUUCAUUGAGAAGAUUUCCUGUUCGGAAAUAAGUGAACCGGGUCGGGACUAUUGAAUGCACCAAGCGCCCAUAUUCUCUUAGGGACAGUGGUGAGAGAUUCGCCUAAACUUCGGAGAUUCCUAGUCAUCCAUCAAUUAGUGAUGACACCCACAGUUGGAAUCGAAAGGAAGGCGGAGUAGAAAUUCAAUAAGUCCAUACAAGAAGAGAACCCUAGGAAACUACCCGAAGGAAGCCAACGCCGAUUCCAGUCGAAGAUACGAGGCAGACCGAGGGAGCUAGUACAUGGAACCCGGGAAUUGUCUUUUCCUCGUAUUCGUCACNNNNNNNNNNNNNNNNNNNNNNNNNNNNNNNNNNNNNNNNNNNNNNNNNNNNNNNNNNNNNNNNNNNNNNNNNNNNNNNNNNNNNNNNNNNNNNNNNNNNNNNNNNNNNNNNNNNNNNNNNNNNNNNNNNNNNNNNNNNNNNNNNNNNNNNNNNNNNNNNNNNNNNNNNNNNNNNNNNNNNNNNNNNNNNNNNNNNNNNNNNNNNNNNNNNNNNNNNNNNNNNNNNNNNNNNNNNNNNNNNNNNNNNNNNNNNNNNNNNNNNNNNNNNNNNNNNNNNNNNNNNNNNNNNNNNNNNNNNNNNNNNNNNNNNNNNNNNNNNNNNNNNNNNNNNNNNNNNNNNNNNNNNNNNNNNNNNNNNNNNNNNNNNNNNNNNNNNNNNNNNNNNNNNNNNNNNNNNNNNNNNNNNNNNNNNNNNNNNNNNNNNNNNNNNNNNNNNNNNNNNNNNNNNNNNNNNNNNNNNNNNNNNNNNNNNNNNNNNNNNNNNNNNNNNNNNNNNNNNNNNNNNNNNNNNNNNNNNNNNNNNNNNNNNNNNNNNNNNNNNNNNNNNNNNNNNNNNNNNNNNNNNNNNNNNNNNNNNNNNNNNNNNNNNNNNNNNNNNNNNNNNNNNNNNNNNNNNNNNNNNNNNNNNNNNNNNNNNNNNNNNNNNNNNNNNNNNNNNNNNNNNNNNNNNNNNNNNNNNNNNNNNNNNNNNNNNNNNNNNNNNNNNNNNNNNNNNNNNNNNNNNNNNNNNNNNNNNNNNNNNNNNNNNNNNNNNNNNNNNNNNNNNNNNNNNNNNNNNNNNNNNNNNNNNNNNNNNNNNNNNNNNNNNNNNNNNNNNNNNNNNNNNNNNNNNNNNNNNNNNNNNNNNNNNNNNNNNNNNNNNNNNNNNNNNNNNNNNNNNNNNNNNNNNNNNNNNNNNNNNNNNNNNNNNNNNNNNNNNNNNNNNNNNNNNNNNNNNNNNNNNNNNNNNNNNNNNNNNNNNNNNNNNNNNNNNNNNNNNNNNNNNNNNNNNNNNNNNNNNNNNNNNNNNNNNNNNNNNNNNNNNNNNNNNNNNNNNNNNNNNNNNNNNNNNNNNNNNNNNNNNNNNNNNNNNNNNNNNNNNNNNNNNNNNNNNNNNNNNNNNNNNNNNNNNNNNNNNNNNNNNNNNNNNNNNNNNNNNNNNNNNNNNNNNNNNNNNNNNNNNNNNNNNNNNNNNNNNNNNNNNNNNNNNNNNNNNNNNNNNNNNNNNNNNNNNNNNUGUAUAUUUAAGAUGGACAGACCUAGAGUGAGCGAAUGCCGCCUCAUUUCCUGUUCCUCGUUUGGUUGUGGAUUUAGGGCGGGGUCGCUCAGUCAACAGUCCUCCCCACCUUAAAUAUACAUGACUAGUAUAUGUGAGGCGAUUGUAGAAAUGCCUCGUGAGAAUCCAUUCAAGAAAAGAUACUCUAUUCAGAAACACUUAGAACUCUCUAUAGUUCCGCGUCGACUCUAUCGGUCCAAGUAUCCGCGGUAGCGAUAUAUAGGACGAAACCCGAGACGCCUAGAACUUGUGUGCCUGUUCGGCACAUGACUCUAUCGAUCUUCACUUUAUAUCAUGUCGAAGUGUGCCAACUUCGACGACUCUAUUGAUCAUGGUUUGACUUCGUGCAACCGUGUGUACGCCCUUAGUGCUAUGCAAAAAGAACUUUCUCCGAAGCCUUGUCGGCAAAUAAAGGUUCUCCCGAACCCGAACCUAACACAAAUAAUCACAUCUAAUGCAAUCCGUCAAUCGUCCCUCUUAUCUCAAACCUUCCGAAGUACCCAAGUGAGGGUACCCUGCGCUAUGGACCGACCCCUCGUAGCCAGAUGAACACCGAAGCGAAGGACACUGCAGAUACUCUAGAAGACGACAACCAGCUGGAGCAUACUCCGUAGAUUCCCCUGAGUGACCCUUCUCACCUCGCACAUCAGGUUUGUGAACCCAGAGAAUAGAACUCAUGAGGCUGACCACUAUAACCAGGUAUACUGCUGGCAUCCAUUAAGUAUUGGCGGUUAGGCCAAGCAUGAGCUCUACCACAAACCUCUUCGCAAAACACUUUCACCCCAUUCGAUAACAAAGGAGCAGAAAUCAAGAGAACUACUGCGUGUUGAACUAGUAAAGUUCCGAGUGAAGAGACCCUAUACCCACUAGAUUUGACUUAGACCGAGAAAACUUAGAACCUUCGGAAGAGUAGUUGCAAUUUACGCUCUGACUACUCAGACACCUUGCCCACCCAGUUAUAGGCAGGUAGUGCUUAUCAUCCUCCACCCUCUCACAAGGAGGAAAAAUCGUCGUCGCCUUGUAGAUGAUGAAUUAUAUUUUCCGAGGUAAACACUAGAAUACCGAGAACCACAGGGUAACCUUCGCAGCCAAGAAUACUUGGUCAAGUGCGAAGGUAGUUGCGUUAAAUCUCAUGACCCGAAUCCCGAAAAGAUUAUAGACUCGACACCAGCCUUAGUGUUAGUCGAGGGAUUACGUCGGAGCACGCACUUUCCACGCUAGAAUAAACCAUAGUCUUAGAGAUUCUUUGGACUAAUAGGUGUUCCCCGAAUACUAUCUCAAGCAGGGAUACUAGAACCACCUCCCGAGAUAGCCCAACACUCGUCUAGUGAAGCCCUGUCUCCCCGAUUCUCAGGGUCUUCGUAUCUCAAGCAUCGUUAGUGCAGGUCCAUUUUGCACAAGCUUGGGAUAGACACUCUAUAGAAAACCAAUAACCAUAGUCGCUCAACCCACUUGACGAUCUAGGAAGCCUCUAUCAUCCAGUGGAAAGAAAGCAUGAAACUGGAGACCACUUGAGAUUCCUAAGAACCAACCCGAAGGACUACACUACCAGUACGAGAGAGAACGUUAGGAACUUCGGAAUGGCGAUCACGCCAGUGAAGAUCUUGCCAUAGAAGUACACUAUGUUCUAAGUACUGAAAGGCUCUACCCUUCCGAGAGCGUAGGACCAUCCGGGAAUACUCAUGGAGAUUUGGUCCAAUCCUUUUCAGACCACUACUACUUUCGGGUAUACCACAAGAUUCACAUUCGACCGAUCCACUUCUUAGACUUGAUAUGCGAUUAUCCGACAACACUUUGCGUGCCACGCUUAUCUUGAUAGAAUCCAUUGAGAACCCUGACUUCAUAGAUACACCAGUCGGAACCCGCUAGCUACACUAGACGGAAUCCACAUCCCUUAUGUGAAGGUCUGUGGGAAGGACAAACACAGACUAGAGAUCACUUGGGAAUGCGAGGGCAACCGUAUAGGAAGUACUCCCUCAUCUCUACUUGGCCAUUCAUGCCUACUUCCUUGUCUAGACUUGAAUUUCGGGACGAAAUUCCCUCUAACGGGGGGAUGAUGUGACAACCCAAGUUGUCCCGUUACGUUUCCCCGUUACCGUUAACGGAAUAUUCCACUGUAUAAAAGUUCCGUUAAUUAGAGGGCAUCAAUUUAAUAAACAUUCCAUUUGGUUACCUUUAACAUGCCGUUAAGUCGUGAUAAAAGGGAAUNGAAACUGAAGACCACUUGAGAUUCCUAAGAACCAACCCGAAGGACUACACUACCAGUACGAGAGAGAACGUUAGGAACUUCGGAAUGGCGAUCACGCCAGUGAUGAUCUUGCCAUAGAAGUACACUAUGUUCUAAGUACUGAAAGGCUCUACCCUUCCUAGAGCGUAGGACCAUCCGGGAAUCCUCAUGGAAAUUUGGUCCAAUCCUUUUCAGACCACUACUACUUUCGGAUAUACCACAAGAUUCACAUUCGACCGAUCCACUUCUUAGACUUGAUAUGCGAUUAUCCGACAACACUCUUCGUGCCUCACUCAUCUUGAUAGAAUCCAUCGAGAACCCUGACUUCAUAGAUACACCAGUCGGAACCCGCUAGCUACACUAGACGGAAUGCGCAUCCCGUAUGUGAAGAUCUGUGGGAAGGACAAACACAGACUAGAGAUCACUUGGGAAUGCGAGGGCAACCGUAUAGGAAGUACUCCCUCAUCUCUACUUGGCCAUUCAUGCCUACUUCCUUGUCUAGACUUGAAUUUCGGGACGAAAUUCCCUCUAACGGGGGGAUUAUGUGACAACCCAAGUUGUCCCGUUACAUUUCCCCGUUACCGUUAACGGAAUAUUCCACUGUAUAAAAGUUCCGUUAAUUAGAGGGCAUCAAUUUAAUAAACAUUCCAUUUGAUUACCUUUAACAUGCCGUUAAGUCGUGAUAAAAGGAAAUAAAAACACAGGACACACAUUUUCAUUCAUUUGGAAAAUGUCAAGUUUUAUUAUUACGACCACUAAAUCGGGUGCGACCAAAAGCCCCGUUUAACGGCAGUAUCGGGUAAAAUUCCACUGAGCCCCGACUGUGAAACCUAUAUAUGGGUGAGUGGAGUCCAUUGGAGACUUUUUACACUCUCUCUCUAUACUCUCUCUCUAGACCCGUUUUCGCCCCGAAUUCGCAACCAAACGCUUCCAAAUUGUAAGUCCGCUUACCCUAACUUAUUCUAAGCGUAUUGAUUUAUGUUUAUAGCCCAAAAAUCAUCCAAGAAGGCAUAAGAUAAGGAGUUUACGGCCCAGGAACAUUCUAGGGCCGUAAACCCCUAAAAAGGUGUUAAAAAUGCCUUUAAACUUGACCAUGAGCUUAGAAACUAUUAGGGGAUAUAGCCUAGGGGUGUUUAAACACUAAAAUGCAUGGAUUUAGGACUCAAAGAAGAGUUUACGGCCCAAGCACAUGCUUAGGCCGUAAACUCCACAAGUUAUGGUCCCAAAUGUGCACCAAACUCAUCCUAGGGCUUAUUACAUAUUUUAGGGACUUAUUCCUUUGAGUUUAGACCCUUGAAACACUCCAAAAUGAAUUAAAGAAAAGAGUUUACGGCCCAUGAAUAGUCAAGGCCGUAAACUCCCAAAAAUCAUGCUCAAAAGUGUGAUUUUGCCCCCCAAAUGGCCUUAGACAUUUACCAUAAACUACUAAGAGGAGAACUAAGGACUUAAACCCAAGAAAAUGAGACGUUUCUUGGAGUUUACGGCCCAAGCAAUUAUCUAGGCCGUAAACUCCCCAAAACCCCCUCAAAUGUUGGUUUUAAUCCUCCAAAAUAGCAUCACACUUCAUUAUAAAUCACUAGAAAGGCAUUAGAGGCUUGAAACUUCACUAAACUCAAAGAUUGAGAGUUUACGGCCGUAAACUCCCUUGGGAGAGUUCUUAGGCCGUAAACUCCUAUAAAAUACCUUUAGAAGCCUCAAAUCCAAUCAUGCCUUUGAUGAAAAGUGCUUAGAAUAAAUCAAGGAACAAGCUAGAAGCAUCAAAACCCCAAGAAUAUGACCUUGGGAGUUUACGGCCGUAAACUCCCUUAGGUUGGGCCGUAAACUCCUUGUUUGGUCCAUAUUGAUGCUUUAAACCCCUUUACACCCUUGAUACUUGAGCAUAGCAAAGUCCCACAGCUGAUAGGAGACCCUUAGCACCCUUAAACGCUACCCGGGACCCCAAACACUCAACCAAAAGUGUUUUCCACUCCUUUGAGUGUGUAUAAUUGUUUAAUUAGUAUAUUAUAUGCUAAUUGUAUGUGAACAUAUGUUAUCAUAUGUUAAAAUAGGUCCUUGUGUGUGUUCAAGUCCUUGCGUGACCCCGAACGCCUAAACGGCACUACCGUCGGACCUACUUAUACCAGGUGAGUUCAUACCCCUGAAUGAACCUUUUUAAUGCUUUUAAAUGUUUUCAUAGGGGGGGAUUACAAGUUAAACAUGCCAGUUAUCAUAUCAAUCACAUGUGAUUGAUAACCCGCAUGCACAAGAUUUUACCACUGUACACUGUUUUACCGAGUAGGACACUAUAAAUGGCUUUCAAAAAGGGUUUUUAAAUUGUUCAAGUUCUUACUUUCAUAGCUUAUCAAAGACUCAUUUCAACUGAUUUAUAAAAGAUUCUCAAAGAUUUCUAAAGAUUUUCACACCUAUUUUAUCAAAGAAUACAAAUGCGAUUUUCCUGAGUAACAAAAUCUUUAAGGGUUUUUCAUGAAUACUUUUAAUUGUUAGAUACCACUGCUUCGCUUAUACUUAUUUUAUGCUCCUACUCUGUAAUGUUUUUGCUUAUACCUGAAGUCACUUAUACCUGAUAACGCUUAUACUUAUUUACCCUCUUACUUAGUGAUACGAUUCUACUUCGCUUGUAUUUGAGAUCGACUUUACUUCACUUAUACUUGAUACGCUCUUACUUCACUUGUGGUCAUAUCUACUUCGCGAUGCGCCUAUACUUAUUCGACACUUAUACUUCACUUGCGACCGCUCUUACUUCACUUAUUAGACACUCCUACUUCACGAGAAUCACUUUCACUUGAUACCCACUUAGUCAUAGUUAGAUGUAUGUCCGUACUUAUAUAGGUAUAUAUAAGUAAUGACUGAAAGACUUAGGAAGGCUCAUCGGCCCUAUUUCCUUUUCUUCGUUGAGAUGUGGUCUGGUGGGAUCGGGUAGCCGUCCGAAGGUCGUUUGGUCCAUUAGUUAAAUACUAUGUAUAUGAGUAUGGACAUAUAGGGAAUUCUCUAGUCAAGUCAAUUAAGAGUCUCUUCAUCUAUUCUACACUUACUUUAGAAACACACUACCCACUGUUUGGAAGUCUCUACCUCUAGUAUAUCACUUGUAUUAGAAACCCACUCCCCUCAAGAAACACACUAUUCUCUAUUUGGGAUGCAUCUUCGGGACGCGGCCUUCUCCGUCGUCUAGUUGGUAACCAGAGUCUCCUGUAGGGAGAGCGGACAUUGUGUGUAUAGGCCUAUACGGGAUUGACAACCCCGCACCCUGACUGCUAGCUACAGUCCACGGCCCACCAAGCCAAGGGGUGACAAAUGUCAUAUUAUAUAGAUGCUUGUAGAGCGUCUGGAACUCUAGUCAGUAUGGUUACGAGUAUCCUGGGUUGCCUUAUAAUUCAUGGCUUUAAGGUAAACGGUAUGUCGUCAGCAAAAUACACUGUAUGCUGAUGUCACUUUUCAGAUUUUCUCUGUUUUGACCUUGCUAGCUGUAUCUUUCAUUUGAUACUGUCUGGGGUCAAUAGUCUCCGUCUUGACCUUACUAGCUGUAUCUUUCAUUUGAUACUGUCUGGGGUCUACAUUCUCUGUCUUGACCUUACUAGCUGUAUCUUUCAUUUGAUACUGUCUGGGGUCUACAUUCUCUGUUUCGACCUUGCUAGCUGUAUCCUUCAUUUGAUACUGUCUGAGGUCUACAUUCUCUGUUUCGACCUUGCUAGCUGUAUCCUUCAUUUGAUAUUGUCUGGGGUCUGUAGUCUUGGUUUUGACUCUGUGAGAUGUACUUUUCAAUCGGUACCAUCUUCGGUCUAUAUUCACUGUUUUGGGCCUUACCGGUUGUACCUUUCAUAUGGUACCUUCUGGGGUCUGUGUCUCCACUUUGUUAGACCGAACCAGGCGUGUCGUUAAUUCGAUACCCUCCUGGAGCUUAUGAUUCCUUGCCUUAGUCAGCACUCCUCACUGCUGAGGCCUAUGUUAUUCCCUGAUGUCACUUGCUUCCUUUAAUAAUCAAAUUCAGUAUUUUGAUAAUAAUAGCAAAUAAGGGAAAACCACCUCUUACCUCAACACACUGACCAGUCUCGGUAGAAGGCUGCUUUAUUUAAAGAAAAUAUAGGAUUUUCUGGGAGAAGGCUCUAAUACACGGAAGCCUCUUAAACUAUUUCUUUAUUAAGUUAUUUGAAUGAAAUGUCACUAAAUGCUUAUGAACUCACCAACAUUUGUAAAAAUGCUGAUACUCGCUUUUCAAAUAACUUGUAAUCUCAGGUCAGCAAUUAGACAGAUACAACCCCUGGAGCUGCUGAAGAAGAUAGCUUAAGUACUUUGCAACACUUUACCUAUUAUGUUUGUAUUACUUUGAUACUAUGUAAUAUAACCAUGUAAAAAUUAUUCUAUUAAUGCAAUGUUUUGUUGUACUUCGAUUACUAUAUGCAUGUGUUGUGAUACUUGACAUGACGUCAUCCACCCCAGAACAUUUCCGCCGUUCCGGUUUUGGGGUGUGACAGAAGUUGUCAAACGGUUACUUUUAGACUGCUCGUGAGCACGCGUGGAUAAGAUUAGACCUUUCGGAUUGAAGGCUCGGCUCUUUUGCUUUUGGGAUUCGAAACGAAGUCAUUUGCCAGACUUGUGAAAUCAUCAGCCUAAGUUGGUAUUACUUAGAGCCUCAAGGAUUUCAUGAGUGUAGUGAUUCAAUGAAAAAGAUAAGAAGCAAAUAAAAAAAAUUGGAUCUGUGAUGUCAAGAAUAUUGACACGAAAGCAAUUAAAAACCAGGCAAAGGUUGCUUCGUUAAUUAUCAAGAGAGAUAACUAACAGCUUGUGCAUUAUCCCGUGAAUUACAAUCGAAUAAUUAUAGAGAAGUAUCGAAGGGCUUCUUUUUCAAGGCUUCAAUGGGUGGCUUAUGAAUUUCGUUCCAUAUCAUCCUAAACAUAAGGUGAGUAAUUGUAACCAAAAUUACUUGUUUGACCAGUGUAGUUAGUGACAAGUGGCUUUGGAAAAUUUUGAAAGUGACUAGGAAAAAGAAUUGAUACUCACACUGAAAUCACAUUCAUGUAAAUCAAUUAAAUUGGAUUUUAUUGGUAACAAAUUUCGUGGGUUUCGAACAUUUGAUUAAAAACCACUCAUACGAAAGAAUGUGAUUUGGAGUAUACGAAAUGUGGGUACAGAAACAAGUGUUUCGUAAAAAUCUGGAACAUAGUUCCCCGUCAAUUCCUUAAUAAGUUCGGAUAUUUGUAUUUAACUUACAUCAAGGUCACAUGAUAUAAGAUCAUUAACACAUAUUUUUGACACGUUUAAGUCACAAUUGGUUUAAUCAAUGACCUCUUGAACAUGCGUCAGUGUGUGUGAAAUGUCUUAAGAAAUUUUGUGAUGAAAAAGAUUGGUUAAGAUUCGAAUGUACCUCUGUUAUGUAUGGACCAAACAGACAACUCUUAACUCAUUUGGGAAGAGUAAGGUAGCUCAUUGGACUAAUGCGAAUGUAAGCCUAAUUGGGAAGAAACUUUCAUAUGAAAAUUUUCAUUAAGGCUUUCGUAACACACAUAGAGUCAGUUGAGGCUUGGGUUGACAUGCAGCAACACGCUUCUAGGGACAACUUAACUAGUACAAAGAUUUAAGAGAAUUAACUUCCCAUAGAAACACAAUCUUGACCCUUUGAAGAAUUGUCUUGAAAAUGUUAUUGAAGACCUCAACAAACGAAGUAACCAAAAAUCUUUUUGAAUUUUCCAUUUUUGAACAAAAAUAAAAACAAAAAAAAUAUUUUUGUGAUUUUGAAUUUUUCAAGAAAUAAAAGAUGAAACAAAAGAAAAUUUUUUGAUAUUUUUGAUUUUUCGAAAAUUAAUACAAAGAAAUAAAAAAUAUUUUUGAUUUUUCAGUUUUUCAAUGAACAGAUUCUAAACUAAUGAAAAGAAAUGAUAGUACAAAGCACGCGGAAAGUUUUAGUUUCAAUAUACGAAAACGAAGGGUGUCGAAGCCUCUUAAUGCACAGUAACCUCAGAAUGGUUAAGACAACAAGCCUCUAAAUCGACACCUUUUUCACUAACAACAUUUCGUUAAUUCUGAGUAUUUGAUCCUGGUACUGAAUUUGCAUCUAACAUUCCUAGACCUGCUAAAAUUCUCACAAAAGAUUUUUCAUCAAGUGGUUUAGUGAAAUAUCAGCAAGUUGAUUAGUAGUAUUCACAAAAUGAACUUCAAUAUUACCGUCUUCCACAUGAUCUUUUAUAAAAUGAUAACGAAGAGCAAUGUGUUUCAUUUUCGAAUGUUGUACUAGAUUAUGACAAAUGCGAAUAGCACUUUGUGAAUCACAGUACAAAGGAAUCUUUUUCAUAUUAAUUGCAUAAUCACGCAAUUGCCUUUGAAUCUAGAUGAUUUGAGAAGUGCAAGUAGCAGCUGAAAUGUAUUCAGCUUCGACAGUAGAAAUAGCUAUAUAAGUUUGUUUCUUUGACUGCCAACUUACCAACUUCCCAUCCAAUAACUGACAUCCUCCACUAGUGCUUUUCCUAUCAAGUGUACAUCCACCAAGAUCUGAAUCCAAAAGGGCUUGAAUAAAAAAUCCAGAUUUCGAAGGAUACCAUAAUACUAACAAAACGGUUCCUUUGAGAUAACGAAAAAUGUUUUUCACAGCUGUUAAAUGUGGUUCUCUUGGAUUUACUUGAUACCUUGCACAAUUGCAAAUAGAAAACAUGAUAUCAGGUCUACUUGUAGUUAAAUAAAGUAGAGAACCAAUCAUGCUUCGAAACAAAGUAAGAUCAACAGCAGGUGAAUCUAAUGAAGGUGUUAACUUCGUUCCUACAGCCAUUGGCACACGUAGCUUCGUGUUGUUAGUCAUUCCAAACUUUUCAAGCAAAUUCAUCGUGUAUUUUUCUUGGUUGAUGAAAAUCCCUUCUCUGCUUUGACGUAUAUUUAACCCAAGAAAAUUGUUGAUUUUACCCAUCAUGCUCAUUUCGAACUUACUCUUCAUCAAAUUCUCAAAUUCAAUAAACAAAACUGGGUCAGUAGAGCCAAAAAUAAUAUCGUCAACAUAAAUUUGAACAAGCAUUAGAUGUUCCCCAACUUUCUUACAAAAUAAUGUGGGAUCAACUGAUCCUUGUUUAAAUUUUGACUGUUUUAAGAAAUUGGUAAGAGUUGCAUACCAUGCUCUAGGUGCUUGUUUUAACCCAUACACAACCUUAUCUAAUAUAUAAACAUGAUUAGGAUAUUCUUCAUUAACAAAACCUAGUGGUUGUUCAACAUAUACUGUCUCUUCGAGCUCUCCAUUUAAGAAUGCACAUUUGACAUCCAUUUGAUAAACAUCAAAGUCUUUGUGUGCUGCAUAUGCUUAAAAUAUUCGAACAGCCUCGAGUCUUGCGACAGGGGCAAAGGUUACUUCAUAGUCGAUACCUUCUUGUUGCGAAUAGCCUUUAACUACAAGCCUUGCUUUAUUUCAAAUAAUGUUUCCUUCUUUUUCGAUUUUAUUUAUGAAAAUCCAUUUUAAUCCGACAAUCGAAACAUUAUUAGGUUUUGGAACAAGUCUCCAAACCUUGUUUCUUUCAAAUUCAGCAAGUUCAGAUUGCAUAGUAACAACCCAACCUGAGUGUUCCAUAGCAACCUUAACUGUUUUUGGCUCUAUUUUCAAAAUGAAAAAAUUAAACAUACUAAAUUCUUGAUUCGUAUUAAGUACCUCAUUUUUCGAACGAAUUUGAGCUCUUGUUAAAACUCCAUCUUGUGGAUUUCCUACGACCUGCUCUUUUGGAUGACUCUUCGUCCAUUUCUCAAGUGGUGGAUAUGCUGGUUCAAAUUCCAAUGGUGCAUCUUCGUAUAUUUCAUCAUUCUUAGUACUUACCACAAAAAUGUUGACAUCAAUUUCAUGAUAUUCGUCAUUUUGAUCAAGAUUAAUUUCAUCUGAAUUAUUAUGCUCCCCCUCAAGAUGAUUAUCACUUUGAUUCGCCUCCUCAAAUUCAUGAUUCAUACUACCCUUCUCCCCUUCGUAAGGAUGCUCCCCCUCAUCUUUUUGAGGAAUAUUCGUAUGCUCCCCCUCCAUACGAGCAUUCAGCAUACUUUCUCCAUUUUCAGCAGUAUCCGGUGUGAGUGUUGAAUCAUCAGUAUGUUUUGAGGAUUCAAUUGUGUGAUUAUCAUUAGCAUGAAUUUCGGCAUCAAUUGCCCUGUCUAUAACACCAAAAAUUAAUUCAUAAUCAAAAUCAAUUGAAAUAUCAUUUUCAGUUUGAUUAUUUGAUUCAGCAAGAAUUUAUUUGGAUUCAAACUUUCUUUCUACUUGUUUAACAUAGUAAUCAUCAAAGGUAAGAUUAAAAGUUUCUUCAACUUUUCGAGUUCGUUUGUUCAACACUCUAUAUGCAACAUAAUUUUGCGAAUAUCCCAAAAAGAUGCCCUUAUCUGCUUUAGCUUGAAACUUUGAAAGAUUGUCUUUAAGAUUCAUGAUGAAACAUCUGCAACCAAAAACAUGGAAAUUUUGACAUUAUGUUUCCGAUGAUUUAUUAUUUCAUAAGGAGUGAUAUUAAAACGAAGAUGGAUGAAUGAUCUGUUUUGAGUAAAACAUGUAGUAGAUACUGCUUCAGCCCAAAUGACAAUGGAUGAGUGAUAUUAAAAUGACGAUGGAUGAGUGAUAUUAAAACAUGGAUAUGCCAACAUUGUUCUUGUAGCUUCGCAUAGAGAUCGAUUUCUUCGUUCAACAACACCAUUUUGUUGUGGUGUAUAUGGAGAUGAAAAAUUAUGCGAAAUUCCUUUAUCCACAAAAAACGAAUCAAGAGCAUUGUUCUUAAAUUCAGUUACAUGAUCACUCUUUAUCUUUCGAACCGUCUUCUUUAAUGUUGUUUCCAUUUUCUUGAUAAAAUCAAUCAUGAUUUGUGCAACUUCGUAUUUAAUCCUGAGAAAAUAAACCCACGUGAAUCUUGAAAAACCAUCAACAAUUACUAAAAUGUACCGUUUUUUGUUAAGAUUAGAUACAAUUGAUGGUCCACACAAAUCAUUGUGUAAAAGCUCCAGAGGUUCAACAAUCUUCGAAUCAAUUGUGAUUGGAUGACCUUGUUUAUGUUGUUUUCCAACUUCACAAGCUGCACAUAAAGAAUCAUUGUCAAAUUUAAGUACAGGUAAACCUUUUACCAAAUCUUGCACAACAAGUUUGUUGAUAUUUCGAAAGUUGAGAUGUGAAAGUCUUUGAUGCCAAAGCCAGCUUAGAUCUGAUGUAGCUUUCGAAAGUAGACAUACAUCAGGUUUACCCACAAUUGGAUUGAUAUCUAAUGUAAACAUGUCACCUUUUCUUUUGGAUUUAAGCAAAACUUCUUUUGUGUUGACAUUCGAAAUAAUGCUUCCUUCUUCGUUAAAAAGUACUUGAUUACCAGUGCCUACCACAAGUUGUGAUACACUUAUCAUGUUGUGUUGAAGACCUUCGACAUAUGCAACCCGAUUCACUAUGAAUUGACAAUUCAUUAUUUUCCCAUAUCCUUUUACUUGACACUUAUGAUUGUUUCCAAACUUAACCACUCCUGCAUUCUUCAUGCUUCGAAAAUCUCUCAAGUUCUCUUCCUUUCCAAUCAUGUGAAGAGACCAACCACUAUCGAUGUACCAUUUAUUACCGUAUUGCUCGUCACUAAGUACCUGUGAUUAUUGAAAAAAUUUAGGUAACCAAGGCUGUGGGUCCUUGGUUAUUAAUAUGAAACAAUGAAUAAAUUUUAGAACUGAAAGCCCAAGUUUGAACUUGUGUCUUUAUCUUCUCAAUUAAAUCAACAUCAUUUUCCAAAGAUAUUGAAAUGUAAUUUUUCAAUAGUUUUGGAUUUGCACUAGAUUGCACCUCAGGCUUCUCAAUUUGUUUUACUUUGUUAAUUGGUUUCCAUCUAUGAAUUGGAGUAUUUGAAUCUUGCGAAGAUAAAGUGGUAGUUGUGGACUCAUUCAUAUACUUUUCAUAGGCUAAUUUGAUUUGACCUUGAGAAAACUUACCAGACUGAAACCUUUUUCCUUAUCCCUCAAGCCAAUGAUUAACUGAAUGAACUUCUGAUUUUCCUUUUGUGCUUGAAACCUUUGAUGAUUUUGUGAUUGAAGGAUUGGAAAAUUUGACUUUUAUGGAGUAAAUUUUAUAGAUGAUUUGAAAUCUUCGUGUGAAAUUGGUUGAUUAUUCGUUAAUAUUCGAACAUUAUUAAGUUUUCGAUCAUUCACAACCGUUUGUGAAGUCUUAUACUUUCGAAUGUUUUCAGAUUUUUGAACAUAUUCAACCUUUUGUUUAAUUGGAAAAGUGUCUAUUACAUUCAUUGGUUGAUGAAAAGACGUGUCUCGUGGUUUUUUUGUGACAAUUGGGUUUUGAAAACUCUUUGUUUUUGAAGAAUUUGUGACUUUAGAUUUUGAACCUCUAAUUUUCACAGACAAAACUUUGGAUUUAUUUAGAAUGGGUUUUUCGUUAGUCACAACUUCCCAAAAAAUUACUUUUUGUGCCUUUCUCUUUGAAACUUUGUGUUCUUUUGUAAACUUAUUGACAAGCACUUUGAAUUCAUUCGAAUUAAGUUUUACAAUUGGAGUUGAAUUAACAACUUCUUUUGUAACAACUUCAUUUUCCUUUUCGGAUUUAACAACCCAUUUUUGUUUUGGUUUCUCUUGUUGAAAAACAUACAGAUUUUUAGUGAGGUUGUUUUCAACAAUGUUUUGAUUUGCAAAGAAUCCUUCGUGUGUUGAACGCUUAUUAUCUUCUUCAACCAUUUUGUUGAAUUCUGGCUUGACAUUUUCAACAUUUCCAGUUGUAACAAAUACUUGAUUUGGAAGAACUACUUCAUCUAUGCAUGUAAAAUUUGGAUACACGACAGUAUUAAUUUCCAAAAAGUAAGCACCUUUUUAUUCAUCACUGUGUUGAACUUUUCAGUUUCUCUAUAAACUUGUUCAAGAACAACUUGUGGAAUUGAAGUUUCAGUUGAAACUUUCUUUGCUGUUUUACAAACAUUCGAAGUUUUGAUUUCGUCCUGCUCAUCAUCACUACUAUCUGUCUGGCUGUCUUGUACUUCCACAUCUUCAAAGUCAAAAGAUUUCGAAGUAGAGGGUUUUCCAAUGUCAUCCCCAACCAUCAAAUUAUUAACAAUUUCUUUACCUUUGGCCUUAGAUGUGAUUUUAAUGAAAGACAACUGAGAACAAUCAAUACUUUCUUCUUCUUCAAUUUCAUUGAUUUCACUAAGAAUAUCCGAAUUCUCAUCGACAUCAGCAAAAUUUAGUUGUGAAUCAAGUUUCGAUUGUUCAGUUCUUUUCAGAAUUUUCAUUUGGUCAUCUUUUUUUAAAAUUUCAUUAACAAUGUUAACCAAUUCAUCAACAUUUAAAAACUCAUCUAUCUUAACAACACCAUAUGCAAACCUAUCAUCUGGUACUUUGUCAAAAUCAGCUAUUGUAUGUUCACAAUCAUAUGACAUGACAUCAACGUUUUCUCUUUCGAAUGCAAGAAAAGGUAACAAUUUACGAUGUUGUUCUUUUCUAAUGUCCGAAGAAUGAUGUAAAGCAGUUAAUUUUGCAUACAAACGUUUGGCUGAAUUACAUUAUAUGUUUCGUUGUGUCAAUAACAACCUGACAUCUUUAUCUAAAUUCUCCAUAUCUUUAUUGACAUUUUGUAACUGCAAUUCUUGAUACUCUACUCUGCUACGUUUCGUGUCUAACAACUUUUAUGUCUCUAGUAAUUGAUUAUUAAGUUUCUUUGCCUCGUUACUAGCAGACACAACAGUAACAUCAAAGUAAGCAACAAUAUAAUAUGCCACUUUCCUCCUCUCUUCAUCAUCAGAACUGGAUGACCAGAUCUGAUAUGUGCCACUUUCCUCAUCUUCACUUUCCCUUCUUGCCACUAGAGACACACCUUUCGCCUUCUCACGAACUUCUUCCAAUUUCUCCAUAUAAUAUGCUUCGUCCUUGUUUUUGUUCUUCUUUUCUUCUUUAUUACGAAGCAUACAGCCAACUAUAAAAUUAUUCGAACCAUUGCAAUAAUGAUAGUCGAUGCCAGAAUCCCCUUUCAACUUCUUUUCACCUUUAAACUCUUUCAUCUUUUGAUCCUUCUCUUCAGAUUUUUUAAACUUCUUCUUCUCUUCUUCAACAGACUUCAUAAAACUUCCUUUAUGCUCACUCUUUUUCCCUUUUGGAUUAAAAGGCUUUUUGAAAAACUUCUUAACUUGGUUAUUCGAGUAAAAAGUUAUAGCUUUAUCAUCAGAAUUCAACAGUAAACCUUCUUCAUCCGAAUUCUCCUUUUCAGCAGACUCCACUUCAGACACUUUCGAAACUAAAGCCAAUGGUUCUCCAAGACUCAUCUUCGAUUCUUCAUCUAUUUUAGAAACUUUGCUUUCGUGUGUCUUUAGCUGAUUGUAAACAUCAUUCAAAGAUGAACAAUCGAAGCUCUACUGAUUUUUGAUGAUCAUUCUUACACUUCGCCACUCCUUCCUAAAUCCCAUAACAAAAGUAAGAUUAUAUUCCAUUAACGACCUUGUAAUUCCGUAGCGAUUACACCUGUAGAUCAACUCAUUUAGUCGAUCGUAAUAGAAUUCAAUUGUUUCAAUUUCCUUCUGUCUAAACCCCUUUAGUUCAACCAAACACUGCUUCAUAGAAUUGAUCUUAAUCUUUUCACUUCCUUGAUACUUUUCUUUGAGAGUAUUCCAAAUCUCCUUAGCAGUUUUACAACCACGAAUGUAGUUGUAAACAGCAGGUGGCAAAGCACCCCUCAAUUCUCUCAUACAUCGCUUUUCAUGUUUCUCCAGUCUUGUUUGUUGUUCUUCAACAGUAGCAGUUGUUCCAGUAGAACCAAUAUUUUGAAUAUUCAAUGGAGGUCGAACUGUUCCAUUGAUGCACUUCCACAACUCUUCAUCUAGACCAUUUAAGUAAUCUUCCAUACGAUCAGUGUACUGAUCAUAGUAUUCUGGAAUCAGCACUAGAAUUUUUGUUGAUGAUCCGAGCAGAUGAGAAUAUAAAGUCAUUGUGUUCAUGUUGAAGUUCGCCAUUGAUGAACACAUGCGAAAAAUUCAGCAAUCACAGAAAAACUUGAUGAAUUUGAAAUUUGAUCAAAUGAAUUGAUCAGAAACUUAUAAUCGAUUACUCGAUUAUACAAUAUGAAUGUAGAAUCUAAUCAAAUCUAUAGAUCAGACGUGAUUUUCAGAAUCAAAAGUGCGGAAACUUUUGAGACAAGAAAGAUGACUCAAAAUCAGAUGAUUCAGAAUGAAAAUCGGAUCAAUGUAAUUUGAUUCCUGCUCUGAUACCAAUUGUAGAAGAAUUGUAUUCGAAAAAUCGAUUAAGAACACGAUUAAUCAAAGUAAUGAACUUAGAAAGUAAAUAAGUCUUUGUAGUUUUUAUUACUCUCAAUAAGCUAAGUUACAAAAAAUAGACAUGAAAGUUAGAAAAAUUCUUACGUCUGAAUCUAAGCUCAGUCCCCAUUUAUAGAGAACAUGAGAGUACAAAAAAUACUAAGUCUGGAACACCUAAGCUUCCAAUGACAACUUCCAAUGACAAGAGACUUAGUAAAUACAUUAUAUACGAAACAGACUAAACACCCUUCGACUCUUUACAAGACACUAACCCUUACAAAUGCUAAAAAAACCACAAAAAAGAAGUAAAUAAAACAAACUAUCAUGUGUAUACAACAAAAAUCUAGAAAUACCGUAAAAAAAACACUUAAAACUCUUGGUAAACUUGUUAAUUGGUAAAAAAAAAAUGGCAUCUAAAAUCAAGAAUAUAUAAAACGUUAGUAAAUACUGUUUGGUAAACAUGCUCUUCCAACUCAGUGCACCAGAAUACUAUCUCCGGUUCUGAUGCUCACCGAUACCGGUUGAUUUUCAUCCCAAAUCCCUCUCAUCUUCGUAAAAUAUGCCAACAGAAACGAAACAAGUUUUCUUGCCUCAUUAUCGUUAAUGUUCGCUACAGUUCGUAAGUGUGCAUAACACUUUCCUUUCAAAAUGGCUUAUCUAUUUCUCCAUCCCCAUGGUAACCAUCCCUUUAUAAUUGCAUCGUUGCCAUGCUCUUAAUUAUUGUGAACGUUUUGCCGGUUGGUUUGUGGUGUCAACAUCAGUGACGGUUUUGUAUGGAUGACCAUAGUGGCACCGACAACACCUACCCUGUCUAUUCGUAUUGGAAAACUUUUCGAUUUUUCUUUCUUAUUUUUCCAGCACCAAGAACGCUUAUUUCAACCUAGACAACACAUAGUAUGUUUAACACGUAACAUUUUUUACAUUUUUUUUAAUAAAAAUCCCGAAUCACUCCAACGUCAAAAAGAAAUUUCACAUAUAGUUUUAUCCGGUUUAUAUGUAAAUUUAGUCUUGAAAGAAUAUUCAAAUUCUCAUUUAAAUUGGUUGGUUAGCUUUUCUUGAUUUCCCAAAAUGGCCGGUGUUUCGAUUCCAUGAUGUGCGUCUUUUUCUUCUACAUCAAACCUUAAAGUUGAAUUACCUAGAAUUUAUUUUUUCUAUAAUUCUUUUUAUAUAAAUAAAUUUAAUUUCAUGUCUUCUUGGUAAGCAGUUUCUCAUGUCUCAAUAACUUUUGUUUUGUUUAAUUUUACGUUAAAUUAACAAAAAAAAAAAUCAUUUAUAACCAUUGUAGUUUGAUGAAAACUCGAUUCAGUCAUCACAAUUUAUUUUCUCUUAAAAAAUAAUAUUAAAAAAUAAUAUACGGUUGCAAAAUAUAUUAAAUUUUGGUGGCUCUAGUGAUUGUGACGUUAGUUUGGUAGUAUUUAUUAUUAUUAUUAUUAUUAUUAUUAUUAUUAUUAUUUUUAUUAUUUGCAAUCAUAAGCAUUAUUUCUAGAACAAAAUAAAAUAGGUGCUUAAAACGGAUUACGACGAAACCAGAAUGCUUUCUAUGGUUUUGCCCUAAAUUAAACACAAAUAUGAGCAAUAUGUCACGACUAACUAAUUAUCAUACGUUAGCAUCCUUGGUAAUUAAGUUUUCUUCAUUCUUAAGAAUUUCGUUAAUAUAAACAUAGGUGUUAUAUUUUUUAUCAAAUGUAACUACUUACGUUUUUAGUAAAUAUUGUAAGGGAGAUGUAUCAAAAAAAGUGAACUAAAUGAUAAAAAAGAUGGAGAAAUAGCUUUUGUUUAAAGUGUUAUUAUUUGAGUUACUUUAUGCUACGUCUUUACUUCUAUAUAACCAGCAACAAAACAAUGAUAUUGUACCAAUCCUCUAAGUUAAUCAACUUAUUAGGGCUCACAUUUGUAACUUAUUUUAAAAACUUUUGUCCGAGGGAAGAAUAGAAAGAGGAGUGAGGGAAUGUCAACCGUUUAUAUUACUCUCAGAAAUGCUUUUACUUCAACACUACUAGGCGCCAUUGUGUUGCUGCAUGUGGCUUCUGGGUUUCCGGCCACUCUCACUCUCACUCUAGAAAGAGCUUUUCCGAUGAACCACAGAAUUGAGUUGAGUCAACUCAGAGAUAGAGGUACUAUUAGAUUCGGUCUUAAAGGAAGUUAUGAUCCUCAUGUGGCUGGGUACGUACACAAUUUUCUUAAACUUUUGUUGUUCAUUUUUAAAUUUAUGGAAUUAGAAUGCUUAUCGUGUUCAUUUGGUGGAACUUGAUUAAUUUCGUCACUUGCAUGAGUUUCUAAUUAUCUGUUAUGGGAAUGUUUAUUUUUAAAUUCAACUUGCGUCUCUUCUCGUCUUUAUAUUAAAUAAAAAGUUAAAAAGCACGGCGUUAAGUUUAUUUCUUUUCAAGUUUGCCCAAUUUCCCUUUGGCUUGGAAGUUGUGGUUUUGCUGCGUCCUCUACAUUUUUUGGUCUACAUAUCUCCGAUCUCUCAAUAAAUCGUAAAUUUUAAUUGUGUGUGUGUGUGUUUUUUUUUUUUUUUUUUUUUUUUUUCAAUUUAGGACACUUUGGGACUUUCAAUUUUGAUUAUAUAUAUUUUAUUUUACGUUUUGAUAUAUUUGAAGUAUUUGUAGUUUCAUUUGGUUGGUUACGUGCCUUAGUUUAAUUGUUUUAAAUCCACCUGGGAUCGACUCCAUGCUCCAUUAUAUACAUUUACGUAGAUAAUUAACAAACUAUCAGCAUCAGGUAGUUCUCUUGGUUGAUAGUGGUGUCUUAUGUUAUAUCCAAGAAGCAUAUAUUCCAAUCUUGUUACCUUCAAUUCUAUAUUUUCUUUAUCAUUAUUUUCUUUAACUAAUUUUCUUAUAUUUAAGGGCCCUUUUUUCUAUUCUCGGCAUAAGGCUCUUAACAUCAACGGACCGGCCUUGAUAUUUUGUUUAGUAAGUUUGAUUAUAAAAUGAAUGAACAUAAGUUUUUUUUUUAUCAGCACUAUGUUUUUUUAUGUGGCGUGAUCGUCUAUAAAGUGUCUGCUAUUAUCUAAAAUCUGGUUGGAUGUGAGAAACUAGUAAGUCAAUGUAUUUUCAUAUUUGUUUAUAGAUUUAAUUCAUUGUUUCUAAUGUAGAGGCACUAAACUCAAGCUUCUAAAUGUUUUGAUUUAUCAAUUUAUAUCAUCAUAGGAUAAAUGUGUUUAAUUUAAGCUUUCUUUUUAUUGGCAUUUUAGUCCCUGACGCUAUUCCUUGUUUUGGGUUUAUCAUGGAAAUAUAUAUGUAUUUUAAAUAUAUUUCUAAGUGUUUAGCUAUAGUAAUUUAUAUCAUUAUAUCUUAUAGUAUAUAUGUAUUCCUUUAAGUCAAACAUGGGCAUCUUUAAGUAUUUUUGCCCGGGGCAUGAAAAUACCUUCAUAUCGACCCUAAGUAGUUACCCAAAAUGGAAAAGAUUAUUUCUUUAAUUGCUUGUGCUCUAAAAUUUCUUUUAGAGAACAAUCUUUUACUAAAUGUUUUCUCUUAAUCUAACAUCUUAAAGAUUGUGAAUCCUAAGUCAGGAGCAUUGAUAUACUCUAAUUUGGUUAUCUUGUAGGUUGUAUUUCACAAAAGUCAAAUUGGGAUCUCCUCCAAAAGACUAUUAUGUACAAAUUGACACACGAAGUGAUGUCUUAUGGGUCGGUUGCAAGCCUUGCAUUGAUUGCCCUACAUCAAGCAAAUUUAAUGUAUGUUCAUCAUUUCUUAUAAUUUCUUUUUUUAUAAGGUGUGACUUUUGUGAAGUAACUACUAUGUAUAUGUUUUUUCCUUUCUUUGAACAGAUUCCUAUUACAUUAUAUGACCCUUUAAGCUCGUCAACAUCUACUCCUGUCUCAUGUUCAGACCAAAUAUGUGCGCAAGCGGGUCAAACUUAUAAUUCUAGCUCAUGUUCACAUAAUCAGUGCACUUACACAAUUUACUAUGGAGACGGUAGUGCAACAUUAGGUCAUUAUGUAUCUGACUUAAUUCAUUUAGAGACAUUUCUUACAGAUACAAAAUCAUUAAAUGUUUCCACUUCUGUGGUAUUUGGGUAAGUUAUCAUUUUUUUUGUAUACUUCCCCUUUGCUUCCUUUUUUUUCGGAGUUACCGAAUCAUUUCACUCACUUAAAUAACAUCGUUGAUUUAUUGAAUUAUGCAACAGUUGUAGCACAAUGGAAACUGGGAUCUUAGCUACAUCUGAUGGAGCAGUUGAUGGGGUUUUGGGAUUGGGGCGACAAAGUUUAUCUAUCAUAUCCCAACUUUCUUCGCAAGGGAUUGCUCCAAAUUCAUUCGCACAUUGUCUUGCUGAUGGAGGUGGGAUUUUGGUUAUAGGUCAGCCAACGGUGCCACAUAUCAUUUUUACUCCACUUGUCAAAUCACAGUAAGUUUUCUUUCUGUAUUAAGUUAAAAGAAAACCUUUAUAUAUAUUUUUUACCAUUAAGUCAAAAGAAACACCAACUAUCUCUAAUUUCAUUCCAUGUACGUUUGCAGGGGGUAUUAUAGUACACAUUUGCAUAGUAUUUCGAUAAAUGGUAAAAAAUUAUCCAUUGAUCCAUCAGUAUUUGCAAUAAAUAAUGAUAAAGCUGGAACAAUAAUUGACUCGGGAACAACUCUGGCAUACCUUACUGAAGAGGCUUACACCCCUUUUGUAGAUGCUGUAAGUACAAUCGAAAAAUUCUAUCAGCAAAACUUUAUAAAAUGAUAUUUUUAUUUCUUAAUGUGUCAUCAUUGAGGUAUUACUUCUGUUGGUGCAGAUCACAAAGUCGGUUUCGUUGUCUGUACAACAACGUACAUCAAACGGAAAUCCUUGUUAUUCAAUUACUUCCAGGUUUACAACCAUUAAAACUUUUUGUAGUUAAAUUGGCACUUAUAUUCCUCCCUUUUUUGUCCUUACUAGUUAAAUGUCCAUCAGUCCAUCUUUAGUUCUUUAUACCGGUUUUAGGCUUCAACUACUACAAAUUGUCAUAUAUAUACCCUUAAAUUUCAAAUCUAGUUUUUGAGACUAAACGAGUGUUAAUCCUUCGUUGUAUCAUUCGAUAUGAUACGUGCUUUUAUAAUUUUAAUAAUUAGAUUUUAUUAUAAUUUCAGUGUCUCUAAUAUAUUUCCCAUCGUAAGUUUGAACUUUGUCGGGGGUGCUUCAAUGCAUUUAAGACCUCAAGACUACCUUUCUCUCCAAAGCUCCAAGGUAUGUUAUGUAGCCUUAUGUUAAGUUCGCAUUUGAUAAUUUGGACAAGAUAAAGCAAAACUAGUUGUAUUGUAUUUGACGUUAUGGGGGUUGGGACCUAUAUCGUUGGUACAAAAAUAGUCCUAGAUAGUUUGUGUAAAAAAUACAGCCUAAUUAACUUAUAUUUUUACUUGAAUCUUGAUAUGGUUGUUGCAAUAUAAUAGAAUGGGGCUGAGGUGUGGUGCAUGGGCUUUCAGAGGAGUCCCGAGAAAGGAAUUACUAUUUUAGGAGGUAUAAAUUAUAAUAAUGGAAGAUAAUUAAAAACCCUAUAAUUGACUUUGCUUUUUUUUUUUUAUUAAUUUUUUCACUCGGUUAUUGAUCAGACCUUGUUCUUAAAAACAAGUUUAUUGUUUACGAUUUGGAUGCUCAACGGAUCGGAUGGGUAGACUAUGACUGUAAGUUUAUCUAUAAAACACAUGAAUAAAUUCUACUUUGAUAGACAUAGAUAAUAAAAUAUUAAAUUAUGUUGUUGUUCAAUAUUUUGUUAGGUUUUUCAAUUGUAGAAGUCUCCUCCAACUCAAGUAGCAGUAGCGGUGAAGUUGUAAACCCCAGUCAGAUUAGUAGUGGUAGAUCAUUGUGGAUUAGAAGUCACCAACAAAUUCCAGUCAUUGUUAUUGCCUCCAUAGCACAACUGACGAUGAUGUUUCUUGGUUUUCAAGCUAUUGAUAUGUCCCUUUAAUUUAAUAUGUAUGCUUUAAUUUUACAAGCUAGUGGAUAUAAAAUAACAUUGUAAUUGAAUUCAUACAAACAAAUACAUGUUCAUGUAAAUGAAAAAUCCAACCAUUACUUGAUUCUUAAUUGUAGGGGGUAAAUGAUCUUUUGUUGGUAUUACUCCCUUAUUUAGAUUGGCUAGAGGAUGCACUAUAUACAUGUUUUGUAUGCAACUUGAUAUACUGUAAAAUACACGUAAACUUGACACUUUGUGCGACUGUUACACAUCACGUUUAACCAUCACCAUGCCACAAUUGCAUGCUGUCAAGGUAUACCACUUUUUCGCUAUUUCCAACAUGUACAACUAAUGUGGUCGAUAUCUAUUAAACUACUCCUAGUAGAAUCUUCUACACCAAAAAUAUUGUUUCAGAUGUGUGUUUCCUCCCACGUAAAAGAUUUUUUCAUUCUCUUAUGAAGCAUCUUUUUUUGCAUAAGUGUUUAGUGCAACCAACAUGGCUCCUACAUAAUAAUAUUUUCAUUAUUUUCAUUUAAUGCUUAGUUUCCAGUAACAGCUAUAUAAAUANNNNNNNNNNAUAUAUAUACUAGCCGUUUACCCGCGCCAAGCGACGGGUGCGAUUAACUUUCUUUUAGAAAUUAGUUUGCCCUAAACAAAAAAAAUAAAAAAUCGGUAAAUAAAUAGACCUGAUGAACCGAACGCAAAAACAGCUUCUUAUUGCUGGACGGUGGAGGUUUUGGUGAUAAUCACAGAUGGAGAGGAACUUAUUUGGAUGUGUCUUCAAUUUUAUAUGAACAAUGAAGAUAAACUGCCGAGAUAUGGGGAAACAGCGACAUAAGGAAUGAGCCAGGUCAAAACAAUAACGCCUUAAUAACAAGGGUGAUAAGAUUCAUUUGAAACAAUAAUGCCCAAUUCAAAUCAUUCAAGAAGUCAGAUUUGAUCUAACCGAUUCAUUUGAUUUUGACCAAUUUAAAAGCUGAAAUUGAGAAAAGGUUGGUUUAACAUUCGUUGACUGAUUCACGGAUAAGAUCUGAUUGCAUAACCUUGUUGUAUAUUAUGUUUUAAGGAUUAUACCAUGUUGACUCAUUCUAGUCAAAGAAUAUGUUUUUUUUUUUAAAUUUAAAUCAUCUAUAUUGGGUAAGAUAAGGAUGUAGGUUUGAAUGUUUUAAUAUUAAUUUUACAAUUGUACUUAAUGCAUUGUAUUUUGUAAUUUGUUGAUAAAUGUUUGUACAUUCAGCUGAAAGGUUUUGAUGUCUUAAAAUCUAUUUUUAGAAAUAGUAAGGUUUGUAUAAUAAGAUAGUAUAUAUAUAAACAAGAUCGGAUGAGUAGUCAUUUUAAAGUGAGGAUCGGGUGAGUACUCAUUUUAAAGUGAGGACUCGUGACGAUACCUUUAAAAAAUUGAAACAAAAAUCUAAAAAAAUACAAAUCAUAAAAGCGAGCACAGAUCUAUGUCCGGGAGAAAAAAAAGUUGGAAAUGAGUGAACAUGAUAGUUGUGUGCUGAAGAGUGUGACAUUUAGGGUUUUGAGUUGAGAAAGAUUGAAAUGAGUGAACAUGAUAGUUGUGUGCUGAUGAGAAUGUGUGCCAUUGUGGUUUCUGACCAGAGUGCUAGAGGGUAGUGAUGUGUCGAUGAAAGGGAUGAGGGCUAUGAUCAUGCCGAUGAUGGGAUUGAGUGAAGGAGAGGUGAGAAGUAAUAAUUAGGGUUCUAUGUAAAAAAAUAUAAUAAACUAGGCGAAUGCCCGCGCGUUGCGCAGAAACACUUAUAUAGUUGAAGUCUUUACAAAUAUAUGAUUUUUUAAAUAUAACAAUAACGUUGUUGUUAAAUUUGAUAUAAUAAUUUGUAUAUACUAAAUUGAUAUAAUAUAUUGAUUAUUUUGAAUUAUAUGAUAAUAUAUAUUUAUUAUAACUUCUUAAUCUCAAUCGUUUGAAUGACUUCUACCCGCGAGUUACAAUGAAUAAAAUUAAAUAUAACAUAUGAUUUGAUGUUAUUUAUAGUUGUUUUUAUUGCUAAUUAAUUUUUUAAAAUUUAUUUGCUUAAUGUUUUAAUCUCUAUCAUUAUAAUUAUUUAAAACAUCAAACAUUGUUUUUUUAUUUUAAAGCUAACAAUAUAAUCAUUUAUAUAGAGUUGUUUUUAACUAUUGUUAUUGUAAGUUAUUUUAAGCUACUUAUUUGGAAACUUUUAACGAUUAUAAAAAUAUAUUUAAGAAAUAUUUUAGUUAAAUUGAAAUUACAAUUUAGUUUUUGNNNNNNNNNNNNNNUCAUUACCCGCACAAAGCGGCGGGCGUCAAAUAGUUUUUUUUACAAUUAAUUUUUUUUCUACAGACCAUCAGUUUCAGUUGAGCUUUCGAUUUAAGGAACAUAUCAUAUUAAAAAUAAGACAUAAUGUAUUGACAAGUAUCACUAAAUAUUUAUUUCAGUUCAAUGAUUCAUUCUUUUCGACGAACAAUAUAUUCUUUAAUGUAUUUAUGGUCUCUGUGUAUGUUGGAUAUUUGUUUUCCUAUGUUAGCUCCAUUGUGCCGAAAAUAUAUCAUUUCUGAUUUAUGAUAACAUAUUAAAAAAAACAUAUUUUCAACAAUUGGAUAAUAUGGAGUGGAUUUGUUGGGGUUUUCAGUUUUCAUAGUCUUUUGGAUUCCCAAACUCGAUGACACCAAAGUCUUUACUAUUUAGUCACAUAUACAUAGUCACAUGGACAUAUUCAUACAUACACAAUCACUAACAUUACAAACACAUUUAGUCAUACAUACAUAGUUAUAUGGACAUAUUCACAUAGACACAAUCACUAACAAUCACAAAUGCACAUACAUACGUAGACAAUUAUAUCAUUGUACUUUUAAAGUACUUAUAUAAAAUAAGAUAAAAAAUAAUCAAAGAAGAUAAAGAAUUGAAAUAAAAAAUCUUAUAUCAGGCAAUUAGAUGUAAUUACAUUUUUAAAUAUUGUAUUUAGCCGAUGAUUCCACUAAAUGCAAGAAAUAGCAAUGUCCUUUCAAAUGUUUUGUCUCAUAUAGCAUCUUACUUUGAUUUUUAUCUAAUUAUUAUUAUUAUUAUUUUACCUUAAUGUCUACUAUGGCUAGGGAUGAGAUUUAAAACCGGAAAACCAGACCGGAACCAGAAUUAGUUAUAACGGUUUUGGGACUUCAAGUCCGGAUAAACCGGAUUUAAAAAUCGGAACUAGUUUUAAUAGCCGAAACUGGUUUGAAAACAGUUUGGCUAUGAAGCCUUCUUUCUGUCACAUAAUCAUCAUCAAAAGAUAAAGAAUACAUGGGACUAAUUAAACCGACAUAGAUGAUCUUUUGAAAACUUGAAAAUCAAAAAAUUACAUGGGACGAACCAAAAGAAAGGAUAUAACCACUAAGACGUACACAUGCAGAAAAAACUUUAAGUAGGCUGCAAGCUAGUAUAGUAGACAUCUAUAACCUUUGACCCUUGACCAACACAAAACCAUAAGAUUAAAAAGCUUUUAUGAAGCUAGAAAUUGAUAUAAUAAACCAAAAAGAUGAAAUCAUGUAAAAUAUGCUAAUUUUUAAAGAUGUAAGCACCAACUUGAUAUACCACCUGAUAGACAAUCCCUUGAACCUUGAGGACCAGGAACAAAUGCAACCGUCUCUUUCUUUUAAAAUACCACAUUGGUUUAGGCUCAACAUCACAACCUCAAUUUAAAACCAAAACUAAAAUAAAUAUCGUAGAAAAACAGUUGAUUCACCCACAAAAUCCAGUGAUACAUAUUGCAGUUUUUAUCCCUUGCAGUCGAAUAUAAAUGAGACAUUUCACUGCAUAAUUAGAAACGUUUAACCAUCAUAACAGAAAGGGCAACAUACUUUCAUUUAUCUGACCGUAGACUUUUAGAAUGAAUGGUACCUUUUAAUAAAACUAGUUCUUAUUGUAGCAAUGGUAACGGAGGAAUCUUUAGGGCUUGAAAUUAUUUCCUCGCAUAUGCUUAGUUUCUUUCAAAUCCUUAGGUGUACUCCAAUGCCAUUAAACCACCAAGAAGCCUAAAGUUAACUGAGAUAUUAUACAUGGAGGAUCUGUAACCCAUUCCUGGAAUUAAGAAAGAAAAAAUUUGUAACAAUGAAAGAAUAAUUAUAAGAAUAAAAUAUGUUAUAAAUUGAGCAUUAUAUGUGGUACAGUAUUUGCCAACUAAUUAUUCUAUAAAUACACAAAAGUAUUUCAGAUUGUAGGAAACAAACAUAAGAUGCAAAACCUAUAACCAUCAACGUUACAAACUUCAAUAACAAUGAAAUAUCCAUGAAAGAUUCUAGGAUAUAAUUUAAACCACUAUAGAAUACAACUCAAGAAACCAAAGUUCUUCACACUUCUAUCCAAUUAGUUAAAUCAAUCAUACCAAUGACGCAAGGAACAAUACUUGUGCGAGUAACACAAUGAAUGAAGUCCUUGGAACAUACGAAUCAUUCUACUUGGGUAGAUCCUAAAAUUAGUAGCAAGUCAAAUAUUAAUGAAAUAUAUUGCUUUGCUCCCAAAGCCAAGUAAAAAGUAGCCUAAUUAUUUCAAAAUAGAAAAAUGAAAACAAAGUUACAAAUAGGAUUUGUGCAUCUGGUUAAACAUUAUAGUAGAAACAUAUACCCAAAUAACAUACUUUUUAUAAAUUUAUUGUUAUCGAAUAUUAGUGUUAAUGCAAAAAAAAAGUAAUAUGCUUUCAUUAGUUCUUAUAUUAAACCACUUUUCAUCAUAUAAUAAUCCAUGUCAGGCACCUUCAUUCCAUCAUCUUUUACCUAGAAAAAUUCAUCAACAUAUUACAUAAGCCUCCUCUUACUCAACUUCUUUUCCCAAUGUGUAAUCUUUCUCGUCAACUCGUACGUAUCUGCAAAUACAAUUUCCAUAUCACAAUCUAUUCAAAAGGUGGAACCUAAAAUUAAAAACAAAUAAGAAACCUAAAAAGGACGACAUAUGAAAAUCAUCAAAACCAAAGGUUCACUUAACUUUUUUUUGUUUGACUUCGAUUUUCGGUCUCCAAUUUAUGUGCCCUUCUAUUCUAUAUGAAAUAUGAACAAAAAAUCCAAGUUUUGUUAGAAACCCAUUAAAAAGAGGCGAUGAGUUCAAACUUCUUGAGAAAUAUACAUACCCAAAAAAAGAUACAAGCUUGAAAAGUAUACAAUGAGCACCACAUUAGCAAAUUAUUACCUCUCAUGAAAUCUAGUAUAGAAAACAAUGACCAAAAUAAAAGAAACAAAGUCUUGGCUUUCAAAAAAAUCAGUAGCAAGUCCAAUAGGAAAAUCCUUUUUCCCGAUCCUGUUCAUCUCCAUUCAUAUCUGAGCACAUUUAAAAAAAACCCUAGAUAUAAAGAGCAGCAAUGAAGGGUUGAAGAAGAACCGGUGGUGUUUGGGGGCUUCAAUCUUCGGUGUUGCUGAUGGAGGGGAUGCUGACAGCAGAAUAGGAGGUGGUGCUGGUUGUGGAUGGUUACGUCUAUAGUUAGAAAGAAGAAGAGGGAAAGAAUAUGACAUGGAGCUACGAUGUUUGGCAAAAGCAAGAUGCAAGAACCCUUUCAACCCAUACCUCCAACAAUGUUGCUUGAAAUCCCAAAAUUCAUCCAACACAACUUGAACCCACUAUCGCAGAUAACGAUUUCUAUUUCGAUGAAAAUGAUGCUUUUUAUAUUGCGACUGAAACAAAAAGCGGUGAUGGUUGUACAUAAGAUGGUUGUGGGUCGCUCUUUUUUCCAUCCAAGAAUAAAUGUGGUGGUGAUUCUGAUAAAAGGCAUGAUGUGGCGUCAUUUUUGGUUUUUUCUCAUAGAAAGAUGGAAGCAGAGCAAAGUAGAAGGUUGUGAUGGCCUUAGAGGUGGUUGUGGGUUGCCCAUCGGUAACAAAAGAGAGAAGAAAAUAAGGAGAGAACGAUUACCUUUAAGAUAGAAUGAUAAUGUGUUUUUGGAAGUCUUAAGGGAUAAUGAGAGACAGAUAUGUUCAAGAAAGCGUGUUGAGAAAGAAGUAGUACAUUCAAGCACAGUGUAAGAGCACUGUAGCUUCAUGUUCUCUAAAAUACAGUAUUUUAACAUUUUGACAAAUGUUAAUAUUUACAAUGAUCGUACCAAAUGAUUGAGCAAUCUUGAAGUCGUCGGCAAAUUGUUGUUGGUGAUGAUCGAUAUAGAAUAAUGAAAUUGGAUGAUGGUUUAUAUGAGGAUAUCUGGGCAAUAUACGAGGGAAUUUUUAAUUUAAUUUUUAAAAAUAAUGUUGACUCUUUCUAGUGAAAGGUACAUUUGUUUUAAAUGUAAAUGUUCUAUAUUAAGAAAGAUAAGGAUGUAUGUUUGAAUGUUUCAAUAUGUAUUAAAUACUUGUAUUUAUUGCAUUGUAUUUUGUAAUUUAUUGAUUAUUUGUUGUAUUAUUAGCUUAAACAUUUAGACGUCUUAAAUUUAUUUUUAGAAAUACUAAGGUUUGUAUAAUAAUAUAGUAAUAUAUAUAUAUANUAUAUAUAUAUAUAUAUACACACACGUGUGUAUAUAGGCAUAACAAACAUAUAUGAUAAACUAUAAUAGAUGUAGUUUAUGAGUAAUUAACACUAUUUCAUCAUUUUGGGACAAAACAAGUAAAUAUAUAAAUGUAUAAUUAUUUUACACUAUGUGAUUACUAUGGAGAGGUAAUAUUUUCACUUACAAAGGGUUUUCAUUACACUAUAUUUAAACCUGUUGAUACAAUUAUGUGAGACAUAAUCUUCAACGUACCUAUCAGAGUACACACUAAAGUACUAAAUUAUAACCAGAAUCUCGGUAAGAGAGCGUAACACUUGUAUAUAGAUCUAUAUGGGACUGACAAUCUUGCACCUAAGUUGUUAGCUACAGCUAGACCGACAGGUCUGAGGUGACAGUUGUCUAACAUUCUGACACCUGAAGAACGUCGUAGCAACCUACUAUGGUUUUAGCAUGCUUGUAGUAACUCACAUGAGGAAUCAACAAUACAUUUAGUUCACGGGGGUAACAUACGUUCAAAUGGUUUUAUAUAUAAAACUACGCAACACUAUUUUAAGUAUAGAAAUACUUAUACAUUUUUUGGUUGUAGGGUUUUUAAGACUAUAACUCAUUUUUAAGAAAAUAUUGGAUUUUCUUGGAAGGAACACUAUCAUUCUACAAGGAAAAAGUUACAGAUUUUCACAUACAAAACUCUUAUGAACUCACCAACUUAAUUGUUGACACUUUUCAAAACUACUUGUAUUCUCAGGAAACCGUUAAACAAGUAAUCACAAGGCUUUUGAGGAUGGGAUGUUACAACGCCGUUCUAUUUAUUUUUUCAUCAUAAUGUAAUUGGUUUGAACAUACAAUACUUGGAAACAAUGUAAUAUUCUCAAUUAUAUUUAUGAUGGUUGUGUUUGCUUUUAUAACUAUUAUAAAUUAUGUUGUGAUAUUGUUCAUGAAAGUCAUCCACUCCCAGCCAUUUCCGCCAUCUUGGUUUGAGGGUGUGACACUAGUAAAUUUAUUAAAUUUAAUAUUUAUCACCGUUUAACAUAAAUAAGAGGAUGAGUAGCAAUAUCCGAUAGGAGGAUCUUGCAUUUUUCUAUAUACAAUGAUAGUUUGUUUUCUUGGUUCUUUGAUUAUGUGUUUAAUUGUUUUAGAUUAUACUCUAGUAUUUAUAAUCUAAUUGUACUUAUAUUUAUUUAUUUACAUGUCUACUUAAUAAAUCAAAAUAUAUACAUUUAUUUAUUUUAGACUAAUUUCAUAAAUGAUAAUUGUUGUUUGACAAAUAUCAUAUUUUUUGUCAAACUAUUUGAUUUGUAUCAAUUUAGCCUAUAAGAUUUCUAGUUUUUUUUUUUUUUUUUUUUAAAUCAAUCUUGUGAGUUCCAAUUCGAUUUAGCUUGUAUUUCUUUUGUAAUUUCAUGUUAGUUUUUUCGUAUAAUAUCAUGUUUAAUCGAUUUUUUAUUUUUAUGUCAUUGUAACAUAUUUGAUAUUGGUAUCAAUGAGAUUCUGAAAAUGGCAUAAAAUAUAUAAAUUUUAAUCAUAUAUAUUAUACAGUGGAUAUAAAAAAAAAUUAACUUUUUAAAAUUGAAAGGUGUAAACUGAAAAUAUCAUAUAAGUUUAAUGGUGAAAGUUGUAAUUUAAAACGGUUAAAAUUGGAAAUUGUAAAACACAACCGCAAUUUUGAUGGUGGGGCCGUAAAAAUACCUCAUUUUUGAAAGAAUAAUAAAAAGUAACCUAUUUUUGAAAAGAUUCAUUUUACCCUAUUUAUAGAAAACUCCAUAACACUCCACUAAUGAACUUAAUGGUGGAGCUUUUCACUGUCCAAAUGUAUCAUGCCCGUAUUUUUACAGGUGUCUUUUCGUAAUCUUUUAUGAAAUAUUCAACUAUUUUUAUUUCAACAGUAAUUAAAGUAAAGUAUUGAACGUUUUGAAACUUGCAAUAAUAGUUGGCUUUCUAUUUACGAGUUUUUUUUACUAUUUUUUUUUUGGAAACGACAAAUAUAUUAAAAGCAGACACCUUACAUCAAGACGAUGCAAGGAGGAAGUACAAAAAAAAAACAGAAAAUGAGAAAAGAACAAGAGAAAAAGUUACAAACAGAAAAACGGACCGAGAUUCCAAACUCUCCAAUCCAUGUUUUUAAAUGAACCCCUAUGUUUACACCAUACAAAAGUUAUUGAUUUGAUUUUCUCCACUGUCUUCUCCGGUACGAUAGGGAUGUUCCUGAAAACCAUGUGGUUCCUGUCAUUCCAUAUACACCAUAAUCCUCCAUAUAAGAUCGUAUUCAACAUGCUUCUUUUCUUUUUGCUUUUAGACCACCGAGAUAUGAAUAGUAACAUGUCUUUAACCGAAUAAAAUCCAUCAUGUGAAGUUUCACACCAAGAUAAAAUCGAGUUCAUGACGACCUUCGCCACUGGGCACAAGAGAAGGAUGUGAUCGCACGUAUCUUCAUCCAUGUUGCAUGACCCGUAAAUAGUCGAUGACACAGGAACACCCCUUGCUUUUAAUGAAAUAGAUGAUGGAAUUCUGCCAAGUUUCGCUCUCCAGAUAAAGCAUAAAAUUUUAUUCGGUAUUACUUUGCACCAUUCAAAUGGACUAUCACAGACAAUGUAACUCGCCAUUUCAAUCCGCUCACGUAACAAUCUUACCGAAAAAUGGUUAUCAACCACAAAGUCGGAAUCCCAACAAUCAUCAUUUGGUUUCCAAUAUAACAUUUUGUUUGAAAUCAAUAUUGAAUUUUUUUUAACGCAAUUCUGAUUUUGACUAUAUUUUUCCAUACCCCCGAUCUAGAUCUGUUGACAAAAGAAGCACGAUUUCUUCCAUCCAGGUCGUGAAUGCAACGUAUAACUUUCACCCAAAGUGCUGAAUACUCGUUUUUCAAUUGCCACAUCCAUUUAGCUAGUAGAGAAAUGUUGAGACUCCUAAUCGAUCCAAGUCCAGUACCACCCACCUUUUUAGGGGCCAUAAGUGUUUCCCAUGCCACCCAACUGAUACUUUUCCUUUCCAGGUUGCUGCUCCACAUGAAUCUCCUCCUAAUUUUCUCAAUGGUCUCAAUAAUACCGUUAGGAACGGUAAAGAUGGACAUAUAGUAGGUCAGGAGACUACCAAGAACUGCUUUUGCCAGAGUUAAUCUGCCUCCAAAGCUAAGUGUUUUUGCUUUCCACAAUGAGAGUUUAGAAUGAAACUUUUCGACGAUUGGUCUCCAAGCAUUCUUUCGGUUCAUGUUUUGGCCGACAGGGAUACCCAAGUAAAUGAAUGGCAGGGAUGAUGGUUCUCAUCUAAGAAGAGCUAACCAGUUCGAAACUUCAUUAGGAGAUACACCUAUACCAAACACUCUGGACUUGCUAAAGUUAACUUUUAGCCCGGAUGAAACGUAAAAGCAUUUUAAGAUUCUCGAUAAAUUGGCAAUGUUGUGUCUCGACCAUUCACCAAUGAAUAAAGCAUCAGACAAACAGAUAUUAGAGUUAGGGAAUUUUACUCCGUCAAAGACUCCUUUCUCAACCGCCGUUUUCAUCGCCACAUUCAGCCCUUCCAUCGCAAUGAUGAAUAAGAAGGACGAAAGCGGGUCGCCCUGUCUAACUCCUUUACUCAUUGAGAAUUCAUUCGUUGGGCUGCCAUUAAUAAUCACCGAUGCUCGACCUGAUUCCAGACAGUUACGAAUCCAAUAUCUCCAUUUAUUUCCAAAACCCAUCUGAUUCAUAAUUGAGUCCAGAUAUACCCAAUUCACUGAGUCAAAAGCUUUGUUAAAAUCUGCUUUACACAGAAGCAUCUUUCUUCCUUUUGAUUUUGCCCACGAACAAAGCUCAUUAACCACCAAAGGACCGGCUAGUAUAUUUCUUCCUUCAACAUAAGCGGACUGGACCUCGUCAAUUACACCACAAAUGACUUUCUUUAAUCGAAGAGCCAAUAGUUUUGCAAUGAUCUUGUAUAUGGAACCAAUUAGGCUGAUUGGUCUAAAGUCACAAAAAUGAAGUGGAUCUUUUGUCUUGGCCUAAGGAUAUAAAAGAAGAAUUACAUCCUCUAGUGAUCUUGCCUCCCGCUUCAAAGUAUUUAAUCAUCCCCAUAAUGUCACCUUUUAGUAACUCCCAUAAUUUUUUGAGAAAUUUGAAAGUGAAUCCAUCAGGCCCCAGAGACUCGUCACCACCACACAACCAUAUUGCAUUUUUUUACUUCACCCAUGGAGAAUUCUCCUUCUAAGUACUGAGUAUCUUCUUCUGAAAACUUACUAAAACCUUCACUCCGAAAGAAAGGUCUAACUUGCCAACAUUCUAUGUAUUUUCCUUUCGAAGAAUCUAGUAGCCUCCUGCUUUAUCAUGACUGGGUCGGUUGUCCAGAUUCCAUUCGUCAUAAUCCCAUGUAUAUGAUUUUUCCGGAUUAUGUUGUUUACAUAACCAUGAAAAAACGCGUGUUUUCGUCGCCCUCGACCUCCCAUUUAAUUUUUGCCCUUUGCUUCAGAUCCAGAGCAAUAGUUCUUGUGUGCUCCAUAAUAUUUAUACCUCCAAUUGACCUUUCUUCCAUUUAUGCGGACGUUAGAGCUCUAGAUUCUGCUUCUUUUUCGAUCUCAUUCAUUCUUUUUUUUAAAGAAUCAAUCACCUUGUUUUCAUUGUUCACUGCAUUAAUUCUCCAACAAUUGAUGGCUUUUUUUAAAUGUUUCAGUUUAUUCAAGAGGUAUGCAUCAGGAGUUCCAAACCCCACAAAUUCGGAACAUGCUUUCUUGAUCACCUCUUCAAAUCCGUCUUUUAACAUCCAGGAGUUGUAAAGUUUGAAUGGUGGUGGACCAAAAUCCUCACCAUGAGUCCUCAAAACAAUUGGAUAGUGCUCGGAGAGGUCCCUGUCUAAUGCCUCACAUGACGCAAGGGGAAACGUGGUUGAGAAACGAUUACAUACCAAAAUUAUAUCUAAUUUGCUCAAUUUCGCUCCUUGUGUUUUGAAGAAGGUGAAUCUUUGGCCUCCCAUCUUUAGAUCUGUGAAUUCGCCCCUGUAAAUGAAUUGAUUAAAAACACUUGCACUGACUGGGCAAAAGACUGAAUUUAUCCGUUCUUCCGGUCUUCAAACCACAUUAAAAUCUCCCAUAAGGAUCCAGGUGGCUGAUAUGGAAGACUUGAAAGAUGACAAUUCGUCCCACAGUUUCGAUUUCUCGUGACUUGAUUGGGGUCCAUAGAUGUUUAUAAUGCCAGUUAGGCCAUUAAUGCUUACCAAAUUACCCAGUGUCAAAAUAAAGUAUCUGGACUUGAAAGUGUCUAUUAACGUGAAUGCUCCUUUAUCCCAUAUCGACACCAAGCCACCGGAUCUUCCUGUUGUAAAAACCUGUUCGAACCCCGAAUUAUUAUCGCCCCAACAUUCUGUAAUAUUUAGCGGAGGGGAUAACUCACCCAACUUGGAUUCUUGAAUAUAUAUCAUACAAAGUUUAUAUAAAUUUCUAAGCCUUGGUACCCAAUCUACCUUAUGCUUCUCUCCAAGACCUCUAAUGUUUAAGGUCAUAAUAUUCAUUGUAUGAUUUGGUUCUCACCGUUAUCGCCAAGGACUUCUUUGAGGAUUGGAUUUUCGCUAUCAAUCUCGAAUCCUAAAAUAUUGCCCACUUCCACCCUAUUCCUGAUUUCCGAUGGAGAAGAUGACGAUUCUACAUUGGUGUCAGGUAGAGGAAUCUGAGAGAGAAUCGGAGUUCUGUUUAGAUCGAGAGAUGGGUGAGGCAUAUUAGAGUUUGAAGAUUCAAUCGCCAUUACAUUUCUCAUUAAUCUUCUUCUUUUAUCUUGGGCACUAUUGAAGUUAAUCUCAUACUCGUUUAAUGGCACCUCGUUACCAUGCAUGUUGUUUAUGAAAGGUCCAAAGCAUCUAGAUUUGGCCAAUUUGUUGAGCAGCCCAUUAGAGGAUUUAUCCGGUCCAUCUCCGAUAGUUGUUUCUUCAGAUACAGUUAAAUUAUUUUCCAAUUCAACAUGAGAUGAUUCAUUAAUGUUCUCCCUACUUCCAAAGGUUUCGUCUCCCUGUUGAGUAUUAAUUCCAUCGUCGGACUCUCGACAUUCCCCAAGAGCGCCUCUUUCGAUUCUCCGAUUAUUCUUAUCCAUUGAAAAGUUUCCCGGUAACUAAACUGCCGCCGGUGAGUUGUCGUUGGCGGCUCUGUAGUUUCCUCGAUUCAAUUCCUCGACUUGGUCAAGAUCCAUCCUUCCGAUUUCUCCUUCUUCCAGAUCAUCGUGGUUAUCAGCCAACAUAGUUUCAGAGAUACCAUCGCAAUCAUCAUCUGAUUCAUCUUCGUCGUCGUUCCUUCCAUCAUCUGAAAAAUCACUAUCUUCCACUUGAUACCUUUGUGACUUGAAUGGAACCCAGUCGAUGUCCACUUCUGAGAUCCCUAUUUUAAUUAUUUUUCCAUUCACUUCCACCGAUGCUUCACAGUGUACAUCCGUCAAUGAUUUUGUUAGGAUGCCAACCUUUCCUUAAGAUAAAUUCAUCUCUUUUUUUUCCACUACGAAUGGAACCACCAUAUAGCCAUAUGUCGCAUCAAUGGCGUUGAAGUUCGCUUCUGACCACAGCUCCGACGGGAGGCCUAAGAUUUUUAUCCAAGCAAUUCUCUCAUAAUGAAAUUCUGCAAUAUCACCACUAUCGAUCUCCUUAAACCAUUCUACCCAUCCUUUCAUGAAUACUUCUCUGCUCAUAUCAUUCAUGAAUUUUACUGCAAUUCUUAAUCCACCAAGGUACUUUAUUUCACAUCGAGAUCCAUCACAGUUUUUAAUUGAGUAUGGAGCUUUCUCAAGGUGAUCAAAACUGUGUAAUACACCAAUUAAAGUAUACUUACCUUUAAUCCAUCCUCGAAGUGGGGAGUCGUUUGAGAGACAAAUAGGAGCAACUUGCUUUUGUGGAUGAGGAGGUGGGAUACGAGUGGUCUCACGAUCUUUUGCUACUAUUGCUGCGCAUGAUCGAUUCUUCCUAACUUAGGAUUCUGGUAUCGAAGGUUUUUUCUUCCGUGCCCUGUUUCUGAUGCUUCCACAUACAGACGAACCACCGACCGAUUUUCUUUCAAACAUCGCUAUGUUCACGUCCAAAGUCUGCCACCAUAUUUAAACCCAUGAAGGGCUUUUUCUAACUCGUAUUCAUCUGUUAUCUUUUUAAAUCUUACAAAAGCAAAAUACUUCUUCUUGACAUCCUUCUUUGUUGGAAUAUAGACAUCCACCACCUCUCCAAACUUUGCAAAAGUCAUCGCCAAGGAGUUUUUACGGAUCUCCAUUGGAAGGUUUGAUACGAACAUUGUUGUAACACCAGCGUGGUUCCAUGUUGGUCGGUCUCCGAUCAUCGAUAAUCUCUUCCAUUUUCUUCGCCUGGCUUCUAUCCAUUCACCUUCCAUUUGAUUGGCUCCUUCUACACUACCCAUUAAGUGUUGGAUGAAUUGAAAAAUCCCAUUUAGGUUCUCUAGAAGCAAGAACCAAUUGAAGCAAAUUUUUGUAAAGUAUAUGCUAGAUUGCACGGGAUCUUUUGGUUUUGAAGAUAAAUAAUCAAGUCAAAUAAAAUAGACCCGUAUGUUUCUUUGAAUGCCAAUGUAAUAAAUAUGAUUUAUGAAUUUCUUUGUAUGGCUUCUUUUUCAAAUAGAAAAAGGUGUAGAAGCAAAAUUGUAAAAGUCGAAUAUUGUGUUUGUAUAGUUUCGCAUCUUUAUGUUAUUUUACUAAGUCAAUUUUGUGCGAAGUGUAAUGUUUAGACUUAGUAUAUUUUUUGUACACUCAUGUUCCCUAUAAAUAGGGACUGAGGAUAGAAGUAGAAAGAAGUUUUUUUUUUUCCGGAAACACAAAUAUCCUUUCUGCUUAUUCUGUAAUCAGUCUUCAUCAAUAUAAGAUCUGAUUAAUAUAUACUCUUCAUGUUCUAAAUUUUCAAUCACUCAAAUCAUAUUUGCUUUCAUAAAUCUCGAUAACAAUUCUCUUCAAUUGGUAUCAGAGCAGGAUUCAAACUGCAUCGAUCUGAUUUUCGUGUUGGAAUCAUUUGCUUUUUGAGUUGCAACUUUACUCAAAAUUUUCCGCGCAUUUUGGUUUUGAAAAUCAAAUUUGAUCUUCAGAUUUGAAUUGAUUCUGUCUUUGAAUUGUUUAGUCGAGUAAUCGAUUAGUGAUUUGUGAUCAAUUCAAUUGAUCAAUUCUCAAUUUCAUCAAGUUUUCAAGCUUUCUGAAAAUUUCUGUGUUCAUCAAUGGUGAACUUCAACAUGAAUACAAUGACUUCCUUCUCUCACUUGCUUGGUUCCUCAACCAAAAUUCCGAUGUUAAUUCCAGAAUACUAUGAUCAGUGGGCUGAUAGAAUGGAAGAUUACUUAAAUGGAAUUGAUGAAGAACUUUGGAAUUGUAUCGAUGGAACAGUGCAAGCUCCUGCUAAUGUUCAACCAAUUGGACCUUCUACUACAUCUACUGAAGUUGCUGAUCAACAAAAACGGUUAAAGAAUAAUGAAAAGAGGUGCAUGAGGGAACUAAGAGUUUCUCUUCCUCGUGUGGUUUAUAAUUACAUUCGUAGUUGUAAAACAGCAAAGGAGAUCUGGAACACUCUAAAAGAGAAGUAUCAAGGUAGCGAAAAGACAAAGAUCAAUUCUGUGAAGUAAUGUCUAGUUGAACUGAAAGAAUUCAGACAAAAGGAUGCUGAAACUCUUGAAAGUUACUAUGAUCGUCUGAAUGAGCUUAUGUUUCACUGCAAUAGGUAUGGAAUCACUAGGUCUCUCAUGGUGUUCAAUUUAAGUUUCAUUAUGGGUCUUCUCAAGGAAUGGCGAAGUGUAAGCAUGAUGAUUAAGAAUCAACAGAGUUUUGAUACAACUAAAUUGAAUGAUCUCUACAAUCAACUGAAAACACAUGAAUGUGAGGUUUCAGAAAUGUAUGAAGAAUCAAAACAAAGUAUUGGAGGUCCUUUGGCUCUUGUUUCAAAGGUAUCAGAAACUGAUGUUAAUGAAAAAGAUGGUUCAGAUGAAGAAGGAUUUUUGAUGAACUCUGAUGAUGAAGCUGUGGCAUUCUAUUCAAACAACAGAGUUAAGAAGUUUUUCAAAAAGCCUUUUAAUCCAAAAGGAAAGACUAGUGAUGCNGUGGAGUCACAAAAACUGGAGGAGAGGAGAGGAAGAAAUUGGAGAAAGCUGAUGAGAAACAAAAAGAUGCGAAAGAAGUGAAAUAGCUGAAAGGUGACUCAGGAAUCUAUUGUCACUACUGCAAUGGUGUGAAUCACUUCGCAGCCGAUUGCAUGUUGCGAAAGAAAGAAGAAAAGAAAGAAAAAAAAUUAAAGAUGAGGCAUACUAUUCUGAAAAGAUUGAAGAAUUGCACGCUAAGACAAAAGGAGUGUCUCUAGUUGCGAAUGGUGAAUCUGCUGAUGAAGAGAGUGGAACAUAUCAGAUCUAGUCAUCAGGAUCUGAUGAUGAAGAAAUGAGGCAUUUUACACAUGGAGCCAUGUUCGCAAGUUUUGAAGAUUGCGAAGAGGACAUUUCAGGGAAAUGUUUUGUAUCCAAAUCCACGGACAAAUCACCCAUGACCACCAAGGUACGUGCAAUACUUGAAUCUUUUAAUAUUCCUUUAUCUGCUUAUGAUGCUGAAAUUGUUUCAUUUGAUGAUACUGUGGCUUAUUUUGAUUCUGUUAUUGUGUCUGCUAGUACUGAAGCUCAAAAAUUAAAUAUGCAACUAGGUGAGACACGAAGAGAAUUAGAAAUAAAAAGGAGCAGAGUAGAAAAACUUGAAAUGCAGAUCAAAAAUGUAGAUUGUGAUAGGAAUAAUCUUACAAAUGAUGUUAGGUUGUUGCUAGCACAAAGGAACAUAUAUUGUAAUUCUGCCAAACGAUUGUAUGCAAAAUUAACUGCUUUACAUCAUUCUUCUGACAUUAGCAAAGAACAACAUAGGAAACUUUUACCUUUUCUUGAGUAUGAACGUGAAAAAGUUGAUGUUGUUUCUUAUGAUUGCGAAAGUACAAUUGCUCAAUUUGACAAAAUACCUGAUGAUAGAUAUCCAUAUGGUAUUGUCAAAAUUGAUGAAUUUCUGAAUGCUGAUGAGUUGGUUAACAUUGUCAAUGAAAGUUUGACAAAGAGUGAACAAGUGAAAAUCUUAAAGAAAACAGAAACUUCAACUCUUGCCUCUCAAUUCAAUUAUGCUGAUAUUGAUGACAAUUCAGAUAAUGUGAGUGAAAUCAGUGAGAUAGAAGAGGAAGAAGAGGUUGAUUGUUCUCAAUUGUCAAUCAUUAAUAUCACAUCUAAGAUCAAAGGUAAAGAAAUUAUAGUUGAUUCGAUAGUAGAGGAUGAAAUUGAUAAACCUUCAACUUCGCAACAUUGUAAGUUUGAUAAUGUGGAAGUUGAAAGCUGGAAAUCUGAUGAUACUGAUGAAAACAAAGAAGAAGUGAAAGAUUCACAUGAAAUACCUCCACGAGUUGUGGUUGAUCAAGUGUUUGAGAAUACAAAAGAAUUUGACAAAAUUUUAAAUGACAAAGGCGCACAUUAUUUGGAAACCAACACUGUGGUAUAUCCAAAUUUUGUAUGCACUGAUAAAACCAUUUUUCCAAAUCAAGUUUUUGUCACUACUGGAAAUGCUGAGAAAAUUCAUCCUGAAUUCAACAAAAUGAUUGAAAAAGAUAAUCUAAGGUCAACCACUGAAGGUUUUUUCGCAAAUCAAAACACAGAAGAAAACAAUUUAACUCAAAAUCCUUAUGUGUUUCAAAAACAAAAAUCAUUACAAAAAUGGGUGGUUAAAGGUGAAAAACCAAACAAAAUUUUUGAAAAAGUUGAAAAAUCAAAGGCUGAAGUGAAAUUAAAUUCUCAUGAAUUCAAAUUGAUGGUUGGAAAUUAUUCAACAGAAAAUAAUGUUUCAAAAAGAAAAGCAAGAAAAGCAAUUUUCUGGCAAGUUGUGUCUAAUGACAAACCAAGAGCUGAAAAAGAACAAAUUUCAAAAACAACAUCAUCAAAAUUUCAAAGCAAAAAUAAACAAACAGAUUCAAGUUUUCAUAAACCAAUAAAUUUUGUUGACAAAAUUCCAUAUGUUCGCAAAUAUGACAACAAUCGAAAAUUUGAGAAUUCGCAAAAAUUUGUAAAUAAUCAAAAGUUUCAAAAUGUUGGCAAAUUCACGAAUACUUCAUCAAGUUUGAAAAAUUCAACUCAAGCAAAAGUGAAAUUUUCACCAAAACAACCAAAUUUUCCAAAUCCUUCAGUCUCAAAACCGACCAAAGUUUCAUAUACAAAAGGAAAAUCUGAUGUAAGUACGAUCAAUCGUUGGUUUGAAGGGAAAGGAAGAAAAUAUCAAAGUGGGAAGUUUUCAGAGCAACAAAUCAAGAAUGCAUUUGACAAGUUCUCAAAUAAAUCUUCCACUGCUAGUUCAUCAUCUCAUCAUUCGCAAGUUCCGGUUCAAAAAUGCAAAACCAGUUAUCAAAAAUACGAAUGUUGUGAAGGAUAAGAUUACAGUCAAUGGAAAUCCAAAACUAUUGAAUGACUAUAUUUCAAUAUCUAGAUUUGAUGAUGUUGAUAUAAUGGAUUCUGUCACAAACAAAGUGAAAACAUGGUUUUUAAAUUCAAAGAAUUUGUUUCAUUCUACUAAUGAUGGACCCAACAAGUCUUGGGUUCCUAAAUUUUUUCAAUAAAUGCAGGUGAUGUGUGACGAGCAAUAUGAUACGAAAUGGUAUAUUGAUAGUGGUUGCUCUCGUCAUAUGACUGGAAGAAAGGAAAACUUGCGAGAUUAUAGAAGCUUGGAAAAUGCAGGAGUAGUCAAAUUUGGGAAUAAUCACAAGUGUCAAGUGAAAGGCUAUGGGAAAGUCACAAAUGGACAAUUCACUGUCAACAGAGUUGCUUAUGUUGAAGGACUUCAACAUAAUUUGAUAAGUGUGUCACAACUUGUUGUUGGUACUGGAAAUCAAGUUGUAUUUAAUGAAGAAGGAAGUAUCAUUUCAAAUGCGAAGUCAAAUGAAAUACUUCUCAAAUCCAAAAGAUAUGGUGAUAUGUUUACACUGGANUGGUGAUAUGGUUACACUGGACAUCAAACCAAUUGCGGGAAAAUCUAUUGUGUGUUUACUAUCAAAAGCAUCUAAUGAUGUCAGCUGGCUUUGGCAUAGAAGAUUGUCACACUUGAACUUUCGCAAUAUUAACAAACUUGUCACUGAAGUUUUAGUUCGAGGGUUACCUGUACUAAAAUUUGACAAUGAUUCUCUGUGUGCAGCUUGCGAACAAGGAAAACAACAUAGAAAAGGUCAUCCGAUUGUGAUCGAUUCAAAAAUCGUAGAACCAUUGGAACUUCUUCACAUUGACUUAUGUGGACCGUCGACUGUUGCUACAAUCAAUAAAAAGCGGUACAUUUUAGUUAUUGUAGAUGAUUUUUCUCGAUUCACAUGGGUAUUUUUUCUCAGGUUAAAAUCUGAAGUUGCUCAGACGAUGAUUGAUUUUAUCAAAAAGAUUGAGCUUAGUCUGAAAAAGAAUGUUCGCAAAAUUAAAAGUGAUAAUGGUUCUGAGUUUAAAAAUCAAACUCUUGAUUCUUUUCUCACAAGCAAAGGCAUUUCGCAUAAUUUCUCAUCACCAUAUACUCCGCAACAAAAUGGUGUUGUUGAAAGAAGAAAUCGAUCUCUAUGCGAAGCAGCCAGAACCAUGUUAACAUAUGCGAAUCUACCUCAAUAUCUUUGGGCUGAAGCAGUUUCCACUGCAUGUUUUACUCAGAAUCGAUCAUUCAUUCAUCGAAGAUUCAAUGUUACUCCAUAUGAAAUAAUCAAUAAUAGGAAACCUAAUGUCAAAUUCUUUCAUGUUUUUGGUUGCAGGUGUUUUAUCAUGAAUCUCAAAGAUAAUUUGUCCAAGUUCCAAGCUAAAGCUGAUGAAGGCAUAUUCUUAGGAUAUUCGCAGAAUUCAGUUGCAUACAGAGUGCUUAAUAAAAGAACUAGAAAAGUUGAAGAAACUUUCAAUUUAACGUUUGAUGAUUACUAUCUUAAACAAACGGAUAGUAAAUUUGAAAAUAAAUCAAUACUUGUUGAUUCAAAUACUCAAAUUGAUAAUUCUGAAAUAAAUGAUUUUGAUUAUGACUUAAUUUUCGGAAUUCCUGACAGGGCAAUUGAAGCGGAAAAUAAUGCUCCUGAUAAUCAAACAUCAGAAUCCUCAAAACAUACUGAUGAUUCGACAAUUACUACAAGGUCAAUAACUUGCGAAAGUAUGCCUGAUGCUCGUAUGGCGGGGGAGCAUACGAGUAUCCAUGAAGAUUGUCAGCCAACUUUCGAGGGGGAGAAUGAAAAUAUGAAUCAUCAAGUUGAGGGGGAGCAUUCGCAAAAUCAACAGGAACAUCAUUUUGAGGGGGAGCAUCAAGAUGAAUAUCAUGUUGAGGGGGAGCAUGAUGAAACACAGACAAUUAAUCUUGAUGAAAAUGAUGAGUUUCAUGAACUAAAUGAUAAUUUUUCUGUUGCAGGAUCUGAAAAUGAAGAUAUGUAUGAAGAUGCACCAUUAGAAUUUGAUCCUAAUUUUCCACCACUUGAGAAAUGGACAAGAAAUCAUCCAAAAGAACAGGUAAUUGGUAAUCCACAAGAUGGUGUGUUGACAAGAGCUCAAAUUCGUGCGAAAAAUGAGGUACUGAAUGCGAACCAAGAACUAUGUAUGUUUAAUGUCUUUAUUUCGAAAAUAGAGCCAAAGACAGUAAAGGAUGCUAUGGAACACUCAGAUUGGGUUGUUGCUAUGCAAUCUGAACUGGCUGAAUUUGAACGAAACAAGGUUUGGAGAUUAAUUUCUAAACCUUCUGAUGUUUCAAUUGUCGGAUUAAAAUGGAUUUUUAAAAAUAAAACCGACAAAGAUGGCAAUAUUAUUCGCAAUAAAGCUAGACUAGUGGUUAAAGGUUAUUCGCAACAAGAAGGAAUAGACUAUGAAGAAACAUUUGCACCUGUUGCAAGACUUGAAGCAGUUCGCAUAUUUUUAGCUUAUGCAGCUCACAAAGACUUUGAUGUUUAUCAAAUGGAUGUUAAGUGUGCAUUCUUAAAUGGAGAACUAGAAGAAACAGUGUAUGUUGAACAACCACCAGGGUUUAUAAACGAUGAACAUCCUGAUCAUGUUUACAUCCUAGAUAAGGCUGUAUAUGGAUUAAAACAAGCACCAAGAGCCUGGUACGCAACACUUACAAAUUUCUUGAAACAAUCUAAAUUUAAACAAGGAUCAGUAGACCCCACAUUAUUUCGCAAGAAAGUUGGGAAUCAUCUAAUGCUUGUUCAAAUUUAUGUUGAUGAUAUUAUCUUUGGCUCGACUGAUCCAACAUUGUCAAUUGAAUUUGAAAAUCUAAUGAAAAGUCAGUUUGAAAUGAGCAUGAUGGGAAAAAUUAAUAAUUUUCUUGGUUUGAAUAUAAGACAGAACAGGGAUGGAAUCUUAAUCAAUCAAGAAAAAUAUACGAAGAACUUGCUUGAAAAGUUUGGAAUGACUAAUAGCACGAAACUAAGAGUACCAAUGGCAGUAGGAACAAGACUAACUCCUUCGUUAGAUGCUCCUGCUGUUGAUUUAACACUUUAUCGAAGCAUGAUAGGGUCUUUAUUGUACUUAACUGCAAGUAGACCUGAUAUUAUGUUUUCGGUUUGCAAUUGUGCUAGAUAUCAAGCUAAUCCCAGAGAACCUCAUUUGACUGCAGUGAAAAAUAUUUUUCGCUAUCUUAAGGGAACAGUUUCGUUAGGACUUUGGUAUCCUUCGAAAACGGGGUUUUUCAUUCAAGCUUUUUCAGAUUCUGAUCUAGGAGGAUGUACUUUGGAUAGGAAAAGUACGAGUGGUGGAUGUCAACUAUUGGAUGGGAAGUUGGUGAGUUGGCAAUCGAAGAAACAAACUUGUGUGGCUAUAUCAACUGCUGAGGCUGAAUACAUUGCUGCUGCUGCUUGCACAUCGCAAAUUAUUUGGAUUCAGAGUCAACUUCGUGACUAUGCAAUAAACAUGAAAAAGAUUCCCUUGUAUUGUGAUUCGCAAAGUGCAAUUCGCAUUUGUCAUAAUCCAGUACAACAUUCAAAGACAAAACACAUUGCUCUUCGAUAUCAUUUUAUCAAAGAUCAUGUGGAAGAUGGGAAUAUUGAAAUUCAUUUUGUUAAAACAACUGAACAACUUGCUGAUAUUUUUACUAAACCUCUUGAUGAAAAAUCAUUUGUAAGAAUUUUAUCAGGUUUGGGGAUGAUUGAUGCGAAUUCAAUUCCAAAAUAUUAAGCCUGAAAGUUUCAUUCAGCAGUUAUGAGUCAGAAUCGUUCAGAUGUUACUGUUCAUCCAGAGGCUUCGCAUGGCUUUGCAUCCACAUCUCUUCACAUUUGCGAUCAUAACAACUAAGGUUAGGUUUGCAAUUCAUUUUGUAGUUUUUGUUUUUGAAAAAUCAAAAAUUCAAAAAGAUUUUAUGUUUAUUCAUUUUCGUUUUUGAAAAAUUAAAAAUCCAAAAAGAUUUUAUUUUGUUAUGUUUUUAAUUUUGAAAAAUUCAAAAAUCACAAAAAUAUUUUUGUUUUCUUUGUUCUUUAAAGAUUGUGUGUUGAGAGUUUAGUACAGUGCUUAAUGCGAAGUGGUCUUGCUUAUAUGUUUCUAUGGGAAGGUAUUAUUUUUUUUAAAACUAGUUAGGAUGUCCCUAGAAGCAUGCUGCUGUAUGUAGACCAAAAGCCUCAACAAGACUCUAUGUGUGAGAAAAGAAAGCCUUAAUGAAAUUAUCACAUGAAAAUUUCUUCCCAAAAGGCUUAUAUUCGCAUAAGCCAAAAGAGCUACGUUACUCUUCUCAAAAGAGUUAAGAGUUUUCUGUUUUGUCCAUUAUAACAGAGGUACACUUCGAUUCUUAACCAAUCUUUUUAUACCAAACAAUUCUUUCAAUCCAAAUUUUCGAAGAGAUUUGUCCUUGAGGUCUUUGAUCAAACCAAUCAAAACCUAGACAAAUCACAAGUCUGUGUUUAUGAUCUAACAUCAUGAGACCGUGAUGGAAGUGAAACCUAAACAUCAUAAACCUUAAGAAAUUGACGGGGAACAUCGUUCCAGAUUUUAACAGAACCUUUGUUUCAGUAUCAAAAUUUCGAAACUCCAAAUCAUAUUCAAUUCGUAUGUGUGGUCUUUAUCAAAUAUUCGCAACCCACGAUGUUUGUUACCCAACAAGAUCCAGAACAAAUUUUUUUGAAUAUGAUUUAUGUGUGAGUUUUAUUCGCAAAUCCUAGUCAUGAUAAAUAUUUUCAAAAGCCAACUUGCCACUGACUACACUGGUCAAACAAGUAAUUUCAUUUAAAAUUUCUCACCUUAUGUUAAGGUUGAUAUGUAAUGAAAGUUAAAACCAAUCCAAAAUAUCUUUUAAAAGAAGCCCUUCGAUACUUAUCUAAGAGUAUUCGAUUGUAAUUCACGGGAAACUACACAAGCUAUUGAGUGUCACUCUUAAUGAUUAACGAAACAACCUUUGCCUGGGGUUUAAUUGCAUUCAUGUCAAAUUGAAUUUUUGACAUCACCGAAUUCCAAAAAAAAAUUGUUUUGUUUCUCAUCUUAUUCUGUUGACACAAUGCACACACGAAAUCCUUGAGGUUCUGAGUAAAACCAACUCGGGCUGAUGAUUUCGCAAAUCUGGCAUAUGAAUUCACUUUACAUCCCAAAAGUGAAAGAGCUUUGCCUCCAUGCGAAGGGUUUUAACGGUUCAGAUUCUAUAACGGGAAAUUUGACAGGCUGUGUACUCAAGAUGGUUGGUAUUCUAUCCGGUUUUCAAGGAGAUGUGACAGUUACUUUUAGAAGCAUGGUUAUCUUUUGCAAUCAUGAUCCGAUUUUCAAGGUGCCACAUCGGAUAAUAUUAAAUGCAUCCCGCUUUAAUUUCAAAUCAAUUUGGGUAAACUAUAAAAGGGGGAUCAAGAACACUAUAUACAGUUACGCAAACAGAACUCUCACAAACCUCCAAAGAUUCAAACUUGAUCAAACUUUAUCUCUUUCAAACCCUAACAAUGGCGGCCACUCAAUCCAACACUGAUGAAGUUCUUUCUCAAUCCCUGAUGAAAAUCCAAAGCACCAAUUAUGAAGUUGAUCCAAAUGUCUCUUCUUAUCCCAAAGGCUUGAAGAUGCUCAUCGUUGCCCUGAAACGAUCACCCCUGUCCACUGCCAUCUUUAGUUCAUUCUCCGUUCCGAUGACAUGGUUAUCCUUGGCAGCUUCAACGACAUCAUACAACCAUACAACUGAUGUGAUAACCUUCAACUUGAUAAACAACAAACGGGUAAAACUUUCCAAGAAGAUGUUUGUUGAAUUCUUGUAGAUUCCAAACAAUCCUCCAUUUUUCAAACCUGUUAACCCUCAAAUCAUUCACAUGUUCAAUGAGAUGGGCCAUCAACCAGAGCUUGAGAAGAUAAGUGACUUUCGAAAGUCUGGGUUGCCGUGCAUAUGGAAUUUCUUGUUUGGUAUUUUUCUCAGAUGCCUAACAGGAUGCACAGUUGGUUUAGAUAGGGGACGAAUGGAAGUAUAUGCCAUGGUUAUGGGCUUGUACUAUGACAUCAGCGUCGAUAUGCAACCAAGUUAUGGAAGGAAUUUAUUAAUAGUCUCGAAAACACAAAUUCUGAAAAAGGGAUUUCGUGUGCGAGGUAUUGGAGCUUAAUUUUGGAGAAGGUAUAUGAAAAAGAAGGGAUUCCAGUAACGGAGGAUGUUGAAGUUGCUGAAUUUUCUCUAUAUCAAUUUCCGAAGGUAGUGGAAGAUGAUGAGGAAAUUUUUACUCAUGUUGCUCGCAUUCCAGAUGCGAUGCUUCGCAAGGUCUCUCAAACUCACAAGGUCUUGGUGAGAUAUUUGAAAACAAUUGAUCAAUCGGUGCCGAAUGGAGUGUUAUUAGAUGUUGCUGCACCAUCAAAGAAGAAGAAGUCUACAAAGAAGGAUGCGUAAGGUCCAUCAUCGCAACAGGCUCAGGAUGAAGAUGUUCAUAUUGAAGAGACUUCAUCUCAAUCGAAGAAAGAAACAAUACCUUCCAAGUCUAGGGUAUUGAAAAAGAUUCGCAAGACUGAGGUGAGUAGUAAAGGGGUUACCAUUCGCAAUAUUCCAGCUCCGGUCUCUCUAGGAAAGAAAAGGCAAAGAGCUGAAGACGUUGCGAAAAACAUGCAACGUACUCUAAUAAAAAGACGGAAGCUGGUGGUUCGCAAUGAAUCAUCUGAUGAAGAGAUAGUUCCAAAAACUCCACCGGUGUCGUCUACGGUAAAUGUUUCCUUACGAAUCAUUUCCAUUACCCCUACUUCGCAAAUAUCUACCACAACACCACUCAUAGAACCACUCGAAAUAGUCACUACCAAAUCAGUUUCUGAGGAGGUACCUAUUUCUGAUACGGUUGUCAACGUAUCUGAUACGGGGGCACCUAUCACGAGUAUUGCAACCACUUUACUAAUCACCUUACCCAUUUCUUUACCACUUGUUUCAUUUCCAUCUACAACUCUAUCCACAACCUCAUCAAUUUUUGAUCAUCCACUUCAAAACCCAUUUACAACCCUUUUUCCCUCACAAUCACCAGAAACUCCUCAACCUUCACAAACUUUAUCUGAUAAUGAAACUGAAGGAGGAGCCUUUGGAGGAGUACUUGAGGACAUUCAUUUUGAUUCAGAGGAGGAGGAUAUUCCUGAUCAUAUGCUUAUGACAGGAAAGCAAUUUAAAAUCCUGAAUCAUCAGUUAAAUGCCAUUAUUCAGUAGCAAGCUGAUUCUGGCAUGAUGUCUUCUAUCUCAGUAAUGGAGGUUGAUAUAAUGCUUAAAGGUGAUGAGAAGCAUAUAAUGGAGAAGGUUGAUCAGUCUGAUAAAAAUAAUGAGCUUCACAUUAAAGCUCAAGGGAGUAAUUUUUCUUUAGUGGUCCAAGACUUGAAAACAGUUGCAAAAGAACGUCAUGUUCUUUUUGUACAGGAUGUAAAGAAAGUUCGGUAGGAUGUCAACUUUAAGCUUCAAGAGUUGAAAACCGAACUUGCGAAGGAGCUCAAGGAUAUUAAUUCUCAAAAUGUCGAAGUUCAAAAGAAGAUUGAUGAGGUUUCUUCAAAAGUGCAAAAGGUUGUUGAUGUUCCUAUUCUUGAAGGUAAUAACAAAGAAACCCAGGAGAAGUUUGAUCAGCUGAUCAAGUUGGUGACUGAGCUCAAAAUGGUGGUUUCACAAUCUUCGUCUCAUCAAANUUGAGUUCUUGUCUCUAAAGGUUAAUACUUUAGAACAAGCAAUUCAAAAAGCUCUUGCACCAAUCGCAAAUUUUACCUCUUUACUAUCGAAAAGUGCCCCACCUGCUUUCACAGGGGUGCAAGGGGGAGAGAAGCAUUCAAGUAAAGAGAAUGAUGCGAAGACAUUGGGAAAAGUUAUAUUUACCCAGCUUAAAACUACUCUUCCCAUACUUACGAAGCCAAUUUCCUCAACUACAAUAACCAUAAAACCGAUUGCCAAAGGAAUUUCUAUUGGGGAAAAAGAAGGAGGUUCAAGUUCAAAACCUCAAACAGAUGUAGUGGGAAAAGGAAAAGGGAUAUUGUAUGAAAAAUCGAAGGAGGAGAAGAAAGCUGAGGCUAAGGCAGAGUUGGAAAGGAUGAGGAAAGUACAAAGCAUCAUGAGGCAAAGGGCAAGUGAUCCUCCCACGAUGAACAAAGGAGUUCCUGCGAAGCUGUACUCUUACGAAACCAUAGAGUCAAAAGUUGUGGGGAGGGAAAUGUAUGAAUUCGAGAAGAAGCCAAAGAGAAGUUAUGAUAUUGCGAAUUCAGACAAUUGUCAGCUAGAUUUUCCAUUCAAUGAAAUGCUCUUCAUUACUGCUUAGUACAAGAUUAGCGAGAAGUUUGAUACUCCUGAUGAUUAUAUACACAUGAAAAUCAGAUUUCAUGCUGUAUUAGGGAAGAAUCCGGAUGAAGUUUGGUCUUUAAUGAAGAUAAAAAAAGGUGUUAACAAUCAAGAAAGAUACAAUGUUUGAAGACAUGCUUCAAAAUUUCCAUUAUUUUGUUAUUCGAGCAGACAACAAGCAGUAUGACUUCAUUGUAGCUGAUUUUCCUCUGAUGAACUGCAACGAUUUGAUUCAAGUGGCUCUGAUUUUGAAGUAUAUGGAAGAGAAUAAGCUAAAAGGCUCUGAGACUGAAGCGUUCAAGAUAGGCUUCGCACAUGUUAAGACAUACAUCAACAAUUACUUCGAUUGUUUGGCUCUUACUGAUGAAGAAUUGGCGACUGUAGUAGGAAGAGAAGUGAAUGUUCCUUGGGAAGAAACUUUAUCUCAAUCAGCAUUAUCAAAAUAUGUUAUUGGGGAAAUAUGCCUGAAACCUUUCGGCAUGGUGUUUUCAGGAAGAGAUACAAAGGGGAAGCCCAAGAAAUUCUUGUUUAAAGUCUCUGAGGUGGAAAGAUAUACUUUUUCGCAAUAUAGGCACUUUAUUGUUUGUAUGAACAAUUGCAAGAAGAACAAUGAAGGAGACAAGAAGGAUCUCAAGAAGGUGAUUUCCUGGUAUGGAGAAGUGCGAAAGACAAUUCACUCUGCUGUUCAAAAGCUUAUGGAUUGAAUAGUUUCGACUGUUUACAAAGGGGGAGAUUGUAGAAGCAAAAUUGUAAAAGUCGAAUAUUGUGUUUGUAUAGUUUCGCAUCUUUAUGUUAUUUUACUAAGUCAAUUUUGUGCGACGUGUAAUGUUUAGACUUAGUAUAUUUUUUGUACACUCAUGUUCUCUAUAAAUAGGGACUGAGGAUAGAAGUAGAAAGAAGUUUUUUUUUCCGGAAACACAAAUAUCCUUUCUGCUUAUUCUGUAAUCAGUCUUCAUCAAUAUAAGAUCUGAUUAAUAUUUACUCUUCAUGUUCUAACUUUUCAAUCACUCAAAUCAUAUUUGCUUUCAUAAAUCUCGAUAACAAUUCUUUUCAAAAAGGAUUUAAUUUUUAAUAUGAAAUUCAAGAGAACAUAUAAGGUAUUAACCUAUUUUUAGCGAAUAAAUUAAAGCCGUUGCUAUUUCUUGUGAUCACUAGAAAUUUUUAGAUGGAUGAAAUGCACGAAAUAGCAAUGCAUUUUACAUUAUUUGUUUAUUGUAUCAUUGCACACGUUGGAAUUAAAAGGAAACAACCUCACACAGUGUGUAUGACGUAGGUGUGUUUAACUUAUUCUCACUUAUUUUACAUGCAUGACUACGUAAAACAAAAAUCACUAAAUUAUGUAUUGAAUCACAAUACGUUAAUUGGUAAUCAUCUACAUAUACAGUUGACCAAUAUGUAAGUGGUGUCGAGAAUGCAAUGAAUCAAUAGUACUUUAAUAUGGGGGAAAGACUAAUAGCAGAAUAGAUUCCUCCUGGAACAAAUUGUUUAUGUUGUUGUCGAUACAAGCCUUUAUGUUCCUAGUUUUGUUGCUACUGAUGUUUAUGUUGUGUAGAGAUUGUUUAUUCUUUUAGUUUUCACUCAUGCAUGCAUUGUUUAUCAUUUCAUUCCUUUUAACAGUAAAUCGUUGGCAAACACCACUGUAUAACUCUACAACCAUUGAUAAUUAAUUUGAUUUGUGAAUUGAUCAUUUAUUGAAUUUUUAUCCAAGUACCAGGAGUACGAACUAUAAAUUGUUUAAGUCUCUUGUAAGUUUGCAUGGGCUAUUGAAUCUUAGUUGGUACGUUUGGAAAUUUAAUAUGCAAAAAUCUUAUUCGUUUUCAAAAAAUUUUGGUUAUCGGUGAAGUUGCCAUUUACGUAAUUCCAUGAAAUAACCAUAAAAUACACAUGUAAAUUAAAUGUUUAAAAUGUGCAGUUGAAGUUUGGAGGUCAAUGACAUGGUUAUCAAUUUUGUUGAAUUAGGUUAUAUUGAAAAACCUUUGCUUCUUUGUUCUAUAUAUUAGCUAUCAAAUGGCUUCUAACCUAAUGAUAUCUAUCUGGUGUUACCAUUCCUCCUUGAGGUUGAGGGUUCAAGUCCUGUCGUGGACAUAAGUGAAUUUAAGGUGUAGUUUAGGAGUAUGUUAGAUUUGUCGUUUAAAAAAAAAAAAACAAAGUAUCAAAAUUUUGAAUGUUCUUAAUUAUGUUUGUAAUAAAUGUGUUUAUUUUUAACCUUUGUAGUAUACAAUUUAAUAUUUCUUUCUGAUUACCAUGAUAUAUAACUUAUUUUUCUUAUUUAAUAGUAGUUUUUAAAAAUUUGUGAAAAGAAGGCAUCAAAAUUGUAUAUAAUUUCACGAGUAUUAAAAACUGUUUUGUGAAUAAGAAACUAUUAACGGGCAAUUAUCUCAUUUUGUCAAGAUUAAAGUUGAUAUCAUUCAUCACAAUUCAAAUAUUUAACAUAAUUAAGAUAUUUAUUUGUGAAUAAGAAACUAAUUGCAAUUAUUUUGAUAAGUUCAAAAUUUUAUAAAACAAUUUAUGAAUUAAACAUUAUUGUUUGUUCAAGUUGCAUUGAUUGACUUUUUUCUAAUGAUAAAAAUAAAAUUUUGAAAAUUUGAAAGUUACUUAAUGAAAUUAUAGGGAAAAUGUUGUAAAAUUGACUAAGACAUUUGUGUAACAAUUUUGGAAUGUCCCAUUUAAAAUUUACAUACUUUUCGUUAAUAUUUUUUACCCACGGAUCAUUUUAUGUUGAUAUAUAAAACAAGAAUAAGAAAAUUCAUAGAUUCUUUUGUUUUAUUAAUAUGUAAGAAUUUUUUUUUUUGAUAAUAUUUAUGGGCAAUAUGUUGCAUAAGAUUAUUUUGUAUGUAAAUACUAGCUAAAUAAGUAUCACUUGAAUUAUUGCUAAAAUUAGUGACGAUCAACAUUCGGAUGGCAACGAUGAUGGAUUCUUUAGUUAGUGAUGGUAAAUUCAUUAGUUAGUGAUGGUAAAGGUGACUGAUUCUUUAUUUAGUGAUGAGCAAUCGCGUUUGUAAAAUGGAGACAAAUUUUGGAUGACCCACUUUUGAUCAAUGAAGUUGUAGAUUGGUGCAAGAGGAGAAAAAAGAAGAUGAUUUGUAUGAUAGACUACAUGACUCAGUGAAUUGCGAGUUUCUGUUCGAGAUCAUGUGUCUUGCUUUCUCUAUUUUCUACUUCUCAUUCUGAUUUAUGAGUUAUGAUUCUUCUGUUCUGAUUAAUAAGAUUGUUUUGAUUUUUAAGUCACAUGUCACCGAAAAUCAGAAGAAGUUUGAGGUUUUCAGUUUCUUAAUUGGGGUUCGGUGAGUCCGAUUUCAGAAUUCUCAAAUUUCUUAUUUUGUUUCCUUUUGUACUAUUCUCUACUUCUCAUUCCAAUUUAUGAGUUCUGAUCGAUACGUUUCUUGUAUUUCUGAUUACUGAGCUUGUUUUUUAUCUGGUUUCUGAAUCACACGUCAUCGAAAAUUAAAAGAAGUUUGAGGUUUUUAAAUUCUAAAUUGGGAUUGGGUGAGUUCGAAUUCUGAAUUCCUAUAUCUCCUAUUCCUUUUUUUCUCAUUCCAAUUUCUUAUCUAUAUUCAAUGGUAUUUUUGUUUGUUUCAGGAGUUGGACGUCUCAAUUUCUUUUAUGUUGCUUUAGGUUAGAUUCUUACUUUGUUGAGGCAGCAGAAGCCAGAAGCUAUAAUUUAUUUCAUUGUAGCUAUUUUGGAAAUGAAUUGGAAAAUUUUGUGUAACGCCAAGUUUAUGGUAUGUUCAUUUAAAAACUUAAUGUUUAAAAUUCGGAAUUUUUGGUGGCCACAGCAUGGGGAAUGAGUUCCCACGGUGUGGCCAUGGUUUGAGGAUGCACAUGUCUUUAAUGGAUGUCACGGCGUGGCAGCAUUGUACCAAUGGUGUGGUAGUUUUUUAAUGGCAACCCUAAUUCUGGGGUUUGUGCCCUAUUUAAGGGAUGUGAUGGCUAGGGUUUUGCACACCCUCAGCCUCAAUCACUUUCCUUCGUUCCUCACUGAAACCCUAGUUCCAUUUUAGAAGUUUUUGAGUUUUUUGGUGAUUUCUAGCCAAGAAGAAGAAGAGAAGAAGUCUUAGUGAAUCAUCAAGCCUCACCAUCCUACUUGUUCAUGUUUCUGGACAUUUGUAAGUCCUCAAGUUUGUAUCUUUAUGACUCUAUGUGCUUAGAUCUAGUUUUUCUUGUGUUAUCUUACAUGUUUAGGGUAUUUGGAAGGUUUGGAUUCCAUAAAGUUGUAAACUUUAUCAAUCCCCAGAGUCCGUUUAAGGUUUGGAGUGAUAGAUCUACAAUUUGAUAGAGCUUUGAACUCUUAUAUGAGAUCUUGGCCCAUUUUUACACUUUUUGACCUAGCUUGAGCUCAUGACAUGCAUUAGGCAUGCAUGUCUAUAAAGCUGUGACUUUUAUGAUCUUUUGGGGGUUUGGAAGCAUUCUAUAAAGUUUAAAUUGGGGGGAGGGGGGAGGAUUAAGAGCUAAAUUGAUUUAGCUAUUCUAGAAGGUUCCCACGACGUGGGGGAUUAGUCGUUAUGUCGUAGCGUUUCGUAGAUUUGCAACCAUUUUGUGUUAUUAUUCCCAUGAUGAGGCAUAUGCUUGUCCACAUCGUGGCGACUGGUUGCUGACUUUUUGACCGUUGAACAUUGACUUUGACAAAGUUUAACUUUAUGUUUAAUUGAGUAUGUUGAGUUGUAGAUUGAGACCUACUCCCUAUGUAACACCCCAUUUCCAGAUCGGACCGACUUUAGGCUUCAAGGAGUCAAGGCUUGGUUUUUGGGUAAAUCAGGGCUCAUGACGUGAACAUUGAAGGGUUAUGACGUGAGGAGGGAUCAAUACAAUUUUUGAUUUUGUAGUUUUUAUGGAGCGAGUGAUUGAAAUGAAAUUCAAGUAUGAAUUGUGACAACCCGUAAUUUCUAUUUGUAUAAAAGUCAAACUUGGGCAAAUAACACAACUUAAAUUUUAUUCUAUCUUAAUUUGAGUAAGAGUAAUGUCUUUUAAGUGUUUAAACCUAGUAUUCAGGGUAUUAUGUGUGUAAGAAGGGAAUAUGAUGAAUCCGAGAAACUUCGCACGCCUUUCUUCUCCUUACCCUUCAGAUCGUGAACAACUUCGGGCCGUACACGAGGUUCACGACCGUGAACCACUUCGGACCGUGAACCCUCCCAUAUAUAUGGAUUUUGGCUGAUUUUAAUUCAUUUCUACACUUCCAAUAGAAAAUCCAAUCCUUUUCUCUCAUGUAUCAUCCGCCAUGAUCAUCCUCUCUCCUCAAGAACAUGCUAAACUCAUCAUUUCUCAUCAUAUUCAUGCGAUAGUCACUAGUUCUUCAUAGGAUCUAACAUGUAACAUUCUUUGAUCUUGUCAUUAUUUCAUAAACAUCCUUCAAUCUUCUUAUACUAGGCUUAAACCCGUUAAACUCUCUAAUUUUCGCAAAGAACACGAAGAACACGCGAAGAACAUGAAGAACACCCAACUGAAAAUCCAUUGAAUCUUCUUAGAAUACCACUUGAAUCUUCAAGAUCAUCAAGUUUAUUGGGCCGUGAACCCCUAUUGGGCUGUGAACCUUUAUUGGGUCGUGAACCUUCUUGGGCCGUGAACUCCUCAUAGCCUCCCAUUUUCGAUUCUAACACUUCUUUGGACUAAUUGUGCUUCGGGACUUCACACGGGAAACUUUACAUCCUAUAUCGAUCUUUCAAUCAUAUUACUCACUAUCAGGUGAGUUUAUACCCCUACAAUUUACAUUUUAAUGGUUUUAAAUGCUUUUAUUGGGGGGGGGGGAUACAAGUAGAACACCACAUAGAUGUGUUAACAUUUACAUGCGGAGCUUUUUGAACAAAAGGAUUUAUUAUACUUAAACAUUGUGUUAUCAAAACAAACUAUUUCAAAUCGUUUUAUAAACUGUCACCAAGUCAUCAAGAAUCUUUCAAAUGGUUAAAAUCUUUUAAUAUGUUAAAAUUUUUAAAAUGGAUUAAACUAUUUAGAUGUUUUACAAACUCUUUUAAGCUUAUAUAUUGUCAAAAUCAUGUCUAUAUAGGUAUAGUUAUAUAAAUAAGGUUUAAAGGACUUAGGACUAAUAACUUGCUUUAUUUCACUUUCCUUGUUUGGAUGUGGACUUAGAGUAUCGGUUGUUUGUCUGAAUGUCGUUUAAAUUUUAGUUAUAUAUAUAUAUAUAUAAGUACUUCCAAUCAGUUCAAUACCUUCGCAACAUGUGGAUCAAAGGUGUCCAAACAUAAUUAGUCAUUCAAUUACAGAACGUACUAGUAAACUUUAAUAGGUAUAGUUUAGAGGAUCGAUACUUACUAUUUUCUAGAACAGGUGAUCAAAUACAAAACGAUACAUCCAUAUUAUUACUAUACAUUUACAAGAACAGAAAGGAACAUACACACUAUAACAAGUACAGAAAGGAACAUACACUAUAACAUGAACAAGAUAAUUAACUAUGAGAUACUACUUCAUGGCAUAGCAAUAUUUUUUUGCUGUGUCACAUUUUGUAACCAGAGUCUCCUUGAGGGAGAGCAUGAGUUUGUGUAUAGAUCUAUAUGGGAUUGACCAUCCCACACCUUUCUACUAGCUAUAGUGGGACCAACAGGUCUACGCGAGACAAAUGUCAUUUCAUUUUUGACGCCUGAUGAACGUCGUGUUUUAUACUAAGUCUAUCAAGCAUGGUUAUAACCUCAUCACAUUUUACCCUUAAUUAACCAGUUCGGUGUUAAAGUUAGUUAAAGCAUCUAUAGUGUAAUUUGUAUAAUACUACUAUAAGUCUUCAUUUUCCAUUACAUUCAUACAGUGAAUUUCUCGCAUGAGAUAAGCAUACUAUGUUUCUUGUAAAGAUAGUUAUUAAUAUGGAAAACAUACAUUUUAUACUAUUUCAUGUACAAACAUAUAUUUUACAUCAUUUUGAGAUAACAAAACACACAAACAAGUCGGUCUUGGAGAGUAGACUACAUUUCAUUUAUAGGAGAAAAUAUAGGAUUUUAUGGGAAGGAUUCAAACUAAUACAAACAUUUUUGGAGAACAAUACAAACAUUUUAAGAAACUAAUGCAAACAUUUGACACUAAAUACUUAUUAACUCACCAACUUAAAUGUUGAUACUCGCUUUCAAAAUAACUUGUAUUCUCUGGGAUCCAGUAGACAGGUGCACUGGACCAGGUUUUGAGAAGACGGAGCAUGUUCAAGACUCGUCUUUUAUUUUGAUGUUACAAUUUUGGUGUCUUACUACUAUUAAAGAACACACUUGUAUUAACUAUUUUAUUAAUGCAAUGGAUGUUGUUGCUUGUGCAACACCCUAAAAUCAGGUAUGACUUGAAACACUCAAGAAUUCUCAAUUUUACGUAAGUGGUCCCUUGAGUAUGUUGGGCGUACCUAUGAGUACGCUUAAUUGGGCCUCAUGGAAGGGUUUGGAGUUUGGGUUUCUUUUGAUUAAGUAAGGUCCUGACAUUAAUUAAUAUUAUUGUUCAACAUGGGAGGUUACGAACUGUUAGGAGAGCAAAUUUUGUAUUCAGCAGACAAAGGUGAGUCUUCUCACCAUACCCAUGGGUCUAAGGCACCAAGGCCAGCCCAUUAUGUGAGUAUGUUAUAUGUGUUGGUCAUUAUGUGGUUUGAUAUGAUAUGUGAUUGCGUGUUUUGCAUGGAAGACCUCGGGGGGAGCCGUGGCAUUGGAUAUAAGACCAUGUGGGGUACCCCAUAGCAUUCCUAGGUAAAGACCAUGUGGGGGAGUUCAUGGCAUUAGAUGUAAGACCAUGUGGGGUAACCCAUGGCAGACCUAGGUAAAGACCAUGUGGGGUAGCCCAUGGCAUUCUUACAGGUUUUAUGUAUGCAUGGUUUAUGUAAUAUGUAGUUAUGUGUAUGUGAUUGUGUGUGGUAUGCUCUGGGGGACUCACUAAGAAUUUCGCUUACAGGUUUUUGAUUUGUUUUAGGUAUAUCUGAUCCCAAGGGCAAGGACAAGGCGUGAUGACGCAACAUGCAAUCUAUCUCUCUUACUUUUUUUUGUUUUGGGGACACUCUGAUGUUUUUAAACAAAAAAAAAUUGUAAUAAUUGUGAAUUGAAAACAAUUGUGUUGGGAUUUCAUGAAUUAUGCAAAGGUGUUGAUUUAAUAAAAUGAAAAUUUUCUUUGUAAAAUUUGGGUCAUUACAAGUUGGUAUCAGAGCCUUGGUUUGAGGGAUUCGGGCACACUCUUGAGUGUGUUAGAACUCAAACUAAGGAAACGGUAAAAUUGUUUUCAAAAGAAACAUAAAAGGGUUUUUAAAAAGGAAAUAAAAAUACGAGAGUGCAACAUGUGUGAUCAGCCGAGCCAAGUAAGUAGUUCCCCAGUAUGUUAGCCAUGUUAGAUUGAUAUUUGAGCUUUGCUGAUUAUAUUAAUCUUGCUAUGUGUAUGCUUUUAAAAUUGUAUACGUUUAGGAGCUUAUAGCCUCAGAAUGAUUAAUUUGGCCUUAUUUUCUUUUCCUUGGCUGGAUGUGGUCUUAGGGUAGAAUCUCUUAUUCGAAAGUCUAUUUGAUCUUUUCUAUGUAUAAUUUGCAUGCAUAAAAGCAACCCGUUGCGAUUGGUUUGAUUGAUACGAGUAGGGUAAAUCUUAGGACAGCCUGAGAUUGUUAUUCGUGGUAGUUGUGGGUUAUGGUUUGGUUGCGGGAUGAGUUGGAGUUAUCAGGUAGGGCAGUGGGGAAAUGUACAGGUAGGUGCGGAAGAUAGUAUUGGGCCCGUACUACUGGAAGCACAGGACCUGUACCCAAACUAGUGUUAGAUCUGACGACUUCAAGGAGGACCGGUGUGGGAAGACCCCCCCCCCCCCCCCCCCACNAUCUUGAUCAUUGUGAUUUAUAAUAUUUCAGUUCAGCAUGGUGGUGACACAAUUUGGAGCAGGAGGAUUAGGAUCGGGAUCUGGAUCCAGGGCUGGGUCAGGCGAUACCACCGAUGUCUUUGAUGUGUGGUUGCGCGAGAUCAUUGCAACCAAGGUUACCAGAGGCAUCCUUGAUGGUUAUCAUGGAGGAGAGAUUCAGGACAUUCAGGGCUGAAAUUGUUUCGGGUCAGGUUGGGGUCCGAACUCCCUCGUUUCGGGAGUUCAAGGCAAAUGGGGCACCAGAGUUCUUUGGGGUCAGGGAUCCCAUUGUUAGCCGACGCUGGGUGGUAGACAUUGAGAACGCCUAGCACACGAGUUCUUGAUCGGAUGUGGAAGAGGUGGGAUUUGCUUCUUGUAUGCUCAAAGAUAGGGCCCAGGAUUGGUGGGGAGAGGUUACGAGACAUGUGGGGGAAGUCGGUGUGGCUGUGAUGACGUGGGCUGAGUUUUUUCGACGUUUCGACUUCGAGUUUGCACCACCUAUUAAGUUGCAACAGUUAGUAAGGUAGUUUCAUGAUUUGUAGCAGACCACCAAGACUGUGGCGGAGAUCACCGCAAAGUUUCGGGAACGGGCCUUGUUGAUCCCAUAGUAUGCUAUCGAUGAGGAGAGGAUGCGGACCCGAUAUCAUUCCAUGCCGAGGGAUGCUUUCCGGGAGUUUGUGAGCUUUACAGGGUGCAAAACCCUGAAUGAGAUGGUAGAGAAGGCAUGGGAACGAGAUAUGGAGUUGGACAUCUGCACCAAGCGGAAGCCAGAGCAGGCGAAUGCAGUUGUGGGUCAGGCUAAGAAGCCUAAGACUUCCGAUGCUUCCAGCAGAGGCCAACAGGGUCGGGGCCGGUGUGCCAAGUGCAUGAGGUUUCAUAGUGGGGCGUGUCAGACAACUGGGAUACCGGGAUGUUACUCUUGUGGUCAGCAGGGCUAGGUGAGUAGGGGUUGCCCCAAGAAGGGCUUGAUAUGUUUCCACUACAACCAGACUAGCCAUAAAAAGGCUUAUUGUCCGAGGUUGCAGGGAGGGAGAGGACCAGUGGCGGUGCCCGCGCCCACCACUAUGAGGAUUAUCAAUGGCUGCCAUGUUAAGGCGGAAGCUCCAACGGUGAAGAGCCACACAUUUUAGCUGACUACCGAGGAGGCUCGGGCCGCACCUGACGUUGUGGCUGGUACGUGUUCAUUCUUCUCUGCUUUAUGUUUAUCCGUAGUGCCUAUUUUAUAUGCAUUGUGCUCGUAUAGGGACCUUUAUGGUCAAUAGUAUGUCGGUGCAUGUUUUGUUUGAUUCGGGUGCUACCCGAUCUUUCAUGUCUCUUGCACUUAGCAAGAAGUUCUGGGACACGCCAGGAGCUCUGGAAUCCCCGCUCGAGGUAGAGAUUAUAGAUGACCACACUGUGAGUGCUGCGAGGGUGUAUAGGGAUUGUGGCCUGAAUGUGCUUGACGAGAGGAUUCGUGUUGAUUAGUCCCUAUACCGUUGUGAGGAUUGAAGGUGAUUGUUGAGAUGGACUGGUUAGGGACCAAUGGGGCCAUGAUUGAUUGUGAGCGCCAGUUGUUUAGGGUUCGAACCCCUAGUGGGGGAGAACUGGUGAUACAUGGUGAGAGAGCCUCACGGGGGCCAACUCUUUGUUCGGCUGCGAGGGCAAGGAGGUUUCUACAGCAGGGUUGUACGGGAUAUCUGGCUUACAUCUAAGAUACGUGGGUUGAGACCACGACGGAUAUAGGCAGUGUGCCGGUUGUGCAAGAGUUUUGGGAUGUCUUCCCUGAAGAGCUACCAGGAGUGCCUUCGGAGAGGCAGGUGGAGUUUCGUAUUGAUUUAGUUCCGGGUGCUGCUUCAAUAGCAAAGGCGUUGUAUCGGUUGGCACCAACUGAGAUGCAUGAGUUAUCUACGCAGCUUCAAGAGCUGUUAGAUCAAGGGUUCAUCCGUCCGAGCAGUUCUCCGUGGGGAGCACCGAUCCUUUUUAUGAAAAAUAAGGAUGGAUCGCACAUUAUGUGCAUUGAUUACAGGGAGUUGAACGAAAUAACGGGUGAAGAACCGUUAUCCCUUGCCGAGGGUCGAUGAUUUAUUUGAUCAGCUUUAAGGUGCGUCUUGGUUCUCCAAGAUUGAUCUUCAGUCCGGGUAUCAUCAGAUGAGGAUUCGAGAUGAGGAUACACCGAAGACGGCUUUUAGGACUCCGUAUGGGCAUUAUGAGUUGGUGGUGAUGCCGUAUGGGCUCACCAAUGCCCCACCAGCGUUCAUGGAUCUCAUGAACAGGGUGUGUAGGCUGAUGCUGGAUCGGUUUGUGAUCAUUUUUAUUGAUGAUAUCCUGGUCUACUCUAAGACCACGAAGUAGCAUGAGCACCUUCUCAACACCAACUCGUCGAGUCCAGCCGCCGACUCAGCGAUUUGGUCACUUAACACGUGGCCAACACCCGCUCCGACUCAACCAGUAGGCAUACCUACUUUCUGAGUAGACUCCUUAAUUUACACAUAAGCCCAUAAAAUAUAAUUCUGAAGUUUGCGAUGUUACAACUCUCCCCCACUUAAAUUAGGCUUCGUCCUCGAAGCAUGCUGCAGCACACGAUUUGUAGGAUGACACUCUUGCAUUGUAGCCUCCAACCACCCAACCAACUCAUGUCUCUUCAGACACUAUUACCGCAUCUUUUCUACGACAACUGUUUCCUGUGCAGGAUCACUGCCUAACGCUGCAAGCCGGCCACCGGCCUCUUCUCCUUAAUAUUAGCACACAUCAAUCCAACUAUCACCCGAUGGUACUACCACCUUCCUGUCAUGAACACACUUUCGUGACUUGCGAAAGUUAGAUACUACUAUAAUUCACUGGGCUCUCUCACAGUACUAAUCUAUCUUCCUUUUUCCAAAACUGGCGAUAACCCGAGUAACUUGCAAUUUUGGAAACUCAUCUUGUCCCCUUCCUGAAUCUAGUCCCUUUCCGUGCUGACAGGAUGAUGCAUCCUUCAGCUCUCAGAAUAUCAUACAUAAUCAAUCCACUAAUGAAUAUGAACACUCAUGCCUGGCCCAAAUAGCCUCGGGCUGGAAUAGCAGGCGAGCCUACGACGGCUCCAAUCAUCCCUAGGAGGUAAUACCCUCGUAUCCCACACAUGUUUGGCCCAAUCAACCCCCGGGUUGGAAUACCGAACAUAUCAAAUCCAGUCCAUCAUAGGGUCCGGUCAUCCUUAGGAUGGAAUACCCUAGGUUGGAAAACCUCCAUGAACAUAACUCGAGUCUACUCACAACCGGAGAUCCAAGGAUCUAUCCUUGCAUCUCAUCCACCAUCCUCAGAUUCGUCACAACCGAGUGCAACUCCCCCGAAUCUUCAACAAUACAUCCAACCCGAACAUGCUCCUACAACAGACAUAACUAACAUAAUAUAUAUGCCCACAGCCUAUGACUGGAAUACCCUUACGAGGUCCUCAGUAUAGGUCUGGAUUACCUCUGAGCCCACAACAUGAGCCUGGUAUGCCCUCCCCGGCCCUCACCUCCUGACUGGAAUGCUGCCGAUGACUGAUCGACACUACUGUCGUCACUUCAGUUGCCCAAUACUCCGACCCUACAGAUAUCCACUUUCCUCCGCCACUCGAAGGGCCUAAUCGACGCUCCUCUCAUCAACGAACAACAUAACGAUACAAAAACUACUACCACACAUGAAUCCUGAGUGAUAAACCCACUUCAACUCUUCCUACUACCAUAUGACGUUUCUUAAGUGAAUUCGAAACCUCCUUGGUCCCAACUUCUCUACCCACAACUCGAACAUCGGACACCUCACCGAUUACCGAACCAAAACACACACCCAAACAGCAGUCCCACGCCCUGUCACCAACUCCUGCCAACAUAAUUAACGUUACAUGACCCAUGUCAGCCUCACAUCCUACCUGGUCUUUAGAGACCCAUCUUCUCCUUACUUCAGACACGCUAUGGCUCUAUCACAGAUGAAACCAACCCAAGACACAUCACAAUAACUCAAACCAUCAUCAACAUGCCUACCACUACCGGCCAACCAGUACGCCACUCAUAUCUAGCCCAUACCACCUCUUCUAGUUGGAAUACCAAUCAUGUCUAAUCAAUUCAACUAUCGAGCUGAAAUUCUCAGGGUUUGUUGGCCUACCGCCUCAACCCUACCGCUCCCUUUGAGCCUCUGUGCUUACAACUUCCAGUCGGCCCACACCGGGUAUCUUGGCCUACCGUAUAGAGUAGGACCGCCUCAACCCCAUCCAAAUGCCAUAAAUGACUAAGAAAAGAUCUAACCUGAUUCCUAGAACCUGAAUGACAGGGUAUUCUAAUCCCAUACCUGCCCAAAAAUGACGAAUACCCAUUCGGAUCCACUCUCAGAACCUUCAGCAUGUUUGGACCACCUCUCUGGGCCUUCAGCCUGUCUGGACCAUUCUCCGAGCCUUCGGUCUGACUGGUACGCCCCACUGGCCUUCAGUAUAUCCGGACCGCUCUAAACCGUUCAGCAUCUCCUUGGACCCCCUUCCUGAUGCUCUCUCCCAUGCAUCUUAUUCUCACCCACUUGGGGCUUUGAACUCCUGAUCUACUCUGUGGACCAUAUCCCCAGCCUAACCCUAGGCCUCAUGUCGAUCGUCCAACCUCUCGAAAAUCCGUGGUCUAUUCCCUAACCCGUGUGUCUACCACAUACACUAAAUAACCUGCACUCCCACGCUGAACGCACAUCUGAGCCCUGUCAUCUAACAAAACCCUUAAUCUAUCAAUCUAAAAACCCUAAGAGUCGAGAACGCCCUCGACCAAAUACUCGAACUGAACUCGAUUCCUGACUAGAACUCCAACCGGGUUCCUAAACUUCUGCUAUCAAGCACCCAGAAGACAUGUUUCUUAUGUUGGGGAGUUUUACCGGAUCCCCAAUCAACACAACUCUCAAACCAAGCAACCACUAGGGCCUCUAUUCUCCCUGUCGGGUUAUGAAACUUAUCCUUGUUUCAAAACCUCUCCCACUUCCACAUCUCGGGGUACACUCCCCCACUUAGAUUCGACUAAUCCUUCAUAAUACAUGAAAAAGGGAGGAUUCCUAAUCCUUCUCGCUUCCCAACGAUCGAUCCAAUGACAACCAACUCUAUCCCACUAGUGCUCCAUUACUAGAUAGACCCAAUUGAUCACACACUUCUAAGAACCAGAUGACACUUCCUGAAUCCCAGAGAAACUGAUAGCCACUAAUGCUUGAAUGACCCCACACUCAUGUCCUGAAGAACAAAAGAUAAAUGCUCCAACUAAUACCUCGGCAACGAGCCACUUCCAUUGGCGUUUCCGUCCGUCAAUCACGAACGGUUGCUAAGACCACUGAGUCCUGACAAUGCUGAAUAACCAUCCUGUGAAACUCUGUCCGCAGACUUCCCACAUAAUACCCCUUUUUCCAAAGGUGUUCCAAUAAACUUCCCGCUCUCAGGCUUUAGAAUCAUUCUUUUCAGGGUUCGCACCCUGACUCACUUACCAGCUCAAACGUCCACAGCUGAACUGCAGCAGCUGAAACAACCUUUGCCCUAAACCGGGCUACAACUACUCCCAAUACAUAAUCUACAAUCCCAAAAGUAUAAUAGAUUGCACAAUCAAUCCUUACCGCCCAACGCAAGAGAUCCAAAGCAAACUAGACUCCACACUUACUUAAGCCACGUUGACCCACCUGUGCUCACCGGCGCUGAAAUAAUGUUGCCAACCUCUGCAACCAACUGAAUCCAAGUUGGAAGACAACCUGCCCCUGGGUCACAAGCCUGCUCACUCCUUCGAGCUCAAAAAAAAACUGAGAGGGCGCAAUCCUUGCCCUACAAAACAACAAUUCAAUCCAUCAAUUAACCAUUCCACUUCCAGCUGCAAAAUCCUAGCUGAACAUAACCAUCACUCCUUUUUGGUGUCCCUACGACGCACAUUUCGACUUCAAGUAAAACCCCCGAGCCUCAAAUCUGGAAACCCACAUGCUAGCCUCUCCCGUUCAACCUGUGGAAAUAUAACGAGUACAGAUCAUCUUCCUGAUCUCAGAUAACUGCAACCCUCUUCUCAUCAAAAUAUGCACCAAUAACAAGUCCCGGUACUGGAAAGCUCGAUCAGCUCCUUUCCCUGUCAUCGUUACAACUAUUAAAACUGUCGCGGGAACCGUCUCGGCAAUGGCUGCAUAGCGCUCGUCGAAAUACUCAACCAUGGCGGUCUUAAUAGACCCGGCAUCUCCGGAAACUGCCCCCAAACAAUCUUGAUCACCUACUCCCGGAUGAUCUCACUGUAACGACCAAAAAUUUCAACCAACCAAAAAAAAUUUCGAGAACAACCCGAUUCCAUUAAAGUUAUUACAAAAAGGUUUUCAAUACAAUUUAUGUUAAGUAUUCCCAAAAUCUCAUAACAACAUAAACACGAGGAGCGGUACGAUCACCCCUUCGCCUUGCCACGGUCUCCUGAAGAACCUGAAAAACAUAAAACCACAACUGUAAGCCCGAAAGCUUAAUGAGAUAUCCCCAAAAUACCAACCACAUAUACCAUACACGCAUAAUAUGCCACCAUAUCCGUUCACAGAACAACCAUGCACUUCGGGUCUACUGUGUGACUGGUCCGCCGCACCGGCCAACAGUCCACCUGGUCCACCCUCCGAGUCUGUCCAUAUAUCUCGAGUCUGCAGUGUGAUUGGUCCGCCCGCACCGGGCCUUCAAUCCACCUGGUCCACUCUCUGAGUCUACAGUAUGACUGGUCCGCCCGCACCANGUCCACUCUACGAGCCUCGGCACGUCUGGUCCGCCCUCUUGGGGCCUACAGGCUAUCCGGACUGCUCGCUGGGCCAUUGGGACAACAGGUCCGCCCUAGGUAUCUUGGCCUACAGCACAAAGCAGGACCCACCUCAACCCAUCUCCAGUCCAAACAACCAUUUGCACAUAAACAUACAAUCAUAUAGCAAUUCACAGUCAACAAGCCGAUCAACCAGAUCACAUAACAUAUCAUCAUCCUAACCAGGAUACCAACCUAACCGGUCACUACCAUAGCAUCACCCUACAUCUCAGAAUACCGAUCUCAAUCAGGUCUCUAACAUAUACCAUCCUAGCUACCAGGAUGCAAACAUAUCAAAGCAAUAACAUAACAACAAUACCCGGAUCUCAAUUCGAUAAGGGUCGGCCUUGGUGCCUUAGACCGUAUUGAUAUAGUGAGGAUAACUCACCUCGAAACUUACGGCUGAAAGGAUAAGAUCCCGCUGCUCCAAACUCCAACACGAACUCCUCCACUGAACAACACCAAAACACUGAACUCAGUAAAUACCAAAAUACCCCUGGAAGUCAACUGGUCAACCCUUGGACAAAGUCAAAGUCAACCCCUGACUGACUCUACUCGCCGAGUCAACCCGAUGACUCGCCGAGUCCCCAAGCUUAGAACUUCCCCAAUUAGCGACUCAACUCGCCGAGUCACCCCGAGACUCGCCGAGUUCAACAACUCUGAGUCCGCUCACAUACAACUCACCGAGUCAACGCCUUGACUCACCGAUUCACGGUUCAACCAGAAAAGAUUAGAACUAUUCGACAAGACUCGCCGAGUCCAAGAACAGACUCACCGAGUCUAAAGCUAUCUUCAACCUACUCGCCGAGUUGUUCUUCCAACUCGUCGAGUUCCAGGUCAUCUUCAUCCAACUCGCCGAGUUGUUCUUCCAACUCGUCGAGUUCCAGCCUAUCUUCAAGCAACUCGUCGAGUCCACCCAUGGGACUCGCCGAGUAACACCGGUCUGAGUCCAUACAGAAGCAUUCCAGACCAUGCAAUUGAUCCAAAACAUAGAUCUAGCCUCCUACAACCCAUCCAUCACGUAAAGUGGCAAACUUUACGUGAAUCCAAAGAGAUCUAGGCCUUUUACACAUUAGGGCUAGGGUUUGGGACAUGAUGGCUCCAUCAAUCACUCACAAACAGAGACUUUCAUGCAUUCCAACCUUUCUCCAUUCCAGAUCUGGGGUAGCAACCUCAGAUUUAACCUCUAAACUCCAAAACACCAAAACAUAUGAUCUCUAACACCCCCAAAAUGAAGAAUCUAGACAAAAGCAGCUCAAACAAUGAAAUGAUACCUCAAAAGGAAGCUUCUAUGAAAGAUUAACCCGAAUCCUUGCAAAGCCCUUUGUUCCAAGCCUCUUCUCCUUCAAGAUUUCUUCAACCACCACCUCUCCAAGCCUCCAAAUGCACUUUGAUCCACUCUCACAAAAUAAUUAGGGUUUCUGGAGCUCAAGGGAUGAUAAGGAGGCUGGGGAGGGAACAUAAUGUUCUUUAUAUAGGGCUCAACCUCCGGAUUUAGGGUUUUCUCCAUUCAGCGCCUACUCGCCGAGUCCAUCCUACUGACUCGCCGAGUCGGCCACUUAACACGUGACCAAGUCGCGACUCUACUCGCCGAGUCCACCCAUGGACUCGCCGAGUUCCCCUUCCAAAUUACUCUUUUAUCCCUUCAACUUUACUCUUGACAUUCCGGGAUGUUAUAAUUCUUCCCCACUUACAUUAGGCUUCGUCCUCGAAGCCUGCAACAACUCAACUCAUAGAAAUACUCCUGCCACGCAUCACCUGGUCUUAACCCAACCAGGUUCCUCAAAACACAAUCAAAGAACCAGAAACUCACUUUCUCCCUCCUUACGGUGUCCUAACCACCGACUCAAGCCAGCCACCGACUUUACCCUCUGAUAACCCCACUUAACAACUGAGUACUACUCAUGAUGCAACACUGCUCCAAAUCACAACCAUCUCUUGACCCAUAUGAUCUAGAAAAUAAUCAUGCACCACCAGAUUCCCGAUCCGAGUCCAACUCUAAUCAUUCUGCUGACAGGAAGAGACAUUCUUCAGAGCAACUCCCAUGAGUUCUCCUCUUGCAAUCACAUACACACACUGAACUAGAUCUAGCACCCUCAGGUUGGGAAAACCCGAUACACUGAUGACAUCUUCAAACAUCCCCCAGGAUGAACCACUACUACAUACACAAUUCCCUGAUCAGAAUCACACUGAGAGCCCAAGACUCCUUCCCUGCAUCCCUUCCGAGCCUCUUGGCUCUACACCCGCGGAAUUCCUUACGCGACCUUAGCAGACAUCCCAAACCGGAUGUGCUUCCAUUCCACUGCUGCAAACACGCUGCUCAACAACCAUACUCGGAUUACUCUAAUCAUAACUCUGCUCUGCCGCUUUCACUUCCGUGAACUUGCACUUCCUCUCGGAGUUACACUCUUCUUUCUUUCCUUUACCAAGGAAAUCCACUUUGGCUGCCUUGUCAUUCCGAAAACUGCCAUGGUGCUCGCCCAGCGCUACACCACUCCUUUAUAGCGUAACUGUUAUCCAUCCAUCACACAUGCUCUGACUCUGAUCGCAGGGACUCUCAAGCCCAUGCACAAUCUCCACCAAUCAAGAUCAAUACCCGGGGCCAGACCUUUUAAUGAUAUCAUACUGCAACAUACACAAUCCAUAUCCUCGAACCGACCUAACAAUACCUGCAGAGUCUUCAGCAUGACUGGACCGCCUUCACAUGCCUUCAGCCAAUCUGGAUCACUCUUAGAACUUUCAGCCAAUCUGGACCGCCCUCUAGUGCCUUCAGUCUGGCUGGACCGUUCUCCGAGCCUUCGGCCUGACUGGUACGCCUACCGGCCUUCAGUCUAUCCGGACCGCUCAACUAACAUCCAUCACUCCGAGCUAUCUCUCUGGAAAAUCCUCCCAUGCAUACUGUUCUAGCCCUCUAGGGGUUCUGAACUCUAUCUCCAUCAUACAUACUCGAUCCCGGCCUGAUCCGCAGGCCCUUCAUAAACAAAUGCCCCAGGUCUAUAUCCCGCCCCGCAUGCCCGACACUUACUCAUACUAGCCUACACUCUGGGCUGACGGAACACGGCUGAAUCCCAAACAGCUAAGCAACCUCGCAUGCUCAUCGAUCUUCCGGAGAAUUUUCCAAUUCUCCCCCACUUAGGGUACUGACUAUCAACCACUGGUUGCCAUCACUGACCUCCCAGAACAACUCUGCACAAAACCAACACUUGCAUGCGGACUGAUUCCCACUAGCACUAGCAACCCUCACAACAACACAUUUCCACACUGAUCAUCCCGCUCGAAAGAAACUCAAUCUGCAGCUAACCACUCCUCAAAAGCAGAUGCUACCAGGCAUUCCAACCAACGCCUGAUUCCACUAACAACCCCACGAAAUUCCCAAUACUAACCCAUAGGCAUGCCAUAACCCUCAAAGAACAACGAAUACCACACCGAGAACCACCAAAGAUACUAGCACAUAAGCAAUACACCACAAUAAUCACAAGAUAAGAAAACAUCAAGAAAGAAACAUACCCGCAGCUGCAUCCGGCACUGCUCUGACCUCCUCUGCUGAAAGCUGAAAAGCACGACCCUGAGCCCUUGGGGGCUCCGCUCCACCUUGACCGCCACCUGUGAUCCUCAAAGUGGCCGGUGCUGGAGCCUGCACCAGUCCUGCAGCAAGUUGGGGACAGUUGACCCUCAAAUGUCCAACCUAAUGACAAUGGUAACAAAUCCUCAAAUCCCGAACCGGCGUUGACUGUCGACAAUCCCUCGCAUAGUGCCCCUCCUUUCCCACAAGUGUGGCUGCUCAGAUCCCCCAUUCUAGCAUCAACGGUCUUGGAUCGUUUCGGUGUCGGCUGCGACUGCACCGGAGCCUGCCUCAGCUCACGCAACUGCAACUCAAUCUCUAACUCACGCCGCCUAGCGGCCUCCUGCAACUCUAACAAUGUCCCGCACCUCUGCGCAGACACAAACUGCAUGAUGUCCCUCUUGAGCAUGCUCAGAUAUCGAGACAUCUGAGCCUGCUCCGAAGCGAACUCAGGGCAAAACAUCGCCCUCUCAGUGACCGAGUCUUGCUUCAGAUCAAGGAACUCCUAAUCCAAUCUCUCCCUCUCAACUUGCGGAACAUAGCGAGUGCUGAACAUCUCUCUGAACUGAUCCCAUGAAACCGCAGCCCUCUGCACAUCUGAAUAUGACCCCGUGGUCAAUCUCCACCAAUCCUUCGCCCCGAGCCUCAACAGGUCCAGAGCACACCUCACCCUCUGAUCAGUAGGACAUGAACACGUGAAGAAACACCCCUCCACGUCCGAUAACCACCUCAUAGCAACAAUCGGGUCCUGAACUCCAUCGAAGGUGGGAGGCUUCGUAUUAUCGAAGUCCCGAUACUGAAAACCCCGACUAGCUCCUCCCCCUGUCGCUGCUACAGCCGCUGUAGCCGCCGCGGCAACUGUCUCUGUGAGAGCUGCAUAGCGCUCAUCAAAAUACUCAACCAUGGCGGUCUUGAUCGACCCGAACAGCUCCGACAACUCAGCCCGGAACAAUGUAGCAAUCUCAUCAUGCAGGAUCUCACGAAUCCUCGCAUCUAACUAACACGUGCUCAUCUGACCAAAAACCUCGGGCGGUACGGACCCGCCCGGAACUCCCUCUCCUGUUCCCGAUCCUGACCCGGAUCCACUCCCAGCAUGCCUCGGAAUCUCCAUACUGAAAAACACCACAAAAUCUCAGAUACUUCCCACUAUCCCGGGAACCAACUCUCUCAACCCAACCCUAGAGGUCAUGGUUUCCCUGAUACGCGUAUGGGUCCUGUGCUUUCAGUAGUACGGGCCCAUACUACCUUCCACACCUACCCAUAUUUGUAUGAAGUACUACCACAACACCCUAGUGAAAACAUGCAUAACAACUCUCAACCCUCACCACUAGAGGAACACUGAAAAUCUCCCACAAGGAAACCCUAGGCUACAGGCAUCACAAAUCAGGCAACAUUAUCAUGAAAUCCUGAAGAUCCCUAGCCUAACACUAGCAUGCUGUUCUAUCAAAGCUCAAAAACAAUUAUCAUGUAUGGUAUUUUGGGGUUACUUACUGGCUCCGGCUGAUCGUACCUCCACAUCCUCCUUUACUCAUUUUGAAAACCAUUUUAAAUUCUAUUUUUAAAAAACACUCCUCGAUUUGAGACUGGAGUCACACGAGUGUUCCUCCAAUUCACUCAAACCAAGGCUCUGAUACCAACUUGUAAUGACCAAAAAUUUCAACCAACCAAAAAAAAUUUCGAAAACAACCCGAUUCCAUUAAAGUUAUUACAAAAAGGUUUUCAAUACAAUUUAUGUUUAGUAUUCCCAGAACCUGAAGAACCUGAAAAACAUAAAACCACAACUGUAAGCCCGAAAGCUUAGUGAGAUAUCCCAAAAAUACCAACCACAUAUACCAUACACGCAUAAUAUGCCAACAUAUCCGAUCACAGAACAACCAUGCACUUCGGAUCUACUGUGUGACUGGUCCGCCGCACCGACCAACAGUCCACCUGGUCCACCCUCCGAGUCUAGCCAUAUACCUCGAGUCUGCAGUGUGAUUGGUCCGCCCGCACCGGGCCUUCAAUCCACCUGGUCCACUCUCCGAAUCUAGCCACAUACAUCGAGUCUGCAGUGUGAUUGGUCCGCCCGCACCGGGCCUUCAAUCCACCUGGUCCACUCUCUGAGUCUACAGUAUGACUGGUCCGCCCGCACCGGGCCUUCAGUCGGCCUGGUCCACUCUCCGAGCCUCGGCACGUCUGGUCCGCCCUCUUGGGGCCUACAGCCUAUCCGGACCGCUCGCUGGGCCUUCGGGACAACCGGUCCGCCCUGGGUAUCUUGGCCUACAGCACAAAGCAGGACCCGCCUCAACCCAUCUCCAGUCCAAACAACCAUGUGCACAUAAACAUACAAUCAUAUAGCAAUUCACAGUCAACAAGCCGAUCAAACAGAUCACAUAACAUAUCAUCAUCCUAACCAGGAUACCGACCUAACCGGUCACUAGCAUAGCAUCACCCUACAUCUCAGAAUACCGAUCUCAAUCAGGUCUCUAACAUAUACCAUCCUAGCUACCAGGAUGCAAACAUAUCAAAGCAAUAACAUAACAACAAUACCCGGAUCUCAAUUCGAUAAGGGCCGGCCUUGGUGCCUUAGACCCUGUUGAUAUAGUGAGGAUAACUCACCUCGAAACUGACGGCUGAAAGGAUAAGAUCUCGCUGCUCCAAACUCCAACACGAACUCCUCCACUGAACAACACCGAAACACUGAACUCAGUAAAUACCAAAAUACCCCUGGAAGACAACUGGUCAACCCUUGGACAAAGUCAAAGUCAACCCCUGACUGACUCUACUCGCCGAGUCAACCCGAUGACUCGCCGAGUCCCCAAGCUCAGAACUUCCCCAAUCAGCGACUCAACUCGCCGAGUCACGUCGAGACUCGCCGAUUCAACAACUCUGAGUCCACUCACAUACAACUCACCGAGUCAUCCCCUUGACUCACCGAUUCACGGUUCAACCAGAAAAGAUUAGGACUCUGCGACAAGACUCGCCGAGUCCAAGAACAGACUCGCCGAGUCUAAGGCUAUCUUCAACCUACUCGCCGAGUUGGUCUUCCAACUCGUCGAGUUCUAGGUCAUCUUCAUCCAACUCGCCGAGUUGUUCUUCCAACUCGUCGAGUUCCAGCCUAUCUUCAAGCAACUCGUCGAGUCCACCCAUGUGACUCGCCGGGUACCACCGGUCUGAAUCCAUACGGAAGCACUCCAGACCAUGCAAUUGAUCCAAAACAUAGAUCUAGCCUCCUACAACCCAUCCAUCACGUAAAGUGGCAAACUUUACAUGAAUCCAAAGAGAUCUAGGCCUUUUACACAUUAGGGCUAGGGUUUGGGACAUGAUGGCUCCAUCAGUCACUCACAAACAGAGACUUUCAUGCAUUCCAACCUUUCUCCAUUCCAGAUCUGAGGUAGCAACCUCAUAUUUAACCUCUAAACUCCAAAACACCAAAAGAUAUGAUCUCUAACACCCCCAAAAUGAAGAAUGUAGACAAAGGCAGCUCAAACAACGAAAUGAUACCUCAAAAGGAAGCUCCCAGGAAAGAUUAACCCGAAUCCUUGCAAAGCCCUUUGUUCCAAGCCUCUUCUCCUUCACGAUUUCUUCAACCACCACCUCUCCAAGCCUCCAAAUGCACUUUGAUCCUCUCACACACAAUAAUUAGGGUUUCUGGAGCUCAAGGGAUGAUAAGGAGGCUGGGGAGGGAACAUAAUGUUCUUUAUAUAGGGCUCAACCUCCGGAUUUAGGGUUUUCUCCAUUCAGCACCUACUCGCCGAGUCCAUCCUACUGACUCGCCGAGUCGGCCACUUAACACGUGACCAAGUCGCGACUCUACUCGCCGAGUCCACCCAUGGACUCGCCAAUUUCCCCUUCCAAAUUACUCUUUUAGCCCUUCAACUUUACUCUUGACAUUCCGGGAUGUUACACUCACUAACACGAUCCCCUGAAGAUGUUGGCCUAUCUUGGCUGCCCGCUCCCGAUCCUAACCUGGAUCCGGUCUCAAGACGGUCCCGAAUAAUCCAUACUAUAACAGGGAACCGACUCCCAACCAAAACCCUAGGGGUUGUGACUUCCUUGAUACACGUAUGGGUCCUGUUCUUUCAGUAGUACGGGCCCAUUCUACCUUCCCCACCUACCCAUAUUUGUCUCAAGUGUCANCACACCUACCCAUAUUUGUCUCAAGUAACACCACAACACCCUACAAUACACAUAUACAUAUCGAGCAAUAAAUCCUCACUCCUAGAGAAAUGCUAAAUAUCUCAUAACUGGCUUCCCGGCCUCUCACUACCCAACCAUCCAUGAAACUUCCACCAACCCCUACAGCACUAGUGUAUGCUAGCCAUACAUAACGUUGUACCCUAUAGACUUUCGAAUAUCCAAUCCUACCCUAAGCCCUAAUCAAUUAGAACAAAACAUAAGGCCAGAUCAAACAUUCUCAGGCUAUAAGAUAUUAAUUAUAUACAACUGUGAUGCAUACACAAGUAACUACAGUAAUGAUGUCAAUCUCAUAUAAGGAAAACCCUAGGCUAACAUGCCUCAUGUAAUCUGGCAAUUCAAUCACGUAAUUCCUGAAGAUCCCUAGCCUAUUACUAGCAUGCUAUUCUAACAUAUCACAUAAUCAAAUUACUGUAUGGUAUUUUGGGGUCUACUUACUGGCUCCGACUGAUUGUACAGUUCACAUCCUCUUUUACUUAUUUUGAAAACCAUUUUAAAAAAAUCAUUUUGAAAAUCUUUCCUUGAUUUAAGAUUGGAUUCACACAAAUGUUCAUCCAAUUCACUCAAACCAAGGCUCUGAUACCAACUAACAUCCAUAAAAUUCAAGCCAAUUUAAAACAUUUUAAAUCAUUUGAAAACAUUCAAUUAUUACAAUUUGUUUUCAAAAUAGUUUAUACAUCAUGGUUCCCAAAAAUCAUAAUCGUCAAUCGAGGAAGUGUACGGUCACGCCUUCACCUACCCGCGGGCAUCCGAUGAACAUGAAACAAUAAACUGAAACUGUAAGCCCAAAAGUUUAGUGAGUUACUGUGACAACUGUCAAAAAUCGAUUCGGUUCUAGAUUUGAAUAAACUUAGUUGCACGUAUAGGCACGACACAUACUAUACUUAGUAACUAGAAGUUAAGAUAUGACCUAUUAGAAACUUGGAAACAAUUAGAAACAAUGGAUAAUGUGCUUGGAUUUCACAUUGGUAUGUGAAUUCUACAACUACUUAACUGUAGUGACAGUCCAUAUUUGGGUCACUCUUUGACUCGAAAAACAUUUCAUGAAUCAUAUACACACAUCAUGCACUUGACCUAGAAGUAGAAGUUAGGUCAAAGUUUCAUAGAAACUUAAGUCAAAGUUGAAAUGUAGGACUAGUAUACUUGAUUCCUGAAUUUCGCUUGAAUCUUGGAAUCACUACAUAGACUGCCAAUAAACCGAUAAAAAUAAAUUACAAAUUUAUAACUAUAAAAGAUUUAUAAUACAGUAAGAUAAAUUGAAGACUCAAAGAUUCUAUUGAUUUUGAUAUCCAAAUAUUUAUUAAAUCUCAAGACCCUAAAAACCCUAAAAACUCAAAUUUAUAAACUUUAACACCUAAAAAUCCAUAAAUUUGGUAUGGACUAUAUAAUAUCAAUUUAAAAUAACUCAAUUUAGUAAAAUAUAACCAAGGAGAAAUAAAAUUUAAGUCAUUAGUAUUUAACCUUAUUUUCUAAGCCAAAAAUCAAGGUUUUGUGAAGGAAAAUUUAGAAUAAGGUGCAUAUUUUAUAAAAACUUGAUAUUUUUAUAAAAUAAAGUUGUAUUUUGUAAAAUUUAAAAGAGGGAGACCUUCUCUCCAUUAAAAAGUCGGAUCUCUCCUCUCUCUCCUCUCUCUCCACUUCCCAACACAUAAUCAAUUCACUCUACCACUCCAUCUUCUCUCUCACUCUACCCCUCAUUCUCUCUCACACUCUUUAUCACCACCACUCCAUUUCUCUCUUCAUUUCUCUAUACUCACGAAAUUUUACAGCCAACAUAUCCAAGAACACUCAAGAUACUCAAAAUCUUCAUCAUCUAGUGGUGUUCAUUAAGGUAGAACACGAUUUCCUUUCAUUUUCCUUCAAGUUUUCAUGGAUUUUCUUGCAUUUCUUUGUUCUUCUACACCAUUCUAAUGAAAGAUCAUGAACACAUAAACAUACACACAUGCAAAAUCACGGUUUUGAUGAUGGUGGUGGUAGGAUUUCACUCAAAAACAACAUGCGUGUUGUUAAUGGUGAAAUCCAAGGACCAAAACCUAAGUCAAAAUCAACAUAAUGCAUAUUUCUACAAGUUUUAGGUAAAAAUCACCACAUGCACCCUAGGUUUUCUAUCAAAAACAAUUUUUGAACAUUUCAAACUCAUGAAUGGUCUUCAAAACAACAUGCAUGUGAUGAUCUUCAAGCUUAGAUGCUUGAUGAUCAAAGUUUGUUGUUAAAAGCAUUCAAAUAUGUUAAUGAAGGAUUUAUUUCCAAAUAAAUAUUUAAAACUCAUUUUUUGACCAAACCCUAUUUUUCCCAGAUUCCCAUCAACAAAAUAAGAUGCUCUGUAAAUUUCCAGAAAAUAAUUCAUUUUCUCGAAUUAUUAUAACUAUUGCAACAAAAUAGGGCAAUAAAACAUAUAAAAUACUUUCUGAGGUCUAUCAAUCCAAGGUAAAUUCAUGGAUUACCCCUAUGCUAAUUAAUGAUUUCAGAUUAAAUUUCAUCGAUUUUUGUUACUGUUUAACAUGUUUUUGAAUUUUCUUUUUGUUUGGCUUCAAUAAAUCAUAAAACCACUUUAGAGAAGGUGAAACCGAAAUCUAACAAUUUUCGCAGCUUAUACUCUCUGUGGAAGACUUAGAAAAAUAUUUUAAAAAUUUUGAAUAAUGUAUUCCUAUUUGUCUCCUAUUUUUGUAUUUAUAAUGGACUAAAAAUAGAAAAAAUAGUUUUACUCAUCCAAAAAUUAUGAAAAUUUACCAGAACACCUUGUAGUACAUUAGGAUGCUACAUAAAAAUUUUGAUAGUUUUUCUCUUCUGUAUACUAUUUUUCUUCUAUUUUCCCAAGAUUAAAUACACUUAAACCCAAUUUUUAUUAGAAAAAAUACAAAAAAAUCAUAAAAUUGGGAUAAAUAGUUUAGAAAUUCAUUUUUAUAUUUUUCCCAGCUUAAUAAUGUUUAUAACAGUGCUUCAAAAAAAAUUUGGCAAUUUUGGAAACUAUUUUCUAUUUAUUUCAAUAUUUAUUAGAAUAAAUACUCAAAAAUCAGCAAAUUGGGUUAAAUAGUUUAGAAAUUCAUUUUUAUAUUUUUCCCAGCUUAAUCAUGUUUAAUAACAGUGUUACAAAAAUGUUGGGCAAUUUUGGAAACUGUUUUGUAUUUAUCCCCAUUUUUAUUAGAGUAACUGUAUAAAAAUCAUACAAUUGGGUUAAACAGUUGAGAAACCGAUUUGUAUAUUUUUCUUAGCUUAAGUAUGUGUAAUGAUAUUACUAUAAAACGUUUGGGGCAUUUUAUUAACUGAUUUCUAUUUUUCAUGAGUUUUUAUAUAGUUAGAGAAUUAAAUAUAUGAAAAAUGGUUAUGCAUAUACAUAAUCCACGAAAAUUUAUCUAGAAGUCUUUUAACAAAUUUAGAACCAAAAUCUGAAGUUUGGAAAUUUCUAUUAACUGUUUAGUAGUUUUCAUGAUUUUCUGGUUAAUCAAGAAACUAAUAUGGUGAAAAAUAGUUAGACAAAUCAAAAAUUCAAGAAAAUUUAUCUUGAGGCCUUUGACUUCAAUUAAAACUGAAAUGCAAAGUUGGGAAGUUUUAGAGCUUAAUUGAUUUAGUUUUGAAUAUUGAAUUAUUGGAACACCUCUUAAAAUGUUAAAUAUUAACAUUGCAAUAAUGAGAAAUUUCCACUUAAAUUGCUAUAUAACAUUUGAUUCAUUGAAAUUAAAUUUUCACAGAAAAAUGUUUGUAACUUAUCAAUAUUAAAUUUUGACACACUAUUGGCAUAAUUCUAUUGUAGUAGUAAGUAUACUAGUGUUAGAUUUCGAUUAGAGACUCACUAGCAAAUACCAUUAUUGUAGGAAUCGAUAGAGUUAUGAGUGGAGCGUAGUCAAGGCACCAUUUGCAUCAUCUCAAUGCAUAUUUUGAGUAUUCACGCACUCCCCUAUUUUCGGUCUUUUAAAUGUUUUGGGGUGGAAAAGCAUGUCCUAAACUAUUUUUAUGUUUGUUGUAUUUAUUUUGACUUGUAUGAAACUUGGUUGCUAUAUUUCAUAUGUAUGUGUAUGUUACUUUAAUUCAUGAGGAUUGUAUCACGGUUAAGUCCCUGGAAUCUCUAGACACAACUCAUUAACUCUUUUGAGCCUAUGGUUAUUAUGGAUAGCGCUAUCAGGAGGUAGACCACUCCUCACUCGCACGAUUCGCUUGAGUGCAUUUUACCAUGUUAUACACUAUGUUUGCAACACACAUAGUAGUCAAUAGGGCACGAUUCGGUCAUUAGCCUUGGGUUGUGAGCUCAUGAAUGGAAACUUGAUGCACAUACAAAUCUUUAUGCACACGUGAAACUUGUAUUCUCAUGUAAGCAACGACACUUGUAUACUUAUUUUAGCAAUGAAACUUGUAUACUUAUUUUAGCAACGAAACUUUUAUGCUUAUUAUAGCAACGAACUUUGUUUCUCAUUAUGGCAAUAAACUUUGUAUCUCGUUAUAACAACGGACUCUUAUUACUGAAAACUUAUAUACAUGUUUUAGCAAUGAAAUUGUUUGCUCAUUGUAGCAACGAAAUUGAUUGCUCAUUUUAGCAAUGAAACUUGUUUACUCGUUUGAGUAACCAACUUUAUCUUCCAUGAGAAUAUGAAUGUUGCAUCUUAUUCGGGCAACAUACUUUAUCUCUCAUGAUGACAAAGAACUUUGUUUUUACAAACUUAUUUACUCCUUUUAACAAUAUACUUUUGUUAUUGGAAACUUUUAUCAAAACUUUGAUUUCAAUUCAUGAACCAAUAUUAUUUUGUUAAACUUGUGAGUACUCACCAACUAUUUUUAUAGUUAACGCUCGUUUUACAUGCUUUUUCAGGAAUCAUCGAGUAAGUGGCACUUAGGGACACUUCACUAUUAGGAGCAUUCACAUGUGUUGUAUUCCAAUUUUCAUUGUAAUUUCUUUUAGAAGUUGUUCAAACCCAUUGUAAAUUUGUAAUGAUUUUUAAUACUAUGGUUGGUGUUAUCUUUUAACUUUUGCCAUGAAACCCUAUAUACUGCCACGCCUCGUGUUUCCGCUUUAGCGGGGUGUGACAGUUACCCCCAAAAUACCAACCUUAUAAAACGAAAAUCAUAGCAUAUCAACAUAUACAGAACAUCGAUGCAUCUCGAGUCCACAAUGUGACUGGUCCGCCCGCACCGGGCCUUCAGUCCACUUGGUCCACUCUCUGAGUCUACAAUAUGACUGGACCGCCCUCUUAGGGCCUUUAGCCUAUCCGGACUGCUCGUCGGGCCUUCGGCCUGACUAGGUGCCCUCCUGGGCCCGCAGUUUAUCCUAUCCGCCCUGGGUAUGUUGGCCUACAGCAGGAAGCAGGACCCGCCUCAACCCAACUCCCAAACAAACAACCAUGUGCACAUAUAACAAAUAAUCACAUAACAGUCCAUAGACGAAGAAACCGAUCUAGCAGAUCAUAUAGCAUAGCAACAUCCUAACAAGGAUACCGACCUAACCAGUCACUAACUUAGCAUCAUCCUAAAACCAUGAAAAUCAUGUGCACAUAGAUAUCAUAUAACACUAGCAUGUAUACAUAUAACAGUCAAACCGAUCUAACAGAUCAUAAAGCAUAGCAACAAUCCUAUAACCAGGAUAUCGACCCAACCGGGUCACUAAAGCGUAGCAUAUCACCAUCCUAACUACCAGGAUGUAAAUCAGUAAGCCUAACAUGCAAUAAUCCAAAUACAAUCCAUAAAGGGUUGGCCUUGGUGCCUUAGACCCUGUCGAUAUAGUGAGGAUAACUCACCUUCCAAUGCCGGACUGAACCACGAAAUCAUGCCCCCGAAACACUGCCCCAAACUCCAACACCUAUAACUAUCAGUGAUCCAAUCAUAAAUAACCACUUAUCGAUUAUCCUCAAAAGUCAAAACGGUCAACUCUUGGUCAAAGUCAAAGUUAACAGCCGAAGUCAACAAUCCAUGUUGACCUUACUCGCCGAGUGGACUAUAUUGACUCGUCGAGUUCUUCCAAAACUCACAGAUCCAUGAAACCCUCGUUGACUCGCCGAGUUUCCAGGCAACUCAUCGAGUUCAAACGUGUCCAAAAGUCGGGGAAAUGCCAGAAGACUCGCCAAGUCAUCUCCCAGACUCGCCAAGUUGAAUCGUAACUCAAGACUCGUAACCCUAAUGUGACUCGCCGAGUUGGGCGGCCCGAAUCGCCGAGUUUCUUCGCCCUAAUCCAUAAUCCAGCGAUUCUGAGCUAACCAAUUGUUCCAAAUUGUGGAUCCAACCUUCUUGGGCAUGCAUCUCAUGUAAAGGUGCAAACUUUAUGUGUAUGCAAGGUGAUUUGGCUCAAUACAAGCUAGGGAGAAGGCUCAUGACAAGAAUGCUCACAAACAAGCUAGAGGGCUGAUACUUUAUGAUUUCAUGGACCAAGACAAGUUAAGAUCUGAAGUUGCAACCUCAGAUGUAGACCAAAAACUCGAAAUGGAUUCUAAACAUGUUGAGUGGCCCCAAAUCUCAUCCAUGAAUAGAUCUGGAUGUAACAAGGUCAAGGUAACGACUUUUUAACUUCAAACUGAUGCCACUGAGCAGAGAAAUCGAAGCCACCAGCUCCUCUAUUGUCACAACCCCAAACCAGAAUGGCAGAAACAUUCGGGGGUAGGUAACUUCACGUAGUACCAUAACAAUUGAAUAUUGUAAAGAAAGUAACACAACCAUCAUAUAUAUAACAAAAACGUACAUUGUUUCAUAAUACAUGUUUCCAAAACAAUAUUACAAAUAUGAUAAUUUAAAAUGUUUGAUAACAGACGCCUUAGCGUUCCUUCUUCAAAAGCUAGUAGUUACCUGUAUUACUGAUUCCCUGAGAAAUACAAGUAGUUUCGAAAAAGUGUCAACAAUAAAGUUGGUGAGUUCAUAAGUGUUUUCGUAGUGAAAAAGUAUGCCUUUUUGGAAGAAAAUAGGUGAACGUAGUUUCCAAAAAACCCAAUAUUUUCCUUAUAUAGUUUGAAAAGUCCCAAAAGUUUGAGGGCGUUAGCAUCUUUCGUUCCUAAACGAUAAAGGUGAAUUAAUACUCAAAAUAAUGUAAAUACUGAAUGCAUUCAUGAGUCCUGUAACAACAUUCUUCAGGUGUUGUAGUGUUAUAAAAUUUGUCAUCCCAGACCUUCCGGUCUAACUGUAGCUAACAGUUUAGGUGCGGGAUUGUCAAUCCCGUAUAGAUCUAUACACAAGUAUCAUGCUCUCCCUCCAAUAGAUUAUGGUUUAUAAUACAGGACUUGAAAUGCGUACUUGAGUGUACGUUGAAGUAGGAUAUCUCACAGCACUUAGUAUAAAUAGAUUUACUAAAAGAAAGUCCAUAUUUCACUUCAGAUGAAAGUAUUUCGUUUUUCAAGAUGUUUACAUAAGAAUCUAUGAAUAACUCGCAAACUAUACCCAAUAUAGUUUUUCCGAAAGUGUGUUCCAUUUGGUGAAAAUAACUCGGUGAAAUACUAGCUUUUUACCUGAAGUAAAAGGUUGAUAUCGAAUAAUAAUAAUAUAGAAGUUGUAUUUAAAUCUAUAUAAAACGAUACGUCUUCUUGUAUUGUACUUGUAUUCCCCCCCCCCCCCCCCCCAAAAAAAAAAACAUGAAAAUACGUGAAAAGUAGGGAUAUGAAAUCACUUGUUCGGUUUGAAGAGAGUGAGUCUAGAAUCGAGCAGAACUUCAACUGCAGAAAGCUGCGUCUUCGAGCUUCUCGGGGAUCUCGGUAGUGUAGAGCCUUCGUCGGGGCUCAGAUAUGGAACCGAGGGUGUCAGGAUGGCCUCUGGACCUCACAAGUGAGUGAAAGUGAGAGAGAGUCUGAGAAAAGUGUGCCAAAACCCAGCGCUCAUGCCCUCUAUUUAUAGGGUUGAAAGUGGGAGUACGCUGGGCGUAAUAUCGGAGUACGAUGGGCGUACGCGUUACGUUGGGCGUACUUUGGUUACGCUAGGCAUAAGUAUGCGUCAUGGCUUACAACUUGGGUCUAACUAUUUAUUGGAGGCAGAUCUUAGGUCAGUUGGCCAUAGUAAACUUCGAGGACGAAGUUUAGUUUAAGUGGGGAAGAGUUGUAACACCCAAAAUCAGAAAGGCCAAGAGAGGAAUGGAAAACACUAAGUCAGAUGGGGCAACUCGUCGAGUCCAAGGAGGAAGUCGACGAGUCCAGCGGGAUCCGGGUCGAGGAGUAAGUGGCCGACUCGGCGAGCUGGAGAAUGGACUCGGCGAGUCCGGUCUGAAGAGAGAAACCCUAAAUCCGGGACAUUGUGCAGUAUUUAAAUGUCUCAUUCUAUUCUUAGGGUUCCUUUACAGCUCCUCUCAUCCAGAACACCGAACCCUAAGCCCUAUUAUUGCUCAUUCAAGCUUCCAAGCCAUUUUUGGGUGAUUCGAAGGAAGAAGGAAGAGGAAAUCAUUGAAGCUACAAGGAUUGGCCUUAGAUCUAGAGUUUGUGGAACCUUUCAGAGUUAUUGAAGGUACUAAGUCGUUUCCUUCAUUUGGAUCUAUUCUAGUUAUGAGUUUUGGGGCUUUUAAGCCAUGUUUAGAUAUCCAUUUGAGUUAGACACCAGAUUUGAAGUUGGUACUUCGGAUCUAAACACAUUUUGGCCUUGUGAAGCAUAAAGCAACUGCCCUUGAGUUGAUUAUAGAGCCUCCUUGCCUUAAACCCUAGUUUAUGGUGUGUUUAGCCUAGAUCUCCUUCUCUACACGUAAAGUUUGCAACUUUACGUGAGGAAGAGGCUUGGGAUGGGUAGAUCUACAGUUUGGAGUCCUAGCAUGACUCAAAAGUCCUCUGUAUGUAUGAAGAACUAAAUGGACUCGGCGAGUCCUUUGAGUGGACUCGGCGAUUAGCAUGAAGAUUGCCUUGGACCGACGAGUCGGUUCUUGGACUCGGCGAGUCUGGUUGCGAAACCCCGAACCCUUUGAGUUAAGACUCGAAUCAGUCAGUCGGGUGGAGACUCAGUAAGUUGGACAGGAUAGGACAUGGAAAUCGGUGGGCUCGACGCGUCAUGGGCUGACUCGGCGAGUCAAGUCGCGAAUAGAAGGACUCUGAGCAUAUAAACUCGACGAGUCAGUAAGUAGACUCGGCGAGUAGGGUUGACCUGGAAGGUUGACCUUGACCAGGACUUUGACUUUGACAAGAGUUGACUUGGUUGACUUUUGAGAGGUCGGUUAGGCUAAGUGUUAUAUUGAUAUUGGUAGCUCGGGGAGCUAGCGGAGCCGCGGUUCAGAGAAUUGUGGGUCAGCAUCCAGAAGGUUAUCAGCAAGUUCAGCAGUUCGAGGUGAGUUUCCCUUUUGUGUGGAUGGGUCUACGACCACAAUGCCGGCCCAUGUAGUUAUGAGUAGGAAGACCCGGGGGUUAGCCCUAGGCCCAAUAUGUUAGUAUGAUAUUCAGUCCAAUGUUAGAGGGUGGGUGCCCAAGGAAUAGUUUGCAUGAUAGUUAUACUUGUUGUCUGUGUAAUACAUGUAUGUGCCUGGUAGGGAGGUGAGUGUGGGCGAGGUCCCGUAUCUCACCAACAGCAAAGUAUGGACAGUGUUCUAUAUCUCAUUAGUAGCAGAGUAGGGGCAAGGCCCAGGUUAGGGAAAGGGUGAGUAUGGGUCGAGCCCGUAUCUCACUAUCAGUAGGAGCGUAGACGGGGUUCCAUGAAUCAUCAGUUGCAGGACAUGGGCGAAGCCUAAGAAAGGCGAGGCCUUAGAGCAGGAUUGGUAGUAUAUGUUUAGCUUAUGUGUUGUGAUAUGUUUAUGUGUUAGUAUAUGUCAGCGGGCGAGGCCCAGUGACAGGCGAGGCCUAAGUGAAACAGAUCUGUAUCCGAGCGAGGCUCGAAGCCAGGCGGGGCCUGGAGCGGCGGGGCCGUUAUAGCGGGCGAUGCCCGAGGCCCAUAAUAGCGGGCGUGGCCCAGUAUGUGCAGUAUGUGUUUAUGCAUGGAAUGUGGUAGGUUGGGGGAAACUCACUAAGCUUCAUGCUUACAGUUUUCAGUUUUGGUUUCAGGUACUUCCGUUAGCAGAGGGAAGAGCUCGGGGUGAUCGCAUGGCACACACCAUAGAUUAGACAGCCGGGAUGUUUUACUUUGAUAAUGAAUAUAUGUUUUGGAAAUUUAUACUCUGAUUAUGUUAUGGAUUGAUAAUUAGGUUUUAAGUAAUGUUUUAUAAAUGAAAUUUUUAGCCUUAUAUUUGGGACGUUACAAGCUAAGCGUGGAGCCUGCUAGCCGAUGUGACUCGACACUGCGCCUGAGUACGUUGGGCGUACUCUUAAAUUACGCUGGGCGUAAUUUGGGCUUCAAUCUUCUAAACUCCGUAACUUUCGCGUACGUGCUCCGUUUUUCGCGUUCUUUAUCUCCACGCGUUGGUGAGACUAUGCUCUACAACUUUCAUUUAGACUCUGUCGGCUAGUUUUGACUUUAUUUUUAAUAUUAUGUUUUUAGUAGGCCAAGACUGCUAAAGUCUGUUAAAAAUUCAUAACUUCUUUAUCCGACGUCCGAUUUCAUCUGUCUUUUCACCAUCUUACUCCUGUUGUGGAGACCUUCAAUUCUCGUUUAGGUUGCGUUAGCUAAAAACUAUUCGAUCUUUAAUUCGACUUUUUAGCUCUCUACUGCUGUUACGAAAUUUAGAAAUUUCGUAACUUCUUCAUACGAGGUCCAAUUUGGGCGAUCUUUUUAUACACGUUCACGGUUUAACGUAAUCUACGACUUUUGUUUAGAUACCUAAGGCUAAAAUGCAUUUUAUUGGAAAUUCACUUUUUAUGUUUAAUAAUGUUUUACCAGGUGUGUCGUGAAUAUUUGAGUGGUCAUAAUCUUUUCAUUAUAACCCGGUUUUGAACGUUCUUUAUGUUUUUGGAAACCUUGGCACGAUAUCUAACAUUUGAUGCAUCCCAAAUUUAGAUUUUUGAGCACUUUAUUUUCAAGGUUAAUUUCGUUGAUUCUAAAUAGUUCGUUGUAUUUGACUUUUGAGUGUUAAAUUGGUUUGGAAAAAUAUAGGGUUGUCACAUCAUCCCCCCAUUAGAGGGAAUUUCGUCCCGAAAUUUAAUCUAAGGCAGAGUUUACGGGUUAGGAAAAAGAUGCGGGUACUUUUGUUUCAUCUAAUCCUUGUGUUCUCAGGUGUAUUUAGGUCCUCGCUUGGCAUUCCAGCGGACCUUUAUAAUAGGUAUGCGACUUUGUUUAGUUCUUUUAAUUUCCUGAUCCAUGAUCUUUACUGGUUCUUCUACGAAUUGGAGAUUCUCAUUUAUUGCAAUUUUGUCCAGAGGGACGAUGAGGGUCUCAUCGGACAAGCACUUCUUUAGGUUUGAUACGUGAAAGGUAAGGUGUACGUUGUGGAGUUCCUGAGGUAAUCGAAGCUUGUAAGCCACCGGACCAAUCCUAGCAAGGAUCUCGAAGGGUCCGAUGUACCUUGGGUUCAGUUUCCCACGCUUUCCAAAAUGUAUUAAUCCCUUCCAGGGAGACACUUUUAGUAGGACACGGUCUCCAACAUGGAAUUCCAAGGUUUCCGUCUUUUAUCCGCAUAACUCUUUUGUCUGACCCUUAAAGCCUUCAGUCGUUCCAGGAUCUGAACAAUCUUCUCCGUGGUUUCUCUUAUGAUUUCUGGCCAAGUGAGAGUGUUGUCCAUUGCUUGUCCUCUUUCUAGUUGCGUGUUACCCACUUCAGCCCAGCACAGAGGUGAUCUGUACUUACGGCCGUAGAGGGCUUCGAACGGGGCAGCUUUGAUGCUAUUGUGGUAGCUAUUGUUGUACGAAAACUCGACCAAUGGUAAAUGGGUGUCCCAUGCUUUUCCAAAAUCGAUUACACAAGCUCUCAGCAUAUCUUCUAGGGUUUGUAUGGUUCUAUCACUCUGGCCAUCGGUUUGUGGGUGAUACGCGGUACUCAUGUCUAGUCUCGUUCCUAGAGAUCCUUGCAGCGACUGCCAGAACCUUGAGGUGUAUCUACUAUCUCGGACCGAGAUAAUGGAUAUUGGCAUACCAUGAAAUCGUACAAUCUCCCUGAGGUAAGUUCUAGUUAGCUUCUCCAACUUAUCUGUUUCUUUGAUUGGUAGGAAGUGCGCGGAUUUAGUUAAUCUGUCGACGAUCACCCAGAUGGUGUCGAUUCUACUUGUCGUGUUGGGUAACUUGGUUAUGAAAUCCAUGGUUAUUCGCUCCCACUUCCAUUCUGCUAUUUCUGGUUGUUGUAACAAUCCCGAGGAUUUUUGGUAUUCCACCAUGACUUUGGCGCACGUCAGACAUUUGCUCACGUAGGUAGCAAUUUCGGCAUUCAUGUUCGGCCACCAAUAUAGUUUCUUGAGGUCCAAAUACAUCUUAUCAGAGCCGGUAUGUAUAGAGUAUCGUGUCUUGUGGGCUUCGUUCAUGACGACUUCUCUGAACCCGCCAAACUUCGGUGUCCAGAUCCGAUCCAUGAAGUAACGAACUCCAUCAUUCUUGACUUCAAGAUUCUUAUCCAAUCCCCUUAAGGCUUCCCCCGUCACAUUUUCGGAUUUCAAGGCUUCUAUUUGGGCUUCCUUGAUUUACAUAGACAGGUGUGAAUGGAUUAUCAUAGUUAGAGACUUCACUCAGCGGCCCGAGUACUCCUUUCGGCAGAGUGCAUCAGCCACAACGUUAGCCUUUCCGGGAUGAUAUCGAAUUUCGCAUUUGCAAUCGUUUAGUAGUUCUACCCAUCGUCUUUGUCUCAUGUUGAGUUCCUUCUGGUUGAGGAUAUGCUGGAGGCUUUUAUGAUCGGUGAAGAUUAUACAUUUCAUGUCGUAGAGAUAGUGCCUCCAUAUCUUUAGAGCAAAAACGACUGCUCCUAGCUCAAGAUCGUGUGUCGUGUAGUUUACUUCGUGUGUCUUUAGUUGUCUUGAGGCGUAGGCGAUGACUUUCCCUCGCUGCAUCAGAACACACCCACGUCCUUGGUUUGACGCAUCACAAUAGACCACGAAGUCUUCUAUUCCUUCUGGUAAGGUUAAGAUGGGCGUACUACAUAAAGCUCGCUUUAGUGUUCGAAAUGCGAUGUCUUGUUUUUCUCCCCAGUCGAAGAUCACACGCUUUUGAGUUAAGGUGGUAAGCGCCUUAGCAAUCUUCGAGAAGUUUUGUAUGAACCUUCGGUAGUACCCGGCGAGUCCCAAGAAUUGUCGGAUUUCUGUUGGGUUCCAUGGAGUCGUCCAAUUCUCUAUUGCUUUGAUCUUGGAAGGAUCCACGUGUAUCCCCUCUUUGCUUAGUACAUGACCUAGGAAAUCUACUUCCCGAAUCCAAAAUUCGCACUUUGAAAAUUUUACGUAUAGUUUCGCUGUCCUCAAUGUUUCCAAAACUUGGCGGAGGUGUUGGCUGUGUUCUUCCUUGCUUCUUGAAUAAAUGAGUAUAUCAUCUAUGAACACGAUCACAAAUUUAUCCAGGAAGGGAAAACAUACUCGGUUCAUCAAGUCCAUGAACACCGCUGGUGCAUUUGUCAAUCCAAAGGGCAUCACUACAAACUCGUAGUGACCAUAGCGUGUUCGGAAUGCCGUUUUGGGGAUGUCUCCUUCCAGCACUCGCAGUUGGUGAUAACUAGAUCUUAGAUCGAUCUUUGAGAAGUAGCUUGCUCCUUGUAGUUGAUCGAACAAAUCGUCUAUGCGCGGUAGGGGAUAUCGGUUCUUGAUUGUGAGGUUGUUCAGUUCCCGGUAAUCGAUGCACAUGCGAAAAGAUCCGUCCUUCUUCUUUACGAAUAGGACCGGUGCUCCCCAUGGUGAGAAGCUCGGUCUGAUGAAACCUUUCCUCAGCAGCUCGUUUAGUUGACUGGACAGUUCCUGCAUCUCGGCUGGGGCUAGACGGUACGACGAUUUUGCUACUGGGGUGGCUACGGGAAUUAAGUCGAUCCUGAAUUCGACUUGGCGUUCUGGUGGGAUUCCUGGAAGAUCUUCUGGGAAGAUGUCUGGGAAGUUGCAGACUUCCGGAAUGUCUUUAAUGUCCUUCGAUUCACGUUUCUUGUCUACCACAUGGGCUAGAAAGGCAUGAUAUUCCAUGCGAAUAAAUUUUUGUGCUUUGACGCAGGAGAUGAUUUGUAAAUUUGUAUUGGGUUUGUCACCAUAAAUGACAAGAGUUUUGUUGUUUGGCAGAUUGAGGCGAACAACCCUUUCGUGACAAAGUACAUCAGCAUGGUGAAGGCUUAACCAGUCCAUACCGAUGAUGACAUCAAAACUUCUUAUUGAAAUUGGCAUAAGAUCGAUUUGAAACAAGUGCUCGUUUAAAUUUAAUUUACAUCCUAUGUACAUAUCGCUUGUGCUUUCCGUUUUACCGUUUGCCAUUUCUACAAUGAAUAUUUUAUUGAGUGGUUGGGGUUUUUGAUUAAGUAGGUGUUUGAAUUUAUGACUCACAAAACUUCUCUCCGCUCUGCAGUCAAAGAGUAUGCAUGCAUAAAUGUUGUCGAGGAGAAACGUACCCGUAACCACCGUGGGGUCAGCUAUUGCUUCAUUCUGUCCUAUCGCCAACACUCUUCCUACACCACCAGUAUUCCUUGCCUUGGGGCAAUCACUCUUGAAGUGCCCAGUUUCUCCUCACCCAUAACAUGCCUGGCUUACCCCAGUACCAGAAACUUGAGUGAUUGGUCACGCCGGUGCCUUACAGAAACAGGCAGUGUGCCCUUUCCUGUCGUAGUUUUUACAGUGCAUUUCUCGGCAAUUACCGUGGUAAUGGUAAUUUCAUUUGUUGCACUUUGGCAGCUUCCCAACAUAUUGCUUCGUUGGUGCAGGUGUAGCAGGAGUUGUAGUGGAGGUAGUAGCAACAUGGACCACCACCAUCUGUUUCUUUGAAGGUUCUUGCGAAGUUUGACCUUUUCUCUUGUUCCAGAACUUCUUCUUGUUGUUGUUGUUGGCAUUAUUGUCGUUGUUGUUGCUUCCUUUUGUUGGUUCAGUGACGACGGCUGUGACACUUUGACAGACCCCAUGAUCAACGAGAGAUUGUGCCAGUUCCUUGGUGCUGUCGAACGUUGUGGGGUUGGAGGCUAGCACACUCCCUCGAAGCUGGAGUGAUAGUCCCCAGAUAUACCUUUCCACCUUUUGGCUUUCCAGAAUCAUCAUUCCUGGGCACAGUAUUAUCAAUUCACUGAAUCUGUUUGUAUAGCCUACGAUGUCCAAGCCUACCAUCUUAAGGCCCCAUAGCUCCUGUUCGAGCUUCUGAAUCUCGCCUCUUGGGCAGUACUCUCGUAGAAGCAUUCAUUUCAGGUUUUCCCAACCCAUGGAGUUUGCCACUACCAGGGUUAGUGUCUUGACAUGGCCGUUCCACCACGUUAGGGCUCGUUCGUAGAAAGUACAGGCGGCAAAUUUUACUUUGCUUUCUUCGGGGCACGCACAUAUUUCGAAAACAGCUUCCGUUUUCUCUAUCCAUUAGGAUAGAGCCAUCAUGCCCCCAAUCCCAUUAAAGGGAAUGGAUUUGCCGAUGGUUAAGUCUUUAUAAGUACAUUCCCCAGAACGGCCUUGGCUUUGGCCAUUUGUAAAGCUAUUUAUUCCUUCCUGACCUAUUGUUACUUAUUUGUGCCAUCGCUGCGGUUACAGCGGUUGUUACAGCAGCUUGGAACAUAGUUGCAUCCAUAGUUGGAGGGGGUGGUGGAGGUGGUGUUGGAGCUGAGUUUCUGUGUGAUGAUCUAUGGGGAGGCAUGUUCUGGUAGAGAAAUAACAAUGAAGACUAUAAGUUUUUAAUGAUUUGACAAUCAUGCACUAGAGGGUUAGUUAUAUCUUGUAAUUUUUUUUGACUUUAGUUAAUGGUUUCGAAGUAGAUAUAGCAAGUUAGAUAAUCCGAUGAAUUUUGAGAGUUAUGUAAAGAAAUACUUCAUAUAUAUAUAUAUAUAUAUAUAUAUAUAUAUAUNNNNNNNNNNNNNNNNNNNNNNNNNNNNNNNNNUAUAUAUAUAUAUAUAUAUAUGUCAUACAUAAGGUGCAUUACAUUUUUCUUUGUGGUUAGGAAAAUUUGACCUAUCUAAAGGUCUCCGAUUACAAGUUCAAAGAAGGUAAGAAAAACUUUAUCCGAGGUCCUAUUCUAUAUCAAAAUUUUUGGGGUUGGGCAAGUCCUACUUGCGGCGUGUUGUGCGUUUGGAGCUAGACUCUGCAUCCGAUUGUUUGACUCCCAUUAAACGCCUCUCAAAGACCGCUUGUUGUUUCUUCAUCUCUCUUAUUUCUGAAAGUGCUGCCUCCAUUUGGCUUUGAAGGGUCCCUGUGUGGAGUUGGGUAUCUUCGUGUAGUCCAUCCAGACAACGGAUGUCUGCGGCGUUACCCUAUGCAGCAGCAUUGAUUUCACGAAUUUAGGCCGCUUGAAUUCCCGACUGGUAGGUCUAGGUGGCUAUUUUUCCCACAAGAACGGGAAGCGCUCGAUCGGCUGAACCUCCACCACUGACGUCGUAGAACUCCCGACACAUGCCAAAGGGAGGGCGUACACCCAGCAGCUGGCUCCAAUGGUAGAGAUGGCUUCCCCAAAUGGGAGUGGGACCUUGGUAGCCCAUUCUAAUUACGGGAGAACGGGGAUUUGGUAGGUCGAUUACUUCCGGUUCGGAGUCUGUUCCAUCCGUACCUUCCUCUUCUUCCUCCAUAGGCUCCUCUUCGUCUUUGACUUACUCUUCGACUUCGAAUUCCUCUUCGACUUCCUCUUCAGUUUCCUCUGGGUCUUCUUCCGGAUCUUCUUCUAUCCAUCCACCGUUACCUUGGUCCGGGUUGUAGGGAUCUCCCGGUAUAUGGAAUCCGGCCAUUUUGUCUGUACUAGAAUAGAGGUAUGAGAAUUUUAUGAGAAAAGAAAUUCUAUUUGACGGCAUCCUAAGUUUAACCAAAUCUUGAGGUGUGCAUGAUUUUUAUUGUCCUUAUAUUUCUUUAUAAAAUACUCCUAUAGUAUUUCGAAUUUGCAAGUUUAGUAUUUUUAUUUGGUAAGUUUUUGACUUGUUGUCCACUACGACCAUUCCUCGACGUAUGUUGGUCAAAUCCAGGAUAAAUACAGUUGAUCAGCCUAUAUUUAUUCUCGAUUUGAUUACAUACCCCGAGGCCCAGUCGUAGUGUCGUAACUUGCCUUAAUACUUUUUAGGAAAACUUUUGAUAUGAUACGAGACCAGUGCAUGCGUGAAAAAUAUUAUUUAUGAAAACGUUUUGUCAGAGGGUUUUUGGCCCCUUUUGCAUUUAUAGUUUGUAUAUCUUAUGUGGUUCGAUAUACUUAGUUCACUAUAAACAAUGCUCUGAUACCAAUCUGUCACACCCCCAAACCAGAAUGGCGGAAACAUUCGGGGGUGGGUGACUUCACGUAGUACCAUAACAAUUGAAUAUUGUAAAGAAAGUAACACAACCAUCAUAUAUAUAACAAAAAAUGACAUUGUUGCGUAAUACAUGUUUCCAAAACAAUAUUACAAAUAUGAUGAUUUAAAAUGUUUGAUAAUAGACGCCUUAGCGUUCCUUCUUCAAAAGCUGGUUGUUACAUGUAUUACUGAUUUCCUGAGAAAUACAAGUAGUUUCGAAAAAGUGUCAACAAUAAAGUUGGUGACUUCAUAAGUGUUUUCGUACUGAAAAAGUAUACCUUUUUGGAAGAAAAUAGGUGAACAUAGUUUCCAGAAAAUCCAAUAUUUUCCUUAUAUAGUUUGAAAAGUCCCAAAAGUUUGAGGGAGUUAGCAUCUUUCGUUCCCUAAAUGAUAAAGGUGAAUUAAUACUCAAGAUAAUGUAAAUACUGAAUGCAUUCAUGAGUCUUGUAAAUCAAGUUUAUUUUUAUACUUCCGUGUGAGUCUUAUAACCAUGCUAUUGACAAAGACUUCCUGUAACAACAUUCUUCAGGUGUUGUAGUGUUAUGAUAUUUGUCACCCUAGACCUGUCGGUCUAACUGUAGCUAACAGUUUAGGUGCGGGGUUGUCAACCCCGUAUAGAUCUAUACACAAGUAUCAUACUCUCCCUCCAAGAGAUUAUGGUUUAUAAUAUAGGACUUGAAAUGCGUACUUGAGAGUACGUUGAAGUUGGAUAUCUCACAACACUUAGUAUAAAUAGAUUUACGAAAAGAAAGUCCAUAUAUCACUUCAGAUGAAAGUAUUUCGUUUUUCAAGAUGUUUACGUAAGAAUGUAUGAAUAACUCGCAAACUUUACCCAUUAUAGUUUUUCUGAAAGUGUGUUCCAUUUGGUGAAAAUAACUCGGUGAAAUACUAGCUUUUUAGGUAAAGUAAAAGGUUGAUAUCGAAUAAUAAUAAUAAUAUAGAAGAUGUAUUUAAAUCUAUAUAAAACGAUAUGUUUUCUUGUAUUGUACUUGUAUCCCCCCCCCCCAAAACAUGAAAAGACGUGAAAAGUAGGGUACGAACUCACUUGUUCGGUUUGAAGAGAGUGAGACUAGAAUCGAGCAGAACUUCAACUGCGGAAAGUUGCGUCUUCGAGCUUCUCAGGGAUCUCGGUAGCAUAGAACCUUCUUCGGGGCUCGGGUAUGGAACCGAGGGUGUCGGGAUGGCCUCUGGAGCUCACAACUGAGUGAAAGUGAGAGAGAGUUUGAGAAAAGUGUGCCAAAACCCAGAGCUCAUGCCCUCUAUUUAUAGGGUUGAAAAUGGGAGUACGCUGGGCGUACGCGUUACGCUGAGCGUAUGUGACAACCCUAUAUUUUUCCAAAAGCAAUGUAACACUCAAAAGUCAAAUACAACGAAAACUAUUUAGAAUCAACGAAAUUAACCUCAAAAAUAAAGUGUUCAAAUAUCUAAAUUGGGAUGCAUCAAAUGUUAGAUAUCGUGCCAAGGUUUCCAAAAACAUAAAGAACAUUCGAAACCGGGUUAUAUUGAAGAAACUAUAACCACUCAAAUAUUUACGACACACCCGGUAAAACACUAUUUAACGUAAAAAGGUGAAAUUACAAUAAAAUGCAUUUUAGCCUUAAGUAUCUAAACAAAAGUUGUAGAGUUCGUUAAACUAUAAACGUACAUAAAAAGAUCGCCCAAAUUGGACGUCGUAUGAAGAAGUUACGAAUUUUCUAAAUUUCGUAACAGCAGUAGAGGGCUAAAAACUCGAAUUGAAGAUCGAGCGAUAUUUAGCUAAUGCAACCUAAACGAAAGUUGAAGGUCUCCACAAUAGGAGAAAGAUGAUAAAAACACAAACGAAAACCGACGUCGAAUAAAGAAACUAUGAAUUUUUAACAGACUUUAGUAGUCCUGGCCUAUUAAAAAUAUAGCAUUCAAAAUAAAGUCAAAACUAUCCGACGGAGUCUAAAUGAAAGUUGUAGAGCAUAAUCUCGCCUACGCGUGGAUAUAAAGAACGCGAAAAACGGAGCGCGUACGCGAAAGUUAUGGAAUUUAGAAGAUGGAAGCCAGGAUUACGCCCAACGUAAUGUAGGAGUACGCCUAGCGUACUCAGGUGCAGGGUCGAGUCCCAUCGGCUUGCAGCUCUACGCCUAGCUAGACACGAGUCGUAAGCCAUGAUGCAAAGUUACGCCCAGCGUACUCUGGUGGUACGCCCGGCGUACUCGAAUCUUCAGCCCUAUAAAUAGAAGGCAUAAGCUCCAGAUUUUAGCACACAUUUCUCAAACAAUCACUUACUCUCACACACUUUCCAGCACCAGAGGCCGUCCCGACACCCUCGAUUUCCGCACAUGAGCCCCCGACGAAGGUUCUACGCUACCGAGAUCCCCGAGAAGCUCGAAGACGCAGGUUUUCGCGGUUGAAGUUCUGCUCAACUCUAGUCCCACUCUCUUCAAACCAAACAAGUGUGUCCAUACCCCUACUUUACAAGUCUUUUCAUGUUUUAGGGGGGGAAUACAAGUAUAAUACAUGAAAACGUAUCGUUUUAUAUAAACUUAAAUGCAACAACUAUCUUUACGUAUAAAGUUAGUAUAUCACCAAGUUAUUUUCACCAAAUGGAACAUACUUUCUGAAAAACUAUAAUGGGUAUAGUUUGCGAGUUAUUCGUACAUUCUUACGUAUACAUCAUGAAAAAAAAUACUUUCAUCUAAAGUGAAACAAAGACCUUCGUAUCGUAAAUCUAUUUAUACUAAGUAAUGUGAGAUAUUCAAACUUCAACGUACUCUUAUGUAUGCAUUUCAAGUCCUGUAUUAUAAGCCAUAAUCUCUUGGAGGGAGAGCAUGAUUCUUGUGUAUAGAUCUAUACGGGAUUGACAACCCCGCACCUAAACUAUUAGCUACAGUUAGACCGGCAGGUCUAGGGUGACAAAUGUCAUAACACUACAACACCUGAAGAAUGUUGUUACAGGCUGUCUGUGUCAAUAGUAUGGUUAUAAGACUCAUACGAAAGUAUAAAAACAAGCUUGAUUUACGAGAUUUAUACAUGCAUUCAGUAUUUACAUUAUUUUGAGUACAAACUUAUCUUUAUCAUUCAAUUACGAAAGAUACUAACGCCCUCCAACUUUGGGAACUUUUCAAACUAUAUAUGGAAAAUAUUGGAUUUUCUGAAAACCACGUUCAUCGAUUUUCUACCAAAAAGACAUACUUUUCAAUACAAAACACGUAUGAACUCACCAACUUUAUUGUUGACACUUUUUCGAAACCACUUGUAUUUCUCAGGGAAUCAGUAAUACAGGUAACUACCAGCUUUUGAAGAAGGAACGCUAAGGACGUUUAUUAUUAAACAUUUUACAUCAUCAUAUUGUAAUAUUCUUUUGGAAACAUGUAUAACACAACAAUGUACGUUUUUAUUAUAUAUAUGAUGGUUGUGUUACUUUCUUUACAAUAUUCAAUUGUUAUGGUACUACGUGAAGUCAUCCACCCCCNGUGUUUCCACCAUUCUGGUUUGGGGGUGUGACAGAUUGGUAUCAGAGCAUUGUUUAUAGUGAACUAAGUAUAUCGAACCACAUAAGAUACACAAAGUAAAAAUGCAAAGGGUACCAAAAACCCUCUAACAAAACGUUUUCAUAAACAAUAUAUUUUCUUUUAAAAUAUACAUUUUUAUACACAAGCAUCGGUCUCGUAUCAUAACAAGGUUUUCUAAAAUGUAUUAAGGCGAUUAGCGACGCUAUGAUUGGGCCUCGAGGUAUGUAAUCAAAUCGAGAAUAAAUAUAGCCUGAUCAACUAUAUUUAUCCUGGAUUUGACCAAUGUACGUCGAGGAAUGGUCAUAGUGGACAACAAGUCAAAAACUUACCAAAUAAAAUUUUUAGACUCGCAAAUUUGAAAUACUAUAGGAGUAUUGUUAUAAAAUAAUAAGACAAUGAAAAACUUGCACACCAUAAGAUAUAGUUAAACUUAGGAUGCCGUUAAAUAGAAAUUUCCUUUCUUAUAAAAUUCUCAUACCUCUAUCCUAGUACAGACAAAUGGCCGGAUUCCAUUUACCGGGAGAUCCUUACUACCCAAACCAAGGCAACGGCGGAUGGAUAGAAGAAGACCCGGAAAAAGACCCGGAGGAAAUCGAAGAAGAAGUCGAAGUUGAAGUCGGAGAGGAAUUCGAAGUCGACGAGGAGGUCGAGGAGGAAGAAGAAGCUACCGAUGGAACAGACUCUGAGCGGGAAGUAAUCAACCCUCCUGCUCCCUGUCAUCCCUAAGUCCGAAUAGGUUACCAACCUCCCAUUCCCAUUUGGGGAAGCCACCUCUACUAUUGGAGCCGUCAACAAGGUGUACGCCCUCCCUUCGGCAUGUGUCGGGAGUUUUACAAUGUCAGUGGUGGAGGCUCAGCCGAUCGAGUGCUUCCCGUCCUUGUGGGCCAAAUAGCCACCCAGACCUACCAGUCAGACAAGCAAGCGGCCAGAAUCCGUGAGGUCAAUGCUGCUGCACAGGGUAACGCCGCAGACAUCCGUCGUCUGGACGGACUACACGAAAGUACGCAACUCCACACAGGGACGCUUCAGAAGCAAAUGGUGACAGCACUGGUAGAAAUAAGAGAGAUGAAGGAACAACAAGCAGUUCUUGAAAGGCGCCUAAUGGGAGUCAAGCAGUCGGAUGCCGAGUCUAGCUCCAAACGCACAAUACACCGCAAGUAGAACUUGCUCAACUCCAACAAUUUUGAUAUAGAAUAGGACCUCGGAUAAAGUUUUACUUAUUUCCUUUGAACUUGUAAUCGGAGACCUCUAGAUAGGUCAAGUUUUCCUAAACACGAAGCAUGAUGUAACGCACCGUAUGUGUGACAUAUAUAUAAAUAUGAAGUACUUCUUUACAUACCUCUCAAAACUUAUGGGAUUAUCUAAAUUGUUAUAUCUACUUUGAAAGCAAAAACUAAAGUCAAAACAAAUUACAAGAUACAACUAACCCUCUAGUACACGAUUGUCAAAUCAUUAGAAACUUAUAGUGUUCAUUAUUAUUUCUCUACCAGAAUAUGCCUCCUUGUAGGUCAGCACGCAGAAACUUGGCUCCAACACCACCUCUACCGCCCCCUCCAACUAUGGAUGCAGCUAUGUUCCAAAUUGUUGUAACAGCCGCUGUAACCGCAGCGGUGGUUCAAAUGAGCAACAACGGGUCAGGAGGAGGAAUAAACAGCUUUACAAAUGGCCAAAGCCAAGGCCGUUCCGGGGUAUGUACUUACAAAGAAUUCACCAACAGAAAACCUAUUCCCUUUUAUGGGACUGGGGGAGUGAUGGCUCUAUCCCAAUGGAUAGAGAAAACGGAAGUUGUAUUCGAAAUUGCGCUUGCCCGAAAGAAAGCAAAGUAAAAUUUGCCGCUUUUACUUUCUGCGAAAGAGCCCUAACGUGGUGGAACGGCCACGUCAAGGCACUAACCCUAGUGGUGGCGAACUACAUGGGUUGGGAAAACCUGAAACGAAUGCUCCUACAAAAGUACUGCCCAUGAGGCGAGAUUCAGAAGCUCGAACAGUAACUAUGGGGCCUUACGAUGGUAGGAUCGGACAUCGUAGGCUAUACCAACAAAUUCAGUGACUAGAUAAUACUUUGCCCAGGGAUGUUGGUCCUGGAAAACCAAAAGGUGGAGAGGUACAUCUGGGGACUAUCACCCCAACUUUGAGGGAGUGUGUUAGCCUCCAAACCCAUGACCUUCGACAGCGCCAAGGAACUGGCGCAAUCUCUCGUUGAUCAUGGUGUCUGUCAAGGCGUCACGGCAAUCGUCGCUGAACCAACCAAAGGGAACAAUAACAACGAUAACAAUGCCAACAACAACAGCAAGAAGAAAUUCUGGAACAAGAGAAAGGGGCAAACUUUGCUAGAACCUUCAAAGAAACAAAUGGUGGCGGUUCAUGCCACUACUGCUCCCACUACAACUGCUGCUACCCCUGCGCCAACAGAACAAUAUGUUGGGAACCUGCCAAAGUGCAGCAAAUGCAACUACCAUCACCACGGUAAUUGCCGUGAAAUGCACUGUUAAAACUGCGACAGGAAAGGGCACACUACUCGUUUCUGUAAGGCACCGGCGCGACCAAUCACUCAAGUUCCUUCCUGGUAUUGGGAUAAGCCAGGCAUGUUAUGGGUGUGGAGAAACUAGGCACUUCAAGAGGGAUUGCCCCAAGGCAAAGAAUGUUGGCAGCGUCGGGAGAGUGCUGGCGAUAGGUCAAAAUGAAGCAAUAGCUGACCCCACGGUGGUUAUGGGUACGUUUCUCCUCGAAAACAUUUAUGCAUGCAUACUCUUUGACUGCAGUGUGGAGAGAAGUUUUGUGAGUCAUAAAUUCAAACUCCUACUUAAUCAAAAACCCCAACCACUCAAUAACAUAUUCACUGUAGAAAUGGAAAACGGUAAAAACGGAAAGCGCAAGCGAUAUGUGUUGGGUUUUGAGCAAUCUAACACUUCCUAAGUGUGCAUGCAACCCUAAUAAACCUUGGAUCUAUGUUUGUCUAAAUACAUGCAAAAUAAUAAUUUUCCAAGGUUUAUAAGCUAUCUAACAUGGCAUGGGGAACAUUUCAACAUAAAAGAGUUAGAAGAGAUUACAUACCUUUGUUGUGUUGGGUUCUUAGGAGUUUGAGGGCCAAGCACCAAUAGUGUGAAUGCCUCAAAUGGAAUCACAAACACCACAAACUCUUGGAAAACUUUGAGAGAGUAUACACACUCUUGUAUUUUCGGCCACACACAUGCACACACACACUAGAACACUAGCUUUCUCUUAGGCUAUCUUAGGCACUUUUUCAUGCUCCAUAAGCAUGCUUAUAUAGUAUGCAUGGUUAGGGUGAAACCCUAAUAACCCAUGUCUUUUCCUAUUCCAAGGAUCCAUGGGUUAAAAGCUCCAUGGAUCAUCCAUGGACUUCCACAUAAGCCUAGCCCAUUAACAAAUGAGUAUUAGCCCACACUAUAUAAAACAAAUAGCCCAUAAUUUAAUUAGUAUUCCUUUUAAUCUCUAAAUUAAUCCAUAAUUAAUUUAAGACUAAAACUAAUUAAAUAACGUAACUUCAUAUUAAUAUAUUAUAACUCAUAAUAUAUUAAUAAACAUAUGUGUAUAACUCUCAUAAAAUUAUCCAUAAUAGUUUGGAUGAGAUGCAACCCAAAUGGACCAUGCCGGUCGGGUCAAGUAUAUACCAAAUAAGUUAUGGACUUAGACACCUUAUCCAACAGACUCCCACUUGGAUAAGUCUAAUAACUAUAUUUGCCUAUAACUUCAGGAACCAACCAACAAUCGUAGCUCUCGAAAACUCCCUCGAACAAUGAAGACUCUGUCGAACUAUGAAGCGCCAUUUUAGAUAAGUGAUCACAUAAUCCUCUGUUCUCAUGAUAUCAGCCGGACAAACACAUGGAACUAUGUCUUGCUUAUUGUCUAGCAGUUGUUUCUCGAUUAUCCGAUUUGUUUGACGAAGAACUUCACUGAACACAUCGGUUUAGUUCUGACCAGGCCUGGUAUAUGGGUCAACACAAAAUCAUCGAGGGGCCCGGAUAUCGCUUCUAUUUCUAGAAGGAACAGAUAAACUUCGACUGAUAUGCUUGUUCUACUACUUAUUGAAUUGUACACAAAGGCACGUUUUAUAACAUCAAGUUACUGAUGCGUUUACGUGCAAUCAAUGCACAACCAACUCAUAGGUAACAACUCAUAUCUCUAGGUUUAAAGAUUUAUAUGAUGUUAUCGUCUCACGAUCACUCGAGAUAAAUUCCAUGAAGUGAUACAAGUGAGCGUGGGUUUAUACCAAUACUCAUAACUUAUGAGUACUCAUGAAUGUUGCAGCAACCAUUGCCAUGCCUAAACACCUUUAAGGCAUCUACAAACCCAAUUCAUGACAAUCUUGAUUCAUACCUACUUCCGACGUAUGAUCGAUUGUGGAGGUUUGAACAAAUUAAUUAUUCUGGAAGUCAAAACAUGCAAAACUGAAACAAUAGUAAAUAAUUGACAAUGAUAGUAACACUUUACUCAUAAAUAAAUCACAAAUUUUAUUCAUCAUCAAACGUCGAUUACAUUUUACAAGUUUCAGGAAAACUAUCUAAUCUGUAAAACUAAUAUCGUCCCUCAGCCCGAUGCGUCUCGCAUGCUGAAAAUGCUUAACCCUCGUCAGUCCCUUCGUAAGGGGAUCUGCAGGAUUCUCAUCUGACGAUAUCCUCCUUGUCACAAGGAGUCCUUCUUCAAUCUUGUGCCUUAUGAAGUGAUAUUUUCUGUCAAUGUGUCGGGAUCUGCCAUGAUCUCUUGGUUCCUUGGCUAAGAUAACCGCAGCAUUGUUGUCACAGAAAAUCUCUAUAGGUUCCUUAAUAGCUGGUACAACUCCAAGGUCUCCGAUGAAGUUCUUUAGCCAUAUCGCCUCCUUCGCUGCUUCACUCGCUGCUAUAUACUCUGAUUCACAAGUCGAAUCAGCCACCGUCUCCUGCUUGGAACUCUUCCAAGAAAUUGCCCCUCCAUUUAAGGUAAAGAUCCAGCCCGACUGAGAGCGGAAAUUAUCCCUAUCAGUCUGAAAACCAGCAUCACUAUACCCUAAUAUUCUCAAGUCAUCACUGCCACCAAGGGUAAGGACCCAAUCCUUAGUCCUCCGCAGGUACUUGAGAAUGUUCUUUACCGCGGUCCAAUGAGCCUUGCCAGGGUUCCCCUGAUACCUGCUGACCAUGCUCAAAGCAAAUGCCACAUCAGGACGGGUACAAGUCAUAGCAUACAUGAUCGAGCCAACUGCGGAAGCAUAUGGUAAUUGGCUCAUCUCAGCUAUCUCAGCCUCUGUACUCGGACUCUGAGUCUUACUCAGUUUGGUAUUGCUUUGGAUCGGUAAAUCUCCUUUCUUGGAAUUCUCCAUGUUGAACCUUUUCAACACCUUAUCCAAGUAGAUACUCUGACUAAGUCCAAUUAGUCUUCUACUCCUUUCUCUUAAUAUCCUUAUCCCUAGGAUAUAGGUAGCCUCCCCUAGGUCCUUCAUAGCAAAGCACUUCCCAAGCCAGGACUUAACCUCCUGCAAGGUUGGGAUGUCAUUUCCUAUGAGUAGUAUGUCAUCCACAUACAGUACCAAGAAGCUAACUAUACUCCCACUAGCUCUGACAUACACGCAAGACUCAUCUUCGCUUCUCAAGAAGCCAAACUCUUUUACCUUCUCAUCAAAACAAAGAUUCCAGCUACGAGAUGCUUGUUUUAAUCCAUAAAUGGAUUUCUUAAGCUUGCAUACUCUAUUAGGGUACUCUGCAUUGACAAAACCCUCUGGCUGAUUCAUGUACACAUCCUCAGCCAACUUUCCAUUAAGGAAAGCGGUUUUGACAUCCAUUUGCCAUAUUUCAUAAUCAUGAAAUGCUGCAAUGGCUAACAUAACCCUAAUAGACUUAAUCUUGGCCACCGGCGAGAAGGUUUCAUCAUAAUCAAUACCUUGAGUUUGAGUAAAACCCUUCGCAACCAGUCGAGCCUUAUAAGUAUGCACUUUUCCUUCCAUGUCGGUCUUCUUUUUGAAGAUCCAUUUGCACCCGACUGUUUUACGGCCUGGUACAUUGUCAACCAAGUUCCAAACUUGAUUGUCAUACAUGGACUGUAUCUCGCUGUCCAUAGCCUCCUUCCAUUUAGCAGACUCCGGGCCUGCCAUGGCUUCCUUAACACUGCUAGGUUCAUCCAAAUUUACUAGUGUACUAUCACUAAUAAACGUAUCACCUUCCGUAGUAAUAUGAAAACCAUAAUAAAACGAAGGUGUGUUCCUAACCCGUGUGGAACGUCUCGGAGGUACAGACUCGUCAGCUGGAUCAACAGGAGUUUCUUCCUCAGGUUGAUUGCUAGUGUCUGAGGUUCCUUCACCAAUUGAUUCUUGAAUUUCUUCAAGAUCAAUCUGCCUCCCACUGUCUCCUUGGCUUAUAAAUUCUUUCUCGCGAAAGAUCCCUCUUCGUGCUACAAAGACCACAUUCUCACUGGGUCUGUAGAAAAGGUAACCGAAGGAUUUCUGUGGGUAGCCGAUGAAAAUACACCUUUCACUUCGGGGUUCAAGCUUAUCAUGAGUUUCACGCCUCACGAAGGCUUCGCAACCCCAAAUUUUGAUGUGGUCCAAAUUGGGAACCUUCCCAGUCCACAUUUCAUGAGGUGUUUUGGUAACCUUCUUUGUAGGGACUAGAUUAAGGAUAUGGGCGGCAGUCUCUAAGGCAUACCCCCAAAAAGAGAUUGGUAACGAAACUCGACUCAUCAUAGAGCGAACCAUGUCCAACAAGGUACGAUUACGCCUCUCAGCUACACCAUUCAGCUGUGGUGUCCUGGGAGGAGUCAAUUGUGAGACAAUCCCACACUCCUUAAGAUAGUCAAGGAACUCGGUACUAAGAUACUCACCACCUCGAUCGGAUCGAAGCAUCUUAAUGUUCCUGCCCAAUUGAUUUUCUACUUCCUGUUUGAAUUCCUUAAACCUUUCAAAGGUUUCGGACUUGUGUUUGAUCAAGUAGACAUACCCAUAUCUACUAUAAUCAUCAAUAAAAGUCACAUAAUACCGAUUAGCGUCCCUUGUGGCGGUUUUGAAUGGCCCACAUACAUCAGUAUGUAUUAGGUCCAACAAACCUUCACCCCUCUCACAAGUUCCAGUGAAGGGUGAUUUUGUCAUUUUUCCAAGUAGACAAGAUUCACAACUAUCAUCUGAUUUGAGGUCAAAUGAUUCCAAGACUCCACUCUUUUGGAGUUGGUCUAUGCGUUUCUUGUUUACAUGUCCAAGACGACAAUGCCACAAUGAUGCUUUAUCUAGGCUAGUAGAAGAAUCAAUAUACAACACAUUAUUUCCUAAGUUGUCUACAAUCGACACAGUUUCAUACACGCCAUCACAAGGUAAUGCUUUAAAAUAAAACACAUUAUUAAAGAAAGCAUUAAUACCACCACAUUCAUUAUCAAACGAAAAGGUAAAACCUUGUUUGUACAAAGCAUGAAAAGAAAUAAUAUUCCUCGCCAUUUCAGACGAGUAUACACAUUUAUUCAAAUCUAAUUUUAACCCAUUAUUAAGCAACAAAGUAUAAACUCCAAUCUUGGAAACAGGUGAAGCCUUCCUAUUCCCCAUGAUUAAGUUUAUCUUCCCGUGCUCCACAUCCUCACUUCUUCUUAGGCCCUGCAAAUCAGAACAUAUGUGAAUACCACAUCCUGUAUCAAGCACCCAAGAGUUAGAAUAUGUUGAGUAAUUAGACAAUAUAGUGUAAAUACCUGCAUAGGUGGGUUUCACUUUCCCAUCCUUUAGAUCCUGCAAGUACUUAGGGCAGUUUCGCUUCCAGUGUGCCUUUUCAUGGCAAUAAAAGCAUUCAGCAUCCUUUGGAAUGGCAGAAGGAGUGACAGAACCGUUCUUAGUCUUGGAUGAGGAGCCUUCAAGAGACUUUCCCUUGGUACCCUUCGAAGGGUGCUUCCUCUUUUUCCCUUUGCCUUGCCCAAUAGCUAAAACAGGGGUAGAAGUUGGAGUAGGAGUAGUAGAGGUAACAACCGCUUUACCCUUAAGACCGGUUUCAGCGGUCUUCAAGAGUCCUUGAAGCUUGCUGAGGGUAACUUCCUCCUUGUUCAUAUGAUAUGUCAUUCGAAAAUGAUCAUAACAAGAAGGCAAGGAGUGCAAAAUGAUGUCAAUUGCUAACUCCUCGGGGAUGUUAACAUUCAGCUUCAGCAAACGGUCCACAUACCUUUGCAUCUUUUGCAUGUGGCCCGUGACGGAUUCACCGUCCUUCAUGCGGGUAGUUAUUAUGGAGGAGAUUAUUUCAUACCGCUCCUGACGAGCACUCUGAUGGUACCUUUCCAUCAAGUCUUGGUGCAUCUCAAAAGGGUAGAAAUCUUCAUAUGACUUUUGGAGCUCGGCUGUCAUCGUGGCCAUCAUGAUACAUGCCACCUUAGUAGCAUCUCUCUCAUGAGUCCUGAAUUCAGCGAUCUCCUCAGGAGUAGCAGUAGACUCAUCAAGUUCUUUUAACUCCUUAUCGAGGACAUAUUCCUUGUCCUCGUAACGAGUAACCAUCCUGAUGUUCCUAAUCCAAUCCAUGAAGUUGGAACCAUCAAAGAUGACCCUCCCACAAAGAUUCAUGAGAGAGAAAGAACCAGUUGGGUUAGAGCCUGAAGCAUUAGUGUUGGAAGACAUCUGAAAGAAGAAAGUAAGUUUAGAUUAGAUAUUUAGGAUCCUUAAUAAGACACCCAAAUGUAAUAUUAAGGCUAGGAUCCAAUCACAAUAUAUUACACUUAGAAGAGGGAUGCCGUAAUCUAAGUAAUAAUAUAUUUGAAAGGUAGGCGAAUGACGAUUCACCAAUUUCCACCAUGAAAACGAAAUGAUUAAUUAGGUUUAAUUGGAUUUGAAAUUCCUAGAUUCUUUUGAGAUUCAUUGAACUUUUCAAUGGCAUGUUUCAAUCUCGAUUGUGCCCUUCAAGUUUUGUGACUGGGAUGCCGAGGAUCACAAAACAAGGUGUGAAUAACCAUGCUAACUCACUUGGUACUCCUAAUAUUAUCACCUAAUCAAUGUGCCGGUUAACCACACACGCUCCAUUGAUCUAUGACAACAUUAAGUUACCCUUCGUGAUCCUUACUAGUCUAAUUAGUGUGCCGGUUAACCACACACGCUCCACUAACGACUUGGUAAGGUACAAAGUGUGAAUUCCAUGGAUUAGCACCAUGUUCACAUUUUCCUAAAAUAACUAAGAUUGGGAAUUAAAAGAGUUUAGUUAUUUUAUAAUAUUCAUUAUACUUUUAAUGAGGAUUUAAAGUCGUUGUUCUACCCGUUCGGCUAACGACCCUCCACCGAUCAAGCAAGCGGUGGGUGAGAGUAUACACCCAUUAAGUCGCCAUUUUAUAGGCAACAACCUUAUACCCACCUUAUAGACCGGCUUCGUGAAUGAGGCCUACUAACGGUAAAACGACUUAUUCUUAUACAUAUAUAUAAUAAUUAACCAUUAAUGUUAUAAAUAGUAUAAGGGUUGAAUUUUAACUAUUAAAACUCUAAGGUUUGGAAUUAAAGUUUAUUAAAGUGUGUGAAACUUUACAAAUUCCAAAACUUGAGGACAAGUUUUGUAACUUUGCAAAACUCUUCAUUUCAUAACUUAUGAAUUAAAGGUUCAUAAAAAUGAAGACUCUUCAUUUUCAUGUAACUUAUGUGUUUUAAGUGUGUGUUAAAUGAAAGUGACCUUUGGUAAUCCAUAACUUGAGGACAAAUUAUGGACUCCAUUAAAACACAUAAAUGAUUAAGAAUUAAUUCUAAACAAUUCAGCAAAUAAUUCCUAUCAUUUUCUAAAUUCAUAAGAACAUGAACAUGAUCAUCAAAAAUUCAAGAAUUAUAUGAACACAUAAAAUCAUGGAUUUUUGAUAUAUGCUAUUGUAAAUGGAUUAGAACAACCAUUACACCAACUAAAAUAAGUUUUACAACACCAAAACAAUUUAGGGUAAUGUUUCCAGUCCAUUUCCAGCAGCAAAAGUCGAGAUUCUGCAUUCUUUCGAUCCUACUCGCCGAGUGCACGAACGGACUCGUCGAGUAGGUUGAAGUUUGCCUUGGACUCGGCGAGUCCCCCCAAUGGACUCGGCGAGUCUAGCAUGCAGACAGCAACGAUUUCGACUUUUUUCACUAUUUUGCAUCAAGUAUCAAACAAGCAAGCCUAGGCUCUGAUACCACUGUUGGGUUUUGAGCAAUCUAACACUUCCUAAGUGUGCAUGCAACCCUAAUAAACCUUGGAUCUAUGUUUGUCUAAAUACAUGCAAAAUAAUAAUUUUCCAAGGUUUAUAACCUAUCUAACAUGGCAUGGGGAACAUUUCAACAUAAAAGAGUUAGAAGAGAUUACAUACCUUUGUUGUGUUGGGUUCUUAGGAGUUUGAGGGCCAAGCACCAAUAGUGUGAAUGCCUCAAAUGGAAUCACAAACACCACAAACUCUUGGAAAACUUUGAGAGAGUAUACACACUCUUGUAUUUUCGGCCACACACAUGCACACACACACUAGAACACUAGCUUUCUCUUAGGCUAUCUUAGGCUCUCUUUCAUGCUCCAUAAGCAUGCUUAUAUAGUAUGCAUGGUUAGGGUGAAACCCUAAUAACCCAUGUCUUUUCCUAUUCCAAGGAUCCAUGGGUUAAAAGCUCCAUGGAUCAUCCAUGGACUUCCACAUAAGCCUAGCCCAUUAACAAAUGAGUAUUAGCCCACACUAUAUAAAACAAAUAGCCCAUAAUUUAAUUAGUAUUCCUUUUAAUCUCUAAAUUAAUCCAUAAUUAAUUUAAGACUAAAACUAAUUAAAUAACGUAACUUCAUAUUAAUAUAUUAUAACUCAUAAUAUAUUAAUAAACAUAUGUGUAUAACUCUCAUAAAAUUAUCCAUAAUAGUUUGGAUGAGAUGCAACCCAAAUGGACCAUGCCGGUCGGGUCAAGUAUAUACCAAAUAAGUUAUGGACUUAGACACCUUAUCCAACAGACUCCCACUUGGAUAAGUCUAAUAACUAUAUUUGCCUAUAACUUCANGACCUUAUGCCCAUUUCGAUAAGAAGUUUUGAUGUCAUCAUCGGUAUGGACUGGUUAAGUCUUCACCAUGCCGAUAUACUUUCUCACGAAAGGGCCGUUCACCUCAAUCUGCCAAAUGGCGGAACUCUUGUCAUCUAUGGUGACAAACCUAGUACGAAUUUACAAAUCAUCUCCUGUGUUAAAGCACGAAAAUAUCUUCGCAAGGAGUAUCAUGCCUUUCUAGCUCAUGUAGUAGACCAGAAACAAGAACCGAAGAACAUUAAAGACACUCCAGAAGUCUACAACUUCCCAGACAUUUUCCCAGAAGAUCUUCCAGGAAUCCCACCAGAACGUCAAGUCGAGUUUAGAAUCGACUUAAUCCCCGGAGCUACUCUAGUAGCAAAGUCGCCUUACCGUUUAGCCCCAGCGGAGAUGCAGGAACUGUCUAGUCAAUUGAACGAGCUACUGAGCAAGGGUUUCAUCAGACCGAGCUUCUCACCAUGGGGAGCACUGCUCCUAUUCGUGAAGAAGAAGGACGGAUCUUUUCGCAUGUGCAUCGAUUACCGGGAGCUGAACAAACUCACGAUCAAGAACCGAUAUCCCCAACCGCGCAUAGAUGAUCUGUUCGACCAACUACAAGGAGCGAGCUACUUCUCAAAGAUCGAUCUAAGAUCUGGUCAUCACCAACUGCGAGUGCUGGAAGGAGACAUCCCCAAAACGGCAUUUCGAACAAGCUAUGGUCACUACGAGUUUGUAGUGAUGCCCUUUGGAUUGACAAAUGCAUCAGCAGUGUUCAUGGACUUGAUGAACCGGGUAUGUCGUCCCUUCCUGGAUAAAUUUGUGAUCGUGUUCAUAGAUGAUAUACUCAUCUAUUCAAGAAGAAAGGAAGAACACGGCCAACACCUCUUCCAAGUCUUGGAAACAUUGAGGGAAGAAAAACUAUACGCAAAAUUUUCAAAGUGUGAAUUUUGGAUUCGGGAAGUAGAUUUCCUAGGUCACGUAGUAAGCAAAGAAGGGAUACACGUGGAUCCUUCUAAGAUCAAAGCAAUAGAGAAUUGGACGACUCCGAGAACCCCAACAGAAAUCCGGCAAUUUUUGGGACUCGCCGGGUAUUACCGAAGGUUUAUACAAAACUUUUCGAAGAUUGCUAAGCCACUUACCACCUUAACUCAGAAGAGUAUGACCUUCGACUGGGGAGAAAAACAAGACAUCACGUUUCAAACACUAAAGCGAGCCUUAUGUAGUGCGCCCAUUCUAACCUUACUAGAAGGAACGGAGGACUUCGUGGUCUAUUGUGAUGCGUCAAACCAAGGACUUGGGUGUGUUCUGAUGCAACGAGGGAAGGUCAUCGCCUACGCCUCAAGACAACUAAAGACGCACGAAGUAAACUACACAACGCAUCAUCUCGAGCUAGGAGCAGUGAUUUUCGCUCUAAAGAUAUGGAGGCACUAUCUCUACAGCACAAAAUGUACAAUCUUCACCAAUCAUAAAAGCCUCCGGCACAUCCUCAACCAGAAAGAACUUAACAUGAGACAAAGACGGUGGGUAGAACUACUAAAUGAUUACGAAUGCGAAAUUCGAUAUCAUCCCAGAAAGGCUAACGUCGUGGCCGAUGCACUCAGCCGGAAGGAAUACUCGGGCCGUAGAGUGAAGUCUCUAACCAUGACAAUCCAUUUACACCUGUCCACGCAAAUCAAGGAAGCCCAAAUAGAAUCCUUAAAAUCCAAAAAUGUAGCAGGGGAAGCCUUAAGGGGAAUGGAUAAGAAGCUUGAAGUCAAGAAUGAUGGAGUUCGUUACUUCAUGGAUCGGAUCUGGACACCGAAGUUUGGCGGAUUCAGAGAAGUCAUCAUGAACGAAGCCUAUAAUACACGAUACUCCAUACAUCCUGGCUCCGAUAAGAUGUAUCUCAACCUCAAGAAACUGUACUGGUGGCCGAACAUGAAAGCCGAAAUUGCUACCUAUGUGAGCAAAUGUCUGACGUGCGCCAAAGUCAAGGUAGAACACCAAAAGCCCUCAGGAUUGCUGCAACAACCAGAAAUACCCGAAUGGAAGUGGGAACGGAUAACCAUGGAUUUCAUAACCAAAUUACCCAAGACGACAAGCAGACUCGACACCAUCUGGGUGAUCGUUGAUAGGUUAACUAAAUCAGCGCACUUCCUGCCAAUCAAAGAAAUGGAUAAAUUGGAGAAACUAACUAGAACAUACCUCAGAGAGAUCGUACGAUUGCAUGGUGUGACCAUAUCCAUUAUCUCGGACCGAGAUAGUAGAUUCACCUCAAGAUUCUGGCAGUUGCUACAAAAAUCUCUAGGAACAUGACUAGACAUGAGUGUUGCUUAUCACCCACAAACUGACGGCCAGAGUGAGAGAACCAUACAAACCCUAAAGGAUAUGUUGAGAUCUUGCGUAAUCGAUUUUGGCAAAGCAUGGGACACCCAUCUACCCUUGGUCGAGUUCUCGUACAACAAUAGCUACCACACUAGUAUCAAGGCUGCCCCGUUCGAAGCCCUCUACGGCCGAAAUGCAGAUCACCUCUACGCUGGGCUGAAGUGGGGGACACACAACUAGCAAAAGGGCAAGCAACAGACAACACGCUCACCGGGCCAGAAAUCAUAAGAGAUACUACGGAGAAGAUUGUUUAAAUCUGGGAACGACUGAAAGCAUCAAGGGACAGACAAAAGAGUUACGCGGAUAAAAGACGGAAACCCUUGGAAUUCCAGGUUGGAGACCGUGUCCUACUAAAAGUCUCGCCCUAGAAAGGAUUAAUACGCUUCAGAAAGCAUGGGAAACUGAACCCAAGAUACAUUGGACCAUUCGAGAUCCUUGCUAGGAUCGGUCCGAUGGCUUACAAACUUCGAUUACCUCAGGAACUCCACAACGUACACCCUACCUUUCACGUAUCAAACCUAAAGAAGUGCUUGUCCGAUCAGACCCUUGUCAUCCCUCUAGACGAAAUUACAAUAAAUGAGAAUCUCCAAUUCAUAGAAGAACCAGUAGAGAUCAUGGAUCGGUAAAUAAAAAGGACUAAACAAAGCCGCAUACCUAUUGUAAAGGUCCGCUGGAACGUCAAGCGAGGACCUGAAUACACCUGGGAACGCGUGGAUCAGAUGAAACAAAAGUACCCGUAUCUCUUCCGUAACCCGUAAACGCAGUCUUAGAUUAAAUUUCCGGAUGAAAUUCCCCUAACGGGGGAUGAUGUGACAACCCUAUAUUUUUCCAAAAGCAAUAUAACACUCAAAAGUCAAAUACAACGAAAACUAUUUGGAAUCAACGAAAUUAACCUCAAAAAUAAAGUGUUCAAAUAUCUAAAUUGGGAUGCAUCAAAUGUUAGAUAUCGUGCCAAGGUUUCCAAAAACAUAAAGAACAUUCGAAACCGGGUUAUAUUGAAGAAAGUAUAACCACUCAAAUAUUUACGACACACCUAGUAAAACACUAUUUAACGUAAAAAGGUGAAAUAACAAUAAAAUGCAUUUUAGCCUUAAGUAUCUAAACAAAAGUUGCAGAGUUCGUUAAACUGUAAACGUACAUAAAAAGAUCGCCCAAAUUGGACCUCGUAUGAAGAAGUUACGAAUUUUUUAAGUCUCAUAACAGUAGUAGAGGGCUAAAAACUCGAAUUGAAGAUCGAGCGAUCUUUAGCUAACGCAACCUAAACGAAAGUUGAAGGUCUCCACAAUAGGAGUAAGAUGAUAAAAAGACAAACGAAAACCGACGUCGAAUAAAGAAACUAUGAAUUUUUAACGGACUUUAGCAGUCCCAGCCUAUUAAAAACAUAGCAUUAAAAAUAAAUUCUAAACUAGCCAACGUAGUCUAAAUGAAAGUUGUAGAGCAUAAACUCGCCUACGCGUGGAUAUAAAGAAUGCGAGAAACGAAGCCCGCACGCAAAAGUUACGGAAUUUAGAAGAUGGAAGCUAGGAUUACGCCCAGCGUACUCAGGUGCAGGGUCGAGUCCCAUCGGCUGUAGCUCUACGCCUAGCUAGCCUCGAGUCGUAAGCCAUGACGCAAAGUUACGCCCAGUGUAACCGAAGUACGCCCAGCGUAACGCGUACGCCCAGCGUACUCCGGUGGUACGCCCAGCGUAGUCGCACCUUCAGCCCUAUAAAUAGAAGGCAUAAGCCCCAGAUUUUAGCACACAUUUCCCACACAUUCACUUACUCUCACACACUUUCAAACACCAGAGGCCGUCCCGACACCCUCGAUUUCCGCACCCGAGCCCCCGACGAAGGUUCUACGCUACCGAGAUCCCCGAGAAGCUCGAAGAUGCAGCUUUCCGCGGUUGAAGUUCUGCUCGACUCUAGUCCCACUCUCUUCAAACCAAACAAGUGAGUUCAUACCCCUACUUUACAAGUCUUUUCAUGUUUUAGGGGGGAUACAAGUAUAAUACAAGAAAACGUAUCGUUUUAUAUAAACUUAAAUGCAACAACUAUCUUUACGUAUAAAGUUAGUAUAUCACCAAGUUAUUUUCCCCAAAUGGAACAUACUUUCUGAAAAACUAUAAUGGGUAUAGUUUGCGAGUUAUUCAUACAUUCUUACGUAUACAUCAUGAAAAACGAAAUACUUUCAUCUAAAGUGAAACAAAGACCUUAUCGUAAAUCUAUUUAUACUAAGUAAUGUGAGAUAUUCAAACUUCAACGUACUCUUAUGUAUGCAUUUCCAGUCCUGUAUUAUAAGCCAUAAUCUCUUGAAGGGAGAGCGUGAUUCUUGUGUAUAGAUCUAUACGGGAUUGACAACCCCGCACCUAAACUGUUAGAUACAGUUAGACCGACAGGUCUGGGGUGACGAAUGUCAUAACACUACAACACCUGAAGAAUGUUGUUACAGGCAUUCUAUGUCAAUAGUAUGGUUAUAAGACUCAUACGAAAGUAUAAAAACAAGCUUGAUUUACGAGAUUUAUACAUGCAUUCAGUAUUUACAUUAUUUUGAGUACAAACUUAUCUUUAUCAUUCAAUUACGAAAGAUACUAACGCCCUCCAACUUUGGGAACUUUUCAAACUAUAUAUGGAAAAUAUUGGAUUUUCUAAAAAUCACGUUCAUCGAUUUUCUACCAAAAAGACAUACUUUUCAAUACAAAACACUUAUGAACUCACCAACUUUAUUGUUGACACUUUUUCGAAACCACUUGUAUUUCUCAGGGAAUCGGUAAUACAGGUAACUACUAGCUUUUGAAGAAGGAACGCUAAGGACGUUUAUUAUUAAACAUUUUACAUCAUCAUAUUGUAAUAUUCUUUUGGAAACAUGUAUAACGCAACAAUGUACGUUUUUAUUAUAUAUAUAUGAUGGUUGUGUUACUUUCUUUACAAUAUUCAAUUGUUAUGGUACCACGUGAAGUCAUCCACCCCUGAAUGUUUCCGCCAUUCUGGUUUGGGGGUGUGACAGCGUACUUCGGCUACGCUGGGCGUAAGUAUGUGUCAUGGCUUACGACUCGGGUCUACCUAAGCGUAGAGCCUGCUAGCCGAUGCGACUCGACACUGCGACUGAGUACGCUGGGCGUACUCUUGAAUUACGUUGGGUGUGAUUUAGGCUUCAAUUUUCUAAACUCCGUAACUUUUGCGUAUGGGCUCCAUUUUUCGCGUUCUUUAUAUCCACGCGUAGGUGAGACUAUGCUCUACAACUUUCAUUUAGACUCCGUCGGCUAGUUUUGACUUUAUAUUUAAUAUUAUGUUUUUAGUAGGUCGGGACUGCUAAAGUCCGUUAAAAAUUCAUAACUUCUUUAUCCGAUGUCUGAUUUCGUCUGUCUUUUCACCAUCUUACUCCUGUUGUGGAGACCUUCAAUUCUCGUUUAGGUUACGUUAGCUAAAAACUAUUUGAUCUUUAAUUCGAGUUUUUAGCUCUCUACUACUGUUACGAAACUUAGAAAAUUCGUAACUUCUUCAUACGAGGUCCAAUUUGGGAAAUAUUUUUAUGCACGUUCACGGUUUAAUGUAAUCUACGACUUUUGUUUAGAUACCUAAGGCUAAAAUGCAUUUUAUUGGAAUAUCACUUUUUAUGUUUAAUAAUGUUUUACCGGGUGUGUCGUGAAUAUUUGAGUGGUCAUAAUCUUUUCAUUAUAACUUGGUUUUGAACGUUCGUUAUGUUUUUGGAAACCUUGGCACGAUAUCUAACAUUUGAUGCAUCCCAAAUUUAGAUUUUUGAAUACUUUAUUUUUGAGGUUAAUUCCGUUGAUUCCAAAUAGUUCGUUGUAUUUGACUUUUGAGUGUUACAUUGGUUUGGAAAAAUACAGGGUUGUCACAUCCUCUGUGACCUUCUUAAACUCCAAGCCUUCUUCUAACAAUUGCUUCAAAACACUCUUUCCCUCCUUCACACACUCAAAAUGGGGGUUUGGAUCUAUUAGGGCUGCUUCUAGACAUCAAGGGUUGAGGUAAGGACUUAAGGUCCUUUAAAUAGGGUGCAAACCCUAAAAUUAGGGUUUUCUCUUCCCAACACCAACUUGUCGAGUCCAGUCGCCGACUCGGCGAGUUGGUCACUUAACACGUGGCCAACACCCGCUCCGACUCGACGAGUAGGCAUACCUACUUGCCGAGUAGACUCCUUAAUUUACAUAUAAGCCCCUAAAAUAUACUUCUGAAGUUUGGGAUAUUACAUUUACCCCCAAUAUGAUUACAUAACUACCCGGGUUUAACCACGAUGUUCAACUCCCCUAAAGACUUUUAUUGUUUCUUAUUGUGACAAUACACUACUAUACACACAUAGGUUUGUAUUUUAUUUUUCUUAAGAGUAUUUUAGUCCCAAUGUAUUUAUAGUUGCAUAUCUUGUAUUAUUCGAUAUGCCGGUUCACUAUAAACAUUCUUGUGAUACCAAUCUGUCACACCCCCGAACCAGACGGUAGAAACGUCCAUGGGCGGGUGACUUCAUCAAUUAAUAUCAUCACAAUAUAUAUAAAUGAAUCAAAGACAACAUCAUCACCAUACAUACAAUAUAUCAACCAUCAUAGUUUUACAUCAUUGUAUUUGUUUAUAAUAUUACAUCCAAAACAUCUUGUAUGGUGAGAAACAAAAAUACGGCAUAAAUCUUCACUCCUUAUCGACCCACCUGUUUUAACGUGUUCCUGAGAAUACAUGUCAUUUUGAAAAGUAUCAACAUAUAAAAUGGUGGUGAGUUCAUAAGUAUGUUUGUAUAAAUAGUUUUGUAUUAGUUUGUAAACACCAGAAAAUCCGAUAUUUUCUGUAAAAGUAACUUGAGAGUUUUUUUUUUCAAAUCUUGUAUUAUAGUGUGUGAUUUUGUCUAAUAAUGUAUAAAAAGCGUUUUUCAAAAAAUCCUAUAUUUUCUGUCUAAUGAAAAAGUGUGGUCUUAACCCUAAGACCAGAGUGGUGAAAGUUUUAAACAUGAAUAAUAAAUGUAUAGUUCGUACUUUGUAUCAUGAGUAUAGUAUGUGCAUUCCGUAAAUUUAUUUGUUUGUUAUUCUCUAUGUGAGUCGCUAUAACCAUACUUGAUAUAACUGAUAUGCCUGUCAUGACGUUCUUCAGGCGUCGUUUCCGAUAAGACAUUUGUCACCCUAGACUGACCUAUCUAGUUGUAGCGAGCAGCUCAGGUGUAGGGUGUCAUCCCCAUAUAGAUCUAUACACAAAUUCUCGAUAUCCCUCUAGGAGACUCUAGUUAUAACUAUAAGGAUUACGAUGUGUGCUAGGUAGGUACAAAUGAAGGAGUGUCUCACAAGAGCCUUAAAUAAUCUACGUGAAUAGUGUAUCUCAUUGCUUAACACUAAAAAAAUGUUUCAAGUAUGUAUAUUUUUUUACAAAUCGUCGGUGAUAAGAAUAUAGUUGUUCAUGUCAAAAUGUCAAAUAUUUAUUGAUAUCGACCCAAUUUUUAUAGAAAGCGUCGUAUAUGCCCAAUAAGAUAACAAAUGGGCAUUUAAGGCCCAAUUAGGAUAGAAUUGCCAAACAUGGCCCAAUAUGCAUGUAAUUGGGUAUGUAAGGCCCAACAUGCGUGUAAAAAUGUCGUAAAUAGUCCGUUUGUUAUCAAAAUGAUCAUUUUAGCUCAAAUAGUAUCAAAUGCCAUAUAAGGCCCAAUUUUGUUAAAAAUGACAUUUUUGGCCCAUUAAAGCCGAAAAUUUACAAUAAAGGCCCAUUUUCAUGAAAAAUGACUUUUUUGGCCCAAUAAAAGUAUGUUUUGUCAAUAAAGCCCAAUUUUAUGAAAAAUGACCAUUUUUAGCCAAUGAAACCAUGAAUUUGCAAAUAAGGCCCAUUUUUAUGAAAAAUGACCAUUAGCCCAUGAAACCGUGAAUUUCCUAAUAAGGCCCAUUUUGGUGAAAAAUGGAUCAUUUUGGUCCAUUAAAACUGAGAAGGCCCAAAAAAGAAGCCCAUUUUGUCAAAAAUGACACUUUUGACCCCCAUAAAACCGUGAAUGUCAUAGAAACCCAUUUUAUAAAAAAAAUGUCCCUUUUAGCCCCUUUAAGGCCGUGAGUAUCAUAAAGGACUCACUUUUGCUCAUUUGUCAAAUAUGGACCCUCUUUAGGUUUUCUUUAGUUUUUUAGUAGCUUUUAACAUGUUUUCUCUUUUCAAACAUCACAAUGAGAUGCAUUAAGUAAUUUAUUUCCUUAUCACUUCAUAACUUGGAAGUUUGUUCGAGUUUCAUAAAAGUUUAACAUGGUUUCAUAACUUAUUCACACACCUAUCAUGAAAAUACACACAAGCAUGCCUAAAUACCAAGAUUAAACACAAAACUAGCUUGUAUUCUCCCCCAAAAGAUAGUAAUCACGAAAAAAGGAGGGGUAUGAAGCUCACCUUGGUGUUAGUUGGCUUUUAAAGGGAAGAAUAAGAUUUUUGGUCUUGAAUGCUCCUUUGAGGGGAUUUUUCAAAACUAAGAGAGUUCUAGGAUCAUAAACACGAAAAUAGUGUGAUUUUGAGGAAAAAUCUUAGUAUAAGAUGAAGUUUAACAUCUUGAAUGUGAAGUAACUUACCAAGUUUGCAAGCUUGAAGACCUCCUUGAGCUAACACACACACACACGGUUUUAGAGGAGGAAAAGAAGAGAGAGUUUUCCUUUAAGAGUGAAGAAGAAAUUAAGGGUGGUGAUGAUGUUCUUUGGCCGAGAGUUUAAGGAGGAAAGAGAGAAGAUAGGUUAAGGUCCUUGCUUAAUGAUUAGUUACUUAUUGGUCUAGAUAUUUGAUGGACAUAUUGCAUGGAUAUCCUCCAUGAAAAAAUUAGGUGUCACCAUUAGAUUUAAUACAACCUUUUUUUAACAUAUAUAGGACUGAGAACCCCUAAGCCCAAAGAGGUUUUCGGUGUUAAAGGCCCAUAAUAUUUAUGUCUCGGCCUAUUAGAUGAUCUAUGGAGGGUAUUGGCCUAAUAAUGCCCAUUAAGAGUGUCUUGCCCUUAAAAAAUGCUAAAUGGAGUGUUGGGCCCAUUAUGCCCCCAAGAGAGGUGUUCACGACCGUAUAAGGUCCAAUAAGGGUCGUAUGGAUCAAACAUUAUUGUUUAAUGAAUUUCGGCCCAAUUAAGGCCCAAAUAAAGAUUCUUUUCCCAAAAGAACCAAGUUGAGAGGUUACUAGCAGAAAGUUGAGUGAAUGUAUCGUAUUGAAUUAGGUUUACAGCUUUCACGAGGAAGCUUUGACUUGAAUUGUCGUUUGUAAAUGAAUAACUUGGAUAACAUCAUCCUUAGGGUUACAAGAUACAUCAGAAGUUAAUUACACAUAGAUAGAAUUUCCUAGCCCUAAAAUGCUAGUUGUGACAAAUUUCGAAGUUGGGUAAUUUCUACCAAGUCUUCAAAACAGCAAGGACAUAUUAGAAACUUCAUCCUUUUUCACAAACUUUCUACACCAAUGUCAAAUCUGGGUAUGAAUUGCCAUUUCUUAGAAACUUCAGGGCUGAGAUUCGAAAAUAAUUCUUUUCUUCUUCACUUCAAUUCACAGAUAACGAAUGGUGAAUUGGACCAAGAAAAGUCAAAAUUGAACACACAUCUCUAAACCUUUGCUAAUCGACAUCAUUAAGUGCUUGUUUUUCAACCCUUCGCUUUUCACUUAUCCCUUUGUUAAUGAACAGGGUUUGGUCAUCAAUAACAAAGCAUAUCAUGUUCCUCGAUAACGAACCACCGACCAUUGACCUCUCGUUAAUGAACUACCUAUACAACCUGUUCGUUAUCACAAAAGUGAAGUCUUCAAAAUCAAAUUUGUUAUAACCUUCGUCUUCGUUUUUCAUCUAUAAUACCUCGUCAAUGAACCAAUCGACUACAAAAUCGAAUUUCCAUCCAUCGAUAUCCUUCUGUCUUCCCUUUUAUAAGUGAGAGACCCUCGACCUAUAACUAUUCGACUGGUUACCCAUCGUCCUUCGCGUUCAUUACAGGGACCUUGUAAACGAACCAUGGAUGAUUCUUGAAAACGAAGUGUGAAUCCCCUGCCUUCAUUUUACAUGCCUUCAACCAUCAAUAUCAAUCCUAAAGUCCAACUUAUAUCUAUAGACAUUGAGUAAAACACAUUCGACCACCAUCCUUCGUCCUUCCCUUUUCAUGCAACCCAAAACAUCAAAACAUCAAUUCUUUUUGUCUUCCCAUCGACAUCGAUACUCAACAUACAAAUUUCAAUUCUCAAAUUCAAGUCAACUUUGACUUUCUUAUGUUGAAUUUGCUUUUAACCAUCUUCAUUCUACAGGCAACAACCCUUCGAUUGUACAACUCAAAACAUCAAACCAUUGACGCCAAACCAAAUUCGACCCUUCGAAAUUGAUUUUUUAAUCAUCAACAUCAAAAUCAAUUAGCCUUCCCCCUUCAAAAUCAACAUUCAAUUCUUCGUUAUUAGCUUACCAACAUUCGAUAUCAUCGUCCAAAGUUAUCAAUCGACAUAAAAUCUAAGCUGGAAUCAACCCUUCGUAAUUAGAUUAAGACUUUCUAACCAUUUGAAAUCGGCUCCUAAGCUUGAUUCCAAGUCUUCGAACUCAAUAAAUAGUCAUCAACAUUAAACCCAAAAUCCAACAGGUGACAAUUUAUAUCGAUCCAAAAACAAAUAACCCUCAAAAUCGAUAUUGUAACGCCCGCAGAUUCUGGCUAGUCAAUUUAGAGACAAUAAGCGUCAAAAAAUGAGUUUUUGAUCGAAUAUUAUUUAGAAUUAAUAAUAUUAACAAAUUUAUAGUAUAUGUCAAAAAGGUUUCGUAGAGAUAAGGAACGUAGGAAUCCGAGUUAUAACGAAGAAGUUAUGACCCGUCGAAGUUUUACGGCUAAACCGGCACGACACCGCGUAACGUAAAAUAUGAAUUUUUGAUAAAUUAAUUUUUAGCAUUAGAGAUCUAAAUAAUGGUUGUAUUAUAUGUUAAACUAACAGCGUGCAUAAAAAGAACGUCAGAAUCUAACUGCAUAUAAGGAAGUUAUGAUUUUUCUAAGAUUUAGUAUAGCAGUGAACAACCCGGAAUUUGAAUAUUAGAUCGAUCGAUUUUUAGCCAAAAAAACCUAAAUGAGAAUUGAGGAUCUAAUUAAUAGGAGUACACCGAUAAAAAUACAGUCAAAAACAGAGUCCGUAUGUAAAAAUUAUGAAUUUUACACGGUCGUUAACAGUUUAAUCUUCUCAUAUUGUUAAAUUUAAAAUCGAUCAUGAAUUAGCCGAUGGAGUCAAAAGUAAAGUUGUAGAUCUUGUUAAUACCUAUGCGUGGAUAAAAAGAACGUCAAAAAUGGAUCUCAUAUGUGAAAGUUACGGAAUUUAGAAUUCAUAAAGGUGGUGUUGCGAAGGAGGUGACAUGACGCGAUCUGAGCCAUUGCUUUCUCCCCAACCCUUGCCACCAGAUGGUGACAUGUAGCAUCCAACUCGAUGUGUUGGAGGCCCUAACUCGAUGAGUUGAUUUGUAUUUCAGCCUAUAAAUAGCAUGCGAAGGUCUCCAUAAUUUUCACACAAAAACCUACUUCUCUCUCUCUCUCUCUCUCUCUCUCUAACUUCUCUCUAAGCCUCCGAAAACCCUCCCCAAGCCCUAGUAACUUCUAAGUGCUAGAGGAAAGCCCGGAGCACCCGAAGGCUCAAAGAAAAAGAGCUUUCCAACUCAAAAGUUUUGCCGCUGUAGAGCCCGACUCCUAGAGAAACCCCCUUGUAAGUGAGUUAUGCUUACCCUAAUUUAAGUAUAACUUAUGUUUAAGUUCAUUAUUGUUAUUACGAACCUAUAAACAAGAUUUAUCAGUAAUUCAAAGUCAUUAUAUUGAUUGAACUACUUAUGGGAGAGAUGUCUAGAAUGGUCACGUUGGGUUUGGUUGUUGUAUUUCAGAAAAGCUAAACGCCGAAAUGGCCCUGCCUCCCAACUGUCCUGCCUGGCUGAUCCUUACAUGAUAGAUCAUGACGUAGACUCUGAGUUAAUGAUGAAUCUAGAAUAAUAAUAGUCGCAAUAAAUAUUAAACUAAAUUCUAGUAAUAAUGAUACUAGGUUUCGAUGAAGGAAAAAAAAUUGUUAGAAGUGAAGCACUGUCCGAGUUUGGAAUCAUCUUUUUAACAAGUGAGUGCAUAGUUAUGUGUUAUGUGUGCAUAUUAUCUGAAGUAUUUAAUAUAAAUUACGUGUUUUAUUCGAGUUUGGAAUCAUCAUUUCAUCUUACACAUAUAUAUGAAGCAUUUAAUAUAAAUUACGUGCUAUGUGUGCAUAUUAUAUGUGUUCUUGAUAUGAAGUAUUUAAUAUAAAUUACGUGCUAUGAGUUUGGAUUUGUCACUAACCUUGUCUUGCGAUUAUGCUUUUGAAAAAUUCACAUUGAUAGGAACACAUACACCAUAAAAUCUAAGUGUCAAAAGGUUUUUCUCCGAUUCAUGAAAAUGAUGGUGAGGAAGUGUUUUCACUAAGUGAUUUUAGGUAGAUAGCAAUUGUGAUAUUUGCAUUCUCAAAGUCGUUAGUGGAGCGUGUGUGGUUAACCGGAACACUAACAUGGACUUGUGAGGAAUGGAAAAGGUCUAAACAAUUGAGACUAUGAUUAUGACAUCCCUUUUCAUAGUUUUGAAAUUGUUUAGACACACAUGUGUGCUAUCUAUGGAAAGGUGUAUGAUUUUGAUAAAGUUUUUAUCAAAGCAUCUCCUAUCAGAAGUCUGAACUUUGGUAAGAAAGUCAAUAAAGUAUUGAUUUCUAGAAGUCCAACUGAUUGCUGAGUACAUGUCAAAGCUAGUGGGAGCAUAAGUGUUAUGCUGAUAAUUCUCAUAUUAGUGGGAGCAUGAUAAUUAUGAUAAGUGUUGCAAAUUAGCAAUGUUAGUUAUAGAAAAUAAAAAGUUUCAAUUUGGAAAAGUUGUUUUGCUAUAAUUAAGGGAGAGGAAAUUGUACUUCAUUUCAAUUCUAAGAGCUUAGAUUGAGGUUUUAAUCAUCUUUAGUCAAGGAUAUAUAUCUAUAUAUNNNNNNNNNNNNNNNNNNNNNNNNNNNNNNNNNNNNNNNNNNNNNNNNNNNNNNNNNNNAGGGAGAGGAAAUUAUACUUCAUUUCAAUUCUAAAGCUUAGAUUGAGAUUUUAAUCAUCUUUAGUCAAGAAUAUAUAUAUAUGAAUUUUAUGUUGGAAUAGCUCAACAUAAGGAAAUUCUAUAUAUGGGUCCAUUAUUUGCAUUCUAAAAUUCGAUUAUGAUUACGGCAUCCCUUUUCAUAAUCUGAAUUAUAGGAACUUGGCAAAUAGAUAUAGAAAUAUUAUAGCAAAAAGACUGGUCUAUUAUCAUGUCUUUAUGUGAGACAUCAUGAAUCGUGUCCCAUAUGUUUCGGAUAUAGGAUCGAUUGCAUGUGCUAUAAUAUUUAUCCUUUCUAAAUUUUUUCCAAAAUGCCUAGUGGCAUUAAGAGGGGAAAAAAGGUCUAGAAUUGGCUAUAACUAAAAUGAUUAAGCAAUUGUCGAGGACAAUUUAAGGUUUACCAAAGAUUGGUUGCUUAAGGACAGUUAGAAGUAUGGUGUUAAUUUUGGAAGGACCAUAUUGACAUACUCUGAAAGGAGGCAACUUUUGUUCAGAAGUGAUAGUCAAAAUGGGAAUAUGGAAAUGACUCCAUAGGUGGAAGUUAUUCAGUCUGUGUAAGAUUAAAAAACUUAAUGCAAGAAGGAUGUUCAAAGCAAUGUACUUUGAAUAUGAGACUUCGUUUCCAUGGAGUUUAUCUCCAUUGGUAUACUCUGUAAUGUCUGUUGACAAGUCUUUGUGACUUUGUGCAUAAUCAUUACAGAGGAUUAGUGCAUAUAAGUUUAAAAUCUAACAAAUUUCAGUAAAUGGCAAGAAUUUGGAAUUAUUGUAUUUGCAGUAAGGAUUUGGGAUUGUGAAAUGAGAAUCAUUGGAAUUAUGUUCAAUCGAUUUAUUUCACAAAGUAAAGAUCAUAGACAAACUUAGUGUGCAUACUUGGUGUAUGGCAUAACUAAUGUUUCGAAAAACAUAGUGUGCAUACUUGGUGUAUGGCAUGACUAGUGUUUAGAAAACGUAGUGUAUAUGCUUGGAGCAUGGGACAACUAUUGUUUUAAUUCAAGUUUAAAGUUGAUAAUUUGAAACAGUAUUCAAUGAAUAAUGUGUAAUCAAUAUGGUGAUAAAUAAAAGGUGUUUUAUUUAUAUUCAUAAGUUCUGAGACCAUAUUGGAUUCGAUUAUUCUUGUGUUUCACUUUGCAUUUUUUGACUUCCAGAAUAAUUAUGUUAUGGUAUUUCAUAUUAUUCAAAUUCUCCAUAGUCGGUCAUAUGUUGGAAGUAGAUAUGAAUCAAGACUGUCAUGAGUUAGCUUGUAGAUGUCUAAGAUGUUGGACAUAGCAAGAGUUGCUACAACACUCAUGGGUGCUCAUAAGUUCUGAGUAUUGGAUUCAACCCACGCUCACUUGUAUCAAUUCAUGGAAUUUAUCUCGAGUGAUCGUGAGAAAGUAAUAUCAUAUAAGUCUUCAAACCUAGAGAUAUGAGUUAUUGCCUAUGAGUUGGUUAUACAUUGAUUGUACAAAAAAACUCAUUGGCAACUCGAUGUUAUAAAACGUGCCUUUGUGUAUGAUUUAACAAGUAGUAGAACAAGCAUAUGAGUCGAAGUUUAUAUGUUCCUUCUUGGUUUAGAAGCGAUAUCUAGGCCCCUCGAUGAUUUUGUUGUGACCUAUGUACCGGGCCCGGUCAGAACUAAAUUGAUGUGUUCAAUUAAGUCCUAUGUCAAACAAAUCGGAAAUCGAGAAACAAACUGCUGGACAAUAAGUAAGACACUGUUCCAUGUAUUUUUCUGGCUGAUAUCUAGAACAGAGGAUUAUAUGAUUCCUUGUCUAAAAUGUGCUUCAUAGUUCAACAGAGUUUUAAGAGCUACGAUUGUCGGUCGGUUCCUGAAUUCAUAAUUGAAACUAUAGUUAUUAGACUUAUCCAAGUGGGAGACUGUUGGCUAAGGUGUCUAAGUCCAUAACUAUAUUUGAGAUGUACUUCACCCGACCCGACAUGGUCCAUUUGGGUUGCCCUUCACCCGAACAAUUUAUAUGGAUAAUCUUUUGAGAAUAGUAUAAGUUAUGAUUUAUUAAUAUAUUAUAAGUUCUAAUAUAUUAAUAUGAAAUCAUAUUAUUUAAUUAGUAUUGAUCUAUAAUUAAUCUAGGAUUAAUUUAGAGAUCAAAAGUAUUACUAAUUAAAUAUGGGCUCUUAUAUUUAUAUAGUGUGGGCUAAUGCUUAUUUGGAAUGGGCUAGGCUUGCAUGGAAAGUCCAUGGAUACUCCAUGGAGCUUUAACCCAUGGAUCUCAUGGAAAUGAAGAGACAUGGGUAUUAGGGUUUACAUGGAUGUAACCCUAAUCCACCACACUAUAUAAAGGAAUCCUUGGCACUUGAAAUUGCACUAGUUUUUCUGUGCGAACUAAGGGUGGUGAUUUCUAGAAGUGUUCUACCAUUCUCUCAAGUUUCCAAGGGUUGUGGUGAUUUGUAACUUCCAUUUGAGGCAUCCACAUUAUUAGUGCUAAGCUCUCAAACUCCAAGCAAUCAACCACUACUAAAAGGUAUGUAACUCUACUAGCUUAUUAAGUUUCAAAGUUCCCCAUGCCAUGCUAGUUAGGUUAAGAACCUUGGAAAANAUUUGCAUGCUCUUAGUAAAACAUAGAUCCAAGGUUUCUAGGGUUACAUGUACACCAUAGGAGUGUUAGAAUGCUCAAAACCCUUCAGUUUAAACAAGAAGUGGGGAUCAAUUGGGCAGGAAGAUAAAGACGUUGUGAUCCGAUCGAGUAGGAGAGUAUCUUAAUAUCGAGUUCCAUGACUAUCUUAAGGAAUGUGGAAUUGUUUCACAAUUGAAGCCACCAAGGAAACCAUAGCUUAAUGGUGUGGCUGAGAGGUGUAAUAGAACCUUGCUUGACAUGUUUCGUUCCAUGAUGAGUCGAGCUUCAUUACCUAUCUCAUUUUGGGCUAUGCCUUAGAGACUGCCGCCCAUAUCCUUAAUCUAAUCCCUACCAAAAAGGUUUCCAAAACACCUCACAAGAUGUGGAUAGGGAAGGUUCCCUUGUUAGACCACAUCAAAGUUUGGGGUUGCGAGGCUUUCGUGAGACGCGAGACUCACGACACACUCGAACCUCAGAGUGAGCGAUGUGUUUUCAUCGGCUACCCACAAAAGUCCGUUGGAUAUCUCUUUUAUAGACCGAGUGACAAUGUUGUCUUCAUCGCAAGGAGAGAAGUCUUUUGUGAGUGAGAACUCAUAUGCCAAUGGGACAGUGGGAGGCAAAUUGACCUUGAAGAGCUUCAAGAGUCAAGCGGUGAAGGAACCUCAAACACUAACAAUCAACCUGAGGAGGAAACUACGGUUGAGCCAAUUGACGAAUUCGUAUGACAAUCAAGUUUGGAACUUGGUUGACAAUGUACCAGGCCGUAAGACAGUCGAGUGCAAAUGGAUCUUCAAGAAGAUGACUGACAUGGAUAGGAAAGUACACACAUAUAAAGCACGACUGGUUGCGAAGGGCUUUACUCAAACUCCGGGAGUUGACUAUGAUGAGACCUUCUCACCAGUAGCGAAGAUUAAAUAUAUAAGGGUUAUGUUGGACAUAGCUGCAUUUCAUGAUUAUGAAAUAUGUCAAAUGGAUGUCAAAACCACUUUCCUUAAUGGAAAGUUGGCAGAAGAUGUUUACAUGAGUCCACCGAAAGGUUUUUGUCAAUGCAAAGUACCCUAAUAGAGUGUGUAAGCUUGAGAAAUCCAUUUAUGGAUUGAAACACGCAUCUCGCAGAUGGAAUCUUUGCUUUUAUGAGAAAGUCAAAGAGUUUGGAUUUUCGAGAAGCGAGGAUGAGUCCUGUGUAUAUGUCAAAGCUAGUGGGUGUAUAGUGAGCUUUCUGGUAUUGUAGGAGGUUAAGUCUUGGCUUGGGAAGUGUUUUGCUAUGAAGGACCUUGGCGCAACUGCUUACAUCCCAGGGAUAAGGAUAUUGAGAAACAGGAGUAAAAGACUAAUAGGGGUCCAAUAAAGGUGAGCUACCUAUCCAAAGCAAUACUAAACUAAGUAAGACUCAGAGUCUGAGUACAGAGGCAGAGCUAGUGUAACGCCCGUAGAUCCGAGCUAGUCAAUUUAGAGUUAAUAGGGUCGAAAACAACUUUUCGACAAAUGAUUAUUUAGAAUAAAUAAUCUAAACCAAGUUGUAGAAUAUGUCUCGGGGGUUCCAUACAUAUAAAGAACGCUGAAAUCCAAGUUAUAACGAAGAAUUUAUGGCACGUCGAAGUUUUUCGGCAAAACCGGCACGACACCGGGAAACGUAAAUAGUGAAUUUAUGAUAAAAGACUUUGUAUGAGGAAGUUAUGAAUUUUCUAAGAUUUGGCAUAGUAGUGCACGACCCGAAACUCAAAUUUUAGUUGGAGCAGUUUUUGGCCUAUGCGACCUAAAUGAGAGUUAAAGAUCUCAUUAAUAGGAACUCAACGAAAAAAAUACACAAGAAAACGGAGUCUGUAUGUAGAAGUUAUGAAUUUUACACGGACAUUUAGCAGUAUAAUCUCCUCCUACUGUUAAAUUUAAGAUCAGUCGAGAAUUAGCCGACAAAGUCUAAAUGAAAGUUGUAGAUCUUGUUUUUACCUACGUGUGGAUAUAAAGAACGUCGAAAACGGAGCUCGUAUGCGAAAGCUACGGGGUUUAAAAGUCGACAGGGUGUUGUGCGAAAUCGAGUGACGUGGCUGAAUAUGGGCCAAUGCUUUCUCCCCAAGGCAAGCUACCUGGUGGUAACACCUGGCCAUGGACUCGACGAGUAGGACCCCCUACUCGACGAGUAGAGCAGGAUUCCAGCCUAUAAAUAGAGGUGUCGGGUUCCCUCAUUCUUCACACCAUUCCAACUUCUUCUCUCUCUCUCUCUCUCUCUAAACUCUCACUCUAGCCCCCAAACCCCUCCUAAAGUCUAGGUGAACCUUCUAGCACCCAAAGGAAGCCCCGAGGCUCCCGAAGCCCCAAGAAAAGAGCCUUUCAGCUCAGAAACUCUGCUCCGGCGGAGCCUGGUUUUCGAGAAAAACCCGUUGUAAGUGAGUUAUGCCAACCCUAUCUUUUAUGUAGCUUAUGUUUCAAUAUAGUAAUGUUAUUAGAACCUUAUAAUGAGUAUUUAGGCUAUUAUUAUGAGUUAUAUAAGUGUCGUAAUAAUUUCUUUUUAACCACUCGCAGUACGGGGAAUAUGGUUUAAAGGGCCGCUUGGGUUGCUGGAUUCAGAAGUGCUAUAUGCCGAAAUGAUCCUGCCCUCCGGUGUUUCAUGUCUGGCCCCUGUCUGUACAUAGUGAUUGACAAAUAUUGUUUCAUGCAUAUAUAAUAGUAAUAAUAGAAAGACUAUUAAUUAGUCACGGUGAAUAUUAGACUAAACUCUAUUGGUAAUGAUACCAGGUUUUGUCAAAGGAAAAUUAUGUUAAGAGUAAAGAAGUGUUGUCCGAGUGCUGAGUCACCACCUUUUCAAGUGAGUGCAUGGUCCCUUUUCAUCUUACACAUAGAUAUGAAGUAUUUUAUAUAAACUAUGUGCUGUGUGUGCAUAUUAUCUGUAUAAUUGCUAUCUAUGCUGGAUGAAUGAUGUUAUACAAGUUUUAUAUGAUUUAAACUGUAUAUGUAUUUAUAUCUACAUAAUAUGUUGGGUAAAACAUGGGUAGAUGAAAUAUGAGUUGGAUGAUGAGUUGAGAGGUGAUAUAGACCAUGUGGUAAGGGUGAGAGGUGGACAAUGUGAGAAGCCUUGUUCCCAAAUGUUGGCUCCGUCAUCUAGCAGAGUAUGGAUGACAAUCACGGACAAUUCUAGACAGUCCGGUGGAAUACUAGAAGGCUCGCAACCUGUAGGUGUUGUGAAUGAUGUGUUCAGCGGUGUACUCUAAAAACCCAUUGACAUGUAUUACGAGUGGACUAUCAAAAACGAUACUAUCAAUAAACGAGAUAACCCUAGCAACUGUUCCCAAAGGACAAUACCAACAGUUGCGCCUCAUUGAGAAUGUCACAAUUCUGGCAGCUGCGCCUAAGUGAUAAAACUAGCAGUUAUGCUUGACAAUUGUGUCAUUGACAACGAUGGACUUCGUACCCAUUCUUUAGGAUAAUCCUUGGGAAUGAAUGAAUGAGAAAUAGCUGAUUCUUAGGGUAGAUCGUUAAGAGUAAUGAAGAUAAUGGGGAUGGGUAAUUGGGUUAACUGUUUGAUGAUUAAACAUAAUAAUUAUAUUAUUAUGGGUUGAAAACCCUAUGCACUCACCAGGUUUCACAACCUGACCCACUCAGUUUAUUUAUAUCACAGGUGUUGAUAUGAAGUCACAUUACACUGAGAGAUUAAGGAGAUAUAAAUCACUAGUGNCUGUCUGUACAUAGUGAUUGACAAAUAUUGUUUCAUGCAUAUAUAAUAGUAAUAAUAGAAAGACUAUUAAUUAGUCACGGUGAAUAUUAGACUAAACUCUAUUGGUAAUGAUACCAGGUUUUGUCAAAGGAAAAUUAUGUUAAGAGUAAAGAAGUGUUGUCCGAGUGCUGAGUCACCACCUUUUCAAGUGAGUGCAUGGUCCCUUUUCAUCUUACACAUAGAUAUGAAGUAUUUUAUAUAAACUAUGUGCUGUGUGUGCAUAUUAUCUGUAUAAUUGCUAUCUAUGCUGGAUGAAUGAUGUUAUACAAGUUUUAUAUGAUUUAAACUGUAUAUGUAUUUAUAUCUACAUAAUAUGUUGGGUAAAACAUGGGUAGAUGAAAUAUGAGUUGGAUGAUGAGUUGAGAGGUGAUAUAGACCAUGUGGUAAGGGUGAGAGGUGGACAAUGUGAGAAGCCUUGUUCCCAAAUGUUGGCUCCGUCAUCUAGCAGAGUAUGGAUGACAAUCACGGACAAUUCUAGACAGUCCGGUGGAAUACUAGAAGGCUCGCAACCUGUAGGUGUUGUGAAUGAUGUGUUCAGCGGUGUACUCUAAAAACCCAUUGACAUGUAUUACGAGUGGACUAUCAAAAACGAUACUAUCAAUAAACGAGAUAACCCUAGCAACUGUUCCCAAAGGACAAUACCAACAGUUGCGCCUCAUUGAGAAUGUCACAAUUCUGGCAGCUGCGCCUAAGUGAUAAAACUAGCAGUUAUGCUUGACAAUUGUGUCAUUGACAACGAUGGACUUCGUACCCAUUCUUUAGGAUAAUCCUUGGGAAUGAAUGAAUGAGAAAUAGCUGAUUCUUAGGGUAGAUCGUUAAGAGUAAUGAAGAUAAUGGGGAUGGGUAAUUGGGUUAACUGUUUGAUGAUUAAACAUAAUAAUUAUAUUAUUAUGGGUUGAAAACCCUAUGCACUCACCAGGUUUCACAACCUGACCCACUCAGUUUAUUUAUAUCACAGGUGUUGAUAUGAAGUCACAUUACACUGAGAGAUUAAGGAGAUAUAAAUCACUAGUGAUAACGAAUUAUGCUUAUGUUUCUUUAUUGACGAUGACAUCCCAAUGUUUUAAAAUGAAUAAAAUACAUUUCUUCGUAAAUGCUUUGAUAAUGUAUUUAUCAUGUUUUUCUGGGAACAAAUUCCGCAACUAUUUUCUUUAAAAGGUUACUCUGAUUUUCAAAGUAAAGCAUAAACAAAUCGGUCUUUUCUGUCCAUGAAAACGGGAUGUCACAGAUAGCAGAGAUGAGUCGAAUGCCAUAUGCUUCUGCAGUUGGCUCGAUCAUGUAUGCUAUGACUUGUACUCGCCCUAAUGUGGCCUUUGCUUUGAUCAUGGUCAUCAAAUAUCAAGGGAAUCUAGGUAAAGGUCAUUGGAUUGCAGUUAAGAACAUUCUUAAGUACUUGCGGAGGACUAAGGACUGGGUCCUUACCCUCGGUGGGAGUGAUGACUUGAGAGUGACGGGGUAUAGUGAUGUCAGUUUUCAAACCGAUAGAGAUAAUUUCCGCUCUCAGUUGAGCUGGGUAUUUACCCUGAAUGGAGGAGCAGUGACAUGGAAAAGUUCCAAGUAGGAGACUGUAGCUGAUUCAACGUGCGAGUCAGAUUACAUAGCAGCAAGCGAAGCAUCGAAGCAGGCGAUAUGGUUGAAAAACUUCAUCGAAGACCUUGGAGUCAUACCAUCCAUACAGGAUCCUAUAGAGAUUUUCUGCGAUAAUGAAGGCGCGGUUGCCUUAACCAAGGAACCGAAAGAUCAUGGUAGAUCCAUGCAUAGUAGGGUUAAGCACCUGCAGCAUGCAAGGGGCAUUGGGCUAAUGGACGAUAUUAGUUUUAGUGGUUAGAUAAAUAGAAACUUAUAAUAGCUAAAUAGUAAUUAAUAUUUGAUGAUUAAAUAAAAGAAGUUUUAUUUAUAAGUAAAGUUACUGUCUUGUGUCAAUUAUAUACUAUUGUUUCACUUUGCGUGUUUUGACUUCCAGAAUAAUAAUAUUAUUCAAACCAUCCACAGUCGAUCAUACUUUGGAAGUAGGUAAUGAGGCUAGACUGUCAUGAGUUGGCUUGUAGAUUGUCUAAGGUGUUAGACAUAGCAAAAGUUUGCUACACCAUUCAUGAGUGCCCCUAAAAUAAGAUUUGAGUAUUGGAUUCAACCCGCGCUCACCUGAAUUACUUCAUGGAAUUUAUCUUGAGUAAUUGUGAGACGAUAAUAUCAUAUAAUCUUCAAACCAAGAUAUAUGAGUUAUUGACUACGAGUUGGUUGUGUAUUGAUGGCAUGAAAACGCAUCAGUAAAUUGAUGUUAUAAAACGUGUCGUUGUGCAUGAUUUGAUGAGUAGUUAGUACAAGCAUAUAAUGUCGAAGUUUAUAUGUUCCUUUUAUCCUAUGAGGAUUAAAAGCGAUAUCUUGGGCCCCUCGAUGAUUCUGUAAUGGCUAUGUGUCGGGCCCGAUCAGAACUAAAUUGAUGUGUUUAGUUAUGUUCUAUGUCAGACGAAUCAGAAAUCGGGAAACAAAUUGCAGGAAAAUAAGUAUAACUAUGUUCCAUGUAUUUGUCCGCAUAGAUAUCUUGAGAACAGAGGAGUAUAUGUUCCCUUAUCUGAAGGACGUGUCACUAACUAGGUCAGAGUUCGACAAAGGCUUUUGAAAGCUUACGAUUGUUAAGUCGGAUCCUGAAGUUGUUGGGUUUUGAGCAUUAUAACACUCCUAAGUAUACAUGAAACCCUAAAUACCUUGGAUCUAUGUUUUCUCUAUUAUACAUACAAAUAUGAACAUCCAAGGUAUUAUCCUAAUCUAGCAUAUAAAAUAAUGAAUAUAACAAGAUAGAAUACAUACCUCUCUCAUGUAGAAAGUCUUCAUGAAGCUUGAGUGCCAAGUGCCCCAAGUGUGACACCUCAAAUGGUUCACACAACACCAAAUACACUUGGAAUAACUUGAGAGAAUUCUACACUUCAUGAAAAUCGGCUAGCCCUCUCUAGAUCAUACUCUAGUGGCUGAUUUUGGUCAAGAAUAAGAUCUUUAUAUAGUGUUACAAUUAGGGUAAACCCUAAUUGUCAUGACUUUCCAUUUCCUUGGAUCCAUGGGUUCAAAUACACCAUGGAGCAUCCAUGGACCAUCCUAUGGGUUUUAGCCCAACUUGAUUAUCCAUGGAGCAUUAGCCCACUAUACAAGUAUGGAUGAUUUACACAAUCAACCCAUAUAUUUAAUUAGUCUUCUUUUGAUCACUUAAUUAAUCCUAGAUUAAUUCUUGAUCAAUACUAAUUAAAUAAUCUUAUUAUUCUUAUUAUUAAUAUACUAGAACUUAUAAUAUAUUAAUAACCAUAAGUGUCUUAUUUCUCUCAUUANCUUACGAUUUCUAAGUUGGAUCCUCAAGUCAAAUUGGCAAUUAUAGUUAUUAGACUUAUUCAAGUGGGAGACUGUUGGAUUUGGUGUCUAAGCCCAUAACUAUAACCGGGAUGUACUUGACCCGAUUGUAGCAUGGUCCUUUUGGGUUGCCUUCACCAGGGCAAUUUGAUAGGAUGGACUCUUGAGAAUAAGGUUAUUUAUGAUUUAUUAAUAUAUUAUAAGUCAAUUAUAUUAAUAUGAAAUUAUAUUAUUUAAUUAGUAUUGAUCAAGAAUUAAUUUGGAAUUAAUUUUGUGGUCAAAAGAGACUAAUUAAAUAUAUUGAGAUUGAUUAUGUAAAUCAAUGAUUCUUAUAGUGUGGGCUAAUGAUCCAUGAUAAUUUAGAUGGGCUAAACCAAUGAGAUAAUCCAUGGAUAGUCCAUGGUGGUUAAAACCAUGGAGCAUAAGAAUGUGAAAGGUCAUGGAGCAUUAAGGUUUGCAUGAAUGUAACACUAUCUUAGCAACACUAUAAAAGCACAUCCCUAGAACCAAAAUUGGUUACACCAUCAUUCUAAGAAGUUUGAUAUUGAUUUUGAGCUAAGUAACUUAUUCUCUCAAGCCUCCUCUUGCAUAUUGGUUUUUGUGAACCAUUAGAGGCAUCACACUUGGGGUGCUCAAGCUUUCAAAGGUCAAGAACUACAAGUCCUUCUAAGAGGUAAGUCAUCUAACUAGUUGUAUUGUUCAUUGUUCAAUUGUAUGCUAGUUAGGGAGAAUGCUUUGGAAAAAUUGAAAAUGCAUGUAUAAUUAGAGAAAACAUACAUCCAAAGCACUUAGUGUUAUAGUGCUCAAAACCCAACAAAGAGUUAGUUUCUCUCAAGGAUGUUAACAGGAAAUGUUCAGGCUGUCGUUUCAUCGUUGGAUCAGAUUUAUGAGUAUUGGUCAACAUGGUUGAGGUUCGAGUGUCUGGAAGUUAGGCAUAGUUACAGAGUCUUCAGAUUAUGGAUAAGGAAGUUAGGUCUUCUCGAUCUGGUUUAGUUGUAAAGUGUUAGUGUUGCCUCUUUGUCGGGUCUCACGUUUCCAACCAAGGAUUAAGUUGGCUUUUGGGAUUGAAGGGAAGUGUCUGUUUUGAUCAAUUUCCCAGUGUUGUGAUGGUCAUGAAUUCGACAUUUGGGAAUUCCGCUAGGGUUUGUCUUAUUUGCUUGGUUUUAGAAAUCCUUAUGACUGUGGCGGAAGUUUCAAGCAUUCAGGGUGGGGUCGAUUGAAAAAACCAUAAGGGGUUCGGAGUGUGUUUUAAGAGUAAUUUGUAAGGACAAAUUUCGAGGAAAAAGUCUAAUUUAUGCAGGGGAGAUUUGUAAUACCCUUUUUCUAGAAUGGUUUAGCCAAAGAGUUAACAAGAUCAAAGAUGGUGUUUUUGUAGAAAACCCUAAGCCGCAACGUAGUGCAAAGAUGAACACGACAUGGAAUGGGUUUUAUGGAAUACACAUUUUAGGAGAGCACCACAACAUGACAAGAAUGUUGCCAUGACAUGACGAGUGCUGGAGCCCAAGCUUAUGAUUUUUAGGGUUUCACCCAUAUUUUUAAAGGCCUUAACUCUAAGGUUAGCUCAUUUCCCUCGGCCUCCAUUCUCCUAUUUUGAAACCUUAGCCCCAUUUGAGUGUUCUUGAUGAGCUCUUUGAAUUCUUGAAGUUUGAAGCCUUGGUUUGUACUUUGUGAAGAAGAAGAAGAAGGCGUGCUUGCUAGUUAGAAGAGUGUAUCUACUUCAGAUCUUGCAUCUCCUGAAUCUCGUGGAGCUUGGGAAGGUAUAAAGCCUCCACAUGUAUCAUCCUUUUCCAUUAUUUCAUGCCAUGAAGUCCCUUGAUGGAGUGUUCUUUGAGUUUUGGUCAACUCCUGAACCUUAGGCUUGUUUGGUGACCAUUUUUUUGGUCAUAUGUGAUGGAAAAAGUAUUAAGUCUUUGUCCCCUUUGCUCUAUGAUCAAGUUGAGGUCUUAUUAAGGGUUUUAUGGACUUAGGAUUUUAUAUUUUGUCUUGUGGUGAGGUCCUAAUGGAUAAAGUUGGAAACUUUAUCCAUUAAGUCACUAAGAAGAACUAAAUAUGGAAGUUUGAGCUUUGGUAUGUAAGAAUUAAGCUCUUAAUGACAAAAUGGCUUCUGGCAAUAGCCACAACAUGGAGAAGAGGUCUCCAUGUUGUGGAAUAGGUUCAGUCUCACGACUGUUUUGUAUGGACAUUCCCACGACGUGGCCAAGAGGUUAUCAUGUCGUGGUGACAGUUGACCUGAUUGAUCGUUGAUUCCUGACCUGUUUGACUUGGGGCCAAAGUUAGAGGAUUUGGAUUGUUGAUUGAGGAUUUAUCUCCUUUGGUGUUAGUUUGUUUGAUUGAGCAUAAAUAUUUUUUGCCGAUAGCAAACCACAACUUUCGAAUCUGGUACCGCUGCUUUCAGAUAUGGAACCAACAUCUUUAGAUCUAGAACCAUCAGCUUCAGAUUUGGAACCAUCGCCUUCAGAUCUGCAACCAACACUUCUAGAUCUAGGGAUGAGAUUUAGAACCAGAAAACCGAACUGGAAUCGGAAUCGGACCGGAACCGGAACCGCUAGAACCAUAAUAUAUUGAACCAUUUCCGGUUCCGGGUUUAAAAAUUGGGUUUAUCCGGGUUCCGGGUAAUCUGGGUUUGCGUCCAUCGGUUCCAGGUAAACCAGGUCUAAAAACCGGAACCGUUGUUAGGAACCAGAACCACUUUUAGGGUCGGAACCGAUUUUUGUGAAACGUUUAAAAGAUGCAUAUCUCAUUCGUUUAAACUCCGAUUGACAUGUGGUUUUUUCUAAUGUGUAGCUUAGAGUUUGUACAUGAUUUUAAACAAUAAAUUUUUCAUUUUUAGUUUUAUAUUCAUUGACUUACAGUCCCCCAAAGUUGAGAUAUUAAAGCUGAAAGUUUAUGGUUUUUCAGUUUUUUUUUUUUUGUAUUCUGUGAAAGUUUUAAAACAUGCAUAUCUAAUUCAUUUGAAGUCGAAUUGAUAUGUGGAUUUUUCCAAAUUGUAUUUUAGAGUUUGUACAUGAUUUUUGGACUAUAAUUUUGUCAUUUCUGGUUUAAUAUUCAAUGAUUUAUAGUCCCCCGAAGUCGGGAUAUCAAAACUGAAAAUUUUCAACUUUUCAGCUAUUUGUUUUUGUAGUUUGUAUUAUGUGAAAAUGUUAACAGAUGCAUAUCUCAUUCGUUUAAAGUCGGAUUGACAUGCAAUUUUUUCCAGUGUGUAGUUUAAAGUUUGUACAUGAUUUUAGACUAUAAUUUUGUAAAUCUUGGUUUCAUAUUCAAUGAGUUACAGUCCCCUAAAGUCGGAAUAUCAAUAUGAAAAUUUUCAAAGUUCAACCCACUAAGUAGUAAGUAAUUGCCAAAAAAUUCCGGUUUUUUCUGGUUUUCCGGUUCUAAGCUCACUUUAUCCGGUUCCACCCUAUCCACUUUGAUGUCCGGGUCUUCCGGUUCAAGACCCACUUUACCCGGAACUGAACCGGAACCGGUUCCUAUAUACCGGUCCGGUUUCCGGUUCUACAAAAUCCCGUUAACCGGUUCUAGGUUUUCCGGGGCCGGGUCCAUUCGGUCCGGGUUUGGACCCACUUUCAUCCCUAUCUAGAUCUAUGAUUUUCCGUUGUCACUAUAUAAUAUGAUCAUAUAUGUUGUUUUUGAUGCGAUUUCCUUAGAUCUAAUACCGUCAUCAUCACCGUCGUCGACCGCUACAUGUCAACGAAUGUUGCCACUGGCCGUACAACUUCCCUCGGAAUGUCGAUUCAGAAACAUUUUUUGCUUUAGGAGUAGUUUUGUAAGAUGAUAAUUAUUAAUAAAAUUAAAACAAACCAAAUUAAUAUUACCGUUUUGGUGUAUUAAGAAUUAAAAUUUAUUUUUAUCUAUUUCAAUAUUUUAAUUUUUAGAAGUGUCUAACUCUUCUUAUAUCAAACUAUAUAUAAAAAAGUUAGCUUAUUGUGUGUAUUUUGUACAUGGUAGUUUUAUUCUAUCAAUGACAAGUAACAGUAACAAUUAGAAAGAUUAUAUGAUGUAAAAUGAUGAUGAAAAUAGUUCAAAACAAUUACUAUGUUUUUUCCCCUUAAAAUCACAUUUAAUAUUUUUCUUAAAAUUAAACACCUUUUCUUGAAAGAGAGUUAUCUUGAUGGAAAUUGCAAAAUGAAAGAAAUAAUACAUCACUUAGGCUUUGCUUGGCGUACUAGCUAAAAAGCUGGCUGAUAGCUGAAAAACUAGCUGUUAAAUAAAAAGCUAGCUGAUAGCUGAAAAGCUAACUGAUAAAAAAUGACGUUUGGUAAAACUAGCUGAAAAGCUAGCUGAAAUAUAUAAAAUUACAUAAAAGGACAUGUGAGAGUAUGUGUUUCUAUAAUUAAUUAAGGGGUAUAUUUGGAAAUUUUUAAAAAAGCUCCUAAAAAGCUAGUCUAAGUAGCUUUUCAAAAAGCUAGCUUAUAAGCUACUUUUUGGCUUACCAAACACGACAACAUAAAAAAGCUCAAAAAAUAAGCUAGCUUAUCAGCUAGCUGUAGCGCGCCAAACACAACCUAAAUGUGAGGUUCCACCAAAUCAUGAACAACCUUAUAUGAGAUUCCUUUCUUUUGGAAAGAUUUGGGUGUGGUCCAAUGGUUUGACAUGAAAAGCAUUAUCAUAUUUCUUUUUAUGUAUCUUCCUUUUUGUUAUAAAAUUGUAGUAAUUGAAAGUUAAGUAAUCAUAGAAUCUUACUUUAUUAAAAGUAAGUUCCCACCCAAUUUCCCUGUCUUUCUUUUAAUUUUUCACUCUUUAUAAAUUACCUCACAUAUUCACUACUCAAAAACAAGUUAGAAACUGUGUGUUUUAUAGAAGAGAAUCAGUAAUAAUAAGUAUAUGUGCCCCCGCCACCUUUCCAACGUUGAAAAUACAUAGAGCAAAUCGACAUGCUUUCUCAUUGUCACAAGUUGUAAAUCUAACUUGUAAGUAUGUAAAAGCACCUCAUAAUAUAAUUAUUUAUGAGUUAAUGUACACUAUGUUAAUGCCAUUAAAGUCUUUGAUUUUGUGUACGUUUAUUCUUACUAGGAAAAGGAAAAGCUUUUAUGAAAAAGAUUAUAAUAACAAGUAUAAAAUAUGAUAUGAAAUUGCAUUGCAUUGUAUUUUUUUUAAAAUUAUUUUAAUAGCUAGUCAAUAUAUUACAAAUUAUAUAAUGCCACUACACUAUAGACAUCGAAAGUGAAACAAUGAGAAACAUUUUCUGGACAACAUAACCUUAAUUUUUCAUUAGAAGUGUUAGAUAUUUUCAAAAUUAAAUAAAUUAUUAUGUAUAAAUACCCUUCUCUAUCUGAAAAAACCAUACAUUAUGUAUAAAUAAAUAUAUAUAUUUUUAAAAAACAUUUUCGACAUAAAAAGAAACGCUAAAAAGUAGAAUCUAUUCACGUGUUUGGUUCUACAAAGGGAAUUUAAUCCCCACUCAUCUGAGAUACACUGCACUUCAUCUUCAUCUGCUUUCCUUUCUCCCUCUUCAUCUACACUUCCUUUGCCGGCGAACAAUCUCUCUUCUGAAAGCCCACCAACUUAACUUCGCCACCGAUGCACCAAACGUCCUCAUCAGCAGCCUCUGUGGAAGCAUUUUAUAUGAAGAAUCAGUGUUGUCGAUAACUGUGUCCAGAUUGCAAUUGAUCAAACGCGUGGUGGACAAGGUUGCAGGAAGAACACAUGGGGAAAAAAAGGAGAUCCGGGUCUCCGCUCUCCGGUCACCACUCACAAGUAAGAUCGAUUAAUAUUUGGCCGGAAACCGACCGGUCUUGUUUAUAUUUCUAAUCAAUUUUCUUUCUUGCGUCAACUCAUGGUUAGGCCGUUCGAUGAUCAUGGUUGAACCUGUAUUUUUUUGUUAAUUUAUCUGUCCAUGACCUGUUGAUCAACAAUUAGGAAAAGAGUAUUAUAAUUUAGUCAUGGUUUUAUAUAUUAGUAGUAGAUCUUUAAAUUUGCAUUUCUUGUUGACUCUUUUGGAAAAAAUCAAGUAAAAACUUUUCUCUUAAUUGCUCUUAUAUCGAUUAUAUUUACUUUUUGUUGUAUGUAUGUCUACUAAUUACUAAUUGAUCACUAACUAUAUUAUAAAUUUUGAUGUACACAUUUUUUACAAUAAUCGAAGAGAGGAAUAAUUACUUAUUGAUCACUAACGAUUAGGUUUUAUUUGUAUUCUAUAGAUUAUAUAUCAAAUAUCUACUAAAUAAUACAAUAUACAAAGGUUUUCAUAAUAAUUUAACAGAGAGAUAAAAAGCUUUUCGUAUUUGGAAAUACCACUUUAAGCUUUUGUUUUCAAGAUAAAACGUCAUCAUCAUCCAUGUUUUUUUGUCAAAAGACCAUACUACCCUUCUUUUAAUAAAACCUUGUACUCCUUUUUAUCUUUUGUUGUAGAGAAACUCAUUUUAUUUUUUUACCAAAGACCACAUGAUUGACUUUGUUCCUAAAAAGAAAACAUCUUACUUUUUAAUUACUAAAUCUCGAUUGGUUUUAAUCUUCAGAGUUUUCAUCUUCUUAAGUUGCAUUAUUUCGAUUGUUGCAGCCUAAUCAUCAUCUUAAACUUAUUAUUAUUCUUUUGAUAUCCCACAAUUAGUGUUAACAUAUGGACAU